rnacentral:lncRNA from 1 species
AGUUUCUUCCUUCCUCCUCCUUUCCUUUUUUUUUUGCAAGUACCUGAGCGGUUUUUCCAUUGAUUUCUUUCUUGAUCUCCAAGCCCAAACGUGUCUCCCUUUUUAUUUUUCUGUGUUUCAAGAGCGUCAUCGCUGACCAAUCUGUGCCUUUUCAUUGACCACUUUGCCCCUUGAUACGUGGCUUCCUUUUCCUCAUGCACUUGGUGAUAUCUGUUGCUUCUAAACAUGGUCCAAGCAUCGGGCUUUCUUUUCACUUUGCUUCUCCGCUGUGCCCUCAUCCUAUAAUUACAUGUGACAGGUCUUGAUCUUCCCCAUACACAAAGCGGGAUAGAGCCAUGGAUCAUGAGAUGGAGCUCAAGGGGUGUUUUCGCCGGAUCAAGAGCUGCGCUGUUGAACUCUUCUCGACAAUGGAGGAGGACCUGGAGAUCGACGACGAGGACUCAUGGGACCUUGUGGGGAGGGACAUCCGGCUGAAGGCCACCUUCCUGUACAUUGACCUCAGCCGUGUGAUCGCCUGCUGCGAGGGCGAAGAGCACAAGAAGGCACUCAACGUCCUCGCCAACCGGUUCUUCUACUCCAUGGAUGAGGUGAGGAUCCCCUUCUCCCUGUUUGGCAUAGUUCUUGGCAAAUUCAGAUUACAACUUGUGUAUAUACCAAUUGACACUUGAGUUUAUGGAUGCCUCGAUUUGUUGAGUUUAAAUGCUAUAUAUGGUACUGUAAAGGCAAUUAGGUACUUGCAGCAGUUUAUAUUGACUAUUUGGGUCUUCUUGAUAUUUGACGACAUCUUCAUGAUAUUUCAAUUCCUUUGCCACCUUAAGCAAGCCGUCUAUGUCUUUCCUUUCCGUUUUUGUCUUGUUGUUCCCGUGGAAGCUGUAGUGGUUACUGACUGGGCCUUAGCCAAUAGAAUGCCUGUUCUCUUUUGGAAUGUACAGUUUUUGGUCAACCUUAUCAAAUCAAUGUUUGGUGUUCUUUAUACAUGUACUCAGUAGCAAUCUGACGAGUAGGCAAUCAGCACACGCUUGGUUUUGUUGAUAAAUGUUGGGUGCCUUUGUGAUUAACGAGAUUCCCUUGCACAAAAUGGGCAGCUGGGCGACGCGGUGGAGAGCAGGAGCCUCCCCCUGACGCAGGUGCGCUACAGCGACACGGCCGACGCGCUCCGCGAGGUGGUCGCCGUCCUCGCGCCGUCCCUGCAGCUCGGCCCCUGCGGCGAUCCGGAGGAAUAGAGAAACCAUGUCAGGUGCGAACGCGUUGCCGCGUCGUGACGCGGGCGAGGCGCUGGAUCAGCGGAUCUUCAUUCCAAUGAUAGGAUAGCUUGGCAUCUUCUCUAGAAGGAAAGGAAGGAUGGGAUGAGAGCCAGCCAGGAGCCCAGUGCGGCUUUGAUAUGUGGCAUGCGAUCACCUGUGUGGCUGUGUACAUAUCUUUGGAUUGGGCUGUUAGCGUCUUCUCGCUUCCGUUUCGCGUGCUGCUGAUGCUCUCUUCUCUGAUCCUGCGUGAGCGUGCAACGCGCUCUAGACAGGCAGCCAAUUAGGGAUGUCCUGAAUCCUGCUGCUGCUGCAGAUUAGAUCAGAAGGCGCCACAUGGAUUUGACAGGUCUUAAUGACGAGCCCAUGCUGCGUUUCGCCUUUCGGCACCCAUCACCAGCAGCUGAAGCUCCCGGGUUUUCUUUUGAAGCGGUUGUUGGUAGAGCCAGGGCUUUAGGCUUUGCCGAGCCGGGAGCGAUCGCAGCAGGUGCGUCGUCCCCGCGCAAGCAAGCAGUCAAAGUGAGGCGUCCCAUCAUCGGGCGCGUUAGCUGGCGGUGUGUGCUAGCCUGAAACCUGUGCUAAUGUAAAGCCCGGACCGGACACGUAUCGGGAGCAGAGUAGCCUGAGCCCUGUUCACCCUCAACUCCCAACUUUAACACUAUAAAAAAGAAGAUUCCCAUCACAUCAAACUUACGGUACAUGCAUGGAGUACAAAAUGUAGAUGAAAUUAAAAACUAAUUGCACAAUUUUGUUGUACUUUGCGAGACGAAUCUUUUGAGCCUAAUUAGUUAAUGUUUGGAUAAUAAUUCAUAAAUACAAACGAAACGCUACAGUGUGUGCUUUUGAUACCUCCAAACUUUAGCAACUAAACAAGACCUGAAUGCCUCUGAUCCGGGGGCGCUUGUUUGUGUGGAAGUCACGAAACCAUGUAGCGAGACGACAACGUUGCCUGGCGCUGCUACGGUGCCAGCGUAUCAUGUGCGUGUCUGUCUGUUCCAACAUCCUAUUCCAAGUGGACGUCACGGCCACCCCCCACGUCAAAAGCGAACCGCGCUGCCACGCUGAUGCGCCGGCCGGGGGGAGCCGAGCCGUUUCCUUUCCCCGCUGUGCCGCGAAACAUGGGGCAUCGCGGGCCGAGGGCCUGGGAGGGCACGACGACGACGAGCCUGCUGGACUGGAUUGGGCUUUCAAAAUUCAAAUGCAGCCGGUCUAGUGACUGACUGUGCAUCUAACGGGCUGAUCCGCCGCGGGGCCCUGCCGGUCCGGCCUUGUCCAGCAAAGGUCCAAUUUUGAUCCACGAACAUUCUUUGAAUGUUCCCUCUUCGAGUCCUGAAUGCGGCUGACAAAGCUCUGCGGGGGAUCACGCGUGCGACCGUAAGCAGUCUAGUCGUAGAAAUCACUUCCGGCGCCGGGGGCUCUCCCCGCCUUGCCCUUUGGCCAUCGGUGUCGCCAGAGUACCCGCCACCGCCAGUCCGCCUCAGCCAGUCGAAGGCGCGAUAAGUCGUUAACUCCGUCGUUGCAGGCCGGGGCUCCCCCGUCGUACCCCUGAUCCGCCUGUGUGUUUUUUUGGCGCAGUUGUCUUACCGGCGCUGUAAAAUCGCAUGUUAAUCUAGCACAACAUCGCACAAUACUGGCAAUUACCUGUAUCUGGGUCCUUCUAAAAGACAAUACCUGUAUCUGCGGGGAUACGAAAACUCGCUAGAGUAUCCAGUGAGUUUUGGUCAUCCUCAUGAUGGAAGGAAGUAAGAAAACUUUCUGCCCCGCGGUCUGAUCAUUCCCUCUAACAAGCUACGUAGUUCUAAAGAAGCUGUCGAAUUUUAAAGCGAAAGACCAUCUAGGUAGAGGAAUAUCGUAACGGCGAUAUAGGUAGAGUAGAGGGCCGACCCAGCCGAAUCUCCUUUUUCUUCCAUCACACAAGGUGUCAGCAACAUCAAUCAGAAAAGGUCUAUCAAGUAAUCUUUCAGAACCACCGCGUCUGAUGUGGUGCAGAGCAACUGGUAACGUUCAGGCAGGAACAUCACCAUGUCGACCAUUACACUUGUCCGCUGCGUUAUCCGAAAUACCUGGCCGAGCACACCUUACCCCGUCGAGAACCCAAAGCAGGGCUACGCUGCACAACGGUUCCCGAGCACGGCAAUGGCAUCGCGGCUCGCCGUCCGGGCGCCCUCCGCGACCCUGUCACGGGCCGAAAACACGUCCCCGGGCCCCAAGCCACCGAGCAACAGCGGGCAGAAGCACCAGAGAUCAGCCACCACCAGCCGGAGGCUUGCAACGACGGCGGCGGCGCUCCUGGCGUCCCGGCUGCUGGCGCCCGCGGCGAGCAUCGCCGCCGGCGCGUUCGACCUGCGGCUCACGCUGCCGGAGCAGUCCAGCGAGGAGGCCGAGGCCGUGGUGCGGACCCACGCGCGGAACCUGCUGCAGGUGAAGCAGUUCGUCGACGCCGGGGCGUGGCGGGAGCUGCAGGCGGCGCUGCGCGCCAGCGCGUCCAACCUCAAGCAGGACCUGUACGCCAUCAUCCAGGCCAGGCCCGCGGACCAGCGCCCCGAGCUCCGCAGGCUCUACUCCGACCUCUUCAACAGCGUCACCAGCGUCAGUAAACCACAUCGCCAUCAAGAUUUGAGGUGACCAACUGAACUGACCAUGGCAAUACGGCAUUGCUCAUCUUGUUCUGCUGUUUGUGUACGCAGCUGGACUACGCGGCCAGAGACAAGGACGAGGUCCAGGUGCGGCAAUACUACGGCAACAUCGUCUCCGCCCUCGACGAGAUUUUCGCCAAGAUCAUGUAGUUGCUCAUACCUUUAUCUAGGAUAGAUGGAGAAUGGAUUUUUUUUUCAAAAAAGGAAAACUUGGAACCUGUACUGGAAGUACAUUCACACGCAGAGAGCAACAAAUGGCGACCAGCAAAAAGGGCUUUCAUUCUUGCUAAUUGCUAUGUAGCUAGUUCUUCUGAAGGAACUGUUUAGCUAGUUCUUGUGAACUUCCUCUGCUACAUCUAUUUACCCUACCAUCUUAAGGAGGAACACAAAAGAAUCGAAGUUAUUUACAGGUGCAGCAAUGCCAGAAAAACUGCAGUUCCUGAAACCCACGUCUGUCCAGCCACCAAUGUUUAAGGCAUGUUGCAGAGGGCAGUUUGGAGGCCGGGGCAGCAGAAUGGUUUCAGUGACCUCUCCUUUUGCUUCCAGAUAGAGAAAGCAGGGAUCCUGGCUGAAUGGCGGCCCUAUCGAUCGCCAUUUGGUGAGCAAAAUGAAGCAGUACUUCUCCAUAUGGUCCAUCGAUCUACUGAUAAAAGUCUGCCUAAACUGAAACUUGCUGGCAGUGACCUACCAUCCUCUUGGCUCCUCCUUCAAAUGGUUGCUUCCAAGAACUUGGUCCUAAGAAGGAAUCAUAAAUUGGGUAGUCCGUCAACAACAGCACAAGUGUAUUUUGACGUUUGAAACAAUUAAUGAAAGAACCUGAUAUCACAACUUCACAAGGCCAAAGGUGCUUCAAAUUCUCACCAUUGAAAUGCCAGGAAGCACGAAGCUAGCAAGACUUUCAUUCACUGAGACGCGAAGCGGAGGCAUCUUGGUACUCAUUCCAGGCAGUUGGGUAGUGCUGUUUAUAGAAAAGGCAUCAUUAGCAGCAGGAGCAGCAGCUGUAUCACAAAAGCAAACCUUUCCAAGCAUUACUUAAUCUUCUCGCAACUGAACUGCAAAGGCAUUUGAGAUCGAUAAUGCUUACAUAUGUUGAAGAUCAUUAAUGUUCCUCUUUGCCCGAUGGAAGAGAUCAAUGUUGUUCUGAGCCUGCAAGGGAGAACAAAAGAUAUAACUAUAAAUAAUGCUAGGGAUAUAUUAUAUGGGGGAAAAUGCUCCAGAUGCAGUCUAACUAAAAUUGAGGGGGUUAUGCUAUACUAAAAAAAUUAUGCUUUUCUAAUCAGAUGUGCAUUUCAUCCUAAUAUAGAAGAAUAGGAAUGAUGAACUGUAAAUGGAGUAAAGUAGCAAAGAACCAUACAAACCUGAAAUGUCAGAAUAUUUGUUUCUAUUUGAUUAAGAAGCCAAUUAUUUUCCUCCAGUAGAUGCUGCACUGGACGGUCUAUCUCAGAGGCUACAUGAAGGAAAAUAUGGCAUGGUCAUAUUAUAUUACAAACAAGCAUCGUCUAAAUCUUGCCAAACUUCAGGACAUGAAUCUGCUAUAGCGCACUACUGAAAAUUACAAGGAUCUCAAGUGCAAUUUAUAUGAUAAAACUCUGCAGAUCACAUGAAAUCAAUUGAUUUACAGUAUGUUAAGCCAGGGCGAAAUGGCACGUUACACGUUGGAAUGUAAUUUCAAGUGAAUUCAGGGAAGUCCACUGAACAUUAUGACAGGAUCAAUAUGUGCAGUUAUCUUUGCAGUUUAAUGGAAAAAUGGUUCUUAGUACUAGAAAGCUGUGUAGUCCCAAAUUUGUUCUAAUAAGUUUCACAUAUCCCAAUCUACUCUCAUGCAUGUUCUUGAAACAGUAAAUAUCCGAAGUGUCAAGUUUUUUAAGCCUUUCUGUCACUUGACACAAGAAACUGCUACAAUAUAUACGACAAUAUGCAUCCAAGACUUACAGGCAAAAAGAUAUGCAUUCAACAUUAUAUUAAAUAUCAAGCUCCAAUGGAGUUCCUACCUGCGAUAAACUUAGCAAUGGAGUCAAUAAGAAGUCAAAUAGUUCAGUCACUCUAGUAUUUAGGAGUAGUAUUUACCCUCAAAGUGAAAAUUUUAAACACCAGAGUAUAAUACUGAUAAUGGCACGUGGCCAUUAACAGCAGAUAACAACGAGAUAAAUGGAAGCAAUCAAUUAGACUUGAUACUCAAGUGACCUACCAACCUCCAGAUACAAACAGAUUGUUUUGAACAUUAUGCGGCACAAAUGAAUUGGCUCUCAUGCCAGUUUGAAGAGGACGAUUUGCUCCCCAUAGUGCAGGCUCUACAAAUUUAUCCUGAUAAACAACAAUAACUGGCACCAGUUAAAAAUAUACGAACACAGGUAGUAUAUGAAUAGAACCGAUAAAUAACUGAAAUCGUGUAUAUUAACAUUUCUUAUACUUUCAAUCCCCUCAAAAAUUGUUUUUUGAAAAGCACCUUAACUUCUCAAAGUGAAUUAUUGUAUUCUUUUAUCUAAUCAUUGGCGGUAAAUAAAAGGAGCACAAUAAGGAACAAAGUUCAUCAAACAGAAAAGGAUAAUGGUACCUUUCUUUCUUUUAUAUUUCUGCCUGUAUGGUGUUCUUGGGGCUUCCUUCGCCUUGUAUUUACUUUCUUCUACAAGAUUUCCAAAUUAUUGAUAUUAAAUAAAAUAAGGAAAAUAAUUAAGUCAGAUACAAAGUGCACAUUUAAGAAAAUACAUAUUGGUCCAGAAAUGCAUCUGUCUUUGUUGUUUAGCUACAGAUGUUUCUGAUGGAACUUAAAGAUUUAAAACUGAUUUUAGUUCAAUGCAAAAUAUACAUUGAACGAACAAGUUAUCCUACCUUAGUUUUGGGAUCUGAAUUGUACAAUAUCCAUUAUAUCAAUCAAAAGGAAUAUGUAAGUUAGGGGCCUGUUUAUGUUAGGAAUAGAGCUAUUGCAACUAAUAUAGAACCAAAAAGACGGAAUACUGCCAACUAAGAGAUGCAUGCUUUAUCAUGAAAUAAGGACAUCCUGUCUCCUGAUAGCUCGUCUUUUUUCUUCAAAAAUACAAAACAACAGCAAUUUAAUAAUAGAUCAAAAUGAUACAGUGAUUGCCAACUCAGGUCUCACUAUGAUCAUGGUCCAAAACGCACAAAUCCUAUUGUUUAUAUAUAGAUUGAGAAUAAGUUUGUCUAUCAUUCAUACUAGUAUAUGCACACAUGAUUAUUGGAAUUCUAUUCAGAUCAAUCUUCAGAUGUAGUGUAAGUUUUGGCAUGCUAACUCAAAAAACAGAUCAAGGAAGAAAGGAACCAUGCAUGUUUAUACCCACGAAAGUGAUUGAUUAUUUAUGAACUUUUUGCACAGGUUGCAUAUAUUCAGUGUUCAGGCAGAUAGCAUACUUAUAAUCAGAAAAGAAAAGAAAAGGGUAGCAUCUUUAUAAUCAACAACAACAACAUAGCCUUUUAGUCCCAAGCAAGUUGGGGUAGGCUAGAGUUGAAACCCAACAAGAGCCACAAACCAGGGUUCGAGCACAUUAAUAGCUGUUUUCCAAGCACUCCUAUCUAGGGCUAAAUCUUUGGGUAGCAUAUUUAUAAUCAGAAGAAAGAAAGAAAAAAGACAUUUUUCAGUACAAGGAAUAACAUUGUACAAAAAUCUGUAGAGAUUAGAGGCUGCUUACCCCUACCCAUUGGCACCUCAUUGCAACGUCUCUUACUGUCUUGUUUGGUAAUGAUGCUGCUAUCUUUAUAUACUUCAUGAUGCCUUGUUCAUGAACAUAUCUGAGAGUUUUUCAUGGUUGUACACCCAGAAAAAAACAAAGGGAUAGCAAUGAAUCAAUGGUCCCAAACUCCAAAAAAAUAUUAAAAAAAAUCUGUGGAAGCAUUGUUCGGAUCAUCUGAAUCCAUUGGACACAGCAGUAAGAUAAAAUUAAACAAUAGAGGCCAAAAGUUAUGAAAGGAACAGAGUUGUAAAACAGUAGAUAUGCAUGUGAUAGUUGAGAAAGCUUACUUCUCCAGGCCAUCUCUCAGAAUUUGAAGCUCAAGAUGUGUCCAAUCCGCAGCCAGCGGCGCUCCGUAUUUGAGGUUGGGUCCGGGAUCAGCUGGCAAAUUAGAUGAACCAGUAGAAACAACCACUGAAGGUGUGCUGCUCAACAUCCCCACGCUGGCAUCCAUUCCAGUGGAACAAUCCAGGUACGCUGGCAUGCUUCCUGACCCACUAGUGGUUGGGCUUGGCUGAAAUGAAACUACAUGCUGGUUGCAGAGUGAUUGGGAAAACGCCCCAAAAUUCAUAUUAGGAUCGUCUGCCAUUUGCAAGCAGAGCAAAUUUUCCAGAACAGAUUUAGGAAUUUCCAGCCUAUAAGAAAGCUCUCUGAGCUCCAAACAACUUAUGAAAUGGCAGUAUCAGAUGAGAGGUCAGUUUAACUAGCUACAGGUUGCACUGCAUUUUCACACAAUCUGAACGAGUUUUGGCUAGUGCACCAAGAACCUGCAGAUGACAUUAAAUAUGUUAAAAGAAAGUUAGCCUUCCAAACAAAUAGAUUAGAAUUAAGAAGAAGAAACUAAAAAUUUCUCUGCUGAGACUGCCAGGGAAUAAAGAGGCUCAGAAACAGAUCUUUCACUUUGCAAAUACCCAAUUGAAAACUGCAACCCUCUGUCAGUUUUGUAACCAAAGGAAUUCUCAUAACGUACGAGGAACACAACAUUAGAACAUGGAAGAAUCAAACCGGUAGGGAAAAUCAGGCAUAAAUGAGUAGCCUGCAUGCAAAUCCUCGAAACAACAAAGGUAAGACCAUCAAAGAAACAAAUCAAAAAAGGAAAUUGUGGACAGGGACCUGGCCAACCUACCCCCCUGCAGUUCGUAAGUACUAGAAAAUGACCUAGAAAAUCCAAAUCUAGAAGCGAUAAUGAUUAGUUGUACAUAAAGUCGGACCCCGCCAAUCAACUGCGGCCGUACAAUAUCCAUGCAAAACCCUGUCAACGAACUGAAUUUUCACGCCGAGAGUUCAUGCCAAACCCAAAACUUUUUAACCGCGCACGAUUCCGGCGAGGGUACCAAUCCAAGAAAAACGACGGCGGCCCCGAUCCUACGGGAACCAGAUCAAGCAGCAGGAAGCACAGGCGCAGCAAGAAUCCGGGUCGACAAACUUACCCAGGCCAAAUCCGAUCUACUAUCUGCUCUCGCCCGGCAGCAGGCAGGGACCCCCACCGGAGAAGCCAAGCUCCAGCCGGUUUGAUCCUCGCCUGCCUCCCUCACCAGGUGCGCGUUGGAUCGUGUGGUGCGGCGGUGUGCUUGGUGGCGAUGGUGGUGGUGGUGGUGGAAUGCAGUUUGCUUCUUUAAAUGGUGCCGCCCAGCUUUGCGCGCUCCAAUGGGAGGGACGGGGAGAGGCCACAGCCGAAAAAGCGGCGGCCCCGCCGCACCAGUAAACCGUAUAUGCCUCUCACUCUGGCCUCUCCAAAAGCAGAGGUCGUGUGCCAAUUUAACAACUUGCGCACGCAAAAAGAAUCUGAGAUCGAGGGAAGGAAGCGGUCUCUCUGUUGGGAUGGAAUUCACCAGAGCAGCUGCCUGGUGCUCUGCUAGUACGGGGAAGGGGCCGGCACCGGCAAUGGCCUCCGAACAAUAAUUGCCACUAUUGGGUUGUAGCCUAGGUUCCCCCCUCGUCUUCCCCCUUUCCUCUCUCGGUUAGUUCCAGCUCUCUCGUGCCAGGAAAGCAACACGCCCAUCCUAUUUUAGGGGGUGUUUGGCCAGGAGGGGCUAAAUUUUAGCCCCUGUCACAUCGGAUGUUUGGACACUAAUUAGGAGUAUUAAACAUAGUCUAAUUACAAAACUAAUUGCACAACCCCUAGACUAAAUCGCGAGACGAAUCUAUUAAGCCUAAUUAGUCCAUGAUUUGAUAAUGUGGUGCUACAGUAACCAUUCGCUAAUGAUGGAUUAAUUAGGCUUAAUAGAUUCGUCUCGCGAUUUAGCCUAGGGGUUCUGCUAUUAGUUUUAUAAUUAGCUCAUAUUUAAUCCUCCUAAUUAGCAUUCGAACGUGUGAUGUGACAGGGCUAAAGUUUAGCCCGUGGCAUCCAAACGCCCCCUAAAAACCCAAGCUUUUCCCAUUAAAAAAAACAAGCUUUUUCUCAGUUUUGCACUUCCAACUCAGCCUGAUAAAGUUGCAUUGCGGUUGUUAUGUGUUUGUUUUCAUCCGCCUUCCGUCCAAACCAAGAGCAUAAAAGGUGAAGGCAAAACAAAGAAGCAAAAAUAUACAUCAUUUUUAUUUUUUUUUAAAAAGAUCAUUUUUAUUAAUUAGACUUCCCUUUUAUCAAUAUACGAAUUUCAACUAGAAUUAUGCCCCCUGCGGCUUGGUAGCUCCAAGCUUUUAUGAAAGGCGAGUUGCAAGAGGGCGUUUAUUCCAUUAAAAUUCAUGAAGUCUUAUUUUGUAGUUUGUUUAUUACAUGAAUGGAAUUUUCUCUCUUUCGAAGAGCAAAUUCAACUGAAUGAUAUAACUCCUAUGGUUUGGUACCGCUAAAAUAUGUAGGAAACUUCCUAGUCAAUUUGUGGUUUUUUAGUUACGGGACAAAACUUUCAAAUGCAUGACAACAAACUAGAAAAGCCAAAAAAUUCUACUAUAAAAUUCAAAUGUCAACUAAACUUUUAAAAUUGUACCACUGCUGCCCUCCCUCCUCCCUUGCAAGGAAAAAUUUGACAAAAAAGGAUUUGUGGCUAGGUGUCUUUAAAUCUUCAAUCGGGGGAAGAGUAGACGUGCUUAUGUCAAAUGGGUUGUAUGGAUUCUACUGGGAAGAGAGAGGGAUAGCCCAAUGAUGAAAAAAAAGACAUGAGCUCCAAUGAAAUCUGGAUGAUCGACGUUUUGAUAUAAGAGAUCGUUUUGGUUGUUGCUUCAUUUUUCCGGACUUUUAUCAGGCAAUCACGGUAAAUGUUGGAUACGGAAUACAUUGGUCUGGCACACCCUCUAGAAUCCAAUUCUCUCAGCUUGGUCCAAAGAUAUCAGUGACUAUAUUUUUCUUCAAAAAAAUAUGAUAAUAGUGUAAUACCUGCAUGGUAUCAUAUCAGAUACCUUGGGAGUGGAAGAUGGACCCAUAUCUCCAAAAAGACUUUUAACUAUCAGCUAAAAGUAGUUUUUAUUUUAAUAUAGUCACAAGGGUGAAGCCUUUGAGCUCUCUCUUCCUCUUCCUAAAUUUGCAUGUCCUUUCUUCUCCAGUGACCCAACCUAAAAUCUGCAAGCCCCUCUUUUAAAAAUCCCCUUUUGUUGUUUUUUCUAGUGCAACCUGAGACUGAGUGGCCGUUCCAUUCCCCCGCAGAACCUCGCCUUUUGAUCUGAAUGUGGACUUGGAAUCGGAUCCUACUAAUUUUCUGAGAACCAAAACUAAGAUCGCGUUCGCUAUUUGGGCGUGACUCAGCGACUCCAAUUACCAUUGAGCAGGCGGAAUCUGCCCCCGGGCCCCAUCUGCCACGCACGAAGAUUCACUGCGAUCGAUCGCGGCCGUGCGAAAGCCGAGCCCCCAGUGAUCCCACGGACGGGGGCCUCCGAAAGUUGAGACAAACUGGCUCUUGGCGAUACCACCCACAGUAACCAAAAGUUUUAGCCGCGUCAUGUCAGGCAAAGGCCUGGGCCAUGUGACCGUGUGUGUAUGGAAUCAGUUCGGUGGAGCAAUCGAGUGCAUCAGGGAGUAAGUGGCCCGUGUUAUUGGCUAGUCGUAUUGUAGCUGGAAUAUAUGGGAUGUGAAUCGAUCGACAGCCUCCUUCAGAUUUUUGCUGGGAGGGAGGGAGGGAUCUGGUUCGCGCUCCGUCGGCACGUGUCAAAGCUCGGACCUGUGGCUCCGGAAUCCGGGCAGCUCGUUCGUCCGUCCCCCGCAACCCGCCGGUGUGGCGUCCGGCGCGUUUCCGUCUGGAAUUCGCGUGGGCAUCGUUCGUCGACGGUCCUCGCCCACCUCAAAAGCUUCGGAGCAGGGGCGGGGCGGCGCCCGCGGGCAGGGAACCCAGCGGCCGGGCGACGCGCGUGACCGUUGGUGCCGCGCGCACGCGUGCAUUUCCCCUCAAGGAGCGGGGCGCGGGCACGGGAUCACGCGGCCACCCUCGCCCCGGGUCCCUGGACGAGGCGAUCGAGCCGGGGGUUGGUUUCUGGCAAUAAUUGGUCGCGAGCGCGCCGGCGGGCGGCGGCUGGAGAAAACGGCGAGGGGGGAUCCACCACCCCACUCCACCUCGUUUCGGGCGGGUGGUGGCAUGUAUAAAUUUGGAUCGCCGGGCCAGCACACCAACCCCGCGCGCUCCGGUCCGGCGGCGCGCGCGCGACCGCAAGCGACAGCGGGGGGGCGUUCACACACACGCCGCCACGGGCGCGUGCAGCGCACACGGCAAGUGGCCCGUGCCCGCGCGCGAUGGGAGAGCGCGGAAAGCGGCCGGCCGUUCCAUUCCGUGCCAUGACCUCUUUUUUUUGGAGAGAGAUGUUGGAUGUGCAAUGCGUCUGGUCGCGCGCAUUAUUGUGAGGAGACCGGAGAGCCUGGCCGGGCCGGGCGGUCCCAGCUUGGCGUGGCGGUGGCGGUGGCCGGUAAAGAAUUAUUAGCGUUCGUCGUCCUUGGCUGGCACUGGCAGAGGGUGCGCCGUGGAUCGAUGGAUAAGGCUCGACAGGAGGAGGAGGCUGCUGCUGCACAGUGCACGCUGGCUUUUUAAGUGGCAAACCUGGCCGUUUUGGCGGCUGCAGAUCUCCGGUACGUGAUGAGGCCAACGUGUUAAACGUUGGCGCAUGGCUCGUGACGCAUGGCGUGCGGCACCGUCACGUGUCGCCGAGAUCUGGUCUCUCCAGCCUUUUUCUCCGUAUGGUCUGGGCUGGAACACGUCGUGUUUUGUCCCAGGAGUUGUAGCGUACAGCAGAUUCGUGCAACGAAGUCAUGUUGCUCUCUGCCUCUCUGGUCACCCUGGAUUUGAGAAUUGAAUUUCAGAUGCUCGACCCGGAACGCAAAUAUUGCUCGUGCUAAUUCGUACUAGCUGUAGCUGACUAGCUGAGUGCCAACUUCCUUGCAGAAUCUUCAGUUCCAGCUGAAAGGGCUUGGACUACUUUACAGAUCUGCCCAUACUUCCCCUUUAUUUUCCUUCUCGGAGAGGCCACGAUGUGUGUGCGUGCGUGUUUUCUUUCUUUCUUUACUACUAGUAUACUUCCUUUUGCUCUACCGGAAAUUCGACCUCUCUUUCCCCACAAAAGAAAAUCUGGGCGAUCGUGGGAAACGUACGGGCGCAUAUUAAACUGCGGCGGGCCCCAACUCAACUCGCCGGAAUUGCAAUGCAGCGCUGGUUGUCACUAACCAAGCAGCAGCUGCUGCUGCACAGGCACAACACUCGCCAGUGACUGAAAGAAAGGUGCAGUGCAGUAGACUACUACUACUGGUAAGUAGCCCUGGCCCAGCAUUGUUUCGGCCUGCCUUUUUUCGGGGUGGUCCCUCCGAGGUGGGAGCUCGGGCCCACCAACCCGUCCUCUUCCCCCCGAAAUGGCGAGGCGGCCCAUCAGCCCAUCGCACCCACUAGCACUAAGCAAGCAGCAGUCACGCGCAUGUGUGCUGCUGUUCCUUCCCCCACAGCCACAUCCACUUCGUCGCAAGGCACCGUCCCCAGUUCACCACCCUCUCGUCUCGACCGAAGAACAACACGGCUCGGGCAACGGCAACGACGUUUCCAUAUUCGACCUGCGCCGUCUUCCUCGGCAACGCAUCAUCAGAUGACGACGACGAUCCACGCGAGCCCGCAGGAGGCACCACUGCAGGCAGCGAUGUAGUUGCAGACUCAGCGAUCAGCGUCACCGCCCCUGUGGCACCGAGCCGGGGCAGGGCAGGACGGCGACCGAACGAGCGAGCCACGAGUCAAGUCGCCGGCGACAGGCCGGACCCGAUCGACGCACACUAUGCCUUACGCGCAAAGCAAAGCACAUCACUAACCAUAGGCCGUAGCCAACGCAACAGAGGGAAAAGAACAGGAAAAAGAUUAGAGAAGAAAAAAUCGCUUUUGCACAUCGAGGCCACCUGAGAGGCCGGCGGCCGGCGCCGAUAUUAUACUUGGCGCCUCGCUGGCUUUAUCCAACCGGGACGAACGGGGGGAGCAGCGAGCAGAUAGAGGGGGAGCGAGUGAAAACUGAAAAGAGGGAGCAGGAGCCACCACCGAUCCGACGCCUGAAGCUGGCCAGGAUCCGGCGGCUUUAUUCGGUCCGGCCCACCGCCAAAAAGACGCGGAGCAAAUCUUAUAUUCCGGCAACACGAGGCUGAACCCCAACUUGCCGCGGAAUCUAACGGCUCCUUCCUCCCCUUUCAGAUCCCUCCAAGAGUCAAAACCACGCAAAAGCCGCGGGGAUGGAUGGAUGGAUGCACAGGCGCGCGAUCGGCCGAGGAGGAGCACAUCAGAUUCCUUGGAGGAGGACGGGAAAAGGAGAGGAAAAGGCUCUGGCCUGCGGGGGUUGGGCGCGAGUGACACCGUGACAGAAUCCACUCCGGGGCGCGGAGAUUCCAGAGGCCACCCAGAUACUAUUCGCUUCCUCCCUUUACCGGCAGUGGCCCUGGUGCUCCCGCAACUAUGGAUGGCAGGCCUUCCUCCCUGCCCCGGCAACUUGCUCGCCGUCGCUGUGCCAGUCCCUGGAUCCCUUGCCCCUGCAGCUAUGGAUGAUGAUGAUGAUGCGGGUGAGGGGCGUUGCCGCCGGCAUGGAUCCGAUCCGCCGAGCCGGGAGCUCUGGCGAUUCCUCCAUAUCCGGGUAAAGGAGGCGUCGAGAUCGAUUCCGUUGGGGUGUUUCUCCAUCCGGGGGCGGGGUCGGCAUUGUAUUCGCUUCUUCUUGAACCAACGACAGGGCUCUUGCACUUAUCCGGAAACACAGAGAGGCUGAUUCUCCUUAGGAUCUAGGCGCUGAGGCCACUUGGUGCUCGUGCAGGUCCGAAGAACAGGGGCCACGAGCUCACGAAGCGCGGUGGAUUCCAGGCGGCAAUCAUGGGAUGGGCGCGUCGCGAGAUGCCCUUUCAUGUGCUUCCACAGGCGCCGGACGUAACGUCCGGCACGGGCGCACGGCGCAGCGGGUUCGUGCGCGCUGCGGUGGGCGACGCCCGGGCAAUUUGGGCACUGCCGCGCGACCCCAUUGGGCGAGACCGGCUGGCAUCGGGCUCGUCUCUCCCGGUCAGCCGGGUGCCCUCGCUUUGCAAUUGCUGGGCGCGCGCAGAGGAGCUCGAGCUCAUGGCAGACAUGCACGGAUUGCAGUAUACAGGGAAAAGCCAAUCAUGGAGCGGGAGAAAGGGUAGGGGAAUAAACGAGCUGGAAUGAUAGGAGGCACCGGGAGCAUGUGCAGCGUAAAUGGGUAAAAGGGCACUGAGAAGCGACCGGAGUUGAAAAUGUACUAGGAUUCUCGCGCUCAGAUCUUGCGCCCAUAAACCAUCCUGACACCUGACAUCGAGAGCAAACAUACAAGUCAACUGUUCAAGGUGCAAGGUCACGUUCUAAAAGCUCACCACUCGCCAGGUCCAGGUUUCCAUUGCCAGGUAGCAGUUGAGCGCCUGGAUACGCGCUUACCAGAUCUCAGGUAGUGAAAACGUCUUAUGUACAUGCAAAGCUAACCCUUUGUUACGGAGAUAACACUGACUUAACAUACCACCACCAUCCUGAAGGGUGCAACUACUAAGGCAAUCAUUUUCGCGUCAUCGACUAAAUACUAUAUACCGUCUUAGGUUAGAGGUGGAGAGCUUGGAUCGAUCGAGCAGUUCCACAUUUAUGGGAUGGUAUUGCGGCAACAAACUAUGAACGAUGAAUGCAGUGCCAUGCUCACCUUCUUCCAUAGCCACGGUAGAACCCACCAGCAACCCAGUAGUGCCGCCGAACGCCUCCAACUCUGUUUGGACCAACCCAGCUAACACGCCCCGGCCAUCCAGCAAGAGGCAUGUUGCCGCUUCCUCCUUGGUCCCAGUCCCCGCCUUGCAGCGACCCUGCGUCCAGCUCUUCCUCCCUUUCGUUGUACUCAAGAAUUUUCCGCUUGAUGUUCUGCAUCUCCUCGAGCUCAGCAGCACUCUGCUGCUUCGUGCUCUGCACGAGUGGGCAGUCCCCGGGGAUGAGCAUUUGCUUCGUCUGCUGCUUAUGCCCUCUCUUCACAAGCACCUUGACGCGCACGUCGCCGAGAUCACCAGGUUUGCCAAUCUCACCGUCACCACACACAUUUUCUUUGUCCGCUGCUUCAAUGGCCAUCAAGUCCUUUGACCCCUCAAAGGCAUUCAUUGGUAUCGUCAUGUUCACAGUGGGCCUAGCCAGCUCCAACUUACGUGACUCCAAGCUUUCCUGAAGAAUGGCUUUCAGUUCUCUGUCAAAGUCUUCUUGUUCCUUAGCAUCAACUUGCACCACCUUCCGUCGAACCUCAACAGUUCCUUCUUCAUCUGAACCAACAGGUGCAUCAAUGUCCUCACUGUGGUCUUCAUUUUCCAACCUGUCAUCUAAUGUUUCCUCGUACGGAAAACUUUCCCCGUCUUCAUGUCCACUCCGGUAUCUGCUUCUGCUAUCUGAAGAGCUCUCACUAUCUCCUAUGUCUUCAUGGCUCUUAACAUUUUUCUUAGGUCUAUUUGCUACCCUCUUGCCAUUUGUAUCAAAAGCAGCAUUUUCAGAUUGUUUCAACUGCGAUUCACUGUCCAAGUGCCUUUUGUCUCCACCUUUCUCAACUGCCAUCACACGCUCAUUUUCUUCAAGCUCAACAAGCGCAUCAUUUAAUCCUUCUAUGGAUGAAUGCCUCGUCAUUUUGGGUCGUAACUCAGCAAACAUAUCCUGCAGCACAUAUAAAUAAUUUUAGAAGUCAUGCCUGACUUUUCAGUGAGUCAAGACAAAACUAUUGUGGAGCCUAGACCCUACUUAUCAUGCCUUGGAUUUGCAACCUUAACAAGUUCCUGACGUUUAUAGUUAGAACUAACCUGAACAUCAAAUUCUACAUCAAGUGGUAACGGCCCUUUUCUGAGAGCAUAUCUUUGAAAAAGUAGCAAAAAUCUGUCGAGCCUUCUUUUUGAAGAGCCUCUAGAAAAAUGGUGACCACAAGUCUGUAGAAGUGUAACGAUCAGCCUGAUCCUGAAACAAUCUUCCGGGGGAUCCAGCAGAUCUUGCUGCACAAGAUACAAACGAAGUACAUUUUUAUACAAAUAAAUAAUAAAUGAGGAUGUAUAGAUUUUAUUUUAAAACAUAUACACCCAUAAAGCCUUAGAGAUGAGGAACGAGAAAUAAAAUUCAGCACCAUUUUUUAACUACGCAAAAUGCAAAACCAGAAUUCUAGACCUCAAGCAUGCAAAGGAAAAAUGUGUGUCUUAUAUACAGUUUUGGGAGAAAACAAAAAAAUAUGCAUAUAAAGUGCUUAAGAAUGCCACAACCAAAAUUCAAUUUUUUCAAUAAUUGUAUCUUAACAAGUGUGUGCAGUUUUUUUCUUAAAAAAUAUUAAAUCAGGUAAAAUGCUGGCACUUCCAAACUUCAUAAGCAAAUCUCCAAAUUAUUGAAAGAGUGAUACCAAUGGCAAGUUGUAUAGGGUUUUAUUAAGUAUUAUUUACCUCAGGUGUUCCAUGACCAAAUAUAGUAAGAAGGUUUAGUGUCUCAAAUAUAACUGAUGAAUCAAUAUACUCAUAGUUAUAUAGCUCCCCAAGAAACCGCAUAUGGGCAAGGCGUUGCUGCUGCAUUGCAUAGUCGUUUAGCUCAAGUCCAACUCUAAUCUCCUCUAGAACCUGCAUCGGGAUAAAAAGGUAGUAAAUCUUGAGUAAGUUUGCAAAUGAAUUAAAUGAAGUUCACAUCAUGUUUCAAGUUGUUGCAUAUGCAGAUACCAGAUUAUUUAAGAGAGACUAGACUAUCAAUAUGCUUUUAAGCUCGAAUAUAGAUGAUAACUAAUGCUGAAUCAGGACAUGGAUGAAGAAAGUGUACAUCUACUAAGAUUUGUUUUGAGACAGAUUACACACAAUGAAGCAAUAAAUAAGUCAAGCGCCAAACUCAGAGAGUACAAAUAAAGAGAUUUUGUAACAGUAGAAACGUGCAUGAUUCCCUUCCACUACUACUUUCUACUGGAUGUUUGGAAGAGUUUGCCAUUUCAACUAAAGUAACUCACCUCAUCUACCACUGUCACAGCAAAGUCAUGAUGAUAGUGACUAAGACUAGCAGUGAGUAAAGCAAUCAGGUGAACAUGGCUAUACUUUCCCUUGUGAACCUUUAGAAAACACUUCACAAGGUACUGUUCACAGUCUGCCCAAGACAACUUGAGCAAUUGAAGAAGAACAUGUUGAACAGUAGAUUUGUCAAGAUCGGAGAAAAGUAACCUCCUUAUGUACUGCAUGCAUUGAAAAUAAUUAGUAUAUUAUGCAUCGAAGUUUAUGUACAAGUAGCCAGAAUUUAAAGACUCUGGAGGAAAACAAAUCAGAUAAGAAAUGAUAAUCUUACUUGAUGUAGAUGUGGCCGAAGUUUAGAGACUCUGGAAGAUCUUUCUGGAGGUUUACAUAGGUAAUAGGCAUUUUCUACAAGUGUGCUAUGGUGUGCAUCCAAAUUCUUGACAUUUUUCAAUCUCUUCAGUAUCUCCAACAUGUUUGACAUGCGAAUUGUAGUUUCUGGCAAGCGAUAAAGAAAGCGUCCACAGGUCUCAAGAAGAUUGCAGGCCACAUCAAUGUUAUGAUGUGUGAAAUCAUCUAAGCAAGCCUGAAGAUACAGAAGGAUUGCAAGACUAAGUUAAGUUCAUAGUAAUUCAACAUAAUAAAAACAUAAAACAGUUAGCUUAUGUGAAGUAAAACAUAAACAAAACCACAAGAAAAUUUAAGAAUUCCAGUGAAGUAAACAGGCAAAUACUAAUUCCAUAUUGAUCUAUAUGUAGAUGUGUAUACCUUCAAACAGCCAAAAACAAGGCAUGAAGGCGCAAUUUUGAAUUUGCACAACUCCCCAAUAAAUCGAAUGUUUCUAAUUUUAGUUUCAAUUUUGAUCUGAUCCUGAAAAGGAAACACAGACGAUAAGCAAAGUUAUUCUUGACUCUAGAACUGUAAGAUGUAUUAUCAUGGACCAAAGCAAGCUAUAUCAUGGUAUCAAAUGAUAGUGUGCUAUUAAUAUGAACAAACCUUCUUAUUUAUCAAAAAAUUAAACUCCUCUUCAAGCAUUGACAAUAGCAUACUCGGAAGAUUCUUCAUAAAUGGCGACAAGGUGGCAACUAAUCGGGAAUAGUAAGGUAGCAGUUCCAAAGAAGUCCUUGGAACACUGAAUAAGGCCCGCACAAGUUUCUUCCUGUUUGCUUUAGAAUUCAGGUAGCAAAACUCUACCUGGAAAAAGGUAAACGAGUUUAAGAAUAAGGAGGGCAUAAUUGUCUCAUGUGUGCAGACAUACAAAACAAAGCAUCUGUUCUUACUGCCAAUUGAUCAACUAGAUCACGGCUACCACAUCUUGGCAACUUCUGCAGCAGGCUAUCCAAGCUUGCACCAUCUACGCCUCGUACUUUCUCUCUUUCAGUAUCUCCUUUCCUGCCAACAAUCAUUUCUUCAGAUGUUUCUUUAUCCACUCUUUCUUUUUCAGUGUUCACUCUAUUCUUGUGCUCCACAUUUGUUUUUCCACCGGAUUGAUGUUCAGUAUCUUGUACUUCAGUCUCUGACUGCAUGGUACACUCCUAAUGAAACAAAAUCAGUAAGCUUAGUAGUUAGUAAAGACAAAAACUGGGUAAAAACAAGUUGGGGGUGGUGUCAAAUAAUAGAAAUAUUCACCCCCUCUUCAAACAAAAAUGUUGAAAGAGGGAACAUAAUUACAAAACAUGGUAGUUAUAAAAGUGAAUGGAAAUACCCCCAAAAAGAUCAUGCAGUGGAGGAGUGUGCGAGGGCCUAGAAAAUAGUAUUAAGGAAGUAAGGGAAAGAACUGAAAGACAAAGGACUGUCUGUGCUACCAAAGAGGCAAAACCUAAAAUGGGGGGAAAAAGGAAAAGGUGAGAAGAAAGAAGAUCGAUAGCAGCAAAAUGAGAAGUCACCAUGACAAUGUUUGAAAGUUCAGCUUAUCAAGCCAAAAUCAAACCUUGAAUUAAUUCCUGAAAAUAGAUACAAGUGCAAAGUAUGAGAGAUUUACAUUAGAUUGCUGGUGAACCUUUCCAUGCUGCUCUGCCAAUGUUGGUUCAGCUUGUCCCAGUAGUACAGCAGGCACAAAUGCUCUGCUCAAAAUAUAUGGGUUACGCAGGUGAAAAUUAAAAUCACAUGAUGGAAUUACUAACAAUUCUGUACCCUGUAGAGGGAUGUAAAAUAUGAUUUAGUCCAAGGAAAAACCUGAGAUCAGGUAAAGAUUCAUAGAAAGCCUUGGUGUCCUCAUCAUCCCAUAUAUGUUGUACCACAGAGGAUUCUUUCUCAGAAGUGGUUAAGUCAGUGCCUGUGGUAAUCCUUGUUGUAUGUCCAUCUUCCGGCAUAACAGGAGGCUGCAUACCAAGAGCUUCAGCUAAGCUACAAGACAGUAUAUUCAAAAUAUUUGUCAGCAAUAUGCACAGGGAUGUAUAUGAUCCUACCACUGACUAUUCUAGCAAUGAGGUAAAAACAAAAGUGGACUACUUGCAAAGAUAUAGUUUGUUUCUUUCUUUACUUCAUGUAAUAACUAGAAAUAAUAUUCUUUAAGAGAAUAUGAACUAAGAUGACCCCCAAAAGGUGCUAUCAUAUGUAGACUACCAUGGUGGCAACUAUGCUGAUCUCCCAAAAAUGCAAGUAGUUCAGAAAUCCAGAUUUUUGUUUUCUUAAUACUUGCAGACUGAAAAGUAUGAUAAUUAUUUUUCAAUUCAGUGAACUAAAUAAAGGGAUACUUGUGAAAAUACAUAACCAAUUAUUAUUAAUUAAUAAAGGAAUGAAACAAGCUGCUGUUGCUCAGGAGGAUAACUCACGAGGAAACACAGUGCAAUAACUGAUCAAAAGAUCUUCGCAGAUUCUCAUAUGAGGCAGUAUUCUCAUCGCUGAGUUCUCCUUUGGCAUUCAAAAUUUUUGCAUUUUCCAAUUCCAUCACACGAAGAGACUGUAGAAUUGAGUUGGUUGUUAAUGUAAUGAGAUGGUAGAGUAACACAUGCACUGAAAAAUACAGUAGGUUCCCCCUGCUGUAUUUCUCUAAAACUACCAAGUUAACAAAGAAAAUGUAAUUACCGCAUGUUCUGACAAGAGAAGUUCGCUUGCUGCAUCAUAGUAAGAGCAAAAGGCUUUCUUAAAGAAUAUCUUCUGAUCAAAAGUAAUAUUGAGGCCGGUAAAGAACUGCAGCGAACAAAAUAAAUGUAAUCAGUAGCCAUAACUCAAAAGAACUGUUCCAGGUGGUAGUAAUAAACCUAAGAUAUGGAAAGCAUGGUGCCUUGAUGGUAUUCAGGCACAAUACUUCAGUAUAUCACUUUGCAUACAUCAUUGUGCCACAAAUAAAAGUCUAGGUGAAUGAAUGAGAAUUUUUUUCCAUGACUACGGACAUAGAGAGACAUUAAUCAAAUUAUCUUCCAGUAUAAUUUCAUGGAAUUCCCCAAAACUCGGCAUGUUAGCAUUUUCCCUCCUGGCCUCCAGAAUAUUACUAGAAAAUACGCUGCUAAGUUGCUACAGGUAGAGAUCUCCUGUGCCAUCUUUUUGUAUGAUCAGCAAACAGGUGAUAGUGAAACACGGGGGCCUCCCCCGCUGUAUAGUUUUUUUAAAAAAAAAGACAAUAGUGAAACUACAAUUUCCAAACCUCAUCAUAAGCAUCUUGCUCAUGUUGUUGCAGUCCAAGAAAAGAUUUUCCUUGACGAGCAAAACUAGCAAGGAGAGACAAAUUUGUCUGCGUUGUUUCCCGAUCCUUCAAAUGCUCCAGUGAUGUAAGACCCUUUAUAAUGGUUGUGAAAGUACUAACAUCUUCAAAAAUUCCAACAAAAUACAGUUCCAUUAGAAGUUUAAGAGUGCUUCUCUUCUUCAUGGCUCUUGCAUUCUUGUCUAAAUCUGGUUCUCCAGACAUCUCAGGAUAGAAGGUCUUCAAGAGUCCUUGAAUAAGGCAAGGAGAGAAGUCCAUGUAUCUUUGAUGGAGUAGCGAGCAAAUCUACAUUACAUGAGAUUCACUAUAAGAUUAAUAGUAUGCAGAUAAGUACAAUAUCGCUAAGGAAUUAAAGUAUAUAACAAAAUGUGUAAUGCUGCACACUGCACAAGCACAGUGCAGCAACAUGCUUCACUUAUACAGAACAAAUAGCUAAUCCAUGUAUGGAAAUAAACCUUAUGCAGGAAUAUAUGAUGAGCAGGGCUGAAAGCCUGAACUAAGUGUAUAUUUUGAGAAUUGGUAUUGACUAAGUAAAUCAGAUAUUCAUACUGGAGUACUGUACAUACCUGAACUGCAGCUUGUAUGUCAGUAGAACGGAGCUUGGCAGUACAAAUGUAAGAAACUGCUUCACCGACAAAUUUGCUCAAGUUUACAGUUUUCAGUUCUUCCAUUAACCCGUCCUUUACUUCAUCAUUUAUCACUUUGAGUUUCUUGAUGAUUGUUGUAUUGCGUUUAAUACUGGAAUCAAGAGUCCUUAUGUGAUUUGCAUCUGAAAUGAAAAAUUAGUUCACAUCAUCAUCCAUGUAUGUCAGAUGUCAAGAUUGAUUAAUCAAAACAGUAACCAUCAUCUCUGGUACAAAAAAAAAAAGAGUUUUAGAAUAGAUAAACAAGCAAGCAUGCAACUAUCAGGCCAAGUUCCAAUAGCAAUACACUGGGGAGUUGUUUGGUUGCUGAAAUAGAGGUGGGAAUGGGAAAUGUUGACUGAGGUUAACUAAAUCCAUUGUUUGGUUGAAGGUUUAGUCAUAUCAAGUUCUUUGUUACCAAAAAAAUUAAAAAAAAAGAAAUGAAAUAAAGGGUGCUGUUGGAUAGUAGACUAGCAUUUUUGUGUCUAUCCUCAGGCAAAGUGAUUAACAUAGCAAUCUAGUGUGCCAAAGCAAGAAAUAUGUUUUAGAAUUUUUCUCCCCUGACAAAAGAGCAAAGAAACCAACCAAGAAGCUAGGUUCCCUGGUCUACAGUCCAAAUGUCCAAUUUUCCCCUAAGAAAUGCUGGAGAAAGAUUUAAGCAGAUCCUAUUUAACUACACAAGUGAAGCAGCUGCUUUGAUGUGAUUAGAUGAGCAAGGGCAGCCUCUUUUAUCAAUGUGGCUAGCACUUCUAGUCCUUUAAAAUUUACAGGGAACAUAGAGCUUCUUUACGGUCCUUGGAAAGGUACCUAGAGGUCCAAAAGUAUAGCUUGAGAUUGGUACCUCAGAUACCAAAAGUUGUAUGGUACCUAAGGUGCCAAAUUAUGGUACACCAUAAGUUACAAUUAGCAGUACCUCUUCGUAGUUGGUACUUGGGACCUCUACAAGGAUAGUAAAAAAAAAAAAGCUCAGGUACAUGUGAAACAAACAAUACAAAUAUUGCCUUAUAUACCCUCAGUAAGGACUCUGCUUAGUUCCUUUAGGUACCAGCUCAACAUUUUCACAGAUAUGCAUCGAUGUACUGCACAUAAAAAGGACUAUGAUACCAAUUAGGCCUUGAAAAGAUUCAUGUGUCAAGCAAAGGUGAACAUUUUAGAGCUGCACAUAAUGUAGACUUCUUAGGAAGACAAAGGAAUGCGUGCAUGAAACAUGUUUGUUCUGAAAAGACAUCCAAGUGCACCUUAAGCUUGAGAGUAAUUGGCUAAUUGCAAGUCUAAGCCAAAAGAAUAGUUUGAAGCAAACAGAUCUCCAUAGACAGAAAAUGAUUAAAACCUAGACUUAUAAAGAAACAGCCAGAUGGCGCUAGAAGAUGACAGAAGGAGCAAGUGGCCCAGACGACCUGCACCAGAUAGUGUUGUAUUAAUGAAGAAAGGUAUGAUGUAGGGAAAUUAAAUCCAUAACUAUGAGAUAAACGUGCACUGACAGUUGUACAAGCAAAAAAAAAAUACAUUGGCAGUUCAUUUAAGUGGUAUUUGGUGAAUGACUUAAACAAGGACUUGCUUAGUUGCAUAUCAGUUUGGCCUUGUUGAAAACUAUUAGAGACAUAAACACACAUUGCAGCAAUUUCCAUAAAAUGAGUCACUGCUCAAAGAAAACGGAUAAUACCAGGCCUUUCAGGGUUUAGGUUACUCUGGCGAAGAGCAGCCUUUAAAUCAAUAAGCCUUUUGUAUUCUUCAAGACGGGCCUUCUGCAGACAAUCAGUUAUUACUUAUUAGGAUAAAUAGAACAUCUUGAUCCAAGGCACACAGUAGAAUGGUAAAGUAUCAUGAACUUUUCGAUAAAUUUAAAACCAGUCAAUUCAUGUUGCCACUUGAGAUAUAUCAGAGUCACCUCAUCCUCUUGAUUACUGCGAUGCUCCUCUUCAUCUUGCUUGCUUCCCGUGCAGCUCUCCUCUUCUGUAUUCUCCAUUUAUUCCACCAGCCAAACGUCAACAAUCAUGCAAAGCUGCCAACCAAACACAUUAACACCCCAGUACUUCUCCUGAAGUUAUCGGUUACGCAAUCGGUACGUAGAGCUCUGUUAUAAAUAAGGUAACUAUGGACACUAAAAAAUGCCACAAAUGAAAACAAAAUCCCCUGUGUUAAAGCAAACAGAAGCAUUUCAAAACUAUAAGAACUGCCAAGUGUUCGAAUAUUUAUGAAUCCUCCCAACAGUACAGCACAUGUCACCCGACUAAUCGAACUGGAACGAGGAAACUGGAGCAAAGGAUCAACUGCCUGCACUCGUGCAUAUUACAGUUUACAGUAGCGCCGCACAAUUCUGAACUGUGAGAGGCGAAGGAUUCGCUAGGUUUAGGUAAGCCCAGUUUAAACCACCGCGAAUCAAAAUAACACGCGCUGGUUUAAGCGGCGUCGCCGCGACCUAAAAUUUUUUCGCAAAACCGCGCAAAAAAUCCGAAGGGGAAAGGUGAUCAUAGCAAGUGGGAGCGCCUGAACCUAGCGGGGAAAAGCUGUCAGAAUGGCGCUACAUUCCGAGGCCAGCCAAUGCGUCGAACCCGACGCCGGAGUUCGAGCGAUUAGCCCGAGAAACAAGGAGGGGGCGGAUGCUUACCGUCGGGGUGGCGGUUGCCGGCGACGAGCGCGACGCUGCGAGGGCUCGGCCGGGUCGGAGUCGGACAGUAGGAGGAAAGGGGAGAACUGUAGAACCGCGGAGCGGUGCCUUUUUUAUUUUUUAAGCCCGAUUCUCACGGAUACCUACGGCGGAACCAAUUCUAAAAAUAGAUUCUUAGCUUGGCGUUAUCCACGCUGGCACCAACCAAUUCUAAAAAUAGAUCCUUAGCUUGGUGUUAUCCACGCUGGCACCAAGCUUACACGUCUCGUCACCAGGCCACGCCUAGAUCCAUACGCAGCUNNNNNNNNNNNNNNNNNNNNNNNNNNNNNNNNNNNNNNNNNNNNNNNNNNNNNNNNNNNNNNNNNNNNNNNNNNNNNNNNNNNNNNNNNNNNNNNNNNNNAGAUAGACAGUAUUGAGCUCUCUGCCAAUUAAUAUAAUGGAGAAAGGAGGUAAUUGGAUGACACUAUCGCUCUGAUUGCUGCUUAGCUCUUCACUGUUUCUAUUGCUUCUCUGCAUCUCUCUCUUCUGCAUGCAAAUCACAGGCUAGAGUUGCUAGGUGCGGCGACCAAACUGAUUUCUCUGGGUUCUCUUUCUUUCUCUGUUGAACCGGCACAACCAAGCAAAGCUAAAGGAACAGACAGGCACAUUGCAUGAGUCCAUAUCUACUGGCUAAAUCCUCGGAUGUCUUGUCUUCAGUUCUUCUUUGUUCAUCCCAUUUGAGCGCUUUCGCAGGACUGGCGUGAAUUGGAGAAGGGCGCCGCUAGUUUCCAUAGCCGUCGUCGCUGGCUGAGCACCGGUGUCGGAGCGUGUGCUAGUGCUUUUGGUUCCUUAUCUGCAAUUCAGACAGUUCAAUCCGGAUAUCUAAUUCUGAAAAGGAGUGAUUUGAGUAGAAUGAACCAAGGUAGGGGAGUCACCAGCCGUGAAUACAGACGGAGAUGUCUAGUGUCGGUGAGGAAGCUGUUUCGUCGGCCAGGCCUAGCUGUUCCUGCUAACCCCCGAGAUAUUGGGCCCCGGAGCCUUGGCAUCCGGACCUCACGUCCAAAGCCAAAACGGCCUAAGGCGAAAGUGCUCGGCCCCAGUCAGUCGGCAUCCAUAUCAGCAGCUGCGCAUGGAUCUUGGCGCCAUCAUGAAUGGUGCCGAGCAAUUUUGCCUCCUGACGUUUUGACUUAGGACAUGAACUUCUUAUCCCAAGAUCCGAGUUCAAACCCUAAGUAGCAUUUAGUUAACCUCAAUAUCAGAUAUCCCAACAACAGAACGGCAAGAACUAUGCUAUGCGGAGUUCAGUUCAGAACUUGCUUUGGACAAAAAGAAAAGGAAAUGCUCAAUUCAGAAGGAGAAGUCAUAAAAUUCACGAAAAAUGAGAAUACUUGCGCAGGUUUGAACGGACCUCAAUCUCAAGGAUCUGCGGCCCAAUCAGCAGCCGAGAAGAUCAGCAGUACGUAACGUGGUGGCUGGUUUCUUCACUACGUUUGUUUGGACCUGCUUGGACCAUGAUUGAUUACAUCGUAGUCCAUCGAAGCCCUUUCACCACUAAUUUCACGGCAAAUUAAUGUGGUGUUUGGUUCUUUAGUCCGAACUAAAAUUCAUUUCAUGUCAUAUCAAAUAUUCGGACGUUACACGUCCUAACCAGUUGAACUAAAGUGUAGUUUGUUGCACACUCCUCGGAAUAAUUAUACUUGUUUCUCGUUCGAAACACCAGGAGGUAAAAUUGCUCGGCGCCAUCCAUGAUGGCGCCGAGAUCUACGGCGCCAAGCCCCCACCACGUCGGCAUCUGCGUCAGCAGCUGCGCAUGGACCUUAGCGUCAGGAUGGCUAGCGCCGAGACGUAUAAGCUUGGCGCCAGUAUGGAUGGCGCCAAGCUAAGGGUCCAUUUUUGGAAUUGGUUCCGUCGGGAGCGUAUUUGUUAGAAUUUUUCGGAAAAAGGCUAAAAAAACAAAAAAAAAAAGUCAGCCGCGGAGCGUAGUAGUGGAAUGAGACUAAUGGGCCUUGGUAGGCUUCGAUUUAUCUGACUGGAAACUCUUGGGCUUAUGCUUAACACAUCAAGGGGCCCAGUCUUUUCAUGCUUCGUCCGGCUGCCCGCGCGACGUCGUUAGCAUUCUCGCGGGCCGUGCGGCCCAGCAUGGCGAUGGUGUGUGUUACUCCCUUCAUUUCAAAUUGGAGAGGUCGUUUUAGUUCUUCAGGUUCAUAUAAGUAUAUAUAAAUAUUUAUGCACCUAGAAAAGUCAAACGACCUGCAAUUUGGAACAGAGGGAGUAGCAUAUUUAAAGCUCCCCCGGUAGUUAAAAAUUGGCGCCACGGUAUCGAAUACCACUUCUCAGUUCUCACCCAGAAAUGGACUUCUUGUCUUCUUAUUUUCUUCAUUGAAUCUGACACAGAAUUUGUUUAACUCCAAGGUGAAAAAGUUCGUUCAUUCUUAAAGAUCGAGUUAAAGUUGCAAGUGGUUGGCUUGAGCUCAAGGUGUUUAGCCGCCGGUCUUUACUUGAAAGCGCUAAUCUCCACUUGAAACUGCAGAAUUCUCUAGUUGAAAGUGACCCAAAGUUGGUGAGAGCUUGGAGCACCCUGAGCUCACCAAUUAUAUUGAAGUCCUCUAAAUAAAGGGCUUCUUUUGGGCUGAUUAAGUGUACCUAUCAGACUGGAUAUGCAAUUGUCAGUUACAAAUAACUAUUAGAUACGGUGAUGUCAUCACAGGCGCAGGUGACAAUAGCAUCAAUAUCACAUUAUGGCUCUGCUCUAUUGACAUCUAAAAGGAUGUCGCAGCCCUGUCCACAUUGUUAGGGAGCUCAUUUAGGCUACUACUCGUUCGCAAACGCUUGCAAUUGCAAUCACUUUUCUUUGGUAUAAUAUCCUCUCUCUCUCUCUCUCUCUCUCUCUCUCUCUCUCUCUCUCUCUCUCUCUCUCUCUCUCUCUUUCCCUCCCCCCCCCCCCCCCCCCCUCCCUCCCUCCCUUGAGACACUACCGUUCUCUCUUGAGUUUAUGCAAUUUUUUCCCUCUAACCUGAUAUCUUCUCAAUUAUACAAUGAGAAAGCCUUUGUUUUGGAAUUAAGUGUAGGUCAUUAGUUGGACAAUUAUUGUUGGUCCCCGAAUGAGGCAGAAUUGGACUAGUGACCUAACAAGAUCUGUCAUCUGGAAUUAUAAGAAGUAUAUGGCGCAUCAAUACGCAAGCAUGCAAAUCUAGUACAAGAUCCGCUGAAAAAGGAUCAUUACCGCUAACGUUCAUAAACGACAAUUGCAUCCGAAUUAUGCUGACCAGUAUCGAUCAGCCACCAUGGACAUCAUGCGUUACUUUAUGUAGAUGGAUGAAGUAAACUCCAGAGCUGGUGAAAGUUUUCAUGGCUAAGUGACCAAAUAAUUACAUAACAGUGUGUCAAACUUGAGGACGCAUGAAUUCCUAAUACAAAUUCAGUUCCUCACACUACCUUGGAUCGAGUGAUCUAGAACAAAUUUUUAUCUGUCUGGGCAAAACUGUUGUCAGAGAUGGUUUAACGACCACGAAUCGUUUCGACCUCUUUCCCAAUUCUCAUAGAUAGUCUUCUCUAUGGUGGUACUGUGGCGUCUUUAUUCAGUAGCUCCAGUAGAACAUCUAGAUUCAUACCUCCUUAAUUGGAACACAUGAGCAGCAAGUAGAAAAUUGAAAUUGGAAAGCAAAGCCGAUUUCAAUAUGAAUGCAUGCAUCAACAGAUGGUACAUGUCAUCCAAAGCGAUCGCACUCGGUUGAAGGCUUGAAGGUAUAGUGAUACAAGAACUCUACUUGGUGUCUGAUGUGCUAAUCUUUCAUACUUUAUUUUUCACUUUUUGAGCAAAGAAGGUCUGCAUAUACGACGCAGGCUCUCUCUUUUGCAAGUCAAUCUAAGCAAGUAACCGCGAGCAUAUACCAAGAAUAUUGCUCUUAGGCUUACGCUAGGAUAAGGCUGGGAUACAAAUAUUUCUAUGUUGGCACUAACAUGACAAGCUAGAAAAGAUCGUGAUUCAACUACCAUCUGAUCGAUGAAGGACCAGCAUGUUUUGUCAACCAGCUGCAAUCAUCAGAGAUUCAGAGAUCAAAACAAUGACGCUGAUGAACAUCAGGGUGACGAUACGCAGCGCUAUCAACCUUCCAGCAUACCAUGAGCUCAUCAGCAUAUAAACACUGUACGCACGCGAGAGAGACGUAUAGAGAGAUGGGCCAAUGCGGCGGCAUGAACAUGGGCGCCUUUGCUUUACACAGAACACAGCUGCAUAUAUAUACAGCUGAAUUCGGCGGCUUCUACCUACUCGUGGGCCCAGGCUCCCGAGGCAAGGGCGCCAGCCCAAUCCCUGCGCAAAGAUCGCGAGCCCCCAUGGGCGCAUGUCUCCUAGCUCGCGGUCCAGUCCAGAGGUUCAUGGAAUCCUGCGGUUGUCCAGCGGGGAAGCAAGGCGAGGCGACAGCCUGCGACGACGACAGAUAUCAUCGCCAGCGAACGCGGUCGUCGUCAGCGAGAUCAUUGGCCAGGGCCGGCCUUAUGCCAACCAGAGUACCAGACCAAGAAAUCUAGCAGCCAUACUGUGCUGGUCACCACUCACCAGUUUGCUUUGUACUGCAUGUCACGUAAAACUAAGACAGUGGCAGAGAGUACUGGCACGAGUGAAGAGACAUGCAUGUGUGGUGAGGUGUGGGUGUGGCCGUGGUCCGUGGGGGGCCUGCUGACCGGGUGGAUGAACUGGAACCUCUGCAGAAGCAGAAUUGCUCGUGUGAACGAACACAGAACAACAAUGUUCUGUUGAACGCGUACCGCCGAGCAGGGAGGACGGGAGGAGGCAGCCGUAAUGCCAGCGGCACAUGCAUGGAAAGCGUCGAUUUGGAGCGGGUGUGCCCCGGCGGAGGUGUUGAAAACUGUCAGCUGUUCUGAUGGAUUUGAGGAUAUGGCGCCACGUAGUAGAAAGAGAAAAUGCAAUGGAUUUGAGGAUAUGACGCCACGAAAUAGAAAGAGAAAAUGCAAUGGAUUUGAGGAUAUGGCGCCACGUAGUAGCUUAUAAGUCGGUUGAAAAGCUGAAACGGCUGAUUUGUUGUGAGAGGAAAACACUGUUUGGUAGCUGAUAAGUCGGCUGAAUAAGCUGAAGCGAACAGACCAGCUGUCAGGUGCUACAGAAACCUAUUGCAGAGAGAAAAAAGGACGCAAUUUGAUUAAUAAAGAGGAAUGGGGUGAGUAGUAUUUUUUUUAAUAAGAAGGACCACGGAACAUUCACAACAUUUUCUUUUCACCAUUCUUAUUUCUUUUUUUGACGGAAACCAUUCUUAUUUCUUACCAAUCUUAUUCCUUACCAACAGAAAUUUCAAAAAUCAUCACAAACUUUUACAUACUUUUUCAUUUAUUCACAUGACAUGUACAACAUGUAAGACAUAGAUUCUCUCAUAUAAAAAAUCGAACAAAUUACCCUCAAAGUAUGAGCAUACACAAAACCAAAAAAAGGAUCGGUUCCUUUUUUGUACAUUGCAAAAAAUAAAAAAAAUGUCCACAUGUAAACAGAACUUUAAUUCCAAAUCCGCGCAAAUUCAAUCCUUCCCACACAUCCAAAUUGAACACAACAAGCAUCACAAAUAUUUUUUCACCAGCCAUGGUUCUCAUUCUGCAUAAAUAGCUAUUUACUCUGAGAUCCCCCCGCACGGGCAAACACGGCCCGGCACGAGCGCCUGUCCUUGCGAGUUCCUGCGUCUUCCCGGUAGAUUUCCUGUGAUCCUGCCGGAUCUUGACUACAUUGCACGGGCGGAGAGGUGCCUGCCCAAACUGGGGCGCCUGAUCCGACGCGAAGGGGUUGCUUCGCCGCGCGUGCGUGCACGGUGUACGUACAGGGGCUCGGUCGGCACUGUGCCGCCAUGCAUUGCCUGAUCGAUCGAGCCUGUUUGACACGAUGAGCACUGUUUGUGCUGGGAUCUUGAUCUGAGCCGUGCAUUGCUGAUCUACCUCGGGCUACUACACAGGAUCGGCUACAACAGUGUUGCUGUUUGCUCGUGAAACGGUGUCAGCAAAAAAGUUCCUGGGAAGUACGCAAGCAGUGAUAGUCGAGCCACACGGUGCGUCAGUCUCAGUCAGCGAGUACAGCGCAGCGAGACCAGUGGCGGACACCGGACACGAACUAGUGGUUCACAGGAGCACUGCCAAAGGCUAAAACGGUAAAACCCAUGGCGUCGAGGACGUGUGCCAUCUUGAACGAAGCAGGCGAUAUCCGGACAAGAGAGACAGUGUGGCUUGUGGAUUCCGAAGGGAUUUCCACGUCCAUACAACGCCGUCUGCUACCGAUGUUUUUUGUUUUUUAGCUCUUUUCCCCGAUAGAUUACGCGGAACCAAUUCCAAAAAUAGAUCCUUAGCUUGGCGCCAUCCAACUUGGGUCUUUGGGAUAACAAGUCCACGUCCUAACCAGUUGAACUAGAGCAUAGUUUGUUGCACACUUUUCAAAAUAAUUAUAGUUGUUUCGUUCGAAACGCAAGGAAGCAUGGGGUAAAUUGCUCGGCGCCAAGAUGCACGGCGCCAAGCCCCCACCACGUCAGCAACUGCGCAUGGAUCUUGGCGCCAGGAUGGCUGGCGCCGAGACGUGUAAGCUUGGCGCCAGCGUGGAUGGCGUCAAGCUAAGGGUCCAUUUUUGGAAUUGGUUCCGCCAGGGGUGUAUUUGUGAGAAUCUUUCGGGGAAAAGGGCUAAAAAACAAAAAAGUCGGCCAUCUGCUACAAGAUCCGGCCUUUGCUCUGCCUGUAUGUAUGCACGCCUGCAUGCAUCAUGCUCGUGGCCGGCUAGAUUGAGGGGGCGCCAUCACGACAGUCAAACUUGACGUACGCUAGCUUGCGCCGACUACCGAUCGAGAGAGUACAGCCGCUCAUGCUGCGAAGCGGAUCGCCGUGCAUGACCCGCUGCUAGACCAUUCAUCUCGAGGUUCAGUACCGAUUGGUACCGGAUCUAGUUUCCGAUGAGGCACCCCAUAAACCCCUUUAGUACCGGGUGGAGGCUUCACCCGAUACUAAAGAUUGCACAUUAGUACCGGUUGAAGCUUGCACCCGAUACUAAUUUGGACUUCACUGGAUUGAAGUCCACCGCACGCAUCCGCUCCUCACCAUCUUAUCCGCGCACCUCCCUCUCUAUCCCGAACGGCCCUCCUCUCUCUCUUCUCCCCCGCGGCGGCCUCGCUUCUCUUCCUUCCAUUCUUCCAAGCGCGCCACUCCCCUCCCCUCACGGCUGCCCCUCUCCUCUCCCUUCCACGUGCCCCUCACUGCGACGCCGGUAAUGAGCGGCGGUGGGGCGAGGUGAGGCGACAGCACGAUGGUGGGGGAGCGCAGAGGCGGAGUGGCAGGCAAUGGCACGGGGAGCUGCAACGGGCGACGGCGCGUGGAGCAGUAGCGGGCGAUGGCGCGUGGAGCAGCAGGAUCUGCAGGCUAGCACGGUGGGAGGGCGUUAAGACGCGGUAGGGGCAGCGGGAUCUAAGGGGUGGCGGCGCGGCAGGAUAAGGUGUGUGACCUCACCUCUCUCUCUCUGGGCGAGGGCGGCCGGCGCGCGAGGGGGCUAGCGGAUGCCUGAACUAUCCAACUGGACUCCAGCUAUGCGGAUUGCUUUCUUCAUUUAAGUUGGAUAAUUCGACCGUCCACCUCCCAUACAACUUAAGUUGGCUUUGAUUGAUUGCUUGGUGUCACGCUAUUUACUACUACAGUUAGCGAAAUUCAUUUAUGACACCGAUUCAUUUCUAGUUGAUCCAUUUUGUAAGGUCGUUCAGAAGCAAAGGCCUACUGCUCUACUAUACAAGUAAGCUGGUCAAGUCAAAAGAAGGUUCGUGACUAUCUAGUAAUUGGAUGCACGAAGAAAGGGAAUGGCAUGUUCACAAACGGGUACUUUUAUCCCGGUAGGUAUAUUUUACAAUAGGCAUGUGCCUUGAAGCAAGAAAAGGAAACAUGUAGAUAAUGUUCUAACGUGCCGCUAUUUACGACGAGAAUGGAUCCAAGAAAGAGAAAAUGCAAAUGCUGUUGUCACCCUACACUGGAGAAUAGAAAGGCAAGAUAGACUAUAUGUAUGCGGUUGGCUAUGUCCCUUCUAGAACUGCUAUUUUUAGCAAUUUCAAGGUGGGGAAAUCGCUCAGUUAGCUCAGUUCGAGGGAGGGUGGAAAAGUACAUUCUUACUUGUUCUAACAAAUUGAAUUGAGGGGAUAAACUAUCUUAGAGUUGAGUUAUCAUGCCUAUAAAAUCAUGGUACCCUACCUAUAAUAUAAGAGUAGUUAGAGCCGCCUCUCACCCAUCGGGAGUAGAUCAAGUAGUUCAGGAAGUCGUUUUUUAUAGUAUAGGAAAUGGAAAAAUCUCGUAGAAUGGUGAUGGAGAUUAGUUGAGUGAGGAAAAUUGUCUUUUUCGGGGAAUAGGCUGAUUAUUCAGCACUGGACAGGAGAAAGGGCAAUUGAAGGAAAGGAAAGUUGGGAACCAACGGAAAAUCAAGUCUCAUCUCAUGUUGCUCCUCUGAAAAUGCGUAUAGAAAUGGUGUGGUGGAGAAUACGCGUUAGCGCAACUUUCGCGCUAGUUGCUCAAAAAAUCGUAUAAAAAUCAAGCAAGAAAAUGGUUCUUGCAGGGCAGUGGGCGUGGGACUGUAAAUCCUCUUUCGUUCGCUGGGCCUGGGCCCUUUGGAUUGUAAAUCCAAACGAAGUAAGUUGUUCGAUUCCACUCAUGAACGAGAGCGAGACUGAACGAAAGAAAAUGCAAGUGAAACGAGACGAGAAUCAAAGAUUGGGAACAUGCAUUUGAACCUUCCGAAACCGGUAUUGGACAGUGUUCAGUGACCCAAUAUCAAUAUAAUAUAUAGUACUAUAGUAAGUACUAUAGUGUUGUCCCUUUCGUCUAGCAGUUCAAGAUCUCGUCUUUUCAUGUCGAAGACACGGGUUCGAUUCCCGUAAGGGAUCUGAUUGCUGAGUUCAUGUUGUCUAUCUGUCUUUGGUCCGUCAGCUUCCUCUCUCAAAGCAAGACGAGAUGAAAUCACCCCUGAUCUAAUUGAACAGGUUCAGAGGGUAUUCCCAGAUGCUAGCAGCCUCACCUCACUGCUGCUGAGGAAUGGAAGAGAUUGUACCAAGUCCAUAAUGGUCAAGAUUCCACACAGAAGGGUAAAAUCAAGGGCCUUAGCUUGGAAUCUCCUGACUUACCUUAGCACUAUUUUCUCACUGAGGGAGGUGAGGCGGCGGGCAACGAGGGUCGGGACCAGGCUCGGCGACGAGGAGGAAGGGCGACCGGUGGUGACGAGAAGGAAGGGCAGCGACGGUGAUGAGUCGGAAGGGCAGCUCUCUCUCUCUUCGGUGCGGGGCUCAAGUGUUGUACGCUCGGAGCUCCGGCACUCGGGCGGACGACGGCAAGGUGCGGCCGGGGCUCCGGUCAGCGGAAUUUUUUUUUAAUUUUUUAAUACCCCUUUAAUACCAGUUAUUUAUUGCAUAAUCAGUUACUGAAAGUGGAUUUUCCAGCUGUGACAGUUGCAAAGAUUGCACUGCACUGCAGAUUUGCAAUGUAUCCGGCGUUUAGUUCUCAUCUGCACGCAGCUUGGAAUGGCACAGGAGCGAGGGCGAUAACGACGAGGACCAGGCGUAGGGCAGCUAAAGCUACGUGCAAGUUGAUCGCGCUCUUGUAGUCUUGUCCGCUCGCUCAAAGACCUGGACUACUGUGCCCAGGAUCUCCUUGGGGCCCCUGCCUGGAAAAAAGUUCAGGAUCUACCUUUUCGACCUGUCCUUUCACAAGGGUAGAAUUAAUUUUUUUAUUUAUUGAAUGCAAAAGAUAAAAGAAUAGCUAGAAGUGAAGAGAUGAUCUCGCUUAUUUCCCAAUACACUUAUCCUUCGCUGUACAAUAUUCAAGAUUGGCUACUGCACACUUUCUCUCUUCUAAAUUCAUUGACUUAGAGCUAGUGCUAGCUCGUACCAUUGGAGACGCUACGAGCCACUGCUGCGGCUGUUCCUCAAUAAAUGGUAGCAGUUUAUGCAGAUCCCCGUGUUAAUUAUGUUGCUGCAGCACUGGUCCUGUGCUGAUUGUUCUUUUUAUACGAACUUAUUUGAGCUAAAGAAUGUUGUGGUUAUUUUUAAAGUUUUCAUGACUGUAGCUUGUUAGGAACAACUCCUCCUCUUCUUCUUUUUGAAAAGAUAACUCCUCUUCUUUAAACAGGUAAGAACAAAUCGUUGAGCCUGACCUACCAUGUGUCUCUGCAGCGGCUAUGCAACCAGGAAUCAUAAGAAGCACCAAUUAGCUAGUAAUAUCUUUUACAAUGUAAUAAUAUAUAGGCAAACACUAACUUUGAAACCAAAUUGGAGCAUGGGAGGAGAGCAUAGUGUCUGUUAAGUUUAUGAGAAGUGAAAAUAUCCUACCUGCUAGAGCUCCUAGGAGGCUGCACGGCUUUGCUCUUGUUCAGUGUCCUUAAUCAAUCCCUUGAGCCGGAAGAAAGCGAGUAGAGCGUUGAACCUUUAAGCUAAAUAAUUGGGAGACUCUCUAUUGGCUCUUUCCCUGUUCUUUUCCUUAUUUUUGUUUUUUUUUGGCGAAAACUUUAUUUUUGGGUUUGGUAGACAAGAUGAAUUGAAAGCUGGAGAGAGGGAUAGAAAAAACAUGUGGAUCGAACCAAGCGGCAAGAGGUGAUAGCUUGUGUUGGAGGAGAGACGCGAGGGACCAGGGAAAAUUGUGGCGAUGCACACCAGCACAGCACGAUGGAUUCGAUGGAUCCUCGUGGGCACUAAUUAACAUGAGAGACAGAGAGAGGGAAACGGAAAGAAACCUUGUGAAAAGCAUUGUCAAACACACAAACUCAAACAUCGUUCGAGGUGUCGCAAGGACAGUGUUUUCCACGAUGAUCACGCACGCCCAUGAAACACACCCAAUUCGAUCUAGAAAUCCUGCCCCGGUUGCUUCUGGGCUUGCGUUUGGGAAGGGGUGACUAAUGAACAUGCGUGGUGUACGGUAUACCAUAUAUCUCGUGUUGGGGUCGCGUUGGCUUUGUCAUUUGUGUCCACAACGACGACAGUGAAAGGAGGAACGAUAAACGGUCAAAGCUCGCCGUCACAUGUCACAACGCUCACAGGUCGUGGUCCGGCGUCGGAGCUCGAUGCCUGUUCGCACAGGAGCUAGCGCGCGGGGGUCCUAUCGCCGGGAUCUCGUGGGAUUCGGACGCUAGCUAGUGCCCCGCAUGGCGCCAAGCCGCGGCCGACGUGUCAGCUCCGCGAUGCUGGACGGACGCCGUAGGCCUGAGCUGUAAAAUCACGUGCGGAUUGUGUACGCCUCUCGUCUGCCCAUCGGCGACGCCGCGGCAGCUAGCGUACUCCCAGCGAGAGCUACUGCUUACUCGAAAGCCUAGAACGCACGGCCGUCCUGUGCUCCUGCCGCGACGGAUACAACAGAUAGUAUGUACACGGUCGAGCACUUUGUGCCUUGGACUUGAUUAUUACGCAAGCCGUCGUAAUUCCGAUCCGGCACCUGCUGGCUGGCGCAAGACGACUGAGCCAUGCCGCGAGCAACACGACGGCCGCGUGUAGCCAAGUGCACAACAUGUCGCAGCAGCAGGCAUGGCGCCCGAGCGCGAUACGCAACGUGCGGCCUGCGAAUCGACCGAACACGGCUGCAGUCCCAUCGGUCGGGCCGCGUACGCUCGAUUGGCAUCUCGGCAGGAUAGCAGCCCUAGCCGACGAGGCGCGCGUGGGUGCGUGCCUGCAUUGAUCCUGGAAGACUAGCUAGGCACGGCCAGCACCUGUCGGGGCGAGACUCGAGAGGAGAAGCCCAGCCAGCGCCCGGCGGCGUCGAAGCGCAUGAACGCAGACCGCAGGCGCCGCAGACGGGCGCGCAGACUGUGUGUGUAGUGACCCCCGUGGCCGUGUCGACCACCACUUAAGUUUGAUCAAGAUCGUCCUCCUCGUGUCGCGCGCAGUCCAACGCCGAAGAUACCGCGCAGAUCGGAUGGCAAUCGAUCGAUGGCGCUGCCGCGGCCGUAGCGUCUUCGUCAGGAUUCAGAAACCGGGCGGUCGAUCGCAUUCAUCCCGUCGAUCCAAGGUGAUGACCAUGUCCAAAUAAAAGGUAGCUCGCCACGCGCCAUUAAUGUCGCCGCAGCAUCAGCGGCAGCGACGACCGCCGACCGGAUCGCAAUGAUCUCGGCUUCGUAGCCGUGAAGGUCGCUACUUGCUCCGAUCGGCGUCGGACAUUAAAGACGCGCACUGUCUGUAAGCAGCGCAGCAGCCAGGCAGCAGGCAGCACCACGACGAAACGGGAGCAGACGUUACACGAGUGGUCUGCACCAGCACUUGACUGAGUGGCCGGCGGAUCCCGAGGGAGACAGGGAGAUCUCAAGUGCAUCCUCUUGGGAGGGCGGGGGCCAAUCGGCCGCCGGCUGCCGUGGAGGCGUGGCCGGUCGCGUGGAGCCAGUCAGACUGCCACAGGCGGAGCGGAGGCAUGCUUCAUCAGCCUUCAGCCGAGAGGUGGUCAGUGCUUGGACGGCCGGAAUACGCACGACAGGCAUUUGCAGCGACCCUUUUAUUUCCUUUUUUUACACUGUACGGAAUAAAGAGGGUUCAUCUUCAUCCCAUGGGAGCAUUUACUAGCUAUAUAGCACCAUGGUCUCUGGUCUCCUAACGUUACAACACCAGGACCCAACUCCAACUGUGUCUUUUUUUUAACUUCUUGUGUACUUAGCAACACAUCGUAGCCCAUGGAUCCCUCGACUCCUCUUUGUUAAAUAAAAAAUGAGGAUGCUUUAAAAAUUGCAACAUUCUUUUUGAAAGAAAUCAAAAUAUCUUUUUGUCACGCAAAGUGUACGCCGAAGCUAAUAAGGUUUCAUCUUUUGGCUGUGCCAUUCUCCUUCAAAGGGAGUAUAUAGUUCAAGCUAUUCGAGUUAGUUUAUUCUUUUUUUUCCGUGAGUGCCUAAGCACCUUUUGAUUAAGAAGAAAGCAGUUUAUAGACACAAUAUCAAUGAAGCUAAGCAGAGUUUGACCAGCACGAGAGCACAAAGGAUCAAAGAAAAAGAAACACUGAAAAAACACACAAACAACCACCACAUGACGUGAAGCGCUUUCUUCUUCUGACGUCUCUAAAGAGCUUUCUUCUCCUCCUCCAAUACAAACUCCUCCAAUACAAAGUUGCACAAGUCUUUUGCGUAUAGUCGAGAAAAGGCACACAACUCGUUGUUGGAUGCGGAUACCAUAUUUGAAAAGGAUUGUCUUACCACAAUUAUACGAAAUAAUGCACCUCAACACAUAAUCGUUUACGCCAUCCGUCGGAUUGAAAUUCAGGAGUCUUGUUCAUCUUUUAUCUUAUGAUUGGUUUUUUUUAUUCCAUUUCUAGCCUCUCAUGUAGAUCCAUUUAUCUGAUUCAAUCUCUCUUGCCGAUGAUAUUCAUUUGUUGUCAUCGGAUCUUCCACCAUGCGCUCCUUGAUUAACAAUGCUCUCAUGAUAAUAUCUUUUAAACGAUGCAUUUUACUUGCAAUCAAUUUGCUCCGAAAUAUUCUUCUCAUAUUUUUGUAAACAAAAUAAAAUCCACGGUGGAUAUCUAUUAGCAAAAAAGAAAACUUACCACAAUUUUAACAAAGUUUGUCGUUCAUGGUAGCAAUCCAAAUACCAUUUUUUCCUCUCUAUAUUUUGGCACUGCCAGGAAUUCGUUUGGCCAUGAUGAAGCACCAUUCUUUUGCUCCAUUUUAGCUUUGAUCAGAUUUUUUCAUCACCAAAAAUUUAGUUUGGCUCACUCAUGUCAUAAAUCAAACAUGCCCCUUGGAUCACAUUGGCGGAUACUGCUUCUUUUAUGAUUCUGAUUCGUAUCUCGAAUCAUUUACAUGGUUUUUAUGACCGUGAUUCGCAUCUCAAAUUAUUUACAUGCUUUAUGACGCUGACUGAUUCGUAUCUCGCAUCCUUCAACAAUGAGACGAGAAGCUGUUGAAGAAAAAUAAAAGAGGUCCAAGAGUGGCUGCUACUAAAGAGUUUUCUUCUACUCCUCCAAUACAAAGUUGCACAAGUCUUUUGUGCACAGUUGGCACCUAACUCAUUGCUGGAUGCGGAUGUGGAUAUCAUCUUCAAAGGAAUUGUCUUACCACAACGAUACGAAAUAAUGCACUCAACACAUAGUCGUUUACGCCGUCCAUCGGGUUGAAAUCCAGGAGUCUUGUUCAUCUUUUAUCCUAGGAUUGGUUUUCUUUAUUCCAUUUCUAGCCUCUCAUGUAUAUUCCUUAUGUGAUUCAAUAUCUGUUGCCGAUGAUAUUGUUUGUUGUCAUCUGAUCUGCCACCGCGCGUUCCUUGAUUAACAACGCUCUCAUGAUAAUAUCUUUUAAACUAUGCAUCUGAUUUGCAAUCAAUUUGCUCUGAAAUAUUCUCCUCAUAUUUUUGUAAACAAAACAAAAUUCAUGGUGGAUAUCUAUUGACAAAAAGAAAACUUACGGACCUGAUGUCAUACCCGCAAUUUUAACAUAGUUUGUCGUGCAUGGACAGCAUGGUAGCAAUCUGAAUACCAUUUUUUUCCUCUAGAUUUUGGCAUUGCCCAGAAUUUGAUUUCGCCAUGAUUCAAGCACCAUUCUUUACAUCAAUUUCAGGUUUCAUCGGAUUUUUUCAUUACCAAAUUUUAGUUUGGCUCACACUAUGUCAUAAAAUCAAACAUGCCCCUCGGAGGGUCGGCAUCGGCUGCUCAAACAAUAGUUGCCAUGAGCAAAGAAGAGACUAGUCUGCGCAGUAAUUAAGGACACGUCGCACGAGCGCAUACAUUUCAACCACUCAUUAAAUACCACUAAUCCACAUGAGGUAGAGCCCAUCUGCAUGAGCGUUCCACUGAUUGCAUGGCAAAUCGCUCCAAGAUUGAAGGACGCGUUUCGUGUUUAUCUCCUGACCAGUGAUCAGACGCAGGCAGGCGCGGGCCCGCGUGGAUCCCCCGUGCCCCGACCCCGGUUUCCAUUAGAUCCUCGGCCCCGCCGUGGCAGCGACAACACCACCGGCUAUAUAUAAACGCGCACCCGUCUGUGAGCUUCAUGCCUUUGGCCCUGUCACCCCCUGCUCUCUUAUCUCCGUCGCCUCUCGCUGCUUCUCCCUUCCCGUUCCAUCCAUCCACAGUUCCUGUGGGAACCCAGGGAUCGAUCUUGACGGAGACGUCAAUCACCGAUCAGGACAGCACGACGCCUUAUUCUUCGGUCUCGUCUCGGCCCCGAGCACCGGCAAAUGCGCUUGCUUCCUUCCGUGAGCUGAGCUGUCCCGGGUUGCUAGGUAUCGAGCAAGAAGCUUGCUAAGCCAUGGUGCUCAAGGCGCUGUACCUGUACGCCGCCGUCGUGGUCCUGCUGCUCUGCUCCUCCGCGAACUUCAUCCAGAGCCCGAGCGACGUGUUCGGCCCCGUAGCGCUCCUGGAGCCGACGCCAUCCGCGGCCCGCGACUUCGGCGCCGUGGUAUCCGAGGCGCCCGUCGCGGUCAUGCGGCCCGGGUCCGCCGCCGACGUCGCGCGGCUGCUGGGCGCGCUGUCCUCGGCGCCGGCGGGGCCCGGGCGGCGGCCGAGGGCGUCCGUGGCGGCGCGCGGCGCGGGGCACUCGCUCCACGGUCAGGCGCAGGCGCGCGGCGGCAUUGUGGUGGAGACGCGCGCCCUGCCGCGCGCCGUGGAGGUCGGCGGCGGCGGCGCGUACGCGGACGUGGGCGCCGGCGCGCUGUGGGUGGAGGUGCUGGAGGAGUGCCUGAGGGCCGGGCUCGCGCCGCGGUCGUGGACGGACUACCUGUACCUCACCGUGGGCGGGACGUUGUCCAAUGGCGGCAUCAGCGGGCAGGCGUUCAAGCACGGCCCGCAGAUCAGCAACGUCCUGCAGUUGGAGGUCGUCACAGGUACACGCUCUGCCGCACGGGCACGGCCCCGCUGCGCGCAUGCAGCUUCUGCCAAUUUUCUUUUCGCUCCCUUUUGUUUGGUGGAAGAAGAGGGAGAAGAAAGCAAGGAUACGGGUGAUCAGUGGCCUUUGUUUCUUUCCGUUUGUUUUUGAGUUGUUUGUCCCGUCGGUUGCAGGCACAGGCGAGGUGGUGACAUGCUCACCCACCCAGAGCCCGGAGCUUUUCUUCGCCGUCCUUGGUGGCCUUGGCCAGUUCGGUAUCAUAACCAGGGCAAGGAUUCCGCUGCAAGUUGCUCCCCCCAAGGUACAUACAUGCACGCAAUCUAGAAAUAGAAAUAUGGAAAUCUUCUUCAUCGAUCUCCUCCACACGCCUUUUUGUAAAUCUCAAGCAGCAGGUCCGGCCGAUAAUUUUCUAUGGUUGCUGUCCUGGUCGAUCAUUAGGUGAGAUGGGUGAGGGCCUUCUACGACAGCUUCGAGACCUUCACCGGGGACCAGGAGCUCCUGGUCUCAAUGCCGGAGCUGGUGGACUACGUGGAGGGGUUCAUGGUCCUGAACGAGCAGUCCCUCCGGAGCUCCUCCGUCGCCUUCCCCGCCGAGGUCAACUUCACCCCGGACUUCGGCUCCGACGGCGUCGGCGGAGGAAAGAAGGUCUACUACUGCAUCGAGUUCGCGGUGCACGACUUCCAGCGGCAAGACUCCGCCGCCGCCGCCGACGGCGACCAUGUCAGUCUCCCUUUUCGUCACUGCAGCUACCACUCAUCAGCACACGCCAUGUUAACAUCUUUCACCAGUAACGGCGAGAAGGACCGCCGGUCGAUUAUUGAACGCUGAACCGGCCUUGUGGCUCUCGAAAUUCUUGUGUCGUCUGUGCAGGUUGUGGAGCUGGUCUCCGGGAAGCUGAGCUUUCUGCGGCCCCACGCGUACAGCGUGGAGGUGGCCUACUUCGAUUUCCUCAACAGGGUGAGGAUGGAGGAGGAGAGCCUCAGGAGCCGGGGCCUCUGGGACGUGCCGCACCCCUGGCUCAACGUGUUCGUGCCCAGGCACGGCGCCGCGGCGUUCAAGGACCUGCUCAUGGGUACCGUCACGCGGGGGGAGUUCGAGGGGCCCGUCCUCGUCUACCCCCUCCUCACUGACAGGUUCGGCCCGCUUCCCACUCUUUGCAAACAAAAAAAAGGCCAUGUACGCCUAGUUCCAUGCUAAAUUAAGUAGAGUACUGGCUUUAGAUAGCUUUAGCCAUGAAUAAAAGCUGCUCGUACUUCAUAUACUAGCAAAAAGGAUUCACUAAUAAAGGGGUCCCUUUCGCAAUAUUAAUUUGCAAGAUUUGGCUGCGCAAAAGAAAAAAAAUCGUUUGGAUGAGGUGGCGUGAUCGGCCUUUCACCCGCAGGGAAUCUCAAAGUAUUCCAAAAAUAAAAAAACAAAGCGCAGGCCUUUUUCUGGGUGAUUUAUUAUAUGCAGAACAGAUUGCACAUCGAGUGCAGUCUUGUAGGCUUGAGGCUUUUGUUAGCUUAGCAUUUUUUUUCUUUCUCGUGCUGCUUUCCCGUUGUUGUUAUCAUCCCAGAAAUGGUUUGCCAACCCUAGGCGCAACAUGUUGGCCCAAUUGUGACAACGCCAUGGCAUCUCUCCCUCACAGUCACAGCCUCACAGGGGCCCUGUUAGCCGUCACCUCAUGCCCUCCCUCCUUUCUCAGCACUCAGCAGCCAAGCCAUCGACAAUUCACCUUGCACCUUUUGCAUCGGCUGGGACGCUGGAUCACACUAACCUGCUGGCUGCUGCAUCUUCAGUCAAUCAGGCACAGUGCAAACUAGUCCCCCCCCCCCCCCCCCCCCCCCCAUUCCUGUAGUGUUUGGCAGCGCACGAUCGGUCUUGGCCUUGCCUGUUUACACAAGAGUCAAGGGUCGGCUGUCAACAGCUAGCUUUUAGCUUGGGGUCUCCUGAAUCUCUCUCUAGCUGUGACUGUGUGAGAAAGACAAACAGAAGGGGGGCAACGCCAGCAGGGAGAUGGAGAUUCCACGAGAUGAUCGGACGUGCCUUUUGCAAGUUGCAGUGCUUGCUUGCAGCAGCUGGUGUAGACUGUGUAAACAGUGUGAGCACCGAGCACUGAGCAGUGCCUUUUAAAAAAAUAAAAAAUAAAAACAGCGUUAGCAAUCGCUUGGGCUUGUUUAGCCAGGCCUGCUGCAAGUCGCGACUGGCGGGGGUAUUCAGUGCAGUGCAGUCUCCGCAAAUAACAGCGCCAGUACCCGGUAUGGCGCAUUGGUGGCGCUGGGCGCUGGCGCCUUGGGCCUCUUCUCUUCCAGUCUUCCUCCUUUCCGGGUCAUGGUCAUUGGUCAAUCCCUAUCUGACUGACUUUGACCUCUCAUAGCUCCCUACGUACAGCUUAAAAAUACUACGCUGCACUGUACAGCUGAGCCGAGCUACUGUUGCUAGCAGGAUCACUGUAGUAUACUGUAUCCACGGCGUUGCUUCUUUUUAUUGUUUUUUUUUCAGUUCCUGAAAACAUCGUUUCUUUUCAGCUCUGUUUGCUUGUACGCAGCAUGUGUUCAAGGACUCUGAACAUGCCUGCCCGUGAAUCCGUGAUGUUCAGAACUCGGGAUUAGCGGACCAGGGCCAGUCAUGUUCGCAGCAGGCUUUGCCGCUCUGCUCCCCGCAGAGGAUGCUUGCACGGCCAACCUUUCUGCCGGUCAAAUAGAUUCUCUGCUUUAGGCCGUGUUUAGUUGGGGAAUUUGGGAGGUGCAAAAUUACUGUUACAGCACUGUAGCACACUGUAGCGUUUCGUUUGUAUUUGUGAAUUAUUGUCCAAAUAUUGACUAAUUAGGCUCAAAAGAUUCGUCUCGCAAAGUACAACAAAACUGUGCAAUUAGUUUUUAAUUUCAUCUACAUUUAGUACUCCAUGCAUGUACCGCAAGUUUGAUGUGAUGGGGAAUCUUCUUUUUGCAUAGUGUCAAAGUUGGGAGUUGGGAGUAACUAAACAUGGCCUUACUAAUUUUCUUCAAAGAAAAAUGAAAAGAUUCUCCGCACUCAAAACCCUUCAGAGCUGACAUGAUCCAGGAUCUGAAAUAAUGUCCUGCUUUUCCCGGACACCCUAUUCACAUCCUCCUGCCAUGCCAGGCCGGGGGGCCUCCACCCUGUCACGGGCUCACGGUCCCAUGCCCCCCUCCUCCUCCUUGCCAUUUUAGGAAGGAGUUCGGAGUUACAGGGCGCCACCACCGUCCAUUAGAGCGUCUCGUAAAAUGGAUCGCUGUCCUUAAAACUAUAGGAUAAAAAACAGUAAAAAUAAACCACUUCAACAGUGUUAUUCCUAAAUUUUUUAGUUAUAACCUAUAUUCAAAUAUACCAGUUGGAUUGCUAAAUCCUCCUCCUCCUGCUGGUGGGAGAGCCGACCGUCCCGCACUGAAGCUUCAUCGCCGCCUCCAUCACUUCCGCCCUCACGCCGCUGGCGUCCUUCCCACCUCCGACCACCGGCGCCACCAUGGAGACCCUUCCCGCAGCCUCUUCACCACUCGUCCCAUGCUCUACUGACCUCGAAUCGGCGGCGAGAACGAAGGCAAGGUGGAGCUAAGGUGCCGGCGGAGCUCCGCCGGCUCAACUUCGGCGCGGCCGAUGCUCGUCGAUUCGGUCGCGAGGGGAGCUCGCGGGGCCAGCGGCUCGUCGAUUUGGCCGUCGGGGGACCUCGCCGCCGUCUUCCCUCACCUCUCCGCCCAUCGCGGCCCCACACAGCGCCGGCCGUCGCGCAACCCCACAUCAAGCCGCCGGCCGCCGUGCUGCUCGUUCGCAUGCCGGCGCGCUCUGCCCUUCGCAAGGCCACGCGUCGAGCCACCGGCCACGGCCUCGCACGGCGUUGCCCGCGCAGCGCCGCCCGCCGCGCCGGCGCACAUCCGUCCCGACCUCUGGCGGCCUCCCUCGCGGAGGCGGAGCUGGGGCCGGCGCCGAUUCGAGUAGACGGCGGCGGAGGAGAAGAGGGCGGUGGCGGGAGGAGCGGAGGGCGGCGACGGGAGGAGCAGGGGGCGGCGGGGGAUCUGUGGAGGAGACGGGAAGGAAGAGGAUAAGAAGAGAAGAAGGUUGAUUUUGCAUAUUACUCCUAAAAAAAUAUUCCACUCUCGGAUUAGUCCCUGGAAGAAUCAUAGGUAUCCAAUUUUAUCAAAGUUGUUGGAGAGAGCGCAAGAGUUAUCUACUAAAAUAAAUUGUAGGUCACCAGUUUUACAAACCUGUUGGAGAUGCUCUUAGCGUAUAGUCAUGUUGGAUUUAGCAAACGCAUCAAUGCCGUGUCCACUGCCGGAUCCUCCGAACGUCUUUUAUGAACUCUGAUGAUUCUGGUCGCAGGCAGAUCGGGGUACAUACAGGAAUAUACGAUGCUCCGCACUGACCGAUUGGUUCGCUGCGACGUUUUUUUCAGGUGGGACGGCAACACGUCGGCGGUGGUGCCGGCGGUGCCGGACGGGGUGGUGUACGUCUUCAGCGUGCUGCGGUCGACGGACCCGGCGCGGUGCGGCGGCGCCUGCGUCGAGGGGAUCCUGGAGGAGCACCGACGGGUGGCCGACGAGGCCUGCCGCCGCCUCGGCGCCAAGCAGUACCUGGCCCGGCAGCCGUCGCGGGCGCACUGGCAAGAUCACUUCGGGUCCAGCUGGGACCGGUUCGUGGCCCGCAAGGCCCGCUUCGACCCCAUGCGCAUUCUUGGGCCGGGCCAGGGGAUUUUCCCCAGGACGGACGAUGUGACGGCGGUGGUGAUGUAACUCACUCACUCACGUAGUUUAGGCUGAUGAGUAGUUGAUGCUAGCUCAGAUGGGAGAUUAUUCAUUCACGUUGCUAGGUACUUUGUUGGCAGAGGCUCAAGGGAGAGUGUUUGUUUUUUCUUUUUUGGCACUGUUUAGAGUAUUUGUGGGUUGUGGCCUCGUAAAAGGUGUUGGGCGGGAGGGGAAAAGGAAUUUUUCGUCAGUAUCUUCAUUAUAUUUCAAUCGUGACAAUGCCCAUCGUUUUUUCUUCUUGCCAAUGCCAGGGAAUGUUCGGUUCAAAAAAGUAUCACUUGAGGAUUAGUAAUUUUCGCAGAAAAAAACACUGAUGGCCUUAGUGGAAAACAAAGAACAAGAGAUAGGUAACGGGGCACAAUGUGUUUGGCCCAAGGACAUCUUCCGAUAACUAGACCCACUAACAGGCUCUUUUCAAGGAACUGCUUCAUGGUUUGUUGGCAGGGGAGAGAAGCAAGAAAUCUCUAUCGCAAAAUGUAAAUGUGAUCUAAUGCCCUAAUCAGAGAUACCGAUCUUAGCUUGUACACGAAAUGCACAGCUCAAGCAAGAAGCCAAUCGUCGAACACUCCAAAAUUUAUUAGGCACCCAUGCAGAAAUUGACUGAUUUACGAACGCAAACUUUAUCCACAUUCAAGCUACAAAGUAGAUCAACUUCUCCAUGUUCAUAUACGAUGAUCCCCCGUUCUCCAACGCAGCUUUUGCUUUGGCCUUCAGCUCCUGAGCCUUGCUCCUCCUACCCUCCCCGUCGAUUCCUCCAUCCAUCAGCUUGUUCAGGGCCCUCUUCACUUGCUCUGUUCCCACCUCCGGCUUCGUCUCCUCAACGCCUUGGACUCUGUUCAGCAGGCCUUUCGUGGGCUUUGUGGCGCCGACGGACACGCCGGUACCCAGCACGUCAACGAUCAGCUUCUCGUUCAGAAACUGCUCGGCGUAGAAUGGCCAGGUGGCCAUGGGCACGCCCGCGGCCACGCUCUCCAGCGUCGAGCCCCACCCGCAGUGCGUCAGAAAUCCGCCGACGGCCUGGUGCUCUAGGAUGGCCACCUGCGGCGCCCACCCGCGAACCGCAAGGCACUGGCUCCCUGAGACGCCGUCGGCGUCGGUGUUGUGCUGUAGCCACUUGUUGACGUCGUCGGGCAACGUGUCCGCACCCUUGAUGACCCAGAGCACAGGCCAUGGGCAGGAGACGAGUGCCAGCCCGAGCUGCAUCAGCUGCGCCGGUGGCAUGCGCCCGUUGCUGCCGAAGCUGACGUAGAGCACGGAGUUGGCUUUCUUGGCGUCGAGCCACGCCAUGCACCGCCUGGCCUCAUCCGAGCCGGCCCGCGAGUCGAGGAGGCCAGGUGCGCCGCAAAGCGAGACCGGGCCGACGGCGAACACGACCUUGCCCGUGGCCUCCGCGAGGCGCGCGGCCGAGCCGUGUUCCAGCUCCUCGAAGCUGUUGACGACGAUGCCAUCCACGGCCAUCUCGAACUCCCGGAACUCUCGAAAAGUGUCCUCUUUGACGUUUGAGGACGGCUGGAACUGCACCGGCAGCUGCCUCCGCGUGAACUUGCACUCAAAAGGUGGCAGGACCGGAAGAUCGAAGCGCUCGUCCAGUGACGCGACCGCUUCUUGCGGCCUGUGCGUGUGCAGGUACUCAGAGCACAGCAAGCCGAACGCACCGAACCCGUGGAAGACGAAACAAGGCGCGCCGAGUUCACGCGCCACGCCGUGCGCCCACGUGUUGCAUAUCCCGGCGACGAUGGCGCUCGGCCGGCGCGGCGCCAUGAGGCGGCAGUGCCGCGCCACGGCCUCACCGAACAGCAUGGCGGCGUCGAAGAAUCUCGGCACGAGGUCAACCGAGGGGACGUGGUCGAGCCUCUCGCAGCCAUCCGGGAGGCCGGCCUCCGCGGCCGGGAACGGGAUCGCGGCGACCGUGAUGACCGCCGAGGAGGCUUCCCUGGCGCGUUCCACGCGGCGCUGGACGAGCUGCGCGCUGGCGGGCAUGGUGAUGACGGUGACCGGCGCGCCGUGCGCGGCGAGGAGGCAGGCGACGUCGACGAUGGGGAUUAUGUGGCUGGUGCCUGGCCAUGGGAUGACCACGAAGUGAGGCUUCGGGCACUGGGUGAUCUCCAUUUCCUUUUCCUAACACUCUGUCGAGACUCUGCAACAACUCUGUCCCGGUUGUGAGUUUGCUUGUAAGGAUUCGGAGAGUGGCAGUUGGAGCAAGAGUGCAAGACAAUGGUGACGAAGAUUGAUGGCGACAUAUGGGCUGUAGUUUUAGCGUGCCGAAUGUUAAAUUAGCCUCUUCUUGUUAACCGAUAAGGACUGGCUGGAUCUGUCCAGAUUCCACAAAAUAGAAAAUAAGAUUCGCAUCAAUUUGAUUUGAUUUGCCAAGUGCAGCAGCACGAAAUUCACGAAAUCUCCGGGGCUAUCUCCUCCACCUUGACCUCUGAUAGAUGGAAUGGCCCAGUAGUAGGAAUGGGCCUAAAAGGGCCUUUUUCCACCAAUGGCGCCGGCUCAGCUGCUCUUCUGGUGGCCCACCCAAGCCCACGUCAAUUAAUCAGUAGUCGUGUUCGUGUCUGGUUCGGGCGGGCCGCGGGCGCAUCCACAGCAGCAUCAGCGUCAGCUCGAACUUUGCUGCAGCACAGCAGGCAGUAGCUGUGUCCCAUGCUGCAAUGGCCAAUACUUCUGUCAAGGGAUUCCUUGCCUGCUGCCGGUGCUUGCCAAGCAACUUCACCUGCAUUUUUUUCGCUCUACGUUUUGCGAGUUUUGUUUUCUAAAGGGGCACUGAAUUAAUGCAGAUGGAGCUUAUAAAGAGAAGUUGAGAAUUGGGAGGUUGGGGAUUUGCAGUUCGUAAUUCUCAAAAGGCUCAGGUUCUCACUUUUGCUGUGCAAGCAGUGACGAUAACGGUGAAAUUCAAAAGGAGAAGUAAGUAAUCUAGAGACAGUUUUUUUUAAACAUAGUCAAUCACAUGUACGCAUAAAGUUACCAUAGCCGCCUCGUUGUUGAUUGCACGUCGCCUACCGAAAAUACGAGUACACAUGCACAAAUUUUGUAUAAACAUAUAUACUCCCUCCAUUCCAAAUUACUAUUCGUUUUGGUUUUUCUAGAUACAUAUUUUUUCUAGGUAUCUAAACAUACAUACAUCUAGAUAUAUAUCAAAAGUUUUAUAUCUAGAAAACUCAAAACGAAUAGUAAUUUGGGAUGGAGGGAUUACAUGAUUGCGUGCUACGUUCAUCUAUAUUUUUGUUAAAAUCUUUUGUGACGAGGGGGCGCGAUAGCUUUCUAUGACUAGAGUGUUGAGUGCUAUGCAUGCAUUCAUGUGUACAGACGUUUGCGCAUGGAGCAAUCGUCAAAGCAAUAGGAGCGGAGGGAAGUGAGAAGUGCUCGUGCAAGAAGAGAGAACGGAGAAGCAGUUCAGCGUAGUCUGGCUCGUACGAGGGAGCCAGGCCGGUCAGGGAUAGGCUCAACACGUGUAAAGAGACGUAUGAUCAGGGGCGGAGCUAGGAAAUGUCACAUCCGAUUUUUAAAGGCAAAAUCAGAUGAAUAAAUUGUAUAUGCGUCAGGAUCAAAUUUCACAUAUGCAACGACUUCAUUAAAUACCAUAAACAGUGCCAUAACGUAAAGAGAGUAUUAAAUUUAUUACAUGACCGAAAGUCUUUAAUUCCAAUAGCAAAACGAGUCUUUAUUCUAGCAGCGGAACUCUAACGAGGACGACGACUCCACAGGUAGUUGAUUGGGGGCACACGUACACCUAGAACUCCUCGAAGUCUUCAAGAACCUCCUCAAAGUUAUCUUGGUCUAAGAAGCAGUUUUAGCAAGGGUGAUUACACUUACGGUUGGUACUCAGCAAGCGUGAGGAAUGUGUAGUGUAAGGCUAUGCAAGGAUUGGCUAUGGUUUAACAACUAUUCAACAUUUUAAUUGGUUGGUCAAAUUUUAUUAGCAAUUACUAAGUAUAAGUUUAUACCACCCACAUUAAGCAUGAUCAUAGAUAAAAGAUAACAAUAAUAAAUAAUAUCAAUUUAAUUCAACUUUCGAUAAAUUAAUCAUGUGAGGGUCCAACCCACUCUUGAUCGUAAGCACGGCUGUUAUAACAGUUUUACACUCUGCAGAGGUUGUACACCUUUGCACACAAGUCGCAUAAAAGUUCAAAAGGAUUUUAGAUCCAGCCAUGCUGUACGGGCCAGACACAGUACCCCACUUAUGAGGUGUGAUUUCAUAGAGACGCUACGAGGCCUUUACAAAGAUUUCCUAGUAAGUAGUAAAAUGCUAAGGUUUCAGGUCGAAGCAGAGCAUAAACCUCUCUCAAGACUACGAAGCUACCAUAGAGCAGAUUAGCCUGAGGGCCGAGCUAUACCCCAUCAACACCUCCCCUCUUGCCCUUUCGGUAAGAGUACCCUAGACUAGAGUCUCUAAUUAAUUAGUCAAGACCAGAGCCAUAUAGUUCUUAUAGUUGUACUGUUUUCCUAGGUGGUCGCUCCAUGUUUCAAUUAAGCAUGGUAAUCUUGUAUUAAUGGAAGGUAUAGCAUAAAUAAAACAAGUUUAAGCAUUGGUUCAUUAAUACCACCAUACCUAGUUAGUGCAACUAAGUAAGAACUACCCAACAUUAAAGUAAACCCAGGUUGAUCAAGGUGCAGGGAUAAAACUAGGCACACCUUAAAUAGGAUCCAUCAUGUUUCUAUACUUAAAGUGCAUGUUUCUAUACUUAAAGUGCAUAGCAUAUGUGUAAUGAACAUGAAAGUGAAGGUUGCAUAGGAUCAAAUUAUGAUCAAGGGCACGACUUGCCUUCCUGAACUUGCUCUUGCUGCUCAAAGUCUUCAAAGCCUUGCUCUUCGAACCUCUCGAACUGCAAUCCUUCUAUGCACACCAAACAAGUACAUACAAGCAAACAAAGAACUAAAAUAAGAAAAUAUUACAUCAAACAGUAGCAACAUAGCAAAAUAAGACCAUAAAACUAAUCUAUGUGUUAACACGAACUCACUUAAAACAGAUUUAAAACGCUAAAGAUAUGAACUAAACAAGGUUUAGGGGCUUAACUGCGAGAAAACUAAACUUUCAGGGGUUAAACUUAAAGAAACUGAGGGCUAAAACCUAAUUAACCAUAUAAACAGACGAUCUAACACAUAAAAGAACCGAACCAGAUGGUGGAUGGAAUUUUAUAAAAGAGCAGGGGCUAAAACAGAAGAAAAAGGACUUAGAUUGAAAUACUUUUGAACUGGAUGGAUCUCGGAUGUAAAAAGAGAAAACAGCGAGGGCCUUUUUGCAAAAGCAGCACGGGCGGCUUGGGUUGACCAGUAUUAACCCGGGUCAGAUUCGAUCUGUGCCGUCGGUUCCCGAUCGGAUGGUUGCGGACGACCAGGAGGAAGCGGCGGUGCGCGGGCGGCGGCAAGCACAACGGCGAGCGGCGGUGCUGCAUAGGACCUCGCUGAAAUCGAGCGUAGCUCGAGUGGCGGUCCACGAUCUUCGACGAGGACUGGCUCGGGACGAAGUUGGCGGCGUAGCAAACCGAUCUAGGCGGAACCCGUGGCGGCCGAGGUGACGACGGUGCAAGGCGACGCGGCGGAGCGGCUCGAUGCGGUAGCGCGUGACUUCGGCAAGCUCAUGUGUGCGAGAGAGGGCACGGGAGCGCACGUGAUCUUCACGGGCGGCUUCCUUACCACGACACGAAGCUCCAGGCGGUGUUCUUGUUGACGGCAAGGCGACGGCGGCGUGGAUAAAUGGCGGCGGGUUCGAGCUCUAGUGUGGCGGCGCUAGGGCUCAAGGCGGUGGGCGGUAGGGUUUGGUGAGGUCGAGGGGGGUGCGGCGGCUCGUUUUAUAGCCCGGGAGGCGGCCUUGGCAUGCAGGCCUAAGGCUGGAGCCGAACGCAGACCCGGAGCGGGGGCGGCACGGACUCGAGCUCGAGUUCGGCUCAGGCGCGGGCGCGAGGAGGGAGAUGACGGGUGGGCCCCGGGCGUCAACGGGAGAGGUGGAGAAAGCGGGCUACUGCUAGGCUGGCCUGGGCUACGAGCCGCUGCUGUUGGCGCUAGCUGGCUGCUAUUGCGAGCUGGGUCAAAAGAGAAAACAGGCCAAAAGGAAGGAAGAAAAUAGAAAGAAAAAGGAAAGGUUUUCCUAUUUUUUGAAAAGGGAUUCAAACAUGAAUUCAAAUAAAAAUUUGAAUUCAAGCAACCAAAAUCAAUGCACCAGUAUGAAUGCAACAAUGAACUCUUAUGAUUCAUUAACUUGUUUUAGAAAAGAUUUAAAUGCUUAAGAAAUUAAAUAAAGUCUUAGAAAAUCCUUAAAUCUUUAAACAAAAGCAAUUAAAUUCUAUCAAAUUCUAACAAAUUCUAUUAAUUUGCAAAAAAUGAAAAUUAGGGUGUUACAAAUCCUACCCCCUUAAGAUGAAUUUUGUCCUCGAGAUUCGAAUGGAUUAACAAAGAGUAGUGGAGAUUCUGCCUUCAGUUCAUCCUCUCUUUCCCAUGUUGCCUCAUCCUCUGCACGGUGACUCCACUGUACCUUGCACAUCUUGAUCACUCUGUUCCUGGUGACUUGUACUAAGGUAUCCAAGAUUUUGAUAGGAUAUUCGGUGUAAGUGAGAUCAUCCUAUACAUUCAACUCCUCCAUAGGUAAUUGUUCCUCCGGAACUUUAAGGCACUUCUUCAACUAAGAGAUAUGGAAUACAUCAUGCACAUCUGAGAGUCUUCUCCCAUUCUCUAUAGAACUUUGAAAGGUCCAAUAAAGCGAGGUUACAACUUCCCUUUAACCUUGAAUCUGCGUAUACCCCUGAUAGGUGAUACUUAAAUAUAUAUGUAAUCACAUUUCGCAAAAGUCAAUUCUCUCCAUCUAGUAUCAGCAUAACACUUCUACCUGGAUUGAGCUGCCCUUAGGUUCUCUCUAAUGAUCUGAACCUGUCUUUCAGCUUCCUAGAUGAUCUUUGGUCCAAACAAAUGACUCUCUCCUGUCUCACUCUAAUACAGAGGAGUUCUGCACUUCCUUCCAUAUAAAGCCUCAAAUGGUACCAUCUUGAGACUAGCUUGGAAGAUGUUGUUAUAGGAGAACUCAAUAUAGGGCAAGCUUUUAUCCCAACUACCUCCAUGUUUUAGAGUGCAGGCUCUCAACAUGUCCUCUAAAAGCUGAUUUGUCCUCUCAGUCUGUCCAUCUGUCUGAGGAUGGUAGGCUAAACUGAAAUUCAAUUUAGUACCCAUGGAUUCAUGAAGUUUCUGCCAGAAGCGAGAUGUGAACUGAGUACCUCUAUCAGACACUAUCUUCUUGGGCACAUCGUGCAGACACACAAUCCUUGAUAUAUACAAUUCUGCCAACCUAGCUCCAGAGUGAGUGGUCUUCACAGGAAUAAAGUGAGCUACUUUAGUCAACCUAUCCACAAUUACCCAUAUAGAGUCAUAACCAGCUUGAGUACAGGGUAAUCCCACUAUGAAGUCGAUACUGAUCUCUUCCCACUUCCAUUCUAGCACCCUUAAUGGUUGAAGUAUCCACCUGGUCUUUGGUGUUCAGCUACAUGUGCGGCCACAUCCCUCUUCAAUUCAUACCACCAAUACUUGUUCUUGAGGUCUUGGUACAUCUUGGUGCUUCUAGAAUGAAUAGAGUAGGCUGAAUCAUGAGCUUCCCUUAAGAUGGUGUCUCGAAGAUUUCCCACAUCUGGCACGCAAAUCCUUUCCCUAAACCAUAUAGGCCCUUGGUCAUCCUUUGUGAAAUCUGGAGCUUUUCCUUCUUCCAUAAGUUCCUUGAUCUUAGCACUAGAGUCGGUUCUACUUCCAUAGUUACUCCUUCAGUACGAGCAACUAUCCCUAAGUUGUUUCUCAAACUCCCUCAUCAAUUCAUCAUGCAUCUAAAAUACUAGAGCCAUGUUGGCAUGACUCUUCCGACUCAAGGCAUCUGCAACCAAAUUUUCUUUACCAUGGUGAUAGUGAAUCUCUAUAUCAUAAUCUUCGAUCAGCUCCAACCAAUGGCGCUGCCUCAGAUUAAGGUCCUUUUAAGUGAAGAUGUACUUCGUACUCUUGUGAUCAGUAUAGAUCUGGCACUUGGUUCCAAGAAUAUAAUGCCUCCAAAUCUUCAAGGCAUGCACUAUUGCUGCUAACUCCAAAUCAUGAGUAGGAUAAUUCUGCUCAUGUUUCCUCAAUUGCUUGGAUGCAUAGGCUAUAACAUGCCCCUCCUGCAUAAGAACGCAGCCUAAGUCCUGUCGAGACGCAUCACAUAGAUAUCGAAACUCUUUUGCAGAUCUAGCAUCACUAGCACUGGAGCUGUAGUCAACCUCUUCUUCAACUCCUCAAAGCUGGCUUGGCAGGCUUCAGUCCACUUGAAUUCCUUUCCCUUCUCCAAUAGUGAUGUGAGAGGCUUCACUAUUUUAGAGAAUCCUUCAAUGGACCUACGGUAGUAUUCUGCAAGUCUAAGAAAACUCCUAAUUUCUGUAACUGUUUGUGGCGGCAUCCAUUUCAGAACAUCCCUAACUUUGCUUGGAUCCACUAGCAACCAAUCAAAACCAGGUAACCAAUCAAAACCUUUCUAUGCUUGAACUCUUUUUGCAUGCUGUGGGUCAGACCCAGUACCUAAACCAGGUAACCAAUGAUGGAAAGUGGGGCGAUUCUUCUUCCUGUAAAAUUUCAUUUCAUGCUCACAUCCAGUCUUCUUUGUAUACUAGUGUUGCUUCCAGUUCUAUGCUAUGUAUGGUAGUCGUUUGAUUCGGGAAUCCUUGAGCCAAGCUUUUAGUCCAUGCCUGGCAGUUUCAGCCGUGGUCCAGUCCAGCAGCCUCUUUUCGAUCCAAGAGUCGCACGAGAGAAAGCAGCUUCCGGUUAGCUUCAGUUAGUUUUAGUUAAAUAGAACGGGAACCUCGUAACUAUGCCAAGCUCGAUCUUGCCUGGAGCCUCGACGAGGGGGCAUGCAGCGAACCAAUAGUUAUUGUUGUUUGCAUGGGAAGGGAAGAGAGACGGAGAUAUGCACGUGUCGCCGCUUGUGCAAAAGAACAGAAAGGCCGCGUGCACGUAUAUCUUCAGGUUCAACCCCGAAAUUAAAAUUAAGGAAAGCCGGUUCGUUGUGAUGCCAAGUUGAAAGGAGGCGUUGGCGCAGUUUGUCGGAGGGGAAGUGGAUGCGAACGCAAGGCUUAUCGUUGCGGAGUCUCGUAUGUGCACCGUGCACGGAUGGAGAUGGCCUGCGUGCCAAUUUUGGCCGAGCACCACAUGGUCUCGAUUGUACGGGUGGCUCACCUAGGUCUAUAGUAUAAGGUGGGUGCGUGCGCGAGUUUUGCACCUAGUACUGAUAAUUUGUGAGCUUGCUAUCGUACGUGCUAGUUGUGUGGAUUGAACCAUUAAUUGAGAGCGAAGGGCAUUCCGACCCGACGUCUAUUGCUAUUGUAGUAGUCGUGUGUUCUUGAGUUGCCUUCGUCGUGUUGUAUGGUCAUCAUCAUGAGAUGGAGCCGAGUAUCUGCGUAACAGUACCAACUUCAAAUUGAAUACAUAUAUGAAUAAAUAAAAGUAGGCAACCUUAACUAUGAGGCCACGCAUAGGAUAAUAUUUCGCUACAUUUACAACAUGCAUUUUUUUGGUUAUGAUAAGACUUUGACUAACAAAUACUCCACUAAUAUUUCAUUUGUGUGAUACAAGAUUAUGAUCAUAAGUAUUCUGCAUAUGACUCUAAUACAAUUUUUGUGUCACAAAAAUUAUGUAUCGAUAGAGUAAAUUUUUGGGUAAAAACUUGUCUAGGUUUUAUAAUAUCAAACAGAGGGAGUAACAAGAAAAAGCAACAACCUAAACAUAGAACAAUCAUCCAACAACUAGCAAAAUACAACUAGAAAUUGGCAUGCGAGGACCUUGACACGAUUAUUGGUGUAGUUCAGCCCCACCGCAAACACUCAUGUUGCCAUCACAACUCUUUUGUCCAAAAAGUCUUAAAUAGCUUGUAGCAGGCUGCUUUUGAAUUUAAGCAACGCGAUCAUAGAACUUACGCAACCAUUUAUCCAUACAGGAGCAUGUUAUAAAAUAACACAGCAGGUACAUCAGGAUCAGGUUGGACAUAUCUCGUGAACAAAUUGUUUCUUGGUAAGAAGAACGAAACCACUAUUGCAUAUCUUAGAUGUGAUUUCACAUACUACGGAGAGCAAUCAAACUGAACUUUGUAACAGAUUGAAAUUGCACCAUGCAUGUACUAGUUUAUUUUAUUCUUCCUGCCCAGCAGGAACAAGCACACAUGCAAGAGUUCAAGGAAAAAGCCAAUCUCAAAAUACAUUUGAGAACCAAACAAUGCAAACUAUUACGCAGAAACAAACUGGUUCCCGAGCUGAUACUGAUCCAUUUUCAUUUUCAACCAGCAAACUGUAUCAACUUCUCUAGAUUCAUAAAUGACGAUCCUCCAUGCUCCAAAGCAGCCUUUGCUUUGGCCUUCAGCUCCUCGGCUUUCGUCCUCCUAGCCUCCCCAUCCUCUCCUCCAUCCAUCAGAAUGUCCAAUGCUUUCUUCACCUGUUCCAUUCCCACAUCUGCCUUCGCCCUGCCGGCACCAUUUUUGUCACCAGUCAGCACGCCCUCCGUGGGCUUCGUCACGCCGACGGACACACCGAUCCGAAGCACGUCGACGAUCAGCUUCUCGUUCAGGAACUGCUCGGCGGUGAACGGCCAUGUGGCCAUGGGAACGCCCGCGGCCACACUCUCCAGCGUCGAUCCCCAGCCGCAGUGAGUCAGAAAGCCGCCGACGCCCGGGUGCUCCAAGAUGGCAACCUGCGGCGCCCAGCCUCGAACAGCAAGGCACUGGGUCUCUGGGAGACCGUCAUCAUUGGUGUUGUGCUGUAACCACUCGUGGACGUCGUCUGGCAAUGAGUCUGCACCCUUAAUUACCCAGAUGACAGGCCAGGGGCACGACACGAGCGCCAGCCCAAGCUGCAUCAGCUGCUCCGGUGGCAUGCGCCCGGCGCUGCCAAAGCUGACGUACAGCACAGAGUUAGCUUUCUUGGCGUCCAGCCACGCCAUGCACCGUCUGGCGUCAUCCGAGCAGGCCCGAGAAUCGACGAGGCCAGGUGCGCCGCAAAGCGAGACGGGGCCGACGGCGAACACGGCCUUGCCCGUGACCGCCGCGAGGCGCGCGGCCGAGCCGUGUUCCAGCUCUUCGAAGCUGUUCACGACGAUGCCGUCCACGGCCAUCUCGAAUUCCCGGAGCUCUCGGAGGCGACCCUCCGGAAUGGAGCAGGAAGGCAGGAACUGCAGCGGCAGCUGCCUCCUGGCGAACUUGAAUUCGAAAGGCGGCAGGACCGGGACGUCGAAGAGCUCGUCCAGCGACGCGACGGCCUCGUGCGGCUUGUGCGUGUUCAGGUACUCGCAGCACAGGAGGGCGAACGCGCAGAACCCGUGGAAGAUGAAGCAGGGCGCGCCGAGUUCACGCGCCAGGCCGUGCGCCCACGUGUUGCACAUCCCGGCGAUGAUGCAGCUCGGCCGGCGCGUCGCCGUGAGGACGCGGCAGUGCUGCGCCACGGCGUCGCCGUACCGCAUGGUGGCGUCGAAGAAGUUGGGAACGAGGUCGAACGAGGGGGUGUGGUCGAGCCUCUCGCAGCCGUCCGGCAGGCCGGCCUCCACCGCCGGGAACGGGAUCGCGGUAACCGUGAUGCCCGCCGAGGAGGCUUGCCCGGCGCGUUCCACGCGGCCCUGGACGAGCUGCGCGCUGGCGGGCGUGGUGAUGACGGUGACCGGCGCGCCGUGCGCGGCGAGGAGGCAGGCGAUGUCGACUAUGGGGAUCAUGUGGCUGGUGGCUGGCCAUGGGAUGACCACGAAGUGAGGCUUCGGGCACAGGGUGGCCUCCAUUUGCUGUGUUCCUGUCACCUUGUCUAGAUUGCGAGAACUUUGUGCACUUGUUGGCUUGUUGCAAGGAAUCUUAUAAUUGUUGCGGCAGCCUUGCAGACUUGCAGUGCACAAAGCGAAGCGAGACAAGACUGGUGCCGGCACAUGCAUUGUCGUUUCUGCGUAGCCUGAACUAACUGACAGGGACUGGCUGGAUCAGUGCAAACGUUGCUAUAUCCUGGGGCGGAGGAGUAGAAGAUAAGAUUCACAUCGACCUGAUACCCGAAGUGCAGUAGCAUGAAAUAUUUUGCCUGUGUGUGGUACUCUAAUGUGGGAGGAAAACAUCAGUAAAUUGUUCUUUUGAACUGCGGUGAUUAAUGCCUCAUUUUCCAAAACUCCAUCGAUGAUCUCUGUAUACUAUGCUCGGAACAGGAAGGAAUAUAUCUUCAUUCUGUGGCAUCCAGAGGAGCACGAUCCAAAGAGCAGCAUUAUCGUCACGCACCUCAAGUAACACUAUCACAGAAAUGACUCUACAACGUACUUAAUCACUCACGAAACAUAUGAUAUGAUACUAUGCUCUAUGCAUUAGGGUGAUUGUAUCUUUUAUAGUUUCACGUGACUCGAGCUUCGGACUUCGGAGAGUGUGACAAGACAUACUCCCUCCGUCCCAUUUUAACUGCAAUCAUGAAAUUAAAAAAACGUCCCAUAUUAAACGUGCUCAUCAGCCAAAUCUCAAAUGUACCAGGCUGUGCGAGUACACGUGGGUCUCGUUUGCAAAAAAAAAAAAUUCCAAACACCCAGCGGGUUCAGCCAUCCACCGCAUGAGGAGUCUGACAUGUUCUCGUUUCUUCCGCACUCUGCUGUGCAUGUUGCUUCCCUAAUUCAUUUUAAAGUAUAUAAUGCUGCAAUGAUUACUGCUAUCUAUUCCAUGUACAUAGGGACAAUAUCAUUUCCUAUCCAUACUAAUUUCAUGUUCAAAUCCUUAAAGUCCACUUAUAUUAGGACGAGGGAGUACAAAAGAUAGUGGUUAGCCUAACCACAUCGCGGGGGUGUCCAUCUCCUGGAGUGACUCUCUGUCUCAACUUACGUAAUCGAUGACGCCAAUGAACAUAUGAGAUUUUCACUAAUCAGCGAUUGAUCAAGUGAAAGGGACCGAUUACACAGGAACGUGCACGCGAACUGUGAGUCUGCGUGAUCGCUAAUGUGUCUGGUCAUUUAGGCUCGGAACGCCCAUUUUGGCUGGACAUUCAGCUCCACAGAGAGCCAUUUAUGGUCCUUGGAGUACUACCCUACAACGCAUCGCCAAACGAGAAGUAGAAAGAUAUACGAUUUCAAAUUUGAUUCUUAGGUGAAGAUUUUGUAUAUCCUACAGUAAACUAUUGGUUAACAUAAACAAGUUAUGACACUCAAACUUCCUUUUAUUGGAAUUUCACAGAAAUACCAAGGCAGAAUCUCAAAUCCCCCUUCUCUUUUAUUGUCAUACUCCCUCCAAUCUCUAAAUGUUUGUCGUAAUCAACACAUUUUAGCUUCGACCAUCAAUAUUACUUUAAAUAUUUAUGCUUAUUUUUAAAAUAGUACGACUAGAUUCGUCUUUAACAAUAGUUUAAAAUAGGAAAAAGUCUAUUUUGGACCAUCCAACUAAUGCCUCGGUUUGAUUUCAUCCAACUAUUUGAUUCCAUCCAACUCGAAAAUCAUGAAUCUUCUGUUAAAACCGCUCAUGUUUGACCAUCUAGCAGUUUUGAUUGGUGGUUUCGCUGACGUGGAUGACACAUUUGCAGUGGGACCCACAUAUCAGUUUUAUCUUCUUCCCCUCCCUCUCCCUUUCUCCAUCUUACCACUCUAAGGCACCCAGUAGCACCAGCAGCCGGAGGAGCAGCUCAUGUGCCUGUCAUCAUCACCUGCCGCAUGUUGGCCACCAGCCGCGCCUCGGCCCCUCAUUACGUCGGGUGCCCCCAGCCGCCCCUCGGCUCCGGGGAGGCGGAGGCUGGUGAGUUCCUGGAGGAGGAGGCUUAGGCAGAGGUGGGUGCCAAGGAGGCGGUAGAGGAGGGGGCGGACUCCGUUGCGGUGGAGGAGAUGGUGUAGGCUGGUGGCGGUGCGUGGGUGCUAUUAGGGAGAAGAGGGUUGGUUGGCAGCGAUGGCGGGGCUGUUUCAGAUGCAGCCUUUUUUUCAUUUUGAAGAGUGGCAUCCUAUGUUCACUAUCUCGAUCGAGGUAUGGAGGUCAAAAUAAAUAGAAUAAUGAUGAAUGGAAAAAAGAGAAAAUCCUUUAGCUGGAUAAGAGGCGGAUAUAGCUAAGUGGAUCAAGGCAGUGGAUUGUGAAACCACCAUGCGGGUUCAAUUCUCGUCGUUCGCCCAUCACAUUAUUGCAAAUUCCAAAAAUACAAUUUUCCAUAUUGCUAGUUACGUAUUUACUUACGGCGACGAAGAAUAAAACUAUCACUAUAUUUUUUCCUUUUCCUAGUUCUUCUUCCAAGCGCAGGAUAACCCUUGCGGAGGAGCUCGUGGGGUCAGGAGGUGAUGCGGAGGUGGAAAGCGGGACGCAACACAGGAGGAGGCGGAUGAGGUGGUGGCGGUGACAAAGGGGCUGGCCCGUCGUUCGGGGAACUCGCACGUUCUGUGGCCGACGGUCGGGGCUCGGUGCGCCUUCGCUGCGCCUGGGGUCGUCCGCGCCCGGUGUUGCCCGUCGCCGAGCCACCAGCCCACGGUGCCUCGGUGCGGGCGUGAGGACCGGGAGAGCACCAGCAGCGGCGGCGCCAAGAAGAGGAAGUGGCUGGAGGGAGAGAAAGGGGAGGGAGGGGAAGAAGAUUAAACUGACAUGUGGGUCCCACUACCAUGUGUCAUUCACGUCAGCGAAACCACCGACUAAAACCACUAGAUGGUCAAGCAUGAAUGGUUUUAACAGUUAGGUGGUUAAAGAUUCCUGGUUUUCGAGUUCGAUGAUCUAAACCAAACCGAGGCAUUAUUUGUAUGGUCAAAAAUGAACUUUUUCCUUCAAAAUAUGACACAUUUGCUAGAUUUUGAAUGCGUUCAUUCGAACCAACGAAGGAUUUCAAGGGCAAUAUACUAUUAAUUUAUGGUCAAAACAUGUCUUGCUGACUAUAUCGCUUCAUGAAACGACAAUUAUUUGAAGGUUGAAGGGAGUACAAGUACAACGUGUAUUCCAAACACACACCUAUCAUAGCGGUACAACAACUUUAUCCGACAAAAGAAAUCAUAGCAAAUAACCAAGGGGUGUUUGAUGUUGGAUUUAGGAGUAUUAAACAUAGUCUAAUUAUAAAACUAUUUGCACAGAUGGAGUCUAAUUCUCGAGACGAAUCUAUUAAGCUUAAUUAGUUCAUGAUUUGACAAUAUGAUGCUACAGUAACCAUUUGCUAAUGAUGCAUUAAUUAGUCUUAAUAAAUUCAUCUCGCGAAUUAGACUUCAUCUGUGCAAUUAGUUUUGUAAUUAGUUCAUAUUUAAUCCUCCUAAUUAGCAUCCAAACAUCCAAUGUUGGAUGUUUCCCUGAUAAAGUUUAGCACCUCGUAUCCAAACACCCCCUAAAUGUUCUGCGGUAACAGUUCGGCGGACGAGUGUGUUAAAACCCAUGUGUUAGUUAGAGGCAUCCAGCUUCAAACAAAAGAUUGGAUCAAAUUCUCCAGAUUAACGUAGGACGAUCCUCCCUCCUCCAGAGCACCCUUCGCCUUCGCCUUCAGCUCCUGAGCCUUCCUCCUCCUUUCCUCCGCUUCAGCACCCUGAUCCAUCAGCCUCUCCAAUGCCUUCAUCACCUGUUCCAUCCCCACCUCCGCCUCCGCCUCUGCUUUGCUGCCAUCGGUUUUACUAGCGCUCAGGAUGUUUUCCGUUGGCUUCGUCACGCCUACGGACACCCCGACACCAAGCACGUCCACGAUGAGCCUCUCGUUGAUGAACUGCUCGGCGAACAGCGGCCAGGUGGCCAUGGGCAUGCCGGCGGCGACGGCCUCCAGAGUCGAACCCCACCCGCAGUGCGUCAAGAAGCCGCCGACGGCCGGGUGGGCCAGGAUGGCCACCUGCGGCGCCCACCCGCGCACCACCAGGCACUUGGUGUCCGCCACGCCGUCAGCGUCGUCGGUGUUCUCGCGCAGCCACUUGUUGACAUCGUCGGGCAGGGAGUCAGCGCCCUUGACAACCCAGAGGACAGGCCAGGGGCACGAGACCAGAGCCAUGCCGAGCUGCAUGACCUGCGCGGGUGGCAUGCACCCGGCGCUGCCGAAGCUGACGUACGCCACGGACCUGGACGCCUUGGUGUCCAGCCACGCCAUGCAUCGCCUCGCGUCUUCCGACAUGGUCUCUGGAUCCAGACUAGGCGAGUGGCUCAGCGAGACGGGGCCGACGGCGAGCACCUUUCUGCCCGUGGCCGCCGCAAGGAGCGCGGCGGAGCCGUGCUCCAGCUCCUCGAACGUGUUCACCACAACGCCGUCCACGGCCACGUCGAAAUCCCGUAUCUCCUGCAGCGGCCCUCCGCCCAUGGAAGUCGACGGCGAGAAAUGCGGCGGCAGCUGCCUUCGCGAGACCCUGCACUCGAACGACGGCAAGACCGGGACGUCGAAGGGCUCGUCGGGGGACGCCACCGCCUCGUGCGGCCUGUGCUUGAAGAGGUGCUCGAUGCAGAGCAGCGCGAACGCGCCGAACCCGUGGAAGAUGUAGCACGGCACGCCGAGCUCGCGCGCCAAGCCUAGCGCCCACGAGUGGCACAUCCCGGCGACGAUGCAGGUCGGCCGGCAGGGCGGCAUGGAGGCGCCGCCGAGGCAGUGCCGCGCCACCGCCUCGCCGAACCGUUUGUUGGCGGCGAAGAAGCGGGGCACGUCGGCGGGGGACCGGAGGAGGUCCAGCCUCUCGCGGCCCUCGGGAAGGCCGGCCUCCGCGCCCGGGAACGGGAUCGCGGUGACCGUGAUCCCCACGCCGCCGCGCGGCGGCGUGGCACGGUCGUCGACGCGGCUCUGCACGACUGGCGCGUUGGCGGGCGUCGUGAUGAUGGUGACCGCCGCGCCGUGGGACGCGAGUAGGAUGCCGAUGUCGGUCAUGGGGAUGAUGUGGCUGAUGCUUCCCUGCCAUGGGAUGAGCACGAGGUGAGGCUUCGUGGUUCCCUCCAUCUAUGGCGUUACUCUUUGCAGUCGAUGUAGCUAGCUUUCUUCUUGUGCCAAACUGACAGUUUGCUGGGCAUUGUAUAGCAGGUUGUCUUAUGGCCGGUGCACUUUGUAUGCUGGAAGUGUCGACAUACGAGGUUCAUGUAGGGGGGCGGGUCAUGAUUGAUGACUACACUUUCUAGGUGUUUUCUGCCUGUAACCUCACGCCAGGAACAGCACACAUGACACAGCAUGGAGAAGUCCAAGAUUUUGAAAGAUACAAACUUUUACUAGCUAAUCGGAAGGGCAGCAUAGUCAAUCCCGUGAUGUGUUCAGCGAUGAUUUCGUUUGUUCAGCAAGACUGUCGCAUACGCUUUUGCUGUCUAGCCAUCUCUCGAGCGACUUUUCUCUACACGACUUAUGUUUGACUUUGCAUAGAUUUGUGAGGACAUCAUGCACACAUAUAAUCGGCACAUAAUAUCGGCUCAUUCUAUAUCUUUGACUCGGGGAAAAGUCGCUACUCAAAACUGACGGCAACGAAUCUGGAAGGGUUAAGGAGAAUCGUACGAACGUUGUAAGGCAUGACAAUUGAAAAUGUUUUCAUCUUAUCUCUAGAAUGUUUCAUUUGUAGCAUCCACAAACUUGCGACGAUGAUUACCACGUCAGCUGCGAUUGUAGCUUUUGCAGGUUUGAAGAGUAGGGUAGCCAUUACGUGUGUCGAUGAUCGAUGAUACGUGUGAUGCUUGAUGAAGUGAGAAGUGGAUACUGGAUAAGAACUGAAGAAUUGUACUUGCGCUUGCGCACGGCGCACGACUUUCCGCAUACAGCAGCACACAGGUAACCAUCGUGGGGCUUUGGUUUCCCGACCUCCCUGGACUACUGACUCUUGUUUUCAGUCGUAUAAAAAAAUGCUCUUGUUUUCAGAUAUACGUCAUCGAUGACGCCAAUGACCAUGUGUGACAACUUUAGUGGAUGAAAAUUCCGUAACCAUAGGAUUGGGAUUUCACGCGCCACAGAAAAAUUCCAUGCAGCGAUAUCUUACUGUUUGGCAAGUUCUAAUUUCAGAACUUUUUUGAAUCAAUUGGAGCUAGUUAUUGGUGGUUCCAAAAAAUAUCUAGACUAAAACUGCAUGUAUAUCAGGAGCAUCUAGACUAAUCAUUUGAACAUACCUUAGACUAAAUACAUAUAUUAGGACCUAUGUUGGAGUUAGCUUGCUAGGAUUUUUAUUUAUUUUUUUAAAAAGAAAAUCCACAAUCUUCUAUUUUAGAAAUUACAAGGGAAAGCUAACUUGGGCUUCCUAGAACCCGAUUUUUCUGCUCCGUAACACCCUAUUAUUGGACCCUCCAGCCAUCUUUCUCACCACAGCAAGGCUCCAGCCAUCUUCAUCAACCACAACGACUCCACGACGACCCUAGUUAGUGUUUGGAGGUUUGGAUUGGUUGGGGGCCGGGGGCGGAGGGAGUAUCGAUUCAAGAAGGAGGCCGCGGGCAGUGGAGAGGCAAGGUGGCGGUGGCACAUUCAGCCAAGCAAUGCUGGACAACCAGUAGGUGGGCCUGAGUGGUAGAGGUUGCUGCGGGCUACGUAGGAUCUCGUCCGAGCUCGAUGGCGGUGGACUGCUGGCAUUGAGAGCUCUAGCCAGACCCUAUCCAGCCACAAUGGGGCGGUGGCACGUGGGGGGGGGCAGUGGGGCAUGUGUGCUCGUGAAGAAGAACGGUGUCAGGUGUGACUUUGUUGCUCAAUAAGACAGGCAAAGCAUGACAGUCAUUGGAUCUUGAUCUAAUGGUCGAAAUCGAGUACUAAUGUGCUAUCUUGCCUUAAAACACCCAAAUGUCCUGUAGACACUCCCAAAUUGUUGGAAGGGCAUCUUCAAUAGCGCCACGUCAGCAAAUAAGUUUUACAGUGAACUUCUAAAAACUUAUAGAAUUUUUUUAAAUUUUUUGAAAAAUAAGGUGAUCCUAGAGUAUAACUUGUUUACAAUGAGCGAGAGAAAAAUUGAAAAAAUAAGGAGAUCCUACAGUAUAACUUUUUUACAAGUAUGUGUGUUGGGGGGUGGGGGGAGAAAGAGUUUGGAGGGGAAUGUUGAAGAGCCGAGCGAGUGACCAUAUUACCUUUUUCUUCACAAUUUACACACUUUUCAGUAUAACACAAGCGAUACAGAUUUUAAGCGCAUUGCACCUUAGUACAAAAUUCAUAUCUCAUAUUAAAUUCUUGUAAAUUGUCGGGUUUCAUGGCAUACCCCUCUUCUUACUUAUAUUUUAUGACACUCACGCUGAAACAGAUACUUGUGCUGGUCCCACGCGUCAGUAAGACAUGUCGAGCUUCAAACAAAAGAUUGGAUCAAAAUUUCCAAAUUAUUGUAGGAUGAUCCUCCCUCCUCCAAAGCACCCUUCGCCUUCAGUUUUAGCUCAUGAGCCUUCCUCCUCCUCUCCUCUCCUUCAGGUCCUUGAUCCAUCAGCAUCUCCAAUGCCUUCUUCACUUGUUCCAUCCCCAUCUCGGCCUCGGCCUCCGCUUCGCUGCCGCCGGCGCUAAAUGCGGUGAAGAUAUUUUCGGUUGGCUUUGUCACGCCGAUGGACACCCCAAUGCCAAGCACGUCCACGAUGAGCCGCUCGUUGAUAAACUGCUCGGCGAAAAAGGGCCAGGUGGCCAUGGGCACGCCGGCGGCGACGGCCUCAAGAGUCGAGCCCCAGCCACAGUGCGUCAUGAAGCCGCCGACGGCCGGGUGGGCCAGGAUGGCCACCUGGGGCGCCCACCCACGCACCACCAAGCACUUGCUGCUCGCCACGCCAUCAGCGUCGGUGUUCUCGCAGAGCCACUCCUUGACGUCGCCGGGCAGGGAGUCGGCGCCCUUGAUGAGCCAGAGGACAGGCGAGGGGCACGAGACCAGAGCCAUGCCGAGCUGCAUUAGCUGCGCAGGCGCCAUGCGCCCGCCGCUGCCGAAGCUCACGUACACCACGGACCUGGGCUCCUUGGCGUCCAGCCACUCCAUGCACCGCCUCGCGUCACCCGACGUGGACUGAAGAUCGAGACCCCGCGAGCGGCAAAGCGAGACGGGCCCGACGGCGAACACCUUCUUGCCGUUGCCGGUGGCCUCCGCGAGGAGCGCCGCGGAGCCGCGCUCCAGCUCCUCGAAGGUGUUCACGACGACGCCGUCCGCGGCCACGUCAAACUCCCGCAUCCCCUGCAGUGCCUUGCCGCCGACGGAGGCGGGCGGCAAGAAGUGCGGCGGCAGCUGCCUGGUCGACAGCCGGCACCGGAACUGCGGAAGGGCGGGGACGUCGAACGGCUCGUCGUCCGACGCGGCCGCCUCGUGCGGCCGGUGCUCGUACAGGUACUCGAUGCAGAGCAGCGCGAAGGCGCCGAACCCGUGGAAGACGUAGCACGGCACGCCGAGCUCGCGCGCCAGGCCCAGCGCCCACGUCUGGCACAUCCCGGAGAUGACGCAGCUCGGCUGCCGGCGGGGCGCCUCAUGGAGGCAGUGCCGCGCCACGGCCUCGCCGUGCCCCUUGUUGGCCACGAAGAAGCGGGGCACGUCGGCGGGGGACCGGAGCAGGUCCAGCCUCUCGCAGCCCUCGGGCAGGCCGGCGUCCGCGGCCGGGAACGGGAUCGAGGUGACCGUGAUCGCGGCGCGGGCGCGGUCGACGCGGCUCCGCGCGAUCGCGGCGUUGACGGGCGUCGUGACGAUGGUGACCUCGGCCCCGUGCGAGGCGAGGAGGCAGCCGAGGUCGGUCAUGGGGAUGACGUGGCUGAUGGUUCCUGUCCAUGGGAAGAGCACGAAGUGUGCCUUGGUGGCGCUCUCCAUUUCCCGCGCAGCCAAGAGUUUAAGCCGGAUGCUCGAUGACUGCGCGCGAAAUGGCUAGCUUUGCUGUGUGUCUGUGGGCUAUGGCCUACGGCAAGCUGCUGACCUCUUUGCCACUAUAUAUGCAGGUCCAGUGUGGCUUCGCACGCUGCGUACGCAUACACGGCAUGAGGAUGAGUUUAGUACUGGUCCAGAGACAAUGCCAGCAUGACAGAUGCACAUGCACGACGACGGUCGACGGGGAGAAGAAGAAACGGAACUAGUCAUCUAGUCGCUAAACUCCUCAGGAAAAAGAUGGUUUGUUCGUACAGCAGAGCCGAACUGAGCAUUGUCCAUUCUGGACGAGAAGGAAAUUGCUGAUGACUAGGCCACUGGCUACCAGGCCCUGGACUAAGCACCGGAUCGCCUUUUCUUUUUCGUAAGAAACCAAGGACGCGGCUGAACGGCCUGCCCCGGCUCCAAUUUUACUGCAACUGGUUCAACCCAUACUUUAUUUUCAGCUUUUUUGGUUCAUAGAUUUCAUUCACAAGCCUCCUUCUCAAACAACACGUACGGGCAAAUCAGUCCACAUCACCUUGCAGCCACAGCAUCUGUAGAAUAAAUGAGCAGUCGUUACGGCUCAUUUUCAUUGCAGCGGACGUGUUCCGGGGAUCUGGGCAAAUGAACGUUGAUCGUCGAGACAAGGGACGUUUUAGUAUGUGUGGAAUUCUCCUUCGUUUUCCUAUUUUGAACAGUUGCGAGUUGUCUUGCAGGAGGGCGGAGCUAUCGCAUGACGUAAUGACUUGCAUCAGUUGGAGUCGCGCAUGUCAUUGGUGACGUCGAAAAGGUUUCUGUACGCGACUCUGUAAUCGUAUGUGGGACCAGAUGUGCUGCAAUUCAUGCGGCCGGGAAUAUGGAGCUCUGCCGCGAAAAUGCUUCCACGCCGAAUUCGGCAAUGAGAACUGCGGCAACAAGUGCUGGGCCGGGUGCCACUACAGCGUAUGCGACUACGCGGUGUUCCACUAUGUAGUAAGGGUAAGGUUCCGAUGUAAAUAUGUGUAUGGAAUAUAGAAAUAAGAUGAAAACGUUUUGAAAAUGUUCCUUGCUCGGCAUAUAAUUCGCUUUAGUGUCAUGUGAUGUCAUCGCUAUACGCACUUAGGUCGAUAGCCAACAUAAAAAACAUCGGCCCAACAAAAAAAAAAGCACAAUUUUGUUUGUAUGGAGUGUUUUAUCUAGGCCCGGCCCAAGCAUAAGAGCGUCCGGUGCGGCACGCGUGCAGGCCCAGGUACGGCCCGUACCCCCUUCUCAACCCACGCCGGCACGCAGCCACCUCAUUUUUUCCCUCCCCAGUUCCCCAGCCGCCGCCGCGCGCUGGCUCCUUCCGGCUCUCCCCCUUCCAUUGCCGCCGCCGCCGCUCCCCUCGGCCGAGUUUGACGGCGGUCGGCGAUUCCUCCUCUCCCCUCCCGCCCCUGGCCCCCCUUUUACCGCCGGGUGCCGGCAUCACCGCCGCGGCCACCCGAACAGCGCAGCGCGUGCCUGGCUGCCUGCUAGGCGUUCACGGUUCACCCCUGCCCCUCAUCUCAGUUUCUCUCCCCGUCUCUCUUCUCUCUUCGUCUUCCUUUCCUGGCGGCGACUACUGGGCGAGCGGCGGCGCUAUUUGGUCUUCGCAGCCGCAGGGCCCUUUGCCGGCGACGAACAACCAUCAGGUAUGCCCUCCCUUCUCUUCCAUUCCUGCUGUGCGAUAAGGAGCAACGCUAUUGUUCUAAAAAAACCAUAAGCUAUUGGAAGCUAUUUAUAUUCCCAUUGUAUUACUAUUACCUAUAAGAGCUUCGAUUUUGUUUGCAAAAAUAUCGGGUGUACAUGUGUACACCUAUGUCCUAUGCUGGGUCCGCCCGCUGCAUGAUACCUUUACUAAUCCAAUCCAUGGUUAUCCUUCCUCAGUGCGCAAGAUUGAUAUUACUUGGUUACUAAUCGAGGCGCGGGUGCAAUCGUUUGUGUGUUUAUCCAGCUGAGCGGCCAUGCGCCAACCAAGGUCCGGGCCAGGGAAGAGGCGGGGCCGCGGGCCGCGGAUCCCCGCGACGACGCUUCGCAAGCAGCAGGCCGCGUUGGCGAAUGUCGACCAGAUCACGGGUGCCAAGAUCCCCAAGAGCUUCGUUUUCUCCCGUGGCAAGCUCCCCUCCACGCUCCGCCACCUCCAACAGGACCUCCGCAAGGUCAUGCUCCCCUACACUGCUCUCAAUCUCAAGGUCCAUCCCUAUCCCUAUUGCCUACUCAGCAAUUGACAAGUGACUGAGGUUGUUCUGGUGCUCACAAGCUGUAAUUGGUGUUCCCGCUUGAAACAAUUGGCAGGAGAAGAAGCGGAAUAACCUCAAGGACUUCGUCAAUGUUGCCGGUCCGUUGGGAGUGACACAUUUCUUGAUCCUCUCGAACCCCAAGAGCCUGCCACAUUUGCGCUUUUCCAAUUCGCCACAGGGCCCAACCUUCACUUUCCAGAUAGAGGAGUACGCACUCGCGGCAGACAUUGCAAACUCCCAGAAGCGGCCAAGGUGCCCACCAGGGAUAUUCAAGAACUCACCACUGGUAUAUGCCACUAAUGUGGAAAAUUGUAUUUGGAUAGUUUUUGAUGAAGAUAUCGGUCGCUGAUACCUUGUUUUAAUGUUAAAUUCAUGGAUUGAGCAGGUCGUGCUGAGCGGGUUUUCAGGUCUUGGCAACCCUUUUGAGAGUUUGGUCGAAUACUUUCAGCAUAUGGUCCCUGCCGUUGACCCAAGCACUGUAAGUAUCGGGUGAUAAUGUCAACUUAAUGUCUCAGUAUUGCAAUAUUUUGAUAAUAAUACUGUACUGUGCAUAAUAGGUCAAACUGGCAGAAUGUCAAAGGAUUCUGUUAUUAAAAUAUGAUAAAGAGAAGGAGGUUGUCGAUUUCCGGCAUUACUCCAUCAAGCUCCAGCCUGUUGGGGUCAGUCGCAGGAUUAGAAAGCUCAUGCAGAACAAUCAAGUUCCUGAUCUAAGAGACCUUAAAGAUGUUAGUGAUUAUGUGACAAAGUAAGUGCUGCUUUGCCGUUUAUUGCAAUUAGAUUUUUUUUUUCAAUUUUUCAGGAACGAUGAACUGCAUAGAAAACCAUGAGAGCGAACAACACAAAUUUGAACUUGUAUAUGGGUGCACUAAACUAAUGUGAUAAAUUUAAGUAGGUUUUUUGCAAACACCAUAGAGGGUGCACAUAAAAGCUGCCAGAUGUACAAAUGGUUUAGUGAAAUAACAUGAAACAACCCUUUUUAUGUCAAAAUCAUUUUUCAGAUAAUCUUUUUCAAAAUUCAUGUUUGCCAUCUCAGAAUUCGCAAUAUUCCCUGUGAAGGUUUGGGAGACAUGCUGUGUAAUUUUGUAUUGUCAUAUGCCUCUAUCGAAGUGCAACCAAAUCUGAUGUGGGUGCUUUAUUUUUGCUGCGGGCUUAUCCAAAUAAUAUUGAUAAUAUUUUCAUAUUAUACAUUAGUUACUAAUGUUCAUGAGGGUCAACGUAGUUAAUUAAGUGCAAAAAGGAAGGUUAUUGAAAGGAAGUGUUUGUGGAGGGAAGUGUAGUGAACUGAUAGAACUAGUAGCAUAACUGACUCUAUGGAGACUGAUGGCAUUGCAACCAGCAACUACAGCUACAGGUAACUAUUGUCAUUUAGGUUACAAGUUAUAAUAGGGCAAGAAGGAUUGCAUAGUAGUAUGGAACUAUCUUGACAGUGUGCAAACAGAUUUUGAUCAAGUUAUAUGCUUCCGCUAUAUCCAACAUGUUAAUAUUUUACUAGCAUACACUAAGCUCUUCAUGUAAGAAGAGGCUCCUCGUCAAUAGUCUCAAAUCACUAUGGUCCAAGCAGGCCACCCAUCCAGUAACUAUAGUGGUGGCAUGUUAAGCUGAACAUGUGAAGCUACAGCCUACAGAUGCUCUCAAUGGUGGCAUAGCAUAGGCAUAAAAGCUUCAGGCUGAAAUGCUAAAUUGUGUCAACUACUGUGAAGAAAACCAUCAAGCAUAUAAAAUUAGUGAGACUUCCAUAAUCUGAGCUUAUGACCAGAGAUAAACUAGCUGUAACCACCUACGUGGAUAUCCUAGAACUAUAUAUUGCACGCAUUGCCUAUACUUUCAGUAAAUGUGAUAUUUGUUUUCAGCAAAGAACAGAGGAAUAGUAAAGCACAGAGAAGAAACAAAAAUUAUGACCAACAUGAUUCAGAAUAGUAAAGUUUUAGGAGUUACUCCAUUCUUUGUGUUUUGAGUGUGUGAGUCUUCAAUGCACCCUCUCAAAAUAGAUAGUUAAUAUUUAGAUUAGAGACGUCAUGACAUUUUGAGACCCUGCCAGUGUAUAUGAUGGUGACUAUCUGGUAAUCACAGCGGCUCAUAAACUAAGUACAAUGUUUAAGCACCCAUGGACAAGAAAACAAAGUGAAAAGACAUAAUCCUAAGAAAAAAUAAAGACUAAAACUCAACACUUAGCAGGCUGCCGUGGAAUGUCUUAUUUUUCACCUGAAAUGAUCCCGUCGCUCUCAACUUCUGAUUUGUUAGUUUGCUGCGUCCAGAUUAUUUUAAUUAAAAAAACUGUUUGCUUUAAUGAUUAGGUAACUGUGCUGACCAAAUAUUAGUGCCUGCUAUUGUGUUUUUAUAAGUAAUGCACCUUCUGUUGCUUGGAUUUAAUUUUGUAUAAUAAACCCUUGUGUUCACAUUCACCAGAGCUGGAUAUGGAUCUGAAAGUGAAGUAGAUGAUGAAGCAGCAACGGUAAGCCUACCAAGUGAUGUUGACAAAUUAAACCGGGCAUCAAGAAAAAGCGCUGUUAGACUCCAGGAGAUCGGACCACGGAUGACUAUGCGCCUUGUUAAAGUUGAGGCUGGGCUAUGCUCGGGAGAUGUCUUAUACCCUUGGCCUGGUGAGUUUCCUCCGAUGCUGUAAUCUCCACCUCAAGUUAUUUUUUAGUGUCGGUUGCAUUUCUUUUCUGAUUUUCUUUUAUGUUACAGUGGCAAAGGAAUCUGUGGGAGAGAAAGGGAAAGUAACUGAGGAAGAGAUAGAAGGACAAGAAGAAACUGAGGAUGAGCUGGAGGAUGGGUCAGAGGACGAGAUGGAGGAAUAGCAAUUUCGAUGAGCUCAUCAAAGCACUUAUCACCCAGCAUCUGCCUACAAGGAUAGUCCACAGUGUGAAGCCACCACUCUCCUUCAACACUAAGGAGAACUUGGCUCAUCCCCAGAUGAAAACAAAUGUGGUAUAUGCAGAAGCAGGUGUAGUGACAGUCCUAGAUGUUUCAUGCCGAAUUAAACGGGCUCUGAGUGUUGUAGCAUGAUGCAUUCAUGCCAGUUUUGUGACUCAAGGUGUCUAGGUUUGGCUCACUAGUGUUAAAGUUUAACACCCGUCACAUCGGAUGUUUGAAUGCUAAUUAGGAGUAUUAAACAUAGGCUAAUUACAAAACUAAUUGCACAGAUAGAGUGUAAUUCGCGAGAUGAAUCUAUUAAGCCUAAUUAUUACAUGAUUUGACAAUGUGGUGCUACAGUAACCAUUUGCUAAUGAUGGAUUAAUUAGGCUUAAUAGAUUCGUCUCGUGAAUUAGCAUAGGGUUCUGCAAUUAGUUUUAUAAUUAGCUCAUAUUUAGUUCUCCUAAUUAGCAACCGAACAUUCGAUGUGACACUGUUAAAGUUUAACACCUCGUAUCUAAACACCCCCUCCAGUUAAAGGCCUGCCUACUUGCAACAAGGUUGAACACUAAUCUGCGGUAGUUACAGAUUAUAAAGAUUUAUGAGUUCUUGUUGCAACAAAGCUAUGACUCCCCUGUCCCCUCAAAGCUUGGUCACUAUAGAAUGGAAAAAUAGCAUCAUUUAAGCAACCGGCAAAAUGGGACAAUGUCAUCCACAAUGCUGCUGACCGGCCUGGCGUCCCGUACGACGAUGCUCCCUCGUCCUCGCCUGGCAUCACCUCUGGCGCCGCACCAUUAGACGCCCUUGCGCCGCCUGCCGGCCCGUUGACCUGCCAGGCUCCCAGGCCUGAAGCUGCAUCGAGUGGCGCGUAUCUCCACCGCCUCCCGGUGCGUGCCCCGCUCGCCGCGCGAUGUCGGCGGUGGCCUCCACGCAGACGCGCUCCCGCUCCACCUCCAUCGACCGCUCCGCGCCCGCGCCCACGGCGUGCUCCGGUCUCGCCACCACCGUGUCCGCGGCCGUCACGUUGACGUCCGCGCCACCCGCCGCGUCUCGGUAGCCGCAUGCCACUCCGAUCAGAGUCGUCUCGCCUCCGUGGCGUCAUCCGCUCUUGGAACAGCCAAGGACUGCAAGAAGCGUAGCUCCUCGUCCGCGUAGAGCUCGCCGGCGGCGACCGAAGCGGCGCGGCCGUCGUCGUCAAUUCGGCUCUCGUAGCGGCCGGACCUUACGGCGCUAAUGCCAACUCCAGCAUGGAGGCAAGCAAUACGAACACGCGCCUCCUGCACGACGACGGAGAGCAGCCCGCCGAUGCACUGUGCGAACACGUCCUUGAUGACCGCCUCGUCCUCCAUGAACGAGAACGUCCCGCCCGUCGCCUCCCUCGCCUCGGCAACGACGUGCAUCGCCGCCGCGUCGUGGUUGUUGCCGAAGCCGAACGUGUGGAUUGGCGCGGACCAGUCGCCGGUGUCGGCGCGCGCGAAGGGCGCGAAGGAUGGCGGCACGAGAGCCCCGUAGUUGGGCCCGGCCGCCGCCCUGCGCCUGCCGUGGCACGGUGUACGUGUCCUGGCCGUCGGAGAGGAGAAUGACGCUGGAGACGGCGUUCCUUUGGCGGCGCUCGUCGAGCACCUUGGCGGCUUUGCGGAUCCCCUCCGCGAUAUCGGUGCCGCCGCGCGCGGCGAGGGACGCCACGGCCCUCGUGGUGGGACCCUUCCCUGUGUCCGACAUGCGCGGGAGCCUGGUGCUCCGCGCCGUGUCCGAGAAGGACACGACGCAGAGGCAGUCGUGGGGGCCGAGGUUGUCGAUGACGAACCCCACAUGGCCUGCUUCAGCAGCGCGAGCUUUGCCCCCCUCAUGCUGCCGCUGACGUCGAGCACCGUCACGAGGUCCAGAGGCGCGCGUGGCGCGUCCCCGCCCGCCCGUUCGUGGCUUCGCCGCCGAUCAUCCCUGGAGCCCUGACGUGCACGAGAACGUCUAAGUUGUCGUGAGAUGAGUUCCUGGCGAUAGCAGAGCACUCUGUGUGCGUCUUCACGACCAAUGUUCCACUGGAUACAGAAACUUCGAGCCUAUUCGCUUCAGCUUAUUGAGCCGGCUUAUCAGUCACCAAAUAGUGUUUUUCUCUCAUAACAAAUCAGCCGUUUCAGCUUUUCAGCCGGAUUAUAAGCUGAAGCGAACAGACUCAAUAUCGGCGGCCGUCGUGGACAGGGCUGCCAUCUCCACCUGCUAGUCGUCGUCGAACACUUGUGGCUCCGCGAGAAGGAAUGGUCGCUGGACCGCAUGGUGUUGGAUCGGCUGCCACCAAGCCUGCUGUGGACUACCGCCAUGGUAUGUAGCGGCUGCUCUGGUGGCGUCAGUAACGGCGUCUGUGUCGGGCGCACGAAGGGCAGCUCCGCCACGGCGCGUUGCAGAGCGGGCAGACGAAGUGGCCGUGCGCCACGCUCGCGGACUCCAUGGCGCAGAAGGAUUCGCGGUCAGAUAUCACCGCUUCCUCCGGGAGCAGAUGAGCGCCGAUCUUUUUGAGCGGGGAGAUUUCUGGGUCAAAUGGGUGGGGCUAUGCACUUCCGGUGGGGGAGGAGGACGGCCCAGGCGGCGGCGGCAGCGGCAGCCGGCGUCGGAGGAGCGGGAGCCGGGAGGAGACCCGAUCUGAACCAGGGGGCUAUAUUAAAAUAUUAGGGGUCAUUUUGCAAAUAAUCGGAUCGCGACCAAUAGUCGCGAACCAAAGUAGGGGGUUAAAAUAGUAAGGGGGUAUUUUGCAAAUAAUCGGAUCGCGAUCGAUAAUCGCAAUCCAAUCCAGGGGGUCUUGUGCAAAGUUUGCGAUCUGAUCCUCCUCCGCGGCUCGUCGGAACUUCGCCUCAAGCCGCGCGUCCCUUCCCUUGGGUCAGUUGGGUGCUUCUUCUACCUCUUGCUCUUGCCUGUCUCGCGUCAGCCCUUGAUAUCGUGGAUCAAAGGGUUUUCGGAUCCCCCAAGGUUUGGUCGGUGUCCUGGCGGACAGGAAACGCCGUCUCUGAACCUGACGCCGCACGCGCGGGGUUCGCAGAAGCGGCGCGUACGUGGAGAUGCACCGGAAGUGGAACGUGGGGGAGCACUCGGCCAUGAAGAUGGCCUGCGCAUCGCCUGACGCCCCAUGCCGCCGAAGCAUAAGCCAUAUGGCGCAAGGAUUGCUCUGCAAUCGAGCGAAGUAUACGCAUUCAAAUUUCGAAUGACUUGUUUCCACGAUGAACAGGGACUCGAAUCGUCCGAAGUCACCAGGAAAUUGGCACUAAGUUAUCUCAAAAGCAAAAUGGUCAGGAUUCCGGAAAAAGAAAAGUUAAUCCCCAAUCUGCGUUCUACCACCACCUCCUACUUCUGGAUCAAAUUUCAGAUGGGAGAAUUGCAGAAUUGCUUCACCUGAUCAUGACCUUCCAUCUCUGUGGGAAGCUCUGGCCUGUGGGAAACUGGGAAUGGAUAUGAGCAACAUAGCGAGCCAGCAGUGGUAGUAUUUAUAUUAACAGAGAGCGAGGUGUAUGCUUCGUCCAGAACGCAAUGCCAGGAUGCAGGAUGUAUUCGUUGCUAAGAAAGGGAUGAUUAAGAUUUACUUGGUAAAAAUGGGUAUCCUUUUCCUUGAUAACAAGUGAAUUUAGGGUUCCUAUAUGACUUCCGUGUGCUGAAUAAGCAACGUGGCUUUAAAACCCAUUAAAUCCAAAUUAGAAGAUUCAACAUUGUGUAUCAGAUUCAACAUUUUAGCAUAUCAGAUUCAACAUUUGCAAAAUACUUGAUUCAACAUUUUAUAAAAGAUACAUCAACAUUUCGGAACACAAAUUUCAACAUCUUGAAAAAACAUAUUCAACAUUUUCUAAACCUACAUCAACAUUUUUUUAAGAAAAUAUCCAUGUUCCUUUUUCUCCGGUGCUAGCAGGGCAGCAGCCGGGGAGGUCUGACGGCACGCGGCGGUGGGGUUGGUGGGUGCGGGCCAGUGCGGCGGCGCUGGCGGGUGCGGCAGCGACGCGUGGCCCGGUGGAGACAACGGCGGGGGUCGGGGGCGGGGGCGGCGGCGGCAUAGCUAGGAAGAAGCUGGGAUUGAGGAAGAUAGGCACAUCCAAUGGGAGGAAUUGCUUUGCACAAAUCGAAGCCAUAUAGAUAAAUGGCUACCGGAAGCCAGAUAGGAAUAGUGGCGAAUUUAUCACUUAUCAGCCCAACAACACUCACGGCAAAUAAUCUAUCUGAUGAAAGCCCAAGCCCACUUCCCGGUGCCUCCCAACCCAAAACUAUUGGACCAAAAUAGCCUGUAGCCAAAUUUGGGCGAAGCACUACGGUAUGGUGGGAAGUGGGGGAUGGACCAGCGGAGGGAUUUAGGCAGUGCACCCAAAGCAGACAGGAAGUCUUCUCGUCACCUCUUAGGGUUUGUUUGGAUCCCCAGAGCUAAAUUUUGAGCUAAACUUUUAGCUCUUGGGAUCCAAACAUGUGGGCAAAAAGUGGCAAAGAGCUAAAAUUUGGACUAAAAAUUUUAGCUUCCAAAGAGACCCUAAAAGGGGCUAAAAGUGUUCCUCCCCACCAUUUUCCGCCCUCUGCCCCCCUUCCUCUCUCUCCUCCGCCUCCCACCCGCCGACACCCUCCCGUCCAUCGCCGCCCGCCCCUACCCACCGGCCUCCCUCGCCGCCCGACACCGUCACCACCCGUCCCCUCCCUCACGCAGAUAUCUGUCGACGCUGGCCCCCAGAUCUCGCCGCAGCGGGCAGCGGUGAGUCCGCGGGAGACCCCGGCCUCCGCCGCAGUCGCCGGCGACAACGAUGACAGCGCCGCCACCUCCUCCUCCGCCUCCAACAGCCACCUCCUCCUCCGCCUCCACCUCGCCCCCGCCGCUGCCUCCUCCACCGCCUCCACCUCGACCUCGCCACCGCCGGCCUCGAUGCCGCCGGUCGCCGGAUCUGGGGGCCGCGGCCGCCGACAGGAGGGAGGACGACGAGGACAAGCUCACCGCCCCUCUCGCUGCCCGAUCUCACUGGAGGUGAUGCCAGCAGCCUCCCGCCCGGCCCCACCGCCUUCGCCGUCGCUGCCCCUUUCCCUCGCCCGACUCUCGCCGCCGGCCGAGGAGAGGGCCGCGGCUGGAGGAGCGAGUGGACGAGGGAGCGCAUAAUGAUGAAGGCUAGAGAGGGGUGGAGUGGGGUCACUAAUGAAGGGGCAAAUCAGUCAUUGUUUGAUGAGAGACUAAAGUUUAGUUCAUGGAUCCAAACAUCCCAGUAGAACUAAAGUUUAGAAGCUAAAUUUUAGGAGCUAAAAUUGCAAGAACUAGUGAUCCAAACACCACCUUAGUCCCAGGACAAAUUUGAUCGCAACGAUCUCGGGGGACGGAGGGAGUCACACACCACACACACCCUCGCACUGCACACCUUCGCCGUCGCCGGCACACCACUCGCCCAAGUUCACGACCUCACUGUUGAUAUGCCCGCGCUCGAACGGUUGACGCGCCGUCCUCUCUGCCUGCGCUUUCACUCGAUCGAUGUGCGAGCGGCGAGAGGAUCGGAGCAUGCAGGCUCGCCGCCGGUCGUCGUCGUCGUUUCGUCGUCUAGGGCCGUGUAGGCUGUUAGUACCAAGUACUAGUAGGACUGUAGCCAUAGGGGUGGCUAAACAAGGGGACAAUCUGGGUCCAAUCUAAACCGUCGCCAGGGAUGCGUUGCGUGUGAACUGAUCAGACACAUGCAAUGCUGUACUGUGCAGUCGUUGCAGUAUCCAACACGGGAUCCUGCAGGCGGCGGCUGCUGCUGCGCUGCAUGCCGUCAGCGUCGAAAGAUCUGCUCCCUGUGUAGGGCGCCUGCCACUGGCCAGGCCAUCAUUUCCAAAUUUCUAUUUGCUAUCAGGCUAUGGACGCAGGUCAUCAAGUCUACGAGUCAAACCUAUAGUAAAUGAGCUGCAUACGCUCCAAGCUACCUUAGCUUUAUACACCAAGGCCAUGCUUAGUUCCCUAAAAUCCCAACUUUGACACUAUGCAAAAAAAAGAUUUCCCAUCACAUCAAACUUGCGGUACAUGCAUGGAGUACUGAAUGUAGACAAAAUCAAAAACUAAUUGCACAGUUUUGUUGUACUUUGCGAGACGAAUCUUUUGAGCCUAAUUAGUCAAUAUUUGGACAAUAAUUCAUAAAUACAAACGAAAUGCUACAGUUGCGCUACAGUAAUUUUGGUUGUCCAAAGUUGGGCAACUAAACAAGGCCCAAGCAAGGUCAUUCUUAGGACAUGAUUGAAUACCUUUGCUAAACUUUAGCAGCUAAAAGUUGCUAAACUGUAGUUGCUAAACUUUAACCAUGGCUAUUUGGAUCCAUGAGCUAAACAACAUUUAAUGAGAUGGAGAAAGACAUAUUUACCCCUAAUCAUUGCUACCCCUCUCUUCUCUCCCUCCUCCCAGGCUGCUUCACUCCCGCUAGAAGUCCGAGACGCUUGGCACCAUCUUGCUCCUGGCACCAUUUCCUUCAUGCCGCCAUCUUCCAGCACGGAACGGUCCCGGAGCGCGACUCCGCCAGCGGGGCAAGGGGGGUUCUCGACGUCGAGCGCCCGGCCCGCCGCCUCUGGAUCCGCUGCUGUCGCCGGCCGCGGGGACGAGGGUGGGGCACAGCCUCCAGCGCCUGACGCGGAGGAAGGGGAGGGGCUGCUAGCACGCAGAUUUGAGGCCGUCGGUGCAGAGGAAGGGGAUUCGAGGCCACCGACGCGGAGAAAGCUGAGGGGCCGCCGGCGCAUAGAUGGAGGAAGGGGAUUCGAGGUCGCCGGCGCGCAGAUGGAGGAAGGGGAUUCAAGGCCGCCGGCGCGGAGGAAGGGGCAUGCCGUUGACGAGGGGGGAGAGAGAGAAUGGUGCGCACCAGACAAGCAAUAAUGAGGGGAAUGGGUGUCCAGCCCCAAGUUUGACAAGGUUUAGCAACCAAAAAGUUGCUAAAUGGCUAAACUUUAGCAACCAUAGUUUAGCAAAGUUUAGCAAGGGUGUUUAGUAAAAUUGUUGCUAAACUUUAGCAAUAAUGAAACAAAAGUUUUACAAGUAUUAAAUUGUAUGUUAUAUCAACAGACUUGAUAAUGUCAUUAUGACAGGAAAGAAGGAGAAGUCUCAUACUUCGGUCACCGACCGACUUUAGAAGAGUUUUAUCUUUUGAUAUAUUUAGUGGGAGUAAUCUUUCUUAACAUAUUUUGUCCCGUAGAAAAGCAAUGUUUUGACAGAUUUUGUUUAAAUGAGUAAGAGACACACUCAUGUGACAAUGCCUUAGCACGAUAUAUUUUUUUGUGAGUUGAGCGUAGCUCUGCUGUUACGGUGGAAUCCGGCCCUCUAAGAUCUCGUAUUCUCGAUCCUACGAAUACAUGCACGUAACCCUAUUGCUAUGAUCACCUCCGAAAGAUCGAACCGUCAAAUCCUCGAGAUUGACGAAGUCACCGUUGGCGCCUCACUGUCGACGGGCACGUCGCCAACCACUAAAAAAAUAGUGCUGGUUAAAUCCUUAAAAUACGAGCAUCAAUGCCAAGUUGAGGAUUCGGACCCUGGUGGGCACAUUUCAACACAAGGAACCUUACUAGCUAAGCUACACUUUGUUCGCAUAUUAUAUAUUCUUUUGCUAGUUCCCAAGCAACGUCUUUUGGGAAAAAACAUAAUGCGACUUUCCCUUGCCUAGCCGGUAUAUUGUUUUAGUGGUUUUUACUAUUGUUGAAUAAGCUGCAAAAUUUAGGGAAAAAGAAGGCAAGGAGUAGGAGGAAAAUGAAGGAAGAAGGAAGCCACGAUCAUUGUAUUCCCACAUAAGAAUUUUGACUGCUUUAUGAAAAUAACAAUAAUAUUUAGGAUAUCGCAUUGUUAGGUAAUUUAAUGUGGUAGAUAUUAAUGCUUUUCUCUACCCAGUUAGUCAAAUUUAUGCUUGUUUGACGACUUAGGAUAAAUUAGAAAUCCUUAUAUUCUAGGAUUGGUGGACUACAAACUUGAGAGUGCUGCAAAGGGUAAAAAAACAAAGAGCAUAGUUGGGCACGAGUAAAUGGCCAGUUGUUUACUCACAGCACAGUUUGCUCAAUUUGGAGCCAGUACGAUCUUGAAGAGUCAAGUGCGUUACACUCUACACGCACUGCCUACGCCUAGAGCCCUAGACAACUAUAGACCCGUAGAGCUGUAAUCUGUGAUGCGCUCUGCAAAUCUUCAUCGUUAUUCGUUUUGCUCCCUAGUUUGCUUGUGCUUUUAUGGUAUGGCCAUUGACCAAUGUUUACCUCUUCCCUGAUCGCUGGCCAGCUGGCAGCUGAAACGCUGAAAUGUCAGCAUUCCAAUCUUUUGCCGGCUGCAAGCUCUGCCGCAAAAUCUUUCACAGUUUCGUCCCACCCAAGACCUGCAUCGCUGCCAUUAUCUUCACUCAGUUUAAUUCAGUUAAAGAAUCUGAGUCAACCAUUUCCUUCAAAGGCCCUAUACAGAUUCAGAUACACUCCAAGGUGAGCACUUCUCCAGCAUUUCCAUCACUUCCCCUGUUCCCCACUCCCCCUGCCAGUGCCAUAGGCUCAAGUCAAGGGAAAGGACUCAGGAGACCAUGCUGGCAAUGGCAAUGGCAGCUCAGCGUCAGCUCACACGCCAUGAUGUCACGAGAGCGACGGCAGCAUGCAGCGCACGGAAGAUUUCCCUCGGAACUCGCCCAGCUCCAAGAUCCGCCCAUGCCAGCGGAGCCAGGCGGUGCAGACUGCAGAGCGCCAGAGCUCGCCGCUAACGUACGCGGUGCGCCUGCAGCAGCCAAGCGGGGCGCAGGACACAGCAACAACCAUAAAUGGGUCCCCCAAAUCGGUGCAAGAAGGCCGAAGUCAAUGGCGUGCAGCCGUGGAGCUAUUCUCCUUUCUCCGACGGGAUAGACUGGGGGGAGAGAGGUACUCUGGCAUGGAUGAGGAUGACAGCAUCAGCAGAGCGUGAUGCACGACAGAUGACACCCGGAAAAGCCUAGGCAGGCUGCAGGCAAGCAGGGUUGGCUUCCAUGCCGAUACCGGUGCCUCCGGGCCUGCGUGGAGCUAAUAGAGCCUUGUUUAGUUGCUAAAAUAGGGGAAUUACUGUGCCGGCACUGUAGCACACUGUAGCGUUUCAUUUGUAUUUGUGAAUUAUUAUCCAAACAUUGACUAAUUAGGCUCAAAAGAUUCGUCUCGCAAAGUAUAACAAAAGUGUGCAAUUAGUUUUUUAAUUUUAUCUACAUUUAGUACUCCAUGCAUGUACCGCAAGUUUUAUGUGAUGGGGAAUCUUCUUUUUGCAUAGUGCCAAAGUUGGGAGUUAGGGCUGAAGUAAACAAGGGCUAGGUUAGGGCUCGAGCUCCAGACUUCUGCUGCAGUUCCAGCUGAAACUCUACGUUUGGUUAAAAACGGUUCCACUCUUGUAACAUUAGAGGAGCUGGUUUGGUCAAAAACGAUUCCACUCCUGGAACAUUAGAGGAGCUGGAGAUAUUUUAUACGAAGAAGUGGGAGCUAAAAAAAUAACUCCUCUGGCUCCUUCUUAUUUUAGGAGGAGCUGAAUCCUACCAAACUGUCUCAUAGAAGACGUGCUAUGGGACAGAGUAGUAUGUUGUGCUAUCAUUGCUACCGUGGUCAUAAAAAUUAUAUUUUAUUUUUUAAGAAAAUAUUUCCACUGCCUCAACGCAUAUUGUUGGAGACGCUCUCUCUCCUGGGCACACUGAUUUAUGAUUUACCUCUGCCAUCCACAUUGGUCUCACACAAGCAUUCUGGUCAACCCAAACCAGUACUCUAGGAGUAAACCUCGUCAGGAGGGAGUAUCAUUUUUGUAUCUAGGAGAUUUGUCCCUACAGGGUGUAGAGGAUAAAUUUAGACUCCUUUUACUGAUUAACGUGCUUGCUUCUUUUUUCCGGCCUCAUAUCUCUCGGUCAUAUCAUGAGAUUGGCAAAGUUAUAUUUUCGGUAACAAAAUACGCUAAUGGCCUAAGUAAACGAUCAAUUAAUCCCGUAAGUUGCGCCAAUCAAAACUUUACGUAGUGUAUUGUAACGAUUAGUAUAUGCUAUUUUUCUCAUUUCUUUUAAAUUACCAUAAAAGUCCUAAAAUCCCUUAUCAAUAGAGACAGAGGGAGCAGUUUUCUAAACUUUUUUUUUUACAUGUCUUCUUAUUUAAGAAGCAAGGAUUAUGGUGUUGCGUAUCAUUGUCCUGAAUAAGUUCCUUUUUGUUGACGUGGGUACAAAUCAGUUUGGAGGAAGUACAGUGUUUGUAGCUGUACAUGUAUACGCGAGUAAAGGAAGCACUCGUGAGGUUACUGCUGUACCGAGCCCUAUUAAGUGAAGAGUUGAUGGUGCAUGGACGCCAGAACCGAUACACGCACGUACUAGUACGUAUCCAAAUCCAAGUAGUGAAGAUGCACUACAGUUAUACAGUACAGUGUCAUCUCGGUUUGGAAGUAAAUGGUGGCACAAAUCAGCCCUUCAAUGGUGUUAAUGACGGGAAGAUGCAUGGAGAUACAGCACAUAAAUAACUACCUAGGUACUACUCCAGCGUACGCGUACCGUGAUUGCCGAGAUUUGUGAGCUUAAUAACGUGCCAUCAAUGUAUCACGGCGGUGUACAUCGUAUCCUCACGUGCUGUAGUUUGUCUUCGAGCCUUCGCUGGAUGGCUGUACUCCAUCGAUCAGUCGCUCUGUACAGUCCAUACUCCAUACUGAACUGUGAACUGGCCAGUACAACAUUUAUACGGAGAGAGAGAAUAGAGGGAGUAUGCUGCAAUGCAACGCAUUGAAGAGGAAAGAUCCGGUGCGUGCCGACGCUGCUCGCCAAUGGCCAUGGCAGCGACAAAAGAUUUCUUCGUUUCGGGGCGGGCCGCCUCGCCUCGCCUCGCCUCUGGGAUAUGCAUGCGCCGCGCCAGCUUUUGCCCGGCCCGGCCGGCCGUGCCGGAUGCCACCGCCCCCCGGAUCCACUGCGCCGGACCGCCCGCUGGCGCGUCGCGCUUUACCCUCUGGGAUGGAUAGGGCAGCACUGGAUCCGGCCGUACCCGAUCAGCCGAGACCCCUGGCCCCGCGCGCGAUAUCUCUCGGUCGCCGCACCGCCGCUGCGUCGUGAUCUCCUGGUAUCUUCCUUUGGCUCGCCUCCCCGCCUCGGCUUCGGCUCCUCCUCUGUGUCUCUUACAAUCUCUCUAGCUAGCCCCCACCUCCCAACCGUCCUGUGUGACGGCUGGCCUACUGGCCUCGCCUCGCCUCGCCUUUAUAUAACCGCACCCCGCCGAAGGGCUCUGACGUGCUCACAUCGAUCGGUGUCCUAGUGCCAUCAUACUCAGUCCAGAGGCCAUUUUGAGGAGAGAUCCUAGGUAGCGGUGCUCGAUCGGCAGAGAGGUAGAGGAAAGGGAGUGCCUGAGAGGGAGGAGAUGGCGAGCUGCAAGGGUCUCGGCGGGGAGGGGAGCGCGGCGGCGCCGCACGUCCUCGCGGUGGACGACAGCUCGGUCGACCGCGCCGUCAUCGCCAGCAUCCUCAGGAGCUCGCGGUUCCGCGGUGAGUCAUUAGUCUCCUGGAAAUGCUGCUGCUUCUGUCUUCUCUGUUGUGGUUUUUGUUGUGUAACCUGAAGGCUUCGAGUUCUGCAUGCAGUGACGGCCGUGGACAGCGGGAAGAGGGCGCUGGAGCUGCUGGGCUCGGUACAGAACUGAAUCUCUUCCUCAUUCUGUUUCAGAUUCCACUUCUUUCUAUGGGUUUUUCAUGAGAAGAUAACGUGUUGUUGGGUUGCAGGAGCCCAAUGUGAGCAUGAUCAUCACGGACUACUGGAUGCCGGAGAUGACUGGGUACGAGCUCCUCAAGAAGGUCAAGGUGCGUACGCGCAUGGUUGAGCCGCAUUUCUUUUCUUCCGAUUUCAGCAUCCGCAGUAUAUCGUCAUAGAUGCAGAUCACUGAAUGGCUUUCCUGCAUGCAGGAGUCGUCCAGGCUGAAGGAGAUCCCCGUGGUGAUCAUGUCCUCAGAGAACGUCCCAACCAGGAUCAACAGGUUAGCAUCAUAUGCCCAAGCACUGAAGCCAUUCAUGUCUGUUGGUUUAGUCCCUAUAUUCUUUUCUGCUGCUUGUUGACAUGCUUUUGGUGGCGAUGGUUUUGUCAGGUGCCUGGAGGAAGGCGCCGAGGAUUUCCUGCUGAAGCCCGUCCGCCCCUCCGACGUGUCGCGCCUCUGCAGCCGCGUCCUCCGGUGAGCACGGCGACGGCGGCACGGCGCGUCCCGGCAUGCGUGCUCGGAGUCUUUUGGGGUGGGGGCAUAUGGAGUGGUAGUAGCAGUAGCGUUCCAAGUAGUAGCAGUACAAGUUGUUAGAUAUGGCCUGGUGCCGUUUGUGUAUGUUGCUCCCCUCGAUCUCUUGCUUCUCUUAGCCUUUUGUCGUGCCAGUAGAACUCGCAGAAUUCAGGCAACACAUCUUGCCAGUAAUGUUCUGUAACCCUGCAUGUUCAGCUAAUCAGUUAGGUAAAGAAAAUAGUUGUGUUCCCUGCAAGUUUUCAGUUGGCUUGAGUUCAUACGGUAAAGCCGUAACUUUGCAUUGGUUCAUGUGUCGGCAACGGCACGUUAUGCCCGCUUCGUUUACAUUGAAAGCAGCAGUCGAGAAGAUGUUGUACAGCAACUUUCUAGCACAGCACACAUUCAAGCAUGUACUGAUACCGAUCUCAAGUGACGUGCUUGCACACGUACUAUGGGACGGUGGGAGGUGGGGCUGCGGGAGUAAACUAGCAAGAUCUGCAUCCGCUGCUGAAGGAAUAGGAUAUCAGAUUGUACUUUUGGGUGGCACAGUGAGUUCCAAGGGCUUUUUGGUUAGUACUUGGAGGGUAGUACUGCAGUGUAUGUCCUGUGCUCAUUAUGGUCACGGUUGCAGAUUAACUGUCGGUUCAAUUUUGGGUUUGAAAACUUUUACAUUUCUCGCCUCCUGAAGAUGCGAGGUAAAAGAACGUAAUCUUAAAACAGCGUACAGCUGCUAAGGAAGCUAACUGUUCUUUUUGAAGAGGAGUCACCUGACGUUGUGCUCUUUUUUAUCUGCUCUGGGGUUCAUUUUCAACCAAGCAGUGCGAAACUUCCUAGCGUUUUCCUUCGAAAAAAACUUCCUAGCGUUAACCUUUCUUUUUUUUUUGAAAAACUUUAAUCAAACCUUUCUAGCAGUGAGAGUAGGCUUCGACUGUUCAACUUUCUUUGGCUUAGUUUCAACAACCUAUUAUGAAUAGCAAACUUUUGAAUUUGUGACGCACCUAUUCUGAAUAGUAGGUUCUACACUGACGUCUGGCCCAUCUACUUCCACAAAACAAAAGUACAUUGCUGGCCUCGUAUGGCCUACCUUGGCCCAGUGACUGGAAGAAACUGUCCCUUUCUCCGGCCUGCUAGGGGAAGUGCUCGUGUCCGGGUGAAUUGAAAUAAUCGAUCACUCAACUUUAGUCUUCAGACCUCCUCUCAAAAAAAAAAAAACUUUAGACCUACCAUCAUUGUUGAACUUGAGAGUUCAUUUAUCUUGUUUCAAAAAUAGAAACAAAAUAAAGAGUGUGUUUGAUCUUUGAUGAUGUGAUGCAAUUGAAUUUUGCACUACAAUCGCGAAGUAAUACUCUUUCUGUUAGCUACUACUAGCUCUUUACAUUUACAAACUAGCACCAGUCACGUUGCACAAAGUCGCCAUCGAUCGGACAAACAGAACGCAGCUCAUGGUGACAUGAACGCCGAAACAAAUCCGUCAAAUUUUCUGGAGUUUUGUUCCUGACAAAUCAUUUCUUUCUUGAAAAACAAAAGGGAGAAAAAGUUCCUUUUUCAAAAAAGAAGAGAAAAAAAAAAAGGCUAGAACAGCCAAAACUCAAAAACCUAAACCCUUCCGCGCACCGCCGACUGCCGUCUGUCCCUCACGCACACCAUGGCCUUCGCCGCCUCCCCAUCCCUCUCCUCCCUCACUUCCUCCACAUCCUCCGCCGCCGGCGCCGCCGCAUCCGCGGCCUCCUCUUCGACCUCUUCUUGCAACGCCUUUCACGCGCCGAGGCCCCUCCACCUCUCGCUCAAGCCCGUCUCCCCGCAACCCAAGCCCCAGUCGCUCUCCUGCUCCGCGCCGCACGUCCCCUGCGCCGCCGCCGGCGACGGAUCGGGCACCGGGAACCGCGGGGAUGGCUCCGGAGGGAACGGCGGCAAGGAUGGAGGAGGCGGCGGGGCCGGCGAGGAUGACGACGACUACGAGGAGGCCGAGUUCGGCCCGCUGCUCGGCUUCGACGAGGUGCUGCGCCUCGCCGCGGCGCGCGGCGUUGCGCUCCCGGGCGACAUGAUGGAGGCGGCUAAGGACGCCGGCAUCCGCGAAGUCUUGUUGCUCCGCUACUUCGAUCUGCAGGUACUCGAAUUGCAGGGGAUUUGUGUACGGAAGGUGUGAGCGUGGCCGUUUUUCCUCAUUCCUUUCGAUGUUGAUCUGUGCAGGCUGCGCCGUGGCCGCUGGGCGCGAUGAUCCGGGCCUUCUCGAUGCUCCGCAACCGGAUGCUUGCGGACCCGUCGUUCCUCUUCAAAGUUGGAACAGAGGUGGGUGUGAUUGCUUAGUUAUUUCUUAAGUGAUCGGAUUAUGAGGGGUUUCAGUUUCAGUUACAGUUCUGUAGUUGCUUAAUUGAGUUUUGGUUUUGGUGCAGAUUGUAAUUGACUCUUGCUGCGCCACAUUCGCGGAGGUGCAGAAGAGGGGAAAGGAUUUCUGGGCAGAGUUUGAGCUGUAUGCUGCUGAUCUUUUGGUCGGGGUGGCUGUUGAUAUUGCGCUCGUGGGGCUAUUGGCUCCUUAUGUGAGAUUCGGGAAGCCAUCUGCUUCGACAGGGCUCUUGGGAAGGUUCAACAGGAUGGCUGUGUCUUUGCCAAGCAGGUGAAAUUUCAUUUCAGUUGUUUUCUUUGGAUAUUGGUAGCAACACCAUGAGAACGGCUUGAAUUUGAAAGUCUGUUCAAUUUGUAUUAUAUUGUUCUCAUGACCACUUCUUGAUCUAAUAAAGUGAAGGUGAUGGUGUAGAUGUGGCAAAUCAACAGUAGUGUAUUAGAGCUUGACUUCAAACAUUCUCCUGUAUGAUACUAUGAUUUUGAAACUGCAGCGUUUUUGAAGCUGAAAGGCCAGGCAGCAGGUUUACAGUUCAGCAAAGAAUUGGAACGUAUUUUUACAAGGUAACCAAUCUUACAUGGGAAGGUUGCUCUAAAUUUGGAGCUAUAGUUGAUGUUUAGCUCUAAUUGCUGGACCACUAUUCUGUUGUUUGGACAGUCUUUAAAACAUGUCUGUUUGAAUUGCAGGGUGUCCUGUAUGGCUCAGUUGGAUUUGUCUGUGGUAUAAUUGGUCAAGGGAUUGCUAACAUGAUAAUGACUGCCAAGAGGUAAUGGCCAAUUGUUAUUAGUGCUUCUGCCCGUCAAAUUCCAGAAUAUUGUUAUGCAAUUGGACGACUAAUUUCAUAGUUUGCUUCUGAAUUUAUUGGUUGCUGAUCCUAUUGAACUAGUGUAUUUUGUUUCCAUAUACAGUUUAUUUUUUCUUAUUGAUAUCAAUCUAUCAUGUUUAUAUGUUUUGUUCUCUCCGUAACUAAUGUCGGUUAAUGUAUUAUCUGAUCCUCCCCCCUCCCCCCUACUUUGACUUGUGUGCUGAUGCUUGUUCCUUGUUCAGGAGUGUAAAAAAAUCAGAUGAAGAUAUUCCUGUUCCACCUCUCGUUAAAAGUGCUGCACUUUGGGGUAUGCUUAUCAUCUGUUGCCUUUUAUUAUCACAUUUACCUGGUCUGAGAUACAUUUUUCGUGAUUGCAAAUAGCUAAGUAUUGGUUUGAUGUCUACUGAGACAGUGAGACAUCAAGAUGCAGCAGGGCAUAUUUCAGUGUUGAAUGCUUGGCACUUUGCUAAUCUUACUAAUAUUGUCAUCAUUGUUCAUAUAACUAUAUUGGAUCAGAUGAUCUCAGAAAUGAAAGUUCAUUUUAGUUAUGUUGCACAUCUUCUGGUACCUUUGCUUAUGCUACUUUUAUGCAGCUAACUGUGUCAUUUGUGUGUUCAGCUAGGAUAUAAUUUAUGUUGUUCCUAUUCAACUGACAAACUGUGUUGGCAUGUAGGUGUGUUCCUUGCUGUAUCAUCUAACACGCGCUACCAGAUUAUCAAUGGUCUGGAGCGGGUAGUGGAAGCAUCGCCUGUCGCAAAGCGCGUUCCACCUGUUGCUAUGGCUUUCACCAUUGGUGUUCGUUUUGCCAACAAUAUCUAUGGUGGAAUGCAGUUUGUGGACUGGGCUCGCUGGAGUGGUGUUCAGUAAUGGUGGGUACUCUUAGCUGUUGCAGUCACCAAAACAUCAUUAGGUUUAGGUGGUGGAGCUUUGUUGUUUGUUUCCUUAGAUUUCAUGAUAAGUAGUGGGGGCUGGAGCUCUGUGAAAGUUAGGAACUAUUGCUUGGAGAAACCAGGAAGCGCAUCACAUCAUUUGGUUGGCAUGCAUGAACUGAAAACAAGAAAUCCAUUUCUAUUGCUGUUGGGGGCAAAUGUUGUAGUGUGCGUUCGAAAUUGAUCAUCUGCACUUUUGCCAGACUGAAUGAAUAAAGGCGACCUGAAUUACCCCUAGAUCUCUGUCUUGUGUUGUUAAGCUCUAAGCUGAAUUCUUGCGGCUGCAGCACCAGUUACUCUAAGCUGCUGUAGCUUUGAUGGCUAGCGGCUGCUGCCGCCAGCUGCAGCAAUCUUUGCCGAUCAGGUGCUUCAGUGUCAAUUCUUCACGGAGAUGUCAAGUGCAUGAACAUACUUUUGAAUGAAAGCUAGACGGUAAAGGUCUCAGAUUUUGGUGCGUCGAGGUCGAUCCCAAUUGAUCAGACCCAUCUAGUCACAGCCGUGCAAGGAACAUUCGGAUACUUGGACCCGGAAUGCUACCACACUGGCCAACUCAACGAGAAGAGCGACGUUUACAGCUUUGGAGUGAUACUUCUCGAGCUAUUAGUAAGGAAGAAGCCAAUCUUUGAGAAUGAGAACGGCGAGAAGCAGAACCUGUCGAACUAUUUCCUAUGGGCGAUAGGUGAAAGGCCCCUCGAGGAGAUAGUGGACGACCAGAUUCUAGGGGAAGCAAGCGAGGAAGCGAUCGAGGGCACAGCUCGGCUGGCACAGGAGUGCCUCAGCCUGACGCGAGGGGAGCGGCCUACCAUGAAAGAAGUGGAGAUGAGGCUGCAGAUGCUGAGGACCAGCCACGCCGUUGCUCCAAGGUCGAGGAUGGACGAGGCGGUCCGUCCUCAAAUCAACGGGAUUAUUGGUGCUGUUCUGGUGGCUGCUGGUCACCACGGCUCACGGCAGUACAGCCUAGAGCAGGAGUUGUAGAUUAAUUGCUGGCAGUGCGUCUCGCUGCUGUGUGCAUUUUCUAAAUAAAUUGCUUGUCGUGCCGCUAUAAUUUUGUACCGCAAACCUCAUACAGAGGAACAUGUACCCCCUUCAAAACAUUUUCGAGCAAGUAUCCUCUUCAGAACUGAUAUGAUCAGGAACAGGAUACGGCUGCCGGAGUGUAAUCUGUGGAUGCUAAUUGGUAAUUGCUACAUGUCUUGGAUUGAAAAGAAUGGAAAUGAUCAUCUGGACCAUAGCUUGAUUUCCGUUGCCCUACCCCUACUUGGGCAGGCUUUUGUAAAUGCUACUCAGGGUGUCUGGAUACUAGGUGCUAAACUUUAGCAGUGUCACAUCGGAUGUUCGGACUAAAUAUGAGCUAAUUAUAAAAAUAAUUGCAGAACCUGAGCUAAUUCGCGAAACGAAUCCAUUAAUCCAUCAUUAGUAAAUAGUUACCAUAGCACCAUGUUAUCAAGUCAUGGACUAAUUACACUUAAUAGAUUCGUCUUGCGAAUUAGACUCUGCAAUUAGUUUUGUAAUUAAUCUAUGUUUAAUACUCUAAUUAGUAUCAAACAUCCGGUGCUGAACUUUAGCGCAUGUGGUAUCAAACAUCCCCUCAAGAUACCUGAGGUACCCGGCGGCGGCCACGCCAGGCAAGAGGUACUCCGGCGGCGGGUGGUCUCUGAUGACCUUGGCGUACCUCCUCUUCCAGAGGUCCAUGUCGAUCUCGGCGGGGUCCGGCUCGCGCCCGGCCGCCUUGUCCUCCUCGACCUCCCUCAGCGUCUCCUCCAUGAAGCGGUCGACGUCGGCGUGCAUCGCGGCCAGGUGCUCCCGGGCGGCCCUCCGCUCCUCCCGCGUUGGCCACCUCUUUCUUCCCCUUCCCCUUGGUCUGCGACGUCGCCCAUGACGAGACGAGGGCUCGGCUGAUCAGCGGUGCUCCGUCCUGGUAACGAACACGCGUCGGUUAUCUCCCUCCAUGCGUGGCGCGGCGUGCCAUAUUUGUAGCGCUUUUGGAGUUCGGACGGACCGCCCCCCAGUCGAAUCGAAUCGGACCCCGAUGGCGGCGAGCCCUCAUCGGACUCCGGACUCCGCGUUGCACGCUCCGCGCGACGAGAUUUGGGCCGGUUACUUUUGGUUGGGCCAGUUUGUUAAAAAAAAGUUUGGUUGGGUCCCUUUCUCCCGUCUAAACAAGAAGCCCAAAUGCCGGUCACUUGAGCUCCAGCCUUCUUUGUCCUCGAGCGCUGUGAAAACUGGGCCGUAUAGCUAUAUUCAUCCUGUAUAUAUACGAUAGUUGAAGAACAUUCACUCAAAAGAAAGUAAUAACAGCUUUUUUUUCUUCAAAAAAAGGGUGAGAACAGAACAGUCCCUAACUGUCCAACUUCCUCCUCGCUCAUAUGAAAUGUAUCACACUUAAUAGACCAACAGGAAUACUACAGCUUUUCAUCAACCUGUACAUAUUUUUUCAUCUGAUAUUAAUCUCAGAAUAUUGUCCUCUCUCUGACAUACGGAUUCACAACGGAAAAGACUAUUCCCCACUACACGCACAGCAGAUGAGAAGCAGGCGGAACAUGAACUUCACAAGUCACAACUAUUAACAUUUCAUCUCCAGAAAACAUUCUACGAUAGCGUUGUAAGGAAAGCAUCCACCUUGUCGUUCAUCGUCCUCGACAGGAACUUCAUGCAGAUCGGAGGCUUCACCUUGGCAAGAGCCAGCAGCGACUGAGGCAGGACCCAUAUCCCAUCGCCACAGAUCAUGCCGGACGCGACCGCAGGCGCGAACGCGUCCGCCUUGGCUCUGUCCAGCCUCUGCCACACGAACAGUAUCACCGUCCCGACGAACAUGUCCACUGCGAAGUACGCCCCGAUGUAGAAAGGGAUGGCCAUUGCCAUCGGGAUCGGGAUGAACCGCGACACCUUCUUGGGCACCAGGUCCCUGAUCAGGUUGAUGACGAUCGCCGCGGCGAAGAACACGUAGCAGAGUGUGAGGCAGUUCUUCGGGAGCGAGGAGAAGCCGUCCACGCCCAGGAUCGCCAUGCUACGGAACACGGCGGCGUUUGGCGCGGGGUACUCGCUGCGGUCGACGCCAAUGUUGCCGAAGGCCUUGUAGAAUAGCCAGAACACGCAGGGUGCGAUGACGCAGCCCAUCGCCGUGCCUAUGACUUGGCUGAUGAACAUUGACCUCGGUGAGGCCAGUGUCAGGUAUCCGGUUUUGAAGUCCCCCAUCAGGUCAGCAGCUGUGCCCACAAUGUUCAUCAUCACGCCACAGGCAGCCAGCCCAGCAAGGACGCCACCAUGCGAGGCGCCUACCCAUGCACCGAAUGCAAAGAUCGCAAGCUUUCCGUAGGUGGUAACUAGAGACCAGUCAGUGAGACCAGAUCCAUAGGCAUUGCAGAAGGCAAGUAGAGGAGCAAAAAUGUAGGCUACCAGGAUGUGGUACCACUUCAGCUGUGGAAAUAUCUGCGGCACAGUACCGAUAGAUAUGGCAGCAAUAACAACAUAGCCUCCAAGUGCAACAUACCAAGGAAUUUGGUCUUUGGUGAAGAGUUCAUUGCGCCGCUCUUCGUCGUAUGAGACAGGGGCGGUGUCGGUAACUAUGGCAUCAUCAGAGAUAGGAAGUGUACUAGCAUUACUUUUCUUGAGUUGAGAUCUUAAUGAAACUGCUGUGAGAAUGGAUAUCUUUAGUACGUUGUAUAUACCAUCUCCAAGAAUCAAGGCAAUGGCCAUGAAGACCUGCAAUACCGACAGAAUUUAGUGGCUGAAAGGAAAACUGAGUCCUCAGGGAAAGAACACACAACAUAUCCUUACCCGGUAACCUUGCAUUCCAUGAAGAUUGGUGUCAGCGAGAUCAGCAGAGAACCAAAUUCCCUUUUUCUUGGCUAUGAGGGGCCACAUUAUUCCCCAGGAGAGAAUGGCACCCAGGAGAAUAGAUACAUUGACAAUAUGUGAGCAAAUCAUUCCCACUCCAACAUACGUAGGAGAGAAGUCAAAGUAAAACCUUGGAAAAUAAAAAGAAUGUUCGAUUAAUGAAGAACAUAGAAAAAAAUGUGAUCUGCAGAAGAAAGAAACAUCAAAUGUUGACAUGUCGUAGUUGGAUGGACAAUAAUUCUUACCUGUUGUCAAAAGCUUGCAUGCCUAAUGAUGGAAAUUUUUGGAAUCCACAUUCUUCUAUGUUAGCAGUAUAGAACCACUGAAAGAAACCCCAAACAAAGCUAAGGACAAAGAAUGUGCCCAAUUUCUUCACUUGCUUCCUGUAAACAACAAGAAACACAAAUGAACUUCUCAGCUCUUGUGCCCUACUAGAAUAUAAAUGAAUACUAUUCUGUAUUCACCUUGCAAGCUUGGCACCCUGGGGCGUGUGAAAGCCGUUUAUGAGGUAGGCUGUUGCAGUGCCACUGGGAUAUGUCAGCUUGUAGUCGACGAUCAUAACCUGAAUAAUCCAUAGUAAUUUUUGUUAAAAUGGUGCUGACGGGAUUAACCAACAAAGAGGGUUGGUCAGUUGGAUAUAGAAAUUGACCUUUCUCAGUGGCACAAGCCCAAAGAGCCCAAUGAAGCUGACAAGGAACAAGAAACCAAUUAUCCAUCCAAGUUGUGGAUUUUUUAUAUUUUGAGCAUCGUUUGCCUCAGUUGACAUGGCAGCAAUUUUAUCACUCAUGGCCAAUAGGUAGCUACCAAAGCCCCCUGGAAAGUCAGCAUGUGAAAACUAAGAAUGCCAGCCUAUAACUACUUUAAUUUAGGAUUUUUGCAAUAUCAUCUGUAAAUAAUUUAUUGGUGGACAGCUACAACAUAUUAAAGGUAAGUACCAUGCAGCCCCUUAUUUGCCAACAUAAUAAGGUAUUAAGGUUACACUUUGCCACUGUAGAGUCUGUAGGAAGAAAAAAGUUUUCACUAUUCUACCAGCUUGCCACUAGUUAUGAAUAGAAAAGCAACAUGCAACAAAAGUGCUGUUAUGUUUUUCUUACAUUUUUCUCCAUCCUAACUGGAUAAGCUGUGUUGCCGCAUGUUGAUAUCAACCUAACUUUUUAAUUCUAAGAGAUAGGAAGUCUUUACAGCAAAAAAGGAUGGGUUGUUCUGAGAUUGUGACAGCUAGAUGGGAGCUUGGGUUGUCUAGAAGUUGCCUAUCACUGUCAUGAGCGGUAGCUUACAGAGUCCAGCUGACUGUUUAGAAUUAUCAAUUGCAUUAGCAAAUUAAACCAGUUAAAUAAUCUCUGGUAGUUUAAGUAAUAGUAGCUGUAAACCAGACGUUUCCUCUCAUUCUCUUGAGAAAUUAAUAAACCAAGAAAAUGCAGGCUCCUUCUAAAGUAUCCUAAUACAGAGAGCAACCCAGCUAGGCACUUCUGAAUCGCGUCACUUCCAAGCAUGUUCUUCCAAAUUUGUCCUGCACUAUGCUUCCACACUAUUUUCUUUAUUCAGCCAUUGACAGAUUCGUCGAAAACUUGUAGCUAUAUUGGUACAAGGACAUUUGUUUGUAUCCAGGGACAGACCUAGGGCAAGGCGACCCUGGGCGCCCACCCAGGCUCCACAUCUGCCAAAACCAUGAGCUUAUUUAGUGUUUAGCUGUUGGGUAGCACGAUUUAUAGAGCUGUAGAGUGGAGACGCCCAAGCUCAUCGAAGUUACUGGGUCCGCCACUGUUUGUAUGUAUGGUCUAUGGAUCAGAAUACGGUGCAAGGAAAGCAACAGCCUUGACAAGAAUCACAUUUCUGAUAGCCUUAGCUCUCAACUGGGUUCCCAGGUUGCUCCCACAAAACACACACACACAAACACAGUGGAUUGUUGCUGCUGGAACGACUGCAGCUUAUCUGGUUCUCUUCUACUCCAUAUAUAGCUGAAUAAGAGCUACAGUAUUUGAUAUGGAAAAUAACUGCUCUAAUUUGCCUACUACUGCCAUUAUUCUGUGCUGAAAAUUAGCUAGCUCUAAAGACUAUGCAUCUAAACAACAUCACGAACCUGGACAUGCAGGAUUAUUUUCCAAUAAUUUCAUAACAAUAUCAAGACACACAAGGUACAGUGCGCGUGGGCCAAUAAUACGAAACCACAAGCAGAUAAAUUCAGUAGACUUGGCUUUUGUACCCUGCAAUCUUAGCGAGAACUAACACAGAGGAGAAGGAAACCAGGCUACUGAUCUACUGCAAGCAUAGUUGCAAAGAAUUAUCCAGUCGAUUAUUUCUUUUUCUGUAUGAUGCAUAACGAAAUCACGAGUUCACGACCAUAAUACCAGAAACAUGCCAAGAGAUUAUGAUGACUGUAAACUUAGACUGUUUGUCCCUAGAUUAUAUAGGCUGGAUUAUGGUCCAAGGAUAAUAGGGUAAAUAUCUAUCUUGGGAUCACUUGGGGACCACAAAUAAUUCAGAUUAGUUGUGGUCCCAGGGUGAUCCUCAAGUGUUCUUUUACCAUAAUAUCCAUAACCCAUAAUCUAGAUUUAUAAUCCGAAACUAACAGGACUUAAUAGAUGGGAAAAAGACGAUCACCGCUAAAGGCGAGGCCGUAGGAGGCGACAACGCAGGUCUGAAUGACGGUGUUCUCCUGGCGCGUGAAGGGCUGCUUGAGCAAGCCCACGCUCUCGAUGGCCUUGGUCCAGAGGCGGACGAAGAAGAAUCCGAGGAGCCCCGCGGAGAUGUUGAGCGAGGGGAUGAUCCCCGUGGUGAGGUUGAGCUUCAUGACGAUGAUGCUGAACAGGACGGCGAGGAAGAAGCUGACCACGAAGGCGCGCACCGUCAGCUGCUCCCGCCACGACGGCACGGGCUGGCCCGCGAACGCGCGCUCCACGGAAGGCGCCCCCGCCGCCGCCUCGUCCUCCUCCGCGCCCGCGCCCGCGCCCGCCCCCGCCCCGUCGCGGGCCGGCGACGCCGCCGAGGCCGCGCGGCCGUCGCCGGGCUUGCCCCGCCGCCGGAGCUCGUUCGCCUCCACCAUCUCGACGCCCUCGGCGCCGUUCGAGCCCGGGGCCUCGCCGUGCGUCGCGGUGGCCAUCUGGACGGGGACCCGCCGCGGCAGCCGGCAGCGGAACUUGGGGGAGGUGGAGGUGCGCACGUGCGGGAACUGCUAUGCGCCCCUGUUGGGCAGAGCACGCGCAGGCCAGAAUAUUUAUGGAGGGUUCUGGCUGGCAACCGGUUCGAGGUGACGUGGCCGUUGGCUAGGCGGCUCUUGGCUGGAAGUUUUGACUGGUGCAUGACGUCACAGCCGGGUCGAGUAUGACGCCCGUUGCAUGGUACUGUCUCUCAGUCAGCCUGUCACCAGCGUAGCACUCGUACAAAAUCAGGCCGGCGGGGUGAACUGUCUCCGGCGAGCCGUUAGGCAAAAUUAGGUUCCAGAUUCCAUGGAGUAAAGUCCAUGAAUUAAAUAUGCUUAACAGGCGAAUUAGCCUCCAUAUGUUAAUUGGUUUUAUAAUUAGCUCAUAUUUAGUCCUCCCGAUUAGCAUCCGAAGAUUCGAUGUGAUAAGUACUAAACUUUAACUCAAGGAUCCAAACACAGGUCCAAAACGUAUAUUUAGCCCAUGUACUAAACUUUAGUCCCCACCCUGUUUGGAUUCAUGGACUAAAGUCCAUUAAUGCAGAUGAACAAAGACGAUAUUACUCUUGUUUUGAAGAUGGAAACUCCUUGCUCACCAUCUUCUCACUCGACACCACCCGAACCGCCUCCUUGGCCUCCUCCAAUUUCUCCGCUAGCUCACCCUUCUCUCCGAAGAGCUCAGAGUUCUUGCCCUCCAACUCCGCCACUAGGGCCUCCAAUCUCGCGACUUUGCUGGACACGGCCGCCACCUCCGCCUUCUUCUCCCAGAGCAACUUCUGCGACCGAGCCCUCACCAUGACAGCUUCCUUGAGCCGCGUGUAGACCUCACCCUUGGCGCUCGCCUUCCGCGCCGCCCGCCCCUCUGCAUCCUGGAGCAACCCCUGAAUGGCGGCGAGGCGGGUACGGAGUGCGGCGACCUCGUCGGCGGCAGCGCGGAGCGGCACCGUGAGGGCGGCCUGCGCCACCGCGCGCUUGGUGGUGGACAGCACGUUGGCAUCGGCGGAGAGCUCAUCGAGGCGCGCCGUGAGUGCCGCCACCUGCCCCCGCCGCUCCAUCACCUCCUUGAGCAGCAUGGUGUUGAGCGCCUUCAGCUGCUCCGCCUUCCGAUCCCGCGCCUCUUGCGCCGGCGCGUCCUCCGCGGCCUUCACCGGUGGCACCUCCUCCGCCAUGGCAUGGUUUCCAUUGCCAUUGGUGGCGGCGUGGUUGCCGUUGCCAUUGGCUGCAGCGGGAGGGAGGCCGGCGGUGACGGCGGCGGGGGCCGUGCAGGAGGGAGGCAAUAAAUGAGGGGUAAGGGUGUCUUCCAUGACUUUUAGUCCACUUUAGUCCACCCCCUUGGACUAGAGGACUAAACCCUUUAGUCCAUAUUUUAGUCCACCUGUUUGCCACUUUAGGGACUAAAAGGGGCUAAAAUGGGUGGAUUAAACUUUAGUCCAGGUAACCAAACAGACCCUAAGAAAAUGUAUUUGUUUUGGACUUCAAAUUUAAGCGGUGACAAAAAGAAAGAGCAGGCAUUUAGGUUUGAUAAUUUCAGCAGUGUUUUAGAGAUAGGUUUUUUUUUCUUAAAAUGUAUUCGAUCUGCUUGUUUGUUAAGAUCAGCAGCGGAAAUGAGUCAUGAUGCCUUCUUGAGGCACGGAAGAGGUGAGGAGUGAUGCGAAGCGCUCCUGCCUUCUUGGAUCUUGAAGAUGAGCCCCCCUCCUAAAUUUGUGUGGGGCCGCCAAUGACUAGGCUAGGAGAUAGUAGACCAAAGUGUCAUCAGCAUCAUCAACUAGGAUCGUGGAGACAAUUGGGCACUCCUAGUUGUGAGCUUAAAUAUCGAGUGACUAACCAAUGUAUAUAGUUUUUUAAUGGUAAAAUAGCUAAAUUUGUCCUUGAACUUUCGAGUUCGAAGGUCAACUUCACCUCCAGUUCUUGAAAGGUCCAGUUUAGUCCUCAAAGUUCUAUUUUUGAGUCAAUCUCGUCCUCCAUAUGUUGAGGAUAGAUCCCCAGGACCCGCAAGGAAGGAAAAAGAUAGACUCCUAUUAGGAUUCCUCCUACUAGGACUCAUACCAUGUAAUCCUAUUAGGACUCCUUCUUGUAACCGACUAGUAAUAUCCCACCCCCUGAGUAUAUAAAGGAGGGUAGGUGUACCUAGAUCGACAGGCUCAGAACCAUCAUCAAUAGCCAACAACCAGGCUACAGAACACACAAGCGCAAGGUGCAAUAUACAACACCCCAAACAGGACGUAGGGUAGUACGCUACUUUGGCGGUCCGAACCUGUAUAAAUCCGUGUCUUAUGUCCUCGCUUUUACCUUCGAGUACCAGGUCCGACGAUUCCACACCAACAAAUCUACUACCUCGGGAUACCCAUCAUUAGGUUGUCGGGAAUAAAACACCGACAUCUGGCGCGCCAGGUAAGGGUGAUCGUCAAGAUCAUCGGGUGAGCUUGAAAGACCUCAUCAUCAAAAUCAAUCUACUCGACAAGAAGAAAGUCACCGAGUCAAAGUCCCGAGCAGACAAAUCUACGUCGAGAUAUAAUUGAUGCGCUCCGUGUUCCAAUCAAAGACCGAGUCGAUUUCCGUUGUAGGCUGCUACGUACGGCUCAUCGAUCAAGUCACAUGCAUAUUGAGGCAAAUAAUCAAGUCGCCAAUGACUACUUCAACUACUCAUCUCGACUACUCGUCUCGACUAGAAACUAGUCGAGGGCGGGUUCCAUGUGAUCAACAACUAGUCAUAAUCGACUCCGACUAGUUGGCUUCAUCAAUGAUCGACACGGCUUCGUCGGCAAUCGUCCACAAAUCAAGGUAAGUUAUUUUUUUAUUAUUUUAUAUAAAUUUUCCGACUUGUUUUUCGCAUGCAAGACAACGCACCGACUACCUAUCUGUGUAUGUCUCUCGAUGGUAAUUACCCUCUAGAGCUAAACUUUACCAACUAUUUCAAGGCAUGUUGACCGACAACCACGGGCUUGGUACACCGAAUUAUGGAUGCUACAACCAUGGGUUUGGUGCACUGAGUUUUGGAGGCACUGCCACGGGUUUGGUACAUUGAAUUUUGGAGGCAAUAAUCAUAGAUUUGAUGCAUUGAAUACUAGAGGCUCACAACAGCUACACCCUAAAAAGACACAAAUCCUAUGCGCACAACAUGCACUCUUCUCGCUAAAAUUCAGAAACGUCUCAACGAUUACUUUAAGCGCAAUCGCUCUCUCUUUUGUCGCAAUGCCGACUACUCAUUUUCAAUGUCUUCUCUUAGUGGUCGCCAAUAUUCUUAAGCAGAACACGCCUUAAAUUCGUGGUAGCCUUAGAUCUUCUAGCCUAAAUGCUAGCACGCACACACAAGACAAAAAGAUCUUAGACGUGCAAACAGUAGUGCCAGUACGUGUACAUGACACACAAAGAUCUAACACACGUAAUGGCAAUAGCUAAAUAGGAACUGAGAGCCUAAACGUAACAGGCUAACUAUUCGGGAGAAAUAUGGCCGAAAUAAGAGCAUGACACACAACAUUUACAUGACAUUCAUCACUGAAUAAAAUUCAGUAGUUCCAAAAUCUACAAAUAUACUACAUAAUGUAUGCAUCUCUUUUUACAAGUCAAGCUUCGGCGAGGACUCUCAUGGAUGCUCAGUGUACCAACAAUGGCUCUGCUAGCUCUCAAACUCGAGGGCUAAGCGUCAAUAACUACUCGACGUGGCUCCUAUGACUCACCUAGCGCAUAAGCUCGAGGGCUGGACGUCGCAAAACUACUCGACGUGGCUCAUACGGCUCACCUGGCACAUAAGCUCGAGGGCUAAAUGCUGCAAAACUACUCUGAUGAUGACUUAUGUGAAGACUAAAGACCCUCGAAUUGAUUAUUUAAUUAUUCCAAGGCUCGAGAGCUCAUAAGCUACACCCAAGAUUUUUCAAGAUGAAAGAAGAAGAUUUAAGAUUGUAUUAACCCUCAGCUUGAUUCUUCAAUUCAACCUAAGGAUCAGAGGCAACUCCAUAUGAAGUGUGACUUAUGUCGCCCUCCAUAUCACAUUCCAAAGAUGAAGAUUACAAAAUUAAGAUGAUCAAGGGCUUGAGCACACCAUAGUCUCAUGCCAUAGUCUCAUGGUAACUUUGAGAAACUUUGAAAAUUCAACAAGACAAAGUACUCGAAGAGCACCAAAACUACUCGGCGAGGAUCUGAAAAGUACUCAAGGCUACUGCAUUUGACUAUGAAGCGCUCGGGGGCUUGUUGGGGAUAGAUCCCCAGUACCUGCAAGGAAGGAAGAAAACGGACUCCUACUAGAAUUUCUCUAUAAUCCUACUAGGACUCAUACCAUGUAAUCCUAUUAGGACUCUUCCUUGUAACCGACUAGUAAUCCCGCCCCCUGAGUAUAUAAAGGAGGGCAAAGGUAUCUAGAUCGGUAGGCUCAAAACCAUCAUCAAUAGCCAACAACCAGGCUACACAACACCCAAGCGCAGAGCGCAAUAUACAACACCCCAAACAGGAUGUAGGGUAUUACGCUACUCUGACAGCUCGAACCUGUAUAAAUCCGUGUCUUGUGUCCUCGCUUUUACCUUUGAGUUCCAAGUCCGAUGAUUCCCCACCAACAAAUCUACUACCUCUGGAUACCCCUCGGUAGGUUGCUAGGUAUAAAACACCGACACCAUCCGACCUGGACCUCCAUGUAGGCGCGCCACAUCAUCCAACCGGAUCUUAGGAUUUUGCUAGAUAGGUCAAAAGUCUAAAUUACCCUCCAUUUCCUUCUAUAUCCAAUUGCUCUUCUUCUUUUUUUCUCUCUCACAGCUGGCUCUCCCUUAUCCCUUCCUUCUCCAUCGCAGCUCCACCUCCAAAUCGACAGCGCUGAUGGCGCGUGGUGGAUGGCAUAGGAACGGAAUGACAAUAUGAAUGGAAGGAAGAACCCUCAGCGAUGAUGAAUUGGAGCGCGCACGUGUAGAGAUGGAGGUAGGCACCAAUUUUUCCUCAAACUGGAAUUCUGGGAAUUUGGUGUUCAAAUUGGUUCAUUCCUACAACUUGUCUACUGAUACAUGGCGAUUUUGAUUGUUUCUGGCAGCUCGAAUGUUUACUCGAUGACAGAAGGCAUGUUCGCAUGUUCUUACCGCGAUGGUCAGUACCCGAGAUUUCACACAAAUGGACCAAGAGAGGAGAAGCCAAAUGAAAGAAGGGCAUAUAGGAUGUUUGGUAAUUUGCUAUAGUGGACCAUGUGCUUAGGUGACGUAGAAUGCCUAGUUGGCUAUCCAGCUCGGAUUAUGGAUAGAAUUGAACCUAAAAACUAAAGUUUGAGGACUAAAUUGGACCUUGCAAAAGUUGGGAGACCAAGUUGAUCUAUUGACAGAAGUUCAGGGAUGAAUUUGACUAUUUUACCUUUUUAUCGAGUGGCCAUGUGUUUUAUAGUCUAAUUUAAACAAUCUCCGACAGGGAAACGAGUUAUUAACCAAGAACCCCCAACCGACAUUUUCAAAAAAAAACAACCACCUAAAAAAAUAACUCUCAGAAAAUGUCCUAAUUAGACUAAAACCCUUUUGGUAAUUGAAGAAAUUCUAAAAACAUCGCUAAUCAUCAAACACUCGCAAAAAAGCACUUUGGAAUAAGGUUGUUAGGAUUGGAAUUCUAGGCGUACAAUGGAUCAUAGGGCAUACGUUAUCACAUUUUGCAAAAUAUACAUUUUUAUGUAAAAAUGAAAAAUGUACAAUAUGUCAUAAAAAUGGCCUAUAAUUUGAUUUUGAUAAAUUAAAUUUAUUUCUAAAAACUCAAUUGGGCUUUUCACAUUAUUUUCAAUCCUCCUUAAUUGUAAACAAUAUUUUAUCACAAAUAAUCAUUUAAAAGCUCUCAUAUAACAAUUAUUACAUUACUAGUAUUGUAUGACAACACGAUAAAUGAGUAUCAAUGUGUAAGGAUAUAAUAAACCUACUGACAAAGCUCAAUUUCUUAUAAAUGUGUAAUUUUAGAUGUCGAUAAUUUUUUCCCGUUGGGAUCGUGAUCUGUAUAGGAUCCUACCAAUCUCAUGGGAUCAUGUAGAACUCAUAGCAUCGUGAUACUAUGAAAAUUAAGAUGCACAAGGUGGGAUCGGAACCAUUUCGGUUAUGUAGCUAACCAUUUCGGUUAUGUAGCUAAGAUCACAGUAUCUUAAGAUUAUCUGAUCCGGAUCAGGAUUUCUGAGAAAUGUUGAAACGUGGUAAAUCUUGGUAGUGUCUAGUAAACUCCAGGGAAUCUUAAUCAACAAGCUGGACGACGUACACGCACGCAAGAAAGAUUCUAUUGUAGAUGAGUCUAAUAUAAAGUUAUCCUAAAGAAAAGAACCCAAUAAUAAUAUGAUCUAUACCGGCUUAGUAGUCAAAGUCUCCGCAUUCGAAUCUAGGGAAUCUCGGCAAAGGAUAAGAGCAAGUAUAAUAAGGGGCUGUAAGCUGGCUGAAUGCUGACGUGGAGGAGAGAGAAGAGGUGAGAGAGGAGAAGCGGGCUAUAAACUUACAGCCGACUUGAGCACUGGAACCAAGAAAUUUUGUGAGAAUGACUUGUGGACCAUGUAUUAAUAAUGAAGAGCUAAUCAUUGUACGAGUGGGCUAGGAAAAGGCUGAGAGAAAUCUUACAGCCCGCUUGCUAGCUGCAUUACAAAACUUGCUCUAAGAGAUACACGAUACGCAUUACCUAGCGAUGUCAUCACCGGUGCGUGUCCACACUUAAUUCCACUCAUAGGAGAUCGCUAUCAGUGGUAGUGUAGAUAGCCCACGUCAUCAUCCCUGAUUUCCAAUUAUCGCCGCUGCUGCUUUCACACGUACGCUGGCUGUCGCCGUACGCGUGCGUGCCUUCACACGGGGACACAGACAACUCGAGGAAACCCAGAGAUCGAAGCUAACGGUUUUCAGAGCUGUUGCGUGGAUUUUUGGCAUCCUAUAGGCCCAAAUCGUAUCUCGAGUCAACGCGGGCGUGUGAUGGUUUAAUUUCAGCAUGCUCUGCAUUGCCUCCUAAAUCAACAUGAUCUCUGCAUAAAUAUAAUCAACAGCUCUCCUGCUCAGUUCAUUUAAAAAGAAUAAUUUUGAUCAGCGAAGACGACUUGAACUGUACGUCCUCGGAAUUGUAUUCCUACUAGAGGUAUAAUCUGAAUUGUAUUCCUGCUAAAGGUAUGAACGCCGACUAGCCGUGCCGCUCCGUACCAAACGCCUAGUAGUAUUAUUCAACGGUAACCGUAUAGCGAUGUGAUGGGAAUCUACGUUCAGCUUGACUUUGAGUAAAACAUAAACCACAGGCUAGGCAGGGAAUAACGAUCGAGAUUUUCGGCUGACGCGGAGGGAUGAUCCUGUCGUACUCUCAUUAAUCCAGUAAUUCGAUUAACAUUUUUAAAGGGCUGGCAUGUUGAAUGGGAAUUCUUCUUCAUGUCGAUCUGCUGCACAUUGCAUGUACACUCGUAAGGUGAUCUUCAUGGACAGCAAUGCCGUGAAGCCGUGACAGUGUCACAGUGAUUCUUUGGAGGGAGCUCUCCGUCCUCUCAAUCAGAAGUUUAGCAACUCAGGGCAUGUUUGGUAUGGCUCUGGAGCUAAACUCCAACAACUUCAGCUAAUUUUGCAGUCAAAUAUCUUAGCUUUAAAAUUUCAUGGAGCUGCCAACUCCAUAGAGCUGCAGUGCAAAUGGAGGUGGAGUUUUGAAGCCCCCUCUUUUGCAGCUCCAAAACCACCCAAUAUGAUACCACUGAUUAAAAAAGCAGUUCACUUCUUUCUCCCGAGACCUCCCGCGCCUGUUCCUCACGCCCUCCCCUCCUCCCCCCCACUGUCUAGGGUUUGGCCGCCGCCGGCCGUCGUCGUCCACCCGACCCUUCCAUCAACACACCAUCGGCCGGCCCCUCCUGCUGCCCCUCCCUACCAUCGCCGGCCGUCCACCCCCCUCCCCCGGCCGCCAACCCAUCCUCUCUGCCCCGCCGCAUCCCACCAUGCCGUUGUGCCUAUCCCACCGCGCUGCCACCCCAACCACACCGCUGGCACCCAUCCAGCAACACUAGCAAACCCAUCCCACGGGCCGCAGCCUUGUGCUAGCUCGGCUGGGGCCUAGCAUUGGCGCGAGGAGGUCCUGUCCUGCGUGAGCUGCUUGGCUACCUGAGAAAGAAGAAGAGGGGAAUAAGUGGAUGAUAGGUGGGACCAUGAGUUGGGGGCAAGAAUGACAAUUCACCUUCAAACUCCUUUUUUCUGGAGCUGGGGAUACCCUUCCAGCCAAACACCUCCAUCAGACAGCUCCAACUCUACCUAGAGCUAGCUCCACCUUGAGUUCUGAAGUGGAGCAGCUCCACCUAAAGUUAGAGCCAUAUCAAACAGGACCUCAGAAACCGUGGCCACUUGAUUAUUCAAAACGCCUAGCCUAACUAGCACCACUUGGAACCUUGUUAGGAUCAAGCUCCAUGGCCGGCGACAGAAAACAACAUCCAACUAAACGAAAAACAAACACUUCUAGAAUCGAAUAGUAAUAUCAAGGGAGGAAAAAGAAAACAAAUGCAUGGCCGGAGAGCAAGUGUGAGUAGCAUCCAAUCAGAACGGUCAGCAAGUCAACGGGCGCCGUAAAGAGACAGCCUGUCUCACACUCCCAACGCCGGGAUGGCAUCCCCGCCGUCCGGUUCGAAACGAACGGCAGCGAGGUUGCCCCUCUCUGUGGGCACUCCUCCUCAGAGCCGCACGCGCGCGCAGCCAUGCCAACGUUCCAACCGCGAUAAAUACUGACACGACCUCAAAGGCCGCGCUCCAGUCAGUCCACACACAGAGACAGACGAACUCAGACUCGGAACAGUGCGGCGUCGGCCAUUGGCCAACCCGAGAUGGCGCCGCAGACCACCGCAGCCGGCGGCGAGGAGACGGUGGAGGAGGCGACGACGCUGCGCCACCGGCACAACGCGGCCAAGGGUGGCGGCGGCGGCGGCGGCGGCGAGGAGGGGCAGGCCACCCACCAGCAGGUGGAGGACGAGGCGGCGGCGGCGGCGGGGGCGCUGUCGGUGGAGCGCGCGUUCGAGGGCCAGCCCGUGCCGUCGUGGCGGGAGCAGCUGACGGUGCGCGCCUUCGUGGUCAGCUUCUUCCUGUCCGUCAUGUUCAGCGUCAUCGUCAUGAAGCUCAACCUCACCACGGGGAUCAUCCCCUCGCUCAACGUCUCCGCGGGGCUCCUCAGCUUCUUCUUCGUGCGCCUCUGGACCAAGGCCAUCGAGAGCAUGGGCCUGCUCAGGCAGCCCUUCACGCGCCAGGAGAACACCGUCAUCCAGACCUGCGUCGUCGCCGCCUACGACAUCGCCUUCAGCGGUACGGUACCUUACCUCUUCUCUGCAACCUGCUGGCUUGCUGCAGAGCACUUUUGGUCUUUUAGACGGUUUUGCAUUGGAUUCUUUGGUUACUGAUAAUUGUAAGCAUGAAGUCACGAACACAACUAACAAUUUAAUUAUUAAAGUCAACUUCGAAAGGAAAAAUCUCGCAGUCAGUCAUUAAGAAACUGUUUAUGGAGUACGUUGAUUCUUAUGUAACUAGCUACCAAGAUGGUACACGCAAGUUGCAACUUGAAGCACGUCUGAAUACUGGCGACCUCGAGCUGAAAUAGAUGACCUAAAAUCCGGAUGGGCUAGACUCUGUAUAGCUUUGAAUUAUUUGAAUACUUGCUUGACAUGAUGGGGUGAGUCCCAGGGAUGUGACGCUGCUAACUUGGUAGAAGCAUUUUCGCCUAAUACUAACUCAAGCCUAAUCACAAUCAACCGUUGCGGUUGCUUUCUGCUUAGCACGUUCAGGAAAAUAUUAGAUUGUUCAGCUGCAUAAUUAAUUUCCUAUAAAAAAGAUGCAUAAUGAAUUUCAAGUAACAAGUGCAAUAUUGCUUGUUACAAGGGGGACAGUGAUGCCUUGCUUUUCUUCUUCUUCUUCUUCCUCCUCCUUUUCUUUUAGUUUUUUUUUUAAAAAAAGGGAGUCAGGAGCACUGUCGCUAUCACUUAUCCCGUCGUUUGUGUGGAAAGUUAUGUAUGUGAUAAAAUUGUGUACUGAUCCAUUCUGACUGAUAGGUGGGUUUGGCACUUACUUGUUUGGGAUGAGCGAAACCAUCGCCAAGCAAGCAACGGAGGCUAACAAUCCUCAAAAUGUCAAGAAUCCUCACAUCGGGUGGAUGAUAGGAUUUCUCUUCCUUGUCAGUUUUAUCGGCCUAUUUGCUCUUGUGCCUCUAAGAAAGGUGAAUCUUUUACUUAUUUCUGCGCCUAAUGCUCUUGCUCAUUACUAAAUAGUAACAUUAUACACCAACAUAAUCGGCAACUGUUAUCGUUGGUACAGAUUAUGAUUGUCGACUACAAGCUCACAUAUCCAAGUGGCACAGCGACUGCUUAUCUCAUCAAUGGUUUCCACACGCCAGAGGGUGCCAAGCUUGCAAAGUAAAUUAUCUGAGUGUCGUUUUCUUCUCUGUUGUAGUUAUUGUGUGCGGUGUAAUCAAUGUUACUGACUGCAUAAAUUAUAUGUUCAAGGAAACAAGUGAAAGCACUAGGAAAAUUCUUCUUGUUUAGCUUCCUUUGGGGCUUUUUCCAGUGGUUCUACACUGGUGGAGACAGUUGCGGGUUUCAGAACUUCCCUACAUUAGGCCUCCAAGCUUAUAAGAACAGGUCAGAGCAUUACAUUAUCUUGGUAAUAGUGCUCUAAAUCUGAAAACGAUUUUGCUAGUUUAUGACACUAAUGGCUUUGAGUAUAUACAUGUCUGAUAUCUGAAACCAGCCUAUUGUAAACUUAUUGGUUUGGUUAGCAGAAUGAAAUCAGCUUCCCUUACUGAACCUGAACUUCGUAUUUCAACUUUCAGGUUUUACUUUGAUUUCUCUCCUACCUAUGUUGGAGUUGGGAUGAUUUGCCCACACAUUGUGAACGUGUCUGUUCUACUGGGAGGCAUCCUUUCCUGGGGAAUAAUGUGGCCUCUAAUACGCAACAAGAAGGGGAGUUGGUAUCCUGCCUCUCUACAAGAAAGCAGUCUUCAUGGACUGCAGGGUUACAGGGUAAACAUCAACAGUCAACACUAUCACCCAUCUUCUGUUUCACUGCUGACCUUUUUCGCUACUUGCAACCAAGCAGCUAAUCUGCUGAACAAUGCAGGUUUUCAUUUCCAUCGCUAUAAUUCUUGGAGACGGCCUGUACAACUUCGUGAAGGUGCUCAUUCGCACCACUGCCGGCUUUAUAUCCAUGAUGAAGAAAGACAGCACCCUUCCAGUUUCAAACGAUAGCAGCCCCAUCACUGAAUCUGUUUCAUUCGACGACGAACGCCGCACCGAGCUGUUCCUGAAAGAUCAAAUCCCCAAAUCAGUCGCCUAUGGAGGGUACGUCGCCGUCGCCGCCAUCUCCAUCGGCACCCUUCCUCAGGUCUUCCCGCAGCUCAAGUGGUACUACAUCCUGGUCGCCUACAUCUUUGCACCGGUGCUGGCCUUCUGCAACGCCUACGGGACCGGCCUCACCGACUGGUCCCUCGCGUCCACCUACGGCAAGCUCGCCAUCUUCAUCUUCGGCGCGUGGGCCGGCGCGUCCCACGGCGGCGUCCUGGUGGGGCUCGCCGCCUGCGGUGUGAUGAUGAGCAUCGUGUCGACGGCCGCCGACCUGAUGCAGGACUUCAAGACCGGGUACCUGACGCUGGCGUCGCCGCGGUCCAUGUUCAUCAGCCAGGUGAUCGGCACGGCGAUGGGCUGCGUCAUCGCGCCCUGCGUGUUCUGGCUCUUCUACAAGGCCUUCGCCGACAUCGGCCUGAGCGGCAGCGAGUACCCGGCGCCCUACGCCAUCGUGUACCGGAACAUGGCCAUCCUCGGCGUGGACGGCUUCUCCUCGCUCCCCAAGAACUGCCUCACGCUCUGCUACGUCUUCUUCGCGGCGGCGAUCGCCGUCAACCUGGUCCGGGACCUGGUGCCGAAGAAGGUGGCGAGGUUCAUCCCGCUCCCGAUGGCCAUGGCGAUACCGUUCUACAUCGGGUCCUACUUCGCCAUUGACAUGUUCAUCGGCACCGUGAUCCUCUUCGCGUGGGAGGUGAUGAACAAGGCCAAGGCCGACGCGUUCGCGCCCGCGGUCGCGUCCGGGUUGAUCUGCGGCGACGGCAUCUGGACGCUGCCGCAGUCGGUGCUCGCGCUCGCCAAGGUGAAGCCGCCGAUCUGCAUGAAGUUCUUGUCCAGGUCGGUGAAUGCCCAAGUGGACACUUUCCUGGGAAAUUAGCUCAGUUGGGGAGUUCGGCUAGGAAAGGGAAUUUCCUGGCUAGCCUGAACCCACGAACUUGUUUGCUGCUGCUGUGAAAUGUAACUGAUGCUGUAUCAUCAUCAACCUUGUACUAUCUGCUUUGCUGUAUGUUAGUAGGUCUGUGCCACAGUAAAGGUUGCCAGCGUAUACGCGUACUUGAGCAAGGGUAAUUACAUCUCGGUUCAGAUUUCGUAACCACCUGUAUCUCGUCAUCUCGUCUCUAUCCGAAGGCUAAACCAAAACGUAUUUGACCCGAAUUUGCCUUCUCCAAGCGAGAGAACAUCUGGGCCGUGCAAAUCCAAUCGGAGGGCCGGUAAACCAGAGCUCCCCGGCCUCGGUUAACAACCAGCGCCAGCCCCGGCAGCCCACCAGACCAUAUCGUUCAGGAUUCUACCAACUGGCUUCCAAUAAAUACGCCGGCUCCCAAGUCCCAACAAUCUACCAAGUCACGAACAGAGAGAGGUCACCAUGGCGACGCCGGCCAGCGCUCCCGGCGGCUCAGCCGCCAAUGACGCCGCCGACUCCAUGGAGCUGGGCUCCAACCUUCUCCGCCGCCGCCACGGCGGCGGCGGCGGCGGCGGCGGGGCCGGCAAUGCCGAGGAGGAGACGGUCUCGGUGGAGCAGGCGUUCGCGGGCAAGCCCGUGCCGUCGUGGCGGGAGCAGCUGACGGUGCGCGCCUUCGUGGUGGGGGCCCUCCUCUCCGUCCUGUUCAGCGUCAUCGUCAUGAAGCUCAACCUCACCACCGGCAUCAUCCCCUCGCUCAACGUCUCCGCCAGCCUACUCAGCUACUUCCUCGUCAGCCUCUGGACAAAGGCAAUCGAGAGCAUGGGCCUGCUCAAGCAGCCCUUCACGCGCCAGGAGAACACCGUCAUCCAGACCUGCGUCGUCUCCGCCUAUGGCAUCGCCUUCAGUGGUAAUUAAAAAGCCCAAACCAAAGCGCUUGCGGUCAUUAAUUUCUCUUUCUGUGCUGUCUUGCUUGUAAGAUUUCUAAGAAGGAACAACGAUUUUGGUGCAUCACCAGUGGAAAGGCGCACUCUUGUUUAUUUUUGGCUCUUAGCUUAGACUAAAUCUAGAUUAGAUCUAUGGCACGAUAGUACUCACAAAUUGUAUUUAUCAGAAAACAACUUUUCACCAAACAGUCUUCAGCUAUCAAUAAACCUGGUGGAUAUUUCAGAGUUCAGAAAUUAAUUGUGAGUGUGGGCAAGACACUAUUCCCUGCUAACACUUUAGAUUUACAUUGCCUGAUGAUGAUCCCUACAACUUUUCUUUACUUUCAGAAUGGCAAGAUAGUAAAAUAACAUGAAAUCUCUUGAUUUGUAAUUCACAAAUUUCAAUUGAGCAGGUGGGUUUGGCAGCUACCUAUUCGGUAUGAGUAGCACUAUUGCUAAACAGGCAACAGAGGCCAAUGAUGCUCUGAAUAUCAAGGACCCUCACCUAGGAUGGAUGAUAGGGUUUAUGUUCCUCGUCAGUUUUGUCGGCCUUUUCGCUCUGGUUCCUCUGAGAAAGGUAGAUGCUUCCUUUCCCAUUCUAGUUCUCGAAUCUUGAGGGGCAAUUAUAUGUUCAAACAAACUUCUAUUGUUUUAUCAACUGAGAGUCUGAAAUAAAUGUUUUCAGAUUAUGAUUGUGGAUUACAAACUGACUUACCCUAGUGGAACUGCGACCGCAUACCUCAUCAAUGGAUUCCACACACCCGAGGGUGCCGAGCUUGCAAAGUAGGCAACAUGAACUCAGCUGGCCAGUGAUUGUGAAAUCAAUAUGUGUUUACUGAUAAUACCAAUAACCUAUUUCAGGAAGCAAGUUCGAACAUUGGGCAAGUACUUCUCACUCAGUUUCCUAUGGGCCUUCUUCCAGUGGUUCUACACAGCUGGGGAUGACUGCGGAUUCAGCUCCUUCCCAACACUCGGCCUUGAAGCUUACAAAAACAAGUUAGUACCACUACACACUGGUCUCACAUUAACAGUGCUAAAUUGCCACACGGUUAUUGACUAAUGCAUGCAAUAUUAUUAAUAUCUCUAGCUUAGUAGUUGUCUGCUGGUUAUUUGAUCUUAUGAUAAUGUUCUCCUGUUUUCUAGGUUCUAUUUUGAUUUCUCAGCUACUUAUGUUGGUGUUGGAAUGAUAUGCCCAUAUAUCGUAAAUGUGUCUCUUCUUCUUGGAGGCAUCAUCUCGUGGGGAGUAAUGUGGCCACUGAUCAGCACAAAGAAAGGAAGCUGGUACUCUGAAUCUCUUCCGGAUAGUAGUCUACAUGGACUUAAUGGUUAUAAGGUAAAUUGUAAUUGGUCGUAUUAUCAUGCAAACUUUUGCUUUUCACAACUACACACAUAGAACUGACAGUGUAACACUGCAGGUGUUUAUAACCAUAGCAGUAAUUCUUGGUGAUGGCCUGUACAACUUCUUGAAAGUAUUUAUCCGCUCAGUAUGUGCAAUCAUAUCAGUGUACAAGAAUAAAAAUGCAAACACUCUUCCGGUAUCCGAUGAUGGCACCCCUAUCCCUACGAUUGAAACCGAGUCAUUUGAUGACAAGCGUCGCGUUGAGCUAUUCUUGAAGGAUCAAAUUCCCAAGGUAGUUGCACUUGGAGGCUAUGUCGUUCUGGCAGCUAUAACUAUUGGUUGCCUCCCUCUCAUUAUCCCACAGCUCAAGUGGUACCAUAUUUUGGCUGCAUACAUCCUUGCACCUAUACUGGCCUUCUGCAAUGCCUAUGGAUGUGGCCUAACAGAUUGGUCCCUCGCCAGCACCUACGGUAAGCUUGCUAUUUUUAUCAUUGGUGCGUGGGCAGGUGCUUCGCAUGGUGGUGUGCUUGUAGGAUUAGCUGCAUGUGGUGUCAUGAUGAGCAUUGUGGGAACAGCCUCUGAUCUGAUGCAAGACUUCAAGACGGGGUACCUUACUCUGGCCUCGCCAAGGUCAAUGUUCAUCAGCCAAGUGAUAGGCACAGCCAUGGGCUGUGUUAUUGCACCCUGUGUCUUCUGGUUGUUUUACAAGUCCUUUGACAUUGGUGCAAGUGAUGGCGCUUAUCCAGCACCUUACACCAUCAUGUAUCGUAAUAUGGCGAUCCUUGGCGUGGAUGGCUUGUCCUUGCUUCCAAAGCACUGCCUCACACUGUGCUACAUUUUCUUCGCCAUUUCCUUUGCCAUCAAUUUGAUCAAGGAUCAAGUGCCAGAGAAGGUUGCGAAGUUCAUCCCCAUCCCCAUGGCAGCAGCAAUUCCUUUCUACCUUGGCCCGUACUUCGCAAUUGAUAUGUUCUUGGGCAGUGUGAUACUCUUCUUUUGGGAAUGGAAGAACAAAGCUGAAGCCACAUCGUUCGGACCAGCAGUUGCGUCGGGCUUGAUGUGCGGUGAUGGGCUGUGGGCACUGCCCCAGGCUGUUCUUUCUCUUGCCAAUGUGAAUCCUCCCAUUUGCAUGAAGUUCUUGUCAAGGUCUGUGAAUGCCAAGGUGGACUCCUUCCUUGGGAACUAGAUGAUGGUUAGAUAGAGUAAUUUUUUUUUUGUUUCGUAGUUGAAGCGGUUAAAUAAUUCUAGUCAUGUAAAUUUAUUAGUCUCAUUGGGCAGUGGUCGUUUUUUUAGUAAUCAAGCACAAUUGGAGAAGCUGUCUGAGUUGUUUAGUGCUGCUUGUCUGGUUGCUCUCUCUGAAAUGAAUUUAUCAUGGUCGAGAUUAUCUCCAGAUUUCUGUUUAUACUGAACCUUUUCUUUUGCUCAGAUACAGUUGAUAAAUAAUCACGAGAAGCAAGAUUGCAAAUUUUCUUUUUUGGCUAAGCCAGGUCUCUUGGUAGAGGGUCUAAUCUUAUAGAAUUCAGACUUCGUUAUAAUAAAUGAGAGUUUGGGGGCCGAGUCUUAAACAGGAACAGCCAUCAGGUAGGUUCAGUUACGUAACCGGAGGACAGACUCAGCUUCAGGGCAUCUCUUGCUUGAAAUUGCCCUCGCCGCUGCCUGCCCAUCGGUGGCGGUACCUUUGGGGGCUGUGAUGGGCUGUUUUUUCACUGGGUCUAACAAAAGGCAGAAAUGGACGCUCAUCAAGUAAGAACAGACUGCAAACUUUUAAAUAUAUAUUUAGUUUUUAUAAGUAAAGGACAAAGGAUAGAAGUGGUUUCGGAGAAACGAAAGUACUAGUACACUCCAAAAUCGCAAAACCUUGGCAAGUGUGACAGUGAUAAAAGAUAGGCAGCCAGUAUGCCUGCAUUCUACUUCUUUCUGUGUCUUUGCAGUGUUGGUGGCUGUUGCAGAAUUGCUUGUCAUUGUUUGACAAUGUCUGAUCUCCGUGAUGCUAAUUAGUACUCUUGACAAUGCUGCAUAUUGUGAAGGCAUCCUCUUCUGGGAACAACGUGGCCUCUGGUAGGCAACAAGAAUCUCCUAGAAACUAGAGUGCCCGGAUUCUAUGCGUUGGAUUGAACCAAACAUGGGGAUGGCUGAAAACUAACCAGAUGAGCGAGCCGAUUCAACCCCCAUUCAGUUGUUCAACCACCCCUAAAAUUAGAACAGCAAUGCAUCUGGGAAACGGAAAGCAUGCAUGAAUCUCGACCGGCAAACAUCUGAUCCUAGAAGCACGCAUGAAUCUCGAAUCUUGACCAGAAUCUCCCUGCCCCCAGCGACACUGACAUCUGUCCCCGCCACCAGAUCAUAUCAAACGCACGCCAGCGAUCCCUAGUUCCCUACUGCCAGUGCCAAGUGCCACAAGCAUCAGCCCAAGUGACGCGCACUGAGACGGCAUGGCGCCGGCCACCGCCACCGCCAGCGCCUCCGGCGGCUCAGCCGUCCACGACAGCGCCGACGCCCUGGAACAAGGCACCAGCACCCAGCUCCGCCGCCGCUACACCGGCGGCCAGACGGGCGAGCUGGCCGACGACGGGAUCGUCAGGAGCAGGGCGGGCAAGCAGGAGCCCGCGCCGCCGUCGGUGGAGGAGGCGUUCGCGGACCUCCCCGUGCCGUCGUGGCGGGAGCAGCUGACGGUGCGCGCCUUCGUGGUGGGGUCCCUCCUCGCCGUCGUGUUCAACGUCAUCCUCAUGAAGAUCGACCUCACCACGGGCAUCAACCCCUCGCUCAACGUCUGCGCCAGCCUCCUCAGCUACUUCCUCGUCCGCGUCUGGACCAAGGCCAUCGAGGGCAUGGGCCUGCUCAGGCAGCCCUUCACGCGCCAGGAGAACACCAUGAUCCAGACCUGCGUCGUCUCCGCCUACGGCAUCACCUUCACCGGUAAAAGACCAGACCCCAGCGCUUCCCUUUCGUUUGUUUCGAGUUCGUUGUGCAUUUCCCGGCUCUCGUUAAUUACUUUUCAAUUCCAGACUAUAUCCAUAUUAAAUCUAUGGUAGAAUGGUAUUCGAUAUUCAUAACUUUAUAUAUGUUUGAAGAUGAUUUGGAAGCCAACGCAACAAAAUUCUAUUAGCCCUCCAGGGCAGGAUCUAUACAGUGUACAAGACACGUCGAUCGUGAGCCAAUAGUUAUCUAACUAACUAACUCCUAGUCAAUUGGAUCUGUUCCUAAGGGUGGAUCUGAUCGUGUUAACAAUAUUCAUCAGAAAGUAAAUAGUCAAACUACAGAAGAUUAGUGCAUGGUUGGUUCUUUUGCAGCAUUUCAGGCGAUCUGUCAAAAUAUGUUCCAGUUGAUUUCCUCAUUAUCAUUUCAGUCUCCAGCUCUAUAGCAACAUCUGUUUGCAAUUUGCAUGAUGGAGUUGGCUUGUCCUCCAGUUUUGAGAUGACUAGCAUGCAUACAGUUCUUGGUCUGCCCAACCAAAUCAAACCAGCAAUGAAUAAAUUGAGAAAAUUGAACACCAUGUGAAAGGAUUUGCAACUGCAGAAUGCCACCAACUUGAAGCAAAAGAAGCCUCAAUUUACAUAAACAUACAGAGAACCCUAUACUAGGAGUUAAAUCCAAGUAAAAUGGAAUCAACAUAAACAAAAAUAACAUCAGAUCAAGAACAUAGAAGUCACUGAACAAAGCAUAAUUGCCGACUCACAGAUAACAUGCACCGUCACCAUUUUGAUUGAAACAAUCAAAACAUGCACUGUCGCCAUUUUUACUGCAAACAUCUCCGGUGAAGGCUUCUCAAAUAAAAUCAUCACCAAAAACACACAUGAAUUAUUAGAUGCUGACCAAAGUGAAAGAUGUUACUGCCUGAGGCUGAACGAGAAUUCAUACCGACAUCACGUUCUCUAGUGCUCCCAUCUCGGCACCUCACACUCCCUGUCAAGCACCCUAGCUUGUUUAGAUAGGCGAGUAUACAUGGAAUCAAUAACAACUACCAGAACGGAAAAAAGAAAGGAAAAGGGUGAAGGGAUAACAGGUCAUAAAAUCGCUAGUCCAAGAGCUCAUAAAACAAUAACAGUACAGAUACAAUGGACACUGGAUUGACUAUCGCAAAAAAUUAUCUGACUGUUGUGUAGUAAAAAUGCAAAAUCGUGUGCAUGUGGUGAUAUGCGUACAAAUGAAGGGGGUGGAGGGAGACCAAAGGAACAAUUGUCUUUAAUGCUACGCAGGAAUCAGCAGCUUCAUUGAAGACAACAUGGGUUUGGCAGGAAAAGGAAGAGGAAUAUCGUGCGGGGGAAACAGUGUUCAAACUUGCGACUUCUGGCAAAAUUAGGCUUAGAGGGAGGGCCCCAUGUCUUGCGUAGAAGAAAUCAUCAUUUGAACACGCCACGAUUUAUUGGGAUGGGUCGAACCAUGUGAAUGAAUGAAAAGAGCCCUCACCUUCUUUGGCUGGAUCUUCAAAGCUUUAGAAAACCAGUUCGCCACACCCCCUACCCCUGUUAUCAGUCCUGUGUUGCCUAUGCUAGCACCCCAAAAUGAUCCCUGACUUUGUACAAUUCCGUAGGGCACACUACAGAAACACAACCUAUGCUUGUUUGCUUGUCUUCUUUUCGACCACCCAAUCCACAACAAAUCUAACGGAACCACUUGAAAUAUCGAUAAACAUGGAAAUUUUAGAAAUUAACUCUGACUAGGCAAGGCAUUGUUCCCUGGAACAAGGACCAUGCGUGUAUUUUGGGAUAAAAUCCCGGAAGAAGAUUAUGGAUGCUAUACUGACACAGAAAAUACAUUUAGAUUUGACAUUGCAUGAUGAUUCCUACAAUUUAUUUUGUGGUACUUUAGCAUGGUGAGAUACUGAAACAAUAUAAUCAUAUCAUAUAGUUACGAUUCACACAUUCUAAUUGAACAGGCGGGUUUAGCAGUUAUCUGUUUGGUAUGAGCGGAACUAUUGCUAACAAAGCAACAGAGGCAAAUGAUGCUCAGAAUAUCAAGGAACCCCACCUUGGAUGGAUGAUAGGGUUUAUGUUCCUCGUCAGUUUUGUUGGCCUUUUUGCUCUGGUGCCUCUGAGAAAGGUACAUGAUUCACUUUCCCACUCUAUUCUCCAGUGACAUUUUGCAAAAACAAACUUUCUGUGAUUAUCAACAGGAAUACUUGUUUUCAGGUUAUGAUUGUGGAUUACAAACUAACUUACCCAAGUGGCACUGCGACCGCUUACCUCAUCAAUGGAUUCCACGCACCCCAUGGUUCCGAGCGUGCAAAGUAGGCAACAUGAACUCUGAUAGCCUGUCAUUGCUAAAAAAAUCAAACAUUGUUGUUGAUAAGAUUCAUAUUCUAUUUCAGGAAGCAAGUUCGGACGUUGGGCAAGUAUUUCUCACUUAGUUUCCUAUGGGCAUUCUUCCAGUGGUUCUACACAGCCGGGGAUCACUGCGGAUUCGGCUCCUUCCCAACACUCGGUCUUGAAGCUUAUAAAAACAGGUCAGCAUAAAUGUGUCCUCAACAAUAAGUAAUUCCAAUGCCAGAAAGAGUAGCUCCCAACUUAUUUAUAGAGUGAUUAUCACGCAGUCAUGGACUAAUGCGUGCUGUCUUCAGAUGCAUCAACUAAUCCCUUUAGCUGAGUUGUCUGCUGGCCAUUCUCAAUUCUAUGAUCAUUCUCUCCUGUAUGAUUAGUCAUCGUCCUUGUUCUUAACUCGGUUAGCAUUUUCCAGGUUCUUUUUUGAUUUCUCACCGACUUAUAUUGGUGUUGGAAUGAUCUGCCCAUAUAUCGUAAAUGUGUCUCUUCUCCUUGGAGGCAUCAUCUCGUGGGGAGUAAUGUGGCCAUUGAUCAGCACAAAGAAAGGAAGUUGGUACCCUGAGACUCUACCAGAUAAUAGUCUACAUGGACUGCAGGGUUACAGGGUAAACUAUAAUCUGGUCCUACUAGCAUGCAACCUUUUGCUUUCCGCAACCAAAUGUAUUACCCAGAACUGACGACGCAACACUGCAGGUGUUUAUAACCGUAGCAGUAAUUCUUGGAGACGGCCUGUACAAUAUCUUGAAGGUACUUGGUCGCAUGAUAGAAGCCUUUGUAUCAAGGUACAGAAACAGAAAUACAAACACACUUCCUGUGUCUCACGAUGGCACCCCUGUCACUACCACUGAAACUGAGUCAUUUGAUGACAAGCGUCGUCUUGAGCUAUUCGUGAAGGAUCAAAUUCCCAAGACAGUUGCAUUUGGAGGCUAUGUCGUUCUGGCAGCUAUAACGAUAGGUUGUCUCCCUCUCAUUAUCCCACAGCUCAAGUGGUACCAUAUUUUGGCUGCAUAUAUCCUUGCACCUGCACUAGCCUUCUGCAAUGCCUAUGGAUGUGGCCUAACAAAUUGGUCCUUCGCUAGCGCCUAUGGUAAGCUUGCAAUCUUUAGCUUUGGUGCGUGGGCUGGUGCUUCGCAUGGUGGUGUACUUGUGGGAUUAGCUGCAUGCGGUGUGAUGAUGAGCAUCGUGGGAACAGCUGCUGAUCUGAUGCAAGACUUCAAGACUGGGUACCUGACUCUGGCCUCGCCAAGGUCAAUGUUCAUCAGCCAAGUGAUAGGCACAGCCAUGGGCUGUGUUAUUGCACCCUGUGUCUUCUGGCUGUUUUACAAGUCAUUUGAUAUUGGAGCAAGCAAUAGCGCUUACCCAGCACCUUACACCAUUAUGUACCGUAACAUGGCGAUUAUGGGCGUGGAUGGCUUGUCCCUUCCAAAGCACUGCCUCACACUAUGCUACAUUUUCUUUGCUGCAUCCUUCGCCAUCAAUUUGAUCAAGGACCUGAUGCCGAAGAAGGUGGCGAAGUUCAUCCCCAUCCCCAUGGCAGUAGCAAUUCCUUUCUACGUCGGAGCAUACUUCACUAUUGAUAUGUUCUUGGGCUGCGUGAUACUAUUCAUAUGGGAAUGGAAGAACAAAGCUGAAGCAGACUCAUUGGGACCAGCAGUUGCAUCCGGUUUCAUGUGCGGUGACGGGCUCUGGGCACUGCCAGAGGCUGUUCUUUCUCUUGCAAAUGUGAAACCUCCCAUUUGCAUGAAGUUUUUGUCGAGGUCUGUGAAUGCCAAAGUGGACUCCUUCCUUGCGAAGGAGUGACUUCUAGUUUGGUAGAAUAGAAUUAGCUUCCUUCCAUAGUAGAGGUGGUUAAAUAAUUAUAGUUAUGUAAGAGAGUGUCAUGGGGCAGAGUCAUAUUUUGUUUUUGUAAUCAAGCAGAUAAGAGAAGUUGUCUGAUUGGCUGCUAGCUAGUUUGAUAGAAUAGAAUUAUCUUCCUUCCAUAUUAGAGGUGGUUAAAUAAUUCUAGUUAUGUAAAUUAAGAGUGUCAUGGGGCAGCAGUCAUAUUUUGUUUUAGUAAUCAAGCAGAUAAGAGAAGUCUGAUUUGCUUAGUGCUGCAAUUGUCUGGUUGCUAACUCUAGAAUUGAAUUUCAUGGUCCAGAUUAUCUCUUGUGAAGCAAGAUUUCAAAAUCUCUCUUGCUAAGCCAGAAUCUUUAUGUAUGGUCGAAUGCGAUAAAAUUCGGACAUCUGAAGGAACACUUACACAGGAACGUCCAUCAGGUUCAGGUAUGGAAUCGGAGGAUGAAUGCCUGACGCUUGAAACGAGAUGCAGAAUGCAAGCUUACCUCGUUCCUGUCGAGCUCGUGCUUCCCGAAAACCACCGCGUCCCGCAGGUUCGCCCCCUCCCCUUCCCAUCGCCCAUCGCCACUGCUUCCGCGCAUCUCUUCUUCGAAACUGCCAUUGCAGGCAGUCAGGCACCAAAUCCGGGAGCGGACAGUACGGCGAAGCGGACAUAGCCUGAAUGCGAGAGGUGGAGUCCGGAAGGGGUCCGGAGAUUCGCCGGUGUUGGUCGCCGAGCCAGAAGACAUCGCCGCUGCGGCGCGUAGGGCGGCCACCGGCGGUUUGGUGCCUGAAGAAGGGGCGCGCGCGUCCUACAGUAUCAGAUCCAGAGCCGCGGCUGAGUGCGCUCUGUUGACGGUGCGGCGGCGCGGGAUGCAUCACGGCACCCGCCGCUGGCAGCGCGGGCUCGUCGGCCGGCGUGGAGUUUGCAAGGAACCCCCAAUUUGCGAUCCGGUAUUUUAAAAAAAACCCUAAUUUGGAUCGCGAUUAAUAGUCACGAUCCAAAUUAGGGGGUUUAAUGUAAAAUAUAGAUUCAGUAUUUUAAAAAAAACCUUAUUUUGGAUCGAGAUUAAUAGUCGCGAUCCAAAUUAGGGGGUUUUAUGUAAAAUAUCGAUCCAAUAUUUUGCGUUCUACCCCUUACUAUUUACAGACAUACCCCUCCUUCAUAUUGGCGAUCGCCGCCGCCGACGACCUGGCCCGAGCCAUCCAUGCCCUCCCCCUCUUCAAACCCUAGCACCGGCUAUCCACUCCUCCGCCCCGGCGCCGAGGACCGCGCGCGAUUCGCUUCAUCCGAGCCGAGGUACGCGCGCGCCUGCGCCUCGCCGAUCCGCCGCGCUGCUUUGAUCUAUGAUGCGUGCUUGGACGAGGUGUGACCUCCGGUGCUGUCGUGCCAGCGAUGACCGGCGGCGGCGGGUCGCGAUGGUGGGGGCACUCCCUGGUGCCCUAUGUAUAGCAGUGCAGACUUGUGCUCUUGCAUUCAAUCAGAAUCUUAAUUUGCUUCACUCGAAGUUGCAGACAUUUGUCUAGACCAAAAUUGCUACAUUGACUUUUUUCUCCAAUGCUGUUUUGUGAGAUUAUCAAAUGGCCGCAGCAAUUCCAUCUUAAGAUAGUUGGCUACUUGGAUUUACACAUCCUGUGCAUAUCCGCCUUACAGUCCGAACAGUUGCUGUAAAGAUUCCUCAUUAGAUCGGAUGCAAGUUCAGUUGCAGGCAUUGCAGUUAGAACUGCCGAAGUAUGUCCGGCACAGGAUUCUGAAUCAUGAUGUCUGUCACUAUUUCUGAAUUCUGGCGAAGCACUACUCUUUUCACGAAGACAGGCGUGACUUUUCCUACCGUCCUCGCUGCGAUCCAGGAAAGGUCGCCGAUCAUCCAAGAUGUCUGUUUUUGAGCCUUCUCGCUGGAUCACGGGUGGGCAAUACUGAUCCGUUCAGGGUCCUGAACAACUGCCGCCUGCCCAGCCCCUCCAUCAACGCCCGUGUUCUCGUCGAUAAGCUUGUGCUCUGCUGCCGCGUCCGCAGUGCCGGUAUCACUGACGCGCCAUUUCAGCUCCAGUGCCGCGCCAUCUGCCGGAAGGCGCCGUCUAACCGCUUCGCCGGCACGGAGAUGCAAAGAUUUCGUUGUUGCGAAUGGAAAACUUGCCAUUUCAAGCGUUCAGUCCUGCCAAACUAGCAUAGCAAGAGCCGAGCCACGGGCGCACCGCCAAAUCGCCAUCAGCCGGGCGCACCACACCCCCACGCGAACUGGAUCGCUCCGAGGCUCCAGUGCAUAUAUGUUGGUGGCCGUCUUGCAGGAAGGUCGAAGGAGACUGAUCGGUGAUCGCUGACGUUCUGGUGACUGAAGAUACGCGCAUAGGUUUCGAUCGUAGCAGAGUGGAAAUCGCGAAGCCAUGGCGUCCGCUUACGUACCCGCGCAAGGUGGCGCCGCCCAAAUUGCGACGAGCCCAGUGUGUGGUUGGGUUCUUUUUUUUUUUGGAGUUGGAGUUGUGUGCUUCACCGACAAGGCUGGGCUUUUGUUUGGUUCAAUUGACAGUUCAGCCUGAACGGAUCCCAGUCUGCACUCUGCAGCUACAGCAAAUGAACGAGCUGAUGAAAACAACCUCGCUGUAAUCCUCGCCCCGGCGUCUCGGUUCCUCAGCUGCUUUGUUGCUUCUUGCGAGACCAAGAGUUGCAGCAUUUGUCUUCACGUAGCUAUGGUCCGCGUUUCACGAUGCAUAGCUCGCCGAAACUACUGGAUGCUGCGGCCGGCUGACAAUUAUCAAAGCUUCAGGCUUCAGCUGUCAGGAUUCCUGUAAUUACGCACGAAAGGUGUCAGCGACAGCCGCGAUGCGCCCAUGGAAGGACAAGAACGUAUGUCUUCCUUGCUGCAGCUAGCCAUUUCCAGGCUCCUGGGUUGUUUGCUCCGAGGCUCCAGCAUAUAUGUUGGCGGCCGUCUAGUGCGUUGCAGGAAGAGGCUGACGUACUAGUUACUGAAGAUCAAUCAGCUCUUAGCAGAGUGGAACUCGCGAAGCCAUGGCGUCCGCCUACGAGCCGGCGCACGGUGACGCCGCCGGUACCGGCGGCGACGUGGACCGGGGCGAGGUGAGGCAGAGGAGCAGCAAGCCGCAGAAGAAGCCGGGCACGGACAUGGAGGCGGACGACGGCGACGAGGGGAGGGGCGCGGAGGCGGCGGGCGGCGGCUGCGAGGUCACGGACUCGAUCGAGUGGGUGUUCGAGUCGGAGCCCGUGCCGUCGUGGCGGGAGCAGGUGACGCCCCGGGCCCUGGCGGUGAGCCUCCUCCUGGCCGUCGUGUUCAGCCUCAUCGUCAUGAAGCUCAGCCUCACCACGGGCAUCAUCCCCUCGCUCAACGUCUCCGCCGGCCUCCUCGGCUUCUUCUUCCUCCGCGUCUGGACGGCGCCAGUCAAGAACCCCGGCAGGCGGCCGUUCACGCGCCAGGAGAAUACCGUCGUGCAGACAUGCGUCGUCGCCGCCUACGGCAUCGCCUUCAGCGGUAACGAUACACCGCCAGCUCUGCUCGGAUCAAAGCUUAAAUUUUGGCUUUCACUUUCCGCCUUUGUACGCUGGGAUCAGGUGGAUUUGGGAGCUACCUGUUUGGCAUGAGCGAGACGAUCGCCGCCCAGGCAGCUGAAGAAAACAACGCGGAUAACGUGAAGGAGCCCAGGCUGAGCUGGAUGAUCGGGUUCCUCUUCCUCGUCAGCUUCGUCGGUCUCUUCGCUCUCGUUCCCCUGAGGAAGGUGGCUUUGAAUCUAUUAGUAGCUAAUCUUCCGAUGCAAAUGUUUUCUUGGAUCACUGAUCGGAUCUGAAUCUGAGAAAGCGACUGAUUUUACUUCAGGUGAUGAUUGUUGACUACAAGCUCACGUAUCCGAGCGGCACCGCUACUGCGCACCUGAUCAACGGUUUCCAUACACCAGACGGCUCUGAACGCGCCGAGUAAGGCCCAGUUUAGUUCCUUUUAGUCCAUGGAUCCAUGAUUGGAUCCAUGAUUAAAGGUGGACUAAAGUGCUAUUUGGUUCUUGAACUAAAAUGAACUGAAGGCAUUAAAUGUUGUGGAAGGAUUACCCUUUUGCCUUUGCUGCCCCUGGCGCCAAACUGGUGCUCUAGAGCCAAAAACUUGUAACUUAACUAGAAGCCCCUAGAACAUCUUAAUCAUUGGACUUUCGCUCUUCUUAUUUGGAAUUGUGGUUGUGUCUAUAGUACUGCUUGUUCUCUUGCGACUGUUACUGCUCAAAGGACUUGCUAUGAAGCCUUCUUCAUCUGGUUCUUCACCCUCCUCAUCACCCAAGCCCCUCAUCACCCAAGCCUUGAGGUGUAGAACCUAGGAUGCAAGAAGCUUGUCCAUCCACUGUAACCCCUCCGAACAUCUCUAUAAGUUGUCCAACAUAUGUAGGCACAUGCAUGAACUUCUUGCAUUCCUGAAAACCACAAACAAGUGGUCAGUUACAUAACAAUAAUAAGAAAGACAUAGAGCAGUACAUUACAUAUAACAGAAAAGUAAUUCGGUUACCUUUAACUCCCUUUUCCACCAUGUUGUAGAUGUUAUGAUACUACCAUCAAGUCUUCAGCCUAGAGCGAUACUAGUUUUCAACAUAUUCCAGAACAAGUACAAAGUCUUGUAUUGUGUCCAUCUCUUCAGUUGCCUAACAGAAAGGUUGAGUCCAGUCUUAAAAGAGACCUUGUCUCAUGUUAUUAUAACUUUUACAUAACAUUGUUCCAUUAGAACAAUUCACUGCCCUUAUUUGCUCAACAGCAAGUUUACAGUAAAUAUGUGUGUUUUCCUCGAACCAAUCGGUCCUAUCAUGAAGAUUCUAUUAUAGAAAAUGAAGUGUCACACUAGGCAUUGCAAUGACAAUCUACUGGAGAAAAAUGGAAUGACAGAAUUAAAAUGGACCUAACAGGCAAUCAUCUACAAUUUCAUCUAUCAUAUCAUGACAUGGUCAAAAUGGAUUCACAUGAUCAUAGUGUUAUUGAUUCACAAGCAUUCACUGGCUUCACAAGUAUACACACAUGGAUUCAUAAGGAUACAUACCCAAUUACAGGAUACAAAGCCAAUUACCUGGGAGGAUGUUUCAGAGGCGUCAUCUUCUUCUUCAUCACCGGCGUCAACAUCCAGUGGAUGCUCAUAGCCGUGGUCUCCAGAGGAGGAUGCACCACGUCCUUCUCCCAAUCUUCCUCCCCCACGGCUCCCCCCUGAGCCCCCUCUGCCUCCACGCGUAGCGAUGGCUCCUCCAUGUCCUCCGCCCACUCUCCCUUCACCGGAUGAGGCGGACCUGGACCGGCCACCAUGCCCUCCGCCACCACGUGCUCCCACCCUGCCUCCAAGGGCCCGAGGAGGAAGAUGAUGCUCCAGUCCAACUUCCCCCCUAUAGGAACUCCUGGUACGAGCCGAGAUUGGGGAAGACGCCAGCCUCAGAGUUGAGGUCCAGGUAUUCCAUGUGGCGGCGGGGAGCGGAGAGGGAGGGGGCCAGCGGCGAGGCGAAAGGGCCGAAGUCAUCUUCGUCCACAUCGUCUGGGGGAGUGCGGAAGCUUCGGGUAGCGGAUGAAGACGCCUGAGACAGGAACUCCCGGUAGUUGUCCAUGGGUGCGGUGGUGGGGAGGGCCGGGUGCGGUGGUGGGGAGUGCCGGGACCGGCAGCGUGGGGACAAGAGGGAGGGGGCGGAUUCGGCGUGGGGAGGUUCAGAACUGGUGGAUCCGGCGUGUGGAGGUUCGGGGGUGGCGGAUCCGGUAGGGGGAAGGGAACGAGCGGUGGUGGCGGUCGGAACCGGGAAUGGAGGUGGCGAGCGGCGGGCGGCAUUCGAGAGGGAGCAAGCGAGGAGGAGACUGGUGGCAGGGGUGGGAGGGCGCGGCCGUCGGCAUCGGGGAGGAGCCAGCGGGCGGGCGGCGUCAUGGGGGAGGGAGCGAGCGGUGGAUGGGUGGCGUUCAAGGGGAGACUGGCGGCGGGGGUGGGAGGGCGCGGGGGGUGGGCAGUAAGGAGUGUCAACCAAAGAUUUUAGUCCAUUUCAGCUGGGGUAUGGUGGGCUAGAGGAUUUUAGUCACCUUUUAGUCCUGGUGUCUGGGACUUUAGUCCACCUAAAGUGCUCAUAUUAGUCCAGAUUUUAGUCCAAAAGUAACCAAACAUCCCUAGGUACUAGUACGGUGACAUAUGCUUAGACUGAUUAUUGCAGCCAUCAUCAGCUUCGUUCAACGAUCACAAUUUAUUGCAGGAGCCAAGUGCGCACACUGAUCAAGUGCUCCGUGGCCAGCUUCCUUUGGGGCUUCUUCCAGUGGUUCUACACGGCCGGGGAGGGCUGCGGAUUCGGGCAGUUCCCUGCACUAGGCCUGACAGCUUAUCAGAACCGGUAUCUGAAAAUUCACUGAAAACACGCCGCUGUUUUCCUUGUUUCUUUUUGUUUCGAAACCAGCGACUUACCCCUGUAUUCAGCUCCUUCGAUUCAGUUGUCACAUGAAACCUUUUUAGAUAUAAAGGAGUUGUCACAUGAAACUGAACUACUACACUAUCUUCGUCUUGUCAGGUUUUACUUUGAUUUCUCGACGACCUACAUCGGUGCAGGAAUGAUCUGCCCGCACAUUGUGAACAUCUCAGUCCUGCUCGGAGGAAUCCUAUCGUGGGGAGUCAUGUGGCCUCUGAUAGCCGAGAAAAGAGGGAGCUGGUUUGGUGCUGAACUUUCAGACAGUUCACUCGAAGGAAUGCAAGGCUAUCGGGUACUAGUGUGCCUAUUUGUCAUCAUCUGUUGAAUAUAUCCUGAUUCCUGAUCAUGUUAAAGAAAACAGGACUUCAAGGUGAUGUUCGAAUCUGAUUUAAGCUAGGCUAUCUGAACUGUUGCAGGUGUUCAUUGCCAUUGCCAUCAUACUAGGGGAUGGCCUCUACAAGUUCGCCAUGGUGCUCACGUGCACUGUCGCCGCGAUAGCAGCGUCAACCGAGAAGAGGAAAUUCUUCGGCGCGCUCCCCGUGAACAGCGACGACAGAACGAUCUCCGGCAGCGGCGCCGCUCCCGAGACGCCGCCCUCGUUCGACGACGCUCGCAGGACCGAGUUCUUCCUCAAGGACCAGAUCCCGACGCCGGUGGCGAUCGGUGGCUACGUCGCCGUCGCCGCCGUCUCCAUCAUCGCCGUGCCUCACCUCAUCUUCCCGCAGCUCAAGUGGCACCACGUCCUGGCGGUCUACCUGAUGGCGCCCGUGCUGGCCUUCUGCAACGCCUACGGGAUGGGCCUCACGGACUGGUCCCUCGCGUCCACGUACGGCAAGCUCGCCAUCUUCGUCUUCGGCGCGUGGGCCGGCAAGCCCCACAGCGGCGUGCUGGUGGGGCUCGCCGCGUGCGGCAUCAUGAUGAGCAUCGUGUCCACAGCGGCGGACCUGAUGCAGGACUUCAAGACCGGCUACAUGACGCUGGCCUCGCCGCGGUCCAUGUUCGUCAGCCAGGUGGUCGGCACCGCCAUGGGCUGCGUCGUCGGGCCCAGCGUCUUCUGGCUCUUCUACCGCGCGUUCGACGGCGUCGGCACGGAAAGGAGCGCGUACCCGGCGCCCUACGCCAUCGUGUACCGGAACAUGGCCAUCCUCGGCGUCGACGGCUUCUCCAAGCUGCCGAAGCACUGCCUCACGCUCUGCUGCGUCUUCUUCGUCGGAGCCAUCGCCCUCAACAUGGCCAAGGACCUGGCGCCGAGGAAGGUGGCGAGGCUCAUACCGCUCCCCAUGGCGAUGGGGAUCCCGUUCUACAUCGGCUCCUACUUCGCCAUCGACAUGUUCCUGGGGAGCGUGAUACUGUUCGCGUGGGAAUGGGUGGACAAGGCGCAGGCGGACGCGUUUGGCUAUGCCGUCGCGUCCGGAUUGAUCUGCGGCGACGGGGUGUGGACUCUGCCGCAGGCCGUGCUGUCGCUUUUCAACGUGAAGCCGCCGAUCUGCAUGAAGUUUCUGUCAAGAGGUGUUAAUUACAAAGUGGAUGACUUCAUUGGAACAUUGUCUUAGAAACUCGGGGAAGAAGCCACCUUUCCUGCUUUCCACCAGCACACACUCUGUUCUGCAUUGUCAUGCUCCAAGUAAGACUGAAACUGUUCUAGUACUACCCUGCAUUGAGUAUCAUGCUCUAAUUAAGACUGAAACUAUUAUACCCUGCAAUGUGAAGCCAGUAAAUGAAAAAUUGUUAUGGUGAACCACUUGGCAGUGGAAACGAUACUGUAGUACAGGAUUGUGCCAACAAGUAUUUGUUUCAACUUUCAACGAAAACUAGAUAUCUUCACAUUUAUUAUCUGAACUGGGUACAGUAAAUUGUGUUACCCUGUAUUUGAGUUAUGAACAUGACCGGUCAAUGGCAAAUCAUACCCAUUGAUGUUUAUUCUUUACAUUACAAAUGACUAUCUUAGUUUCACAGAUAUACCAUUCAGAUCAGAUAGCCAGUAGGUUACAAACCAUCAAUCUAUCUUCUGAUCGAAACAAGUGGUUGCAACUUUCAACUUGAAUUCCAGCAUCAUUUUGGCAGUAGUACCCGGCAUAUGGAAUGCACUGUAUGUAGCAUUGCAGGAUGAAGCUCCAUCUGUAAUUCAGUAAUGCACAGUACUAAUUCACUUAGGAGCUUUAUCCAGGGUUUUCUUUAGAUCAAGGAGUUUUGACCACCUUUGGCUGGAAAUCUUCUUUCUCUGGUUACUACCAUCUGUGAUUUUUGAAGAUAAACAUUAUUGACAAGGAUCUCUACAAUUUCAGCAUCACCAACUGAAAAUAAGUGCGCUUAAUUUGAGCAAGCGCUUACUUUGCCAUACGACCGUAGACUUUUCGCAGGCCUCUGAACAGGAGCUCUGCAUAUGAUGUAAACAUACUAAUCAGCAACAUAGCAGGUAGUUUCAUUCCAAAAGGAAAAGGGGUAACAUAGCAGGUAGUAAUCCUUAAUCAACAUGGCAUGCUGUAGGGUUGUUGUUAGGGCCAUUGUUUCACCUUAGCCGAUGCCGUUAAUCGUACGGUCUCUUGGAUUACCGAAUCAAGAUCAACUUCCUCUCCCGGUCUCACAUAGAUGACCUGUUAAAGGAUGAAAGAAGCUGUAACAAUAUCCUCAUACUGAUGUGUGGAUGCAGCUUCUGAAAUUGAGUAACAAAUACAGAAAUGUGAGUAGUGCUGCUUCAGAAAUCAGAACUCAUACCGACGGAUCACUAUCGCCGAGAUAAGGCAGCCCGCUCUGAUCUCUUCUAGAUGACGACAGAACCGUGAGAUUGAACUGCUCAUCGAUCUGCAGAGUGCAGAGCAAUAGCAUGUCAGCGGUUCUAUAAUGUGAUCUAAUGCUGCUCCGGGUUAUUGCAGUAUUUUAAAUCGUGUCAUAAAACGAAGAAGAUUUCAAGUGAGAGUACAGUACGUUUGUGCAGUAGGGCGAGGAGCAGGAAUCGCAAUUUUUUCUGAACGAUGUCAGGACUCGCCCUUUUAUUGACAUCCCAAACUGAGUGUGCUGAAAAUCAGGCAGCACAAAUAUCAGUUCCUCGUCUGCAUACCUGCUGGACCUCCCUCACAUCAUGUUCUUCAGACACAGACACUGCAGGCUUCAGGAGAGAAAGAGCACUCACGCCAUAAGCCAAGGCGAUUUACCUGCUGAACUACAAGGUGCACGAGCACAUCGGCGUCCCUCUGCCCGUCCUCGAUAAGAUCGUCCAGGUGCAGCUGCCGCAUCGUCAGGUCGAAGUCGCUGCUCCACUGAUCCCCUCCGCCGCGUGCCGUUCCCACGGAGACCAGGCUCUGCCGCGCGCCGCCGGUUCCCCUCCGGCGGCUCCUUCGGACGCCCUGGGAUCGAGUCAAGCAGCACGGAAUGAGCUGCGGCGGGAUCAUCCGAACAAACUGCCGUGGAUGGACGCUACGCUAUGCACCUGCGUGAUUUGCACUUUCUUCAAUGGCUCGUCGUCUUCAGUCGAGAGCUGCGCGUGAACGGCGAGGUUUCUGCAUCGGGCGCCGCGGCUUCGGCUGCCUGGGAGCGGCGUCGUGGCCGGAUUCGGCAGCAGCCUCAGCGCGUGGUUGCAAGCUCUCGCCAUGAUUUCCAGGCUUCGCAGUUCAGCAGAGCUGUGCCUAGGCUGCGCUGGCGCUCAAGGCCUGAAGCUGAAGAUACUACUGUUAGCUUAUCAGCUUAUCGUUUGCUCCACCGUGGCCUCAGUGACAUGUGGCGCUGGUUCAUCAGUAUGUUGGUUUUACGGCUUUACUCCUAGACGUAACGUAAGGCACUGAACUACACGGCGUCAUAAAUAUCAUUUUUGCGUCAAAAAUAUAACAAUGAUAAUACAUGGCAAAAUUAUUUUUCUAUAAAGGUACAAAUUGUUACAGCUUGAGUUUUACACCCAACUUCUCAACAAAAAAAAAAGAGUUUUGCACCCAACCAUCCGUUAUUACAAGUUUAGCCAGUAGUUGAACGAUAGUUGGGGGGAGAGAAGAUGGAAAACAAUUAAGCACAAAUCCUAUUAAUAAGCAUCCACCAAAAAGAUUCCAGAAGACCUCCACAAUGUGCAACACACCCGCUUCAUCUUUUCCAGGACACUCUCAGGCUAAUCUUUUCCUUCUUCUUCCUUCUCAUUUUCUUCUUUCUCCUCUUCAUGUCUCUCAAUUAAGUUAUAAUCUUCACAAUUAUCACACGGCCAUGUCUUUCUGCACUGUGCAAAGAGUACUUACUGCAAUCACUUAUGCACAAUGCUCUAUGCUCAUAUACGCAUCACUCUUACAGCCUUACCUGAUGAGUUCUGUCAAUAUCUUCACGAAAUCUUCUCUGACAUUAUACACAAAUUUCAGCUAUCACCACUAACAUAUCCUCUGCUGACCAUAAAAGGAAUAUCCCUUCUGCUGACUUUGUGUACAACCCUCAUUUGCUAUUGAAUUUCUUGAUUCAAAUUUUCAGAGUCGACUGUAACUGUGUUUGCUGCUGUACCAAGUCAUGGCUGACCAGCAAAACCAAAAUCUGAACAACAAAGAGGCCAGAACUGAAGAUAUCGUGUGAGGAUGAUAUGCAAGAAUUUAUCACCAUAUCAUUCUUCAGUCUUCACUUACAAUUGUCAAUCACUUAGAGCAUGCGGCUUGUUUGUGACAUCUGUUGCUGUCAUGAGAUACCGUUUGUUAUCUUUUGUUCAUCACUUCUUGUACCCUGGUAAUUCGACACAGACAAACCUGAAAGUUCACUUGGUUGCCUGAAUUUCAUACAUCUUCUGAAUUCUGAUCAUCAGUAACUCGGUACUGAAACUCUCGCUUGCACCAAAAGGAAGGCAUGGCAUUUGCGUAUGAGAAUUCUUUAGUAAAUCCGGCAUCUUAAAUCCAAACUACUAUCUGAAUAUUGACCCAUCACAUAUUUUAUUGCUCUCACAUAGCCUUAUAUCCUCAACUCUGAAUAUUUGAGGAACUUCUUCUGAACCUCUUUAGUCUUUACACAUGACCUCUGAAAUCUACAGCCCAAACUCACAUUUGCAAACCUGCACUUGGCGAGUAGUUCAUAGGAGAAACAUUUUAUCCAAGUAUCCAACGAAAUACUAGCAUCUCAUCCAAGGAUGAAACCUGACAAUCUGUUGCAGUAGGGGUUUGUGAUCAGGACAGCUUAGUUUGCUUCAGAAAUAGUGAUUAAGUUUACCGCGCGACAAUGCAUUGCCCGGUCGCCGCCUCGUCGUUCGUCGAGCUACGCCGGUUUCAAUGCGCCAUCACGUUCUCCAGGCGUCGCUUGCUCUCGACGCGCCGGCCUUGGGCAGCAUCUCAUCUCCCAACGAGGCAGGGCCGUUAGCGGUGGCGCAUGAGGGGGUCAGAUGGCGGCGGCUAGGCGCGUGAAUUUCGAUUGGGGCUGGCGGCGUGUCAAGGGAUGUAUGACGGCGCGGCGCGGGGGUCGCGGAGGAACGCAGUGGCGGCGCGGGGGUUGCGGAGGACGGCGGUGGCGGCGCAACCUCGUCAGCGCCUCAGAGGCUGACCGCCAAUAUUUGCAAAAUACACCCCGGUUUUGGAUCGCGAUAAUCGCCAUCCGAUUAUUCACAUAUAAAUAUAUAAUCCUCUCAUUUAGAUCGCGAUUAAUAGUCGCGACCGAAUAUUUUAAAAAAGAAAUCGGUAAUUUGCACGGGACCUCCAAAUUUACUAAUAGACCUUGAUAUUUUUCAAAACAACCCUCUAAUUCGGAUCGGGUCGUCCCGUCCGGCAACAGCCGCCGUUGGCGGCCUGCCGCCAUCCUCGCUACCUGAAUCCGCAAUCCCCAUUCACCCUCCAUCCAGCGGUUUGCCUCCCUUCGAGCGGAGAGGAGCGGAGCGAGCAGCUGCGAGGUUUGAUUUCACAUCGGGAGCCUGAGCAUGACAACGGUCCGUAGCUGUUUGGCAUGCGAUCUGACUGAUAUGGUUGCACAAAGCUAAAUUUCAAUUCGACCGUCACGUCUCGACCACACGGUCGAUCUGAUCACCAGGCACCAGCUGCCCACCCACCUGCACAUGGUAGUGCCCGCUGGUCCUUUAUCUCUUCAGCAAGCAAAAAAGAACUCCCGUUCUCUUCUCCCUCUCCGUCAGCCCCACUGGAGCGGCGGCCCGAUGGAUGGGAGAGCGCGGCCAUGCGGGUCGACUCCGCUCCGGAUCAGCAACAUGUGGCACAGCGUGGCGAGCGGCGAGCUCCCGUCGGGAGUCAGUUGCGCGAGGAGCGAGCUCCCCGUGGAAGGUCCCCGUCGGGAGCCGGCGGCGACAGCACCAAGCUACCCGUCAGGAGCCAGCGGCACAAGGGCGAGCUCCCCAUCGGGAGCGGCCCAACCUGUGCGAGAGCCGGUGAAUCUGCUCAUCUGGAGCAACAGAUUUUUUUUUCCUUUUUCCCUAUCCCCUAGUUUUUGUCCUAAAUUUUGCUUCAAAUAUUUUCUUCACAAUUUUUUCCUAGAGUUUGCUUCAAAAUUUUUGUUGCACAACUUUACUUCAAAAUAUUUGUAAGUUUGGUUGCAAAUUUUUGUUGAAAACAUUUUGUUAAAGUUUUUUAAUAACUUUUUCUCCGUAAACUUUUUUAAUAACUUUUCUUAAUUUUUUUGCAAAUUUUGCUACUACAAAAGUUUCAUUUGCAAAUCUGUACGUCUGAAUAAAUUUAUUCAAAAUAUUUGUCAUAAAUUUUGUAUGUAAAAGUUUGUAUAUAUUUUUCUUGUGAUUUUAAAAAUAAAAUGACGACCUGUGUUGCAUGUAGGCCUGGGGCAACGCGUCGGUUCGGACCGUUUGUCGGAGAUCGACUUCCUCACAGGCGAUCGUAAACUUGCGGUGACCAUGUGGUUGCUACUCCAUACCUCUAUAUUUAGGCUGAAACUGCUUGGUCUGGGAAUUGGAAUAAUUGACUUUUUUUGUUGCUGGAAUUUCAUCUAGGGUAGGCGAGAUAGCAAACAUGGAGUGCGACUCUGUUUGGUGUUGUACUGCUGUACCAACUCCGGCGAUGAGCCGGUGCCCGGUGAUCGACCAUGGCUGCUUCGAGUUGCUGCUGCGGCAUGGCAAGCGAGGUAGGAGGAGGUGCAGCGAACGGCGUCAGUGGGGCACGGGCGGGUGGCCGAGAUUCAGGGUGAGCCGCAUGGAUUGACCUGGUGUGCAUGCCGCCUCACGCCGGCCAGUGCAGGGGAAGCCGUGAGCCCACUCGUGAUGGUAGCUUUUUCAGGAAUUCCGAGUUGAGCAUCAAUGUGGCAGUAAGCAGAGUUUCAAAUAGAACUAGGGAGUUGUUGUUGGCUGGUCUCACAAAAUGCUGCAACUGAUUGAAUGACAUCUCAAAAAUGAGUCCCAGUGCAAGCACAGCAACUGAACAAAUUCCUGAAAACUGCCUACCCUCACAGAUUGAGAAAACACAGCUACAGAGUGCCUUUUUUCUAACCAGAAUUUGAAAAUUUGUGUGGGAAAUUAGCUCGUGUAAUUUAGGCUGAAACUGCUUGGUUGGGGAGCUGGAAUAAUUCACUUAUUUUGUUGCUGGAAUUUCAUUCGGAGUAUACAAGAUAGCAGACAUGCAAUGCGACUCUGUUUGGUGCUCUACUGCUGUACCAACACCGCGAUGAGCCGGUGACCGACCAUGGUUGCUCCGAGUUGCUGCUGCGGCAUGGCAAGCGAGGUAAGAGGAGGUGCAGCGCAUGGCAUCAGUGGGGUGCGGGCGCGUGGCCAAGGUCCAGGGCGAGUCGCGUGGAUCAGGGCCAGUGUGCAUGCCGGCUAGUGCAGGGGAAGCCAUGAGUCCACUGCCAUUGCAAGUCGAAGUCCUUGUGUUUGUGUAAGCCGUGAUGGUAGCUUUUUCAGGAAUUCCAAGUUGGGAAUCAACGUGGCAGUAAGCAGAGUUUCAGAUAGAACAGUUGUGUUAGCUGGCCUCACAGAUUGCUGCAACUGAUUGAGUGACAUGUGAAAAAUGAGUCCCAGUAUAAGCACAGCAACUGAAUAAUUUUUGAAAACUGCCUACCCUCACAGAUUCAGAAAACACAACUGCAGAGUUCCUUUCUUCUAACCUGUGUGUGGAAAUUAGCUCGUGCGGAGCACUGCAAAUCAGAAACACAUGUUGCUGUAAUGCUCAGUUGUACUCAGGGAAUUUGGUAUAGACAAACCUGAAGGUUAAGGAAUGGGCAUGCGCUUAUGAGAAUUCUUUAGGAUCUCCAGCAUCUCUAAUCUAAAUUAGGACGAGCUGACUGUUGAUCACACGCAUCACAAUUUUUUCUGCUCCCAUAUCCUCAACUAUAUAAGGAACUUCUUCACACGCAUCACCAUCCAAAUUAUUUACAAAUAGAUCCCGGAUUGCAAAGUGCUCCCUGGUUCGGAUCGGCAAGGACUGGAUAGACCGUCGCCAUCCUCAGCGAGGAUUCCUCGUCACGAAAUCAUCAUUCUCCGUUCGAUCCCCUCCGAUCGGUCCUCCGAUCCGCUGCCUAGAGCAAGGACUAACAGGAAAAGAAAUAAGAUGUGUGGUUCUUCGCCCUCCAAGCGGAGCUGAGCGAGCAGCAGCGAGUUUUUUUAGUUGGAAUGUUGCGAUCCAUUAAUCACGUCCAUCCAAAUCGAUGGGACAGUAAAACAGUUAGACUCGAAUACAUGGUCUAAAAAUGCAUUUCUGUCCAUAUACAUCAAUCUAUACCUACUAUUAAGUGAGAAACGUUUCUGCCCACUUUUUUUAGUUCGGUCCAACUUCUAUCAUUGACGGAAAAAGUUCAGUCCAACUUCUAUCAUUGACGGGUGGACCCUUCCAGAUGAAUUAUCGGUCCGCUGCCUCCCGUGCCCGUCGCUGCCCCUCCUCUCUUUUUCAUCCAUCCUGACACUCUCCCUCUCUCGUCCGCCGCCUGUUGCUCUGUUAGCCGUGCACCGUUGCUCCACCCCGUGCCGGCAACCUAGCAUCGGCCACCCCUGUCUCCGGCUGCGCCAGGGCUGGCACCUGCAACCUCGCCAGCUUGCCCUGUCUUUAGCCCGCGCCGGUGACCUAGCACCGGACACCCCUGCCUCAGCCAGGGACCAGGUGGCCUCGCCUCGCCUAGCCUCACGCUAGCCGGGCGAGCCCCACCGUCAUGUCCAUCCGCCUCCCUAUGUACGAGCAUCUUGAUGGGGGUGGCGGUGGCCUCGAUGCGGCCUGAGGAGGUGGUGGUGGCCUCGAUCCUCCCUGUGUAGGAAGUUGGAGGGGGGAAUUGUUGAUCUGGUGCUUUAAUUUGGAGGAAGGAUGGAGUAGCUAUCGAUCUGCAGCUCUGCUCAUGGAGAAAAUGGAAGGAGCAGACAAAAAUUGCAGGUGGCUUGCAUCUCGCAAGGAAGAAGAAAGAGGGGAAAAAAGAGAUAUGGGCGUAUAUGGGCGGUCUCACACAGCUUUUGCCCCAACAACGAAGUAUCGGUAAUGAGAUAUUAGGAAUCUGCGGAAGGAGAUAAAGAAUACGUGGAAACUAGAAUGUAAAUAAUAAUAAAAUAUAUGUAGAUUCAGGCAAAGAAAAAAAAUCACAUGUUAAGCACGUUUCGCCAUAGCAACGCACGGACAUCUUGCUAGUAAAUUAGAAAUGUAGUCUUCUCGGGACGGAGGGAGUAUCCAUUUCUACAACUAAGCGCCAUAGCAGCUAAAGUAUGAGCAGCCAUAUUACACUCCGGGGUAGAAAGUUACAUGACAUACAUUAAAAUCAGAGUACGAUUUGGAUCUAAUUUCUCUGAACGUAGUGCCCAGGCCCCAGAUAUUUGUCGGCCUAUCAAUCCCUGGCCAAGCCGGGGCAACGAUGGAUGGUACGACACAAUUCAACAGACCAGCAGGCUGUACUGUCCAGACGGUACUUUUGUUUUUAGAUAUAAAACUCAGGCCGGUACUGGACGGCCCAGCCCGACGUAAGUAGUACAUAACAGUCGAGAGCACGCGGCGUCUCAAGUCUAAUCCCGAGCCCAAGUCGUGUCAAUCAAAACGGUGGGAAAGCUGGAUCGUACGGCCACGAUCUAGAUUGGGAUUCCUGACCGCUCCUGCCUCCUGGCGGAUGCCGGCUGCUGCGCUGCCUGAUGCCUGGCAACAAAUCUCGCUUCUGGCCGGUUGGCUUGGCGAGCACAUGGAAAACGCCAGGCACCCUGGAAUCCCUCGCCGUCGUGUCAGCGCAGCAGCUGGCCGCAUCAGGCAUCACGCAUUCUAUCCUAGUAGUCCGCGGCGAGCACUAGCGGCCGGCCGUCGCUGCCUUUUGGCGCCCGGGUGCUCUCAGGUCUCGGUCAGUCGGUCACAACUCACAACUUCACAAAUAAACAAGUGCGGAAGUGAAGUGCCCCUUCAAUCUAUUCGUAGUCCUUUACGCUUUUCGGCCUUCAGUAACAGCAGGAUACACCCCACUCCGGCGAUUCUUUUUUCUUGAGCAUUUGGACGCGUCGGCCAAUCCCCGUCUGAUCUUUCUCCCGGAGGAUAUGGGAUCAUCAUCAUCAUGCCCUAGCGAGUUACGUGCACGAGCCAUGUCUAUUUGUUGCCAGCACUUGUAAAAAGCGUGUGCAUGCGUAGAAAUCACGUUGCGACGGCGCCCAGGUUCCAGUUUCAACCACGUCGGAACGCCGGCCGCUGCUGCGAUCCUAUCCUGCGCGCACUGGACGAGCACUGUAGUUUUCACGGCCGGUUCUUUCCGAUCUGCGUGCGUGGAGGAGUGGAAAUGCACGCACCUUCCGGCCAUCGGCGGCCGAACUUUCUGUCGGGGAGGCGACGGGUGAACGAAUCCGGUUGCGGCGAUACACGUUGCAGGAACCAGGCACUCCGGAUGUGGAGGGAGCGAAUUGAGAGUUUUGCAUUGGCUCGUGUUCUUUCAGGGAUGAUGACAGUAUAUUUGCAUCAGCAGCGGGUGCUCCCUCCUGACCUCGUCCACGAACGACCCGACGUUCCGGUCCGCCGCGCGCCUCGCCUCCGCCGCCACGACGCGCUCCCUCAGCGCCCGGACCUUCUCCCGCAGGCGCCUCCCCUCGCCGGCGUCGUCCAUGACCCUCCCGAUGCUGCCGCUCACGUCGCCCCACGUCAUGCCGCCGGCUAGCCUGAGCCCGAUCCCCCACGGCCCCGUGAUGUAGGCGCAGUUGAUGAACUGGUCCCCGGACACCGGGUAGCACAGCAGGGGCACCCCGUGCCGGAUCGCCUCCAGCGUGGAGUUCCAGCCGCAGUGGGUGAGGUAGCACCCGACGGCGCCGUGCCGGAGCACGUCCUCCUGCGGCGCCCAGUCCACCAACUUGCCCCGCCCGGCAGCGGCCACGCGCUCCGCGAAGUCCUCGGGGAGCCCCGCGCGCCAGGAGGGGUCGCGCUUGAGCGCCCACAGGAAGGGCCGGCCCGUGGCCUCCAGCCCCAGCGCCAGCUCCCGGACCUUGUCCGGGCCGAUCGACCCCACCCAGCUGCCGAACGAGACGUACACCACCGACCCCGCGCGCUGCGCGUCCAGCCACCCGAUGCACGUCGAGUCCGCGCGCCACAUGCUGGGGUUCUUGCCGUCGUUGUUGUUGCCGCACGGCGGCUGCUGCUGCUGAUGCUUCGUGCCGCCGGGAAGCAGCGCCGGCCCAACCGGGAGGACCUGCGGACUCUGCCGCGCGAGGCGGUGCACGUCAUCACCGGCGGCAACGCCGGCCUCGCCCGGGAAGGAGUUGACGAGGACCCAGCGGAAGCUCCUGGCGCGGUGCAAGUUCUGGAGCCAGAAGGCGAACCGCGACCUCUGGGUGGCCGAGUCGCCGACGAGCCACGGUAGCUCCCCGGCGCGGAGCUCCACCUGCGCAGGGAGGAUCUUGAGGCCCCGGAUCAUCUGGUCGCCGGCGUCCUGCUGCUCAUCGUCGCCGUCGGACGAGUCGCUCGACGAGAUCGGUGUACCUUCACGUCACGAAAAGAAAAAUAACACGAGCUGUUAGUUCAGGGGAACAGAAAAGACGGCGAUAAAGUACAUGGUAACCGUGCAAGGUUCCUAGGUACUAUGCGACGACGUGCUCGAUCGCGACGAUCUCCGCGCGUGUCGCGAGGCACCGGCCGCCGCCCCGUCACCUUCGGUUCCGCACCGCACGUGUUCAGUUCUGGGCCAAUCGCAUGGGGAGUUGAGGACCAGAACGUGUUCAGCUGUCUUCUUCCGUCCGUCCAGAAUCCAGAUGCCCGAGUGCUUGCAAUUCCCGGACUGAUACUGUGCCAUUAGACUACUACUAGUAGGAAGAUUAUACAUCUAGAACUCCGAUCAUGUCGUGCAGAUCAGGGUCAGGACCACACUUUGCUCCUCGUGGCACGGCUAACUCCGAUCCGUUUCUUUCUGCAUCAUGGCCACCGAAGCACCGAGAAUCGUGCUGGCUCCAAAGGGGACGUGGAGAUACUCCUAUUUGGCAUCCUCUUUUUUGUCUGUGACCGAAUUAUUCUUCGCUAUCCACUCCGAGACGCAUUGCAGGAGAUCGUGCCGGAACAGAAUAUUUUUCAAAAUCUCAGCACAAAAAGGAGUACUUUUAAAAACGAAAAAAAAUCAUGCUGGACCUGUAAGGAAAGGUAGGAGCACAUCACGUGUCGACUAGCGCUGAGGGAGAUGAGUCAACUUUUUUGCGAGAUGUGGAUGUGAUCCUGCUGGGCCAAAACUGAGCCGGAGGCGCACCUCAAAAAUGGCAGAAAAGAACGUGGGUCUGGCCCAGCCAGUCAGAUGGAUGGAUGGACCGGAUCGGAUCCAGAGUGAGUGGUUGGGUGGAUGGGGCCGACGCCAAAAGGAUGACGGAAAAGGAAAGAUCGGGCCCCUCACUCUCUCGCCCGGCUCGGCUGUCGCAAGUCGCAACGCCUGAGCUCAAGGAGGAGAAGGUAACAAGCUUGGCAAGUCUAAUCAUGCGACGUGCCACUCCACAUCAGCUUUAAAGCUAGCGAGUGAUUGGGUGAGCAGCUGGCAGGAACAUUGUAAGCGUACGAGUGGUACUUCGUACUUCUAUUGUCACAUGCUCCAGUUGGACGUACCACUCAAAACUUUUUGAAAUUUUAUAAGACGAAAAAAGUGCUACCCUCCUAUCUGAGUUUAAAAUACUGGGUAUAGGACAAGUUAAUUAGUUUGUUUUUCUUUGCUCCUUUAACAAGAUAAUAAGUCUACUUUUGAACUAAUUAGCUUGCCCUAGGCAUAGAUUUUAAAAAGAGUUAGACUGUUAUGGUGUGUGUGUGUAAUGACAUGCAUUUGCUCACAUUAUUCUUUUGCUAACAUUACUCUCUAGAACAAAACUGCAGGCUCGCAUGCCUAGGGUUAACAAAGAAGCAAACCUUUUUUUUAGAAAAAGACAGACUUGCUUUGUUCAUUUUUGUUAAAGCUUAUACCAAUUUCCACUUGUUCCGUGGUGGAUAUACACUUCUGAUUCUUUAUAUUACUUUGCGAUGUCGGGCAGAUUAUGUUAGUGAGUGGAAAUCCCAGGUGAAAAUAAAGGAAAGAGGGAACACUUUUAUCCGAGGAAAGUUAUGUGGCAACUACCUGAGAUGGAGUUUGCGCAAAAAUUAAAACGAGGGGGUUUCUCCUAGACAAUGCAUGGAAAACUUUCUACGUUCCUAGGAAGCCUUUGUAUAGCACUAGUCGGAGCCUAUGAUUCAGGAUCGUGCCUCCCGGCGGCACAAUCCAGAUUCCAGAAGGAUCUCAACCAACAGUUGUUUCAUGCAUGAAGCUAGCCCUGUGGUCAGCUCGCUACCAUGCCAAGCAUAUGCACAGGUGAACGAAGGAACUCAAUUGUUUUUAGUUUCCUCCAUCGCAAGGUCAACUCUAGCAUGUUACAUGUCCGGUGCAACUCGGAACAAGGAAGCUGUAAGGCGCGUGCGUGCGGGACUGCGAGUAUGCGUGUUAUUAUAUCGUACCAGAUUCCGAGAUGAGGCCCUUCUCGAUGAGCUCCGGGAUGGCGGCGACGAUGCGGUAGCUGGCGAGCAUCGCGGGCCAGAACCCGACCGCCGGGACGCCGCAGCGCGCGGCGACGGGGACGGCCCACGACGCGAGCACGUCGACGACGACGCAGGCGACCGGCGGCCUGCUGCGGGGCGGCGAAGUGAGCAUGCGCUCCAGGUGCGCGGGCAUGUGGUGCUCCAUGGCGUGCACGAUGACGGCGAACCCCGGGGCGGCGUCGGAGCCGGAGCCGUCCUCGGCGAUGCCGCUGGGGAUGGACGCGAGCGCCACCCCGCCGCAGGCUGCUGCCGCGCAGCCGCCGCCGGAGAUGCGGCGGUGGAUGAAGUCCGGGACGGCGACGGUGGCCGCGACGCCGUGCGCGGCGAGCGCGCGCGCCAGCUGCAGCAUGGGCGUGACGUGGCCCUGCGCCGGGAACGGCACGAGCAGCACGCCCGGGUGGGUAGUCACCGCCUCGGCCCCCAUGCGGACGUCUCGAUCGAUCAGCCUCGUCCGUGAACGAAGGCUACGGCCUACGGAGGGGGGUUUCCUUGGCUGGCUUCACCGUGGUCUGGGAUUGGCGAGGCACCGAGCGCAGCGUGCGCGAGGUUUUAUAGCCGCCGCGCCACUGUCCGGGUGGCUCGCUCACCUUCCCGUUUGUUUAGUGGGGGCUUAGGGGCUUUCCAACCUCUUCUAUCCGAGGCAGGUUACGCUAACGAGUUGGCGUACAUCUCAUCAGGUAUGGUAGUGUGUCGUAUAGCGCGGCCUCCCGCCCGUGUCGCCCCCAGGUGAUUCGAAGAUUCGUCGCGGGCUUUUUUGGUGCAUAGAAAAUAAAACGAAACCAAGCAUAAGGAACUCGGUCGCGCUCGCGUUCCCUCCCGUGUCCGGCGGCGACCACGGCGAGCGCUAGCUAGUCGCCGGGCGGUAGCUCGCAGCACGCGCGCGCGUGGCUCGCCGAGGGCGUGAAGCAUGUGUGCCGACUGCCGAGUUGUAAAUUACUGCUCCUUUAUAUUAGAAAUUUAGGCAUUUUAGGGUAUAUAUUAAUUCCGAAUAUUAUUAAGUAAAUCACGAUUAUUGUGAUUGGCCCAGAACAUGUGCAAGUGUUCAUGUUUAACAUAAUUUUAAUCAUGAACAGAAUGGAACAAAAGAACCAGAAAAGGUUCGGAGUGUACUGAGGGGUAGGACCAUUGUCGGAGGCAAUGGAUGUGUCGUUCCCAGAACUGGAAGUAUCAAACAUUGUGCUUUUCUGAAACUUCGGUUCAAGCUGUUCGAUAUAGUCGAUCAAAGUCGAUGCAGUGAUGAUUUGGUGCAGCGCAGUCCCUCGAACGGCCUUCAAGAAGUAGUAGGAUAUAGUCGUUCGCAGCGAGCAGUCGCGCAGAAGAUGCGCUCUCUCGCAAGCUUUGUGCGCGCAAAGGCUUGCGACGGAGAUGCGAAAGUAGCAACGGGCAACAGCAAAAAGGGAAGAGAGAGUGGUUUAUCUCAUGUGCGUCAAUCAGGGGGUGUUUGGAUCCUCAGGCUUUAGUUCCUGUCACAUCGAAUGUUUAGCUACUAAUUAUGAGUAUUAAACAUAGACUAUUUACAAAACCAAUUGCAGGCUAAAAAUCUAUUAAGCCUAAUUAGUCCAUGAUUUGAUAAUGUGUUGCUACAGUAAUCAUUUGCUAAUGAUGGAUUAAUUAGGCUUAAUAGAUUCAUCUCGUCGUUUAGCCUCCAUUUGUGUAAUUAGUUUUAUAAUUAACUCAUAUUUAGUCAUUCUCAUUAGCCUCCGAAUAUUCGAUGUGACACGGACUAAACUUUAGCUCCAGAAUCCAAACACCCCCUCAGAGUAUGAGCAUCUUUUUAUAGACAUAAUUCAACAAACUUGGACACGGUUACAGGUGAUUGAUAGCCAUUAACCAGCCAUCACUUACCAGUAACCUCCAACCGUUACUAGUCAUUGGUGACACAACAUCAAUUAUUAGUUAUCAACUCGUGAUUAAAAACUGCAAAACCGAACCAAAUUCAGCCCACACAUCACUGCGCCGCGCUGCAGCACGGCGAGCGAGCGUGCGUGUGUGGCACCCUUUCUCUCUUCCUCAACUUCUCAAUUAGUGGACAGAUAGUCCACCUAUUUAAGUGGGUUAAGAUACUCCUUAAUCUAUUUAUGAUUAACCAAUUUAACCACCUAGCAUUAAUCGUGGGUGUUGAGAUUAAAUGAAAUAUAUAGAUCUAGCUCAAAUAUUCCGACACUCGAUUAUAUAUGUCAGCUGUUUGAAUCGGACAUGGCUUGAUUCUUACUCAAAGAAAUUCGUACUCGUCUUGUCGUGGAAAUUGCACGGACGCGGGGAUGUUAGGUGGUCAGAAGCACCUGGCCUGACCCCCGGCGGCAGAAAUCGAUCAAAAUACAAACACUGCCUGUUACUGCCUAUUUACGCAAGUGUACAGAUCCCCGGGCGUGUUCGGAUCCACGGUUUGCAGUGUUCAUGCUGUGUUAGUACUGGCCAAUCACGUCUCUGUUCUGCAUUUACGCGGGGCAAUGCAAUUUGCCACGAGGAGGACAGGCGGCUGAUCAUGACCAGCGGGGAGCUCGAUGUGUCAACUUAAAAUAGCAAGCCACUACAUGCGUGCCAUAUCGAAAGGACCACAGGCCCGGUGGAAUUGCGCUCGUGCCAGACUGCAAGAUGAGCCUUUCCGCUUUGCCGAUGGGACCGGGGUACGGGAAAUUGCCAGAUUAUGUGGUCGGAGCUCGGUCUGUGCUCCCUUGCUCAGGCGCCACUGUGUGCCGACCACCGCAGCGUCAUCCCCAUGCAAAAUCCUGCUUAUAUAACUCGCUUUUUGCCGUAGGUCUGGCUGUAGGCUAGCUCUGUGCAGUGUACGUAGCCUUUGGAGAAAAAGAUCGAAACGUGCUUAAACGAAGCGGACUUUUCGAAGGGAGUGUAUGUGGACGUAUGGUUAAGCAUAUGCAUCGAGACAGAUAAGGCUGUUUCCGGAAAGGAAAAGGGGCUAGCGCGACAGAUAAGGCCGUGCAGCGUGCAUGAAAACACACGUGUGAACAUGACCGGCUCACAGUCUCGGUGAACUGGAUGCUAGCACGCUGCUGUCAUACUCAUACGGUUGAGUUCAAACCCUCACUUUCGCAUCCGUAAGGAAUAUACUGUGUCAGGUUUCUUCUUAUUAAAGCUCUGAGCAUGUGUACAUGUCGUCAGGAAGUUCUUUUCUCCUUUCACGGACGUGUCCGUGUCCAAAUCCGGUCAUGAAACGAGGCGAUAUGUGCUGAUCACUACUAUUGCACGCUGUACUACACUACUAGCACCGGCGACGUAGCGCGAACACAAACACCGGAAAAAUUAACAGGCGAGAGCCGACUAGUUAAGGCGGACGGCUAUGUUCAUCCGUUUGAUGAAUUGAUUGGACGAUCGUUCUCGUUCACUAGCUUAAAAGACGUCACUGAAACUGCUAGACAAAUGUAAAGCGUUCUCUUCCAUAAAAUGGCAAUCGGGCAGAGAUGCGCCUGCCCAGUGCCCACUUUCAUCGUGCUGCUACAUUUGCAGCAGUGGGCAUUGGCCCGUUGCUGUGCAGCAGUACAAAGGCCCUUUUUCCUCAAGGAGAGAACCAUAUUGGCCACUUGUUAGCAAACACGUACAUUACAAGUGUGCGCAGACAUCCUUGAGCCUAUGGAGCUGAGAAAUAUAUUUGCCUAAGGUGUUUGGUUCACGCCACACUUAGCAAACUCUAUCCCAUAUGCAAUACACUUUAUUUACAAUACCUUACAUAAGGCAUGGUUAAUAAAUUGCUAGCCACACCUUAAUUGAAGUACGGCAAAAGUUAUGGUAACUAGCCAAACACGGUGGGUCUACUAGUUCUGUAUCCCUCAACUUGGGAGCCGCCAAGACCACAACUCUCAACUUUUGAAAGUGUCGCGAUACACUGUAUUCACCCACAUCAUAGCGAUUUUGACUGAUGUGGCAAGGUUUUUGAGCACACAUCGUGAUAUGGACAUCUAACUUCAGCGUUAGUGAGCACUCAUCACACCAUGAAUGUCAUGUCAUGAUCGAUGUAGAAUUGUAUAUGGAAACCCUCUUUCAUCUCUGCCUCAUCUUUUUAAUGCCAUAUAUAUCAACAAUUUAUUCGGCAAAAACUAUUUGAUUGAAGAUCAUUUAUCACUUGUUCACUGUUCACAUGCCUCGUCCAACAAGUUUGGCCGGCCCAGAUCCGACUGGACCAACCAACCUCGCUCGAAGCGACCGAGAGAGGCCCAAUCUCUUUUCCCAAAGGGCCCAAUCUUCUCCUAUGGGCCCAACCUCUCUAGCGAGGGAACCGAAAAGGCCCAGCCCACGAAAAAACCCAAACCAAUGACAGCCUCACCCACCUCCCUCAUUCCGGUCAUUCUCUCCCCCUACCUUGCGGUUGCGGUUAUGUGAAUAGUGCCCACAAGAUUUGAUCCUCCACCGUCUCACUCUCACCUUGUCCUCCCCCCGCUCCCCACCAUGGCUCCUUUUGGAUCCCACCCUACCCCACCAUGCGCCCCCCUGGCCCCACUCGUCUGACUCUACCCCCUACCUUCCCGUCCCGGCCUCGCCUGGUCACCGCCGCGCCCAAACCCAAUCCCCUAAACCCUAGCGCCGCCGCCGCCAUGCUGCGCCGCCUCGCCGCCGUCGCCCCGCGGGCCUUCUCCUCCUCCUCCUCCCCGCACGCGCCGCCUGCGGCGGCGUCGGGCUACACCCCGCGCCGCGAGUACGGGCUGGUGCCCAUGGUGAUCGAGCACACCUCCCGCGGGGAGCGCGCCUACGACAUCUUCUCCCGCCUGCUCAAGGAGCGCAUCGUCUGCAUCCACGGCCCCAUCUCCGACGACACGGCCUCGCUCGUCGUCGCGCAGUUGCUCUUCCUCGAGUCCGAGAACCCCGCCAAGCCCGUCCACCUCUACAUCAAUUCCCCCGGCGGGGUCGUCACCGCGGGCCUCGCCAUCUACGACACCAUGCAGUACAUCCGCUCCCCCGUCACCACGCUCUGCAUCGGCCAGGCGGCCUCCAUGGCCUCGCUCCUCCUCGCCGCGGGGGCGCGCGGGGAGAGGCGGGCGCUGCCGAACGCGCGGGUCAUGAUCCACCAGCCCUCCGGCGGCGCGUCGGGGCAGGCCUCCGACAUCGCCAUCCACGCCAAGGAGAUCCUCAAGGUGCGGGACCGGCUCAACAAGAUCUACGCAAAGCACACGGGACAGGCCAUCGACCGCAUCGAGCAGUGCAUGGAGCGGGACAUGUUCAUGGACCCGGAGGAGGCGCACGAUUGGGGGCUCAUCGACGAGGUCAUCGAGCACCGCCCUGUCUCGCUUGUGUCUGAUGCUGUUGGCGGUGAUCCGCCGAACCUCGGUGGAGGCGGAAAUGGGGAGAAUAAGGGAGCGGAGGAGCCAUCAUCGGCGUGAUGGAUUGUCACAAGGUGCAAUCCUUUUUGCGUUUCCUUUAGCUGUCCUGUUGGAUUUAAGGUUUCAUUCAUACAUGAGGUGAAUAACUUAAUUUCCUGGCUGCUUGGGCUUAUCCAGUAGCUACACUGUUGUUUUGCUACUUGGAUUAAUCUGUUGCUGAUAACGAAUGCUACGUGGUUUUAGCCUUCAUCUGUGGAAAACUGAUGAUAGAUGCAUUGUUAAAGGCUUAAAGUGUUUGUCUGGAUUCAAUCAGUUCUGUUUAUAAAGGAUAAAAAUCAGUAAUCACAACCUCGCAACAUUGGGUUGCAUUUUGUACUGGCCCUGAUUUGGAGUACCAUUUCAUGAUUAUCAUUGCACAUUCCCUGGUGUUUCUAGUUGUGUUUUGACUUUGAGCAUUAUGCGAUGUUAGUAUUUCAAGUAAGUUCUAUAAUUCAUCAGUACUCUGUCAUCCUCUAGAGUUUUUCUUCCACUUGUUUGGUGCAUGUCACUUGAUAGUUUUUUUUUUGAGGGGCUGAGUUCAAAUACAGUUUUCUAUCUAUAACUGAGUGAGCCUCUCAUUUAAUUUCUUCUGGUAGCACAACUGGAUACUCAAUUUUCUAUGUUAGAAACUGGAAGUGACCCCGACAUAUAAUAGUAGUCAACCUUUAAACUGAAUCUCCUAUGUACGAAUAUUUCUGUGCUGUCCUUGUGAUAUGCCAGUAUGACACAUGAAGCUGAGCGUAGUGCUGUUAUAUCGACCAAAUGGUUAAAGUCAUCCAAUAUUUUGAUAAACUGGAAUGGAGCUAAUGCAUGUGUGUACUUUGAGUAUAGUUUCCCUGUUGCCUACAAUGCCUGUAUUAGUGUAACAGACUAUAACAGGUUUUGGCAGUUUUAGGCUUAGUAGGGCCUCCUUGUUCCUAGGACCUUGCACUGAUAAAACUGCAUAUCACUGAACGAACAAUCUGAGGUACUGACAGCAAUAUUUGUUUCAUUUAGGGCUUAGAUCGUGUCCAAUAGUUCCAUCUAAUCCUGAUGUUCAUAGCAAGACUCAAGGACAUUUCUAAGAGCUCUUUUAAAGAGCAUCCUUUAGCUCAUGUAUGUCUUCAUAGCAGCCUGCAUUUUAAGUUACCUUUCUUUUGCUUAGUCUUCUCAUUACAACUACUAUGAGCUCCCUUAUCAGUUGACAUGUGUACAUUUGGAUUCAUAAUACAUGAACACCACAUCCUUUAAAAAUCUGAAAUUACUAUCUUUUAAUAUCAUUAAUGUCUUGCCUUCUUGUUUGCUUUUACCUUUUUGUAAGGACUAAGUGCUGUUUGGCAGAUAGAACAGUUGAACUAAAACACAUCAACUCCAUGAUGUUAUUGCAGGAAUAUCUGAGCACCCAACUAGAUGUUCAAUUCGAUUGAUGAUUUAUGCCUAGAGUUCCAGAUGGAUGAUGUGUGCUUGAUUCUGGUCUUGUGAGCUGGAGAUUUUAAUGGGAGUUUUCAGCGGUCAAUAUAACAUAAAAGCUGAAUCCUGACCACUGAUAGGAAGCAUAGUACAUUUUAAAUCUGCCAUUUCUGAUUCUGUUUUGAGCGCCAGGGCCUACAUUACUGCUUGCUGCUUUGUUGUUCCUGAGCACCUAGUCUGAACAAUCUUUUCCUUUUUUAGCCUCUAAUGCUUUGAUUUCUGAAUCUGUACUUUGUUUUGACAUUCAUCACGCAACCCAAAAAUUGAGUGCAUCGCUUGUUUGUGUUGCUUCGAUCUUCUGUUGGGGCAGUUUUCCACACUGUUCUGUGGAUGAUGAGACAUUUGUAUCUUUUGGUUAACUACCCAAUUCAACAGUCUUCAAAGAAGAAUAUUGCUGAUAGUUGGCAGUUCUGGGUUGAAGAUGCUGCUUUGGUGAGUGGUGGUUUUCUGUGUUUAUUUUCAGAAAAAAAAUGCAGUGAGCUGCUUGAGUAGAAAUCGUCAGAGGCAGCCCUCAGACCGUGUAACUACAGCAAAACGUGUUCCUUGCCCUGUUCUGUGUCAGCACUUGCUACACUGCCAGCUUGCAGUAGAUUUGAUCAACUAGAUCUAGAUGGGGGCUUGUUGCAACACAGCGCAAUGGUGGUACUGCUAUGUCGAGUUAAUUCAUCAGUACCGAGUCAUUCUUCUGUACUUCAUAGUUUUUUCUUCCACUUGUUUGGUGCAUGGCACUUGAUAGUGAGGGGCUGACUUCAAAUACCGUUUUCUAUCUAUAACUGAGUGAGGCUUUCGUUUCAUUUCUUCUGGGGCCUGGGGGAACAACCGGAUACUCAAUUUUCUAUACUAGAAACUGGAAGAGACCUUGACAUAUAUUAGUAGUCAACCUUUUAACCGGAUCUAUUAUGUAUGAAUAUUUUUGUAUAGUCUUUAUGAUGUGUCAAUAUGGCACAUGAAACUGAGGGUAGUCCUGCUAUACAGACCAAAUCGUUAAAAUAAUCUAAUAUUUUGAUAAACUGAAAAUUGAGCUAACGCAUGUUUGUACUCCUGAGUACAAUGCCUGAAUUAGUAUAAGGCCAGUCUCAGUGCACAGUUACCAAGAUUGAGAAUUAGGUAACUGUGCCUGUUGAGUGUCAUUGGGAUGAAACUUCUCUCACAUAUGAUGAAACUCCUCAUUCUCUCUCCUCAUAAAUACCUUGCCAAGUCAGCAAAAUUGGUGAUGUGGCAUGGAAAUUAAUGCUCAUGAAACCCUCUAUGAAACUCCCAUUGACACUAGCCUAGCAGAUCGACAGGUUGUGCCAGUUUUGGGCUCAAUUGGAGCUUUCUAGGAUCCAAGACUAGAAAUAGUGUAAUACUGCAUAUGGGACAGUCUGAGAUGCUGGCAGCAGUAUUUGUUCUAUUUAGGGCUUAGAUACUUAGAUCAGAUCCAAUAAUUCCAUAUAAGGCCCAAGGAUAUAUCUAAGAGCUCUUUUAAGGAGCAUCCUUUGACUCAUGUAUGGCUUCAUAGAUGACGCCUGCGGCGUGCAUUUUAAGCUUCCUUUCUUUUCCCUAGUCUCAUUGCAACUAUUAUCAGCUCCCUAAUCGUUUGGCUUGUGUACAUGUGGAUUUGUGGUAUAUAGACACUGAAUCCUUUAAAAAUCUGAAACUACUGUCUACUUAUAUCACUAACGUCUUACCUUCUUGUUUGCCUUUAUCUUUGAGUAUGGGACAGACUAUGUGCUGCUUGUCAGGUAAAACAGCUGAAAUAAGACACAUCAACUCCAUGAUGCUCUUGCAGUUCAGGAAUAUCUGAGCACCCAACUAGAUGUUCGAAUUGACCGUUGAUUUAUGCCUAGAGUUCCAGAUGGAUGAUGUGCUCUUGAUUUUGGUUCCUUGAGCUGGAGACUUUCAUGGACUUUUCAUCGAUCGGUAUGACAUAAAUGAUGAAUCAUGAACAUCGAUAGGAUAUUACAUUUAAAUCUGUCAUUGCUGAUUUUAGUUUGAGCUCCAGGGCUUACAUUUAUGUUCUUGUACGACAGUUUGGAAUUUGGAGCCCAUACCAUAGUCUGAACGAUAUUUCUUUUUCUGUUUUAGCCUCUAACACCAGUUUUGGAUUCUGGUACCUUGAGUGCGCUGCUUGCUGUUUGUGUUUCAGUUUUCUAAUUGGAAGUUUUCCAUGCUCUGUUCUGCGGAUGAAGAAACAUCUGUAGCUUGAGGUUAAACUACUUAAUUUAACUCCCUUGUAAUUAGAGUAUUUGUUGAUAGUUGAUACCCUUCAAAUAUGCUACAUGCUAUUUGGCAGACAGAAUAGUUGAACUAAAACGCAUCGACUCCACGAUGUUAUUGCAGAAGCGCCCAACUUGUUGUUCAAUUCAACCAAUGAUCUAUGCCUUGAGUUCCAGAUGGAUGGUCGUGUGAGCUGGAGAUUUUAAUGAAGUUUGCACCGGUCUAACAUAAAAGAUGAAUCAUGAACUCUAAUAGGAAGCAUGUUACAUUUUAAACCUGUUAUUUCUGAUUGUUAUUUUGAGCACCAGGGCUUACAUUACUGCCUUCUUCUUUGUUGUUCUACAACAGUUUGGACAUCUUUUUUUUUUCUUUUUUAGCCUCAAAUGCUUUUGACUGGAAUCUGGUGCUUGUUUGAUGUGUGUCACGCAGCCAAAGAUUCUGAAUGGAUAGCUUAUAUCUAUUUUUCACCAGUUUUCCAUUGGGCAAUUUUCCACUCCGUUAUAGGGAUGACGAAACAUAUGUACCUUGUGGUUAAACUACCCAAUUUUAACACCCUUCAAAGGAGAGUAUUUGUUGAUAGGUUGGCGCACAAUUCUUGGUUCUGUGCUUCAGAUGCUGCUCUGGGAGAGUGGCUGUUUUCUGUGUUUAUAAUUGAUCAGAGAAACAUGCCGCGAGCCGCCUGCCUAGAAAAUCGGCAGAGGCGGCCAAGACGUGUAACUACAGCUGACACGUACAAGACGUAUUCCCUGCCCCUUCUCUCAGUGAGGGCUUGGUAUACAGCCUGCUUGCAGCAAGAUUCGAUCAAAGAUCAAGAUGGCUACUUUGUCGCCUUGUUGCAUAUUGGAGCUAGGAGGGGAUUCCAUGGAACGUUUACAUCUGCCUUCCCGUUGAAGAUUUGCAGGGGAAUACAGUCACGCAACACAUAACCCAUUCAAGCUCAAGCUUCGUAGCUAAGCAAAACGAUCUACUCCUGCUACUUCAGCAGCUGGCGCAGCGAGUGGGCCGGAGAGCUCGCUCCCCGGCGGCUAGCGGGUGCGCGCGGCCGGGAGGUCCUGGCCCCGGAGGAAGUGGUAGAGCAUGGCGAGCGAGCGGGCCGGCGCGAAGAGCGGCACCUGGUGGCCCGCGCCGCGCACCGUCACCAGCGUGAGACCCUCUUCGUACUCCACCGCCCACCCGGCCACCUGCUGCCGGUAGUACCACGCCCGCCACCCGCCCCACUGCGCCACCGCGUCGGCGGACGCGUUCGCCCUCAGCCUCUCCCGCGGCCGCAGCCCCAUGGCGUUGAUGCUGUACCGCGUCGACGUCACCGGCACCCGCCCGUCCGUGUCGCCGCUGCAAAACGUGCCAUGCCAUGCCAUCGCGGGGUUUUCAGUUCAUCAGUGACAUGGCUCACCGUCAGUAGUAUGGCAGAAAAAGGAAAUGCUCGAAGUCAUGUACCUGUAGACCCAGACGCGCAGCCCGGCGGCCAUGAGCUUCUUGAGGAUGGGCAGUAUGGUGGCCGGCGAGUCGUUCCAUUUCCUUAUCACCUCACUGCAGCACAGGCACGCAAUAAACAACCGUUACGUUCCGUCAGAGCGGAUGCUGAAACCGUGCAGCAGCUUCGCAGGAGACGAAAAAUACGCUACAGCCGGUGCAAAGCAGAGGAGUCAAUGCGCGUGCAAGUUGCAACCGCGCCAGAUCUGAGAAGGAACUGGCCGGUGCUGCACUGCUGCUGAUAAACGUAUUCAUGGCGGCUGGUGGAUGAGUAAUUGGUGGACCGUGGACGACAAGGUAAACAGUGCACGCGCGCUGGAAGGGCCGGACGUAGGCUGGCAGCAUAUGCAGAGAGGGAAGAACAGUGACUGCGGAAGCCGGGCGUGCGGACCUGCAGGGCGAGUACGGGUAGGGCAGGCCUGUCCGGUUGGCGUGCAGCGCGCGCUGCACGUCCCCGCGGUUGAAGUACUUGGUCACGUACGCCUCCGUGCACGGGUCGUAUCCCGCCGGCACACGCUUCAGCCUGUGCCACGCAUCCUGCAGGUGCCCCAACGUCACGGGCAGCCAGGCAGACGAGAGAAAACCAAUCAGCCAGUCACAUCUUAACUUGUGCCCUGUCGUGUUCAAGGACAGUGGGGAGAGAGAGCAGCGUACAUGCUUGGAGAGGAGGCGCGGCGCGGCGACGAGACUCGCCGGGCGCCGGGGCUUGGCGGCGGCGGCUGGCAGCAGGCACGUCGGCGUGUAGAUGCUGUAGAUGUCGAUGUCGUCGUAGGCGCCCAGGAAGGCGCGGAGCGCCGGGGAGCAGCCCUUGCCGGGCCGCCCGCCGUCGGCCUCCUCCUUGAAGGAGUCGCACUCGCGGCGCACCGCCGAGUAGAGCUCGUCGGAGAUGAUGGCGUGGCUCCAAGCGUACUCCACCAUGCCCAGCUGGUCCGUCGCGUCGUUCAGCACCGCGUUCCCGAUCUGCCACACCAUCGCCCCGUCAGCAGCAGAAAUGGUUUUGCUUUUCCGACAGAGCGGCGAACAAUGCACGCAUGAAAUUACUUUUAUUUUUUUACUAGAGUUCUAGGGAGCAUGCGUGAAAUUAUUACUGCCAGAGCAGGCGCAAAAGGGUUUGUCACGAACCACGCUUUUUUUUUUUUACCAUGCUGGUUAUUGGAGGAUUAUUAAAACUAAAGCGGUAAAGCUCCCAGGGCGGGGUAUAUCCGCAUGCACGCUUAUGUCUGCCAUCUACUUUUACUACAGCGCAGCAGCACUGAUUCACUUCUCUCUCUCUUUUCCUUUCCGUCUCCGCUUUAUCUUUCUAGAAUACUAACUGAUGGCCGAUUUGCUGAGCUAAGGCUGCUUAGUAGUAAUCCUAAUGGCAUGAUUGCAGGCUUAAGGGGCCCCAGCUUUGCUGUCAAGUUUCCUCGUAAGGGGAGCUCAGGCCUUAGGCAAAGCUUACCAUGAAACCUUUGAUGUUGAUGGCUCUUUCCCUGCUCGCCCCUUUCCUCCCGUCGUAGAUGAGCUCCGCGAGCUGGGGAACAUAAUGCCCUGAAAAAAGCGCGAUGCAGAGGCGUGUCACUGUUUUUUCUUUUUAUCGCAGAUUAUGAUGCAGCUUAAGAAAAAAACUGAGGUUUUGGGCCGUCUGAUUUACCGGCGUAGCUCUCCCCGGCGAUGUAGAAGUCCCGGGUCUUGAACUCGGGGAACUUGUCGAGCCAGUUGAGGAGGAAGCUGUACGAGUCCUGCGCCGUCACGCGGUCGCCGAGCCGCCGCAGGUCCGCCGUCCGGUUCGUGUAGGAGAACCCGACCCCCACCGGCGCCUCCAGGAACAGCAGGUUCACGGCUGAGAAACCAUUGCAAUCGAAAGGACCCAGUCACACAAGAUUCAUCCAAAAUUCAGAAUUCAAAUGAGCAGCAGAAAACUUAAAACUGUGCUUUGAUGUUGCUUGCUUGCCUUUGUUCCACGCGUAGGCGUUGCGGGUGAGGUUAGCGCCGUAGCUCCUGACCAGGAACGGGCCCAGCUCCUGGGCGGCGCCGUAGGCAACAGAGGAGCAUCCAGGCCCUGCAAUGGCACGUCGCGUUCUUCAGACCAUCACAGGCAUCAGUCAGAACGGAAAAUCAUCGUCCGAUCACGCGCUUGCUACAGUGCAUUCGUAGCGAUCGAGUGUUUCGCCACAAGGGCAGCCUUAUGUGUCCUUAUCCGUUCCUCCAUUGGUUGCUACUGCAGUUCUCAGAGGCGCCUAUGGGAAUUGUUUACAGGCUAGAUGCGUAGGCUUUUUGGGCACUGUCUAUACCGAGGCCUUGGCCUUGCAGGAGAAAAGAAAUGCAAAGGUGAGGACAGAGCGGAGAGCGGGGCGACGAGACAGCUGAUUUGCCAAUCAGAAAGGCCGCUCUGCCCUUCCCUGGCGGUCAAAGCGUCAAAGACUCGUACUUCCGUGCAAUCAGUAAUGCCUACUACCCUUUCUUUUCGGACUAUAACAAAUUAUCAACUGCAGAUAAGAAGAUUAUCACUGAAGUCAGGAGAUAUAGCAAGUAAUAACUCUGACUGACUGACAGAGUCUGAGACUGAAUGAUACGCGUGAAGCGUCAUGACAAAAGACUUGGAUUCUCUAGUUUGGUUUCAGACGAACACAUGCUCACGUGCAUUGGUAUCAACUUUAAAUCAUAUAAUAUAAUCUAGGAUUACGGCUCAUAAUCCCUCUUUUUAUCUUUACUGUGCCGUCCUUUGGUGGUGGUGGUGCCCCAUUGGCCCCCCUAGAGCUACAGCCAUGUGAAGGAAUGCUAAAGGACAAGUCGAAAGAGAGAGAACAAUAUCUGGUCGCCUGAUGGCUUAACAGUGUCGCCAGUGCUGCUGCAGCGCAGGUGCGGGGGCGAGAAACUGCAUCGCACUCGCAAUGUCCCUCCGUGGUCGCCGGCCGGCCGGAACAGCGAAGCUUUCUCUCUUCCAGGACCAGGGCGCAGGGCCCUGCUUACCGCUCGUACGGCGGCGUCGAGCCUUCUUUUGCUCUUUCGCAGCGUCUUUUCUCCUGCGCCGGGAGGGAAGGCUUUGCUCUCUGCAGCCUGCCCCGAGAUCCGAACGCAUGCUCUCGGCUCCUCUCGUCCUCUCCCCCUGUGGAUCCUGGUGCUUUGCUUUGGGGAGCUUUUGCUGCCGGAAAGCAUCGUUCUUCCGGUGCAGCACGGUGACCACCACACGGGGGGCCACGGCCUGUGCUUUCCGACUUGCCGACGCAUUUUUCGUUGGUGGAAAGAACAAACAUGAAUGCGAGAACAUCACUGAUCCUACAGUUUUUACUUGGAUUCGUGUCAUCUACCGCUAUAUGUGACGGUUUCUGUUUAUCCUAUAUUACUAUCACGUUUUUUGAGGAAUCAUAUUCCUAUGUCACUGCCUAGAGAUGCAACUAUAUUUGCAAACAAACAAACGUUUCAUUGAAAUGUCACUGCCUUUCGUUUGUGAAAUGAGAAGCAAAUGGAAGAAUCAGAGAUGGGCAACAAUCACGGGAUCUACAGAGCUAGGGAAGAAACAACCCCAGAGGCCAGAGGCUCAAGUCGUGCGUACCUCCGUUGAGCCAGAGCAAGAGCGGCUUCUUCUCCGGCUCGCGCUCAGCCUCGAAGAACCAGUAGAAGAGCGCCUUGCCGCUGCCGCCGCCGCCCGAGCCGACGUCGACGUAGCCGGCGUAAUGCCUGAACCCGACGGCCGGCUGUCCGGGCAGCCCGGUCACGAGGUCCGCCUCCGGCCGCGGGCUCCUCGGGGACACUCCGGUGGCCGAGUCCGGCGCCGUGGCCAGCGCGAGCAUGAGCACCGCCAUGGCCGUAGCCACAGCCAUGGUCGUUUCUACGGGCAAGCGUGGCGUGUGGCGAUGUGCUCUGCCUCUGCGCGUUUGAGGGGGGAGUGGUGAAAUGGGGGAGGGAAGGGCGGUUUUAAGGGCACGUUUGGUUGGUUACCAAUUGUGACCCUUCCAAAAAAUUGGCGCGCCCUCAAAAUUUGGCCUGGGUUUGGUUGCCUGCCGAUCAUUGGCUGCCAACUUCCUCCUUUUUUUUUUUUGAUAAAAGCUGCCAACUUCCUCCUAGUUGCACCACAGAACCAACGCGCGCAAAAACACAGGCGGCCAAAUCGCUCGCCAACAAUUUGGCAGCCAACGGAAGCUCCAAGAGCUAUGUGGCAGCAGCUUAUUAGCUGCACGAAUACCCAAAAACAAGGAUUAAUAGGCUUUGAUCGAUAAUAUCUCCUAAACGGUAAAUCUAAUUCACAAUAUGUUUGCGUAUUAAUACUUAUUACAAUUAAAUCUACAAAACAAAAUCUUAGUUGACUACAUUUAGAGGUAAAAAAAUUCAAGACAUGUGAACCCCACAUGUCAUGCUUACAUUAUAUACAAUAUUUGACAACUACCAGUAAGGUCACAAUCCAAACAUUACUGUGCCCCGGUUUUGGCAUCGCCCAUGAUUUAAUCGUAACCAAUAUUUGGCGCGGUAAACCUGGCACGAACCAAACAUGCCUUAAAAGCAGAGGAGGACGUGUGGGGGUGGGGAUAAAGUGGAGGCGAGGGGGUUGGCAGUAAAUGUUUUUCAUUUUUAAGUUGCCGUAGCGGGGGCAGUUAGGAAAUGAAUUUGCUAACCACAGUGGGUGAUUGGAGGUACCUUCUUGGUUAUCUGGCUCACAUCCAAACUUUUGAUUCCUACUAACUGCGUGUCAGAGCAGUUGUUUAUACUACUAUGUACGUGGGGUUUUAUAGGAUUUCUAGGAUUCUAUCACGUGACCAGGUUCUGAAUUCAGAUUGUAAGAGAAUGCAAUUUGGUUUUGUCAUUGUCUUGCAUUGAGCGCUCCUACAUUAAAAAAUGCCAACCGAUUUAGCGACUGAAGUUUAGUUGGCAGUUCGUGCGUCAAUGGGAUUGGGCGUAGUGGCGGGAUGUCAGCGGCUUGUAACUGCCAGGCGCAGCAGCCGGCAGUCUGAGGCACUGCUGCCAGGAACAGUUACGGACAUGAUAGUAUGCCAAAAACGGGACGGUUUCAGCGUUGAAUAGCAUCUCCGUGUUCAUUCUGGAGAACUUGCAUGCCUACAUUGAGCACUACUAGUAAUGCUAAACGACCAAGAUGGCUAGCUACAAAAGUGAACAAUGCUGCAGCACAGAUUGAUCAAACGCAUUACUCCGAGAUGUACAUCCUGCACCUGCAACGUCACGCUCCAAGCUCACUCUCUGAUCGCCCAAGCUUCAGCGAGAUCACGGCACCCUUCCAGCUAUUCUCCUCGGAGAAAAACGCGUUCAGGUCGAUCUCGUCAAGAAGCCUCUUCCUCGCCUCCUCCACUCUCCGGCUGCACGCGAGCCGCUCCUGGGCCUGCUGCUCCCGCCCAUCCGGCGGAUGCGGCGCGCUGCUGCUGCCUUGGGCCUGCAGCUCCUGCCCAUCCGCCUGCGCCGCGCGCUUGCGCUUCUUCCUCGGCCUCUUGGGCUUGUACUGGCCGAACCUGGCCUCCAGCUCCUGGGGGCUCCACCGAUGCCCGAACGCUUCGAAUCUCCUGAGAAGGGGGAUUGAGAGCAGAACACAGGAGGGACGUAAACCAUGAUGAACGCAGCAGCGAUUGCCAUUGUUAGGGGGCGUUUGGAUGCCACGGGCUAAACUUUAGCCCUGUCACAUCACACGUUCGAAUGCUAAUUAGGAGGAUUAAAUAUGAGCUAAUUAUAAAACUAAUAGCAGAACCCCUAGGCUAAAUCGCGAGACGAAUCUAUUAAGCCUAAUUAAUCCAUCAUUAGCGAAUGGUUACUGUAGCACCACAUUAUCAAAUCAUGGACUAAUUAGGCUUAAUAGAUUCGUCUCGCGAUUUAGCCUAGGGGUUGUGCAAUUAGUUUUGUAAUUAGACUAUGUUUAAUACUCCUAAUUAGUGUCCAAACAUCCGAUGUGACAGGGGCUAAAAUUUAGCCCCUCCUGGCCAAACACCCCCGGAACGCGUACGUACCUGGAUAUUUCCUCCCAGAGUCCCACCUUGCCGAGCGCGUUGGCGAGCCGGAAAGUCUCGUCCAUGCUUCCUCUGAUGCUGUAGAACAGCUGCGUCUCUUCUUCGCUGAAGGGUGUCGACGACGAGGAGCUCUGCUGCCCAGGAUCCAUUGUGACUUUGACCGUGAAUAGUUCCUCUUAGCUUGAAGCUGCAUAACGAAAAGGCAAGAGCCGUUAAAUUGCACUGUGACAAGUUGAAAGCUUCGUGUGAGCAACUGAAAUAAGUGUCCUCGCUUAGAUCAGUUAGACAUCUGAAAAAAAAACAAAUCAAUGGUCGAACAUAAAAACAAUUUCAACCUCAAGUGCAUUUCCUUGAUCGCUUGCACGCACACGUAUAGUUGUAAUUUAAGAAAGGUGCCUUCAAAAUUUCUUCCAACAACCUCGAAUAUUGCUGAAGGCACCUCUGAGAAACACAUUCAAACUAAGCAUCGAGGCAGAGUUAGCUACAAAAUCAAAAUCCACCGAAUUGUUUUUGGAACUAACAAACGAAACCACACUGGAAGCAAUAUUUGUAACCAGGCACAAUAGAAUCAGCUCAUGAUCAGCUGCAAGUAAUGUUCCAAUUAGUUCCAUUGCUUUAUCAAUCGACCGUAGGAGUAGAUAUGAUCCAUAUGCAGGAAUGCAGGAUGCGGAUACUGGUAGCGCACGAAAGUUUUAUGGAGUGAGCAUAGAAAUGUUCCCGCCCAUCCAAUUCGCACUAUAGGUACAGACAGAAAUAUAGUACCAAACAAUUCCUGAAACGGGUAUAUCCAUUUAGGAGCUACUCGCGAAAUUACAUAAGAAAUGGGAGAUCAUACAUUCAAGAUCUGAUUAAUAGCAAAAUUAGUACAUAAAAGAUGAGAGAUAAAAGAUCGAAUCUGGAGAUACUAUCACAGGAGUACUAAAUUAGUGCGCAUGUCAUAUUGUAGUGGCAAACGAAAUGAUUGUGCUAGCGCAGAACAGUUAGACAUCUGAGAAAAUUCCUGCUCUAAAACGUCACAACUGAAACCGAUUUGAACCUCAACAAGUGCAACGACAUUUCCUUGAUCAACUGCACAUAUGUUGCUAAUCUCUUGUAGGGACUGAUCAAGCAUGGCGCUACUCGUUGAAUAGAAUUCUUGCAAAAAAAAAAAAAGGAACAAUCCGGCCGCGGCUUUAAAAUCGAGGGCCAUCUCAACAGAGAAGUCGGUGAACGGGUGCUGCGCGAGGACUGAGGAUUACCUGGAUCGCCUGGUUGGUUGUAGGCUUGUAGCAGUAAGCAUUCGCGCGCUUGGGGCCGCGCAGGCGGAGCUCGGCGAUGGUGGCGUAGCCGCGUAGGAGCUUUCGGCGAAGCGCAGUGGAGGAUUCGUACCGGGGCUCGGCGACGGCGUCACCAACCGGUGCAGCGUGCAGGCAGGACUGGCGAUUGAGGGGCUCGGCGGAGGUGGAAGCUCGGCGACAGCGGCGUGGGUGGUCGAAAUGCCGGAGGCGCGGCUGCGUGAUGGCAGUGCUCAAGGGGGGAGGAGCUCCGCGGCAGCGCGCUGGCGAGCCCUAGCGGCAGCUCAAAGUGAUGGCUGGCUGGUGGCUAGCUCGCUGCUUCUCCCCAUAUAUCUCCGUGUGUGAAUUGACCUGCGAUCCAGUUGGAGGGUGCACAAUGACGGUGGUCGGCCGGCCAGGAAGGUUAGGCAGGCGUUAACGUCAUUUUCCCAAUGCAAGAACGAACAAACCGGGAGUAAAAAGUUGAUUCGCGCAAAGUGGGUUUGCGCGCCCUGUUUCCGUGUAUCCACGGCUCCACGCCAACCCAACUCGCGCUAGCCCAUGUGACAGGUGCGUGUUGUCUGAUUAUGGGAGCAGUCAAUUUGUUACCACUAUUAGGACAAGGUCUACCUCGUAGGCUCGUCGUAGCUACACUACCAGCGCAGUAGAGUACAUCCUUGCAUUUGCAUUUAGCCCCGAUUUGAUUUUAAGGAGUUCCUAAAAUUCCUAAAUUCCUAUCGAAUGUGUAGAUACUAAUUAGAAGUAUCAAAUAUAGACUAAUUAUAAAAUCAAUUGCACAGAUGGAGACUAAUUUGCAAGAAGAAUCUAUUAAGCCUAAUUAGUUCAUAAUUUGACAAUGUGGUGCUACAUUAAACAUGUGCUAAUGAUGGAUUAAUUAAACAUGUGCUAAUGAUGGAUUAAUUAGGUUUAAUAGAUUCAUCUCAGGAAUUAGUCUCCAUCCAUGUAAUUAGUUUUAUAAUUAACUCAUAUUUGAUCCACAUAUUUGAUGUGACAUGAAUUUUAAUCCAGAGUAAAAAUCCAAACACUCCUCAAACCCAAACCCCCAGAUUCUGUAUUGCACUGUGUGACAUCGAUCUCUCUAUUAGGCCGUCACACGAUGGCACCGUGACAACGACCUCAAGUUACCGGGGAGUGACAGCCGAGUUGCUGUGGUUUGGGAGCCCCGACAACCAAUGGUCCAGUGGCACGAGAACACCAUGUCCAUGUCACCUUUGUAUACGUGUCUUACUUGCUGUUGACCAUGAGUUUGAUUUUUUUUUUUGGUAUGUGCACGCAAUGUGAUCGGUCACGACUCACGACGCAAUGUAGGUGGAGUGACACGGCCGAGCUCAAAAUAUUUUGGAAGCUGUAUCUAUGACUGUAAUCAGCUCUUUGCUUUGCGCGGCGUUGAUGCAAGUGCAUCAGGCUACAAAACCAGAUGGCUGCAUGCACACGCACUGGACCAGUUUUGAGAUAUAGUCCUUGCAGAUAACAAGAGAUAAACUCUAUUUUAGUAAUAUUUUGUAAGGGCCAAACGACAUGGUUGCACACGCAUAAGACCAAUGAGAUAAACUCCACUUUAGUGACAUUUGUAAGAAGGGCCAAACCUGGGCUGUUCACAAGAGAUAAACCACAUGAUGUGCUAUGGGUCAUGGGCCUUGCUAAAGGUUUGUUGGGCCGGUGCGGACAUGAGCUGCUGUUGUGCGUGUGCGGUGUGCCACUGUGCCCAGCAAAUACGUCAUGACGCGGCGCCAAAUUUCACCUCUAACUACAGCUUUCUUAAUCAAAUCAGCAUUCAACGCAACAAAACUGAUAGGAAAAGAACACACAGGUAGUCCGCACAUCAUUCUCCACAUACCUUUUACAUUAUUUGGGCAGAUAAUAGCACAAUAUCAGAGUUCUGAACAAGUUUUUUUUUGGGUUGCAAAGAGAUAUCUGAACAGUGAACAAGUAACAAGCACUGCAUAAUCGGAUCUGCAGAAAGGAGGAAACACAGAUAGCAUAAUCUGAACAAGUACAUAAUGUUGGCCGAUCCAACGAAGACUUGGUGUUCAAAAAGCAUACACACAAGGGACCCAAUCACUAGGAUGCAUUGGGCACGCACACGAACGCGAUGCAGAAGCCAGAAGCGCAUGCAGUUCAACUGACACAGAGUCACAGAUAAAGGCGCGGAGAGCACCCGGAUCACCUCACUUGGCCACCUUCCCCAGCGCCGCCUCGAACCGCAUGCAGUCGACGAUGUAGGCGAAGCCGUAGGCCAUGUUGGCGAGCGUGGCCUCGUGCAGGUCCCGGCUGGCCGUGGCGGUGGCGUCGGCGGAGAAGAACACGCGGAACCCCCUCACGAACGCGUCCCGCGCGGUGGUCUCGCAGCACAGGUUGGUCAUCACGCCACACACGACCACCUCCUCGGCGCCCGCCCGCCGCAGCGCCUCCUCCAGCCCCGUGCCGGCGAAGGCGCUGUACGUGCUCUUCUCCACCACGAGGUCCCCCUCGGCGCGCCCGGCGCCCGGGAGCAGCUCGGCCGCCGGCGUGCCGGCGUCGAUGCGGUCCCCGGGCCACCACUCGCGGAGCGGGCGGCUGCGCGGGACGUCGUCUCGGUCGACGUGGCGGGUGUGCACGACGGGCAUCCCCGCGCUGCGGCAGAGCGCGACGGUGGAGGCGAUCGCCGGCAUGAUCGGAGCGGCGAGCGAGGCGAAGUGGCCCUGCACGUCGAUCACGAGGAGAGCCGCCUUGCGGGGGUCCGGGUCGCGCCGGCGCGUCUCGUACCUGGUGUACGUGGGCGCUGGAGGCGGCAUGGCGGGCGGGGGACGCCGGCGGUAGUGGAAGGUGGGAUCCUGGCUGCGUGCGCGGAUCAGGGAGAUCUCGAGGGAAUCAGGAGGGGUUUGGGCUGUGGGCUGUGCUGGUUGGUUGGUGCCGACUGCCGCCGAGUGGGGAACGAGAGGGAGGGAGCUAGGACUCCGGAGACUUCCAGACGCGACAGAUACACCCGGACACCCCCCACCCGGGCAGCAGGAGCGCGAGUUGGAGCGAGCGGCCCAGGCCUCCCGUUGCCGGUUUCGCAUGCAGAUCGACUCGCGACGACCGUAAGGCAAGGCACGCAGCAGGUGGCCAUAAAGGGCCGUUCCUGGCCUCUGAACAGUAGGAACAUAGCGCAUGGUAGGCUGUAAUUUUGUAAUCUAUUAGAUAUACUAAAGUGGCUGGCUUCGGGGUGACAUCCAUGUAUUGUGGGACCCACAAACUGUUUAGUGGGAUCCAUGAUGGACCCAUGUACUAUUCAGGUGGGACUCGUGCACAUUGAUGAUGCUACGAUCCUAUCGAGUGAGUUCCAUUAUUAAAAAAUUAUAUUUUUUCCAUUAUUUGAAAGUAUAAAAUAUAUUUAAUUAUUUCUUGCAUAUAAAACCAAUAACUAACCUUUGUAUACCGCAUUCACAUGUGGUAGCCUACUACUUUUUGCACUGCUUUUACUUCAUAAACUUGUAAAUUAUGAUUGAAUUAUUCGUUCAUUGCUAAUUUUAUCUUUUGUCCCUACAAAACCAAUAAUCAAUGUAAAUCAAUCCGUCAGCUAUACCUACUAGCACCCAAAAGUUAGUGAAUUCCUAAGUAAAAAAGUUAUUUGUACCUCUAUAUCAAAAUGUUUGGGAUUGGCGCGUUCUCAGAUUAUGAGCUACUGUGCCACCGAUUUAAUGUAGCUUUUGAAUUUGAUUCAAUACAUCGUAUGAUGUUGUUUUGAGUAUAGUAGAAGACAAUAUUUUUUCAUUAUUACUUUAGAUUAAUCUUUUUUUAUGCGGGCCUGGCUAGUUUAUUUUUCAAAUAAGUGGCAAUUGUAGCAGUAAUGGGCUGCUCCCCGUAACCUUUUUAGACGAUAAUGCAGACUUUGUCGUAUUCUGCGGUAUGUAGACGCACCCGCGUCCUCUGGGGUCUGGGAAGUGGGAACGGCUCCACGCUCUCGUCUGCUGGGAGAGCAAGAUGCCGCUCUCGUCGGUUCAUCCUGGGCUCCUGGCGCCCUGGCGGCGAGUCAGUUCUGUACCUCAGGAAGGAACUACUCGCCCCCGCCCGGGUACGCCAUUCUCCGGCUUCGACGAGGAGCCCGCGCCGGGCGCUGUUGUCUCCCGCCGGGGCAGUGUGUCGUCGUCUUGCCGUCCAGGACUGGACCGUCCUCGCGGUGCCCAAGUACGACGGCGAGGGACUCCCCACAGCCGAUCUAGGUGCGUACUGCAUUAUUUAAGAGGAAACGUGUCGUUGUGCAUCUCCUGGCGCUGACACGUUUGCUCUGUGCGUAAGCCUGCUAAUUGGAUUACUCUGACCCACACCAAUCCACAGCAAACUCAGCUAUAUUUGUAUUAUCUAAAUACAAACCAAUCCACAUACUAGUGGAUAUAACUAUGAGUUUGUUAUAAAAAAACUAUGAAAAACGCGCAUAUAUUUGAAAUAAAUAUGAGUCCGACAUGUAGCUCCUACAUCAAGAGCCGGACUCUAAAACUAAAACGUCGUGUUCAUACUGAAAUUGAUCGAAAUUUGUUGAAGAUGACAGAGUUUGAGUGCCCGCUACUUUAUGCUAAAUAGUAUGGCUAAACAUAUAUUUGGGUCCCGCAUUAAGAGCCGGACUUUAGAAUUAAAAUCUCACGUUCACACCUUAAAAUUUUAGCAAAAUUCAUCAAAAUUUGUUGGAGAUGGCUCAAUUUGACUGCCCACUACUUUGUGUAAAAUAGUAUGGCUAAACAUACGUGUGGGUCCCACGUCAAGAGCCGGAUACUAGAAUUAAAACCUCGCGUUCACACUUUAAAAUUUUAGCAAAAUUGAUUGAAAUUUGUUGGAGAUGACUCAAUUUAAGUGCCCGCUAUUUUGUGCAAAAUAGUAUAAUUGGAUAUAUAUGUGGGUCCCAUGUCAAGAGUUGGACCCUUGAACUACAACUUCUCUUUCACACUUAAAAAUUUUAACGAAAUUGAUUGAAAUUUGUUGGAGACGAUUUAGUUUAAUAAUUAGCUACUUCAUGCACAGUUGGACUUAUAGGUGGGCCCACAUCAAGAAUCGGAUUCUUAAAUUGUUUUGUGAAUCAAAAUAAUAUAACCCACUCUAAACCACUUCCAAACUAUUUCUUCUUAGGAGAAAUCUAAACCAAACCAACCAUUCGAUGAAUCGGCCUAUUAAUAACCAAUCUAAAAAACUUAAAAAAACCAAUCCAAUUAAACUAUUAAACCCGAUCCAAAUAGCAGUGCUAUCUGUGCGUGACUUCAGCGAAAUCGUUCCGGCCAAGUUCGAUUUCGACGUGGUUGGACACUCCUUGAGACUUUGGGGUACGGUUCCGGUGUUCGACUUCGACUUCCACUUCCACUUCCGGAAGGGCUUCACCUGCAGUCCUUGUCCUGCAUAAUACGGAGUGCAAUCACUAUUCGAAGUCCUGAAGGCAUGAACGGCUCAAACUCAUCGAUGGACAACGGACUCCCGGUGAAUAUAGCAGGCUUAUGCCAGCGUGUGAAUAAAUCUCACAAAACGUGUCAAUCUUGUCAAGAAAAUAUUGCAUCAACGAAUCGUUGUAGGAAGAGUAUGUAUAUACGUAAUAUAAUUCUACAAUAGUUGAUCGCACCGUGCAAUUGCGCGUGCGGCGUGGCUUAUCUGCGACGUGGUUAUGUACAUUCUGCUCGCGUGCAUCGCAAACUUGCGUGUCAACCCGGGCAGGAACAGCUCCGAUUCUUUUCCUCUGAUCGCUAGCUACAGACUACAGUGUUUGCCCAAUGCUCCAAGGCAUAGGGAUCAGAGUUCUGCAGCACUCCUGCAGAUUCGGUAGACCUGAUCUCACCUUUCAUGUAGAGUCGACCACUAGCUCAUUGCAAUAAAAUUUAGCAUAAGAUACAACUUAUCCAAUGGUCUAACUGUAAACACGUAAUUCAAAAUAUAAAUAGACCCACGUACCAGCCCAACAUAAUCUUAGAAUAUAUAUACGAGACUAUCUCUUGAUUAAGAGAUAUCUCUUCUUUCUUCUUUCUUUCUCCCUCUUCCACUAGAUAAAAUAUUAUAUUUUAAUCUUAUGAGCUAGCUGACAAGACCUUGACCCUGUUUGUAUUCGCUUAUUUCUCGCUUAUCGGUGGAAAUAAGCUAUAAACCCACCCAAACGGCUUGCCUAUUUUUCGCUUACCACAUAAGCCGCUUCUCCCACAGUCCAGAAUACAACUAGCCCCCCGCUUUUCCCCUAAACAGCCUCGGAGGCGCUUCUUGUGCAAGCGAGCCGAUUUUCCCGCAUCCCCCUCACCCCCACGCCAUCUCGAUACCGCAUCCGCUGCUGGCCCCGUCCGCCGAUAGCUUCGUCUGCCACCAGCUGGCCCCGUCCGCCACCGGCUCCAUCCGCUGCUGCCGGCCCCGUCCGCCGCCGGCUCCGUCCGCCGCCCGCCGCCCUCCAUCGGCUCCCUUCCCUCUGAUGGGCGGCUCUGUCCUCCACCGGCCACGCCGCCGCAGCUCCCGCUAGCCCCCUUCGCGGCCACCCACGCCGCCGUCGCUCCCGCCGACCCCCUCCGCGGCUAGCAGGUCCCGCAGCCCUGGCAAGCCCCUCUGCGACUAUCCCACGCCGCCUGUUUGCGAACAAGCAGGAGGAAGAAGAUAAACCCGAAAAAAAAUAAAGGAAAAGAAAAAAUAAGUGGAUGACAUUAGAAUUCACUUAUUAUCAGCCUAAAAUGAGCUUACCAGCCUAAAAUAAGUGGAUGACAUUAGAACUAUCUUCUCCUUGUAUUCACAAUAAAAAUGAGCUAUUAUCAGUCUCAGGGGCAUUUAGGUCAUUUUAUCGGUCAGGACAAACAAUCGACACAUAAUAAUCAGGAUUGCCAAACACCCAGCUUAUUCAGACAUCAAAUUCUCCAGACAACAUACUUAUCAGAUAAGCGAGUUCUAUAAAAAGCGUAUGCAAACAGUGCCUUAGCUUGUGAUGAUGCCAUGGAACCAAAACAGGCCUGCUCGCUCGUCAGCACUGUCAUGGGCCAGGCAAAAACAAACAGGUCUUUUUACUAGUAAGGCCCAAGUGUGGCCUGGCCCCGAAACGCGCGGUCUGACAAAAAAAAAAAAACAAGAAGAAGCAAGGGCGGUCCUGGGUGGCUCGUGUACUCGUGAUGAUCCGUGAUCAAUCACCAGAACUAAACUGGACCAUCUCUCAAAUUCUCAACAAGUUAGGUUAAGAAAAGCACACGAUUUGGUGAAGUGGAGUAGAAGACUAAACAAACCUCAACAGGUAGCGUAGGUAGCUUUGGCGUGACUCCUGGAGCACGGCGGCUACAAUUUUACGUCGCCCCACGCUGAGACUGUGACGGUGCGAGCGCAUGGUUUUCUAAGGGAAGAUCACGGCAAACAUCUUUCGUGUCCAGAGCACGUAUCUUUAGUGCAACGAUCCUAUGCGGCUAAAAGCAACAUCCCACCACACCGGCGAUAAUCUUUGGAGACGCCCUCUUUGCUCCUUUGCCCGUCCUCAUCAAAGUGCUGUGGCACGCCUUUCAAACUUUAAAACCGAACAUUGACGGCACGGUCCAGAGGCUAAGCACGAUCUGUAACGGAAGUGUGGCACGCCUUUCAAACUUUAGACUGAACAUUGACGGCACGGUGCAGGCCUAAAGGCGCGGCCUAGCUAGGCACGGUCCGAACGGAACGCAGGAGAUUGUUCAGCGACGUAGCAACCUCGAGCCGCGUACUGACUGACAGCACUGAAAAAGCUGUGCUUCAGGUACUGCGGUUCUUCAGUACGGUAAACUGAAUUUUCUGAGAAAAAGGACACUCGAACACGUUCGAUUGACAGAGCAAUCGCCCAAAUAAUUGGAACUUGGAAGACAGCGACAAGGGGGAAAGGACGGUCAGCUACUGUUGCCUGUUGGCAGCACGAAGCCGCGAGGAAGAUCCCGAUUUGAUGCCUGGAGGGAUGAUUGGAUUGGGAAUAAUUGUAGCCAUGACCGCGUACGGCUGGCAUCAGGCUAAUCCUAGUGGUGGCAUCGUCAACAAGAAGGUGAAAGAAGGUGAAAUUAUGUUUGAAACUACCCCUCCAACUCACAAUUUCAUGACACAUUCAGAGUGAGUUUUUUUACCAGAAGAGUUUCAUCUAGAUGAAACUAGUUCCUUCUCUUCCCUCUUAAAUUUCCUGCUAUAUCAUCAGAUUAGCUGAUGUGGCACUAUAUUUAAUGUGUAUGAAACUCCUGUAAAACUACCACGAGAAAUAGCCUUACAACCUCACCCAUCAGCUAGCUACAUCUAGAUGAAACUAGUUCCUUCUCUUCCCUCUUAAAUUUCCUACCAUAUCAUUAGAUUAGCUGAUGUGGCAUGUGUAUGAAACUCCUGUAAAACUACCACGGGAAAUAGCCUUGCAGCCUCGACCAACAGCUAGCUAAUCUCCCCUGUCGAUCGAUGGUCCAAGGUUUUGCAGGUAAAUAAAUACGAUAAAGCCCGGCAAAGAAAGAAAAAGCGACACAAAGGUAGGAUGGAUGUUGGUGGUGCCCCAAGCGCCACCUUUGCGAGCGAGGCCCACCAGGCCGCGCUAAAUACUUCCAAAACACAAGCUCGACGGGCGCGGCUGCAUGCACAGUAGACACACAAGAUGACACUGUGACAGUCCAAUUGAUAAUCAUUGCACCAGAUGGGAAACACUGCUGCUACUACUCGAUGCCUAGGCAAAUACUGUUAGGCUGUUCGGUGUGUUCGGCGUUUGAAAAUUUUAGUGUGCAAGAAAUGGAAACGAUCGUCCAGGUUUUGGUGUUUUCGGUACGGUGUUCGGUUUUACUGAAGUCAAACCGAAGUCCAUACCUCAUCUUUGUUGUGGCUGUCCCAGUCCAAGCCUAGCAGGGAGACGGAGAUCGCACCAUGCCGCCCUGCAAGCGCCUGCCCUGCGGUCGUGCCCACACCGCCAUUGCUUGGGACGUGCACCGUGGUCGGCGGCCGAUCGCCCGCACUGCCGCUGCUCCAUGCAUGCGUAGCGCUGCAGCGGCCGCUCGCUGUGCCCCCACCGCCACGUGCUAGGCCAGUGGCCGCUCGCCCGCACCGCAAGCUCAUAAAGCCGCACCAGCCACUCGUCUUGCUGCCUCGCGCGCCUCGAGGAUGGGAUCCCGCGAAGCUGUGGUGGAUAGGGUGGGAGGCGCCGAUGCGGGAGCAAGACGGGGAAGAAGAGUCCGAUGGAGGGAUGGCGAAAGGAGGAUCGAUGGUGAGACGAUAGGGCGGUGUGGCCUUGGGCUGAGAUAGGCCAAAGUCCCUAUGCGCCCUGAGAGUAAGGAUUGAACGGAUGCCAGUAGUACAUCGGUGAUUCGGCUCGGCUCGGCUCGGAGCUGAAACCGACACCGAUGCAAAGGAUCGAUUUGGGAAAAAAUCAAAACCGACACCGACACGAAAACCAAAAAAGCCAACAUUUUAGUUCGGUCGGUUCAAUUCGGUGUUUUUUCUAUUUUGGUUUAAAAGUGCCCACCCCUAAAUACUAUCGCAGCCUGUCACAUGAUCCGGGAACGAGAUGGAAUGGGAUCUAUGUGGGAACGAGAUGGAAUGGAAUCUAUCUUAAUAGGAAUAGUUCUCCUUUUGACCGCUAGCAGGGAUGUUUGGAUCCAUGGACUAAUUUUUAGUUCGGAUCACAUCGGAUAUUUGAUACCAAUUAGAAAGACUAAACGUGAACUAACUAUAAAACUAAUUGCAUAAGUCGUGGCUAAUUCGCGAGAUGAAUCUAUUAAACCUAAUUAAUUCAUGAUUAACGUAUAUUUACUAUAGCAUCACAUGGUCAAAUCAUAGACUAAUUAGAUUUAAUAGAUUCGUUUCGCGAAUUAACCUUCAUUUAUGCAAUUGGUUUUAUAAUUAACCUAUAUUAAUACUCGUAAUUAACAUCUAAACAUUCGAUGUGACGUGAACUAAUUAAAACGUGGACCGUACUUUAGUCGCUGUAACCAAACGGGCUGAAUCCACAAUCACCACCUGUUCCCAGCUACUGACUGACGCGCUGCAAGUAUUUGCGAGCGUAUUUAAAAAGCGUCCGAGUAGAUACAGCUAUUAAACUCCCAGCUACCCGCCAGAAUCGCGCAUUUAAAAAGCGUCCGAGUAGUAGAGCUACCACGGCCAGAUAAGCCGCCGGUCCAUCAUGAGCCUGGUCCACGCGCCGCGUGCCCCCGCACGUCCACUAGCGCCGGUCUCCCUCCCUCGUUCCCCGUCGACACGCCGCCGCCGGGGAGCCGAGGGCAGCGUGCGGUGCGAAGCCGUGAAGAGGACGAGCUCAGCUCGGGGGAGAGGAAGGAAUCUCUCCCUACCAGCCAGCACCCAGCAGCCAGCAUCCGUGCUCCCGCAACCUACCUCCCCUCCCCUUCCCUUCCAUUCCCCAACAGCCCCACGGCCGCGUCGCCUUCCCCUUCCGGCCGAAACCACCCGCUUCCUCAUAUCAAUAUAUUCACCGAAUAUUCAGCUCGGCUGAUCCGCUAUAAAACGAACCAAACCAAAAACCAAGACCAACCCGCCCGCCCGCGCGACAUUUUAUCCGUUCCGGUUGGACCCAUGAGAUAUUUCGUUGGGAUCCCGACGGCGCACGGGAGGAAUUCCGUGUGGUGGUAACCGAUUACAAACUCUCCAGAGUCAAUUCAUCAGCCCAUAAAAAAUUUUAUGGGCGGAUCACCCGUCGCCGCCCAGGAAGCGAGCGACGACGACGCCGCCCGGGUCGUGGUGCCAGUUGCGGGAUCCCACGUCGAGUCCGCCUCCAACCCCCUCCCUGCUGCGCCGGGUUCGGUGACCCCUGUGGCGGAGGGCGACCAGGAGCACUCCAAGCGGGAGGCACCGGCGGCGGCGGCGGCGGCGGCUUCGGUGGAGGCUAAGAAGGAGGCGGCGCCAGCAGCAGCAGCAGGCGUGGAGGCCAUGGCGGUCACCGUGGUGCGGGACGUCGAGACGGGCCUGGCCGCGAGCACCAGCGACCAGGGCGGGGACAAGCCUUCCUGGUUCACGCCUAAGAGGUAACCCAACCCCGUAGCAGAGCUCGAUUGAGCACCAUCGUCUUGUCGUGGAACUCGGUUGUGGUGGGUUUGAUCUGUUUUCGUUGCAUCUGGUUUUCUGGGAGCUCUGUGGCGGUGCUGGCCUCCGCCGAUGGUUCGAGGACCUUGGGUUCUCUGGAGGUCCAAUUGAACGCGCUGGAAUUUAGCUGUUUGCUUGGUCUGGGAAAUUUGGGUUCUCCGGAGCUCCAAUUGGACGUGUCGGGCCGUAGCUCGUGGUGCGAGAGAUUUGGGUUCUCCGGAGCUCCAAUUGGAUUGCUGCUUGGCAAUGGCUCGGACUGUGUAUUUUUGAGCUUCUGGCGAUGUUCAAGUUGCGGUGGGAUCUAAGCAGGCCAACGGAGAUAGCCAUUAAUUCAGUAGUUCGAUGGGACUAACAAAUCAUCGGGGAUGGCGUGUAACGAUGUUCCGUUAGUUUAAUCCGAAUUUGCUUAACGCGCUGGUUGUUCCAUUCGUGGCUUGGAGUUUUCGAAUUUCUACGUUUCUCCUUGUUUGCUUGCUUUCGUGGUAUGGAUCUGCGUUUUUAAUUCAGUGUUGGUUCGAUCGAUGGGCUUUGUUUUAUUAGGCAACAGCUGGCGACCUUUUCCAGUGAGUAUAAGGUUGCAUUUACUUUGAUGUGCAUCGAAAUUGGAAGGGGCCUGGAGUUUGGUUUGAUCAGCUUUUAUUGCCUGUAUUCUGCUGGGGCAUGGAAGCGCUUUGGAUCUCAGUGUUAGCGAGAUGGGAGCUGGAGAGAAAGUUUGUUAUUUGGCUGUCCUCUGGUCAUGUGAACAUCUGAUAUGAAAAUGAGGUUUCUGCUGUAUGGUCACAGACUCACAGUUAAUACUUUUAGUACAUCAUCAUGUGCUCAGCAUUCCACUGAAUUAACCUCAAGUUUCAUGCUCCUUUUAUCUCACUUUAGAGAGAGGGGAGGUUGUAGAGAGAGAGAGAGAGAGAGAGCUGUUCACAUGAUUUAUUGUCACAAUCAGCUUGUAAUAUAGUAGUCUACAAAUUCUUCUUUAUGUAGAUUGCAUUGGCAUGGUGUAUCCGGGUAUAUAUGUAUCUUCAAGUUAUAUAUUUUGCUUGAGUUUUAUUAUUUUUCUACUCGUGCAGAUUACUUGUCAUGUUCUGCAUUAUCAACAUGCUAAACUAUGUUGAUCGAGGAGCAAUAGCAAGUAAUGGUGUCAAUGGUAGCCGCAAAAAUUGUUCUGGUGGCACGUGCACCUCAGGCUCAGGAAUUCAGUAAGUUUUAUGAGAAUUUUUUCUUAAACUGUUUUUAAUUGAUCUUUAACAUAUAUAUCAAAUAGAAUUAAAGCUGGAAACUCCAGAAAAGUUUUAUUCAACUUUCUUUUGCUGAUGUGAUCCCCUCCGUAUUUUUUAUUAAUAUAAGUCGCCACUUGUCUACUUUCUUAAGAUGCAAUAUGUUGGCCACACUCUUUCCAUUUACUCACUAUCUGUCUUACCAUGCUUGGCCUCUGUAGGGGAGACUUUAAUCUUAGUAAUGCUGAAGAUGGUGUGCUGUCCUCAGCAUUUAUGGUUGGAUUGUUGGUGGCUUCACUGAUAUUUGCUUCCCUGGCAAAAAGGUUAGCUCUCUCUUCAUUCUUGUGUUUAGGGCUAUGGACGUCCAAGUUGUCUGUUUGGUGUAGGGUGGAUGGGAUAAGCCAAUUUUUUGUGUGGUUGCAGGGAUGAAGUGGAUGGAAUUAGAAUAUAGUUAACUAAGAUAUAUAUUCUUAGCUCUAUUUAGAGGUUUCUAUGCAAGUUCUCAAAAGUAACAGUAUAGUAUUAGAAACUGGAUAAUGAAAUGUUUACUAAUGGAGCUCUAGCUCAUACUUAUUGAUAUAGUUAUAUUAAUUAUGGAAAAGCAAGAAGUAUUACCAAUAAGAAGAGGAAUGUUCUAAUACAUACUGCAGAUUAACAAAUAAUAACAAGUAUGUAUUGCGAAUUGCGAUGGAGGUGAAUGCUGUAAUUCAUGUUUCAUGUCCCCCAAUAUGAAGCGCUAUUCAUUUUCCAUUUGUGACCAAUUUCCCUUCCUUGCAGACAUAAUCCUUUCAGGCUUAUUGGUGUUGGCUUGUUAGUAUGGACUAUCGCAACAGCUGGUUGUGGGGUCUCUUUUGAUUUCUGGUCAAUUACUAUAUGCCGCAUGUAAGUGCUUUUUCAUCUCUUUCAAGUAUCUGUUAAGAAAGAUUCAAUGCCAAUCAUCUAAUUGCAUGGUCAUUAUCCAAAUUUUUGUUACUCAGGUUAGUUGGUGUUGGUGAAGCUUCAUUUAUAAGUCUGGCAGCUCCAUUCAUAGAUGACAAUGCACCAGUAGCUCAGGUUCUGUUAUUGUACUGCCUUUGAGAUUGCUUUACUGUAAACAUCUGUCCAAAAUUAAUAGCUACCUCUGUGUGUAGUUGUGGAGAGUUUAGUCCCACACUGGAUAGUGCUAGCACACACUUGGGAUCCAAACUUGGUAAUUCUGGGUUAGCUCCUUUUGGAUGAAAACUAGGACAAAUGUCCAAGGGAGCUAGUAUGUUUGCAUAGGCCUGCCCCAAGUCGGGAUUGGGCCUUAGCAUACAAGGAUUCGUGGGGCAUGGCAUUUACACCAUAACACCAAGCUGUGCGCAUAUUCAAGCAAUUCUCUCAUCAAGCUAUGCUAUACAUUGUUUUUAAUGGUUACUGCUAUUUACAGUUCUUCAUGUCUUUAAUCAGCCAAUAACUUCCUGCUGCUAAUGUUACCAGAAAACAGGAUGGCUUGCUAUGUUCUACAUGUGCAUACCAACUGGAAUAGCAUUAGGCUAUGUUUAUGGUGGACUGGUAAGUCUUAUCAUAAGUUCUGGUUUUCUUCCUAUUCAGUUUUGACUUGAGUUACAGUUUGAGUAAUACGCUUUUUCAGCAUUAUUUACAUGAAGCACCUGAUCCUUGCAAUCUUAUCUCUAGCAUCUCUGCACAUUACCCAUCAAAUGGCUAUUUCUUUCCCUUUGCUAAGGCUUCUUUGUUUAAGGCAGUGUAAAUGAAUAUCCACCGUGGAAUAAUUUUUGGGGUCAAACGAUACCAUAAAUUCUCUCUUGUUUAUGAUUUAAAUGAUGGAACUCCUUCAUUAUUGAGCUUGUUUUUGUACAAGUGUGCUAUCAAUUUGUAUGAACAGGCUAAACAAAUUAUGUUAUUCUCACCAGGUUGGGAAAAUACUGAACUGGCGUGCUGCUUUCUGGGGAGAGUCAAUUUUGAUGAUUCCUUUUGUUAUUCUAGGCUUUGUGAUAAAGCCACUAGAGCUGAAAGGUAUGCCUUUCUUUUCUUACAGUUAUUGUUAACUAAGCAAACAGCUCACUAUACAGCAUUUUGUAAUUGUCAUCCUGUGGUACCUGAUGUUUUUCACUUUUUGUGCCUCUUUGGGGGCUGGGAUUUUGUUUACCAGGAUUUUCUCAGAACAGAACAAAAGAAUACGGCCAGAUGCUUAAUCCUGAGGUUCAAGAUCAGAUAAGUAUGUGCCUUGUAUCAAUAUUUAUCCUCCCAUUGGACAACUAACAGUUUUUUUUUGUUGCAAUUUUGCUUUUUGGUAGAGCAUAGAAGAAUAGUCUCCAUUGGAGCCAGUUGUUCUUUAUAUGCUGAGAUUCUUCUGGUUUCUGAUGUUCUUGUGCUUCUGUUCAUCUUUGUAAAACAAACAAUUCUGAGCCGCAGAUCUAAUUUUAUGAUGAAAUUGAACUAGCUUGGCUUUUAUAAGCAUCUCAAAUAGUUUGUAAGAUAAAUAUUUUAAGACUAGCUUGGCAUUCAUAAGCAUCUCAAAUGAUUCAUAAGAUAAGUAAUUUAAGAAGUAAGGCAGGUGUUUUGCUAAGGAUGUUAGCUUAUUUUGAAUUUCCUUCUAUUUAAAAUUCAGAGCGGCGACCAAGUACUUUUGGGGAAGUUAGCAACUAAGUUAUAGAUAUGUCUUUGGUGGCCCUCAUGCAUAGAGCUUGUGGCCUUCAUGCUAAGUAGAAGCUGCCUCUUGACUUAUGGCUAAUGCUCCCUUAUUUUUGCUUUUCUGUUUAUUUCUGUCUGAUCCAGAUAAUAAUGGGACAAAGCGUGUUAUGCCUGGUGGAAUCGAUGAUCUUGCAGGAAAGGUCCCACAAAAGUUAUCCUUGUAAGCACUUCUAGACAUUUUUUUUUUGCAAUUGUCAAAUAUUGAUUUGUUUUAAUGUUUAUUGCCUUUAUGUAAUGUAUUUCAAUGCAAUAUGAUGAUUUAUCUCAGUUGUUCAAGCAGGUAUAACUAAAUGUUUUAGAUAUUUAAAGUGAUCAUUGGAGCUAUAUGUACAUGUGCUUACUAGACUUUUCUGGACCUUUUAAUGAUCUAUCUUAAGGCUCAUUACACAUCUCUGUUUUGAUCCUGCAGCUCCAGGUUUGGCCAGAGUCUCAUGACUGAAAUUGGUCGUUUCGGCAAAGAUAUGAAAGAACUACUACAAGAGAUGCCUUUUUUCAUCGUUGUCUUAGGUCAGAUUAUCCUCUCAAUGUCUUGUGUGUUCCACACUUUUUGUACAUCUAUUUAUGAUUCUGAAGUUUCCUUUCCCUAUAUUAUUUCAGGUUACAUCUCCUAUAACUUUGUCAUCGGUGCUUAUUCCUACUGGGGCCCCAAGGCGGGCAAACAGAUCUACAAUAUGGUAGAAGUCCUGUCUUUCACUCACAUGUGGCAAUAUCUUUGCAUAUUACAUACAAUCAUAUAUUAGAUGUGUGACCAUUAUACAUUUCUUAUUUAAAAAAGACUGUUCAAUCUCGAUGGACCACAAUUUAAGUCCAGUUUAGCACUGAUCUAGAUUAAUACUCUAUUUCAUAAUAUCCAACUGACUACAUUUCUCAUUGAAUUUUUUAAUCAGGCGAGCGCAGAUCUUAUGUUUGGUGGAAUAACUAUAGUAUGUGGAAUCCUUGGAACUCUAUCAGGAGGUAUCAUCCUUGACAAGAUAGGGGCUACAAUUCCUAAUGCUUUCAAGGUAAGAAAAUACAAUACCUAAUCCUUGACAAUAUAGCAGUCGAAAUGCAGUUUGUUAUUUUCAUAACCAAAUUAUCUGUGUUUUUGUUUUGUUUUUCCUUCCGAAGUGAGCUGCAAGCUAACAUUCUGCAGUCCUUAUUAAUAAGCUUGAGUAAAAUACACCCAUGGUCCUUCAACUUGUGUUGCGAUGUCAUCUCCCUAAACUGCUAAAAUACGUAUGAUCCCCUAAUUUUGUUUUCAUUCUUUUUCCUAUUUGGUUUCUUUCUUUCUCUCGAACACGCAGAAGAGUUGUGUCAUUCCAUUAAGAAGAAGAAAGUAUACGAUGCAAGGAAGUGUGUAAACCCUACCAAAACAAACACACCCACACAGAGAACUAGAUUACGGCAGUGCCGAUUACAAAAGUGUAACGACCAGCCUGCACUGCCUAUUUGGUUUCUUAUCAUCAUGAUUACAGUAACAUUAAGGGCAUGUUUGGUUGGACACUAAUUUUACACAACUGUAUAUGAAUCACUAAACCCUCAGAACAUUGAGUUGCUUGCGUCUGGGUUGUUAUUUUCUUCCUUUGUUGUAUUCCCCAAUCUGGGUUUUCAUCUUCCUUUUAAUAUAAUCGGCAACUCUCCUGCCUGGUAAAAAAAAGAGAAAGUUUAUGUGUGAAUUAUUUGGGGGCAAUAAAGCUUAACUAAGUCAUUUCAUGUAUCGCUUUCAACGAUCAUAACUAGUCAUAUUAUGUUUACUUCCAUGGAUUCACGGGACUUCCCUUGCAGCUUCUCUCUAGCGCAACAUUUCUAGGGGCAAUAUUCUGCUUUGGCGCCUUUUGUUUCAAGAGCCUAUAUGGAUUCAUAUUCUUCUUUGCAAUUGGGGAGAUUUUGGUUUUUGCAACUCAGGUAAUUCCUUUUCUUCUGUUCAACAUUUAUACUACUUCAAGUCCUAGAUUUGUUGCCAUUAUUGCCUACCAUGGUAAUUGCUGCAUGGGUAUUGUAUGCAACUAUUGCUUUAUUUUGCAAAAUCGCCUCUAUCUUGAUUUGCUUUUCACGCCAUUGAGCAAAUAAGCAUUUCUUCAGUGUAUUUAGAUGAAUGCACCUAGCUAACAUCUGCGUAUGCUUAAUUCUUUUGACUUGCAGGCACCAGUAAAUUUUGUAUGCCUUCAUACUGUGAAGCCACAUUUGCGGCCAUUGGCAAUGGCUGUAUCCACUGUUUCAAUCCAUAUAUUUGGUGAUGUGCCUUCUUCACCUCUUGUUGGGCUUCUUCAGGUACUUGUCCGUUAUUGUUGUUGGUGUUGUAUUCUAGUCAGUCAAAACAGACUGCCUCAGCAAACUUGCCAUUUUCCUUCUACGUGAUUAAAAUAUAGAUCCAUCAUGUAUAUGAGAUUGGCCCAUGUAGUGCAAAUAAUUGCUGAAAAUUUGGUAUAUUGGAUUCUGUGUGAAAUACGUUACUUCACAUCUCAGUACUUCUAAGCUCUGGUCUCAGCUCAAUGCAUUUACAAGUUGCAUAUAGGUUGUUGUGUUCUUUAAGUUUUUUCCCCUGAGAGAUGCUUUUUGAACCUUGAUGCAGGACAAAAUCAAUAACUGGAGGUCCACGGCUCUUAUAUUGACAUCCAUCCUUUUCAUUGCAGCUGUGUUCUGGUUUAUUGGUGAGUUUAAAACCCUACAGUGUCACAAAGUCUAUGUGCUCCCUUUUUUUGCCUUCACAUGCUUCAGAGAAGCCUGUAUGAAGCAUGAUCCCACUGUAGGAUCAUUUACAUGUUCUGAACACUUGUGACUUAGCAUCAAUCCACCCAAAAAAAAAUCGCAUGCUUAUUUGUUUGGUUUGAAUAUUCCUUUUCUAUCGAGUAAAAUUUUAAGCCUGGAAAUUCCUCUGAUUUCCAUGAACAAAAUAAAAUUUCCCACAUAGAACAAGGGCCUGAUGCACCUUUUAGUUGCCCCUUUCUUCUUGAUUUUUUUAGCCUUUUUAAUAUAAUAAUAACCAGUGACUUUGCAGCUCCAGCAGAUGAUCCCCCUCAGUUUAACAUCAUCGUCCACAAUGCUCAGUAGUCAGUAGUACACUGAUGUCUGGAUUUGGAUUUUGUGAUAAUUCAACUGAAGUUGAGAUGAUCUUCUCGUUGCAGGCAUAUUCGUCCCCAGCGUGGAUCGGUUCAAGGAAGAGAGCGAGGAUGCUGUUCCUGCCGCCGAGAGGUCAAAUCUCAGGCCACUGCUUGAUGACAACGAGGGGGCACGGACAUCUGACUAAAAUCCGUGCAAGUGCGGGUCAUAACCCUUUUCUUUUUUGGAGGGUGAUCUUAGUCGGAUUAUUUACCAUGUGCUAGCAAACAUGCGAAAUGUAAAUUUGCACGUCAGUUGGCUAUACCCUGUACAUAUGAUAGGCCCGUUUGGUUUGCGUUCUUUUCUACUCCCUCCAUCCCAAAUUAUAAGUCGCUUUGACUUUUUUUUACGUCCACUUUGCUAUGCAUAGACAUAUUGUUAUAUUUAUAUACAUAGCAAAGUGAAUGUAUCAAAAAAAGUCAAAGCGACUUAUAAUUUGGGAUGGAGGGAGUACUUUAGUGUACAUACUACAGAAACAGGCAAGUGAAUGUCAGUUUUUUUUUCUUUAUUUACAAAUGUGAAACAUUUCAGCAGCUUGGUGCCACGAUCUAGCUUCUGAUUAGAAUUCAACAAUGCUGGUUUGCUCUGCCCGUUUCACUGUUGAUAUGCGUUCGAAUACCAAAAUCUGGCGUUGGAGUUGUCUUGUAAAUUGUAAUUGUAAUAGUCGAAAGGCUUGGGAGAAGUAUGCUUCCCAUGAUCCAGCAGAAGAAUCAAUGGAGGCUAUACAGCUGGUGAUGCCAUGAAAUGCCAUAGAUGGAUAUGCAACCGAUCUCUUUCGCAAGUGGCAUAACGGAGCAUGCCCAGCAUUUGUCUAUAUGAAAAUAAAAAAAAUGAAUUUGUUGAUGCAUAGCAGAGGUCGACACCCAGCCAUGGUCCCUAUCAUUUCAGUACAGCUAGUACAUCCCGGUAGGUCACUGGAAUAAAAACGCGGCGUCAAUUCCUGACUGGAAUGUGGCGUGUACCCUACACAAACGCAAGCCGGUGCUCGCGCGGGCACGACGAGGCGCAGCUCAGCGCAGCGCAGAACCGCAGAAGCGAGAAACCACACCAGGUGGUCCAGGCUGGGCUCAACUGCGACCUGUUGCGUUGCGUCAGGGCCAGGAGGUGAGCCGUCAAUCCUCCCGAUGAUCCAGCCGCUCGGCGCUCUCGGCCCCGGGCUCCACGCCACACGCAGCUACCGUCCCGUAGCAGCGCAGGGUGAGGCUGUGACAUGUCUGCAUCUCAGCUCUGCAUCCACUACGAAGGGGCUCACCGUUCGCUGGAUCGAGCUCCUGAUUCAGAUUCAGUAGGGGGCUAUCCCUUCUUGGACUAUCGCCGGCAGUAUCUCGCCCCUCGCUGCACGCGUCUCCCGGCCCUUUUCUGUUUGAAAAUGACCUGUGACGGUUUGGCCCUUUUUGAGCGAAAAUGACCGCUAUUUAUUAAGCUCCGUCGCCAUCCAUAGCCAUCGAUGCGGAUCUUUGCUCUCGGCUUCUCUGCAUAUGGUAUAGGAGUAGGGCUAGACUGAAAUUUGAAAAACAGCUCCAGCUUAAACUGAGGCCUGAAACUUCCUCUCUGCGUCCAAUUAUCAAAUACUUCAUCACCUAGAAUUAUGACCUUAUCUAUAAUGCCAUGGUCGAUGUCACGCUAAGGGUGUUUGAUACUACAUGCUAAACUUUAGCAGUGUCAUAUCAGAUGUUUGGAUGCUAAUGAGGAGGACUAAACAUGAGCUAAUUAUAAAACUAAUUGCAGAACCUCUAUGCUAAUUCACGAGAUGAAUCUAUUAAGCCUAAUUAAUCCAUCAUUAGCAAAUGGUUACUGUAGCACCACAUCGUCAAAUAAUGGAUUCAUUAGGCUUAAUAGAUUCAUCUCGUGAAUUAGAAUCUAUCUGUGCAAUUAGUUUUGUAAUUAACCUAUAUUUAAUACUCCUACUUAGCAUCCAAACACCCAAUGUGAUAGGUGCUAAACUUUAGCAGGGUAUCCAAACGGGGCCUAAGUACAGUAAGGAUACGAAGCAAGAUGAGAUCAUGAGAUUUGAGAUCACGUGCCAAUUAGGUCUGCUAAGGGUUGAAACCCGCACCAAACCCACCCUAACCCGCAAUAAAUUAACUCAUUCACCCACCCACCCCACUUCAUAAUUCUACUGUGUAAACCCAACCCAACCCGCCCCACAAAUUGAUAUAACCCGUAGGUUUGGUACAUGAACCCCAUAAAUUUAUACAAACCUCAUGUUCACACCUUAAAAGUUUAGAGAAAUUGUUUGAAAUUCGAUGCAGGUAAAUUAAUUUGACAGUCCGCUACUUUGUGCAAAGUAAUACGACUAGACUUAUAUGUGGGUCCCGCGUCAAGAGUCGGACCCUAAAACUAAAACUUCGUGUUCACACCUUAAAAUUUUAGAGAAAUUAACUGAAAUUUGUUGCAGUUGAAUUAGUUUGACAGCUCACUACCUUGUGCAAAGUAAUGCGGCUGGACUUAUAUGUAUACCCCGCGUCAAGAGUCAAAUCCUAAAACUAAAACCUCGCGUUCACACCUUAAAAUUUUAGAGAAAUUGACCGAAAUUUGUUGCAGAUGAAUUAGUGUGAUAGUCCGCUACUUUGUGCAAAGUAGUGCGGCUGGACUUAUAUGUGAGCUCCACGUUAAGAGUUCACACCUUAAAAUUUUGAAGAAAUUGACCAAAAUUUGUUGCACUUGACAGUCCACUACCUUGUACAAAGUAGUGCUGGUGAACUUAUAUGUGGACCCUGCGUCAAGAGUUGGACCUUAAAACUAAAAUCUUACAUCUGAUCGAAAUUUGUUGCAGAUGAAUUAGUUUGACAGUCCGCUACUUUGUGCAAAGUAGUGGCUGGACUUAUAUCGUGACCCAUGCUAAGAGCCGGACCCUAAAACUAAAUCACUUCCAACCUGUCCCGUAUUUGUGAUCUACCCGACCCAUCCCAAUGUUAAAAUUUAACCAAUUCAAACACACACCGUCACCCCCAUAAUGCAGGCUGGAACGUGGGAAUUCGAGGUCUCAUGAACGAAAAACCUAUUUCAACCGCCCCACUAGCAGCCCUAGUGCCAAUUGCGAGAAGCCGGCCCUGCGGGGUUACAGGCUUACAGCAAAGUGAGAGCCACCACAGCAGGGCCGGCGGACCCAGGCACCCCAGCGUCCCCAUGUGCCCUGCCCGCGCCCCCCCGGCCCCAGCGUUGUACAGUGCACAGCGCUGCGUGCCUGUCCCUGCAUCGCCACUUUGUAGACUCUAGUCUAGUCUAGAGACGGACGACAACGUCCAGUCAGGGCUGAGGCGCCUGCAACUCUUUACUUCCUUCCUCCCCAUCAAUAAUUGCGUAAAAGGAACCCCCCCUGAAAAGACCGAAAUAAAAAAUAACAGAUCCAGCGUAUAUGCGGAUAUACGUAUCAGCCAAAAAUAAUGAAGGUAGAGCUUCCAAAUUCCAAAUCGUGGUUCUAUGGGAUAAUUGCAAGCCGGACUGUAAGAUCUGGGCUUCUUUUCAGCAAAAGUACUGAACUGAAAUUUCUUCAGAUGUUGCAUCCUUCCAUAACUGCAAACAUUUACCAAAUCCAUAUGUUAACGCGCUCCCUAAUCCCUAUGUUACCAAAUACGUACACAUUUUAUCAGAAAACGGAGCACAUUUGUGUUCCAUCAAAUUUACCGACUCUAAGUGAAAAAAAUAGUUUUUAAUGUAACUUUUUAAUUUUCUUUUCGCUAAUGUUCAGAGCACCCUAUGUCAGCAAGCUACUAAGCUCAACUCCUCAUGUACCUGAUAUCCAAAUAUCAAGUAAUUAUCAGUGUUUAUUAGAAAUGGAUACUAACUUUUUUUUAGGAUCAAUACUAUAACUGAGCAUACUGGCGGCCAAAAAGAAAGGAAAGAAUUAGAUAAAAUUGGCAUAAAAAAUCAAGCCGCUUUAUAAAUGGUUCCACCCGGGGGCCAAGGGCCUGGCACGGCCCUAUCCCUAUCCGGCUAUCCCCAUCACUACUCCCCACAAGCCCUGUCCACCACCAACAAACUCGUUGUACGACGAGAGAGAGCGCUGCCAUGGCUUCUCGUGACGCCGCCACCUUCCAAGUCUACCGGCCCAUGCCCGCGCCGUCCCCGGCGCCGGCGCCGAUGUCGCUGGCGGCCGCCGCGCCCGCCUCCGACGUCGCGGCGCCCGCGCCGAAGAAGGCGAGCCCGGGCGCCGGCAAGGACCGGCACAGCAAGGUGAACGGGCGCGGGCGGCGCGUGCGGAUGCCGAUCGUGUGCGCGGCGCGCGUGUUCCAACUCACCCGCGAGCUGGGGCUCAAGUCCGACGGCCAGACCAUCGAGUGGCUGCUCCGCCAGGCCGAGCCCUCCAUCCUCGCGGCCACGGGGUCCGGCACCACCCCCGCCGUCUUCUCCUGCUCCUCGGCGCCGUCCACCUCCCCCGCCGCCGCCCACCCGCUCCUCGGCAAGCGCCCGCGCGAGGACCACGAGCCGGCGCCCGCGCCCGCGCCGUUCUGGGCGACCCUGCAGGCGCGACCCGUGGCGUGGGGCCUUUCGCCGGCGCAGGAGGCCGCGGCGCAGGCGUACGCGUCGGUGGCGGCGGCGCAGCAGGGCCACCACCUCAACCUCCUCUCCGUGCUCUCCGGCGCCACGAGGCCGUCCGAGGAGGAGUCCCGGUGACCGCCGCCGCAGCAUUGCUACGUUAAUUGCAUGCGUGGACGCGUGGGCAUGCCGCGUGCUGUGCUUUUGGGUCUCGUUUCGUGCAUCUCCGGGGUGCAUUCCGUGUGUUUUUCCUGUGAUCUGCGGUGUGAGAAGAAGGUUGAUCUGAACCGAAAGGUCAAGAAUGCGCGAUCGGAUCGGGGGGUAGCGGUUGUAGAUAGCAUUCGUCAGGGUUUGUGCUUGUGAUGAGCUUGUUCGUUGUCUUGGGUUUGUGCCGUGGUUCUGUGCUGUGAUCAGUGGUCAGUGCUCUGCAUGCCGAAUUGUCAACUGAUCUGAAUUCUAACACAAUGCCGGCGUGUUACUCUGUAUGUCACUGCUCGCUCGCUGUUUCAAUAGAAACCUUGUCCUGAGAAUUCAGAAGCUGUUCGUUCUCUUGAUGCGCGGAGGUCGAUAAUGGCUGGUGAGAUUGGCUUCUCCUGCGACUGUGAAACAAUGAUGAAGUGCUUUUAAAAGGAAAAAGAAACAGCGAUGAAGCACCUCCACAUUAUUCACCCUCUCAUAUUCUCAUCUCAAUCUCAUGGUAGCUUGCUGCACCUUGCCUUUCCUGCAAUUCUGCAAACCCAGGCCACAUGCUGUGUAGUCGUUGGCAGGGAACAGGGCAGCCCAUGCUAUCCCCUCCUUUUUCUUCUCGACUAGGAGUACGUGAAUUGCUUUGUCUCUGCACUGGAGCAAAAGCUGCAGCUGCAGCUCCAGCCCUGCCCUGCGUCUGUCGAUGGCGUCUGCACUUUGCCUCUGAAAGGUUCAGGCUGUUUCGCCGGACAUGAUUCGUGUCAAGCUGUAGGCCAUUCGCUCUGUAAAAGGCGCCCUGCCUUGUACUACAGACCAUGCUCGCUCGCAGACUUUUUGCACAGUAUCAAGUAUAUCAACGGUUCACUGGUACCAGUACAAGUGUACAACUACAGCUACUGCAGGUGCAGGUUGUACUCCGUGCAGAAUUGCAAGAAGUACUGGCUCCAUUUUCUCGGCGGAUGAAAAACGUGCAGAGGCUGAUCGAGAUUGAAGAAGAUGAAUGAUGGGUGGCCAUGGCAAUGGACCUCAGGCGCAGACUGGCCCAUCUGGUAGUAGGUUGGUGCCUUGGUGGCGGCCAGCUAGCGAGCUGCUAUGGAUAUUCCUUCCAGUGGCUGUUGGCGCUGGUCCUACGCGACAUGUCAGUAAUGUGUACUGGGAGGGGUCCCGUUUGGUUUGAGGUGAAAACAAAAGAUCUGACUCCUGCUUCGGUGUGCCAUGCAGCGAUUGGUACAUUACGUGUCCACAUCUGGUGAAAACAAACUGUUAGAGAUCUAUAGUUAUAUAAAAUAAUUAUGAGAAUUCCUUCACUUAGCGGGGAUAGCUCAGUUGGGAGAGCGUCAGACUGAAGAUCUGAAGGUCGCGUGUUCGAUCCACGCUCACCGCAUAUUUUUCAUGCUCUGAUUUGUUAUUCCUUUUUACCUCUCGCCAUUUUCCUCUCUGAAUCUAUUUGUUAUACCUUUUUUCCCUCCCACCAUCCUCCCUGGAAUGCCUGCUACCAGUCUCUCUGCAAAAUAAACAGAAGAGGGAUAUGCAGCCCUCCACUGGAGAUUUUUUUACCCUCUUCUUUUUGUCAUAUUUCCCCUGCUACCUCCUCUCUGCAAUACAAACAGAGGGAUAUAUUUUUUUUAGCGAAGAAACAGAGGAGGGAUAUAGGGCGCUCCACUGAACAAUUCAUUUGCAUGCUCUAAGAUCAGAUAUUUAGAUGUAUUUCCUUUGAGUUGUACAGUUCAUAUUGCUACCGUCAGUUCAGUCCGCCGAGCCUUUUAUUUUGGUGCGAAAAAUGUCCAUUUUACUCCCUUUGUCUAUUUACUUUGUCCGCUUAAUCCUCUGAACAAAAUUUAGGCUCACUUUGCUCUCCCGAACUAUUUCAUUUGGUUCAAUCUACCCCUAAUUAGAUUUUUCUUUUUUGUUUCUUCACGUACAAGUUAAGUUUUAAUUUUAGAUUUUGUCAGUUGACUUCUAACAUGAUGCUCUACGUUAGAAAAUACAUUAGAAUUUCUUCAUGAUUACUUUUCUUACAACUUUAUAUAUCUAAGAUCAAUUUCAUAUUAAAUAUUCCUAACCUAUAAAAAUAACCAUGAAAAAUUCUUGUAUAAUUUUUUAACAUAAAGCAUCAUGUUUUGUAUGUACUCACAAAAUUUGAACUCAAAAUUCAACUCAUACAGAGAGAAAAAAAAAAGAGAAAUCUAAUUAGGGGUAGAUUGAACCAAAUGAAAUAAUUCAGGGGAGUACAAUAAGCUAAAAUUUUGUUCAGGGGGUUAAGGGGACAGAGUGGAUAGGUGAGGGGAGUAAAAUGAUUUUUUUCCUUUUGUGCUUUGUUAGGCGAACGCUGAGCUAGUCUGAGCAACAGUUUAUGCCAAUGACAUUCCUCAUGCAUUUGUAAGAGUUAUCGACAGAUCUUGCUCCUGAGUCUUGACCCUGUUAGAUUAAUCUAGCACUCUACUACUAUACUUGCUGGCUAGCUGAUACUGUGCGCAUGUCAACGACGGCUUGCUUUGUUCAGUGAUGAUAGUAUAGUAUAACCGCAUACAUUUCUCCCUGACGGUACGGAUUAGUGGGCUGAAUUAUUGGAGCUCAACCUUGGUCUGGCUUGCUUAGAUGCGCGAUACAGUUCUACGGUAACUUAGAAUGUGAUUGCAGUAUGUGUGACAAAAAUAUAGGAUUUGUAUCUUAGGGGGUGUUUGGAUACUAGGUGCUAAACUUUAGCAGUGUCACAUCGGAUGUUCAGAUGCUAAUUAGAAGGACUAAACAUGAGCUAAUUACAAAACUAAUUGCAGAACCCCUGUGCUAAUUCGCGAGACGAAUCUAUUAAGCCUAAUUAAUCCAUCAUUAGCAAAUGGUUACUGUAGCACCAUGUUGUCAAAUCAUGGACUAAUUAGGCUUAAUAGAUUCGUCUCGCGAAUUAGACUCCAUCUGUGUAAUUAGUUUUGUAAUUAGUCUAUGUUUAAUACUCCUAAUUAGCAUCCAAACAUCCGAUGUGACAGGUGCUAAACUUUAGCACGGGGUAUCCAAACACCCCUUUAGAAGAGGAAAGGCAAAAAGGAGAAAAAGAGUCUUCACUCAGGACAGAAAACUGCAAAAGGGUAAAAUAAAAAAAAAACAUGAGAAGUAAACUACAAAAAGGGGGAAAUAGCAAAAGUACAUGAAAACUAAACUGCAAGAGUGAUAUUUUUAAAAAACUAUGCCCCCAUGCAGGAUCGAACUACAGACCUUCAGUUUACAAGACUGACGCUCUACCACUGAGCUAUAGGGGCUAACGUGAAAUUUGAUUUAUUGGUACUUUUUUAAUUAUUUAUUGCCGCCAGUUAGACCAACCACCACGACCGAUUAGAUUAGUCCCGCCACGGGCUAUCCACUCCCACUCCUAAAUCCACAUCCAUUUCAAAUGCGGAGGAUUUGGAUAGAAAAUUAUAUACCCAUUAGAAAUGAGGAGGUAUAAUUAAUCAAUUGGAUAUAUAUAUAUAUAUAUAUAUAUAUAUAUAUAUAUAUAUAUAUUAUAACAAAGUUAAUUAUUUCUGGAUGGGAUUGUUGAGGGUAAGGAGUGGAUGAUAAUUAUUUGGAUUUGGUUGUGAACGAGUGGUUUGCCUAUCGUUGGACUAAGGCCCCGUUUGUAUCCGCUUAUAAGUGGCUUAUCGGUGGAAAGAAGUGAGAAUCCCGCCAAACGCUUUGCUUAUUUCCACCGAUUCUCGCUUAUGUGGUAAGCCGCUUCAACGAUUUGAACUACGAGAAGCGAGAAGCGAGAAAAUCUUCGUUUAGAUUAUAAUCCAAGCGUGGCUAGGAAAAGCGUAUACAAACAGGGUCUAAGAUUAGUGGCAUCGCCUUUAGCACUCCGAUCGUUGGACUUUGGACCUGGGCCGAUGUGUUGCCGAUUUGGCCACCGCGUCUUGUUUUUUCUCGGCCGUUGAUGCCGCCGGACCCCGGAUGGAAGGUGCGAGCAUCGACCUGAUGGUGCUGAUGCUGAUGGGAGUAAUCUCGGUGGGGUUCGUGGGAUACAACGGGGAGGAGAUGGCCAGAGGCGCCGAGGCGGCAGCGGCAUUGAAGAGCAUACUUUGGCGGCGCCAUUACUCUUGGAAUCGUGAACAGCUUCGAAAUGAAGGUCAUGUUGGCCGGGGUGACUUCAUCAUCGGUGCAGCCAUAGCGGUGUGAUCCAGGUGCUGGAAGAUGCGAACAGGACGUCUGGAAAUGAAGGUGCUUGCGGAAUUGAUGUGUAUAUAUCUAGGAUAGUGAAGAAUUAAGCAUACAGAAUCAUCAGAAAUCAAAUGCGGAAGGGAGGGCUAAUGCUGGAGGAGGAGUGGGGAUCCAUUUGCCGUGGCGAGCGCGGCCGUCGCCGUCGCCGGAGGAGGAUAGGGAGGUAAGCCACUAAAUUGGGGGGCUUUCUAAAAAAGUUGGAUCGAGAUUAUUAAUCACGAUCCGAUUUUGGAGGUUAAUUGAACAUAUUUGGAUCGUGAUUAUUCAUCGCUAUCCAUUUCAAGGGGUUUAUAUAAAUAUCCGGUUUCAAGGGGUUUAUAUAAAUAUCCGGAUCGCGAUUAUUUUUCACGAUCCAAUUGAGGGGUCAUUUGUAAAAUUCUCUAACCGCAGUCAAGUAGUCCGCACGCAGCACGCCCCUCCUCCCUUCCAGGCUUCCACCCCUUCGCCGCCUCUAUCGUCGCGGCUUUAUCCCGGCCGCCUCUCUGCUCCCGCGUCGGCGACGAGCGGCCACCGGGCUGCGUCUCGGCCACCGCGAGGCCCCACCACCCUGAUCUUCUAUCCCGGUGGCGCGGCCCUGGCAGACGUUGUGGUCCCCCGGCGCACCGUACCAGGUCCCGGCUGCCGCCCGUUGCCCCUUGGCGGCCGCCGGUAGACACGGUCCUCCCAGCUGCCGCCCUGCGCUGGUGCCGGCGCUCUGUGCCCUGGUCGUGGAUCCCACCUCCCGGCCGUCGGCCUGCACCCCCACCCAAGCCGCCGCCCCACGCCUCUCCCGGCCACAGUCCGGCGGCCUGCGGUAGUAGUGGUCAAGGUAAGCAGGGCCCUGCAUCCCCACCCGAGGCACCAGACUCCAAUUGGUAGGUCAGCCUGCUCUCCGAUUAGCAUAUGCACUCCUAUUUGUUCAAGAUAUAUAGCACAUACACUCCGAUUUGUGGAUAUCAGUUCACCCCCAUCAGUUGAACAACCGCUGCAGCUUGUGAGAUUCCACAGGCUUUUCCUAGAAUUAAAUGCUAAUUUGUCUCAUCUUAGUGAACUUACUAGAGAUAACCUAAAUGAGGAGGGUUGUAUAGGUUUUUUAGCUGUGUCAGUUAAUUAUUCUUUUGUGCACCCUCCUCCUUGACAAGUGUAGUUUUUUUUGUGUGCAUUGCCAAACCGGGAAAAAAAGGAAUAUCAAGUGUCUUUUCACCUUGACUCCUUGCUGUACCAUGAUUUUUUGUUUAACCAUUGUCCAUGUACUUCUGCCUGUGCGAACUGUGUAAAUGGUACUAAUAUAAGUAUAGCUUUAUGAACUUUGUUCAACUAGAAUAAUUAGAUAUAUCAGCUUACCUGGCCUGACUACAGAAAAACAUCUUUGUUCUUUUCCAAAGAUAUUGUUAUUUAAAAAAUGCUUACUUUUUGUUGACACAUGAGCAGUGAACUGCAGAUUGUAUAAUUUUGGCACCCCCAUUGCCAUUUGAUUUACCCUGUGCUUAUCCUUUGCCAGUUGACAUUUAUCCUAUGCCUUAUCCUUUUCUCAUGCAGUGCCCUCAAUUUGCCACAUGUUUUGUUUAUAAAAUAUUCCAAGCACGAAUAGAAAUUGAAGAAGUUUUUCCCAUUAGGAACAAUCACAUUGUAUUCUAUAAUGAAAAGAUUGUACAUUGUAACUAAACCAAAUAAUUCUACUUGGAGAUGCCAGUUUUUAGGAAUUGUAACAUUUUUAAUAUAUUCGACUUUUUUAUGAGCAAACCUAUAUGUUUGAGCUUGCUAACCUGUGCAACUGCGCGGGGGUUCCUAUUAGUGUUUCACUAUUGCCUGUUUGUCUUGUUCGUAGAUUUGUAUGUAUGGAAAUUCGAUGCACUUUCUAACAUUAGCCUUUUCAUUUUCAUAUUGCACGCGCUCUAUUUUUAUCUUGGUUUUGCCACUGCUAAUCUGCUUACGUUGAAUUGCAGAGAUGAACGUGGCAGUGCCACCACCACCACCACCACAUCUUCGGCUAUAUGAAUUUGCCAAGACCGCCCUCAUCAAAAUUUUUUCCUUUCCUUAUGCUACGGUCUGUUAUUUGCUGCUCUCUUUUAUGAUUUACAAUUUGUUCCAAAUCAGCGAGAAACUCUGCAGCAGAAUCCUGAAACUAAUAUUGCAUUUGCUGGUUGUAAAUGUGUUAGGUCUGUGACUUGUAUUGCGAUGGUGGAGUUGAUACUGACAAGUGGUGUGAUGCCCAGGUUGGCCACUACAUAGGAAUCGGUAGGCUGCCUCCACUAGCCUGUGCCCUCCAAUGUCUAUUAUCAGAUGUCAACAAGUUAAUUUGAUCAUCAGACCAAUUUCUGUAACAGAUGCCUCUGCAUCGGGUGUCAGUGAUGCCCGUGAGCUAUGGGAGAACAAGAGGAAACCUUUCACUGCUGAGUUCAUCGAGUUGGAUCCUUCUGAUGUGCACCCUCCAUCCAUGCCUUCCAAGAUCUUAUUCCUACACAUACAAUUGCACUAAAGUGCUGACAGUUAGCUUUUGUUACAUUUACCUGGCAGGAUGAUUUUGAAGCUCAAGUGCAGGAAAAGGGCAUCCAAGCAGAUAUAGUUUGUUGUAUGCAGCACUUGCAGGCGAGUUGGUGGUUCUCUAGAGUCUAGAGUUCUGGAAUAUGAUAUACUUGUGAGCUUUGCUAAUCUUCAUAGUUUAUCCUUUUUGAAAGAUAGUUAUGCUUCGAGAGUGAAGAACGGGCAAAGAAGCUUCUGAAUAAUGUAUCAUCACUUCUCAAACCUGGAGGCUACUUUUUUGGCAUGACUCCUGAUUCAUCUACAAUAUGGUAUAGUCACGGCCUUUUUCUUCUUAUGUUUUAAUGUCUUCUCUUUUUUCUUUAAGCUAUUAUUCAGAAAAAACGUCUUAUAAGCUUGGGUGGUCAUCCACCAACCAAGUAAAAUAUGUAGGCUGACAUUUAUGCUUCACUGCAAGUAAAGCUUAAUUCACCUUCUCUUAUACAAAUUUAGCGUUCAAUGUUCUUGAGAAAAACUCCGCCUAUGUUGUCUCAACAUAGCAGGUCCCAAGCCCUGGUAAAGGAGGAGGGUUGUGAUAGGUUUGGUGAGCCAACGUUAAACCUAGCCAUUCUAAUGGAGAUGAAACCCAAGAGGCUCUUGUUGGGUUUCAACUCUAGCCUACCCCAACUUGCUUGGGACUAAAAGGCUAUGUUGUUGUCGUAAUGUUCUUGAGAAAACUCUUUUCUUUUUCUAAGUUGAUUUGUAUUUUCUUUUUAUUCUGUAGGACAAAAUAUCAAAAGAAUGUUGAGGCUUCACAUAACAAAGGUCUGAAGACUGUUCCAAAUAGCAUUCGCUCGGAGAAUUAUACCAUUACCUUUGAAGUUGAGGAAGAAAAGUAUGAAUUUAAAUUGUAUCCUAAAUGUACCUGAAACUUUGUUCAUAUUGACUUCCUGAGGGAAUCCUUUGUGUAUGGUGCAGGUUUCCUUUCUUCGGGAAAAAGUACCAACUCAAAUUUGCGAGUGAAGCAGUAUUUGAAAAUCACUGCCUGGUCCACUUUCCCAGCCUUAUGAGGUCAUAUUUUCCUAAUUUAUUUUCAACAUUUUUUUGCAUAGCUUCAUUGUCAUGGUAGCAAAAUCUCUAGAAAUUUGAGCAGAUCGGAUGAUAAGAGUUUUCACGAUGGUUGGUUGUGUUGAAACAGAUUAGCAAGGGAGGCUGGACUUGAAUAUGUGGAGAUCCAGAAUUUAACUGAGUUUUAUGAUGAUAACAGGUAGCUAUAUCUAUGUCAAGACCUUUAUUAUUUUCAUGGAGUCAUUUUCUUGUUGGUUAUUCAUUUGUAUCUUUUGAGUUACUCCAUUCAUAACCUGCUGUCCAAAGAAUUGUAAUGUGGUGACUACCAACAACGUGGGAUGUCCAAACUGUAUUUGACUUCUGGUUCUGAAUGAUUCAGAAUACAAUUUGCUCCAAUGCUUGGUGGUUACAGUGCAAGUUUUUUGGAUGCUCGUGGAAAGCUUGUUACUCGUUCCUAUGACAUUUUAGGUGGUGUAAAAUUCUUCUUUUUUGCUGCAUCAGAUUGUAAGGUCCCAGUUUACUCACUUUUUUCACCUGGUUUCUACAGGCUUGUAUUCAACUUUUGUAUUUCAGAAGCCUGACCCAGAUGCAAUACCACCUAUUGUAACACCCGACUUGCAUGAUACUGAUAAUGCUCACGAAGAGGUAUGUUUCUUCUGCUUAGUAGCUAGAUGUAGUUUUUUUUUCUGUCUCAUUGGAGAAUAUUGUUGGUCUCACACUUUGUUUGAAACAAUAGGAAUGGCUCCGACGGCAGCAGGCAUCAGCAGAUGAUGGGAGGCGCUCCCAUACGGAUGUGCUUCCCUUGGAUCAUGAGAAAGGCAUCCUGGGUCCUGGACCUGCAGAUAUGAGGCUUUGAUGGUGGUAAUUCAAAUCCUGCUUGAACUCGGGUGAUGAUGCUUUUAGUAUUUGUUUUUCCUCCCACUGAGGACAAUUUCUGGUGUGUGCACUAAGAGUUCACGAAAAUAUCAAACAACAUUAGGAGGCUCCCAAUCCUGGCAGAGACGGGUUUUCUAGCUCUUCGAGUUUGUCCAACUUUCAAGGCCCCAAGGUGCCUUGAAACCCUUCCGAUGUAAGCCUUCAUCUUCAGAGACAACAACAUAUUCUGGUUGCAAGGGGUUAUCAAGCGUAAGUAUCAGGCUGUUAGUUGUUAACAAUGGCCAACAGCAAGGAAUCUCUUCUUCAUCAGAUCCUUUUGCUUCCAUAAUUUCUUGCCACUAUAUAUCACUUGAACCGUGUUGGUCCAUCUGCUCCACUGUAUGAGUAGUAAAAUGCACCCAAAGCAGACAGGAAGUCUUCUCGUCAGCUCUUAAUCACUGUGAUGAAGAGGAUGUCACUGAAUUUAAUUGCCGUGUCGGCUCAGAUUUAGCAAGUGCCUCCAGAACGUCAACUCAUACUGAUCACUCGACACAACACAGUAUGUCUAUCUAUGCGAGUAUAUUGCGGUUGCGGGUGUCGUCGUCCUUCUGUAUAUGGUUGGUUACUCGGCACUCGGCAGCUAGUAUAAAUGAUGUUACAACACUGGUAGCUCGCCCCGUCACCCAUCCCUAAGCUUGGUCGAUGUCUCUGCACCCUCCAAACUCCAAGCAAACCUUGUGUACAGGAGCGAAUGGGCUAUUCCAAAAGAUCCUGAUAUGCUCCAUAAUCUCAGUUGACUGUUCUUUUCUUUCUCGAAAGUAAAAACCAUAACAUGCAGAAGAGCCAAGGCACGGCAACUUAAUGAGAUUCUGAGUGUCUGUCUCGACGAUAACUUAAUCUAUGGCUGAAGCCAAACCAUCCUUCCAUUAUUGUUCUUUUUUUUUUCCUGAGAUAAUGGGGAAAAAAAAGUAGCUGUCUGGCCGUCAGGAAAUCUGAUACAUGCAUCUGGUUGAUGGAGCUAGGUGACGUCGUUCUGUAUGUGCGGACUAUCAAGAUGCAUGCAACUGCCAUGAGGCAAUCACAUAAUCGGAUGUUCCUGGGAAAUUUGUUCAUGUGCAUGCCAUUUCUCAAACUAAACACCCUACACCCCUAUGUUUAUACUAAUCAGGUUAAUAUGAGAAAUGUUGUGAUGAUAGAUGAGAUAACCCAUUCUAUUUCUCAAACCAAACAAGAAUAUGGGUGACAAGACAAUGAAUCAAUACACCCUCAAACGAAACAUCCCCGAGGACACUGAACUCCAACAAUUAAUUUGCAUCCCUCAACUUCGUCUGGAAAAACAAGACUCCCCCCGUGUCCAAUUCUUGACCUGGCUCCUUGUCCAGGAGCGCAUUCAGUGCCGGUCCAACUUGCUUGUGAAGAACGUGAUCGACGACGCUACCCUUUGCCUGGCAGCGGAAGAAGACUGCAACCACCUAAUGCUCACCUGCAGUUUUGCUUCACGGGUCUGGCUACAUCUUGGGAUCGACAUAUCUGGAAAAACUGUCACCGAGCUUUGGGAGCUUCGACGCCCAACAACGAUGCCAGCAAAACAUUUUUUUAGGAACAGGAGGGGGAGUCCCUGCUGGAUAUAUAUUAUAAAAAAAAUAGAUCGUAUAAAGCAAGUUAACAAACAAAGAAAGAAACAAAGAAAAUCCAUUGAGACAUGGGUUUUUUCCAAUCCUCUUUUACUCUAUGGAUAACCUGAGUAAAGAUAAAUUUGAAGUGGAGCAAAACACUCUGAACUGAUGGGGCAAUUCCCUUAAAGAUCCAGUCAUUUCUGACCAUCCAUAUACACCAACUCAUGAGAAUUAUGAUUUCCAUAAAAAAAUGAACAUGGAGCUGAAUUUUGAAACUAUUGAGGAUUGUGUAAGGUUCAUCUGGUAGAUUAGGAAACAAACCUAAGCGUAUCCAACAUUCAAAUGCAAAGGGGCACUCCAGCAAAAGGUGAAGUAAGGUUUCUUCAUUGUUAUGCUGACACAAGAUACAAUCAUAGGAAGGAAGAUUCAUUUGCUUUCUUCUGAGAAUAUUUCUUGUGCUUAGCCUGUCCUUGAGAACUAGCCAAAAGAAUACCUUGUGUUUAUUUUGACAUUUUGAUUUCCACAGCUAUUUAAAUACAUGAUGCACCUGUCUAUGCCCAGUGAGGAAGUGAUAAGCUUUUGCCGAUGAAAAAUAUAGACUACCCCAGAUGUAUGUCCAAAUAUCUUGUUCAUCAUUAAGAUUCAGGCCUUCCAAGUUGGCAACCAACUGGUGGAGUUGGUCAAAAGCUUGAAAUGAAAGGGGUAAGUGAAAUAAUUGGUGAAUAUCAGCAACUUCGUAUGCUCUUUGAAUUGAGAUAUCCUACUUCUUGGUGAAAGAGAAAAGCUGGGGAUAUGCUCGGGCUGGGACCUGAUUUCCCACAAAUCAUGCCAUAGGGAGCAUGUACUGCCAUUUUUUACUGUUACUAUUGCCAACCCUUUAUAUUUAUCGAACAACUUCACAACAUCUCUCCAUCAGAAAGAACCCCUUUCACCUGUCCUAUGCCAGCAAAACAUUUUGAUAGUUUCCUUCACCUCAUCUGUUGGCACUUGUGGAAGCACAGGAAUGAUGUUGUGUUUAACCAGCCGCUGGCUGCUCAUACCGGUUCUGGAUGGCUUGGAAGGAGGAUGCCCAUAUGUGGAGCUGCCGGUGGCCAGCAGAGGAACGCAUCAUUGCUGAGUCUUGGUGUUUAUUGUUUCCCAAUAUGUAAUAGAUAGAUAACUGUUAUUUUCUCCCAUGAAUCCCUUUACCUGCUACAAGCACCUUUACCGGCGUUUUGGCUUUCCAACAGCCUUAAUAUAAUCUUAGGUGCUCCUCCCCCCUACAUUUAGAUUAGGGCAUGCGGCCCUUCCGUAAUCUAUGUCAGCGACGGGUUCCUAUACCAGAGGCAUCUCUACGGGAGGAACUAAUGACUCCUAACGUAUAAAGAGGCCUAAGGCCUAAAAGCUCGGAGCACCCCAAAGCAGCCCAUAUGUCGCCACGGCCCAUCUCCCGACCUCCCAAGGUCGGUUGCGAUAGACCACGACCCACCGAGCCACCCAACUCGGGGGUGGGACCCGCGUGGGGCCUGGAGUGCUCCACCUACCUGCGUGGGGCUAGCGCAUUAAUUGCGAGCCAUGGUAUCCUGACCGUUCCACGCCAGCUUGAGUACGGGGACGUGACCGGGCCAGGGGGCCGACCUCUAACCAGGGGUCUAAGGGUGAGGCCGCAUCCUUCGGACCGUACUAGGAGGAACCGAGGGAAGAGGCCACGCGGCCCGUACACGCACAAAGGGCACCUGAAUGUCAUCAUGAUCCUCCCCUGUGUAAUGGCCCAUCGGGGUCAGGACAAGGCAGCCACGGCAUGCCUGGUGCGGGCCCGACGUACGAGGUGGGGCUCAGGACUAGACCUUACGGCGUUGAGUAGCCGUGAGGGCGCCCAACAGGUCGGGAAAAGACGGGGUGAGUGGCACGCCUCAUCCAGCUGUUGACCCGGAGCCCGCCUACUCGCUCCAGGUACGGAUGUCAGCAACAGUAUCCGUCCUGUUCUCUGGCGCGGGGUUGGCAGACGGGACGGAGGCAUGCCCCGGUACAGGCCACAUUGCGCGUAAGCGCUCCAUGCCGCACAGGGGCUACCGUGCUGACCGUACGGGCCCAAGACCGACGAAGGAGAACAAGACAAGCGGGCCCCGCAGGGAGGGUCCCACAUCGCCUGCUCAGGCCGUACUCUUCCGACCAUCCAACGACUUCGGAGCUCUGAGGUCAGAAGACCCCCUCCUUUCUUCAAAAUGUUGCCCAGUCCCUAGCCUGUAUAAAGGGAACCGGGCCUUCUCUCUCGCUCUCUCGAUUCCACGACUCACAAACCCUCACACACGCUCAUCGCAUGAACUAGACGUAAGGAUCUUUUUGAACCAGUAUAAACCCCGUUGUAAACUCCAGUGUACUUGAAUCCAAGGAACACGACUCCUGCUGAAAACUGAGUAUAAACCUCUUGUUCUUGUGUACUAGCCACCAUAAGUGAGGAAGAUGUGGCGUAUAAUCACUAGUCGGCGGUAUAAAACACCGACACAUAGAUGCAUCUUUUACUCUCGGAGUCGCUCCAUGUUCUUAAGUUUUUCUCUGCAUCAUAACGACUUAACGAGCGAUUCGAGAUUGAGGGAUACUUAAGCCUAUCUUUCUAAUAAUGGAGUAGCUAAGAGCUAUAAAGAAGCGCUAGUUGCCUAGUUGCAUCUCUGUUUACGUGCACACCAGGUGCAUCAUACGGAGAUAGCGACCGUGGAGUUCGUUGACUGCAUCUCGUAUGUGAUCACCUAUAAAGAAGCUGUUUUGCUAAGGGUUCCCAUGCCCAAACUAACCAUCUGCGAGGCCUUGUCUUCCUCCAUGAAAACCUCUCCCUUGCAAACCGAGACAGAAACAGACGCGGAAGCCCAAAAUAAUCCAGAACUCUACCAGCACUUUGCCAACUUGGUCUCCUCCUUGCCGACCUCAGAAGGCUUGUCCAGCAACCAAUUCCACCGCCAUGACCAACGUUGGUAUUGCAGCCUGGUGCCCAUAGUCGGCGCCAUGGUCGCCGACGCGUGCUUCACCGCGCGGCCAUCGGGAAUCAUCAUCGCCACCCUGCCCAAGUCCGGCACCACGGGAUCAAAUCGCUCCUGUACUCCACCGUGCACCGGAGAGAGCACCCCGUGGACGCCGCCGACCACCCUCUAAUCUCCUUCGGCCCCCACGGGUGCAUCAAGUUCUUCGAGUACCAGCUCUACACGAGGAACAAGAUCCCCGACCUCGACAAGCUCCCGGACCCAAGGCUCUUCGCCACGCACCUCCCGAUCGUGUCACUGCCGAGGGCCAUCGCGACAUCGGGCUGCAAGAUCGUGUACGUGUGCCGCGACCCCAAGGACCACCUGAUCUCGCAGUGGGACUUUGCGAACAAGUUCCGGGCCAUGAACCAGCUCGAGCCACUCUCGGUGGAGACUGCCGCCGACCUGUUCUGCAGCGGCUUGUCGCCGUUCGGGCCGUACUGGGACCACGUGCUCGGGUACUGGCACGAGCACUUAGCGGGGCCCGAGCAGGUGCUCUUCUUGAGGUACGAGGAGAUGCAGAGGGACCCUGCAGCACACGUCCGGAGGCUGGCGGAGUUCGUGGGUCAUCCGUUCAGCGCUGGGGAGGAGGAGGCCGGCGUGGUGGAUGCCAUUGUGAGGCUGUGUUCUUUUGAGCACAUGAGCACGAUGGAGGUGACCAAGAGCGGCAAGACUGAUCUUGUCAUCGGCACGGUGGAGAACAGCUCGUUCUUCCGGCGUGGCGUGGUGGGGGAUUGGGCGAACCAUCUGUCGCCGGAGAUAGAUAAUACUAAAAAAAAGGGUAAAUAAUACUAACAAAACAUUACGAAAGCCAACCUUCUAACCUAGACUUUGUGGUGAAAAAUUCCCUUACUGAUAUAUAUCAAUAUUGCGUACGGUGUUUUUUUUUUUAAAAAAUGUUUGUUAUACGUCAAAGACGGGGUUUGAUGGACGUUCAAAUGAAUAAUUAGCUAAGUGGGGCAUAUGAGACCAGCAUACGACAACUAACAUUUCGCAAUCUCUUAUUAGCAAUCUCGUGCAUCACGCGAACAGCGACCCAAUGUAUUCGGUAGACUUCGUUCCAUUAGAGCACCCGCAGCGGCGGACCUCGAUGCCGAGCAGAAAACGUCCCAUCGAUGCCCAGCAGCAAACGAUGCCCAGCAUGCUGCAACGUGCAAGCAUCGGUGCUAGGUCCCUGCGCACGGAGAAAAGAUAUUUUACUUUGUGGCAUCGACAAUCGAGGUAUGUACGGGCGUCGAGGUUAGAAAAUUUUUCGGCUCUCACAGUGUGCAAUCAUCGGUGAUUCAUCUUCUCUUUCCAAACGGAGCAUCGCCUUUCUUCAACAAUGCGGGUGCUCUUAGUAGUAACCUCAAAGAUUCUACCUCACCAAAAAGACACAAAAACAAGACUACAAAGAUGCUGCUGACAUACGAAUCCCCAUUUCACUGCAUAGCCAUGUCUUCCUCCUUCAAGCAACCCUUUCUCUCACAAGACGAGGAAAAAACGAACGCGGAAACAAAAACCAACCACCAAGAACUCUACCAGCAUUACGCCAACUCGGUCUCCUCCUCGCCAAGCGCGGAAGGCCUGUCCCACCUCAUACUCCACCGCCACCACCAAGGAUGGCAUGGCAGCCGAAUGUGCAUAGCCGGUGCCAUGGCCGCGGAUGCGUGCUUCACCGCGCGCCCCUCGGACAUCGUCGUCGCCACCCUGCCCAAGUCCGGCACCACGUGGAUCAAGUCGCUUCUGUACGCCACCGUGCACCGCCGAAAAUAUCCUGCUGAUGCCGCCGACCACCCUUUCAACUCCUUCGGCCCCCACGAAUGCGUCAAGUUCUUGGAGUACCAAAUCUACACCGGCAAGGAGACCAAAGACAACCUCGACGAGCUCCCGGACCCAAGGCUCCUUGCCACGCACGUCCCGUUCGUGGCGCUACCGGCUGCCGUGGUCGCGUCGGGAUGCUAGAUCGUGUACAUGUGCCGCGACCCCAAGGACACCAUGGUCUCGCUCUGGCACUUUGCGAACAAGCUCAGGGCCAGCGAAGGCCUCGAGCCUCUCCCGGUGGAGACCGCCGCCGGGUUGUACUGCUACGGCAUGUCGGCGUUAGGGCCCUACUGGGACCACGUCCUCGGGUACUGGCGCGCUCACCUGGCGCGUCCCGAGCAGGUGCUCUUCUUCAAGUACGAGGAGGUCUGGAGGGACCCUCCGGCGCACGUCCGGAGGCUGGCCGCGUUCGUGGGCCUCCCGUUCGACGUCGAGGAGGAGGAGAACGGCGCGAUGGACGCCAUCGUGAGGCUGUGCUCGUUCGAGCACAUGCGCGGGCUGGAGGUGGCCAAGAGCGGCAAGACGGAGUUUGUGGUUGGCGCGGUGGAGAACAGGUCGUUCUUCCGGCCCGGAGGGGUCGGGGACUGAGCGAACCAUUUGUCGCCGGAGGCAGCGCGGCGCAUCGACGCUAUUACUGAGGCCAGGUUCAAGGGUUCCGGUCUCAGUGUUUAGCCAGGGAUCAAUAGCAUUACGCGUAUGAAUUGUCUGUUGUUCAAUAACAAGCAUGAUAACUGGCUAGCCGGCUGUAACACAUCUUUAUCAAUGAAAUAGGCACAAUCUCGUGCCCUUUUCCUUUCAAAAAAAAAAUAACAAGCAUGAUAGGCGCGCUUCGCGCCGCUCUCGUAGAAAUUAUAUAAGAAAAAAUAUGUAAAUAAUAUGUAAGAAGUUUGUAUAAAAAAAUUGUAUAGAAAAGAAGUAUUGAAAGCAUGUUUGUUUUGGAAAAUAAAAAUCUUCAAACAUUUCAACAGAAAAAUUGCAAAACAAAUUAGAGAACAUACGGGAAAGCAACAUUUUGAAAAUUUAAAGAAAAAUUCAAAGAAAAAUAUUCGAGACAAAAAUUGAAAAAAGAAAUCGGAAACAAAAGAAUAGGAACACAGCUUUUGCAAAAAAAAAAAGAAAAGAAAAAAACGUCGGAAGCGGAGGCCCUCGUCGCUCUGCCGCCCCGUGUCGGCUUCGCCUGGCUGGGGCCGCACCUUCGCAUGGGCUACAGGCCCAAAGUUCAUCCGCGCGGCUCCUCGACGGUCGUUGGGCCGCCGCACCGCCCGCUUGUCGUCGCCUGGACGGCUGGGCGCGCUCGGCGGGGCCGCCGCGUCCUCGCCGGGGCUGCAGGCGCUCGACGAGGCCGCCAUGUGCUGGCUUGGUGGUGCCGCCGCGCCCUCAGCUCGGCUGACGGCCAGACCGGCUCGCGCACCAUGUCGUUGCUGAGAACAGCCCUCGUCUCCGUCGGUCGUCUGAUUUUUGGAGCAGGUGAAAAGGUGAAGGUAAAAAAUCUGAGGAAAGAAAGGAAAACGUGAGGGUCUUGUGUUGGGAGGUCGAGGGGUUUUGGGUUCUUGUCAGCUCUCGUGACUCGUCCAUUCCAGAUGCAACAGUUCCGACUUGGCCCAUCUGUUAGUGUCUCAGAAAUCGGCAAAUCGCCCAGGCCAGCAACUUUAAUAUAAAAAGUAGUACAUGCCGUGCUCGUAUUGCUGUAUACGUUAGCUAGGUCACUCACAUUAUUCAUCCAUAAUACCCCACACGCAUUAUUCGGCAUGCACACGCACGCUACAAGCACCCCCAUCACAUUCACGCAGGUGUGGGUGGCGCCUUCUUGAACACGACCACAUGAGGCUCGUCGGACACGGCGAGCCACGCGCGGUCCCUCUCGUCCCUGAACACGCCCAGUUCCUCGCACUCGGUGGGCACCCCGCACCACACCAGAAUGUACCCGUGGCUGUGCCUCUCGACGCGGAACACCCUCUCCCUGCCGCCCGCGGUCGGGGCCAGCACCGGGCCGGUGACGACGUGCCGGGGGCCGGACGCGAAAGGCUCGUCGCCGCGGCCGGCGACGUGCCACUCGGUGGUCUGCACGCACGUCGUCACCGCGGCGAAGUGGAUGGCCACGUCGAAGGAGACGCGCACGGUCCGGUCGCCGCCGUGGCCGUGCAGCGGCGUGAAGCGCACGGGGAAGCCCCUGCGGAGCGGGUCGUCCUCCUGCGCGACGAAGAGCGGGCACCGGAACGUGUGGGGGGCCAUGGUGAGCCCGCCGCCACCCCCGCCGCCGCUCCCGCGAGGGGCCGGGAGGACGUAGUAGUCCGCGUCGGCGCUCAGCUCGUGCCCGUCCAUGUCGUACACCGGCGACGGGGCCGCGGCGACGCGCGAGAGGGAGGCGGCUAGGACGGAGAGGAGGAGGAGGAGGAGGCGCACGGCGCCGGCCGGGCCGCCCAUGGCUGAAACCGUGGGCGAGUUUGCUUGGAUUUGCGUUGGAGGCCGAGGAGGCCGGUGUGAAUCUGCCUGCGACUUCGAAGCUAGUUUGCGGUUUUGCACGAGUACCUCGGGUGAGUAUUUAUACUGUUCCGGAGUGGAGUCGCCAGCUUUCCUUCCUCCUGGAUUUGUACGUGGCGUGAAGUCAUUUUCUUGUCGCCCGUGCACGUACCUGGCCAGCAGUAGUCGGCCCGUCAAGUCACACCGCACAUGCAUACGGCGGUGCCGAUCUGUACAACGCUACCAGCGACUGGGAAACUGUAGCAAUGUGAAACUUGUACGUGUGCCUUUUCUGAAAACAACGCAGCAUUUGUGCUCUGGGAAACAGUGAGCCUGAGCCCCGAAUGAAGGAAACCUUUGACUACCCCCACUCCGUCGACUCUCCAAUCGUAGUAAACGUAUUGCGUAGCAGUGUGGAGUAAGAGAGUUACUGUGAACAAGUAGAGAUAGAGUGGACUUGCGAGACGUUUUAUCUUAGCCGAACGCGGGACACGGAUUGCGGUGGUGUGUCAUCUGGAUUGGCUUCCCAACCAACCUAUUUUGGCUCCUCCGGCGCGGUUCGGCGCUGCAAGAGAUUGUGAUCGAUCUGGACACGGGGUCGACGCCGAUCAAGCUCGCAUGCGCCGACCGCGUACACGGUAUAUGGGACGCUAGGCUUUGCUGGGAUCAACUUUGUUUGCAUCACCGACCGCUUGGCCGCUCGAGCCUCCUUCCAUUCCAUGUGGUUUUCGAGGGGAAAAUCCGCCGCAGCGAGUACCUUCUUCGCGGCACACCGCCACGUUUUUCGCUUUGGUCGACAACGUGGAACUCUCUUGUCCUGUGCCUCGCAAAGCAGCCAACCUAUUUGGGAUUCGGGUUCAGCCCAGCACAAACAUGUCCGAUGCUGUCCCAAAGGCCGAAGCCCAGCUUUGAACCACGCAAUGAUAUUCGGCCUCAUCCCCCUUCCAAUUUUAGCAGUUUAGUCGGCCUGGUCUGGCUUGGGCUGCCUUGUGGUAGCGGAUGUCUUAGAGCAGUUAUCGCUAUAUGAGCCCAAAUAGUAACUGGCAGUGUUAAUAUCCGUACUAUUUUACCUCUAAAAAUUAUUUUAUUUUUUUGCCAGUAAACUUUGUUUUUCUUGCGAAGGUCGUGCGAGUAAACGUGAACACGCAGAUCGGCAAAAAAGAGCAUGAACAAAUUUGUCUUGAAUAAUAGUUUCACAACAUUUUCAGGUUAUAAAUCCCUAAAUCUUCUGAUACAUACUAGUGCAAGAUCAUAAAGGCACAACUGGAAACAAUUCGAAAAGGUGAGCUCUUCCAUUCAAGAACAUGCACAAAAUGGUUAAUUUCUCGGUCCGUGCUACAAAGCAACCACUUGGAGCAACACAAAGUUGAUCCAAAUCGUACGCGGAAGGAACUAAAUUGCGCCGAUCCGGGAUUAGAUGGGGCAAUCCUAGCUACGGCUACUUCGCAACAAAAGAUGGCGAAGCAACCCGUAACAUCCUCUUCUCAUCGUGCCGACAGGGCAGCCACUAGCACUGCACCGGACCUCCUCAUCAACCAGGCCCCAGGCCGGCCGUGCAAGUCAUUGCAGCUCCGAGACGGCCUGCUGCAUGUACUUGAACGACCGCUGGUAGCUGACGAACCCCAUGAACCAGAACUCGAAGCCGUCCACCGUGGCGACGUGGAUGUACUUCUCCUCCGGCCUGUCGGCGUUCUCGCUGGGCCGCACCUUGCCGAUCCUCCGGAGCGGGAUCACCACCUUGUAGGUCACCCGCGCCGUGUCACCCUUGGGAGAGGCCACCGUGAUGGGGCGGUCGCUGCGGAAGGCGACCUUCUUGGUGGACACGAAGAGCAUCCCGGCGAUGGGGCCGCCGGUGGUGUAGAGGUAGCACUGCAGCGCCUUGACCAGCCGCUCGCCCUUCUCGGCGGAGAACGCCUGCCGGAACACGCGCUCCACCCCGCCGGCCUGCAGGAUCCGCGCGCCCAGGCUCAGCUUUCCCUUAACCGUCUCCGACAGCUUUGGGCCCAGGGUCACUGCAACAUGAUCGAUCGCACACGGAUUAGGGUUUAAUUAAUUAGUAGGACAUGGUGUUCACGUGAUCUUGACUGAUCAACGGUCCUCGGAAUGAAGCAGCCACGGAACUGAAUGCUAACUCACCAUGCUCCCUGAAGCCUUGCGCCCGCCUGCUCAGCUUGCUCACCCAGCGGAUCACCUGAUGAUCUUUGCUGCCUGCAGGAAAACAUUAGCCAUAAACCACAUCAGUAUCAAAUGAUUUAACAGUAAAAACACAUGUUUUCAGUUAGAAAUCCCAUGGCAUGAAUGCAUGAUCACGAUCAACACUUACUGUGCUUGUAGUCGAAAGACGCGUAAGGGCUGGGGUGCGUCAACGAGACAGCAAGGUGAUCGCCGUCGCUCUUCCUGCACGUUCCCUCCUCUAUCCCAUACGCCUUGGAGGUGACCGGAACUCCGAUGACAUGGCCGCUGCUGCCCGACUUCCUCAUGGCUGUUAGGAGUGCUGGCCGACUAGUGACCACAACACAAGCUAAGCAGAGAGAGAGCAGAGAGCUCGGCGCCGAUCUAGCCUGCUUCGCGCUGAAUGAAGCGAAGAGCCGAAGAGGAUGCCUUAGCGUGUAAGGAAUUGCGGAUUGGUACCGGAGUGCAGCUGCCGAGGACGCCAUUUAUAGGCGCCGCGCGGUUGUGGAAUAUCCUUUGAGCUUUGUUGAAUUGGCGAAAGGCAAGUGGAUUUGCGGAGUCAGCAACCGGUCCGGCCGAGUCACCAGCGGCUCAGAAAAGGCGCGGUCCACGUUCGCCUAAAGCAGGCGUAGACCCCCUCCUCCCGCCUACUGCUUCGCUCGCAGCCGCUCGCUUCGUGAUGUGCGGCCGCGUCGGCCACCCCGGCCGGCCUAGAAACGGAGCUCCGCCCCCCGCCAUGUGAAGGCCAGGUGCGUGCGGUAUAUUCAUUUGCUCCCAAAGGCAAAGGAUUCUGGAUUUCUCUAUGGGAUCCGGACCCCGGUGGCGGUGGGGCUCGCCUCGCUGCCGCUUUCCGAGAAGCGCCCCAUGUGCCCGCACAUUCUCGCUCGCACCGGGCUACAUGGAAAAAAGGGUGGCGUGGUGUCGGGGGGAGCAAGGGCCCCGGUGCGCUGACUGCUGAGGCCGCGCCUUUCUUUAGAAGGGGCCACUAGUGUUUCGCGUAGGGUAGAGGUCGUUCGUGCGUUGCCCUGGGACAGUACAGGAGUAACAUGCGUGGCCGAUCGAGUGAUGUUGACGGCCUAAAUCACGUAGGGGAGGGACACAAACCACUGUUCCCGAGAUCGCGUCCUCAGGCGAUCGAUCGGGCAGACAUGGCCCAUGACCCACCGGUGAUGUGGAGCCGUGGAGGCAGGGCUCCAACCCGACGUGUAAAACGGCCAGCUUUUCCAGAGGCGAUGGAUCCGGCAAGGCAACAGCUGCAUGCGUCCCUCCUCACGUCGAAGUCGCCAUUCCCGCCUGCGCCCCCCGCGAGUCCAGCCGUCCUGGUCACCUCCCACGCAGCGCCGAGUCGGACGAACCGCGACCGCGCAUCACCAACCGACGCAACCGUCGAGUACGAGCGCGCGUGCGUGUCCAUCCGGUUGUGGCGCGGCGGCAUCGGGCAGGCACUGUGGCAUGGGCGCCGCGCCGUCCCUGUCUCCCGCAAUAAACCCGGCAGCCGGGAGGGGCGUUGCCACGCGAGGCCGGCGGGUUUGCCGUUCGUGGACGCGGCGGGGGCAUGGCGCGGGGCGCGUGUGCGUAGCCGUGUUAAUUGGGUUGUAACCCAUGUUGUAACCACACCAAUCUAUUCUUAUAAGAAAAUAAAUAUAAUCCACCCUAAACCAAACCUCCACUAUCACACACCACACCACCCCAAACUUACCAUUGCAUAAGUUAUACAAAUUACUUGCCAAAUAUGGUUACAACCCAAUAAGAACCCAUUAGGUACCCAAUAAAAACCCAUUAGUUAACUUUUUUUUUGAGUUUGUAUGUGACUCUCAACGUGGGGCCCACAUGUAAGUCUAGCCAUACUACUUUGCACAAAGUAGCGGACUGUCAAGCUAAUGCAUCUGCAACAAGUUUCGGUCAAUUCAUCCAAAAUUUUAAGGUGUGAACACGAGGUUUUAGUUUUAGGGUCCGACUCUUGACGCGGGCCCCACAUGUAAGUCCAGCCGUACUACUUUGCAUACAGUAGCGGACUGUUAAACUAAUUCAUCUGUAACAAGUUUCGAUCAAUUUAUCCAAAAUUUUAAGGUGUGAACGCGAGGUUUUAUUUUUAGGGUCCGACUCUUGAUAGAUGAGGCUCCAGGCUUUUGGGUUCUUAAUGGGUCUCAACCCACGGGUUGAGAGUCUUUUAGAUCCAAAAAUAAUACCACACACCCCAAACACCUUCCAAACUAUUUAUUUGUAAAACCCAAACCAAACCAAACCAUCUAGCAGGCCAACUCAUUAUAAACCAAUUCAAAUGAGCUUAUUAUAUAAACCAAACCAUUAAAACCAAUAAACCCAACCCAAUUAACAGGGCUGCGCUGCGUCCCGGCCCGUGGCUUUGUGCGCGGUGCGUUGUCAGAUGGAGGAGGAAAGCCUCGCAGCUACCCACUCUGAAAUCAGAAUGAAGGGGAUCCGCGGGGUGGGCUCCUCCUCUCGUUUCAGCGUCGCGAUCGGCGUAUCUCCGCCGUGCCAUACGUGUCGAUGCACAGAAGCAUGAGGAUGUCGCCGACCCGCCGGGUGGAACGGAAUCGUUUUCUCGCCGACCAUUUGUCCUUCCAAGAAAAGGGGAAUGGCAUGGAACGAAUACAAAUGCGAUAUCCCCAGUUUUGGAUUUUUUUUAAAAAAAAACUUUUGUUUGCUCUACAUUACUAGAAGCUAAGCCAAAAAUGCACCUUUGUAAGAUUGCAACUCAAGUGGUUCGAUUUUUACUGCAGCGUGCACUGUGCACGCACAAGUGGUCCCAUAGCCGAACCAGCUAGAGUGUGGCUUCAUUCAUGAAAAACUAACAGAAUUGUAAUUCUUUCGAUUAUUGUUUCAAAAGGAAAAUAUUCCAGUGACGAAUAUAAAAUAUAAAAGUAUGCACUCCCUGUAUUCCAAAUUGUAGGUUGUUUUGGUUCUUUUAGAUUGAUAGGUAUUAUUAUGCAUCUAGAUAUAGUGUAUAUCUAGAUGCAUAAUAAUAUCUAUGAACUAAAAAAAUCAAAACAACCUACAAAUAUAACGAAGGAAGUAUAUACCGAAUGAUACAAGUAUUUCAUGAUUCGAAAAGUAGAACACCGGCGCCAACCAAUCAUUCCAAUAUUGGUUGAAAACGGACCGAAAAUGAACCUAAAAUCUUGGGUGCAAAGCACUAUACUAACAAAGUAGCAUCAUCACUUUUCUUUACGCCCACAGGCCAAUUAACAUAGCUGGUGCUUCGCUGUUAAGGCCAAGCGCUGUGCUGUCUCUGUGCUAUUGAUUGGAUUCUGAGGUUCACUUUCUACUAACUAGUGAGACUGCUUAAAAGUGGUAUUUCCAAAAAAAAAAGACUGCUUAAAAGUGGCAAAAGAAAAAGGCACCAGUUAUACUUCUCGCGGAAUCAUAGAUUGCAACUUAAUCAUACAUCAAAAAAUAUUGGUGUAAUGUGUCAUAAAACAUAAAGUUAAUUAUAGAUUUUUGUGUGUUACGCCUGCAAGAUCUCGGUAGUUUAGUUUAGGUGCGACAACGCGCCGCCCGCAGCCUGCAUUUGAUCCCGAUCAGCGACUGCACUCUUUCACUAAAAAGAAACUUUUACUUCAUCCUUUCGAAAUUACAAUGCGUAUUUCAUUUCAUUAUAUGAGACUUUGACCAACAAUAAUUACUCUGUUAAAAUAUUUUUUCACAAGCUUGAUGUUAUUAGAUUUGUAUUACAAAAUACUUACGUUAUUAUGAUUUGUAUCACAUAAAUGACAUACUAGUAGAAUAAUUGUUAGUCAAAACCUAGUCAUAAAAAGAAUGUCUUAGUAGUUUCAAAUGGAUUGAGUAUUAGUAUCUGAUGCUUUUCCAGACUUUCAUUUCUCAGAAAAUGUUGCUAAGCAUCAUGUUAGGGCUUUUUAGCCUAAUCUGUGAAUUGUGACAUGUCUAUAUAUUAGACCAAAUAAGUGCAAACUUCUUGGUGCGAAACUUGGCAGAACUAAAUGCGGGAGUCUGUAUAAUUUAUUACCAACUAUUCUCCGAUGCCAGAAGACGAAUAUUUGCAUGAGCAUGCAAAUAUAAGGCCACUACAUUUGGGAAAACGAAUAUAAGCAAAUAAAUAAAGGAAAUCACUACGCUGAUAUAAAGCUUUCUUCUAGUAUAUAUUUAUCCGCAAUACAAUCAAGUUGAAUGUUUGCUAGUAGUAAAAUUUUGCAUAGUCUUGUACUCUUGUAACAUAGUCCACCUGUACAUCCACAGUCAACCUGGUAAUCUUGAAAAAAACACUGAUCUUAGGGCAGCCGCAGUGUAGCGAAAAGCCGAUGCCCCAUCAAGAAAGAGAAGGUCCAAGCAUCGAGUUCAACGUUGCAGGGGGCGAUGCUUGAAAGAAAUUGAUGCUCCGUCCGUAAAAAAUUGAUUGCUCAGCUGCAUAUGAGGGGCAGCUGUACUUUGUUUACUCCCAACUCCACCAUGAGUGGGCCCAGUGGGUCCCAUGUUGAUGCUUGCACGCUGCGGUCUUCAGAGCUCGAUGCUCACUUCUCUGAUGCAGGGCUCAAAAAUUUCAAGCAUCGGCCUCCACACUGCGGGUGCUCUUAUGAGAGAACCUCCCUCGAUCGUAAUAGUUCUUCAGAUUCCAUUUUGGUACCAUAGCUUUAGUUGGCCGGAGUAAAAUAAGAAAGGGGAACUAAGUAACUAACAUUCAUCUGUCCAGAUUUGCAAAACAGCAAACCGACAAGUAGGAUCAGUACUAGAAAUAAAAGUGUGAUCAGAAUUCAGUUCACAAUCUAGAAAUUUCACAAACAUUUUUUGUUUCUUUAUUCCAUUUGUAAACCGCAUAAGCGCCACUUCGCCCGUGGCACCAUAGCAGAAUUACCCAACAUCACAAAUCUCUUUGACCUAAAUUUCCUCCUAUCAUGUAUAUCGGACUUGCUCCACUGCCAAAAACGCCAAGCAAUCCACCAAGAAUUUUAAGCCUACUACUGCGUAUGCACAACAGAUUAACCAAGACUUCAAACACGCGACGCCCGACCGAACUGAGCCGACCGACGGACCACAAAGGCCUCAGGUCAUUGCGACUGCGCGAUGGCCUUCUCCAGUUCCUGCAGGGACACCUGGUACCUGACGAACCCCAUGAACCAGAACUCGAAUCCGUCGUCCGUCACGACCUGCACGUACUUCUGCUCCGGCCGGUGCUUGUUCUCGCUGGGCUUGGCCGUCUUGACCCUCCUCAGCGGGAUGGCGACCUUGUACGGCACCCGCACCGUGUCGCCCCUGGCAGAGGUCAGCGCCAGCGACCGGUCGCUCCGGAAGGCGAUCUUCUCCGUGGAUAUGAAGAGCAUGCCGGCGAUCGGGCCGGCGGUGGUGGAGAGGUAGCACUGCGAGGCCUUGAGGAGCUUCUCGCCCUUCUCGACGGAGAACCACCGCCGGAAGACCUUCUCCACGCCGCCUGCCUGGAGGAUCCUCGCCCCCAGCGACAGCUUGCCCUUCACGAUCUCGUAGAGUUUUGGCCCGAGGGUCACUGCAAAUCAGGCAAGAACACGGUCAGACUGAAUUCGCGAUGGCAAAGGAUGAAAGGAGACAUCAGCCAUCCGAUCCAAAAUUAGUUGGAGAGAAGAACUUACCAUGUUCUUUCAGGCCUUGGGCGACCCUGUCUCCCGUCCUGCCGAAUUUUCCAGCCCGCCCAAAAUUGGUUGGGUUCUUGGCGUCGCCGUGAUAGGCGCCCCCUUUGCUCGGGAAAUCCGCCGGCUCCUCAAUGCCGAACGCCCUGUUGCUCACUGGGAUGCCGAUCACAUGCUCGCGCCUGGCCUUCUCCAUCUCUUCUUGAUCGACGCGACGACCGAGGAACACCGAAGACUUCUCUUUUCUUUGUUGCUUGCUGAAUCCGCGGCUGAGCUCCCGGACUCUGCGGUGAGGUGGUUGCUGGUGAGCGGGUGGGUGGCCUGUUGGUGCGUGCGUGGGUUGUUGCUGCUCGAGCUCCGUGCUCCAAAUGGGAAGAGGAGGGUGUCUUUUAUAAGCCUGGAACCUGUCAAUUAGCCAGUAGCAAUAUUUUUAUUAUUUUUUUUUUUGCCGUUCACGACGUUCAAAAGCUGGGGGCCUAUCCAACUCGCUUUCGGAUGGAACAGUCAUCCUCCUCCAUGAGGAGUUGAGGAAGUAAAGAAGAUUUCCAAUGUGCAGUUGGAUUGGACCCCUACCUAAUGCCCCGUCCUCCUGCAUGUGCAAGGCCCCCCCUGCAGCUCUCUGUUCUUGUGCCAUGAGUGGCAUCCACGCAUGCACCGGGCCGUGGUGUAUAUCCAUGUUCAUCCAACCUGUUACGUGCAUGCAUGCAGUUCGGGGCCCGAAAUAUCUACGCAUUAUACGACCUAAAAAAAUGUCAUGGUUCCGAAUUGCCAGCAUAAACAAAAAAAGAGACAAAGUACUAUCUGAUGCAGACGAAAUCGUUUGGAUUAGUAGUUUGCGUCUUUGCGAUCACUUUGCAUUAUUCAGGCCAAAGAAUGAAAUUAAUGAAACGAAAUGCACACUGCACUACCGCUAUUGCCAGUAAGCGUCCGGUAGAAUCUGCACGUUGCGGGAGCUUAUUUGACGCCGGGGAUGACGUGGAGACAGAUAGAAGGAUCCAUUGAGCGGCAGAAGCAUGUCCCACUACGACGUUCUGGAUGACCACGAAAGAAGGUUCGCGCGCGUGUAUGGAAGACACCGUCACACGUUCGGUCACAACUCGCAACACAGCACGAGCAAGGAAGGGUUUUCUCCUCUGCUUUCCACCUUUCCCCCCGCUUUUCUUCGAGCCCACGGCGGCCCUGAGUCAGCGUCGCGUCCGACUCGGCGCCGAGUCACGCCCGCGAGCGCGAGCGCUGUGCCGGUCGCCAGAAUCGACAGCACCGAUCCGGUCGUGGGUUGGUCGCCGGUGCCGAUCGAGCCAGCCGGGCGAGACGAGACACAGCUCGCUCGCCCCUGGGCCCUGGCCCCCUGUCAUUUUCUAUCACAAAAUCGCGAGCUCAUUCGUAGGUGGAACUCCAUGCCUCCAUGCGCUGGCUGGUUCAAGCGCGUGCGCGUGUGUCGAGCCUUUAACCUGCGUUGUCAGCGGUGAUGCGAUCCGGCACGGACGCCAGCUUUGGUUGGGUCUAUGCGUGUCUUGGCCGAUCGGGAUUCGUGGUGGUUGCAGCCUUGCUGGUUGGGGUUUCGGAAGGUCAAAAUGGAUAAGGUCGACUUGGCUUUAUUUGCAUUGACCCCAACUAAAGCUGUUGCGGCGAAAAGGUCGCGAGCGCACAAGGAAAAGGGCGAGAAAUCGGGGUCUGUACUCUCGACUCGAGAGCCCAUGGAAUAUAGUAUUUUCGUUGCUAUAUACCUGGUGAGUAGAUAAGGAUUCGGAUAUAUGAAAACGUGCUUACACAUAGUAGCCCCCUAGUGUUCAGUACUUUAUUGGUGCCGGAGAUGAAAGCAGCGUGUGUAUGGUGCCAAAUUGGUCCUUGCAUGCGUCGGUGUCUCAAAUAAGCACAAUACCGUCAUUGGAUAAACUACCACGUUUAGUGUAAUGUGUGUAGUGCAUAAAUGACGUGCGGGUGUUAAAUUCAAAUAAUAAUACUUUAGGAAACACAAAAGGAAAUGUACGUAGUGUAUAAGUAACCUUAAAACUUAGGUUUUUGAAACAUUUGUGUACGUACAGGAGGUAAUAUAAGCUAAGGUCCUGUUUGGAUCUACCCAUCUAAAGUUUAGCUCGCUAAAGUUUAGAGACUUCUUUUUAGCUGGCUAAACUUUAGCAAGGGAUGUUUGGAUCCACUAACUAGUUAUUAAAAAUAAAUUACUAUGAUACCCUUCAUUAAUUGUAGCGGGGACUUUUACCGAGAUAAUGGAGGGGUAGAAUUGUCUUUAAACAUCUUUACUUGGGUUUAGCUGGUUUAGCAAGUUGGAAGCUAGGCUAAAUUUAGUGGUCUUUAUAUUAGCUACCCUGUUUGGAUCCAAAUGAGCUAAAUUUAGCUAGCUAAAGUUUAGAUGAUGGAUCCAAACAGGGUCUAAGAGGUGAACGCUGCAUAGUUCAUUGAAUUGCAAUGCAAUGCACUAUUUAACUGUUACCUUUCAUUGGUAGUGUUGAUAAUCCGCUACUACUGCUAUUGCGGGGGACAAUUGCGGCGGCUAGCUAUUCAGCGCCUUUGGUUAAGGUCAAGGGAUGGAUAAGCUUUCACUAUUACCCCAUGACUAAUCCGAUGAUCAAAUAUCAAUAUGGUUGCACACACGAAAUGCAUUCAGCUUGUACUUAGCCGCAGGUGCGAGUGCUCUGCUUCUUUUUUUUUUAUACCUUUUGCGUGCCGUGAAGUGUAAACUCCGAUCCUGGCCCCACUAGUGUAGUAGUGUUCCUUCCCGCUAGUGAGGUGGUCACCAAAAUGAAUCAAACCAGUGGAUGUAUUGAACAUUUAAACUUACCUGUGGAGCUGACGACAGGACACACAUGAUCGAUUCUCGUUGCCGAUUCAAACACUGAGGAGCUCUCUUACCGUUCUCUUUUCCUAAUCUGCGAGCUCAGAUACUAGGCUUUAGUGAGCAACUACGCAACCAAACCACUGCGUUCUUUUAUCUCCGCCAUUUGAAUAUUUUUCACGUCUUCUCCUCUUCGCUUAACGGGGGCGCAUGGUAAUAAAGACAGGGGCAGUGUAAAGUUGCAAUGGAAGGGGCAAAAUACUCCAAUGGGCUCGACCGUCAUGUCACAUGGAAACUUUACAAUCAGAAAAGCAAUGGAACAGUAUAGAUUAUGACAUGGCCGUAAUCAAGAAGUUUAAUUAAGGAUGGGGCCUCCACCAUGUGGCAGAUGAUCAGGAACAGCAACUCCGCGCAUCAUGCUGCAAAGGCUUGCACGCAUUACGAGCGCAUGAGGCUUUUUGUUUAAGUUGAUGUAAAGAAAAGGGCUUUUUGUUAGGUUAUGCUCUGCGUGUUUGCUUCCCAAUCAAGAGCUUAAUUGCUUGAAGUGGCUGAUGAGUGGUGAUGGCCUAAAACAAAUCAGAUCAAACGGAUCAAGGCGAAAGGGUGUUGUUCGCUGCCGGCACGGCCUGGCCUGGUGGUUCAGGUUCAGGUCCCGCGCGCCUUGUUUGGUUUCCUGUUGCAGUGUUGUGUCACCGAUGAAUCAGCUAGUACUUACUUCUUAACCAACUCUUUGAUUUGCUCCCGUCUUCUCACAUCAGUGGCCCUGUGUGCCUGUAUGGGAUCUUCUCCGGAGGACAGGAUUAUAUUUCAUAUUUCUUUGUUGUCUCAAAUAUGAGCUGAAAUCGUAUUCAGUACGUAAACAAAUACUUAACUGUCCUCCGUACUGCAUUUUAUUACGUUUAGUGCAAAUUCCUGCUCUCCGCAAAACAGAAGUAACCAAACUAGCAAAUGUAACGGGGAAGGGUUUAUUAAUUCAUCUAUUUAAGAUCAUUUUAAAGCUAGUACAUACGUGUGAAGACACACUAGUAUCACAAUAAGACGCAACGGUUUUCCCUAAUUUUUUUUGUGUGUAUAGUAUGGUCGACGAAACUGAUAAAGACCAGCAUGACAGCAAAAUUCCAACCAGAAAGGUCCUUCCUCACACUUUGGAGUACAAAGAUGAUAACUAAACAAAACAAGGCCAAUCAGUGAGCCGAGCUGUCACAACGAUGCUCAUUCCAAAUCCAUAAAAGUCGCAAAUCUCGUGCACCGACUGGACUGGACUGACGAAGCAUACUACGCGGCAACCAAGUUAAUGGCGAUUAGAAAGCUCCCAACUUAAGCCGUGUUCCCCUUAAUUUUGUUCUGGCCGGCGGCCGGUCAUGGGCCUCGUGGCCUCGCGGUGCACCGGCGUGGCGACACUUGUGGCGCUCUCCGGCUUUGCUGCACGGAGAUGGGAGUAGGACGAGGAAAAAGAAGGAUCUGCGGUGAUGUUGAUCGCGGAAAUCCUUCGCUCCAUUACAAGGAAUCUGCCGAGCUCGUUCCGUGGUGGCGUGAUCAGUUAAACAAAGUCAAGAAGUAGUCCUACUAUCGCGGAAGAAUCUGGAUGGAUGGUUCAUUGCUUUUUUUUUUUUUUGAGAUGGCUCUUUCCUGGAACGAAAUUGUGGCAGUGCUGCUGACGGAUCAUGAAGUCAGUGUUUACGUUGGCGAAUCAUGAGUACUGUUACCCAAAAAUGGAUAUUUGCCAAUUAGUGAUAGUUCACCAGAUGGUUUUAACUAUUAUUAUAUGGUUUUAAACGCUACUGAUAGACCCUGCUUAGAUCCACUCAGUUAAUCUAUUAGCGGGCUGGUUAGAAUUAGUCAUUGGACUAAGCAAAGAGUUUCUCUGUUCCAAACUAUAGGUGAUUUUAACUUUUUUUAAUUAAUAGAUUUUGCUACGCACUUAGAUAUAACUUAUAUCCAAAUGCAUAAUAAUAUUUAUGAAUUAAAAAAAUCUAUAAUUGAGGAGGGGGGAGUAUUAGCCAGUGCGUCUAGAUCCACCCUAGCUAAGAUUAGCCGGACUGAAAUGGAUUCACAGAUCGUUACCUGGUUUUCAAUAUUCGUUGAAUUUCUAAAAUAGUUGGUACUUGGUAGGUCUUACGAAUGCUGAUGGGUAGUGGAAAUGGACUUGGAAGUUGUACCGCAAGAAUUUCCAAGGAAGAGAGAGAGUGGGCGGCAUAUGGCCCAUCAUUUGGCAAGGAGGGGAAGCCCGGGAACAACAUCGGCCCAUGUGGGAACAGAGUACCCACUAUUGGGAAAUAUGAUUAGGCCCAUGUGAGAUCAGAUUAUAUAUAGAUAUCAAUAAUUAAUAUGGAUCUAACGCUAGGGGAUGUAGCUCAAAUGGUAGAGCGCUCGCUUUGCAUGCGAGAGGCACGGGGUUCGAUCCCCCGCAUCUCCAGAGUUUUUUUUUUUGCUUCUGCACUGAAUUAGGAGUAUACUGACUAAGUAAAAGCACAAACGAGCAUGUAAGACCAUGGGCCUCAAAGUUAAUCCCAGAUCAUGCGCUUCCUACCCCACAAAAAAAUUUGCUGGUUGACGGUGUACAUUCAUAAGUAAUUUGUUGCUCUGUCGUGCAUGCAGCAAGCAAAUGGCAACACCCUUGAUUGAACUAUGCUGCAUCAGAUUACCUCUGUCUGAAGCUCUACAGAGUACAGACUUCCGAGGAUAAUUUCAGACGGGAACAUUACAAGGUUUUGAGUUCAUCGGGCAACAGAAGUUCCAUGCCAUGUUAGUAUGUUACGCUCUUGCGCUUCUCGGCAGGCAGAUCGCGAUGUAAAAGGAAAAUGUGAAAGUAAAAAAUCAGAGAGGAGAAAGGGGACAGUGACGAGGGGACCUUUCGCUUUUACUCCUUUUGCCCUUUCGUGAGAUGGAAUGGAAUUCCCCAGAUUCAACCACCACCUAAGCUUUGCCCGCGCCCCGAAGAGAUCACGAUUCGCGUCGUGGUCGUCACCUUUGACUAUGGUGCGAACGCAUGAGAUCAUCCGAAGAUGGGCGAACUCGCUGGUACGUUGUUCUUGUUCCCACUGCAAUCUGCACAGUCGUUUCCCACGAGAGCGAAAGCGGUACUCAGGCGCUGUGUACGCAAUUUUUUUCCGGACUGAUGAUACUUGACUACUGUUCAAAGAAGCCGACGUAGGAGGGUUCGGAGCCUUCAGUCUUCAGUCUCAACUCAUUUCUUUCGCUGGAACUGGUUGCUAGGAGUAUCGUCUAAUGAUCGUGCCGUCAAAUCCGAUUUUCUUACUCUCUGCUUCCUGUUCGCACGAUAGCCCUUUGUAUAAACUCAUCGUGUUCUCUAAUCCUCUCAUAUGCAUCUUGACAUCAUGACAUGCAACAAUGGAAUGACCAGACCUGCUAUAUAUAAUAAACAGCACGGCGCAACAGAAGCUACAAGAAUCAAGAACGGAUGCAUCGUUUGACACCGUCGACUCGAAAAAAGAAAUGCCCAUUAAGCAGCUAGAAAACGGCGACGCACCUCCGACCCACUCCUUUGAUCGAUUGGCUUUUGCCUAAACUGGCUAAGAAAUCCAACACCGUUAGCUAGCUAGUAGUACCCCGAGGCGAUCCGCAGCAAGGUCAGCCUGUCACCGCACGAAGUCAGCGGAGCCGUGGCCGUCGUCGAAGUUGAGGGCGUAGCUGAGGGCGUCGUAGUGGAACCGGCUGCCGCCCCUGCGCCACCUCCCCGCCCGCUCCGAGUGCAGCCUCCGCAGCCCGGCGCGCAGCCUCCAGUAGAGGCUCCUCACCAGGUACGACGACCUGCCCUUGCAGGCCCCGCUCGCCACCGCGGCCUCCACGGCGACCACCACCGCAGCCAUCCGCGUCCGAGACUCGGAGAGCAGGAGAUGGUGCCAAGAGCAAACGGUGCGCAGCUGCAGCUCUCCUUUGCUUGGUGGCGCAGCCCUGCAGCGUUGGUUUGUGUGGAGAUUGCGAUGCGGGCAAAGUGCCGCGAGGGCGGUGGAAUAUAUAACUCGUCUCUCCGUCCGAUCGGACGGAGCUUUUCCCCGUCCGGUUACGCCCAGCGCUGCGUGCGCCCACGAGCUGGGGAAUGGAUCGGUCCGAUCGGCGGGGGGUGGUCUGUCUUGGUGGACUACUGGGUGCCUGCUGGGCCGUGUGGAUCCAGCUCGCGAUGGGUCGCAGCACUGCCACACCCCACCAUGUGGGCGGCUGAGGAAUUUUUGGCAUGGCUAUUUCGGCCGCCGCCGCAUCGGGCGCGGAAUGUUGGGCGCGCGCGCGGAUCUCCGUGCCGGUCACGGAGACGGCAUGGACUCGUGCCGCAGCUACAGCGGACCGCCUGCGCCGCUGCACGCGCGCUCCGGGGGGCGGUGUGCCUGCCUUCGGGGUGCGAGACCGUGGAAAGGCGCGAGCGGCCUUGCGGCUCUUGGACGAGCGUCAGCGGCGCACAUUUUCUCCAUGUUUUGCGUUCCGCCUGCAGCCUGCGUCUUUGCCUCUUUGGUUGGCUGCAGCCUGCAGCAGUGAGCGGCAGCGGCUGACCCACUGCUGCAUUUGCAUCUGCAGCGAGCGCUGAGAGGUUGCACAAGGUCGGAUGAUGCAGAUAGCGUCCUGGCUAGCAAAACACACUGGAGCUGGAUAUACAUGUACCCUUGGCAACUUGGUCCAAGCACAGUACAACAUCGAGCCUCGACUAGUAGUACUUCUGUACCGGGAAGUCGAUCAUGUACGUGCAUGUCAGCAGACAGUAGUCCUUGUGUCCUUCCUUCAGGCAUCAGUGCUAUCCCGCGUCAGCUCGUUGUGUAGACUUUUGGAUGCAGGCAUCCGAACUUUUGUGAUUGUUCGACGCCAGCUCGCGACGCGAAGUAGCGUCACAUCGAUCGCCCCAGUCGCCUCGCCUGGCCACUGGCCUCCCCCAAAGCAGGAUUUUUUUUUUAUUUUUAACCCUUUUUUUUCUUUAUUUUUAAAAAUAAUCUCAGCGGGGGUUUAUUCGCGCGGGGUAACCCUUUUGGCCGCGCCAGACCGCCUGGCGCGGCAGGAACAUGCUGCCGCGCCACAUGCACUGGCGCGGCGGCCCCCUGCCACGCUGACGCGGCGAGUCGCGGCGCCAGGUGGGCGCUGCAGGGCCAAUACUAACUUCACGCGCCGGCUCCCUUCCUCCUCCCUCCCUCCUUUCUUCCUCCUCCAGACACACCACACAGUAGCACCUUGCAGCGCCGGCCCCCGCCACCCCACCCCCAAAUCCACCAAAAAUCCGGCGUUUUUGGUGGGGGAAAGUAGUGGGAAUCGAUCCCUGCUUCGUGUGGAAGGUAUUCCCCUACGUAUUCUCGUGUUUUACCGUUGCAUUUGGUAGAUCGGAGGAUGUUUAGGUGACUUAGGGUUAGGUUAGUGAUUUGAAAUUUCAAUGAAAUGCAAUGGUGUUUUGUGUUAGAUGAUACGUAGUUCAUACGCAAUUGAGUCUCUGCCCGCGAUAUUGACGUGUAGAACUUGUUGAAUACUUCGAUUUAGGUAUAUAUUCAUCCAAUUGUGUGGUUUACAUGACAUGUAUUUUUUUAUAUGUUCAAUUAAUUAGUCUCAUUUUUGUUUCAGUGUUUGUAUUUUGUAAAUCGAGUGUUUACAUUUUAUCAAAAUGAUGUAUAUAGCUAGUAUGGAUUACGUGUGUAAAGUUUGUUUGUGUAUUAAAUUUGUUGCACUUGAUUUCCAGGUGAGAUGGCGUCGUUUGGUUGUGAAUACAAACAGCGUAGGUGGUAUGUGCGUUAUGUGGGCGAGUCCAAUGUUGCUAGUCCCGUACCUCCUGCUCUUCAGGUACCACUUUGUAGAUGUGGCGCGCAAGCAGAGGUGAAACAAUCAAGGCAUCCAAAGACAGCCGGAAGAGCCUUCUAUGUAUGCAAAUGGACUUUUGAUCCAUUGCCUGCCGCACCAUGCGAUUUCUUUCAGUGGAUCGAUGGACCCGACAAAUAUGAUCCUAGGAUCCGCCUAUUCCCAUAUCAUAGCACAGAGCUUAAACCGUACCAUCAGUUUAGGCGUUGGGUUCCUCCUCCACCAAACCCACCUAGGAUGACCGAUGAGGAGAAGCAGGAGGCUGCUUGUAGGCGUGUGAGGGAUCCUCCCAUGUGCAAGUGUGGUGUUCCUGCUAAGCUUAUGCGUCCUAACUUAGGGGAUCCACCUAAGUUUACUCCAUUCUUUCGAUGCUCCCUAAAGACUCAUGUAAGUAUAUUACGAGAAUAUUAGUAUGUCGUUUAGCUAGCAGUUAUAAUUUUGCAGUAUUUUGUUCAUACUUUAACUUGAUGUUAUUGCUUGGAAGUUGGAGCAGCGUUUUGUAGUUACUUUACAUAUGAGUAGUUCACGUCAUGGGUUUUUUGCAGGAUGGGUGGCCGUUGUGUGAUUUCAAUGAGUAUAUAUACGGCCCAAUGGCAAUAUGGCCAACAGAGGAGGAAGUGCGGGAGUUUGAAAGUGAAAAUGCACCAUGGCCAUGUUUGUCCUCUUCUAGUGAUAGAUGCAAGUGUGGUAUAUUAGCAACAGAAGGUGUGGUGCCUUCUGAACUUGGAUAUGGUUCGUUCUGUGGAAAUGCACAUGGCGAUUACUGGGUUAGUAACUACUUGUGUCUUAUGUUUUAUGAAGGUUGUAACUUGAUUCAAAUUUGUAAGAAUAUUUAAUUGUUGUUGCAGGAGGGAAGGACAUGUGAUUGGGAAGAUUUUUGUGGUCGAUAUGAUUUGUUAUUAAAGUUGGGAAAUACAUCGGAACCAUGGAAGUGAAGGAAACAACAAGAAAUUAAAGAAAAGAUUAGGAAGAAGUAUGAUGUGCCUAUUCCUGACGACGACUUGCUUUGGGGAAAAAUAUAUCAAGAUAUGGUGCAUGAGACUGGAGUGAAACCUAAAGGACUUUAUGCAAGGGAAACUAUUAUUAAGUAUUGGAGACAAAAUAGAUCCAAGUAUCCACGACCUCUAACCGAAAAUGAGAAGAGAGAAAAUAGGAGGAAGUUGCAGGAGGAGAGGGAGUUGGAGAAACAAAGGUUGAUGGAGGAAAGAGAUCGCUUAGGUUAUGUGGUUGAUCCGAAUAUGAAAUACCUUGAGGGUUCAUGGGAACAAUAUUUGCAGCAAGUUAGGGCAAGAAAAAGAAAGCUUGAAAUGGAAGAGUUACAACAAAAAGCGGAAGAGGCACAGAUGGAGACGAUGAAGGCUCUUGUUGCCGAUUUACCUGUUGGUAAGGUUAAUGUCGAUAAGAAAGGCAAGAGAGUUGUUGUUGCCGGAGAUGAUGAUGAUGACGAUGAUGACGACGAGUUACUAUAUGAAGGUGACUCGGACUAGAUGAACGUGUUGAUGUAGCUGGAUCAUGUUUCUCUGUAGCUGUGAAAACUAUGUAGAACAUUAUGUUUAUGUUUAUUCUGGGAACUACAAUUAGUUGUCAAAAAACUAUUUUCAUUUCCGAGAGAACUAUGUUCAAACGCAUCAAAGUUUGCCGUGACAUGACUGGCUUCUUGUGGUUUUGGCGUGCUGUUUUCCUGACCUCCUGUCCACGGAUCACCGUAGUCAAUCUCCAUGCAUCUUCCCGACCCGGAAGGAAUAAGGUAGACCUGAAUGGAAACAAAGGCAAACCGAUAAAACAUCCCGACUAGACGACGACGUCGUGAACUAUGCGAGAGAGGCCAGGCCGUGCACAGGCCGUGCACAGACCAGCGUCCAAUUUGCUACCUACUCCUAGUAUUCUGUACUACUAGCUGAUCGAGUGCGUAGAGAGUGAGGUAGUGGAGUGAGAAUAAAUGUAAACGUGUCGAACGUUUCGUAACCCCCUAAUUUUCAACUUUUGCAAAUUAAUAAAAUUUGUUAGAAUUUACAAGAAUUUAAUUACUUUUGCUUAAAGAUUUAAGGAUUUUCUAAGGUUUUAUUUAAUUUCUUGGGCAUUUAAAUCUUUUCUAAAAUGAAUCAUAGGAGUUAAUUAUUGCAUUCAGGCGCAUUGAUUUUGGUCGUUUGAAUUCAAAUUAGUAUUUGAAUUGAUGUUUGAAUCCUUUUCAACCAAUAGGAAAAUCCUUAGGUUUCGGGGGGGGGGGGGGGUUUGGCCUUGCCGCGCCACGCCUCCUAGCGCGGCAGAAGGCAGCUGCCGCGCCAAUUGCAAUAGACUUUCAGUAGGUUUCGCCGGGGGGGUGGCCGGUCUUGCCGCGCCAGGCGGCCUGGCGCGGCAGGGGUGAGCUGCCGCGCCAAAUGCAAUCCACUUUCAGUAGGUUUCGCGGGGGGCGGUGGCCGGUCUUGCCGCGCCAAGCGGCCUGGCGCGGCAAGGGUGAGCUGCCGCGCCAAUUUUAGUGAACUUUCAGUAGGUUUCACCAGGGGGGGGUGUGUCUUGCCGCGCCAGGCGGCCUGGCGCGGCAGGGGUGAGCUGCCGCGCCAAGUGCAAUCCACUUUCAGUAGGUUUCGCGGGGGGCGGUGGCCGGUCGUGCCGCGCCAGGCGGCCUGGCGCGGCAGGGGUGAGCUGCCGCGCCAAUUGCAAUCCACUUUCAGUAGGUUUCGCCGGGGGGGUGGUGGCGGCAGGGGUGCGCUGCCGCGCCAAUUUUAGUAAACUGUCAGUAGGUUUCGGCCCAGGGGGGUGGGACGUCAGUAGCGCGCUGCACAAUCCGAAACGUAUUUUUGUUCUAAACAUUUACGAAAAAAUACACGAACUACAAGUAUAUCAUGGAGCAAACAUAUAACAUUGUACGGACAUAAAAAAACGUAACAACCAACUUAGUCUUUUACAAACGUGACAUGAAUAAACCUAACAACCAACUUAUGGAAUAAUUGGGCACAUGCUAGGUUCAGUGGCGUGACCGCCGCUCAUCCGGAGGGCUAAAAGGAUCUCUUGGGCGACGCUCCCUCCUUGGAUGCGUGGGCAGGACAUUGACGCUGCCAACGUCGGUGUGGUCCCGGGAACGACGACGCCGGCGUGGCAACCGGGUAUGAGUUACAAGUUCCUAUUGAAUAAUUGGGCACAAAUCAUAAAAUUUGUAUGACACUUCGGGAGCGAACAUUAAAAUGUAUAAUUGAAUUUGGAGGAACUUGUGAAUAUACCUGGCUGGACUCUCCCUGCGUCUGAGUCACAGGUGGAGCAUCGUGAGAAAUCUAGAGUUCCUCACCAUACGUAGGGUCAUCAUCCUCAGACUGCUCACCUUCCGAGUCCUCGCUUUCCUGAGGGGAUGCGGGUUCCUUACCUCGCGAUCUCCUGCUAGGACCUGUCGCAGUGGACGGUGUUGCAGCCCUGGGGGUAGUCACCAAUGCAGUCCGACGUGAUCCUGAAGAAGUACCCUGGACAUUGCCCCCGUCGUGCGCAUCUGAGGAUGUCAUGCAGUUCAUCCUCUGCGCCAUUCGCUUGCAACUUUUACGAACCCUCUGCCAUAUAUUCACGACUAUGUUAUUGAUGGUUACAAAGAUAGUACGAGUAUAAGUGAAAAUUAGUUUGGGCUUCUACCUCUGCAAAAGCACGAAGCAGACUAUCACCUUCCCCAACAGCGUGCUCCAUAAUCACGCCCGCCUCGUUAGAGAGCCUUGCAAGCUGCUGUCCCUGCACGCAGGAGUUUUCAUUCCAUAAGUGAUCAAUGUGACGAUACUAUAAUUACAAACCGAAAGCUUACCAUGUAGUCGUGGAGAGGUGCACGCUCAGGCUGUGUCCCAUGGCGUGUCAUGGUGUCGUACGCGUCAGCUAUGUCAGCGUCAUCAUCAGACGGUGCAUCCUCAAUGGGCACAUUAGUCCAAGAUGGUUUCACUUUGGUUCUCGUCGAAGUACAGUACCAUCUUAUGUACUCAUUGUUGGGUCGUCAGUACGGUCCACCUUCAGGAUCGCAUCCUUCCUUGUUCUGCCACAGGUGGAUGUACCGGUCAUGCUUGACCCUCCAAUCAUUCUCCUUGUACCGCUUUCUGCGGUCGAUACUGCAUCAGAAAUUAGUGAAGUAUUAGUAUAACACGUUAAUUGCGUUAAUUGAAUACCCUCCAAUAGCUAUUUAUUCCUGCGUACCUGUGCAGCUGCUGCGAAGUCGAUAAUUCCAAAGGAGGGCACGGUUCCAUCCUCCCAAACUUCCGCAUCACCCUAUGCGGCAUAUGAAACUCUACCACGUAGUACAGUAUCAUUGGGGUCGUGCACCUCCACAGCUCUCUAUCUCUGUAGCACGUCGGUGAAAAGAUGAUAUUGCUAAGCUGCUCACGGUCAUACGGUUUCAAUUCCACCUUCAAAAAUUUUCACGCAAUACUUAUUUCAUCUACCAUUAUACGCAAGUUAGCUUAAAAACUAUUAUGGUUACCAAAUUACCUGGUGCUGCGUGAGAACAUCAAACUCGUUCGUGUAGGCCCUGUAGCGCCUAUCCGGAUUGCCACGAACGGGCCGCACAUGCUUCCACACGUGAUAGAACGUGGGAAGAGCAUCGUCUCGAUGCCAUGGCUGAAAUUGCAAGUAAGUCCAAUUGGUCACAUGAUACAAUAGUUUUUCGAACAUUAACGUAGAAAAAGGAAUUAGCCGUUGUGACUUACAUCGACACGGAGGCGGGAAGGUCGACCCACGGGCAUUCGCUCCCAAAUCCAUAUCUGGAGCAUAUAAGUGCACCCUCCAACAUUGGAAUCUCUCGCUGUGCGCCGGCAAGCCUCACAUAACUGUCUGUACAGCCAGGCAAGAGCCGCUGAGCCCCAACUGUAAGUGGCUAUGUUUUCCCAAACUUGACCUAGAAUGGGGAGAACCAUCCACGAUACUGUGUUCCCAGCUGCAUCUGGAAGGAGGAAUGUACUGACAAAGUGCCAUAGCCACACUCGAGCAAAGCGCUGCACGACCUCGUCAUUUGCUCCCGGAGGACACACCUCGAAGUGCUCCCUCAACCAUGCCGAGCUAACACCGGACGUCUUCUUCGAGCUAUCUCCGCCCUCUGGCUCUGGCGGCCUAAUCCCAAUAUGCAUCUCGACCAUAUCACGCCAAUUCUCAUUCUGGAUAAUACCUGUCACUGGCUGCCCAUGCAGUGGAAGGCCGAGUAUCAUAGCCGCAUCCUGCAUUGUGAUGCUCAUUUCUCCGAAGGGCAUGUGGAACGUGUGAGUCUCCGGACGCCACCUGUCGACCAUAGCGGUCAACAGUGGUCCGUCCAUUGGAGGGAGACCCCCCACGACCUGAACAACGAUAUCCAAGAAACCUGCUCUCUGCAGAUACUGGGCGUACCGCUCAUCCCACCUAAGUGGUGAGUGCACCCUAGCCCUGAGUGGUGUCAAAUUCUGCAAAACAUUUUAAGAUUAUUACCAAAAUGAGAAGUCAAUCCAAUUGUGAAUAACGGGCUUCUAAAGUGGUAAGUAACACAAAUAUGAUACAAAUGACAUUUGCAGUAUGAAAUUGUUUACACUCUACACAAACGAAUAGUAACGAUAGGCACAUCCUUAAUUUAUAAGAACAUUUCAUACGAAAAUCUUGCAAUUCUCAUCCUUAGGUAUGCAUUCAUCAGCAAAAAUUAGCAACCAUUGUUAUACCUCAUUCAGGUCCGCGAGGUGGUGGGUACGGUGGUGCAAGUCGUAAGCAGCCUCAAGAAGAGGGUACCUCGGGGCCGCCAUCCUAAAGAAACAACAUAAAUGGUCGUUAGUAAAAAGCUUCAUUACAUGAUAAGUACGGAAAAUAUGAUAAUGUACUACUAUAAAAAAGAUAAAAUAAUAGCCACGCAUAAUACAAGCAACGCGCAUACCCAAUUGUUCGAAGUACGCGGCCUAUUACUGCUCGGUCUAGAUUUAGUGCCUUUUGAUUUUCUACUGCGGCAUGUGCAAUUCCUGAUGAUCUUGUGGCACUUGGAGCAACGAUUUUCCGACUUGUCAAUAUCAAAAUCACCAGUAUCAUAAUCUGCAGAAAGCCUCCCUUCCGACACGUCCAUCUCGCCUGUGAAACGCUUCUUCUGCCGCCUUCCUACUUUAUUUCUCAUUAAACUGGGGUUAGGCACGUACCCUACCCCUUCAUAUGCCGGCCAUUGUGACGGAUCUAGGUAAGGUUCAAAGCUUGAUUCCCAAAUUUUGAUGGUGUGCUCCCUAGAGUACAACGGUGACAUGUACAUGGGGCUUUCAAAGUUAAGACCUCUUGCCUUGCAAGCUGUAAUGAAGUGUGAACAUGGAAGGUGCAACAAUUGAGGAACAUUGCAGGUGCACGAAACUUCGUGCAGAUCCACUCUAUAGUGUCGGCCUCCAUGACUCUCACCCCCAAUGUUAGUCGUACCGUAACUUCUUAUAGAAUACACCAUCCUUUCUGGCCCGUACGGUUCUGCUAAGUGGUGCACGGAUCUAAGCUCAGCCUCUGAUAAAUAAUUAUCUGCAACUUGCCCAAUUCUAUAGCCUUGAUCUAACAUUUCACGUGCCUUUCCCCAUCGGUUCACAAAGUAGGCGUUGCAUUUUUCGAAUGUGUAUUCAAUAAUUCCAGCGACGGGCCUACUUCGGAUGCCUUUGAAAACUCCGUUGAGUGAUUCCGAGAAGUUCGUGGUCAUAAUACCCCACCGCAUCCCUCCCUCAUCGAAAGCCUGCGCCCAUUUAUCCUUGUCCCCCAUUUCACCCUUCAACCAUUCUUUUGCGUCAUCGUUCAAGUCCUUCACUAAAUCUUCUAACUUCUCACGAAAUUCUCUCUCUGUAUGAACCUUGCAUAAUAAUUUCAAUUUUCCAAUCACACGAUUGCUCUUCUGCCGACGCGACAUGUUGGCAGCAAAGUGCCUCAUGCACCACCUAUGCACAAGCGGUGGAAAACCAUCAAUGUGGUCCUUCGCACAAUUUAGAAGCCCAUGAUGCCUAUCUAAUAUCAUACACACUAUCCGUGAAGGUCCAAUAACAUGUACCCGAACAAGUUUCAUAAACCAUGACCAACUCUCAUUAUUCUCACUCUCGACCAAGGCAAAAGCAAGAGGCACAAUCUGUUGUUCUGGAUCUACAGCAACUGCCAUCAUUAAUGUACCCUUGUACUUGCCAGUCAAGAAUGUACCGUCCACCAAUAUCACAGGACGGCAAUGUUGAAAUGCCUCACUACAUUGAGGGAAGCACCAAAAUACCCUUUGCAGUAUAUGCUUCAACACUCCAUUGUCAGGAAGCAUCAUGCCACAUGAGUCGAUCCACCAUUUAACUCCGGGAUUGUAGUAGGUUAUAGCUGAGAGUACCCUAGGAACCAUGCCGUACGACUCCUUCUAGUCGCCCCAAAGCAGGGCAACAGCGUGUUGCUUCGCCCGCCAAGCCUUCGAAUACUUCACACGGUACCCACUAAAGAUGAAGAUGGACUCCACGAGUGAUGGCACCGAUGUCUCGCUGUCUUUACGGAUAAUGCAUAGGAUACGCCGUCCAAGGUACUUUGCUGUGCACUGUACAUGCUCUCACUUCGGCUGUGACGACCGACAAGUAUGCGGUUGCACAACAUUUGAAAUUCUCCAUUGUCCGGUGCUUGAUAUUAGCCGAGACCAUACACGCCAAUGGCAUCCUUGCUUGCACAUCACAUUGUAUCUUAAGUUCUUGUCAGAAUGAACUACGCUAAAAGGUCUAUGUAACCUCACCGCGUAGUCAGCCAAGAAAAACUUCAGCUCCUCAAGACUAUUGAACUUCAUCCCCUUCUUAAUCACUGGACUCUCACCAAUGGACGUCCCUUCGGCAUUCACCAUACUAGAUUCACAUAUUGCUUUGUGAACCAUACUUAUGUCCUUAUCAUUGGGAACGGAUGGCAGUUCGACAUCACGUUCUUUUAACAUCCGCAACUCACACUGGGUGUAAGAAAAACAAUCGUCCAUACGACGAAUGCCUUCUACAUCAUGUACGGUUGCGGUGUCAAAUUGCAGUCCAUCCUCUUCAUUUUCUACCCCGACGUUCUCAUAUUCAUGCCCACCACUCUCAAAUAGUGAUUCCUCCUCUACCUCCUCACCUACUACCCCAUCUUCCUCCAAUUCACAAUCUUCGGAACCCAUAGAGACAUUAUCAACAUCUAUAUUUGCUUCAUCCCUCUCAAAAAUGUUAUUGGGAAAAUCAUCAUUGGCAAUAGCCAAGUCAAAAUCACGUUCUGUUUCACCUAACACGUGAUGCAACAUUUCUGACUCCUGGGUACCAUUAUGGUUCACUACCGUCACUUCCUCCCUCAUGACAACAUUUGGGCCAGGCAUACGAACAAUUUCGACUAUAACCUCCAAACAUGCAACAUUAGCUUCGUGCACAACAUCCUUAUAGUGCUUCCAAUUCGCAUCGGAUGCUAACUUCAUGAGAACAUAAUAAGCUCUAGCUUUCCCACAAUCAAAACGACCUCUCAAACUGAUCUCAUCCACUCUACAUCCAUACUUCGUCAUUACACGGUCAACUAAAUCACUAAAACUUGGAGGACUAUCAAAUAUUUCAAUUGACUCAUUCAUAUUCUCUAACUCCCCAUUUUGUUUCACAACACCACCAUGAAAAAAUCGAACUAAACGAUCCAUCUACAAAAUACAAACAUAUCACCAUGUCAUAUACACUACACAUUGCACAUAUUCGACAUAUCAACUACACACAUUACAUAUAUUGGACAAAUUGCAAACAAAAAAUACACAUAUACAUUGCACUAUACGAUUCAAUGAAUAUAUCCUUAAAUCAAUAAGUUCUACACGUCAAUAUCGCAGGCAGAGACUCAAUUGCGUAUGAACUACGUAUCAUCUAACACAAAACACCAUUGCAUUUCAUUGAAAUUUCAAAUCACUAACCUAACCCUAAGUCACCUAAACAUCCUCCGAUCUACCAAAUGCAACGGUAAAACACGAGAAUAAGUAGGGGAAUACCUUCCACACGAAGCAGGGAUCGAUUCCCACUACUUUCCCCCACCGAAAACGUCGGAUUUUGGGUGGAUUUGGGGGUGGGGCGGCGGGGGGCGGCGCUGGAGCUUCGGGCUCGGGCGUUUCUGGAGGAGGAAGAAAGGAGGGAGGGAGGAGGAAGGGAGCCGGCGCGUGGAGUUAGUGUUGGCCCUGCCGCGCCAGGCGGGCUGGCGCGGCGAACGCACGCCCACGUCAGCGCCCACCUGGCGCCGCGACUCGCCGCGCCAGUGCAUGUGGCGCGGCAGCAUGUUCCUGCCGCGCCAGGCGGUCUGGCGCGGCCAAAAGGGUUACCCCGCGCGAAUAAACCCCUGCUGAGGUUAUUUUUAAAAAUAAAGAAAAAAAAGGGUUAAAAAUAAAAAAAGGCCAUACCUGCUGCCGGAAAUGUUAGGCUGUUCCUUCAGCUUAUAAGUUACCGAAUAGUAUUUUUCUCUUACAACAAAUCAGCCAUUUCAACUUUUCAGCCGGUUUAUAAGUCCGACUGAACAGGCUCGUAACUUGGUACUUGCCAGUGCAGUUUCUAACUCUCCACAGUAGGAAACACAGUACCGCACUAGCGCGACGUCGGCUCUGCAGAUUUGUCUGCUGGUUCGACGCGACAACUCGGCCCUUCCCCAGUAUCCUGUAUCCGAUCCCGUUGCGGGGGGAGAGGCGCGGAUGCACGGAUUGAAAACGCUUGUCUUUGGUGAGCCCAGCCCUGGAGCUGACGAACUCUGAUGGGGGCGCCUGAAUUGAUACUUCGAUCGAUUCUCACGAUGCUUCGCUUGCCUUUUACCCCCUUGCCGGACCCCGGAAGCUGCGAGAUGCACGCUGAAACAGUGAGGUUGGGCCGUGCAGAGCUGGUGGCUGUGAUGGCGUACGGUACCAUUUUUUUUUUAUUUGACGGAACCUAUCACUUUCCCUCGUCUGAUGCAUCGUGCAUUCCCUGGCACCAGCAAAUCAAAGAAUGUGUUUUUUUUUUUCCUUUGAGAACACAACAAACCGUUCGUCAUUCUGAUCGGCUAAUACUAAUACUCGCCUCCAAACCUGUUGGUAAGUGGGCUUUGCUGAAGGCCCAAAAGGCUUGGUUUGGUACUUCGUUCGUUCUCGGAAAUCUAGGCCUGCAUGCACGCGCGGGUGGGGGGAUUUUUGGGCCACCUGGAUGGGCCAUGCCCAUGCCUCCCAUUCACUUCGCACGGCACGGCCCAAAUCAGUGCAAAUAUCCUGGACCUUCCUCCGUCCUCUAAUUCCUCAGUCAUUUUCGGGGGCCGUAGGCCGUAGCAUUGCUCCUCCACAACCACAAGAACCAACACGGCAACCUCCUCACGAGUGACAGCGAUGGACGGACUAACAACAAGCUGCGUCACGCUUGACAGAUGGCAACUGACAAUGAUACGUGAGGAAGAGCCGAAGAAACAACUUUUCAUAUUCACCAUAGUUCAGUAUAGAACAGGGUUGUGGCCUGUGGAAGGGUCGAAAGUCGAAUAUCAGUCAAACUCCAUCUGUAUCCAUGUCCUUCAAGUCGAAUAGAUUUUAAUUGAUGUUCUUUUCUCACUUUAUUCUUAAAAAAAAUUAUAGAUCCACACAAAAUUGCGCCAUCCAUUCUCCUUUUUGUUUCAAUAAAACAUGGUUAUGACCUCAAGCUCUAAGGAGAUAACCUAUAAUGGAACGAAGAAAUGCUUCAAACACCCCAACAGAGUUUGUGAUGAGAGAAACUAUUAGCUGAUCUUAAUGCCAAAAUUACAUCCGCGUGAGGUCGUAUCCAAUGUACAGCAUGCAACAACACCAUAUCCUUAUAAGGUGAAAAGGAGGUAUGAUGCAGCGCAGUAGAGGAUACUUUAAAGUGAAACGACUGUUAUAGUUCGGCGUUCAUAGUGCCUUGUUUCAACAACAGGAAAACAUAGUGCCUUGUUUCAACAACAGGAAAACAGUUUGUGUGAGGAUAUUUCCUUUGAGAUAGUGAAGGUGAACUAGAUUUGCACCACGCCAGGUUCUCAUUCUUGGACCCUUCCAACUAGCUUUCACAUCCGACCCUUCCAACUAGCCCACUCAAGGAAACAAAAAUCCUAGCUUGCCUACCAUAGUACCACUCAUGGCAUCAGAUAUACGUCACACCUUUUCGCCAUAAACAGUUUGAUCAUGUCACAUACUCAUAGCGUCUCAAAUAUCGAUUUGCAAAACAACAAGAGUAAACAACUAGUGUCUUGCGCGCGCCCCUGCGCGAAUUAGGUAGUACAGAAGAACAGGCGAUUAAUAUUAACAUGACAUAUAUUGAUACAUGUUGUACCCCACAUUGUGCAGGGUGAUCUAACAUAGACAGGCAUAAAAAAAAGGCAGUUCCGCCUUUAAUUACUAAGGGUGUGUUUGGUUGCAUGCAUCAUAUGAUGCAUGCAUGGAUGAUCCUGGAUGGGGUGGUUCAACCAAUUUGCUUGUACCAUAUGGUUCAUUAUAAUUAGUAAUAAUGAAUUAAUAGAAUAAUGUAUUAAGUGGGAUGGCCUCAUCCUGGAUGAGUUGGUCCAAUUCACCCAACCAAAUAAAAGGAUCAUUAUUAUUUUGAAUCAUUUCAUACAUGAAUCAAAUGAUACAAUUAACCAAACACACCCUAACAAACUAUAUCCCACAGAUACCAUGGUGGGAGCUGGUACAAAGGAAAAGGUUGAGAAAACUAACAUCAAUUAAUGAGAGCUCCGUGUAGGGAUGAGUGAACUGGAAAACGAGACGGGAAGAUAAAGUAGUAAACAUACUUAAUUACAACAGUCUGAAACGUGAGAAAAAUGUUUUUUAUGCCACAAAGGUCAGCAGCUCUCGCAAAUUAGUUGGGGUUCAUUUAAUUUGCCCAUAACCUGCACAAACAGGAGCGAGGAAGCACCAUUAGUUAGGGUUAUGAAGAAUAAUCAGGUGGUAAAUGUCGAUCCCAUGGCAGGAUGUACAAAUCGAGGCUCCAAAUCCAAUCCAAAUAGAAAAAUGAAUAUAUAUAUAUAUAUAAUUAUUUAAUCUCUAACUCACAACAAACACCUUCAGUAACAUCAGCCCAAAACCAGAAGCAGGGAAAGAGGAGUCGGAGGGGAGCAACACAACGCGGCAACUGCUACACAUCGUCGCCGUCGCGGCGCUAAGGGGCAGCAGGCGACAGCAGGAGGUGGCGCUGCACUUUGGGGCGAAGCUGAGCAAGCGAGGGUAUCUCGAGUCUUCCGAGCCUAGAUUUUUUUACCGAUUGAAUCACCGUUUCACGUGUGGGCCGCACGGUGAGGCGGAGUCCGCAACGUAGACUAGCUAUCGACGUGGGUAGCGCGGUUACGCGCCGCGUUUGUUAUAUUCUAAUGGCGUGGACUGGGACGAGGCAAUUCGGAGCUUACCUGCCCCGUCGGGUAUCUUUUUACGACUGACACGUAGCGGAGAGAGAAGAGGAAGGAUGUGUUGUGCGGUACUAAACUUUAUUCCCACGUUACAUGAACUAAACUAAAUUAAAAUAAAAAUCCUUUUACCUUCUUCCCUACCCUCCUGCUACCCCAGCACCUACUACCGCUGGAACUCCAACUACCGCUGGUUGAAGCUUCUGCCCACUGUCCGCCGCACCUAAUCUCCAUCUCCGACGACGGUGGAGCAUCGCCCGGACGUGCCCAACCUACCCGCCACAUGCGAACUCUUGCGCGGUGCAGGUAAGAUCCUUCGUGCGUCGGCGAGUAACGGAGCGAGCGGAGGAUUGGCCCGAACAGAGGAGCCUUGAAUCGGCGACGAGACGGAGGCUCGUCGAUUCGACCGCAAGGUGAGCUCAAGCGGGUGGCGUCGCGUUGAUUUGGACGCUGGGAGGCUCAACGAGGUGGCGGAGCGUCGAUUUGACCGUUGAAGGACCCCGAUGGGGUGGCGGCAGUCCUUCUCGUCGCCUCUACCCUAUGGUGGGCGAGCACCGUCGCACGUUGAAGCUCCGCCGACCUAGCUGCGGGGCAAGCGAGCUCCGACAGUGCAGCCGAGCGCCGCUGCGCAGGUGAGGGGAAGGAGCAGCGGUGGACCCGCAUAGGUAGGCAGCGACGGCGAGGGGAGGGGACCCGAUAGGUAGGCAGGGACGGCGAGGGGAGGGGAGCAGCGAUGGGUAGGCGCAAGCGGAGGAGCGGCUGCAUGGGGAGGCGAGCAAAAGGACGACGAUGGCGACGUGCGGGAGGGAGCCGGUGGGAGAGAGCGGUAAAUGAGGAGCAAGAUGUCCAGCACACCUUAGUCCAAUUUUAUGAAUUAUUAGAGGACCAAAGGGUGUAAUCCGAACUUUAAUCCACCUGAGGAGCAAGGAUGUCCCAGCACACCUUAGCCCAAUUUUAUGAAUUAUUAGAGGACCAAAGGGUGUAAUCCGAACUUUAAUCCACCUGUUUGGGGUGCUUAGAACUAAAAGUGCAAAUUUUAGUCAAAAAAUCUUUAGUCUGCGCGGAACGUUUCAUGGAGAUAAUGGUACCGGCGGGACCAAAGAACUAUCAUAUAUUUUUUCAGUAUAUAUUGUAGAAAUUACUCCGAUAAUUUAUUUUCAACUACUUCCAUAAAAAAUUAAAAAAAUGAAUGCUACUUUUUUUAAAAAAGGACAGUUUCUACGUAUUAUUGCGCACAUUUUCUGAACAAAAGAAAAUCAAAAUAUUCAUAUGCAAACCAAUUUUCUUUUCAACAUACAUGAACCACGCGAAUGUUGCUGCAAACAUCUUCCAUCUAUUUUUUCCGCAAAUGUUACAUAAGGGCAAUUUCAUAACAAAGUUACAGGCAUAUAAAAAUCAUAAAAAUACUUUAUUGUAUUAGAAAGCAUGAGCUUGCAAGAAAAAUAAAAAAAACAACUACUUUCAGAUCUUCAAAAAUAGUGGAAGGCAUAAUUUCAGAUCUUGUGCUCUUCUCAAGAUGUUUUCGAGUGAUGUCCAGACACACAACAUCCACAUCUUCCAAUCUCGCAAGAAACACCAAGCAAUAACAUGUUUGUCGCCGCAUUACUUGCUGUAGUUGUACGCGUGGGGAAGGUUAGGGUCUUGGGGGAUCCACAAAGACCGUAGCGGGACCCUACCUCCUCCUACUGGCACAUGCCUUCUCCGGCGAUGUCGAGCCGUGCGCCGCCGUGGGGAGGCUAGCGGGGGAGGGGGAGCACCUAUGGUGGAGGAUCCGAAAGUCGGUGGCCUUACCUUUCAAGGAUUGCACCGGAUCUGGGCUCCAAGCGCGUGGCGCCGCCGGCCUCCCCAGCGAGCUCCUCACUGUAGUAGCUCGACGCACGGGGAGAAAUCUUCCAUGGAGGCCGCCGGCGGCCGAGGGGAUCCUGGCGCCUCCUCCAUGGAUCAGGUGCGGCUACGUCGUUGCCGCCCGAUGGAUCCGCUGGAGCAUUGUCAUGACCCGCCUGCCCCACCGCCUCCGGCCUCCGCACCUUGGCCACCUCGCCGGAUUAGGGACUCGGUAGAAACUGAGAAAGGAAGAGAUGAGGAGAGAAACGGAGGGGAAAAUGAGGAGGAGAGAGAAUACCGGCAGUAAGGGUGCGUUUGGUUGCGAGGACGAAGUGGGACGGGACGGGACGAUCCCACUUCGUCCCGCGUUUGGUUGGAGGACAGGUGGGACGGGGACAUCCCUACGAGGGAAUAUACCCUCCAGAUGCGGGAUGCCCCCGUCCCACCAAAACGAGCGGACGGGGGCAUCCCACUUCGCCCCCGUCACGCGCCGUCUGCACCGGUGGGGCUCCGCCCCAGCCGGCGGGCGAGCCGCAGGCGGAGGGGCCGGCGCGGGCGAGCUCCGCCCCGGCGGCGGGCGAGCCGCCGGCGGAGGGGCCGGCGCGGGCGAGCUCCGCCCCGGCCGGCGGACGAGCUGCGGGCGGAGGGGCCGGCGCGGGCGAGCUCCGCCCCGGCGGCGGGCGAGCCGCCGGCGGAGGGGCCGGCGCGGGCGAGCUCCGCCCCGGCCGGCGGACGAGCUGUGGGCGGAGGGGCCGGCGCGGGCGAGCUCCGCCCCGGCCGGCGGGCGCGAGAUCCGCCACGGCCGGCACGGGCGAGCUCCGCCGCGGCCCCUGGGGCGAGCGGGGCGAGCGGCCGGCGGGGCGAGCGCCCCCGGUGCCGCGGCCGGUGCCCACGGCCUGGGCGGCAGGGAGCUCCGGCGGGGGCGGUAGGGAGCUCCAGCGGGGGCGGCACGGCUUGGGGCGGCAGGGAGCGUUGGAGAAGAUACGGGUUAGGAGAAAAAAAAAAGAAAAGACGAUGACAUGUGGGCCCAUAUAUGACAUGUGGGUCCCACUAAACACAUGCAGCUAACGGUGUUACCCGAGCCAUCCGUCCCUCGUUUUCAAUCCAUCGUACCAAACAAAAAACUGGGAUGAAUUCAUCCCUCUCAACCAAACAGCAGACGGGAUGAUCCCAUCCCAAAAAAUAGAGACGGCACCGUCCCAUCCCAUCUUGUCUCCAAACCAAACGCACCCUAAAUGGCGGAAGGUGGACACCGGCUCCUUAAUUACUUCCGUAAUCGCUUUCUCUCUCUUCGAAACGUUCGGCCGUUGAUAUUUGAUCCCACGGGGCAGGAAACCACCUCCGCGGUAAAUGCCCUCCGAAGUUGAUUUUCGCGUGGACUGGCAGCAAAUUUUCUAACAAUCCAGCCAAAGCCUGCACCUCUCGUGUGCCCGUGGUACCCCAUGGGCAGAGCGAACACGCUGCCAUCCUCGUGGUCGAGGGUUGAGGCCAGCGGCCCGCGUCGGCUCGUUGUCGAAGCUUUCACAUCCGGCCAGGCGGCCAGUGUCGUCGUGACGGGAUGCGCAGGCAGCCCGAGCCCGCUGGUUCUAUCGUGCCCGGCGUGCAUCCCGACCAGCCUUUCUCAAAACCCACAGCCACGCGGCACCUGUGAACGAGUCGUACCACUGUACUUGUAAAAAAAAUCGUACUACCAAAACUCACCACCAGACGCCAGCCCCACGGCGGCGCGCCAAUGUCAUCGCGCCAUCCGUUUGGCCAGUGCACUACACAAGAAAACGGCAGCUCUGGGCACGCGCGCGCGUCCGCCACCCCUUCUCGCCGGUCGCGGCCACGGUCAGGUUCACGCCCCAUCCGGCUCCGGCCACGGCCAGGCAGCGCGCGCGCGUGCGGCCGAUCGACCGGGCGGUCACCAUUGCCAGCCGCCCCAGGGCGCGCGCGAGUCGCGACGCGAGGACAGCGUCGCGCCACGGCCGCAUGCACGCGCGCGGCAAUCAAUGCGCGACGUCGCGGGCGCCCCCCAGAUGCAGCUGCGCGCGCGGCUACGUGAGGCCCAUCUGCUUUUGGGCGGUAACGACCCGCUGGCCAGCCCCGGCGCUGCCCUGCCGCCGAGGGAACGACGGCGAGCGCGCGCGGCUCACACGUGCUGCGCGCCGGGACCAGCCUGGGCUAGCGGACAAACCGUAGCUUUUUUCCGAUAUUUGUUACCCGGAUUCGGCGGGGUUCCGGCACUCGAUUUGGCUGUCCGACGAAAGCUCGGUUUGGGAAUUUGACCGCAGGUGUAGCCGUGUAGGGUUGGAGCCCUGCUACGCGGCGCGCUGCGGUUCCUCCGCCGGCGGCCUCUUGGAAGCUUGAUCACUUGAUCUCGCCUUCUUCCUCACGGAAAAUAUCCAGAAUCUUCGUGCGGUGCCGUGCAAUCGUGCAUGAAUGCUUGUGCGGUAGUACGACGGUGAAAUUCAUUCAGUCCUUGGAGAGCACCGGCAUACGGAGUACUCCGGCCAUAUAGGUUUGCAGUGAGAAAAAUGGUGCGCUGGUUUGCCUCGCCAAAGAAAGAACACGGCAACCUCUCGUGGCGCAUCCCCCGGAUGCAGCUUUCACCGGUAGAAAACCGACCUUGAGUCCCGGUUGAUAAACCUCAUAUCUCUCGAAAAACUAAUUGGGACUAACUAUUCGGGAUUAAAAAAAGAUUUUUUUCUUUUUACUUUCAAUUCUUUUCCAUAUUAAUGCUAAUUGUUGCUACACAUAUAUAUUACAUAUACGUAUACAUUCUUAGCGUACACUACCUCCACGUAUACGCUCGUAUACAAGUCGUAUAUAUUUUUCAUGAUAGUAUAGGCAUAAUAUUAAUUAUAACUACUAUAUAUACAAUUCUUAGUAUAUUAUACACAUCAAACUAGUAUUUAUACUAUUACUAUAUAUACAAUAAUUUGUCCUCUUCAUUCUUAGGAUCCUCCCAUUGUGGUGUUGCUCCAUUCUGCUACAGAAUGUCCAUCGUAAUAAAAUUCUCAUUUAUGAUUUAUCACCUCGUCCACCAGAAAUCCUAUGAGAGUUUCUUGGAUUGCCAAAAGCCUCUCCUUCUCCAAGAGUUUUUCUCUAAACAAUUAAAUGUAAUGAGCUAGAAAAUAAUUAAUUAUUAAUAGGUUUAUUUUACAUACAGUUAUGUUAUCCGAUAUCACCUUGUCCCUCACAAAAUGGUACAUAUGCUCGCAGACGUACUAUCCACAUAAAUUAUUCCCUUAUUCCUGUCUCAAGCACUUUAGUGGGAAAAAACAAGUUAUGAAAUAUUCGUGUUACAGAAUGUACAAAAUGUGGAAACUUUAUACGUACUAGGAACGGCGGCGCAGAGGGCCGCGAUGGAGGCGGACAGCUGUGCAGGGGCCGGGCGUCGAUGGACGGCUUGUAGAAGACCCGACGCCGGGGAGGGGGCCGGACGAUGGUGGAUGGCGGCGGCGCUGCUGCAGUGGUGCCGGUGUCCGGGUGCUCAGCGCACGACACCGUGCGGUGGGGGAGAAGCCGGCAGGCCGGGGGAGGAAGAGGGAGCCCGACUGGGAGGGCGCCACACCGCGGAGUCGGCUGUGGAGGCGAAGGGGCGGCCGGCGGAGGAGGAGAAUGGGGCGUCGGGGCGUCGAUGGGUGCGCCGUGGAGGAGCUGCCGGCCGGCGGCGUGACGGCUAGGGGGACGAUGAUGAUGCAACGGCCGGGGGGGACAAUGACGACGCAUGGUGAGGUAGCGGCGGGCCGACUAGGCGAGUGGGGGCCGCGUCGCGGCUGUGGAGGAGAAUGGGCGGCGCAGGGAAUGUCGGCGCUGAAUGUCGAUGGGGAGGCGCGGCGGCGGCAGUCGAGGAGGAGAACGGGUGGCGCGAAGAUGUGGGGCAGCGGCGUACGCGGCGGAGCACGAGAGGUGGCGGAUCGGGGGAGUGAAAUGAGGAGGAAGAAGGAGGCGGAGAAGAGGUAGUUGUGUCGCCCCCCCCCCCCCCGCCCCGGGUGUCCUUUGCAACCGAGACUAGGGGGCUUUUCGUUUCAUGCUGGUUUUGUAGUUUUAAUUUAUAUAUGUUUUAAGUUGUUUUGUACUGGUGUUGUUAAAGAAAAAUAAAAAAUUACAUAUUUUGAACAUGCAAAGAUAUAUUAAAUUAGCAAUUAUAUUUAAAAUAAGUUUGAAUUAGUUAUUAAUUCUAUACUAGUUAAAUAAUAAGUUUCUAAAAUAAUUAUUUUAAUGCAUCGAUUGAUCAACAAACUCUUCAAUUAAAUUAUUUCAACGCGCAAAAAUGCAAUUGAUAUAUGUGGUUAAGUUAACAUUGUUUAUAUUUUUCGAAAAAAAGGUUCACCAUAAAAUAUUACGAUAUAAUUAAAAGGUUCUGAUGGCUAUAGAGCAUUACAUAAAGGUGCACCAUAUUUAGUGCAUUACAAUGUAACGUUAGAAAACUUCUAUUACUUGGUCAUGAUCGCGGUGUAAGUAUGGAGCCUCUUGUUUGGCUAGCAUGAUGCUUGGAUCAACUUCGACAGUGAAUGGAGGCAUGCUAUCAAACUGAUCAUAAUCAUCUAACUGGUCAGUUUUGUCCUUGACUCCCACGAUUUUUCUUUUACCUGGAAGAACUAUGUGGCGAUUUGGCUCCCAUGGAUGUGGCGAUUUGGCUCACAUGAUUUUUCUUUAUCUUCUGAAUUUUUCUUAGGUUCGCUAGACAUGUCCUUCACAUAGAAAACAUGAUGCACAUCGUAAGAAAGGACGAAUGGUUAGGCCGGGUCCAUUAUUGUUAUUCCAUACUGAUCUUUUGUUACGCCACCUCCAACUAGCUUCACCCAUUGGUAAUGAAAUAGAGGGAUGUUCAGCGGUCCGUAUUCGAGUUCUUAGAUCUCCUCUAUGAAACCUUAAUACAAGUCCUUGCUCUUGUUGUUGUCUAUGUCAUCUAUAUGGACACCACUAUUUUGAUUAGUGCUUUUUUUUAUCUUGGGCUCUCGUGUAAAAUGUAUAACAUUUAUCUCGUAACCUUGUAACUUCACGAUUGUGCUAGAAGAUCCCCUUGCUAACCAAGCGAGUUGUUUGUAAAUCACGGAGUUACCCGAAAGGUGUUGAUGCAACUAAGAGGGAAAAGUAUCCAUGUGAUGACGUAUAACUAAGGCAUCGAAUUUUGUCGGGUAUUGGAAAAAUAGAAUCUGUUUGUGUUCCUCGAUAUACGAAGCCACAAAUGAUGAUUAUUUCAGAACCGUGAAGUGUGCUUUAUGGAACAAAUCACUAUCAUUACUUAAACUUGAUUUUCUUCCAAGGGUGCCCGUUCCCCAUAACAUCCCCUCGUGGCGUGAUGUUGGAACCCCAAUUGAAUACAAAACUCAAUGAUCUUCUUUGUUCCAUAUCCCUUGGCGAUGCCUCCUUCUGUACAGACACGAUUAAGAACAUAGUUUUUUAGACUAACAUGAACCUCUCGAAAGGCCACAUAUUGUGCAGAAAUACUGGACCAAGAAUAGUACUCUUUGACUAGGUGAUCAAGGAGGUGCGUCAUAAUAUUGAAGAAGGAUGGUGGAAAUACCAAUUUAAAACUGAUAAGACAUUGUACCAUAUCGUUCUGUAGCUUUAGUAGCUUGGUUGGAUUGAUUGCCUUCAGCGAAAUCGCAUUGAGAAACGUGCAUAGCUUUACCAGUGUUAAUUGUACAUUCUCUAGUAGAAUACCACUCAUUGCAACCGGAAGCAACUAGGUCAUCAAAAUAUGACAGUCAUGGGCCUUUAGAUUUAUGAACUUCUUUUUUUCAUAUUAUUAUUCUCUUUGUAUUCGAGGAGUACCCAGACAGAACCUUGAUACUAUUCAUGCAGUCAAACAUGCUAUCCUUAUCUUCCCUACUGAGAGGGUAACUGGUAGGAUGUAAGUAGUGCCGUUCUUUAUCUCUGUUUUCCAGAUGUAGAUCAUCUCGUUGAUUUAUACAUUUCAGGUCCUAUCAUGCUUCCAAUGUAUCUUUUGAGUUCCCACAAAGCCUAGCACGUUCAUGCAAAGAUUCUUCAUCAGGUGUAUCAUGUCUAUUGCAUCGUGGACCUCUAGGAUUUCCCAACAAGAUAGCUCCCGAAAUAUAGACUUUUUCUUCCACAUGGGUGCACGUCCGUUAUUGUCGUUCGGAACAGGUUCGCUACCAAGACCCAUUUCAUUACCAUGUGCAGGUCUUUUACGAUGGUCUAAUGCCCCUUUGAAAUGCAUCCCUUUUCUUUCUUAACUGGUGGUUAGCAGGAAGAAAUCGAUAAUAACCCAUAUAAACGAUCUUCCUAAAGUGUUUCAAAUACAUAUUGUCUAUGUCUUCUAAACAGUGGGUGCAUGCCCGAUAUCUCUUAUUUAUCUGUCCUGAAAGUUUCGUCAACGUAGGCCAAUCAUUAAUGAUUAUGAACAAUAAUACUCGUAGGUGAAAACUCUCCUGUUUAUUCUCAUCCCACACAUGUACACCUUCUUCCUUCCAGAGCAUAAAGGUUCAUCAACCAACGGAUUUAAGUACACGUUAAUGUCGUUGCCAGGUUAUUUUGGGCCUUGGAUAAGUACCGGCAUUAUAAUGAAUUUCCGCUUCAUGUACAACCAAGGAGGAAGGUUGAACAUACAUAGGGUCACAUACCAACUAUUAUGACCACUACUCAACUCACCGAAUGGAUUGAAUCCAUCAGUAAUUAAACCAAACCUUAUGUUCCUUGCAUCACUUUUAAAGUCCGGGAUUGCUCUAUCAAUUGAUCUCCACUGGGCCCCAUCCGCGGGGUGUCUCAACAUCUCAUCUUGCUUACGUUAUUUUUUGUACCAUCACAUCAAUUUAGCAUUCGCCUUAUUUCUGAACAAACAUUUCAAACGUGGUAUUAUAGGGAAAUACCACAUCAUCUUUGCGGGAACUCUCUUCUUGGAAGGAUACCCCUCAACAUCAUCAGGAUCAUCUUGUCUGAUCUUAUACCGCAGUGCUCUGCACACAGGAUAAGUAUCCAAUUUCUCGUAUUCAUCACCACGAUAGAGGAUACAAUCUCUAGGGCAUGCGUGUAUCUUCUGAACCUCCACUCCCAGAGGGCAAACAACCUGUUUAGCUUCAUAUGUUGUGGACGGCAAUUCAUUAUUCCCGGAAAGUAUGUUCUUUACAAUUUUCAAUAUCCCUUGAAAUACCUUAUCGGACACACCAUUUUUUACCAUCCAUUGCAGCAUUUCCAGUGUGGUUCCUAGUUUUUUAUACCCCUGCUUGCAAUAUGUGUAUAAUAAUUUUUUAUGAUCAUCUAUCAUGCGCUGCAACUUUUUUGAUUCCUUCUCAAUUUCGUAGUCUUUUUGCGCAUCCCGUAGCACCUGACUAAGAUCAUCAAUAGGUCCGUCUUCUGCAAACUUUUAUUCAUCAGUCUCGUCCAUUGUAGUAUCUGCAAAAUCUUAGCUUGCAGCCCAGUCCGGAAUGUUGUUAUCAUCCUCCUCUUCUUCGCUAUCUUCCAUUAUAACCCCUCUUUCACCAUGCUUGGUCCAAACCAAAUAGUUAGGCAUGAAACCAUAUCUAAACAAGUGGCUGUGAAGAGUCCCCCAGGAAGAGUAGUCCUUCUUGUUACUGCAUUGGAAGCAUGGACAACAUAUGAAUCCCUUCUCUAGCUUGUUGACUUUUGCUACUUCGAGAAAAUAAUGCAAGCCAUCAAUGAACUUCUUGGUCCGUCUAUCUGCAUUGUACAUCCAUUGCCCGUCCAUCUGCAUUGUAUUACAUGAAAAAUGGACAUAGGUCUUCGUAUCAGAUAAAAAAAUUUGAUCAAUAUUAAUAAUUUACACCAAUCAACCUUCAUAAAGAUAAAAAAUAAUUUACAUGAAAAUUACACCAAUCAACCUUCAUAUCAUUCACUAGGUCAACAAAAAUAAAAUUGGUAAAAUUCUGGAAUAAGACAAUAAAGAUAUAUAUAUUACAUACGCUCUAUAGUGGACUUCAUAUAGUCAAUAAUCCUAAAAUAAUGGUACAACAUAGCAGAAUGUUGGCUCUUCAAACCAUCUCUGCACAUGACUCAAUCUUCUACGAAGUGUAUGGAGAGUCACCUCCACUCCUCCAGUACCAGAAAAUAAUGGUACAACAGAAGAUCUUCGAAUCCAUGUACUCGGAUUGGAUAUCAUAAAAGAAUCUUGAAAUAAUUAUCCAAACGUCUUUUGAAGUGCCACAUUUUCAUAAUAGAAGUAUGAUGGCACACAAUAGCCUGUCAAGGUAAAAGAUUUGUUCACUAAGCAUGGCCCAUUUUAGCAAAUCAAAACUAACUAAAAUUCGAUAGGUCAAGGUCAGUGAACAGUGUCUACCUAAACAGGCUCUUGGGCCACUAUACUUCUAUUAUAAGAAUGUGGCUCCAAAAGUUAUUUGAAAAACUAUUUUAAGAUUCUUUUAUGAUAUUCAGCCUGAGUUUGUGGACUCGAAAUUCUUCUGUUCUACCAUUAUUUUUGGAUUUUUAACUUCGUGAAGUUCACUAUAGAGCGUCUGUAGUCUUUAGUGUAUCUUUGUUGCCCUGUUCCACAAUUGUAGCAUUAAGUUGACCAGUGUAAUUUUCAUGUCACUCUAAUUUAACGUGCAAACUAUCCAGAAAAUUGUAACAAUGACCAAAUUCUAUUUCUUACGCUUACAAUUUAUUUACCUUAAUUUUAUUUCUUACACCUGCAAUUUAUUUGACUAAAUAUUAAAAAUACAUUUACAUUAUUUUUCCCCAUACCUAAUAUUGAUCAGGAUAUUUAUCUAAUACGAAUCAUAUAUAACAAGAAAGCUAUCCAUCAAAUUUUAAUUCAAAAACAUGUAUAAAUAAAAAAUCCUCACCAUUCUUCCUCAUUCUAAAACUCAUUUUUCUCUAUCUCUAAAGCAUAAAACAAAAUAUAAUAACAAUAAAUGAAGGGAGGAUGAAGUAACUAACUUUUACAACACUUUAGAUGAGUGAAAUCCCCAUAAAAAUGAGGAAAAACAUUGGGUAGCACCUCCCUAAGCUUGCUUGCUAACCAUGGAGAAGGAGCCGGAAGCUCGGUCUGAGUGGCUCGGGCUCAAGGAGGAAGAAGCUGAAUUUUAAAGGCGAGGCAUUUAGUCCCGGUUGAAAACACCAACCGUGACUAAAGCUCCUUACCAGGACUAAAUGGGGACCUUUAGUCACGGUUAGUGUUUUUAACUGGGACUAAAAGCUCCACCUGAUUCCCUCAUUCCACUAGCUGUUGCAAUCGGGGCUAAAGAGGUCUCUAGCUCAUCGGUGGCCGUUUGACUGGGAUUAAAAACCUUCUUAUCUCGAGUUCAAAAUCGACCGGAACUUAAAAACGCUGGAUGGAAAUUCUCUAAUUAGUGCUUCGUUUCCCUCAGGCCGCCCGGGGAGCUUGAACGAUCAGCCGACGAGAGUACUCGAGUUCGUUUAGGAGUCCUCAAACUCGGUUACUGCUGAAAACGAGGCCUGAUCAGCGAUCACGUGGUGACGCACGCGUGAGACGGAGACGGACCCCAGCCAGCAACAGCAGGCCGACCUACUACCAACCAGUGACCCGGUUCACGUUACUCAUUGACUAGCAUCUACUCCUACCUGUACCAUAUCAGCUGGCGUGGCCGCCGUCGCAUCCACAUCCGCGCCGAGAUAUUUCCCCGGCCGGGGCGGUGGCCAUGUCAAGCCUCGCCACUUGGGGCCACGCCAUCGGUGUCGCUUGCAAGUCAACAUACGGCCGUGCCGUCGGGGACACUUGUCCGGCCAGAACCGCCCGGCUCCGCAUUGUUUAUGCGCCCGUCACACGUGAAAGCGCGCUCCGGCGAGCGGGAACUCGCCGGGAUCGCGCCACCUGUUGGCUACAGUUCGCCGGCAGGCAGCCUCUCGCCGAGGCAACGCUGCUCCAGUGCAAUCAUGCAACUGUUCAUACCUGACGCGCUGUUGGGUCGCAAUUAUUGGCCAGUGGAAAUUCUAGGCCCGCUGUUGCUUUUUUCGGAAGGUUCUCAGCUUCUGAAUUCUGAUGCUCGGCGAACAGAACCAACAAGUGGAAAAGGCUCUGGGAUGAAGCGACUAAUAACCGCAAGAGGAAAGGAUGCGAUGUCAUCCGCAAUCAUCUCCAGCGAAAAAGCUCUGGAGAAAAAGGCUCUUGUAGCACGCGCGGAUCACUACUUUAUCUGCGCUUUUAGCGAGGGUUUUGGCAAAGCAACGUGGGGGUAUCAGGCGUGUAUCUUUGCUAGCUCUGUUUGCCCUAGAUGGCGUAGUACUUUGUAGCAGACACUCUUGCGUGUGCUGUUAGCACUGUUCACUGGCAUGCCAAUCUCUGCAAAACUUUCAGCGUAAUCCACAGGACAGAUCAAGCUUUACGGGGUCUUACCCAUUUCCGGUAUGAGCUAGAAAGACAAUACACAAAUACAGGGUGACCACAGAGUUCAGAAAGAAAAUGUCAUUGACUGAAGUAGUAUACCAAAGAUCACGUGUCGAAUAGCUUGUGAGAAAUGUGCUCGAGUGUCUUGCUCUGUUAGUUGCUCAUGCUUUUUCUCUAGAUCAUGAGGCCGAAACUUUGUUUUCAAGCUAAGGGUGCAGGCGAUGCUUAUCCAGAAGAGGGGAAGGCUGCCUGAGCACUCAAGCGGCACCGGCGCCUUUCCCCUUUCGGCACGAAAAUGACACACACGUUGAUGUCAACCGCGCGCGGACAAUCUGGGUGCCCAUGCUCAGAUUCCUAACGCUUCUUCCACAUUGCAACAAAAAGCCUCCUCCACAAAUCUUGCUUGGACAGUGGACACGAGCUAGUGUGUAAGCACAGCAUCUGCCGCAGAUACGCAUGGGAUCGGAAGCACAUCAGCAGCGCAUGUGUGAAGAUUUGCUGAAAAUGAAGUGAAAACACAUACUGUUUGGCCUGAAGAAUCCAUGGACCAAAAAACUGGCCACCACACUAGCUGUGCAAAUAAACAAAUGGCAGGAUUACCUCAUCAGAACCAAAGAGGAUUAGAAUCCACUUGCAAUUGAGACCAAGCUUAAUCCAUGACCAAGAGAGGUUAAGUGUAGCUCCAUCAGGAGGCUUUGCUUUAAGCUUUGAUGUUUAGUAAGACCACCAAAACACUCCAAAUGUGUAGCGAUCUGGACCUAACUAUACUAUGAUGAGCGGUGGCAGCCGCUCUUAUUUAAUCUGAUCCAGUGCGUUAAAAUAAGUGCGUGGUGUUUUAUGUCACGCCGUGAUCCAAUCCAACGCUGGAGUUAGUUAUGUCGUGACGUCCGGUAGGCCUGCAACGCAGAGACUAAAAUAUCAGGGUUCCUCAUACAGCAUCAGUGUGUUAUGCACACACAAUUGAAACAGUCGUUAUCUAUGAUAAUUCAAACUUGAAAACCACAAGUUAGAACACGCCACCACUUUCUCUUCCAAAUGGAUAACGAAUCCUCCAUUUCAAUGAGGUAUUUUGGAGUGAAUUCAGCCUGAACCUUGUCUCGACGUCUGCUGUUCCAAAAUUCUCAGAGUGAAGGACCAAAAGGGAAAACGUAGACGAAAUGUCCGCCUGCCUUGACACUCCGGUCAAGCCUUUCUUUCUCCCUUUACACGAGAGUUUCAACAUGUACGAUCAGAUGAUGAUAUUCGCAGCCGGGGGACCGACAUCUGUUAUUCUAUUCCGGACAGGCGACACAGCCAUACAGGUGUCUCGAUACAUUAUUUCAGAGCAAGGAACCCCCCGGUAGUUCACGUGAUAAUCCUCUCCCCAUCGGCCAUCGUUCCGUGCAGGCCGGGGGGAUCACAGGUUCGUCUCGCUCUCGCAGGCACCAGUAGGAGAGAGUCCCCGGCUCGGGAGCCGCAGCCAAUCCAGCCAUGACUCACCAUGAGAUCUUUUCUCCGCGGGUUCCGUGCAGGCUGACCAGCUGUGCGCUUCAUAAUUGAGAGGGCCAGAUUGCAUUCGCAUCAGCGCAAAACCUUGCCCCUUUAAAUAGACACAGGUCAUCUCAGUCUCAACCCUGUAGGCUUCUCUCCUCUCCUCUCUCUCCUCUCUCUGCCUCUCUGACUUCUUCCUCCGGGAGUCCAGCUCACCAGGAGGAAGAAGUUCCAUUGCCUUCUUCGCUCAUCUGCCUGCGUCCACACUCGAACAGUUGAGUCGUUCUUCCCCUCCCAAAUCCCCAUUGUUUUAUCUCCUGGCGUUCUAGAACCGUAAGUACCUGCGCUCGGCGGCAAGAAGCAGCAAGCGCGGGGUGACGUUCCCCGCGUCGUCAAAGGAUUAGGUGGCUCCUCGUUUUCCCCUGGAUUUCGCAGCUCGAUUUCACGAUCUUUGGGAUAGCCUUUUUCAAUGUAUUUUAUCAUUUCAAUAUGGCGGCAGAGGCAUUGCUCGAUCGAUCGCGUACCGGUAGCACUAGCUAGCGCAGGCAUCCCCUGGUGUUUUCUUUUGAGUUUUUUUUUGGGUUUCCGAUGGCACAACUUGCCGCCGAUACACAAAAAAACAACGCCUUUUCGGGGCGAAAAGUAUGCCAAUUUGGCCGUACGUUACGCCAAGUUGCACUCCUGUUCCGAUGUUGAUUACUGGUCCCCCCCUGCGAACGUUUUAAAGGAUAAGAGUUGCUUCGUCUCGCUCACUGGUGUUCGUCGUGGUUUAUUUCUUCGGUUGUGCGCGCGUGCAGAGACUGCAGAGACGGGGAGCGGAGGUAGUAGUGGUGGCGGUGGCCCUUGCUGGGUGGAGGUGGAGGCUUCGAUUCGGGCGGUGGCUCGUGGCCUGACGAAUCCCGGAAAGGCCGCCGGAAAGGGGAGGACAAAGGUGGGAGAGCUUUUAUUGGUUUCUUUCCUGUUCUUGUUCGAUGGUGCUCUCUCUGAUUGGUUUGUGCUCGCGUACAAGUUACAAUCUUCCGCAGUAUCCUUUCUGCCCGAACAUUUCUUUCAAAAAUAUCCCUUUUACUGCAAGAGUUUCCACGAUCCUCGUUUCCGUUUCUGCCGUAGAUUCUUAGUGCAGUUAAUUUCUUUCAUCUUCUUGAAUCCGCGAUGUGGUUUGUUGAAUUGUUGUUGAGUUGCUGAUGUCGUUUUUGUUGCUGGUCGUGAAUUCGCGACGCUCGCAGGUAAACAGGCCGCUGUGAAGCCAUGGGGUGCGGGGCGUCGAGCCAGAAGGACGCCGCCGGCGGGCCCCGGAGACGGCCGGGGAGCGUCGGCGACGUGGUCGUGUUCCUCCCGGGCCUCCGGGUGCCGAGGAGCGUCGACCUCGCCCAGGCGCUCGGCGGGCGCCUGGACAGGAGCAUUGUGGAGCGGCUGUCGGCUCUGAGAGCGCGCGUCGUCGAGAUGGCAAUGCAAGAGUCGGCGGUGGCGCUGAAGCCAAGGCGGAGGGCGGCGGCACGGCACGGUGUGUAGGGGAGGGGGUGGUGGUACAGCGCCUGAAUUGGUAGCUAGUUUUGUCUGCAAGCGGAGAAGACUUCACAGAGCUGACCUGGGUUUGCUUCCCUGCAGGAUCUAGUACAGCCAAUCUCCUACAGGCUCUUGAAGAAUACUUGCCCGUUCUGCUAGGAUUGGUAAAAGAAGGUGAGGAACUGCUGCAGUAAUCUGGUGGUCUGUUCGUGUUUCAGUUCACAAUUUCAUUUUGGUGUUCUGAUUCAUCCAGCAUGCAAAAUGUGCAGGUAGUAUGUUGAGGCACGCCGUGCAAUUCACUUGGACUAACCAAGAGGAUAAUGCUGAGGUAUGUCCAGCCCUGAAUAUCGCGAACUCAUUGCUGUUUUGUUGCUCCUAAGCUGUAUGUUAAAUCAACUUUCCAUAUAUCAGGAGACGGCCAUGGCAGAUGCCUGGUACGAGGUGCUGUCCGUGCUGCAUUUGAUGGCCAUGGUCUGCUUGCUGCAGGCCAACACCCUGCUUCUCCCCAGGUCAUACGGCGAUGGCUAUGCACCAAGAGUUUCUGAAGGUGCUACAACUGUGAACUGUACAUCCGAAGUGUCCUUGUCCUAGAGACUGUUGUUCCAAGUUUGUGCUUUUAAACUAGGUUCAUAGAAAAUAUAACGACCUGUUGUGCAUUGAAGUAUUUCCAUCUAUAGUGUUCAUGUGCUGAUAUGGCGACAAAUUUCCAAUGUGCUACAGAGAGCAGAAGGGUCACUGUUGAUGUUUUCUUGAAGGCAGCUGGAUACUUAGACUGCGCAAUUCGGCAUGUACUUCCACAGAUUCCACCGGAACUAAGGUUCUGUACACCUUGGGUAGCUUUCUGGUAGUGUUAGGCUUCCAUUCGAAUUUUAAAACAUCUGCUGAAACAUUCCCCUUCAAUAUAUGGAUCACAGGAGGCAACUUCCAGUAGACCUCGUUGAAGGAAAUCUCAAAGCUUUAAGCCUGCAAGCUCUGGGUCAGGUAGUGUCUUCUCAACUUGGAAAAUUGGAUUUUUUUUUGAACAACUUCUUAAAUGGUUCCACAAUAUAAAUCUACAGUCCAUUUAAAAAAUAUUUCCGAUGAGAAUACUGGACAUAUGCUUAGAAAGAAAAGAAAAGAAAAGAAAAGAGCACAGAAGAUAUUAUGCCUGCAUGUGAUUUUGAACGAUAUAUUUCCUAUUACUGCUGAAGCAGCAUGUAUUGAAUAGCACAAUUUUAUACUUCUUAAGUUGCAAUUUGUUGCUGGGAACAGCCUAAGAAACCUAGUACUAGCAUUCUAUUUAUCAUGGUUUAUCAAAUCUACACUUUGACAUGUCUGAUACAUUAGUCCUAUUAUUAUCUGUACUCUUGCUAGCCAAUACAUUUGAUAUUAGAUAUUUCAUUUUUUUUUCCUGAACAUUGGUUUCUUUCUACAGGGGGUGGACAUGCAGCUUGGUUUGGCUAUCGAUAGUCCAAAGGCCACUUUAGCAGUAAAACGGCGCUUAGCCUGUGAAAUGAUCAAGUAUUGGCAACAUGUUCAGGAAAGCAUUCCAGAUCUUCCUGGCUCUGAUGGAUGGGGGAAAAAGCACCGGCUGUUUGUCAAGUGGAAAUAUGUUGAAGCAAAGGUAUAUAUCUCGUCUCAAACUCUCAAUCAAAGAGACUAAAUUUCAUCAGAUUACAUAGCUUUUGAUCUCUAAUGUAUGAUAUUUGAAGCAUCCAUACUGUCUGACAUCUAUUUACAUGUUUAUCUCAGCUGCAGCAUACUAUUUUCAUGGUUUGAUUCUUGAUGAGGGAAAUACAGAGAAAUCCCAUGGAAUGGCAAUAGCCGCACUUCAAGCUUCAGAAGAAUUUCUGAAAGAAAGCAAAAGGGUUUCGGAAGCCUUCCAUGCAACUCCUCCAACAUCGAGGUAGAGCAUUGCGCCUGCACCCCCCCCCCCCCCCCCAACACACACACACUGACACACACACACUUCACUCCUCACCAUAUUUUGUUUUUUUUAUUUUAAAAAUUUCACAUUUGCCAAGAUAAGGGUGCUCGAUAAUCUGUUUGAGGAACAGCUGUUGCUGUGAUUUGUAAUAACUAAUAACACAUUCAUAGUAAGGGAGACUGAAGUUCAUACCUGUACUUUGCAGGAGCCCUACUCCAUUCGGAACAGCAAAAUAUAUGUUUGACAAGAUCCCAAAAGAUGCUUCAAGCAAGGUCCGAAUCAACCAGGACCUGUAUACCCAAGAAAAGUAAGAACCAUCAGCACUGAAACAUACUGGAAUUGCGAAUCCCAUGUACUAAUGUGUCAUUAUGGGGAAUUUGCAGGGUCAUAGGAACUCCGCCUCCCUUACCAGAUUUUGCAUUGGCGCUAACACCUGAAGACUAUGAUCUUCCUCCAUUAGAUCCACUUUGGAACAAAGAAGACAGACGUCAUUAGGUGUAUAUGCAACAGAAUGGUUUCUUCAGACGAAAAGCUUGGCGUUAGAGAGAAACAAGAAGCACCAAGAUCUGCCAUGCGAAAGCUGAGCAUGGUAAAAGUGUACAAAGUAUGUUUGAACCAAAUUUCGUAUCAAAAAAAAAUCCAACCAAUUGUUAGGAAGGCCUGAAGAUAAUCUGAAGAGCAUUGUACAGGCGAUUUUUCUUCUGAUAAGGGAAAUGCUUUGUCAAAGGGUUCAUUUAACAUUCUUGAUCCUGAUUCCUGAUGUUCCUGAUGCUUGCAUUUUCUCGACAAGGGCAUAGCUUUGGGCCCGUUCUGAUUUAUGUGUGGUCCCUCAAUAGCUUUGCCAGAUUCAAUGAUAUUUCAAGAACUGUAACCUUCAGAGUUUCAUAAUUUGAUUGGGAACCAGCCUGGGACCAAAAGUGGCAGCUUUCAACUUGUAUUUCAUAAUGUCUGUCAUAAACGUUUGCAUUGGCAUCUUAAAACGUGCCUUGGAACAAUCAGUUCCAAUCAAGCAAAUUUACAUGAUAUGAGCAAGAUUGUCACAUAAUCAGGGUGCCCCAAAGAGUUACCCCUUUCCUAUCAUUUAGGGAACGAAAAUGUCAACAAAUCAUGAUUUUUCAUAUGAAAAAAAAGAUAUCUCAUAUGAUCUAUUCAUGCCAUCUAUGAGAUGUAAUCUACUGCUAGAUAGUAUGACCCGACUAAUACAAAUGAUGCAAUCCCACUAUGGGCCAUUCGUAGUCCGAUGCCACGGAACAGAACAUUCCUAUCAGCAGGAGAUAUCCCUGUCUUUCUCUCUAUCCACGUUCCUGGUGCUUUCCACUUAAGAAACUUCCUCUCCAUUGCGAUAUACUGAAAAAAAAAGGAAAAAUAGGUACAAGGAGAUAACAUAAACAAGGUGUAUCACAAAUAGGAAAGAAUGCAACGUCCAAUUUGGAGGCAAUUACACACACAAAAGGAGGAUAGACUAUACAAAGCACGGACAGCCUGUACCUUAGGCACAACCGUACAUUCUGAACGACUUUUUGCAGUAUCAAACGUAUGUGAAGCAGCAGCUGCAACUGCUCCUGCAAAGCCUGCAGCAACACUAGAAGCAAAAGGGUGUACAGGGCCUGCGUCUUCUAUAUUCCUGAGAAGAGACGGAAGGUUAGAUACUUAGAUAGACUAAAAUGCCAGGGCAUAAAUAUGGUUACCAUGCUAUCCCUAUCUUUACUACAAAUCAAAUAUGCUAACAUGAUUCCAUUACCUAGGUUCAGGUUUCAUAUUAACUGCCUUCCAAGUGAGCAUCGCUGUGUGUAUGAUUUGCCAAGUUGAAAAGAACAUACCACCAAAGACACAGUCUCGAGCUAUCCCUGGUCUAAGCCCUCUCCACAGUGCACCCCAUCCUUCAAGUGAUAUCACUCUAGAAGGUAGCUGCACAGCAGAUGGUAAUGGGGGCUUCCCAGAGCCGGUAAGCAUCCACGGGUGCUGCUUCAGGGCACCCAACAUGUCGGGAUGCUUUGGAGAAAGAUCAGAUAACAGACUCACGGUGCUGCUCCACACCCUCAUGUCAGGAACAUAUCCAGGCAACAGUUUGGAAAGUAGUGGAAACGAUUCUUGUGCAACAUUUGCAGGGCCCAUUGCUCUUGAAGGUAUCACAGAACUAACUUGGUUUCGGAGUUUGAAGAGUUCAAAUGGUGUGCAGAAAACAGCCUCUACAGCACCAGCAGCUAUGCCAGCCAACAUAGCCUCAGAAUAAUAGACAUAGUUGUCCUCCCUUCCAUCUGCCAAUACAUAUACAAGAUGAUAAACAUUCACUAAAUUUCACCACAAGUUGGACAUGGAAAAUUAAACAGGUUAAGCGGUGCUAGUAAAUCAUACGUAGAUUAGGUCAUCAGAAGAUAUAUCGAAUUAUCAAGAAAGGGGUGCAAUUUAAAAACAAACCGACGGUGGUAAUAACAAAACAAAAGAAAAAGCAAUGUAACACAAUGCUUGAGAGAUAGACCGGCAAUAUAAAUAUUGAUAACAAAGUGAACAUAGAGCAAAUUGUCAUAAACAGUGAAUUGUGGGAGAACAUUCUUUACCUUUAUAGAAGGCUGUUAAAAAUUCAUAGGUCCCAAAGCGUGCUCCCAACCCAGGAAGUUUUCCCAUUAUGGACCAACCGAUGCCACUAUAAAACCCUAAAAGGCAUACAAUGACUUAUAAGAUAAUGGAAUUAAUUUCAUACAUGUUAAGUAACACAUAACUAGACAUGAAGCCAUCCGACAUGAACUGGAAAAGUUUAUAUAAAAAUCAGGAUUCAUAUGGCUUUCUACUACAAUUUUCAUUGAAGAAAGUUUUUAAUGGAACAGGCACCCAACGAAACUUGGGGAAAAUUUUGGUUGUGCAUAAAGUGCUGACUCAAAGUUAGGACUUUAGAUCUUCUAACAAUUGGAUUCAUAGUUUCACACAGAAUCCAGCAUAACUAUAUUUAUGUGAGGUCAUUCAUUCUUUCUUUAGAAUUGGUAGCUCUGUCACGUAGGCUCAACAAUCAACCGAUUAAAUCAUGAGACGAUUCUGGCCCUAGUAUAACAUGGAAGCUCAACAUAAUCAGCAUACCAGCCUGCCAAUUUCAACAGUUCACACAUCUCGGUAGCAAUGCAGAUCAGGAUGAAGCACAAGUACUCCAAUCGCAAUACACAGUCCCACUACCAAAGAUAUCUAGCAACUAAGCAGCCAACCCCCAAUCGAACCUGCAGGGCCGGAGGCGGCCAUGAGCCGGUCCACCACCUGGCGGAGCCCCAUCUUCUGCUUCUUCCCCGCCGCGCCCAGCUGCAGAGGCAAGAAAACACCGCGCAGAUGCCAAAUCAGACCUUGAGAAAGCACCGGUACAGCAACACAAGGAGGGGAGGUGGGUGGGCGCGCUCGCCUGGAUGAGGGUCUUGACCGUGUCGAGGGGGUGCACGGCGACGGUGGAGGCGCUGAUCGCCGCCGCGCCGGCGGCCGCGUGGCCCGCGAACACGCUGUCCCCCAGCGGCUUGCCGCCUCCCACCAUCGCGGCGGCCUGGAAGGCUCCUCCCGGAAAUGGCGAAAAGCGGCGACGCGGAGGUUUAGGGGAACAACGGUGUGAGUGGUCUGAGGCCGCGGGUGACUGAAUGGGGCCCAGUCACAAAAGGCAGCCCAUCUCGUUCAUGGGCGGAAUGGCAGCUGGCCCAUUGAGUUCCUGGCCCUGUCCCUCCCCAUGACCCGAAUCUUCGCACGAUCGGACCGUGGGGCGCGCCGACGCGAGUCGAACUCGGGUCCAAGUUUUCUUCCGGCUUGGUGGUGCCGCCGGCUCGACUUGACCAACGCUCCCAGGUUCCAACUGACGCCGCCUCCCGGUCGCUCUCGCUGCCAUUGGCCAUUGCUGGGGUAGAGACCAGGUUGGCCGCCCCCUGCUCCCGCUCCCUCUGCGUAUCUCCAUGGGCCAAGGCCAGAGUCAGUCCGCCCCUCCGGCGGAGGAGCCUUCUCCGCCCGCCGUGGAGCCGUCCUCGCCGUCUCCUGCUCCUGCCCCGGCGUCCUCCUCCCUCGAGGCGCUCGCCGCAGGUAUGAUAUACAUCCGAAGCCCCGAAUCUCAUGUGUCUAUGGCGUUUGCCUCCUCCGUAUACCGUGCUAGUUGAGUUGCAGUUGCGCUGGGUCUUCGCGUUCCUUGGAUUUGUUGGAGCAUUGGUUGAAGUGGGGAGCUCUUGGCUGGUAGCAGACUAGCAGUCGAAUUUGAUGGAAUUUUUGGGUAGCCAGUGACGGGUAGGAUUCUGGUACGAAAGUAGCAGGAUGAGAUCUUUCGUCAGUUCGUGUGAUAUUUUAGUAUGCGAUAAUGUAGACUUUUUACAGAUCACGAUCUCUUAGGCUCGUACCAAAUAAUAUUAGUAUUCAUUCAUGCUGGAAUUAUGCUAAUAUAAACUGUUAUUUAAUGUCAAUGAUGCGGUAAGCUAAAUAAGCAGGGGCCUGAAGCCUGACCCUUACUCUUGAGGAGCAAGCGAGUCAUAGGCUAGGCUGCUAUUCGACCAACGUGGCAAUGUCUGUCCAGAAUGACUAGCCUAAUCGAUUGAUAUUGUAGCUCUCUGAGAAGUUACAAUAUAUACUUUGCUGUGGAAAAGUUGCAAUAGGGCUUAUGCCCAAAACCUAGGCUUCUCGAGGGUAACUGAAAGUAUAUGGUACAAAACCACAGUUCAGACUGUUGGCCCUAGGGUCCUAGUUCCAGGUACAAAACCAUAAUUCAACUCAAAAGGUUACUGCUACUGCAAACUCUAGUUCUCCUUACAGCUAGCAAAUUUUCUUUUAGAUGUGUAUAACAUAAUUUUCUUCAUUUGGGCUCCUUCUUAGCCAUGUACUGCAUUGUUCUAAUUAAGCAUUUUAAAAAUUGUGCAGAGGCAAUGUCAUUUGAUGAGGGUGACACUGCGGAGGUAUGUCACUUCCUCUUGCUUCUAGAUAGAUUCUUAUACAUCAGUCACCUAUUUGUUUCACUAUAUCUUGGCACUCCGAGUGCCAGUGGUCAGUGAAAUAGCAUUUUGCUUGUGCAGUCAAUUGAUGAGAAGGUACAGAAAGCUCUGGAGUGUCCGUGUGUGGCUGAUUUGAAAAAUGGUCCUUGUGGAGGCCCAUUUGUAGCUGCAUUUUCCUGCUUCCUUAGGAGCACAGAAGAAGAGAAGGUUCAUUUCUUUUUAGUUUUCUACAAGUUACUAAGUUGAUUCAACUUAAGUCCACCUUAUGCAAGUUAUAUUAAGUGUGUAUGUAUCAGGAUGGUAGCACUUAAUAAAUGGCCUAUGAUUCAAAAGUUUAUAAAUGAUGUUUUUUUUUUGUUAAAGCCUUAACAUUUAGCUGGUGAAAAUUAAUGGUUAUGAUUUUAUUGUUCUGUUGCUUGACAUGUUUGUUUCUUAUUUUUCCAAUAUCUGUGUGUUGUUUUGGUUUUCUUUCGAAAGUAAUUCAACACAAUUCUCUGUCUGCUAUAGCGUGCGGUUUGAAAUUUGUUGGCAAACUUGAAAGGUGCCCAUGUUAUUAGUUGGCUUAAUUGAGUAGAGGAAGAUGUGUUGUCCAAGGGCGGGUUCUUAUGAUUCAAAAGAUAUAAACUGGUACCAUUGUCAAUUUAGUCAGACUACAAUGCUGAUGUAAGGCAUUGUAAGGUGAUUCUGUUUGAUCAAAAUCACUCAUUGUGGUCUUGUGGAUAUCUCUUUACUUUUACAUCAAUAGAAAAACUAUUUGUUUGCUUGUUCUUUACAUCCAAAGACUUUGAAAACUAUCAAGUGCUAACUGGUUGAACAUAGUUGUUACCUUCAAUUGUUCCUUUUCAAAUUAUGUCUGUUUAUGUGUUUCUGUACUGUCUUACCAAACUUGGAUCCUUCAUUUGAAACUUCAAAUAUCAUGCGUACGGGAAUAACAUUUGACCAUGUGGCACCAUUAACUGUUUGAUUCAUUUAUGUCUCUUCCUAUAAAUUAACUAGCGCUAAAGUUUGCUAUCUCUUCCUUUCCAGGGAUCAGAUUGUGUGAGCCCCUUUAUCGCAUUGCAGGACUGCAUCAAAGCAAAUCCAGAGGCAUUUUCUAAGGAGAUUUUGGAGGAAGAGGAGAAUGAUGAGGAAGCAGAGAAGUCCAACCUGAAAGUUAGAGCUCCAGCAUGGUCUAGAGAAUCCAAGCCCAAGGCUUGAGAUUUCAUGGAAUUAACUGAUGAUACUGAGAUUCAUCCAGUUCAUGCACUUCACCUUAUUCCUUGUUCCUCUGAUAAGUUCUUCAGUAGACAGUUGUAGAUUGAUUUCAGAGAGCAGAGAGCCAAAGAGGCAUCUGAAAUCCAUCCGCAGAAAUACAUAUACUUUGUAUGGUAGAAAUGCUCUGGUGUAUUUCCUUUGCGAAUAUACACGUUACUUUGACCGGAAGCGACAAAUUUGUAAUCUAUAAAUAAUUGGGAGUUGGGAUUUGGAGUGCCAUACGAGCAAGUAAAGUUUUGCGAAGAAUCAGUUCCAUGAUGAUAGUUUAUGUUGAGUUUGUUACUUUGUUUAUUGCUAUGGUUUCGGUAGCAGUUCUGAAGAUCUCGUUUUCAUUUGCAUUUGCUACCCGAUCUCUGAGGCUAUGCCGAUGUAUUUAUGUGCUUUUAGCGCGGUGUUGGUGAUUUUUGCAUAAAGGAGUUGAUGCGAAUUGCAGAUUUUUUUUUAAAAAAAGUAGCGAAUUGCAGAUUUACAGACAUUUCAAACUGUAGUUUUGUCAUUCUUCUUUUUUAUAUGUAUACAUUCUCUUUCUGUGAGGAAAUGCAAAGCACAGCAGCUAUUGUCGGCUUGUAGCGCUGCUGCUUGGCGGAAGAGCUCAAAAGCAAAGAAAACUUGUCUGAACCUGGCCCGUUGCUGCGGGAAUAAUUGAAUGGAUUAAACGCGGAGUUUAAUACAGAAGAUAUGAAAUACUUCGUGUGUCAAGACAGGAUGCAAGUUGGUAGUAAAUAUAGAGGUUGCAGCCAUUGCUUUGUUUGAUAUAAGUUAAAUACAGGAUUUACAUUGCGACAACUGGGACAGAUUAGGUGGGUACUAUGUUCUGUUGUACGAAGCAGAGCCCUGCAAGUAACAGUAGUAGUUCUUUUGAGGAGGACCAUCCAGCAGAGGAAUCUCCGUAGGCCUGUUUGUGCAAACAUGUAGGGAAAAUAAUGUGGGGAAGACAGGAGUGUGUUCAGUUGCUUGGAGGUGCACCAAUAAAUAGUAGCCCAGAUAGUAUAUUUUACGAGAAAGAAAGGGAUAUUCAGGUACGAAAAUUUGAAACAACGCUUGCUGACAUGGUAUUGGCAAAUUUAGUAGGAAGAAGGAUAGCAUGUGCCCUGACAUCAGUUCCAUUAAGUGGUAAUCUAGUAAUAUUAGCAAGAAUUGUUGUUGUAAGGGGUGGCAGGAUAUGCAUGAUAAUAACAUCCAUGGACCAAGUGCGAAGCCCAAAGCACAUGGAGGACAGCAGCACCUUACUAACCUGGAACUGGAGUAGGGGAACCCUGUCUUCUCCUACUACGUGAAUUAGGUGCAGGUGCCUUAGGAAGGUUAGACAUCGUCACAGGUCGAACGUUGUAGGAGUCAUGCGAAUUUCUGUAAAAUAUGAGGCAGUACCAUAUUUUUGGGAAUAGGGUCAACGUGAUUGUAAGUGUGAAUAUGGGAAUUGAAAUAUGAAGAGGUCAAGUAAAUUGGCUAAGGCACAGGGCAUACGAUUAACAAAGCGAACAACAAAACCAGAAUCAAAUAGGCAAUGUACAGUCCUGCAGGAAAAUUAGUGUGACACACAGCAUGUCAUGCACGGAAUCGGCAGCUCGCCGAGUGCAUGUUCAGUUGUAUAAAUAUUAUCCGGAAUCCAGAUGCAUGCAGUACGCAUAAGCUGAGUAGGCAAACUAACUAAGGGGUUUUUGAUACCCCUACUAAACUUUAACACCUGUCACAUUAGAUGUUGGAUACUAAUUAGGAGUAUUAAACAUAGUGUAAUUACAAAACUAAUUGCACAAAUGGAAUCUAAUUCGCGAAACGAAUCUAUUAAGCCUAAUUAGUUCAUGAUUUGACAAUGUUAACCAUUUGCUAAUGAUGGAUUAAUUAGCCUUAAUAGAUUCGUCUCGCGAAUUAGACUCCAUCUGUGCAAUUAGUUUUGUAAUUAGCUCAUGUUUAGUCCUCCUAAUUAGCAUCCAAUGUGACUCUACUAAAGUUUAGCACCUUGUAUCCAAACACCCCUAAACAAAAUGGCAGUAAACAAACGGAUGUGAAAGUAGGACGUAUCCUCGUAGAAAAAGAGAUCAGUGAUCUGUAUUGUACCUGAUCGAGAUCGGUCGCGUUGUAGCCGAGGUGCAUGUGCCGGGGGACCAUGUGGAGGACCCAGAGCAGGAUCCGUACAGAAGCGGCUGAGGUCGACACUAGUAGAACGGGCUCUUCUUCUCCAAAGGUUGUGCGGUCGUGGCGCAUCGAAUGAUAGCGGCCCUGCGUCCCUGCCUAUCGACGGACCCUGCACCGCUGAUCCCUGCGCUAGUUCGGAGGGUUGCCUCCACUCUUCCAGUCCGGCGUUACCGAGGCCAGGUUCGUGGCGAGCAGUAGCGACGGAGCCGCCAAAGGUUGCGGCGCGGAGGACGGUGGCAGGCAGGUUCCGGAAGAGUGGUGAGGAGGCUGAUCUCGGAGGAGGGGGAAGCGGCGAUUGCGGCGGCGUGGGAAUGGGUUGUGGAGAGUCAACGGCGGCGGACUGAGCGAGGAGAAGACCGCGAACUGCGAUUUUGCCCCUUGGUGAUAAGAUGGGAGGCUCGUGGACGAGGGAUAUCUAAUUAAUUGCCACUGUUAGAAUUAGCGCACCUUCGAAAACCACUCUUACAAUUUCGCCUACAUUUUUACCAUUGGAGAGAAAAUUUUGUUACACAUUCACAAUUUUUGCAUCCGUGGAGAGCCAUGUCACGCAUACACGCUAGAUGGGGCACGCGAAAAGACCCGGCUGCCCCUGGCCUUAUCCUUUAGACCGCCCGACCGCCUGUCCCCGUCCCGACAGAGCCAGACCAUCCAUUCGAGCCAGACAAAAUCAUUCCCCACCUGCUCGAACCCGAGGGAGCGGCGACGGUGGAGGCAGCGACGGUAGCAUUGGCUUCGACGAUGACAGCAAUGUCGCACGCUGCAGAGUCUUCCGGCCGAUGGAGGGGACGGGAAGGGGUUGGGGAACAAACGGGCCUUCCUCUAGUGCCCAUAUUGCGGGAAGGCUAGGGUGUUCGAGCGACGGUCGAAAAAGGACAACGUCAACCAUGGCCGCAUGUUCUUAAAAUGCCUAAGGGGCGUAGGUUGGGUGAGAUAGGUUGUUGCUCUCAUGCUGCAUUUGGGGUUCGUUGUUCUUGACUUGAUGCGGUUUUGUCUACAGAUGCGAGAAAAGUGUGACUACUAUCGGUGGCAGAGGGAGUAUCUGAAUGAUUUGGUUGACGCCAAAGUAGUUAAGGUGUUUUAUCAUGAACAUGAGCAUGAAAUCGAAGAAGAGGUACAAUUUGUGGACUUCCAACCCGGGUUGUUGGCGCAAGAACGGGUUCAUGGCAAAGUGCAGAAGCAAGAUCUAGAAGCAAAGUUGGACAAAUUAAUGAAGCUUGUGUUUGUAUUGUGUAUGCUAUUUGUAGCCAUUGUUGGCAUGUUCAUUGGCCAUGUGUUGAAGUAGAAGAUAUGUGUUGUAGUACAUUGGCCAAGGGACAAAUUUGAUGAAUGAAUGAUAGUAUUUGAUAAAUGAACAAUGCAUAUUUGUGUGAUAACUGAAUGAGUUCAAACUGACAUAAUUUUUUUCAAUAGUGACAUAGUUCAACUUGAUAGACAUAGUUCAACCACAACAUAGUUCAACUUGACAGACAUAGUUCAACCACAACAUAGUUCAAACUGACAGACAUAGUUAACACACAUAGUUCAAACUCACACACAUAGUUCAAACUGGACAGACAUAGUUCAACCACAACACAUAGUUCUAACUGACACACAUCACUUCUUAGUUGUCCUUCUCUUUCUUGGACUAAUUUUCUUUGCUACAGAAGGUUUCAAGACCUUGGAUGCCAGCUUCUUCUUUGGAGUCAUCUUGUUUCCUGGAAUUAUCUCUAAAGGUGUUAGCAUUGUCUCUAAAGGCUCCAAAUCAGUUAUGGGCACCAAUUCCAAUGGUCCUUCAAAAUCAAGCCUCCUAUACAAAUUCAGAGUGAUGUUACUUAUUUGUUCACAUAAGAAACACAGUAAAAUGGGGAUCAUACCUCUUGGGUGGAGCUUUAGGUGCUGAUUUUGUUGCUUCACUUGCUUCAGUUGUACCUGCUGGACUUGUUACUUCACUUGCUGCUUCUUGGCUUGCUGCUUCCAUACCUGAUGCUUGGCUUGCUACUGCUUCCUCAUUUGUUGCUGCUUCCCUUACUACCGCUUCCCUUGCUGCUGCUUCCCUUCCUACUGUUGCUCUUGUCCUUGGUGUUGUAGCCUGCACUGUCUCAGUUGUCUUUGAUUUCUUUCUCCCAACCUUAGUCUUUAUCUUCUUGGAUCUCUUCCUUUUCUUGAUCCUUGUCAGUUCACACCUCCAACUCAUCUUCGUGUGACCAAGUUGACCACAACCAUCACAUUUUGUUUGCCUUGUAGCCUUUCCUAACCUCUCCAAGUAAGAAGGUAUCCUGUUCUUUAUCUUCCUUCCCAGACCUAUUUUCUUAGCAUCUGGUGGAUAUAGCUUGAAGCCCUUGUCAACUUGUGGCCACUGACUCCUAUCUGUUAUGUUAGGCCAUCCCAUGUCAUAUGCCUGUCUGAACCUUUGCACUGAAUAAGCCAUGUCCACAUAUUUAUCCCACAUUGGUUGCCUCUCUGUAGUGAUGACAGCCAAAGCAUCUGGGCAAGGCUUUUCUAUGACUUGCCACUGUCUACAUGUGCAAUUAUUCUCAUCGAGAUAGACCACAUGUCUUCUGACCUCCUCAUUCUUGGGAAUCUCUGUUACCUCAGCUUGUUCAAGUUUGCCCUUAGUGACUUUAAGGUAUCCUAACCCCUUUAUGACUGUAUUUAGCCGAUGAAUCACAACUGGUAGUAUGACUCAAUGCAAAGCUCUAGAUAUCCUUAUCCUUUUCUCAAACAAGACCACACCCUUCUCCCUGAUAGCAUCAACCAUAUAAUGCAGUGGCAAGUCCUUGAACUCCUUUAUCCAUGCAUUCCAUGACUCAGCCAAGUUGUUGUUGAUGUAGUCACACUUUAUAUCUGGUGAGAACUUUGAUCUAGCCCAUAGAAGGUUGUGAUGGUCUUCCAUUUCCUAAAAAGUUUAUCUGCUGCCCUCUGUCUACCAUACCAUAUAGUUUGAUACUGAAUCUGAAUCUUAUACUUGUCCUCCAGUUCCCCCUUUAGUACUUUAGCAUCCAACCCAGGCUUCCUCUUCAGUAAAGGGAUGGCUCUCUUAGCACCCCAAGCCUGGUUUGCCAUUCUUCCCAACACUCUACUUGUUGAAGCACACUGAUGAAGAUACUAAUUUAUUUGAACCUGCAGUAAUGCAAACAAACAUUACAGUAGUUAGUCUAACAUGAAGCUAAUAUAUAAUUGCCUAACAGUAAUAAAUUGCAUAAAUAUAACAUGAAAUAGUUAGUAGGUGUACCCUGACACAACCAUCCAAUUGUGUCUUAGCCCUAAUAAUCCAGGGGCAUGCAGUAGCCUUGUAAAAACCUCUGAACCUGGACUUGUUAGACUUCUCGGUGUCUAGCUCAAAUUCAUUCACAAUGGCACACUGCUUAAUUGCUAGUCUGAAUUCACGCAUAGAAGGAUACAUUGUGCCAACAAAUAUCUCUGGAUUAUCCCUAUCCCAAUCCAUAACAGGUUCAAUAGGAUCACUGUCAUCCACAGUACAACCGGCAUCUCUCGUGUCCUCUUCCAUUUCUUCUGGAAUGGGAAUUUCUGUUCUUGCUGCCUGUUCUGCUCUCUCAUGUGCAUCUUUGAAACUCAUAGCCUCAAACACUCUAUCUUCAUCAGCCAGUACAGUUGCUUCACCAUCUUGAUCAGGUUCAGGGAGGAUAACCAGAGAGUCCCAAUCCAUAAUCUCAGGUGCCAAAUUUUCAUGACCUGUCUGAUCUGCCUCUACAUUAGAACUAAAUGUCUCACCUAAACCUUCAGGAACAUUAGGUACUAGUUGUGCUUGGCUGUUGAUACAGAUCCACCUCUAGUUUCACAAUCUUGUUCCUCCUGCUGAUAGCCCUUAUGAACUACUUGCACUAACACAUUAGCCAACCUGUCAUGAAACCUUGACCUAAUCAUCUUCUCAAAAUGCUCAUUCUUUCUGAUCUUCCAUUGAGAACCACUAUCACUAUCAACAGCCCACACGACAAGUAUCUGACUAGGACCCCAAAUGAUCUUACUCACCAUUUCAGUAACAAAUGAAUCAAGAUUGUACCCAUUGCAUCUAUCAAUUCACAGAUCAUGCCAUUGCUCAGCCAUAUCUAAAGCACCAAAGUACUCCAGAAUUGAUUUAAAUUUUUCACAUUUAACCACUAUUCUAAAAGCAUUGCCAGGAUCAAUCCUGACAUAAAUCAUAAACAAUGAAAUAAUUUGAAAGUUAGAAAUACCCAACCCUAGAGAUAUGCAUAUGCGGUGCAGUGACUUCAAGCGUGCUUACCAUGGAGGGCAUUCGCUAGGCUCCAUGUUCAAUCAAUGAAGGAACCUCACAUCUACUAGAAUACCUCCCUACAACGAUGAAAUAAAGCAAAUCAGGGGAGCUCAAGGGAAUCCAGAAGCCACAUCUAGGAGAACAUCAUUCUUGGAGCAAGCGUGGAGCAAUUACCUUCGAUCCGUCACCGUCAACGUUGAAGCCGACUCUGGCGCCACCGGCGCCGUCAGGGUUCAGCUAUGGUUUGAGCAGGUGGGGAAUGGAUGGUCUGGCUCGAUCGGGACGGGAACAAGCGGUCUAAAGGAUAAGGUCAGGGGCAGUCGGGUCUUUUCACGUACCCCGUCCAGCGUGUAUGCGUGACAUGGCGCUACAUGGAUGCAAAAAUGGUGAAUGUGUAACAAAAUCUUCUCUUCGGUGGUAAAAUAUAGACGAAAUUGUAAGAGUGGUUUUCGAAGGUGCGCCGUUUAUAACGGUGGCAAUUGAUUAAAUAUCCCUCUGGAGGAGCCCGGUACGUGGACCGCACGGAUACGGUUCGGUGGGGAUCGGAUGGACUGAACUGGACGGGAACUGUUGUAGGAACUGUCGUACAGUAGCAUCGGUAGGGGCCGUCAGAUGCGGUAUCCAGCGGCUCGUAUGAAGCUAUGGUACUGUAGCACAGAAAGUGUUCUCAGAAACUAAAGAUUUUGAUAUGAUUUGGCCCCGUGAACGCCCCCAAAAAGGCUGUUCCUUACUGGGCCGGUCGGCCCAUAUUCCUUACUCGUCGUCUUCCUCCAAACCUUUCCGAACUCCGGAGUCGCAACAACUCUUCCACCACGAUAAGCCCUAAUCGCCCGCCAGUUAGCCACCACCACCUCCAUGGCGACCACCUCCUUCCAUCCGCUCGCCACCCCGAUUGCCGGCGGCGGCGCUCGCAUCCGUCGCUGCCCGCUCUCCCUACCCGUUCCCGCCCGCACGGCGCCCCGGCGGCCGGCACCGCUCCUCGUCGUCCGCGCCAAGCGCGCCGGCAGCCGGCCCCCCGCCGCCGCCUCGCGGCAGCCCGUGAACCCCAGCGCGGUACCAAAGCGGGAUGCCGAGGAGGAGGUGGAGGAGGUCGAGGAGGAGAUGCCGUGGAUCCAGGACAAGGCGCUGGACCUCGUGGAGUUCACCGGCACCGUCACGCAGGCCAUCCCGGGGCCCCGCGUCGGCUCAAGCCCCGUGCCGUGGCUCCUCGCCGUGCCGCUCGCCUACGUCGGCGUCUCGUUCGUGCUCGCGGUCGUCCGCACCGUGCGCAGGUUCACCUCCCCGCGCUCUAAGAAGAAGCGAAGGGUAAAUGUUCGCGUUAUAAAAUUUUCCGUGGUUCCAUGAACGAAAUUUGAUCUCGUGCUGGGUACUUAAAGUCGGUGUAAAUUUUCCUUCACCUUCGCCGCUGCACUAGCCCUGUGAAUUAGGUACAUUUUGGAACAUAGGUUUGUAGGGAUCAAUCUAGCCCCACAAAUUGUGCUCUUUAGAGAGGUUUGCUCUGUCAAGGCGAUGGGAAAUGAUAAAUUUCGUCCCUUCUUUCAGCAGCUAAUUCUAUUUUUGCAAAAUUAUCUAUCUGUGCUGACUGCAUCGCUGUAUAGCAUCUUGGAAUCACACUAAAAAUCAUUUUACAGCCUUCUUAAAUUCAAAGUAUAAUGAGUUUGCAAUUUCAGUUAUAGAACUGUUAUAAGUUUGUUCCUCUAAAUCAAAUAGAUACCGUUGUAAAUACUUAGAUUGGAAGUGCUAAAACAAAUUUGAGCUUGCUUUCAUUGUUGAUUGCAAGGUUAAUGUUUUGUGAGCUGGUUGCAAUCUUAAUGUCAGCCUACAAUUUGUCAUUUUUUAUCUUUGCAUGUCUUCAGAAUACUGUAACUCCUGUUAAUUUUUUAUUUUUGGUUUCACUUAAGGCCCCGUUUGGAUCCCUUCAUUUUGAAGGAAUUGGAAUCUACUUAAUGGAGUAGGCUAAUUAUCUUGGAAUGUGACAUUCCACAACUUUCCAAAGUUCAGAUAUAACCCUAUCUUAAAUUCAUAGGGGUGGGAGAUGGAAAUUGAUUCUAUAGAUCCUCAUGCUAUGUUUCUAAUGUGCAACUUAUAGCACGCUCUUCGACUCGCUUCCCUAUAGCAGAAGUGCAGCACAUAAGUAUCUCUCCCAUAUGGCCAACAAUAAUAUACAAAUAUUUUCCACAUACAAUUAUAUUAGCUUAGUUAAUUUGUGUCUAAAUUAUGAUUAUUAGAAUGGAAUUCAAUUCCAAGGAUCCAAACGGGGCCUAAUAGUAAACCAGUGUUUCUCUACAGGUGGGUAAGAAUAUAUUCUUGUUGAAGUCACUAGAUGAGCUGUUCCAGAAGGGCAGGGAGGCAGUAGAUUAUCCUUCUCUCCAAGAUCUCAUGCAGAAGGUGUGUGCCGUAACCAACCAUCUAUAUAAUUCUUGAGAAACUAAAUUAGUGGAGUGAUAUGGGAAUGAUGGCAGGUAGAACAUACUUUGCUUAUUUUCUUUUUUGCUUAUUCUAUUCGAGAAGACUUUACUUCGUUAGCUAUCUUAUUCUGACACUGGAGUUAGUGAAUUGAUGCUAUGUUAACUGGUGCUGAAACCUAGAUUGGAAAUUUUGCUGUAUGGUAGAAUAAUAAUGUUCUUAGCAAACUGUUAGUUCUCUACACAGACGAGUCUAUAUCUAUUGCAAUUUGAUGACUAAUUUACUGAGUACAUUGCUACUGGAAAAUAUUUCUUUAUCUUUCAAAAAAAUAUUUCUUUCCAUAGAAAACAGCAAGCUCAUGAAAUUGUAAAUAUGCUGCUUCUAUGUGUAUGCAGACAGGAUUUGACAUGGACGAUGUAGUAAGAAAGUACAUCCGGUACACACUGAAUGAAAAACCCUUCAAUCCUGAUGUGGUUGUGGAUCUUAUACAUCUUAGAAAGGCAUCAAUGCUUGAAGAUGCAGAAGUUGCUGAAAUUUUGAAUGAGAUCUCAAGACGAAUUGUUCGAGAAAAAGGUAUCUGUUGCUGCUUAUUCUAGUUUUUCGAAAGAGCUCAAAAUAUUUCCAGUCACAUGCUCUGGCAGAUUUACCUUUGCGAAUCAAGAUAUAAUUCCUUUUCCUACUUUCCUUCUGCUGAAGUUUGUGCGCCUUUAUGCUUAACUUUCUUUGCGAAGCUACUAAUAUCCAUUUUUCAUCUGCCAUGCCAUGUAAACAACAAAGUUUUAGAUUGGGUCCACAUUUUGUUUAAGAAUGCGUGCAGAGCUGUUUCCUUGGUUAUUAUCAAACUCAAAUAUUUUGUGUAACUUGACAUUUAUGCAUUGAUGAAAAAUUUGAUACCUUGAGAAUUUAUGUCUGGUCAUUACUGCAUGCGAAUGUUCCGACUUUCAAGUCCUUCAAAGCAUAUCCAAAGGAUCAAUGUAAAGGGCAUGGUUGUUGGGGCAAUCACAAGGCAACACAGAUGCAUCCUUCUACAAAUUCGUAGUUCAUACACUCUAUUAACCCACCCCCUGAUGUGGAAUGUACCAUACACUGAUUAUAAUGUGAGAAGAGUGGUAGUAGCUACAUUGUAAUUUUAUUUCUUUCCUAUCAUCAGUUGUCACUAAAUAUCUUAUUAAAUUCAAAAUUUCGGUUUUGUUAUGUCAUUCUUACUCAAUAUGCUUUUGUAUUUACAAUCUUGCAGGGCCAGUAGUUAUGGACUUAUCUGGGUUUACAGAACAAGGUUUUAAGCGGAAGCUUGCUGUACAAGCUUUGUUUGGAAAAAUCCUUUACUUAUCGGAGGUAACUUGUCGAUCCUCCAUUUUUUUUUACUGAUUUUAUAAUUCCAUAUCUGUUUUAAGACAAAUCUUGAUUUGAGCUGUAAUGAAAAAAUAGAAAGGUUUGAUGGCUCACUACUUGCUGUGGAAGUCUAUAAUGAAUGUUCGGUUUGACAAACCAGCUUAUUCUAGACGGGUUUAGAUCGUCAUGGGGACCAUUCAUGGUAAUGAUGGGAUGGCAUCAUUCCCUGUUUUUAUGAUGUAAAUGUGCAAUAUGAUUUUAAAGCAGUCCAUUCCAUUUCUCAGAACAAAUCAGUUGUUUAGGUCCAAAACUAGGAUCGUACGGUCCAUUCACCAUUUCAUUCCUCAUGCAGAAAACCCCAUAAAUGCAUGUGCCUCUUCUUAUUUACCUCUGCUCACUGCUGUCUCUGCUGUGUUAUUGUGUCUAAUCUCUGAAGAUGCAGAUAAUUGAUUACUAGUCUGUGCUUUGUAGGAACAUUUGUCUUUCCAUUCAGUUUGAAAUGUUGCUUUCCAUAAGAUAGUCAUGCCCAUAUUAUUGCUUUCAUUCAAAUUGAUUUAUCUUUCAUCUGGUGCAAGUUUCAAGUUUAUUCUUAUCAUGGUUUGUUACUGAUUAGCCUGUGCACAAGUUAUCAUGAUGGCUCAGAUCUUAAUGGAAAUUGUUUUUGAAUCUCUAUCCAGCUUCCGGAGUUCUGUUCACGGGACAGCUCACUUGUUGUCAAAGAAAUCUUUGGAGUUACAGAGUAUGGCUAAAUUUACUAUAUGGGGAAUUCUUGCUUUCCUUUUACCUCCAUAGCCUUUUGGUAAUUAUUGUUUUGUAAUUUCUUGUGUGUAGUGAGGAUGCAGAAAGUAUUCGAAUUCACACCCUCUCUGCAACCGGUGAUAUCGAAUCUAUACAAAAGAUGGUCGAUGAUCUAGACAUUGGACAGGGUCCCUCGUCAUCAGCUUGAAUGAUGGUGAUGGAAUAAUGCUGAACACCUUCGUUGAUAGUAUUGCAACUUUAGCGUGAUGUGAGUUUCUCCGGCCUUUUUCGUCUAGAUUGUUUUCAGCCGUUGAAGUAGGAGUUGAGCAGAGGACAGGGUACUUUGGCUGGAAGUUUUGUAAAUUGCCUUGCGAUUAGGCCAGUAACGUCUGGCUGUGUCUCAGACCUGCCCAUGACUUUGAGGAAACAAGAAAGUUGAAUUGUAGCAAUGAGUUUAUAGAAAGCGGGAAUGUUAUUGAAAUUUACUCCAUUUUGUUUUUUUUUGUUCUAUCGUGUCACUAAACAACUAAACAUAUACCUGCGGUUAUAAAUUAUCUACUGAUGAAGGAUGGCAAAUUUAGCAUUUGAGUGCGUGGCAUUCUAAAAUAUGUUUGGCCAUAGUGCUGUCAUGUGUAAUAAUAAUGAUAGAAUGAUUCUUCGUUCACCAUCCUAUUACCUCUGAUAUGUACUCCAUCAGUUCUCUUUUGAUAGGCAUUCACGAUUGAUAGGCAUUCAUGGAGCCCUGUAAGGCCAUUCUCAUUUCAUAUUUAUGUUUUCAAAAUGCCACAUAAGUAAGAGAACAUUUUUUUAGUUUAAAUAGUUUCAUACAAUGCAUUAUUGUUAUUUCCUAUGCUAUAUGCAAGACACAAACUGUGUUGGAAAUAGUGUACACAUGGUUUCAUCACCAUGAAACUCAUUUCAUCUCUUUCUUUGUUAACUCUUUACCACCUCAUAAAAAAUGUUACAUGACACCUUAUUUAACGAGAAUGAAACUUCCAUUAAAAAUAGCAUGCUGGGCCUCGAGGCCGGAGGGUCUCUUGUUUUCUUCCAGCAUACAAAACUUGGCUUGCUACUCAUUGUCGCUGAUCUUGAGGCUUCUCAGGGCCGUCGAUCCCCAAACGCCAUCCCUACCACACGUGUCCUUUUGCCCGUGACCACCUGUCACGUCCGGAGCUGCGGCCUCGCCCUGCAAAGAGCUCCCCAGCGAACGCUUCCGGCGCCACGAAAGGCAGAGUGAGCAUCGAAGCUGCAGAAACCAGAGCCAUCAAAACCUGCGGAAAAAGGCAGUACCGUGCCGACGCCGCCGGCACGGGACCCCUCCUGCCGGCCGCCACCCGCGCGGCGGUGGCGGAGUUCGUCGCCACGGGCAUUUUCGUGUUCGCCGCCGAGGGCUCCGUCUACGGCCUCUGUACGCCAACCUCAAGAACACACAUACAUACAAGCAAGCUUUACAUGCAUGCACCCUGCCUAUUUAAAAUUCUUGCUCUUUUUAUUAUGCCAAAUUUCAAAUUCCUGUCACGUGCACGAGGCUUAAGCUUGCAGUUGGUGUUGAUCUCAAGCGCGAGGCUUGAAGAUUUUUUGCGUUGCCGGAUUUUGCAGGGAAGCUGUACAAGGACACGGGGAUGCCGGGCGGCCUCUGGUCGCGGUGGCAAUCGCGCACGCGCUGGCGCUGGCCGCCGCGGUGGCGGUGGCGAGCAACGCGUCGGACGGGCACGUCAACCCGGCCGUCACGUUCGGCGUGCUCGUGGGCCGCCGCAUCUCUUUCGGGCGCGCCGUCGUCUACUACUGGGCCGCGAAGCUGCUCGGCGCCGUGGCCGCCGCGUUCCUUCUCAUGCUCGUCUCCGGAGGCACGGUAAUACGUUUCACCGUGUCAGAUUCUUUUACACUUUGAUUAAACUUCCUAUUAAUAGCUCUGAAAACCAACCUCACUGGAAAGCUCAGAACUGUGGGACAGCUCCAGGUUUGUUUGUUGUACCGUGCCAACGUUGUAAGACUAAGUUCAGAAGCAUCAUGCAUUCAGGUUGCAGAACAGAGCCUUUGUUGUUUUUCCCCUUCCCUGCUGAGAGCCUAGUGUUGCCUACUCCUAGAAAAUUAAAAAAAGAUAUAACCUUUAAACAACGUAACAAACAUAAAGCGGUGGGUAUCUUACUAGAACUGCCAUAGUGCCACACCACACCAGAACUGCACGUCAAUAUCCAGGUCACACUUUUUGUUUCUUUCAUGCUACUAGCAACAAACAAAGUCAGAAAUGGUUGCGCCUGCGCGCGUACUAUGUAUUUUGCCUUUGGCGUACGCUACGUUUGCAAAUUAACACGCGUACGCGACAUGCCCGCCACGUCUCACUCCAUUUUCGCAUGCCUUGUCCUGCAGCGCCCCAUGGGCUUCGGGCUCGGCCAGGGCGUCCACGAGCGGCACGCGCUCCUGCUCGAGGCCGUCAUGACGUUCGGCCUCGUGUACGCCGUGUACGCUACCGCGGUGGACCACCGGAGCCGCGUCGGCUUCGUCCUGGGGGCGAACAUCCUCGCCGGCGGCCCGUUCGACGGCGCGGCGAUGAACCCGGCGCUCGUCGGAUGGAGCUGGCGCCACCAUUGGGUCUACUGGGUCGGGCCGCUGAUCGGCGCCGGGCUGGCUGGUGCGCUGUACGAGUUCGUCAUGGUUGAGCAGCCGCCGUCUGAGGCGCCGGCAGCUGCUGCAGGUCCUCGGAUGCUCGUGGCCGCGGCUGAGGAUUAAUGAUUUGUUUCCAGCGUUUGUAUAUUUGUUGUACGUGACUUGCUUGUGUAUCUAUCUACUAGGACCGAGCUGCUUCAGAGGCUCAUCAGAGUACUAAAAGCUAGGGAAGUUAUUAUUUUGAAGUUAUCAGAAGGCAAUAUUAAAACCCCCAACACCAGUCACCAGAUUGAUGGUGAGCGCGUUCGUUCUACGCUGCUAAAAAAAAAUGCUUGAGCAGGAACAUUACGGUGUAGGGUGUUGCUCAUACUGUCAUACACCUGUAUAUACGUGAAUAUAUUUACUGGGAUAAUUUUGCUGUGUGAGGGAAAGAACAGUGGGAAAUUAUUCAGUACGUGACGAGUCGGAGGACCGGACGAGUAGUCACCGGCACUGCGCCGUCGCUGCCUAGCUUUUUUCCUCGCGUCCGCCGUAGCUCACGGCGGAAGAUCAUCAGGGACUCGCCAGUUAUGCGUUACAGCGUUAGCACGUUGCAGGCUGCCAUCAGGCGCCACCCAGUCAGCCGGACGCCGGACGCCGGACGCGGAGCUGCCUGUCGACGAGUCCACUGAAGACCAGCAUGGAUGCAAGCUCUGACUGCUCUGUGUUGUCUGCUCUCCACUGCUUUAACCUCUUGAUGUUCCGAUGGCCAUAGGGACCUGACGUCCCUGGCAUCGACCCCGGCAAACGAACCGUACCGAUCCCAUUCCUCGAUUUGGGACGAUGACUCCGUGAAGCAGAACCAGGAACUAAUCAAAGGAGGGGUGAUGUGAUUCACGUUUUGUAGUAGUGUAAAUCGUCAAAAUUUAUGCAUAUGUCCCAUAUCUGGCAUUAGGUUUUCCACAUGUACUUAUGCAUGAAUUAAGUCAUAACACAACAUAAGAUGGCAUACAGACAUAGCCAUGUAUAGUUCCAAGAAACAUUAAAUAUUUUAUACUGAAUUGUGAAGUUAUUAUGUAUCAUGGAAAAUCCACCUACAUGAACAAUGACUAGCGGCGCUACUGCCUUGCACGGGCGUGCAGCGUUAGUACCUUCUUUCACGUAGCCAUCGUGCACCAUUCCUGCUCAACCUGCUUGCCGCUUGCCUACCUGCGUCAAUAUCAUCAACUCGCUGGACAAUGACCCUAGCUUGGUCACUUUUCCUAUACAUUUGGUGUUUACCACAAUAUAAUGUUAAAUAUGUGCAUGAGCUAUGGCACCUCGAUAGUGAGCUUGUAGUGAACUAUUCCUGCCUAAUUUAGUUUGUAAUUGAAGUCUUAAUUUGAGAACCAUGAGGACACGAUAGCGUACGAUAGACACUUGAGGAACAUCGAUUACAAAUUUUGUGCAUGUUAGGCGCCAUUUUUAGUACAUUUUAAGUGGAUGUGUUUAACCUUUUGCUUCAAUUCAUUGCUGGUGAUACAUUUGGGGGUUUUCUAUUGACUGCCAUCAAGAGGAGGAAUGAUAACUCAUACCAGUCAAAAGAGCAGUUUCACAUGAUUUUAGGGAAUCGAUUUAGAUGUUUUAAGUUGAUCUCUUACCAGAUUUUAGAACAAUGUUAUUACUUGACCAUAAAUAAAAUCAAUUCAAAAAAAUCUAACUUCAACGGAUUUCUAUGUGAUUCUCAAAUAAAAUCGUUAUAGUAUAUAUUUUAGAUGAUUUUUUAAAUAUAUUGUUUAGUUGAUUGUUCGCCAUAUCUUUAGGGUGUUUAUUAGUUGUAUCAUAAAAAUAAUACAAAUUUAGUGUACUGUAUCUAUCUAAAUUCCCAACAAUUAUAUUUUUAUCUAUCUAUCUAUCUAUCUUUCUAUCUAUCUAUCUAUCUAUCUAUCUAUCUAUCUAAUUUUCUAACAAUUAAAUGUUUCAUGUUCCAUAAAAAAAUAUGUCAACUAUACAUAGAAACAAUUAUUGCAUAUUGUAUACCAUAGGAUGCAUCACAUCAUGAAGAUAAUAAUAGAGAUGCUGAGCAAUCUCAUAAGUUAUUCAAGUCUCACUAAUUGGAAAUGAAUGACUGCUAAUCUAGUGGAGAAUCAUUUAGCAACUUUUUAGGUAAUAUCUUUAGAUUAUAUUCUUGUUUUAGUUGUUUGUUGCUAUAAAUUUGGAUGGUCUUUAGUAGUGUGCCAUCAAGAAAAGGAAUGAUUAACCACACUAAACUGAACAUAACUUGCUGAUGCACAUCAUAUACUAAGCAAAAAGUAAAAUGUUGUGAUGUGUGCUAUCUGAACACAUGAAUACAAUUCUAUAACAUCAUGGUUGAAAGAACUACAUAAAGCUACAACUUCACAAGUAAACAAAAUAAAUAAAUAAAAGAAAAUGAAGAUAAUUAGCUACUACUACAACCUUUCAUUGCACGCGAAGAUGCGCUAAAAACAGCACGCAACACACUUGAGUCAUCAAUGACUAAGAACUUAAUUGUUGAAUGGUCAUGUUCAUGUUAUUCAUGUGAAGGAGCAUCUAUAAGAGAAGUGAUUGAAGUCGUUGUGGUGAAUGUUGUGCUUCUUGAGCCAUGACCGUGCUGCAUCGAAUAGAGAAGAAAUAUACUCUUCGUCAUCGGAGUUUGGACUAGCCCAUACUUUGGUGUCUAGCUUGUAUGUUGCGAGGCCGAAUGGAGCAAGUGCCACAUGAUCAGAGGCAUUCACAUUGUCUAAAGAGACAUCUACAAGGAUAAUCACCAUGUUAUGUUUAAUCAAAAGAAAUUAUUAUAAUUCAUUAUGCUGCUAAAAUAGAAAGGAUUAAUUAAUACUUUCAAUUCCACAUAGGCAUUUCAAAACAAGUAUUUUUACUGUUGUAUGAGAUAUUAGUGAAAAAAAUGAAAAUGUAUAGAUAAAUAUAUGAUAUGUGUUGCUUUUUGGGAACAAAAAUAAGGGAAACAAAACAAUUAUUAGAGGAACUUUUAUGCCUUAGUAUGUACAUUGGUAAUAAAGAAGAAAAAUAUGUGUGAUUGACAGGUAGACACACAAACACACCUAAAAAAUACAUAGAAAUGAAAUGAAAUAAAACUUCCUUACUACCACCUAUUCAUUGUUGCAUACCUUCAGAUGUUGAAAGGCUAUGGUAAGUCAAAAAACAAGUAUUCAUAUCUUUCCGAUUUUUUGCAGGGACAUGACCUGAUGGAUACCUAUAGGAUAAGAGGAGGAAAUAAAAUUAUUAUCAUUGUUUACCUUAGGUGAACAUAUAUGUACCGGUAUAUUUGCAUUUCAAGAUAAAAGUAAGUGAUUAUAAAAAGUUACCAAAAAACCGACAACCAACUUGACGGUGAGAGCUCUGCACUGCUUAGAGAUAUUAGGCCAGGACAGUUAUGGUACAACUCGUACACCUAAACAUAAAAAAGAAAGAAAAUAAGGAAGAUCAUAUAAUUGUAGUGGACCCUAGACAAAUUUAUACUUAAGUCUAACUCACUAAUUAUUAAUUUAGAGGUCCUUUAUUUUUAGGAUUUUACAAAAAAAAUAUAACAAAUAUGUGACCUUUUUCUUUUAAAAAAUAGGUGUAUUUAGUACCCGUAGGAUUAAGAUCCAACGGACUCUUCCUUUGAUCAUUCUCUAUAAAUAGUCUCCUCUCCCACCAUCCCUACCACUAACCCUAUAUCCACUCUAUCGCCGCCUCCACCCCACCUACAUGUUGUGUUCCCAAACUCGCCUCGGCACAAACAAGAUCGAUUGAUGGCUGUCGUUGGUAUGAUGGUGUCAACAUCCCCCCACCCCUCUCCCCCUUGCCGCCGCAUCCCACGAUGAUUAUCGCCUUCUUCACUUGCUCCGGUGAGUCUUCUGUAUCAAUAACCACUGUCCUUAUCAAAUUCACAUAAUCGCAUAGAUGCCCACCUAGGCUCAACCUCUUGUUUCCCCUCACUUAUUAAUUUCUCUUUGUAUCAUCAAAUACAAGCUAUCAACAUAUCUUUUGAUGACGUCCACCUUGAUUCAAACUCUUAUUUACGCCACCAUCCUUUGUUUCCUUUGCACUCACUUGGAUGCAGGUUAGUAACAUCGUGAUCAAUGAUGCUCAACCUUGAUUUAAGUCCCAAUUUCCCCCACAACUCUCUAUUGACUCUACUUUAAUGUAGAUCUAAAGAUACUAACAUCACUGCUAAAGAUGCGCCACCUUGAUUCACUCUCCCGUUUACGCAAUCACCCUACCCUUUUUUUUUCUUUGCACUCCCCCAAGACCCAAUCUACCAACAUCUUUGUUGGUGAUGCCCGACCUUGAUCCAAUCUCUUGCUUCGCUGUCACCCUUUUCUAUCCAUGUACUUCCCAAAAUCCAAGCUAGAAACAACAUUAUUGGACCUUAUCUAAGCACAAAUCAACAUCCUUAUGGGAGAUCUGAUCCCAAAGGCUAAUCCAUUGGCGAGAUAUUUAGACCUAUUCUGGUUUUUUAAAAUAGAUCUUGCAGUAAUAAAUAGAAACAUCUUAGUUUAGCAUUUGUACAUUGAUUCAUCAAAUUAAGUAUGCUAAUGAAUUUAUUUCUUUCCAUCUGAUGAUAUAUGCAGGGAGUGCAAAAGUUUGAAACACAUGGAUGACAGAGAGGCAGCUAGAUCUGACACUACACAAUGUUGGAACUACAUGAUCUGCAAGGGGUUUAUCCUUCGAGUAUUUAGAACCUGACUCAACUUAUGAAUAGGCACCGGACAAGGUAACUUAGGCGAGGUGCACAUAUGUUAAGGUGAAAAAUGGAAAAAAAAUUGCGAAUAGUAGAGAGAAAGUUAGAUUUGAAGCUAUUGGGACUACAUACCUUGUCUACGAAAGGUACCCUUUCAUAAGGGGAGUCAGGUUCAAAGUACUUGAAGAAUAACUCCUCCUUGCUUUCAACUUCAACCUUGGACACGGGUGAUGGUGUUUGACAUCCGUGAGUCCAAUCUAUCGUACCGUGUUGGCUGUACUCAAUGAACCUUUUAUCAUAUACCAUGCUGCAGUUAGUAUGCCAACUGGAACUUUUAGAAAUGAUCAUUGUAACCAACAUUGGUACUAUUUUCUUUCCUUUAAUUUAAUUUCAAUCAUAUACAAAACACAUCUAUAUACACAUACUAUGUGCUUACCUUUGUGAAGUAAGAACAUUUGUCUUGUAGGUGUACAGUUCAAUGGCUGAAAGAUAUGGCACGAAGAAUUGCUCUAAUGUCUCACCCGGAGCGAUGCACACUGAAGUACCAACACCACAUGCGCUCCACUGAUAGAACAAAUUCCAAAGAUCUCCAAGGUAGAAACACUUGACUCCAUUGUCUGCAAUCUUUCCACAAUAGUUGUUUGACUGCAUUCAUCGAUAAAAGAGUUAAAGUUGUUUAGCUAUCUUGCCUUUAGAUAUAAAAUAGUGCAUACAAGUAAUAAAACGUGCAUAAAUAUACCCCGACCUAGCUGGUUUUGAAUACAUUAUCUCCCUAAAAAAUAAUCAUGGGAUUCUCAUAGCUCUAGUGCAUCAAUAUAGAUGAGACCAUGUGAACACAAGUAUGCAAUGGAGUAUUUGUUACUUUGUCCACGACCAGUAUAGAUUUUUAUUUUGGGUGAAUCUAUUUUGGAUGAUCUCUUUUGGAAGGUUCCUAUUAAUUAAGCAAGAAAAGGAAUGCAAUGCAUGUAUAGUCAAAUCUAGAAGAGAUCCUGAUGCAAUGAUGAUUACUUGUUGUCACUUGGGUUCAUAUUGAAUAAAUGCAUAUCUUGUGAAUCAAUUAGCACAUACCUUGUAUCAAGGGAUAUGAUGCAUGAUAACGUGAACAUGUAACUUAAGAAUGAAAGGGACAAUGAUGUGUCAAGUGGGGUCCUUCUAUUUGGAUCUAUCUAUUGUACAGUCUAACCAAGUGUUACUAAUGGUAUGGAAAAAAGGUUAAUUCUAGAUGGAAAAAAAAUCAAAAGCAUUAAAUGCAAAAAGGAAUUGUCGUGGAUUAACCUCGGGGUAAAAAAUCUCAUCAUAACCUCCUAAUUCAAAUGAUUGAGCAAUGAAUGCUCAAACAAUACCUCCACGACACGACAUUCUCAUAAAGGCGUAACGGAUACUAUCUACGGCUAUGUUUCGCGCCUAAAACAUUUUGAAUCUGAACUUUACAUACAGAUCAGAGGAAACAUCAACAAACCCACAAGUAUAUAUAAAAGCAACAUGGAGCAUGAGUAGAGCAUGAUCUUAAAGUGGGAAACAUGGACACUUGCAAUCGAUAAGCUCACAUAUCUAGUUUUAUCCACAUAUCCUUGUAAAUCAUAUGCGAGACCAAAUAAAAGAGGCAAUAUAUCCAGAUCAAAGAUAGUAGGGAGAAUGGGAGUAAGAAAUUCGACAAAAGCAUGAGUUCACAACAUAAGGAGGAGGGGAAUUGUGCAACCAAAAAUUAAUAGAAGUUCGUUCAAGAAAUGCUUACUAGUGGAAGAUAGGGUGCCUUAUGAACCCUAUAUGCCUUAACAACUGGCGUCACACUGUCAAGAAAACACCUCAGAUUGGAAUGGCUCCCGACCGCCCCAUCAAAAACAGCAUUAGCUUCCUCUUGAACGAUAGCACUAGCACCCUCCAUGUCUCUACUCGCCCCUCAAAAUCCUCUAAGCUGAGAGAGCAAUGGCAAACCAAAGCCUAUGCUUAGAGCGCUCUGUUACACCGAAUGGAGGUGUGUGCUCAGGUUUUUGCAGGGGAGGAGGAGGAGCCUCGGACUGGGAAUAUUUGCAUAUCUGCCAUCAAUGCUUUCUAAAAAAAAAAAUCUAUCUCCAGCCUCCACCCCCUCUAAGGAUAUGCUAGCUCUUAAUAACCUGCCAACUUGAUAUAUAGCAUUCCCAAUUGAUUAUCCUUGGCUUGGCCAUGUUAGUCUAGGAUAUUGCUGGAGUGGCUUUUUUGGCCUUUCUUCCAAAUUUAGUUUUUGUUUUUCGUCAUUUUCUGCUGCGAGGAGGCAUGAUGGCCAUUGUGCCUUGCAGACAUGCAUGCCUGAAAUGCGCAGUAACUCCAAAAACGUUUGUUCCACUGGAGUUAAGGCGAUAAGCCUCCAUUUUGGAAGAAAAAAAGGUAUCCAUUUUCGAAGGAGAAAAGAAGGUCGCCAUGGGUAAGGACUUUUUUUCUCUUUGAGGUAGCCAUGGGUAAGGACUAUGACACCGGAUCAGUACGUGUACGGCUUGGUUUUGUUCGCGUGACUUGUGUGUUUCAUGUUUGUGAUAUGCCUGGGCUUGUAUAGGACAGAAAGUAAAAUGCAUGUGCGUAUACGCAUCCAAGGCAGGAUGGAGCCGUCUAAUCGCCGCUUAUGGCCUUGCUUUUUCUGUUUUUAAGGGCAAUCACUUGCUUUUCCUGCUAUUCUGAAACUUUUUGUGCACCAACCCGUUGCUUUUCCAAGGUCUCCAGGUGGUUUGUUCCUCGUUAACUUCAGAUCAAUAAAAAUGGUGCUCUGAACCAUAGUAGAAAUGAAAACUUGCACUCUUCUACGUGUAAAGAAAUACGUGGUGGAAUUAUUAUGCCAUGGGCCAUGGAGUAUGUUGGUGGCAAAGUCAACUUUACACAUCAUCUUGCAGUUGCAGCCCUGAAGCCCCUGAGGAUUGAAAAUUGCGUCAUGCUCAUGCACGAUGCGUGAGCAAGUGGACCCGUAGAACCCGCUGAAGCAAAGGAAUUCCAAUCUCUUUUUUCCUUCAAGAAUGGAAACUGUUGUCUCCGGACGUUCCUCCCGCAUCCGCAGGCGGCUGAUGCGCAAGAAACAGAAACAGGCAGCGUUCAGAAGGUCAGAGCCGGUCGGUCACCCGAUGCAUUAUUUUUAAUUUUUUAAUAAAUAAUAAAAAAUCGAUGCUAUAUCUAUAAAUCAAACCGAUGCUUUAUUUGUUUAAAAAAACUAUGCUUUAUUUUUUUUAAAAGAACUAUGCUUCCUUCCUUCUCAAAUAUCAACAAACAGCCCACAAACCGGCCAUGCCCGGCCCAUUCGUACGGUCCAGCUAGCGGAACACCCCGCCGGGCCCCUCAACAGCUCGGUCUCGCUCGGGCCGAACCUUCGCAAACCACGGCCCGCGCCGGUCCAUUCACCGUCCUCAAUUCCGCGGCUGCAAGAAAAAUAUCCUUCGUCGCCUCCGGCUCCGGGUGAGGAAGACUCCCGAACGGUCGAACACUGGUGGAAGCGUUUGCUUGCCAUCCAUGGCGACUUCUACUGCUGCUGCUGCUCUGCUCCGCCCCUGCCCGGGAGUUCCCGCAGCGGUAAAGCCCUACGCUGGGAAAUGGAAUCCUCGCGUCCUUUCGCACGAGUUUAACUGAGUACAGCUUCGUCUUUGUCGCUUGCAGUUGCAGUUGUCGGAGAGGUGGUCUCCCCGUGCGGUUGCUGGGCGGACGACGAGGAGGAGAAGGGGAGCGGCGGGGGUCGUGCGAGCUUGCUUCAACCCUCUCGGGGACGAGCGCAUCCUCCGAGAAGCCAUCAAGGUAAAUUUCUUGGGUCCUUUUCAGUUUUUUCUUCUUAUAAUCUAUGAUUGGGGAUAGUUCUAGUUUGGUUGAUUGUAUUGUGGUUGAUUUGAGGCUUUAGGUAGCUUCUAGUGGUGGGAAAUGUGAAAUAGACCGUUCAAUCCGACUCUUACACCUAUAUAGCUGGUAGCUGUAGUCUCAGCUUCAUCAAUGCUUGUGGUCUUUUGUACGCUUGUAAAGUUUUUUCCUGGAAGAUGGGACAGUUUAUGCCGCAGUCAUAAUUCAGAUUUGUUUCGAUGUUCAUGAUGUUGGAGAAACUUCAUAUUGAUCUAUGGAGCUAACUCUUCAUUAAACUUUUCAGUGCGUUCUGAACUGUUAUGGUUCCCAUGCUAUCAUCGAUAUAGGCAAAACUAGCAAAAUUGACCCUCAACUUGAUAUGUAGGCGUAUUGUUUCAUACUUCCCUGUUAUUUUAGGUUCCAAUGUCAUCAAUUUUGGUAAUCAAAAUGCAUUCUGGAAAUGGAAAGUUGCAGAUAAUUCAGGAAGAGUAGCUAUACUGUUAGUGACAUUCAUCAAACAAUAAUAAUUAUACGCUCUUUAGUCUGGAACUGACUUCUUUUUCCUGUUGAAGCAAGACCAGAUGAUGAUAUUUUAUCUAUCCUGUCUGUAGGAGCCAGUAGCAUUCAUGGGUGGUGUGUUUGCUGGCCUCUUGAGGCUUGACCUGAAUGAGGAUCCUCUCAAGGAAUGGAUCACUCGGACAGUGGAGGCUUCUGGAAUAGCUGAGGAAAACAGCUCUGAAGAAUCAAGUGAGGCAGAUCAAAAUGAUGCACCUCAACAAAUUGAAAUUGAGUGAGGUGCACUGGCUACCUUUUGCCUGCUUAACAUAUUUUCCCUGUAACUUAUCCUGAAUAUCUGUAAUACCUGAGUCAUGACAUUCUUGCAAAAACUUUUAUGUGCUUAUAUUGUUUUUAAGUCAAACAUUGGAUCAACAUUGAUAAUAUAAAACACUGGGCCCUGGUUUUGUUCUCCCACUCCUAUUUCAUAAAUCAUAAUAUGAGAAAUUUUAGAGUGCUUAAAAAAAUGAGAGCCGUCCAUCUGGUGAAAUCAAACGGUGGAAACAAAGAAAGUACCAUGAAGUACUAAAAGAGAAGUACCAAGAGGUACCAAUUUGGUGGGACCAAGUACCAAAAAUAGUGAGAAAUUACUAUGAUGCCCUUUUAAUUAUGUGUAAAUCUAUUUAAUUCUUUUUUGGUAAGAAGGAUAAGAAAGGAAAGUACCUGCAAGUACCACUGGUACUUUAAAAGCAUUGUAACAAAGCUCAAUAUGAUGUGUCAGUCCUUAAGAUGUGUUCCUUCAAAACUGAACUUUGGCCAUUAGUACAGCUACGGAAUGUAUUACAAGUACAUGAAAGGUUAUAAAAGUGAACCAAAUGCAAAUAUGAUGGUUGUAUUUUUUUUUUGGCGACUAACUCUAAAGAUGAUUGCACCAAUUCAUUUCUCAAAUGUUGCAAACUUUGACUCUCAUGAUGUUUUGGGGCCUAUAUUGUUAAAUGGAGGCAGUUGAUGACCAACAAUAAAAUGAAUUUUACUGAUACAUGUAUUAGGGAGUAUUUGGAUAAUCAAACAUCAUGUCUCCUUUUUAUACUUACUGGUAAGCACCUUCAGUUUCAUUGGAAAAAUAGGAUACUUUUGUCCCUUUUGUUCUAUUCCUGAUAUCAGAACAGUAUAGUGUCAGCAUCAUGUAUUCAUUGGCUUCAAGUGAAGUUUUAUGUGGACAUCAGUUGAAUAUUUGAAUGCAUAAGAGACUACGACCAGGUUACUAACCAUCAGUUCACAUGGAGAAAGGAUCUUGCAGAGGUUUUUUGGUGAAUAGGAUUUGCACAUCUGAAUUGGAGUUUGAAUAUGUAUGUCUUACUGAAAAUGCAGUCUUUUGAUCCAUGAACUCAUAAGUCUUGGACAACGAUUUAUAGAGGACUUAGUUGUGUAUUCAAAUGGACCAGUCUGCUAUACUAACUACCCUUGAAAAAACAUCAUGUUCUUUUUUUCUUGUUUUGCUCCAUAUAAAUUACUUCUAUGGAGCACUGCUGCUUAUUUUUGUAAGAAACAAGGUCUUCCAGCUUUAUUUCAACAAAAAGGCACAAAUAAAACAAAGGGUCACGCAUUAAGCGUAUUCGAGGCGUGCCCGCCAAACACACUCUCAAUGACAGCCGGCACGUUACUGAACUCCACAUGCACUGCUGCUUAUACAUAGUUUUAGUUUGCAUACUACAAGGAAAUAAGAUAUAAAUAAUUUGCUUUGCAAAUAUCGAAUAUAAAUAAAAUUUAAAGAUCCUGGCAUCUCCAUUACAUGGUUUAGAUGGAUUUUGUGAACAAUAUAGCCAAAAAAAUUUCAAGUAAACAACGUGUCCUAGACAGAUUGCUGUGGGUUGAAAAGGGCACGUGUUCUUGUUGACAAAAAGAACCAGAUUUCUUUGGAAUAUAAUAAAGGGUCCAAGAAAAAUAUCAUUUCGUCUCUCUGAUGUAUUGCAUAUUCAUGAGGUAUACUUGGUGAUAAUUUUCCUUUUGAAUGCUAGUAACUGUUUAAUUUGUCUAGAAUGAUGCUACAUAUUGGAGCUACUUCUGUGCUUCAACAGGAACAAUGUUCGUGUCAUGUCUGAUGGCUCCCUGACAUAGUUAAUGCUGAGAAACCUAAGAGUGAGACAGUCAGUAUCUGAUUCAAAAUAUUAUCACUUAAGGAAGGUGUCAUUCUCAUUGUCCAAUUGAAUGAAAGAUCACUAUUUUAGAACAUUUUAGGUUCCGGGAGGAUAAGAUUAUUGAGAAAACUGAAUAUAUUUGUUAAUCAGUCCUCUUUUCUCUUGUUUUCUUGAGCAAGAAAGGUACCAUUCCUUGUGAGCUUGGUGGAUCUUCUCUUGCCUCCCGCUUUCCUGUUUGUGGGACACUCUUUUCAUCCGGUUUUCGCACUGUGAUAAGUAUCCCCGUAUUCUUCUCUUCCUCAUAUUCCUGUGUGUACAUCAGGACAAGAAGUUAGGUGAUGAUAUUUCCCAGUUGUUUGGCUUCUCUCAUUACUGAUUCAUUUAGAAAUACAUCAAUGGUUUUGCACAUUUAUAUAGUUAUAUUUGGUAUUGUAAGUUACUACGUACAGUUACGUGUAUGGUUCCCAAAACAUGCCUUUGGCAUUUUGGCAAGACUUUGGUUAUGGUAUAAAAUUGAAGGUACUUUUCAAGAUAAAUCUGCAUACAUCAUUUUUAUGUGUUCAGUCUACUAAAUGGUUGGUAAUACAUUGAUAAUCAUAUUUAUAAAUUUUGAUCCGUUAUAUUACCACUCUUGUGUGUUCGGAGAGGGUAGGUGUAAACACCAUAUGCACUGGCAAGACUAGUGAGGUAUGCUACAGUGGAGUUUGUUCUGUGUUUGUUGGGAGAUUGGUCAUUUGUGGUUCCAAAUUAAAAUGGAUGGACUCUGUUCUGUUCUAUCGUUUGUAUGUUGGGAGAUUAUUGUGCCAUGCCUAGCGACAGGUGAUAUAUGAAGGUUAGGCAGAUUUCUUUUAAUGCACUGUACCCCACAUGAGACUGACUGAUAAAAAACUAAUUUAUCUUGUCAGUGGAUUUUCGUUCUUUUCCAUUUUAGAAGGUCUCUAUAUAAGUCCACACUUGAGUUUGAACUUUGACUAAUUCUGAUCCGGGUAUUUUUCUUCUACCUGCAUAAUUUAUUACUCAUUGCAAUUUGGUCUCUUCUUUCCUUCCUCUCAACCGUGCAGGGCAAAUCAGACUGUUGGGCGGUGCUUUCCAACUAAUCCAAUGAUGGGCGUGGAUCAAACAGGAAUGGCUAUCAGAAUAUCCUUCGCCUGUAAGUCUCCAGCUCCAACUUGCGAGGCGAGCUGUUAUGGCAUAAUAUGGUUGGCACUCUAGAACCAGAAGUCGUUAUUGUUGAUUUGAUCUCAAGCCACUGACGUGAACUCAGUGAUAUACCAAUGCAACCACUAACUACGUGAUGAUGACUGGAACAUAUUUCUGCUAGAAUGUUUUUGGUUCUCACUUGAUGAUGACUGGAACAUAUUUCCGCUAGACCUUUUAUGCUUCUCAGUGGAAAGGGAUUGCCCUUUAAUGCUGAUGAAGAAACGCCAUGAACUCAAGUUCAGAACAUUUCCCGUAACAUGGGAAAAGUUUCGUAAAUUUUGUCACUUAAUAAUUUGGAAUAUGAUAUUAGUAGAUACUGAAGUGAUGAAAAUAAGUGAAACUAGCAUUAGGAUAGUGUGCUCAACACAGAUUUUUAUUUGCUACUAUUUGAAAAUGGGGGAGAGAAGCAUGGAUAGAGCAUCCAUGAAGCAAGGCAACUUAAAUUCAUUGCACAUCACAUUACUAUUUGUGAAGACAAAGGGUACCAGGAGCAUGUACAGAUAAGAUAACAAUCUUUCGCGCUAGCAUACUGACAUUUCAAUUAUACAUCCUGUCAUGUCGUUGUAAGAAUGGUAUGAUUGGAAGCGCUGCGACACAUGAUACAUCACUGUUGUGUGCUGAUUUACAUUGUUCAGCAGGUCAUAGAACAGACACCUGGCUAAUAAUCAUGAACGAAAUAAUUUGUUCUUUUUGCUAGUAUAAAAUAUGGCGAUUGGUGCCCUGUCACCUGACAUGUCACUUUCUUUCCUUUUCUUUUCUGUUUACAAGUCCAUUUCGAUACACAUAUAUUCCUGGCACGUGGACAGGAAUUGUACAGUCAUGCAUGCAAGUGACUAGACAAAGGGCCUGCAAUCAGCUCAAAUGACCUCAUCGAGUUUGCCAGGAAUUUUACGAGGGAAAAGCAGCAGGGGAGAUUUCCAUUCCAUGCCAUCUUGCGUUUUACCGGCCGGUUUAUCUACUUCGAUCCAACAUCCAACCCGGGCGGCUCACGCUUCACGCCCCGCCUGCUCGUCACCACGCAUUUGACGUUCGCUCGAAUUAGGUAGCUCAUGCAGAUGUUUCCAUGCCAUCCUGAGGACUUUCUCCUAUAUAAGAGUAGAGUUUUAACAGUAUUGAUUAGCGUGAGUUGAUCUGCUGGACAGAUCACGGUCAAGGUGGCCGACACGCCAGCAAGCAUGAAGAGCUCCGGCGUCGUGCUAGUGCUCCUGCUGGCCAUCGCCAUGGCGAGCUGCAGGCUCUCGCUCGCUGCCACCGCCGCCGCCACUCACGAGAGCGGCGCCAGCAUUCCCGCCAUCCUGGGCCGCGAGCUGCGGGAGUUCAUCGCCAGGGCCGGCAACAUGUUCCGGUCGUCGGGGGCUGACGGCUGGCGCGCCGCGGCCACGAACGCCACCGCCGACGCCGACGCCGACGCCGAGGCGAAGAACCUGCGUGCCGUGGCGGCGUCCCGGAGGCGGCGGCCCGCCAGGAAGUCCGCGGGCUGCGUCAGCGCCGCGGCGUGCCGGAAGAGGCGCGUGAUCUGCGCCAAGAGGUGCUACCGCGCCUUGCGCGCCGCCAGCCUGACCCACGUCCCCUCCCGAUGCGUCGUCAAGUGCAGGAAGUGCGUGCCCACCUGCUAGAUCGCGCAUCGCGCCGCGUCGCGUACUCGCGUCGCCGGAGUUGCUACUUCUUGUCGUCGUAGGCUCGGUGGAAUAAAGAUGCAGAACCCUGUUCCGUGCGGUAGUAGGUCGUAGUGAAUAUUGUGAUUUCUAUACUGUACCCCGUCAGCACGUUUUGGAAUUUGGAUUCGGAUUUUUCCACUUGAAUAUCAGUUGUUACGCUCACUUCCAUGGUAGUAGUACAGUACUGUAUGGUACACUGGCAACUUCUGUAGCGGCCAUUUGUUUUGUUUUUUUUUUGGGAGGAAAGUGUAGAAGCCAGCAGUUGUGGGGGUAUGGGAGGUGCGUGUGGGCUUUCAGGGUUGAGCUUCCUGACGACUGACGGGAAAGCUGAACGAACUGCUAACCGUCUGCACUUUUAAUCAAGGAGACGCGUGCCAAGGACGGUGUCAGAUGGGCACGAUCGAUCAUUGCCCGGGGAAUACUAGGGCUUGUUUAGUUGUUCAACUUUGGACAACCAAAAUUACUGUAGCGUAACUGUAGCGUUUCGUUUGUAUUUGUAAAUUAUUGUCCAAAUAUUGACUAAUUAGGCUCAAAAGAUUCGUCUCGCAAAGUACAACAAAAUUGUGCAAUUAGUUUUUGAUUUCGUCUAUAUUCAGUACUCCAUGCAUGUACCGCAAGUUUGAUGUGAAGAGAAAUCUUUUUUUUACAUAGUAUCAAAGUUGAAAUUUGGAGUGCCUAGCUCGCGCGAGCUCAUUCGCCGAAUCCCCCGCCAUCUCACCUAACACGAUUGACCAAGAAACGAAAGAGACCUCGCUAUUACUCUGUGUGGUUUGCGGUUGAGAGUCCUGGCUGUUGGUUGCUGCCUCUGCCUGCCUAAUAACACCCCGGUUUCUCGAGUGCUACGAAGAUUUCGGACAGCCAAAAACCUGCGCGAGCCGUACAGUACAGGGAAAACCCCUGUCUGUUUCAGGCCGCGGCAUGACUCAUGCGUCAUGACCGAUUCGAACCUACCGUGCGCGGACACGCCAUCUUGUAGCCUACUUGCAUGCUCGGCCUUGGCCGGGAGAAAGCUCAUCUUGCCAUCACGAAUUGGUUCAACGGUGGAUCGUCCCAUGCUGCGGUGUUGUCACGUCGAUCGGUAACCGCUGGUCAUGCCAAUUUUUCUACUUACGGAAGUGAAAGCGGCGCACGUCGCGGUGACCGUAUGAUGCUGGGAGAACGCGAAUUUUGGACAGCACUGUAGAUGGAUUUAGACGAGUCCUAGUAGUACUAGUACAACACGUUAUGUCCCGAUUAAUCCAAAAUAAAUCAAUUUGUCCUGACAUAAAUCGAUUUGUAGGCUUAUCCAUCACUAUCACUCCAUCCGUUUUCAAUUUUCAUGUACCACGCUGGCUCCGGCCACCGAAACAUCGAAGACACCUUUUGGAGAGGACAAAAACCGAGGGGGAAGUGGUCUUUCAUUACUGCCUCCUCCGUCUAAAUCUUUAUAUUUAAAAAAUAAUAAUUUUGAAUGGAGGACAUGAUUUGAGACUGAAAACAUGUAGCAUGUGCCCAUGCGGCGAGAGGGUCCAGGGCCCAGCUAGCAGGGAUCCAAGCGGCCGGGGAACAGGUGACGCCGCGCAAGCCGCCAGGAACCGAACAGCGCGAUGCCCACUGCUACGCUAGAACCGCGCGCAGCUGAGUCAGGCCGAGCGCGCUCGUUUCGCACGCGUGGCACCCUCGCUGCCGCGGCUUCCGAUCCGCGACGCGCAUCGCCAUCGCGCGGUUGCGCAUCGCCGUUCCGUCGUAAACCCGGCGGGGCGGGGAAGGAGCGAAGGGAUGGAUAGAUAGAUGCGUGCAGCCGUCGCGGAUCGGUGGACGUGACGUGCGCGAGCGGUUGGAGUUGGAGCGCGCAGCCCCCGGAGGCCGGACGGAGGGCUAGCUAGGCCAGGGCUCUCAUUACUUGCCCGGCGCCGCGAGAUGGACGUGCAACUACACGGCACGGCACGGCACCCCCAAUGCAACGGACAACGCCACCUGCGUGAGUGCGACCACGCGGUGCCCGCCCGGCUGCCCCCGUCCAGCGGUCGCGGCCGCGGCGAGGUUUCCUCCCUCCAGGACGGCAGGGCGGCAGGCAGGACCCGUUCCCAUCGGUCUUUGCCCGCGGCACGGGGUUUUCGUUCUCUGAUUCUCUCGCCCGCGCGCGCCUCGGCUAACGAUGUCAUUAAUGGAUUCCCCGGCCCGGUAGCCAGUAGCACCGGUGCUCUGUAUGUGCAGCUAGCUAGCAGGAUCAGGACUAGCAGUCAGUAGCGUGGUCAAACCCCUGGCGCGGUCUCGUCUACCACUCGUCUUGUUGGGAGGAUGGCAGUUGAGGAGAUCUCAGCUAGUAGCUCUGCCUGGAGUCCGAGUUCUGAACUCGGUCUCCUCCGCUGGUCAGCAUGGAGGCUUCAGUCAUAGGCCGGCGGCCGGCCGGCCGCAGCAACAGCCAACCGUACGUGUCGGUCCGGCCGCCGCGUGAGAGUUUUGAACGGAGUUUUGGAGGCAGCAUGCCGGCAUUCCAUCAGCCGGCGGGUUUGCCAGCCAGCCGUGUCACGCAUGGCUUGCCUGUGUGCCGACGCGAAACUUUCUUGUUUGUGCCAACCGCCCAGGGGUGAGGUGAGAGGUGAGUCGUACGGUACGUUGGCUGCGACUGCGAGGACGGGAACCGAUCGAGCAGCCCGCAGCAAGCGGCCAAGGACGCGUGGGGUCUCGGAAGUUGGAGGCGAUUUGCUGUUGUCAACUUUUUUUUUUGGUCACCAGCCAGCAGCUGCUGGUGCCGGAUCUGAGCUUAAUGAUUCUGGGAGCGGCUCUCUCGGACCGGAGCUUAAUGAUCAACGGAGGUUGACACAUCGCACCAUUUUCUGUGUCCUCUCGCGGUCCAUCAAUUCGAACGUCGAGUACCACCACUAUGUACUCGUACUGGCACCAAUAAUUUUCUUCUGACAAUAUCAGGUUUAGUCCAUCAGCUAUACUACAUCAAAACAUGAACUUAGUUUCUUCCAUCGUUCACCAAGAACUGGGUAACCAUCAUGCGAUGUGAGGUUUGCUACCUUAAUUACAGGUAGAAACCUAACACUCUGGUAUUGUAUUCACGCUCUCCGAAUGAUUGUCUUGCACUGAAACGAUAUACUCAAUCACAGGUUUAUCCCAGGAUUGUCACGCCAUAUUGGCACAACCCAUACGCCCUUUUCAUGACCUACUCAUGGUUAUUAGUAUCUGUCAUGCCAUAUGCUAUCUCGAUCAGUCGAACUGCACGCCAUCGCUCGCUGUCGUCUGCAUCCGUUCCGGGUGCUGGCGAUCUGAAUCCGCUGCGAAACGACUCUCAAUGAGAGAAAAGAAAAGGGAGACGGGCCGGCGGGGCGCGAUUGAAUGCUCGCACAAGAACCGAGAAUUAUGGGGAUAAAAAGGGGGCGGCGAUGAGCCAUCGAGCCGGAAGGUAUGGCGAUGAAGGAAAGUACAACGCCAACGUCCACCAGUACCCGCUAUAAAUGCGGCCUGCAGCUGGCUGGAUCCAUCGAUCUGAUCUCUCACCCGUCUCCUCUCCUCUCGCCUUCAUCAUGUGGCGUGUGCGGCCAUGUGUGCAGUGCCUGUGGACGGCGUCGGGGCCGUAACGUGUUGCCGUCGUGGCCUGCUCGCUCUGGCCCGGCCCCAGCCCUCUUGACUUCCGUGUUCCCUCGCCGGACUCCGACGAUCCGCUCCAGUUCGAUCGUCAACGUCGUUUUUAUACUAGUCGUGUUUUGCUGUAACCUUGCGGCGAUACUGCUGUUGCACGGGUUUGUGCAGUUGACGACGUUAAGUACGAUACAGUUCGUGAAUUGGCAGUGUGCCUCCAAGGCCAUCACAAGGGUUGGAAGCCUAGCCUUCUUUAUAUAAAAAAAAAUCUUGGAAGUCUUAAAAAACAUCAAUUUUCCGUCCAUCGCACGCUUGGUGUGAAUGUGAUGUGAUAAACCUUAUUUGGUUUCAUUGUAUUUUGAGACUGUUAUAGAAAACCACAACUACACAAUCAAAAUAGUGGCAGUACAGUACUCCUACUUAAUAAGAACUGUAGAGAGGAUGCAUGAUGAGGUGAUGAGGCGAUGGAAGGAACCCAAAUGACGGAGACAAUUUGGUUGGCAGUUUAUUAAGUGGUGGCCUCAGUGCAGUGACUCGCUCUCUCACAGCUCCAUUGCUCGCCUCGCUGCUCUCUGAUUGCUCCGUCCAUCCAUUAACUCCUCCCCCCUCUUUAUUGUGCAUGCAUGCUUUCCUCCUUUAUAACUCCUGCCCGCGCUAGCUGCCCUCUCCACUGCAUCGAAACCGGCCGCUCUCUCCAGACGCGCCUCUGGCUCCCGGUCGCCCCACCACUAGCCCUCUUCCUUCCUGACUUCCCAGCCCUCGAAUCCUCGCGCUCGAUCCAGCCAUGAGACCGGGCGGCGGAGACCAGCAGGGCGGCGGCGACGGCACGACGCCGCGGUCCGCGGCGGCCGGGCGGGCCAUGGUGGAGCUGCAGGCCAACGCGUCGGCGGCGGCGGCGGGCGGCGCCAUGGUGGUGGGGCUCAGCCCGCUCAGCGAGACGCUGUGGCGGGACAGCAAGGCGCUGCCCCCCGGCGCCGGCCCCGCCGCGCUCAUCGGCGACGUGUCAGCCAGGCUCACCUGGAAGGACCUCUGCGUCACCGUGGCGCUGGGCCCCGGCAAGACGCAGACGGUGCUGGACGAGCUCACCGGGUACGCCGAGCCCGGCUCGCUCACCGCGCUCAUGGGGCCCUCGGGCUCCGGCAAAUCCACGCUCCUCGACGCCCUCGCCGGCCGCCUCGCCGCCAACGCCUUCCUCUCCGGCAACGUGCUCCUCAACGGCCGCAAGGCCAAGCUCUCCUUCGGCGCCGCGGUACGUACGUGUUGUAUGACUUGUGUCCAACCAUUUUUGCAUGCACCUGCUUCUCGCUUCAUCGCAUGAGCUAUAAGCUUUGAUUCACUACUCUCAUCUGAAAAGAAAUAAAAAAAAUCCACCGUUCUAUUUCUGAGCAUCAAGCGUUCCGUACUACCACUUCAGUUCAGAUCAUACAAAUAUAGCAAGGUAGCAGUUCCAUUAGGGGUUUCUUGAUAGGAUCUGUCCAAGUUCGAAUCUACCGCCCAUAACUGGCACCUGGCAGCAUGCAAAUCGUAUUUGAAAGGGCCAGGAUCUGGUAAUCUGCAUGCAUGGUGUGCUUAAACACAGUGCAGUGGGCAACUUUUAAAAAAAAUCAUCUUGCUAUAUUUGCUAUAAUCGUAUUUGUGCAGUGUGGUCAUAUAUAGGUUUCCCCAAAAAUGAAUAUGUGUAGUUAUACAUACAGUCACUUCACUAGGACUGCUACUUUCCUUUUAGACCUAGAUGCACAGCUACACUUGACUACAUACCAGUGCUACGAGAGAUACAGAACAAACGGUUUAUUUCAUGUCGUGCAAGAGAGAAGCGAGAGAUCGGCUAGCCGGCUCGGUAGUAAUUAGCGACGGAUACACUUCCAAUCCAAUCGAUUCUGGCCGUUUAUUCUCGCAUCCGUCCCAGAUGGCGAGAGCACGGCUACGCGUCGAGCUCUGGUCCGGUCCGGCGUGUAAUGCAGGUAGGUGCGUGGAUUUAAUUCGCCCCGGUGGCUCGAUGGCGCCACACCACUCUCGAUGCCAAAAAUUUCGUACUGCCAUCUCGUGUUAAUUUCGUGAGGUGAAAAGGAGGGAGAGGUCGGCUGUCAAUAUGGCUGCUGUGAGAGCGAGCCUGAACGGCUGAAGCCACCUACACAGCAUAAAUUCUGACAGCUGGGCUUGCUCUCUGAUCCUGCUCUGAAUUUAUGGCGUUACACGGAGAACGCGUCUCUGCAGACGCAAAAGCAGUUGGCUUGCUCGGUUAAUUAGCGCCGAGUUUUUUAGUUAGAGAAACUGGAUGGAUUAAUUUUUGUGUUUAUGCAGGCGUACGUGACGCAGGACGACAACCUGAUCGGGACGCUGACGGUGCGGGAGACGAUCGGCUACUCGGCGCUGCUGCGGCUGCCGGACAAGAUGCCGCGGGAGGACAAGCGCGCGCUCGUGGAGGGCACCAUCAUCGAGAUGGGCCUCCAGGACUGCGCCGACACCGUCAUCGGCAACUGGCACCUCCGCGGGGUCAGCGGCGGCGAGAAGCGCCGCGUCAGCAUCGCGCUCGAGCUCCUCAUGCGCCCGCGCCUCCUCUUCCUCGACGAGCCCACCAGCGGCCUCGACAGGUACCUUAGGUCGUCGGAUAAGAGGACAGGCUGCUAGUAAAUGUUACCGAGUAAACUAACCGUGCGACGGUUGUGUAUUUGUGCAGCUCGUCUGCGUUCUUUGUCACGCAGACGCUGAGGGGCCUGGCCAGGGAUGGCAGGACAGUGAUUGCCUCCAUCCACCAGCCCAGCAGUGAGGUGUUCGAGUUGUUCGACAUGCUCUUCCUGCUGUCCAGUGGCAAAACCGUCUACUUCGGCCAAGCAUCCCAAGCAUGUGAGGUAGUUAUUACUUCCUUGCCCCAUCUCCCUCACUGUUAGCAGUUGGCAGCCGGAACGCAUGCCUCCACAUCACCGUAACUGUAAUUACACACAGCAUAGCAUGAUCAGUCGACUGACUCCUUGCUCACCUGCAGUUCUUUGCUUCAGCCGGUUUCCCUUGCCCGCCUCUGAGGAAUCCGUCUGACCAUUUCCUGAGGUGCGUCAACUCUGACUUCGACAAGGUGAAGGCCACCCUCAAAGGAUCAAUGAAAGCAAGGGUAAGCAGCUAACUGGUCAAUAGACAAAUACAAUAAAAUUUGCAAAUUUUGAUGCUUGUUCUCUGCUGUAAAUAAAUGAUCUAACAUUUCGUGUUCAUGAAAAGAUUGAGAGGUCUGACGACCCCCUGGAUAGGAUGACCACAUCAGAAGCCAUCAGGAAGUUGAUUGCAUCAUACAGCAGGUCCCAGUAUUACUACGCCGCAAGGGAGAAAGUCAAUGAUAUCUCGCGAAUAGUACGUGCUCUGAGUCAUCAAAAGCAACAUUGAUAUGUUGUACCUGUUUUUGGUGUCCAUAAUUAAUAUCAUAUCUGGGGGCAGGAAAUAACCAUCUUGUUCGUUGCAGAAAGGAACGGUGCUGGAUUCAGGCGGCAGCCAGGCCAGCUUCCUGAUGCAGGCUUGCACCCUGACCAAGCGUUCAUUCAUCAACAUGUCACGGGACUUUGGGUAUUACUGGCUCAGGCUCCUGAUCUAUCUCCUUGUGACCGUUUGCAUCGGCACAAUAUACCUGGACGUCGGCACCAAAUACACAUCCAUCCUGGUAAGCAUGAAGAAAAGAAAUAUGAACUUCUGGGCCGGACUGAUAUGAAUGCACAAUAAUGCAGUCACAUGAGCAAUGUCAUGAAACAUAUGAAUGAUUAAUGCAUUCACUACCUUGUCUCUGCAGGCCAGGGCUGCCUGUUCUGCGUUCGUCUUUGGGUUCGUCACAUUCAUGUCCAUUGGAGGGUUCCCUUCAUUUGUCGAAGAAAUGAAGGUGGACUUCAGGCUGUGAUAUUUCACCUGCAAGAUAGAAAUGCUAUGAACUGUCCUCACCUUUUGUUUGCUUCAUUUAUAUAGGUUUUCCAGCGGGAACGGCUCAAUGGGCACUAUGGUGUUGCAUCGUUUGUCAUCAGCAACACUAUCUCAGCAACGCCGUUCCUGAUUCUAAUAUGCUUCUUGUCGGGAACCAUAUGUUACUUUAUGGUGCGCCUUCAUCCUGGUUUUGAACACUACAUCUUUUUCGUGUUGAACCUCUACGCCAGUGUCACCGUGGUGGAAAGCUUAAUGAUGGCAAUUGCCAGUGUCAUUCCCAAUUUUCUCAUGGGUAUCAUCAUAGGAGCUGGAAUUCAGGUAUGGCAUUUUCACCCCCUUUCUCAUGUCAUUUUCCAUGCCCCUACAAUAUGGCACAAGUUGACAUAAACGACCAUGUGACAUUUAAGAUGAAAUCAUGAAUUAUAGAGCCCCUAAACUUGGUAAGGUUUUCUGGGACCACAAUACGAAGGACUUUACCUUGUGCUGAUCCAGUAAGGGUUGUAAGCUUGUAAGGCAUCCAGCUUGUCAUAUAACCACUCCUCACCAGUAUUAUUUGGAGCUUUACUACAUAUUCCAGUACAAGUUCAGCAAUUUACCAUUGAACUUGUAUUUACUAUCUGUGGCAAAAAUAUUUGGCUUGCUUUAGCUAUUACUGCAAAAGAUAUUUAACAGUAGUCCAAUGUUUCAGUUAUGUUGAACAGUUUCAUGCCACCACAAAACAAACAUCAAUUUACUUUCCAUAGAAAGCUCCAGCUCUGGGGCUUAGCAAGAAGAAAUUCUCACAAUUUUCCUUGGACAGGGAAUAUUUAUGCUGGUCUCGGGAUACUUCAGACUUCCGUAUGACAUCCCAAAGCCAUUUUGGAGAUACCCCAUGCAGUACAUCAGCUUCCAUUACUGGGCACUGCAGGUAAAUUCGGUUCCACACAGUAGCAGAUAAAUACAAUGCACACUACACUCCAACCUGAAACUUGACAUCAAACUCUAUACAUCUUACAGGGCCAAUGCCAGAAUGACAUGAAAGGCCUCGUAUUUGACAACCAGUACCCGGAUCAACCCAAAAUCCCUGGUGACUUCAUCCUGAAGUACAUCUUCCAGAUCAAUGUGGAUCGGUCCAAGUGGAUUGAUCUGUCGGUUAUCUUCAGCAUGAUCUUCAUCUACCGCAUCCUGUUCUUCCUCAUGAUCAAGAUCAACGAGGACGUGCUGCCAUGGAUCCGUGGCCACGUCGCCAGGAAAAGGAUGCAGAACAAAGGCCCAAGCGCCACCUUCGGCAAGACACCCUCCCUACGAGGCUAUGUUGUUGAUCCAGAGCUUGGCUCCAACGAGGGCUAGAGGAUAAAGCUGUUGUUUUGGGUGGUAGCAGGAAUAGGGCAUUUCUCCCCCAGCUCUUGGUGUUAUAUUGUACGUAUUUAAGAUGAGGAACUGGUAUCAUACGUUUUGGAACUGAAGCUAAUUUGGGUACAGGUAUACAUACAUGUAAUGUGAGCAAAGUGGCAUCGGAAAAAUGCAGAGUGACACAUAACUGAUUGUUCAGGAUUUAUUGGCUCCUUUUGAAAACAGAUGAAGAAAUGGUUGGCGCCAACAACGCCAGUCUCAGUGGUAGUUUCAUGAAAAUAAAUAAGAUGCUACGUAGAUGAUUAUGAUGACAUGGAACCAUACGAAGAAAGAGAAAACAAUCGUUUCACGGUGAUGAAACGAGCAAGCCCCAGUUACCCAGAUGUUGGAAACCGGACGACACUGCAUUGAGGGGCUUCGUUUCAUCUAGACGCGGCGGCGGGGAUCCCGUGCGAAGCGCGGAGCUCCUCCUGUGAUUAUGUCGAUCUCCCGCGUGGCGCAAGCUUUCCCGCCGGGCUUCCCGCCAAUCUCCAAUCCAUAUCUCGCCUCACUUCUCCCUUCCAAUCUCAUCGAGUGGCCGAUGGCUAUGGUAGGUCUCUGCGACGUUGCCGACGUAGGCCGCGCAGCAGUGCCAUUCGAUGGCGGGCCUAGAGAAGAAUGGCGGCCCCUGCAAACGGACGGCUUCUUCACCGAGAGGUCUAACUUACGCGUCACCACAUCAGGGAUUCGUGAACCUGGAAUCUUCACCAUGACAGCCUCCGCCAAGUGCAGCAUGUUGGCAGCCACGGAGGUCAAUCCUCUUCCACAAAUCCUAGGUAAUUUCCCUCUCGUUCAGUUUGUGCAUCAGUAGAAAACAAAUCCCAAUCAAGGUGUUGUUCGGGUUGCUUUUUUUGACAAAAAAAAUUGUUUGGGUUGCUUGAUUGCUUAAUUGGAUAGCUGAGGAUGCCCUGCUCGUCAGAUUUAUGGGCUGGCCGGGUAUAGGGUCAAGUAGAUCCGGUUCACAAAUGUAAGGUUAGUCAGAUUGAUUAAACUGAAAAACCUAUGUUUCUUUUUAUUCAUGAAGCAGUGCAGAUAAAUUUGGCACUAGCUAUCAUCUGGUGUAGAUGCUAGCCUGUUGUAGAUGCUAGCCCGUCAAUAAUUAUCAGUAGGUAUCAUCUUCCUAUUUCACCAUUCCGAUGUUUUAUUCAGUAAAUAUUAUUUUGCCAUUUUCACUCCCUGUUUUUGUCCAAUUGGUAAUUAUAUGCAUUGGUUCUGAAGUGUGAGACAUAUCUGCUUGUGCUGCUAUAUAUAUGCCAGUUAAAUCUGGCUCUUGAAAAUUUUACUUGUGAACAUAUUAUUAAAUAUUGCCGUCCAUUUUCAGGAGACAAGGUGCCAGUAAAUAGGAUGAUGGAAGGCUUCAGAAGAUGGGAGGCACUAUGUAGGAAAUAAGAAGAUGAAAAUUUGAGUGGCAGUGGGGUUUUUAAGUUUGCCAGAUUCCAUAUUUUGGUCAUUUAUCGCUUUAAUUUGGGUGGCAGCGAGCACUCUAGUCUGAAGGUAAAACUAAUCCAUAUCUGAAUGUUAAACUGCUGCAUAUCUGAAUGUGGAACUUCUUCGUAUCUGAAUGUGGAACUGCUACACCGAGUAACUCUAUAUAUGUCAGCAUAGUACUAUGCUAAUACUUAAUUUAGAUACAAUUGUAGAGGCUACAAAGUUCUCAUGGCACAUUUGAUAUAACUGUAGAGGCUACAAAGUUCUCAUGGCACAUUUGAUCACAACAUCUUAUAAGAAUUAAAUGCUGCAGUCUUUCUAUGAAAUUGUGCAACGAAACUCUGCAUUGAGAGAGAGAGUUUUAUUUCAUUGAAAAGCUGAUGUGGCAGUCUUGGUAACAUUGCGAUCAAACUGUGCACUGAGAUUGGUCUAAGGGCAACCACAAUGUAUGAAAAAAGUAGCCUUAAGCCACUCAUUACUCUGAAAAAGAUAGCAUUAAAACAUUAUGGGGAUGCACCUCAAGGAAAAAAGCUUAAAGGAGCACCUCAAGCUUACGGUUCACCAUAAGGAAAGAAGAAUUAAUUUCUUCUCUCUCCUCUCCCUCCUUUCUCUUUCAUGGCAUGUUUAAACAUGGGGCGGAGAGAUUGACGGAUGGGGAGUUGGAAUGCAGGAUUUUUUUAUCUUGUGUGGACCUCCGGGGUGUUCGCUUCAGCUUAUUCAGCCGGCUUAUCAGCCAUCAAACAGUAUUUUCCUCUCACAACAAAUCAGUCGUUUCAGCUUUUCAGCCAGCUUAUAAGCUGAAGCGAACAGCCCCCUCAUCUUGCGGUCCAAUUUAGACAAUAGCAUUGUGAGUAUGGCUGAAACAAAGAUCAACCGUUUAUGGGCCCACUCUUAAGGUUAUGGUGGACCAGAUACAUUGAGCAUGCCCUAAAGGCUCAAGAGUACGGCUCACAUGGCUACACUGUAUAGUCACAUUGAUUUUGCUGGCUUGAGCGUUACACAAAGUGGUAGUACUACAUAUUAAAGGAAUUGUAAAUGCCCCAUUUGAAUCUAACAAGAUCAAUGUGGUACUAUUUGUGAUUAAAAGUAGGUUGACAAGUUUCAAACAUUUCACAUGGAUUCAUUCAAGUUGUGUUUGUAAUGGUAAUGACCGACACAAUUUCUACAUGACCAUGUUAUAGUUACUGAUCGACCUUAAUUGGUGCAGCCGCCAGUAGCAACAGGAGCUAAGUAUAUGUUUCAAGCCAGAUCAAGAACCCUAGUACAGUUAUUAUGUAAAAAAAAAGACGAUAGUACAGAAUGAUUCAGUUUGGUCCCCUUGUGCCAGGCACAGGACAUGGGUUCAACACUUCAACUUCAAAGCCUAUAUCCCAUUUUCCAUGUUCCAAGCACUAACAAUUCUCCCUAAUUUUUCCUGUGUUCUACAAUGCAACCAACACUAGUAUUUUGGAAUGUUGCUAAUAGGAGAAGAAAAUAAUCAGGGCUGAAUCUAACAUGUUUGUAUUUCUUGGUGCCGUAAAAAUAGAGUAAGAUUUACUAAAAACACGAGUAGAGUCGUAGAGAAAACCUGGGAUCUGAAUGGAGGUGUCGGUCAGAUUGAUAUGUGCUUUGGCCUUCUUAAAUGCCAUGGUAGAUGCAGAAGGUAACUAGGGCAUGUUUUCUUCCACUUGCUAAACUUUAGCACCCGUCACAUCGAAUGUUUAGAUACUAAUUAGAAGUAUUAAACGUAGACUAUUUACAAAACCCAUUACAUAAGACGAAUCUAAACGGCGAGAUGAAUCUAUUAAGCCUAAUUAGUCCAUGAUUUGACAAUGUGUUGCUACAGUAAAUAUUUGCUAAUGAUGGAUUAAUUAGGCUUAAUAGAUUCGUCUCGCCGUUUAGAUUCCACUUAUGUAAUUGGUUUUGUAAAUAGUCUACGUUUACUACUCCUAAUUAGUAUCUAAACAUUCGAUGUGACACGUGCUAAAAAUAAGACACGGGAAGAAAAUAGCACCAGAUAGAGAGGCGCCGUACAGAUAGUCAGAUAUCAUGUGGUAUGCAGGCAGACUCUUGUUCAGAUAAAAACGCAGUAGGAUGGGGGGACACUGUCGAGCGCAUGGGCUCUACAGAAAUCUUCAAGAAAGAUUCGGAGCAUCAACCCUCGGAUCCAUUUUUGGGAAAGCGUUUUCUCUUUUGGAUUUUGCUCAGUUUCUUUUUUUUUCACAACGUUCUAGGCUCAAAGCUAAAUUGAGCAUCAGAAAUAAUCGUAAGUUUUCGUAAACUCUGAAUAGAUCUCACCUCCCUGCAAUUCCCUGUGGCAGUUUGUUGAUAGCAGAUCAUAAACAAUCUAUGAAAACCGGUGUUUGGAUCCCCGAACUAAGUUGAUAGCAGAUCAUAAACAAUCUAUGAAAACCGGUGUUUGGAUUCCCGAACUAAAUUUUAGCUCCUGUCACAUCGAAUGUUUGGACACUAAUUAGGAGUAUUAAAUAUAGACUAAUUACAAAACCAAUUUCACAACCCCUAGGCUAAAUCGCGAGACGAAUCUAUUAAGCCUAAUUAGUUCAUGAUUUGACAAUAUGGUGCUACAGUAAACAUUCGCUAAUGAUGGAUUGAUUAGGCUUAAUAGGUUCGUCUCGUCGAUUUAGCCUAGGGGUUCUACAAUUAGUUUUGUAAUUAACUUAUGUUUAGUCCUCCUAAUUAGCAUCCGAAUAUCCGAUGUGACACGGACUAAAUUUUAACUCCAGGAUCCAAACACGUCAUAAAGAUCCGGACACCCUCUUGUACUCUUCAAAAUGCUGGAGGAUGGAUGACAUAUGCAGCCCGGAUGCGGAUCAGACGCAGUCUGACUUGGCCGAGCCACAUGCUUCGAGGACGCCGGAGUCCCGCCGCUGCUUAGCGCCGGAGGUCAAGCUCAGGAGCUGCUCGCUCCGGCAGUGCAUCCGUGGUGCUAUGCGGGAAACGAAAUGGCCGGGCCGAGCAACGCCUUCUGCGUGCCGCCGCCUUGGGCCGAGCCUUGCCGACGAACGCGUUCCCAGGACUUUGGACCGCCAUGUCUGCGGCGAGCCAUGCUAGCGCAUCGUCGACAGCGAUUGUUGUGGCUCGAUCGAUGCCUGUGCGGAGGACAAGGACGAAGAGAGUCAACGUAUUGCCGCGAAGGCCACCAUGGCGCACGCACUGCAAGUGAAUGUUCCAAGUUUGUAUGCAUUUCUUCGUAUUCCCUGUUGGCUCUUUACACUGCAGCCAGAAUCUUAGGAGUAACUUUUCUGCCUGUCUCAAGGUGCUACUUGAUUUGCUCCAUUCAUGAACCAAACAGAGCAUCCAGGGUUUGACACAUUUUGAACUGGACUAGGCAUUUUUUGCACGGUUUACCUGCACAAGGAAUUGAACCUGGUUAAUUAUGCACACAUCCGGAGCAAUAGAAGCAGGAUGAGUUCUUCGGACCACUGAAGCAGGCGCACUGACGAACCAUGUCACAUCCUGCAGGUGUAGACAAUCAGUCGAUCAGUAGCAACCACGCUCGCGUUCGUACCCGAGGCGCAGUAGUCCGAGGUGCGCAUGCCCAGCCGGCGCGGGCACAACCGCGGCGUGGCCCGGACACGGCGAGCGGUGCCCGCCUCCGGCGUCCGGUCGUAGCUGCGGGAGCAGAGAUACUGCUGGCGCUAGCUGUUGAGCCAGGGAUUGGCCUCACGAUCUCCGCCGGGACCAAGGGCGGAAAUGACGGCAGCGGCCAGCGGUGGCGGACAGCGCCGGACGGAAGCCGAGCCGAAUCAGGGGUGCAUGUGGGCCCACACCAUGGUUUUCUGACAGCUAGGAGCAAGCGGCCUGUUCGCUUCAGAUUAUUCAGCCGGUUUAUCAGCCACCAAACAGUGUUUUCCUCUUACAACAAAUCAGCCAUUUCAACUUUUCAGCUGGCUUAUCAGCUGAAGCAAACAUGAUACGAAGGCGGGUAGCUGCUGGAACGCGGCCGCGCUCUGGCGAGCCGGAGCACCAAGCAGAUGAAGCGCUUGUACCCACGUCGGGUGCUCGGGGGUGGACGGUAUUUCAUUUACCGUCCACCCCUCGAGUCACUGCGGGCCGUUCGAUCGCACACGCGCGGCCCGGAUGCGGCGCGGUCGCGGUCGGAGCCUGACUCGGUCGUUUCCGAUCUCGGGAACCACAUGGCGGAGGCCGGAGGUCGGGUGGCGCUGGCGCCCCUACGACCGCUGCUCGACGUCGCCGGCAGCCUGCGUGCCGCAGUGUCGUCGCCGUCUUGCGCCGAGCCUUGUCGAUCUGCGGCGAGGACGGUCUGGGGCGUUGUGAGCGCGCCGCCGCAGGGCAUCGCCGACAGCCGAUCCAACCUUCAAGGUCUUGGCUCGAUUGAUACAUGCACUGGCUUGAUGCUGAGGACAAGACGAUCAAUGUAUUGAACGAAGCUGUGCGUGGAUCAUCCAUCGGUUGCCGCGCGCGGCCACCAAGACGCGCGAGCUUGCAUUGCCUGGUUUUCCGACCGAGAUUCAAGUGAAAUCGAGCUGCCCGGCCUUGUCCGGGAACGUGUUGCUCACUACGGUCUCAACAGCUUCGACGUCGGCGGCAACAGAUUCCCGUGGAGCAAUGGCAUACCCGAGGAAUUUCCGGGGUUGCUCGAAUGUGGCAAUGCGAAUUCUUUGCUCGUCAUUAAUUUUAAAAAAAAACUUUGCUGCGAACAGGAACUCUGAAUACCCACCCAAACGAGAAGAAACAGGUGCACUACUCAAACCGGAUGUUUAAAGAGAGAUCCAACAACAACAAGAAGAAGAAAGAAACUAGACGUAAGGGUAAGGCUGCCUCUCUCUUCUACGGCGAGCUGGAGCUAGGGGAUGCCCCGGCGAUGAUGAUUGGCCAGCUAGACGCCAGAGGGACCUUCACUUCAGGCCACCUUCUUCAACGAGAUGGGCUUCGGCCUGCUAGAGCUUUGUGGAUACAUGAGCCUUCUCGGGCCAUCUAUAGUAAGUUUUAGGAGCAUUUGUGUUUGUACCCUCCUUUGAAGUAUAACUGUGAUUUUACCCUCAUUUUAUUAACUUUGUGAUUUUACCCUCAACUUUUCACAAGUCAAUACGAUUUUACCCCUAAUCAAUAGUCAAAACAGGGGCAAGUACACAAAAACCAAGGGCAAAAUCGCAUUGACUUGUGAAUAGAUGAGGGCAAAAUCAUAAAGUUCAAAAAAUAAGAGUAAAAAUACAAUUGCACUUCAAAGUAGGAGCAAGAUAAAAAAAAACCUAAGUUUUUACCAGUAGGAACAAAUUAGAAAAGUCAACAGUAGCAAGAAAGGGGGCUUUGAAGCAGGAAGAAAUUGUCAGAAUGAAUCCCAUAGCAUUGAACGAUUCAAACUUGUGAGCCUUGCAUAUAAGAUGUCCAAAAAAUGGCAGUCACGAGUCUAAAGAGGUGUUUGGAUACACCCCACUAAAAUUUAGCACAUGUCACAUCAGAUGUUUAGAUGCUAAUUAGGGGUAUUAAACAUAGGCUAAUUACAAAACUAAUUGCAUAGAUGGAGUCUAAUUCGUGAGACGAAUCUAUUAAGCCUAAUUAGUCCAUGAUUUGACAAUGUGGUGCUACAGUAACCAUUUGCUAAUGACGAAUUAAUUAGUCUUAAUAGAUUCAUCUCGCGAAUUGGCACAUGGUUCUGCAAUUAGUUUUAUAAUUAGCUCAUGUUUAGUCCUCCUAAUUAGCAUCCAAACAUCCGAUGUGAUACUGCUAAAGUUUAGCAUCUAGUAUCCAAACACCCGCAGCCAUGGCUCUACUACGCUGAUGUAAUGCUAUCGUUAAGAUCCAAUGCCAUUAGAAGUUGCCGAUAGGAGUAGAAAUGCUGUUUCUGUAAUUGCAAAGAAAUAGUCUGACACUUGUUUUUUAUUGCCAACAUACUAAAACUAUUGGAGAGUUGUACAUAUAGCUGCUAGGUUAACACAUCCAAGAUCUAUUAACUACAUGCUUGAUAAUUGGUUAAUGGGCAUUGAAAUGAAAGAAAGAGGAUGGCUUUUUGCAGGGGCAACAACCUUUUUAUAGGCAACUUGGUACACUCGCAAUGAUCCAAUAUUUGAGGGGGGAAAAAACGGUUUGCCUGCUUUACACAGGCUACCUUCAUAGGUAUAUCAUCAACAAAGCACACAGCACAGCAAAUCAAAUUAUAAAGAAUCAAUUCAGAGACUCAAAUAGGUAAGUGAAACUUAACAAAUCCAAGCAUAUGUUUACAUGUCAAUUAAAGUGCCAGCAGAUUGCCAAAAUGGCAAUAUGGCCAUUACAACGCACUUUCAAUAUUUUUCACAUAAAGCAGCAGAUCGCUAGCUGUGAAGUCAAUAUAUUGCAGCUACAAACAAGUCAUGAGGUAGGCAAGAAGAAAUAUGCAACAGCUAAGGCACUAAGCUAAUAGUCUCACCUAAAAUUCUUUGCUGAUAUAUAAAGCUAGUUAUGUACAGUAAAUUAUUUAACUGGAUCAAGGGUCGAGGACUGGAAGCCUGCAGUAGAAGCUAAUGGACUUGUCUGCCAAUCUAGUUCCCGGGAUGAAGUACUGGAAUACCACUGUUAAGCAAGCACCACCAGGAGCAAUGCCUAUACAAAUAGUGAGAAAAAUGUAAGGAAAAGAGUCUCUGUUGAACACAACAUGUCACUGAGAUUAGAGCUGAAAACAGACCAUAGAAGGUAUAGUCUGGCUUGGCGAAGUGACAGUGUAGACUCUUAACAAGGUGCUUCAUAUUCACUUGCUGCAAGAACAUAGAAAGAAAAGAAAUCAAUGAAAUAGAUGGCACGAAGAGAAGAGUGGGAGAGUAAAAUAAGUGGAGCUCAGGAACAAUACCACUGAAAGUGCUUCCCCUCUCUCAACCGCCAUAUCCAUACGAGUCGAAGCUGUCAGAUUUUGAUCACCAACAGGUGCAUUUGCUGAAAUGCAGAGCAGUAUGGUGCCAACGGAGUUAAAAAAAGAGGCCGGAACAUGAACAAAUCAAUGCUGAUUGAAACUACCCAGUGCCAUAUCUUACCACGAUCGCCAAUAACCCGAAGCUUCCUGAAUUCAGAGCCAACCGUAACAAGAGAAGUGGAAACUUGAAGAUGGAGAUCGCCAUAUUGCGUAACAGCUACUGUUAGUAGAUCACCAACAUUUUUUAGACGAUCCACUAAGCUUUGCAAUUGUGGCAGAUCAGGAACCUGGACUAGAGUCUGCACAAAGGAUACCCGCCAUGUAUCAUCACCCAUUAGGGCUUCUGUCAGCUAAGCAAAAAGGUCACACUAGUGCUACAAGCCUUUGGACUUAUAAUAACAUAAAAAUGAAUAAAUACAGACCCCUCCAAAUUGCAAGAACACUUCCCCCAGGAAAGUGUAGUUGGAUUGUUUAAAGCUUAAAACUGGUUUGCCGAACAUGUAUUAGAGAGUGUAACUCAAUUUCAGCACAAAGAGAGCAUUUAAUUCUGCUGCAAUUUAUUGACAAUUGCUAUUAUAGGUUGCUCUUGUCCAGUACUGCAGGCAAGUGCAUUUUCACAUAUUUUUUAAGAAUAAAUUCCUGGAUCAAACCCCAUUCUAAGAACCAAAAUAUCUUUCAAUGUUUCAACAGGAGAAAUGAGUUCAGAGUUGAAUCCAUUCACUUCAUGAACCAGUCUUUCAACUAGGAACAUGUAUACCAACAAAAGCACGGUAUUAGUUCAUCCAUCCAACAAGAAUAUAAUCCCACUAAAAAUUGCAUAGUCAGAAUCAUUUCCAUUAGGCUCAAUUGUAACUUUGAAUAGUUAAAUUUGGAUCUUAAUUAAUCGGGUGAACCUGAACCAUAGGACCACCUUUUGGUUUCAAUACAUGAUUAUUGAUUAGGAACCAUAAGAUGCUACAUGAACUGAUGAACGCCACACACCUGAGGGAGAUCCUUGGCGGCGUCAAGGGCGGCCUGCAACCGCUCGACGUCGGAGCGUGAGAGAGGCCGCGAGAUGGGCACAUCCUGCACGACGGCCGCGCGGGAGCCCUUGGUCUCGAAGGUGAGGAACGGCGUGGCGGAUCGUGACCCUGCGGGCAGCUUGUUGACGAGCCUCACCUGUAUCGCGGCGGCGCCGGCAGCGUCCCCGGCGGCCGGCGGCUGCGCGUGGACUGCGAGCACGCUGCGGAGCGCGCGGUGAAGCAGCGCGACCUCGACGGAGAAGGCGAUUUGGUUCCCGUUCCGCGAGGACAGGUUGUACUCCCGGAAGAGGAGAUCCUUGGCGAACUGCGCGACGCACUGCGGGCCGCCGCCGUCGGGCCCCGCGGCCGUGGCGCCGAGGAGGUUGUGGAGGAGCAUGGCGUGCGUGGGCGUGAGGAAGACGUGGCAGACGCGCCCCACCUUGUCCAUGGCAGGUAGGAACCCUGCGCGGCAAAAAUCGCGGGGGACGCAUGAGACGUGCUCGACGAAUUGCGGGAGAGAGGGAGGGGGAGAGGGGAGGCUGUGCUUGUGUAAUAUGGCGCUUACGCUUGUCGAGGAGGGAGAUGCCAUCAUCGGUGAAGAAGGCCUUGAACUUCAUGGCUUGCGCUCCGCGACGGCGGUGGCGGCCUCUGCCUUCGUCUUCUCGUUGUGCGGCGAGGGAGUCGCUGUGCUGGGGGCUUGCCGCUGGGGAAUUUGGCGCGGGUUUGGAAAGGCUUCGCGCCCGUAGAAGAGCCGGCGGCGUCGGGCGUGACUGGUGGUCAGUGGGGUUCCUUCUUCGGCACACUUGGGCCCUUUGUUGCUUUUGCGCCGUGGGCUUAACAAUCAUUUCAUACGGGUCUAUUGUGAUUAUGGGCUGGAAUUGUGUGUGCUGAAUCAAGAAUGAAUUUUCCAAUUCGAAGCUAGAAAUCAGCGAAAACACAUUUACUUGAAUAAAAUGAUUUUUUUAGGACUGAGUAAAAUGAUGUUCUGCGUGUUGGUAAAACACAUUUGUUGGUCUUUCUUGCAGGGCGGGAGAGAUUGGCUUGCGAAAUGUGUAGGUUCGUAUUGGUGCAUGCUGCAUAUAUAUUGAACACGAAACGUAGCACAGUCACGGAGCAUUCGUCAAAGUUCAAACUGAGUUAGGUUAUUAAAAACGCAAAAAUUCAGGAAGGAGUUGCUUUUCGUNNNNNNNNNNNNNNNNNNNNNNNNNNNNNNNNNNNNNNNNNNNNNNNNNNNNNNNNNNNNNNNNNNNNNNNNNNNNNNNNNNNNNNNNNNNNNNNNNNNNNNGGCAGGACCUUUUAAAAUCUUUUUUAUUCUUUCGAAUGUUUUUCUUUCAUUUAAAGUGUAGUUGUAUUGUCCGCAUAAAGACCUGGCCACAGAAUUCGUGCAAUUGGUCGGGAAACAAUUAGAUAGAGUGCCCCCACAGAACCAAAUUCAUUUGACGAGAUGGGAACUUUUUUAUUUUUAAAUUUUUUAAAGUUCUUAAUUUUAUUUGUAGGCCAAGAUCCUUUUGCCGGGCCCGGGCCCCAGGGCGCGGUAGUCAAUUUUUCCCGCCCCAGCCCGGCGCUGAUGGGGGGGGGUUGUCGCCCCAAACCAUGGGGGCGCGCAACCCCCCGGGCCGGCAGGGGGUUUAAUUUCUUGGGGGGGUGGGUUUUUCUUUUUCCCCCCAAAAACCCCCUCCCCCCUUCCCCCCCCCCCCCCCCCCGGGAAAGUGGGGGGCAUCGACCCCGCGUUGUUUGGAAGGUAUCCCUACUUUUUUCCGUCUUUUACCGUUCCAUUUAGUAGAUCGGAGGGUGUUUAGGUGAAAUAGGUUUAGGAUUUCAUUUUAAAAUUUUCAUGAUUUGCAAGUUUGUUAUGUAGUAAUGAAUGCUUAGUUUAUACGCAGUCGACUCUCUGCCCACGAGUUUAACAUGUAGAAGUAGUUGCAUGCAUCGAUUUAUAUAGUUGUUGAUGUAUUUGCGUAGUGUGCACGGUAUGUGUAGGUUUAUUUGUCUAAUAUGUUGAAAAUUAAUGUAGUUUAUUAUUGUUGUUUGUAGUAAAUGAGCUAUAUUUGGUAUGUUAGAGUCUUUGUAUUUUUAGAUGGAUCGUUUAGUUCGUAUGUUUCAUGGUGGGAUUGUAAAAGAAAAUAGGGAGUUUGAGAAUACGAUUGAGGUGGUAGAAUUGUUCGAUGCUCGUCCAAGUUUUAAAGAUUUAGUUGACCGUGCAAUGACAAAAUAUGGAUGUGGAGUGGAUGAGAUGACAUUAAGAUGCCAUUUUGAUUGUGGGAAAGCUAGACUUUAUUAUAUUCUCAUGAAUUUGGCAUCCGAGUCUAAUUGGAAGCGGAGGUAGUUGAGCAUGCAACUGUUGUAUAUUUGGAGGUGCUAGUUGAUAUUUGUCGUAGGCCUAGCGCAAAAGUUGCAAGUCCGGUUAGUGGUUGAGAAUGGUACCCAAGAGUCAACAAUCUUACAGCAUGGUUCAGGUGAAACCCAAUCUGAUUUUGGUUUGGCCAUUGCAAAUGAUGGUUUUCCUAAUGAUACUUUUGAGCGGGAAGAAGCAAACAUAGAUGAUGUUGACAUAUAUCUCUAGGUUCGGAACUUUGAGGAGGAGCAUGGGGUAGAAGAUGUUCAGGCCAACGCACAUGAAGAUGUACUAGUCGGAGAUGGACCCGAAUGUGAGGAGGAGUCACAAUCUGAGAAGGAAGGGCCUGAAUCUGAGGAGGAUGGGCCGCAGGUCAACUCUACAAAUGUACAUGAUGUAGAGGACAUUGAUCUUGUGAACGAAUGUUAUUUUUACACUCCUAAUGAGUUGCAGUUGUUGAAGGAAUGUCACGUUGAACUCCCAACCGUUUCCAAUACUAAGGACAUAAGCAUGGUGUUGCCAAUGAAUAGAUCUAACCACAAUAACAACAACUCUUUGAUUCAUCUAUAUUAUUUAUCUACAUUGCAUGCCUCCAACUAAAUCAUUAUCAAGAUCUCAAAUCAAGCAUAUGUUACAUUUUUUAAACGUCAAAUCCAGAGGCAGAACGAUACCUACAAGUGUACCGCGAGUCUGAUCUAUCAACACGAACUUGCAUUAAUUCAACAUCUUACCCUAACCCUAGCCUAACCUAGUUGUUCAAAUAUCUACUAAAUGCAAUGGUAAAAUAAGGAAAAAAGUGGGCAAGAACGCGGGAUCGAUUCCCCACUUUUCCCACCCCAAAACGUAGGAUUCGGGGGGAAUCAGGGGGUGUGGCGGUCGGCGGUGAGGAGAAGGAGCGGCUCGGGCAGGGACAGCAGCCGAAAGAAAGGAGGGAGAGGAAAGGAGAAGGGCACGUGCUGGCCUGGAUGUAGGCGCUGUCGUGCCAAUUCAUGUGACGCGGUAACGCCUCACCCCGUCAGCGCCGCGCUGUCCCACCACUGCAUGUGGCACGGCAGCGGCUAACUACUGCGCCAUGGAGCAGGCGCAACCAAAAGGAUCAAGCGUGCAAAUAAAGUUGGGGAGGAGUUAUUUUUAAAAAUAUCUUUAAAAAGAGUUAAAAAAAAUAUUCAAGAAAUUGACGCCCCACAAUAAUGCGGCCAAAUACUGGAGCGGCUUGCUUCCAAUCAAUAGUCGAACAAUAAGCAACGAGUGAAAGAAAGAGAUAUACAUUGCCAAUGUCACCGCCUGAUUACAUCUGAACAAUGUAUCACCAAACUAGCAAAGAAUCCAAAACGCUGGAAGACUACUCUGAAACAGCAACCUAUCUUGCCAGAACUUCAAACCAGAAACUACCAUUAACACCUAGAGCAUUACUCCUAAACUGCCCAGUAGCAUCGUUAAACAACCGAAGAGCUCGCCGAAACACCGCGACCAUCGGACCGGCCACUGACGGCACUGCCACGCACGCGUUGAACGUGAACAUUGCUAGUUGAACCACGGCGGCUGGGCUCCUGCGACGCCGCCGCCUUCUGCUUGCUCUGCCAUGACUGCUCCGUGACCUGCUCCACCUCGUCACCAUUGUACUGCCAUGACUGCGAGGCCGUCCUGGUCCGGUCCGUGGAGUCGACGGAAUUGGGCUCCCAGGAGCACGUCCAGGCGUUGCCGGCGAAGCUGUUGCUCCCCGCGGACUCCUGCGGCUCGGUCUCCCCGACCCCGCGGAUGUCACGCACCGAGACGUAUUUGUGCAUGCUCGGCUCCAUGAGGUCGUCCUUCACGCCGACCUCCGACUCGACCACGAGGCUGGGGCCUGGACCCUUGCCACCGUACCUCCCGUUGACCGACUCCUUGUCGUUGACCGACCUCUCCAGCUCGAAGCUCUUGUUCUCGGACGAAGAGGAGUUGAGGUCAGCGACGGCUUCAAGGAUCGAGCAGGCCUUCGACACGCACGCCGGGAGAGCGAAGGUCGGCGCGGCAGUGGCAGUGGCGGCGCUGGUGCUCUGCUGGUGGUAGUUUUGGAUGUCCUCGAGGAGCAGGGACGCGUACGAGUUGCCAUUGUGGUCGAAGUCGCGCGAGGACCGCCUCGACGACCGGCUCCCCGGCUUCAGAUUGGUGACGUUCUCGGCCACGAUGCUCACCGAGUGGGUCGCGUUCAUCCUUGCAGACGAAGCCUUUGUGUCCGACGCCACGGCCUCGUCCACAAUCUCCUUCUCCUUCACAGCUCGGCUGCUGGGGAUCUGAUCCUUUGCCCGCUCCACUGUCUUCUGCGGCAAUGCGACGGCAGCAUCGGCGGAUUUCUGCAAAUCAUAUCGAGAAUUUAGCCAUUUAUUAGGUGGGGAACACUGACGGCUAAAAUGAAGAAAAGUUUGAAGCAUUCGUUCAUCCGUACCUUUUGGAGCUUGCCGUUGUUGCCAUUGUUGUGGUGGUGGUUGUUGUCGAGAGCGUUCUCGUCGAGCUCCGCCAUGGGGUUGCGCCGGAAGGGCGACUGCUCGGCCUUCCUCGAGGAGCUCCGGCUCAGGGACGGCCCGUGCGUCGGCUGCACCAGGGCGUUCUCAUUCCCUGCGGCGGCCGCCCUCGCAGGCGAGUUCGACCUCAGCGUCGGCGAUGGGUACCUCUUCCCAGACGACGCAGCCUUCACCGGCGACGGCGCGCGCCCCUUGUCCCUAGCCGGGACCGACACCAUCUUCCCCGGCUGCUGCCGCGCGCCCCGCUCGCCGGUCCCCGAGCUCCCCGCGGCGGGGGCGACGUCCGCGCGCCGCCCCGGCGACCGGCUCACCCUCCCGCUCCGGCUCCCGCUCCCGCCGCCAGUGCGGCCGUCGUGGCUCGCGGACCGCUUCCGGUCCGGCGUCCGGCGGCGCGGGGAGGGCCUGGACACCGCGGCCCCCUCCCUGCCCCAAUCGCACUCGUCGGCGCCGCCCCCGCCCCUCCUCUCGUGGUCGAAGUCGUAGCUCCGCUUGGAUCCGGCGUACCUCCGGUGCCCGCCGCCGUGCUCCCCCGACGGCGCCUUCCCGGACGCCGACGAGCUCCGGCUGAGGCGGCCGCACUGGAUCAGGAUCGCGUCCACCUCCUCCUUGGUGCAGCUCGACGUGCGCACCGGCGCCCGCACCACCGCGACGGGCCUCGGCUCCUCCUCCUCCGGCGCCGCCCGCUUCACCUCCGCCGCCUCCCCGGACCCGGCCUUCGCGGCUGCAGCGACCUCCGCGGCCGCCGCCGCCGCGGCUGCCUUGACGACGAACACCGUCCUCUUGUCGGCUGCCGGCUCCUCCGGCCUUGCUACGGCCUUCUUGGCCGUCGCCGAAGCCGGCGCCUUUGACUGGGGCGCUUUCUUGGCACCGACGACCGGUGCGGCGUCCCUGCCGGAUUUCCGGCUGCCGCUCUUCUUGGCGUCGUUGCACGGCUGCCCGUCUCGCCGCUUCGCGUGCUGCUUCUUGCUGAAACAGAGCCCCAUGGGAUUCAGACGGGGGGGAAUGGACGGAGUCGGGAGCUAGGUAGGGAGGGAGGUGGGUGAGGACUGACGGUGAGCCGAUGCGGUGGUGGUGUUUGGGAGGGGCAGACGGCAGAGCCUUGGGAGGCGUGGAUUGGAGUCUUGCGUUUUUGUGGUGUGCGCGGAGCAGUGGAGAACAGUUUCAACAGAGACAGGAGAGGGGCGGCGGCGAGGGGGAGCGAGAGGGAUUUCAAAUUUCCUGCUGUUUCAUCGGGGUCUGCGCCCACAGCGGCCGCCGCACGACGCGCACACAGGAUAAAGCCGUUGAGCUCUGCGCACGGGAGAGUGAGCACUGAGCACAGUGAAGACGUGUGCCGUACCACACUUGCCACGCUUCUCAGCUUCUGCCUGAUGUAAAAUCUCAACUCUUUUUUGUAAGAAAAAAAGGUAAAAUAUCUGUUAUUGCGUUGUUAAUCAGAAAUGUACACAUUCAAAAUCCUUUUUAGAAGGUUUCACUACUUUCCUGUCACCACUGUCUAGUGUCUACUAUCACUUGUAGAUUCAGCUCGACAUCCGCUGCAAUCACUGGCUGACAUGACCCCAGGCACGUGUUCGCGUAACGCACUCUGGGUUGGGAGAGACGGUAGACGGAGACGGAGACGGACGGACUAAUAGCUAGAUUCAAAUUGGAGGAGCAGUGCAGGUGCAGGAGAGCUGGAGAGGGACUGUUGAGCUUUUCGCAUUGUUUAUAUUUUUUUAACCCAAAAGAACCGACCGUUGCAGGGGUCAGCAGAGCUGAGCGUAGGAUUGGCAUCUGUCUACACCUCGCAUCACAUCAUCCUAUUGCAUUGGCUCGAGGCCGGAUCAUGUUUUGAGGUUAAUUAGAAAGAUUAAAUAAUAAAAAUAAUUACAUAAAUGAGGGUUAAUUCGUGAGAUGAAUUUAUUAAGCCUAAUUAGGGUCUGUUUGGAUACACUGCGUUAAAAUUUAACAAGUGUUAAAGUUUUAACACUCUCAAAUAGAGUGCUAAAGUUUAACACAUUGGGGUGUUUGGAUGAUAUGUUAAACUUUAACAUCUUUGGUGGAAAAUGACUCCAUUGCCCCCUCAUUUAUGGCCGGCGGAGAGAGAGGGAGGAGAGAGAAGGGGUAAUCUGGGAAAAAGUGGAGAGGGGACCACUUUUAACACCUUUAGCAAGUUUUAACACCUCCUUGAUGUGUUUAUGAAAAAUGGGGUGUUAAACUUUAACACCCCACUUUUAACACAAAUGUUUGGAUAGGAAAGUGUUAAAAAGUGUUAAAAGUAGGGUGUUAAACUUUAACACCUCCUUCCCAAAUAGGGCCUUAAUUCAUGAUUAGCACAUAUUUAUUGUAGCAUCACAUGUUUACUCCGCAUGAAGAGCAUCCAGUAUCCAAUUUCUUUUUUGACGAAUUCACGUGAUAGCAGAUAAGAUUUGUUCAAGCCUUGCAGAGGUGACACCCUUGAUUCUUUGACGCAACACUUUCUUUGUCAACGUAGGAGGGAAGGGAAGCUUGGACCACAUCCAAUGAUGAUGGUAUUGAUGUCAUGGUGAUCCUAUCUUGGACCUUGCAUAGUACAGAUGAGAGUCACUCUUUGCGUAUUGAGAUUGUGGAGUAGUAUUUCAUUAGUCAUUAGAGAUUUUAAGGGCCAGUUUGGUAGGGCUCACUCCGGCUCCAGCCGUGACUUCUGCUAGAGCCCUCCCAAAGGGCAGCGCACGAAAUGGCUCCACGAGCGAAGCACCCAGAGUCGGGGCCCUUUUUGUACCGGCGGGGAGGAGCCAAAAAUAGUGGCUCCUCCUGUCUCCCAAGUACUAAAGGCCGAUGGUACCCUCGGCGUGGAGUGGCGGGGAGCAAGGUAGAGGGCAGGUUGGCACGAACAACUAAUGAGAUGCGGUGGUGCAAAAGAGAAGGGGAACGACGAAGCUAAUGGCGAAGAAAGGGUGAUAUGGGGCCUACCAGUAGGGAACACCUGUGGCGGGGUGGAGAAAUAGUGACAUGGAGCCGCUGCAGCCAUGGAACUGUCGUCUCCCACCAAUUUGCCGUCCAUAAGGUCGCCUGCCAUGCCACCAAUGCCAUGGGGCCACGAGCCUACGGAGGAGAGGAGGAUGGGCGGGAGGAAGAGGAAGGAGAGGUGGAGGACUAGCAAUUGCAUCUUUGGCAUGCCGUGGCUGCAUCCAUGAUGCAGGAAGAAGGGAAUCUGUGAGGACGGAAUUGAGCGACGUGGCGGCAUGCGGAGAAGGCAGCGUUGCGACCUCACUCAUGGAGAAGAUAAGGAAGUAGGAACAGAUAAGGUGGAGAAAAGAAAGGAGAGAAAAAAGAGAGAGAAAAGGAGAGAAAAAAGAAGGGUCACCCGUGUGUCUUUUGGGCCUAAAGCUCAUAAUUACCGUGUAAAGCCUGUUAAACAAUUAUUUGUUAAUCUAGAAUUUAUAUUCAAUGCUUUUUUAAUUUAUAUGAAAUUGCAUUAUAAAAUGAGGGCUACUAUUUGUACAACCAAGUCAAGUAUGCAAGGUACAUUCGACAUUUCAUCUCUUCAUCUACUCAUGAAAACAUAGGUCAAAUGUUUUUCAAAAUGACUUCAGCUCCACUAGAGAAGUCGCUCCACCAAAGAAGCCAGAACCGGAGCUGUUUUUGGAAAAGCCGAAGCCUUGCCAAACAGGCUCUAAUAGUUGAAAUCACCUAGAUCUUUUCAAAAAAAAAAUCACCUACAUCUAAAGCUCAUAAGACCCUGUUUGGAUAGGGGUGUUAAAAUUGAACACCCUACUUUUAACACAUUUUUAUCAUAUUAUCUCCCAAACACAUGUGUUAAAAGGGAUGUGUUAAAGUUUAACACCCCCAAUUUCAUAAACACCUCAAGGGGGUGUUAAAAGUUGUUAAACUUGUUAAAAGUGGUCCCCGUCUCCACUUUUCCCAUUGCCCCCUUCUCUAUCCUCCCUCUCUCUUCGUCGGCCAUAAAUGAGGGAGCAAUGGAGUCAUUUCUCACUGAAGGUGUUAAAGUUUAACACACCAUCCAAACACCCCAAUAUGUUAAACUUUAGCACUCCAUUUGAGCAUGGGGUAUCCAAACAAGCCCUAAAUACGCCAUAUGGCUUAAGAAAGAGCAGAUGCUCAUAAAUACAAAACGGUUGUAUGUGAAUCAUUUCUCAUUUCUUAAGGCGGAAGAGGUAUUUCCACGCUCAAACUUCCCCAAGGCUCAAUUUCAAUCAUUAACUAUCACAUUUUUUUAAAGAUGUGCAUAGCAUGUUUUUCAUUAAGAAAGAGAGAAGUACAACGACGCAACUUCAGGAGAAACCCCAAAUGCAGAGUUACAAGAGACACCACCGGCGACAAACAAUACAAACACGACAACAGAAAAGAAAAAACACCUCACCACCACGACACUGAACACGACCAAGACGACUGAAGCCAACAGGAGAGAUGGACACGCACAUCACCGAUUACCUAACAACUCGGAGCUAGCGGAGGUCGAGUGAGGAGGUCAUGGAAGAUGAUGCCUCCAAGAAGGGAGCGACGCCAACGCCGCCAUCGUCCGUCUGUCCACAGAGGAGUAGACCAAGUUUUCACCUGACAAUUCCACACAGCAUACAGCCAAGGUCUGGAUGAGAGCCAAUGCGAUGGUAUGGCAGCGAGUAAUCCAUGGCGACGACGAUGAGGAUCAUCCGCAGGCACAGCCAAAGAUGACCAAGGAGCGACCAUGCGGCGACCCAAAGACGACCAGUAGGCGAUGGGCGGCGCUAGCAAGAAAAGGCGACCUAGAUUCGUGGCAGACGACCACAAGCAGAAGAACAGAGAACCCCACUCACCCCACAACAACAUCCCUAACUAAUGGGGCGGCCAAAACAACUGAAAAUUACGACCCAAACAACUGACAACCUGUAAGAUUACAAAGAAACAUUGCCUACAGAACUGCCAAACCAAGGUCACCCGAAGUAGUUUAGAGGAGGGAUAUGCAAGACCACGCCUCCAGGGAGGGAACGGUGUCAAAGAUGUAACCAUCGUCCGUCCAUUCAAGAAAAAAUGGACCAAGCUUUCACUUGGUGUAACCAAAGUGUUGUGGAUGACCUCGACAGUGCCCCCAACAGAGUGAGCUACACCCACGGAUGUAGCCACUGCCGGCACCGGAUAACACCGAGCAGAGCUUUCGCUCGCGACAUCCACAGCCAAGCACCGAAAACACAUCUUCGGAGACCUAAGGUUCGGGAAGAGGGCAGCCUGACAAAGGUGGCAGACCAACGCGAAGCCGUUAAUAGAAGAGCACAUGCAGGCGUAGAUGAAGCCCUCCCCCACCCAGCAACACUCGAUGACAACGAUCGGGGAUGACCCGUAGCGGGACGGCCGCCAUGGGAGGCGGCGGCACCCUGAAGGAACAUGGGGAGGACAAAGAUGCAUUCUCCCAACCCUACCAACGAAGAAGACGGCUAGCAGAGGCAUGGCCCCACGAGCGACCACCAUCGGCAACUAAGAGUGGGCGACGGAUUCGGACGGCGACCUUGGGGAUUGGGUACGGUGGGGUGAGGGAGGAGGAGGGAAGGGAAGGGAAGAAGAGAGAGGAGCGCGUGCGGCCUGCUGGCCAGAGGCAGGUGGCAGUGGCAACAACAGGAGGCAACGAAGGUGAGGGUAAGGCCACCCGAAGUGGACACUGCCGCCACCAUAGGCCGCCUUGCUCGGGAAGUAGCAAUGCGGAGGUGACAUCGUUGACAAGGAGCGACCAUCGGAGAAAGGAGCGACCUUUGCGACCUGGGCCAACCUUUGCGACCUGGGCCGACUGGGGGCAGUAGACUGGCGUCAGCUUGGCGUAGUCAUUCCCGGCUGCGGCGUCUUCGGCGUGUCGUCAUUGUAGCUACGCCGGCACGGUGUCCUCGUCCUCACGGCCGUUGUUGUCGUUGGCAGCGCCCCGGCGUGCGGCCGCCGCAGACCACGUUGCCGCCGCCACAGACCACGCUGCCGCCGCUGUAUGCCGCUGCCCACUGCGGACGCUGACGGCCGUGUGAUUACACCACCGCAAUCGCCCAGGCCCGGUACCCCGCCGCCGAGGCCCCAAGACCCCGUACCCGCAGGGGCGCCGCAGCUGGGCGCGCGGGCCGUCGGACACCGCCCAACGCUGCCGCCCGUCGCGCUCGCCACCGACGACGCCGGUGCCGGCAACCUCCAAACACGGCACCGGGAGACCGCGCCACCGGGCAGGAGCCAGUAGAUGCUCAGCACAGCGAGCCUGUCGGUGAGGGUGGCGGCCAGCGCCAGCGGCCGCCGCAGCCGCUGCUCCAUGCGCCAGAUCCAGAAAUUUGGGGCUUGAUUUCGUUCCUCAUAGUCAUACCCAGUGUCACAUUGUCGCGCGCUGUGUGUGGGAACUGGGAACCCUGCUCGAGAUACAUAGCUGCAAAUAGUAUUUCCUGAGGAUUGAAAAGACUGAGAAAGGAAUCAUAGGUAUCUUUCAAUCUUUGCGUUCUAAUGGAAUCCCUGGUUCUCAAAAGCAUCAGCAGAAUGCUGCUGAGUAAAACUGAGGAAAACGAAGGAGGGGUUACACAAAAAAAUGGACUGCUUUUUCUCAUCAAAGAAACAAAGCAAAAGCUGAUUGCAUAACUCCUCACGGUUCUGCUGGGGUGGCCUCGCCGUGGCUAGUUCUUUUUCGAGAGUGAAUUCCCUCGGUGCCAUAAAAAUUAACAUCAAUCCCUUCAGUGUCAUAGAUUUUUACGAAUUUUCUUCGGUGCCAUCGAAAUUUUGAUUUAUGCACUCAGUAUCAUUCCGUCUAUCUUCCCAUCCAUAUGCUGCUAAGUGUGAUUGGAAAAGAUGAUCUUACCCCUCCUAAGUGAGGCCCCACCUGUCGGUGCUCCUCUCAAUAUCCUGUCUUUCUUCUCUUUCUCUUCUGCCCGGUGCUCCUCCACGCCGCUCCAUCCUCCGGCCUGCCAUGGAGCUCCUCACCACCGGCACCUCCGUCCCGCCCCUGAGGUCGCGCCACCUCGAAGCUACUCCGCCCGGCCCGCAGCCGCCUCCCCGCUACGCCGGCCGCUGCAUCCACACCGCUCCUGCACGGGCAUAUUCGCUCGCGCCACGCCAGCCAGCCGCCCCCAUGCCGCGCACUGCAAGCCGCCAUCGUCCGCCCCUGGCUCGGCUCGGCUUGGCUGGCGGGAAGGCGGGGCGCAAUACGGCGCUCAGGCCGGGAUGGCUCGGGCGGCCGGGGACAGGUCGGCGCCAUGGGCGCCAUGGCCGGCACUCGGGCAGGUGGAGGGCGGGGCUGUGGCGUGGGGAAAGGGCGCAGGUGGUGGGGGAGAGCUGCUGCGCGCGUUCGGAGUGCGGCUCAGGGGAGGGGCCGGGGAGAGGAUGGGGGGCGGCCGCAGGUCGAGCAGCUCCAGGGGCCGGUUGCCAUGGCCAGAAUGGCCGGGAUUCGAUGUGGGGCGCGUGGGUGCUGGCCGGCGGCCAAGGUAGGCGGCUGGGGGAGGAAGGCAGGGGCUCGCACAGCUGCGGGAAAGGGGGAAAGGGUGGUCGCCGGGGUUGGGCUGGGCAGAUAGGCGGCGGUAGCGUUUAGGCCGAUCGGCCAUGGCCGCGAGGAGGAGGCCGGGCGGCGCGUCGCUGCAGCGCGCGAGGCGCACGAGGCAGGGCCGGGGACGGGCAGGGGCGCACGGGGAGCCGAGAGUGGGGUGCGCUCAAACGCGAGGAAGGGGGAGGGGAUGGCGCAGAUGGCUCACCAUGGCUGGAUGGGGAAGAAAGAUGGGGGAUACAUCAAAAUUUCAAUGGCGCUGAGGGAAGUUCGCAGAAAUCUGUGGCACUGAGAGGAUUGACGUUAAUUUUUUAACACGGAGGGAAUUCACUCUUCUUUUUCUCAUCAAAGAAACGCAAAGUUGAUAUGAGACCCUCACCAUGUCACUAAUAUGGAAGGAUGGCAAUGGGGUAGGUUCGGAUUGGGUGGAGUGUCUGGGCACCCAAAACCGAAACCUGAAUCCGCCCCAAACACCGAUUCGGGUGAAAAUCCAUCCCGAAACCGAAACCCGCGGAUCCCCGAAACCUGCGAACUGGAGGCGCCGGGUGAAGUGGCGGAGGAGCCGGCGGGCAGCGGGUGGCGGAGGAGCGGGUGGUGGGGCGGAGCGAGCGGCGGAGGAGCGGGCGGUGGGGCGGAGCGAGCGGCGGAGGAGUGGGCUACGGGGCGGAGGAGCAGGAGGCGGGCGCGGCUGGUCGCGGGAGGGCGGGGUGCCUAGGUGCGGGACGACACGACGGAGUGAAGGAUUUCAGGCUUAUAUACCUAGGAUAACCCUAGGUGGACUUCUAGUGGGCUGAAUGUUUCGGGGUCCGAUGGAGCUUCACGGGAGAGUUUAAGAAUCACCCCAAACCCAUAGUAUUUGUAUCCGAAUCCGCAAAUCCGUGGACGAAAACUAGAAACAAAAACCGAACCCGCGGACCUGAAACCCGCAUCCUUACUAAUCUGUUCGCACUCCCACCACUGGAUGGUUCAUGACUCCACCAUGUCAACAACAUUAAAUGGUAUUGUACAGACACUUGCAGUAAGCUGAGUAUAGUAAAAAACCCAUGUUUGGAUCAGAUUCUUUGGAAGGUCUUGACACAAUUCCAUGAUUUAGACAAAUGAGCAGGUUCCAUGCCAAGUAAUGGACAAGUUGGACUGGUUAACUAAAUUCAUCCGAGAAGAAGAAUGUGGUAAUUCUCACAGGAACCAAAUAGAAUUUUAGAAAGAAAUAAUUCCCUAGUCCUCCAUUUGUCGCAUUGUCUGUCACAAUCAGUCAUUCAUGUGAAGUUGCCUAUACAGAAUAGCAGAAAAGCACCCAAAAUAAAAAAAAAAUAUCGAUGGCACAAACACAACCUUACAACUAUAGGAGUAUUCACCAGUCUAUAUAAGCGAACAUUCCAAAGGGAAUCCAGUAUACGAUACAGAAUGAAUCUGAUAGUUAUGCUAAGGUUCAAAAAUCAAAAUCACAUGGUAACAAGAAGUUCCUAAAUAUUUUGAAAUGACUGAAACAUGUGAAUUUCAACAUUUUCAACACACGCAGAAAUUUCCUUUACCAAAGCUGAAGGGUUCUGAAAAGAAUUCAUUUCCAUGAUCUAUCAACCAAAGCAUAUAUGGAUUCUGGACAAGCAGAAUUGUUUACUGAAAUUUCCUUUACCAAAGCUGAAGGGUUCUGAAAAGAAUUCAUUUCCAUGAUCUAUCAACCAAAGCAUAUAUGGAUUCUGGACAAGCAGAAUUGUUUACUGGCAGUUUUCCGGAGCAAUAUAAGGCCUUGUUUAGUUGGGGAAUUUGGGAGGUGCCAAAUUACUGUUACAGCACUGUAGCACACUGUAGCGUUUCGUUUGUAUUUGUGAAUUAUUGUCCAAAUAUUGACUAAUUAGGCUCAAAAGAUUCGUCUCGCAAAAUACAACAAAACUGUGCAAUUAGUUUUUAAUUUCAUCUACAUUUAGUACUCCAUGCAUGUACCGCAAGUUUGAUGUGAUGGGGAAUCUUCUUUUUGCAUAGUGUCAAAGUUGGGAGUUGGGAGUAACUAAACAUGGCCUAAACCUAAAUUUAUAAAUCAGGGAUCCUCUGACCAAUAAAACAGAUAGAAAAUACUAAAGGAAUUCAAUGGUAAUUAUCAAGUACAUAGGAAUUUAUAGAUAAUUCCAAAAAAAAUAACCUACAUGAGCAGAUUUUAGUAUUCAGAUUGAAACAUACUCGAAUAAGACUUAUAGACACUAUGUAAUGUAAUAUUCAUUAGUGAUUGGAUCCUAAAUCUAGAAAAAUUCUUGCCUCGCAUGACAAUGGCGCAAUAUCUACAAGAAGAAAUUGUUAUAGCUCUUAAACAUGUAAUAUCAAGCAUAGCAACUGUGCCAACUGGAACACCCUCUCCAUCAAGCUAAUGUGCCUAGCACACUCAUGCUCAGUAUAGCAUGAGCAAGGAUCAAGAAGCAAAAGCAAAUCCAAGAGGAACUACCAACAUCUAUAGAAAAAAGAGUUGAUCGAUUCGUCAGUUCAUUAGGAGUUCCAGAGCACUAAACUAAAAUCAGUUUGAUAUACAGCAAAGACAAAGGUAAAAUCAUAAAAGCAUUAUAUGCCACUUACCACAGUAUAGCACCCUCCUGCUAGUAUUAACAUUUUCUCUUAACAAUCAAUAUAACAAAAAUGCUGAACACAGUCAGUAAUAGAUUUGUCAGUUCAAUUACUUUGGAUCAUAGAGUACCAACAUUCAAUUAAUUCGUCACAUCUAAAAAAGGACUGCUUUUCUCAUCAAAGAAACAAAGCAAAAGCUGGCCGCAUGACUCAUACUUCAUGGUUCUGCCACAGCAGAGCCUCACCGUGGCUUGGUACUUCUCCCAUCAAAGAAACAAAGCAAAGCUGAUUUGAGACCCUCAUCACCAUGUCACCAAUCUGUUCUCACUCCCAGCACUGGAUGGUUCAUGACUCCACCACCAUGUCAAUGACAUUAAGAAUUUACCCCCAGAAAUAUCUGUGGCAAAUGAUUGAAAGCUUUCAGGUUUUUUCUAAAACCUGUGUAAGUUUGUCUUGGGUUCUAUACCUUUUUCCUUCUUAAUAUAUUGAUACGCAGCUCUCCUGCAUGUUAGAAUUUUUUUUUUUUUACCUUGCCCCCCAGCCCACACCCACCCACCCACAAAAAGCAAAAGCGUGACAUAUUAUAUGAAUGGUUCUUAUAAAGUAGAAUGGGCAAAACAAAUGUUGCCAUAUAGAUGCUUGCAGCACGCUGUAAAAUUAGAGUAGAAAACUAGGUUUGGGUCAGAUAUUCUGAAAUGAAUUUGACAAAUGACCAGGCUCCAUGUCAAUAGGCUAGUAAUGUGCAAGUUGGACUGAUUAACUUAACUCAUCCGAAAAUAAAUAUGGUAAUCAUGUCAGCAUGCACUUCGAAUAGAGUGAAACACCAUGUUAAGUUCACAUAUCCAUGGACAAGUCUUAAGCUGCUGACAGACACAGUUGAAGGACUGAAAACGAUUAGACACCUGAGUUAGUUCUCAUAGGAACCAAAUAGAAUUUUUAGAAAGAGAUAAUUCCUUGUUCUCUAUUUGUCUCAUUGUCUGUCAUACUCACAAUCAUCCAUGUUAAGUUGCCUAUACAGAAUAACAGAAGAGCACCCGAAAUUAAAAGUAUAGAUGGCACCAACACAGCCUUACAACUAGAGUGUUAAGCAGUUACAUAAGCAGAGACCGAUAAACCUAUGAAAUUGAUAUGGAAUCCAUCAUACAAUACAGAACAAAUCUGAUCGCCAUGCUAAGGUUCAAAAACCACAACCACAUGGUACCAAAAAGUUCCUAAAUAUAUUUUAGAAUAAUUGAAACAAGUGAAUUUUGUCAUUUUUACACAAGCAGGAAUUCCCUUUUGCAAAGCCAAAGGGUUCAGAAAUGAAUUCAUUUCCGACCUAUCAACCAAAGCAUAUCUGGGCAAGUACUAUGCAUCACAGAAUUGAUUGCUGGCAGCUUCCAGUGCAAUAUAAACCUAAAUAAAUAGAUACCAGAUAAAAAAAAACUCGACCUGCGGGGGGUAAGAUAGCCCCCGGGUUUUUUGCUAAGAAGGCCUUCUCAGGCAGGCCGAGAAAACCCCCGAACCUCUGCCCCACCCUUACACAAGGGCCCGUAACCCUUGUGAGACUACCACUGGGCUGGCGAUUACUGCAACUACCCCAGGUAGGAGGGCCCAAACCAACCACAGCUACGACCUGGGCCGGGCCUUAAUUCAGCUAGAGACCCUUUCACAUAGAUACCAGAUAUUCAAUGACCAAUAGAACACAACAUCAUAGAAGAGAGCAAUAAGCUAACUCAGAGCUAGAAAAUGAUAAGGGAAUUAGCUGGUAAUUAUCAAGUACAUAGGAACUUUCAGAUGAUUCCAAGAAUGGCCUACAGGAGCAGAUUUUGAGACACGACAUAAUGUAAUAUUCAUUUGCGUCAGAUAAGAAAUCAAGAAAAACCUUGCCUUCCAUGAUAAAGUUGCAAUCUAGAACAGAAUAUUGUUAUAGGUCCAAGAUAUUUAAUAUCAAAAAUAGUAACUGUGCCAACUUCACCAAUCUAAUGUGCCUAGUACACCCAUGCUCGUAUAGGCUGACCAAGGAUCAAGAAGCACAUGCAAAUAAAUCCAAGAGGAAUUGCCAACGUCUAUAAUAAGUGUUGAUGUAUCCACCAGUUCAUUAGAAGCUCCAUAGCACAGAACUAUAAUCAGUUUGGCAUAUAGCAAACACAGAGGUAAAAUCAUAAAGACAUGAUAUGUCAACUUUGCUCUGCGCUGAGUAAAUGAUUUUAGAAGACAAUUACAUAAAUGGCCCCUAUCCAAUUAACAGAAACCAGCAUGCCAAUAACAGUUACAUAAAAAAUAUGCAGAGUUUUCUUAUUUACUGACUUGCCUUCUGUUGUUGUAUAUCUUGAAAGAAUACCCACCACCAAUGUCGUAGCAGCAAUGAAGGAAAUCAAGAAACACCUGAAGAGUAGACUUACAAGUAGAUGCAGCUAAAUUUCAGAACAGAGCUGUUAUGCUGAUAACUUUCGACCAUCCUUAUUCAAUUUGCAUAACUAUCAGCAGACAUGUUGGCUUCUUACUUUACUUUGAAAAAGUAGGCCCCUCUGAGCCAUGAUCAAGCUUAUUCGAUCAUCAAACAGAUUUAACUACUUUCCAUCAUAUACCACAGUACCACACUCCUAGCAGUAACAUUUUGUCUUAAAAGUCAUCAAUAGAACAAAAUUCUGAACACAAUCAGUAACAGAUAUGUCAUUUUAAUCACUUUGGAUCACAAAGUACAACAUUCAAACAAUUCGUCACAUCUGAAAAAAAAAUCGAUGCUGUAGAGGAGAGGGGAGAAGCACACCGCAUACAAGUAAACAAAGAGCAACUUACUUGUAAAGUUGCAAUCUCUUACACCCUCGACGGCCUCCUCUCUCAAAGACUAGAUAGUAUACAGAUGCCUCAGUCGCCGCUGGGAGCGCGUUAUUCUGUAACCAAGAGCUCUACUCGUCUCCGACGAUCUCGAACUCUCGCUCGCGGAGGUGGGCGAUGAACCGUACGGGCUUGUCCUGGCCGUCCAGAUUGAGCUCGAACUCCACCUUGAAGGGGAGAUUAGCCGUGACCCGCUUGCCCUUCCACACGCCGACGUACUGCUUGACUACGCCCUCCAUGCCGCGCAGGUCCAGUCCCGGCGCCUUGGCAACGUGGUGGACGCGGACAGGCGCCGUGACGCGCACGCGCUUCCCGACCUUGGGCGCGGCCGCGGCCUGCUCGGCGGCCACGUCAGGCGACGAGAACACGUCGCUGCCGACGGCCACCCGGGGCGCGAUGUGGAGGCGCGCGCGCCACCGCGGCGGCGUGGGGACGAGGCGGCAGCGGGCGGGCGUGGAGGCCGGAGGGAGGAAGCGGCGGCGGGGGAGGAGGGUAGCUGACGAUGUGGAGGUGGAGGGGGAUGCCACGGCGCUGGCGGUGGCCGCCGUGGUUGGCAUCGGGGACGGGGAGGUUGGUAGGCGAGUGGGGAAUUUCAUCGAUCAGGCGGUGUGCACGUGAUGGAAGCAGAGAUGCGGGGGAGGAAAGCGAAUGGCGUGAAAUCCCAGCGAAAUGGCUUUUGUUUCCUCCCGGAAAGAAGGGCUGCCGACCCACGGGCAUCCCAAGGGCCGAGACCAGCCAACUUUGGCACUUGGGAUCUGUCUGCGUAUAUUUUCCCUUCAAUGCACAAUCACGUACUUCCUCUUUCUUAAAAUACAUGACAUGUUGACUUUUUCUUUUGAAAUUUUGAUUAAUAAUAUUUAUUUAAUUAAUUAGUUAAAUAACUUAAAAUGAGUACCAUCUAUAUCAUCAAAAGUGCUUUAAUUUUAAUUUGUAGAUCCAUUUAUUUGCAUAAUCAUCUGUAAAAAAAGAUGAAAAUCCAAAUGAACUAAAAAAAGCCAAUAGUAUCAUAUAUUUAAAAGCGGAGAUAGUACAUUGAAAACUGAAACACAUGUUUUGUGGCAACAACUUUUAAUAGCUAAAUUUAACUUGAUGGACCAUAAAAUUUUCUUCGAGCAUUUCAGCUUCUUUGUUGUUUCAGUAAACAAAAUGACUGAAUGAGAAUUUUAGUAGAACACAAGUACCUGAUUUUUUUCAUUGUUUUAUUAUCAUUUCUUGAAGUAAGAGCAAUUUCAUUCUUCUCUUUGACCGGCUGUUCUAUCUCCAAAUGGGUGCCAUAUAAAUCUGAGAAACGUUUAGUUCGAAUAUAGUUGGCUUAAGGCUAUUAGGGAUAGACUAAACCCCCAAGACAAACCAUCACAGUCUUUCUCUUAAACUUGGUUGGAUCUACCGUUUUAUCACUACCAGGAUUCGCUAAACACGUUUUAGACCCUAACAACUAAAUCCUUGUUUGUCUACGACAGGAUAAAGCCAGCAUAACAAGAAAAUAGUUUUGCUAAUAGCAACAUUCACCUAAACACUAAACGGUAAUCAUUCGGUCACCCUUUGAGUAGGGCGUUGUGUACACAGGCUACACGUCUUCUAAGAUUGCAAUAAAAUUCAUACUUAUCCAAAUAAAAAUUAGAAAUUUUGAUAUUUCAUCAUCCAAAUAUAAAAAAUUACUAAGCUUAAAAGUCAAAUUGACUAAAGAUCUAAUCAUAUGUUGGUGUUACUAAUUGACAGUUCUAAAAUCAAACAACAAAUGCCAUAUUGAUAUACAAUUAGUUGUAGUUCAUACUUUUCUAUUGCCUAGACGUUGUUUAAAAUGGUCUACUCGCCGUGUAAAAUUGUGUAAUCACCGUUUCGUGUACGUGUAUGACAUUUUUUUACCAUGUAAACGGUUGAACUGUGUAAUCACCGAUUAAGUCCUAAACUGCACUGUUGGCUAUCGAGUAACGUUUACACGGCGUGCAAACAGCACCACGAUCGUGUAGGCGAACACCGGCUAAUAGUCAAAAUACGAGUAUUAUGAAAAACUGCUCCUACUCGACUUUUGACAAAAUCAGUUUUCCGUGGGGCUUCUUCUUAGCAAACUAUACAAGCCGGAUGCCAACGUUACAACGUUGUAUGUUGGCUCAACCAAACAUUGGAUAAGCUGAAUGUUGUUUUUGCUUAGCGCAAGCCAAACAUGAUGGACUACUAAAAAAACCUACUUUUUGAAAAUGAAUUCCUAAUCCAAACAAGGCCUGUGGAGCAGAUAUUUGUUUGGGCCUGAAUCUAUUGACAGCCCAGUCCUUCCCAUCUUAAACUUGUUUGGGUACAGCCCAUGAUUCACUCGGCAAACUCGCCAGCGGCCACACACAGCCGGGCGGGCAGGGAGAUGCAAGAACUCCAGUCUCCAGUCAAGCCUACACCCAGUUUAAAUUCGUAAUGGGCCGCCUAGCCUACAAACAACAUCGACUGAGGUCUCUCUCUCUCUCUCUCUCUCUCUCUCUCUCUCUCUCUCUCUCUCUCUCUCUCUCUCUCUCCCUCCCUCCCUCCCUCCCUCUCUCCCUCUCCCUCUCUCUCUCUCUCACAAAAUCUGAGAUUCUGAUGUCCCUUUUUGACUCUCCAGAAUAUGCAGGAGGUUUGCUGAUGCUGAGCACUGAGCUUAAAUUCGUUUCCACUAUUAGAUCUUGUAAUACGGUUGCACAUGUUUGUUCGAAGCCAAAAUAUGUGGUAGAUUGAAAAGGGCCAAGUGGAUGCCUUUUGGCCUAGAUAUCCAUUGUUUGAAGAUGCUUGAUCUAAAGAAAAGCUUCUUUUGGAUGUUAAAACGGCAAGGGCUGCCAAAUGCCUUGCCUUGUAUGUUAUGCAUGCGCUAAAAUUAUAUUCAUGCUCGUCUAGCUUAUCAAGAGUUAUCAUCAAACCACACCUCACCACCGAAAGUCGAUCCAGUGCCACGAGCUUCAGUAUUUAUCUGUUACACAAUGGUGAACCCUAAACCAAAAUCUUGCGCACAUCGGACCUUCCGCCAAGGAUUUCGUCAGGGUUGGAGAAGAAGAGCCAAGCAUGAAUCAACAAAGAAUGAGUGUGGUAAAAUAUUCUGACACUGAAGGGGAGAUAAAAAUGCCGGUCAAGACUUAGCUUUUCCCCUAGUUUUUGCUUCGCGGCUAUGAUGUCUCAUGGAGUUCUGUGGAGGCCGAAGAAAGGUCAAACAGGCGUCCAUGCUCAUGCUGGAACGAACUGCUCGAUCAUAUAAAAGGGUAAUUUGACGUUUACAUUGCCUUAAUAAAAAUUUUACAAUCAUAAUUCGCGUCUUUAUGGGACAAGAGCAUUGAGAUAAUUAAGUUCAAGAAGGCCGGAAUAUCCCCUCUACAUGUAAGAAGGUUAAGAACUAUGAACAUCGUUACAGCAAUCACAAAACGUGCAUGCACGCACACACUUGAUGCCUGACAUUUCCAAAGCAAUGCAUGGUCAAGGUACAUGAAAAUAAAUCAGAGCACAACAUACACACACAUAUUAAGCUGCUAAACCCAUUUUUACUAACACUAAGAAUCCGCAGCUGAUGAAUCAGUGACCGAACCCAUCUCGCAUGAAACAGUAACAUAAUGUUGCAAACAAACUGAAGAACACUUCCAAGAGUCUAAGAAAUAUCUAAAACACAUGAGUCAUCUGUAGAGGAUGCAUGCUGUUGCACAUCAUGGGAGAGAGAAAUUGACAGGUAGCCCUAGCAGCUGACCUAAAAAUUGCAGCCUAGAGCAGGGUUUCCUGGUGGGUUUCAGAAGAAGUGUUUGAGGAAGAAAAGGCAUGGGUGAAUGGUUCAUGAAUGCUGCUGUGAAAUGAAUCUGUGUGAUGCCGCAAGUUGUCUUUAAAACCUGAACCUGCGUGCAUCUCUAUCCUAGCUAGUGUUAUUACUGCCGUGCAGAUGAAACAAUGGGAUCAGCAAGAUAUCAGGGUGUGCUGUUUAGUCCAUGAAGGAAGGAGAAUGGGGAGACUGCGAGUGAAGUGGGGAAGAAGAAGAAGCAGGUGUUACCGGGACGUGAUCGCAUGACAUGUCCGUCCCGGCUGCCGCUGCCGCUGUGGUUUCUUGUGCGGUGGAGUGCUCCAUGGUGGCCUCAUCGCCGGCGAAGCGACCAUGGAGAAAGAGGCCUGGGUUGCUGUCCAUGUCGUAGUCCCAGAAGGAACUUCCUGGCCCCCACGCGUUGAACCAAGCCUCGUCGGCCGGACCCCACUCGCUGCCAUGAGCCACCGGCGCGUGAAUCAUUUCACCCGAGACUGGCAUGGUUUUAGAGCUGACAUCUUGCUGCCACGAUGUCGCCACCGGAGGCUGUGGCUGCUUGUCCAACGAUCCUUCUGCGUGCGGCGGUGGCGUUUGUUGUGUGCUUGCCUCGUCCGGAGUCUGUGGAGGCGACGAGGAGGAGGAGGAGCCAGACCCCGCGGCAGUGGUCGGGGCGGCUGCGGAGGUGGCGCUGGUGCGGCCGCUGCCCCCGGCGUGGCCCUUGCCGAAGAACCGGUCCGGGAAGUUGAGCCGCGCGUUCUCGCCGCGGAGCUUGAAGGCCUCGCGGUCGUACGCCAUGGCGGCGUCCUCGGCGGAGUCGAACGUGCCGAGCCAGAGCCGCGUGCGGUUCCGCGGCAGCCGGAUCUCGGCCACCCACUUCCCCCAGUGCCGCUGCCGCACGCCGCGGUACAGCUUCUGCGGCGGCGGCGGGGCCCGCACCAGGUGCUGGUACAGCGACGGCAGCACGGCCGCGGCCUGGCCGCCGCGCGGGCUCAGGUUCAGCGCCUCGCUCCAGUACCGCAGCAGAUGCUGCUGCUGGUGCUGCGGCGAGCCAUCCGGCAAAAAGAACUGCGCCUGGAACUGCGGCGGCGCGCCGAACGAUAUCAUCUGCUGACGCUGCAACGGCGCCUGCUGCGGCGACGCCGGUUGCGACGCGCUGGAGUGCUGCCACGGCGGGAGCUGCAGCCGCGGGGCCCCGCCCACCGGCGGCGCCGAGGGCUCGUACGCGAACGGGAAGAUGCGCCGUGCGGAGGGCGGCGACGACUCCGCCGGCGUCGGCGAGGCGGCGCUGGCGCGAGGGGAAGGCGGGGCCGACGACGAAGCCGUCGUCGAGAGCGACGACGCGGACCGCUGGAAGCGGUCCGGCGCCCGCCCGAUCUUCUUGUGCGGGCGCAGCGACGCCGCCGACGCGUCCUCCAUGACCGGCGCCAGCUGCCGCCGCGGCUGUAUGGGCGUGACGCCGCCUUUGCCCUUCCACCUCCUGCCCCCACGACCGCCCCCCGCGCCACCGCCGCCGCCGCUCUCGCCGCUAGCGCUCGACGCAUCCAUGCCGAGGGACCUCGAUGAAGCAGGUAGCUAGCGCGCCGAUGCGAAGACGUGCGCGCGCGACCGAACGAAAGCCCCAGCAAGUGCAGCGCGCCCCGGCGGCGCUACAGCGAUAUAUAGACGACAAGAACCUCGUAAACAAACUGAUCCUGAGACCAACUUGCGGCCCAGACGGACCAACGAACUCCCGGUGAAAUGAUCACUUCGCGGGGUGGCGCGACCGACCGGUGCGGGCUGGCGAGCUGGCGUGCGCGGUGGCGUUUGGUUCCGGAGGUUCCAGACGAGUGGUGACCAACCGGAAAAGUGAGCAUUAGUCCCAGUUGGAGAGACACAUAUGUCUUGAAAAUUCAACCGGAACUGAUCUUUCAAGACUAAAGACCCUCCUCUUUAGUCCGGGUAUUUUACCCAGACUAAAGACCUACUUUACCGGGACUAAAAAGGUUCCAAAAAAUAAUUAAAAAAAUAGGCCACCCAUGCCGUCUUGCCUACUCCCGCCGCUACCCCUUGCAGCUCCAUCUCGACCACCGUCUCCUCGUGCCGGCUCGCCCGCCGGAGGCCGGCCCGCGCCGCUCGUGCCCCCCGCCGCUCCGCCUGGAAGAAAGGGAGAGGAGGAGAAGAGAAGAUAAGAAAGAAGAGAAAGAGCGCUACCUGCACGAGACAAGGGAAAAAGGGAGAGGAAAGAAAAUAAGGUGGAGAGAGAGGGAGGGCCAUGUGAAAAAAGAGUGGAUAUAGUACCGAUUGUUGGUUUCAACCAGGACUAAAUCUUUAGUCCCGGUUGGAAACACCAAUUGAGACUAAAUGAAUGGUUUGUUACUAACCGGGACUAAAUGCCCCACCAAAUUUCCUUGUUGUUCCCAACCAUUACAAUCGGGAUUAAAGGGAGCUCUUUAGUCUUUAGUCUCGUUAGUCUUCAGUCCCGGUUGAUAUUACCGACCGAAAUUAGAAGUCCCAGCCGUCAGAGCUGGUUUUUAAACUUAGGACUAAAGCUUCUUUAAUCUUGGGUUAAAAAUAUCCAGAGUAAAAACACGGUGCGAGACGUUUGGCUUAGUCGAGGGGAUUCAUCCCUCACCUCGGCCAGAACCGACUUUGCCGCGAGCCAGGAAGGAAAAUGAUCUCAAGGUCGGUGGUCGGGCUCCACCUCGCAUUGACUUGUCGCGGACCCUCCGAUGCCGACACGUCACGGCCGCACGGAUCUUGACGCGACGGUCGGGAUCGCGACAUGGUGUUUUCUGUUGCUGUCACCGCGGCGUGGACGGCACUGAUCGUGUGCUAGAUUGACCCCCCUCGGUUGCUUUCCUUGUACUCAAAUCUUCCCCAGCCACUUUGGUGCUUAUAUUCCCCGGAAAGGUAGUAGCGUGACUCGAUUAUAAAUUUGAGUUUCGGCAGUUUCAAACCAAUCCCAUCACGCCCGCAAUAAUUGCCAUGAUGCUUCCAAGUUCCAGUAGACCGUUUGGCAAAGUUGUUAGGGCCAGUUUGGUAGGGCUCCGGCUCCUCUGAAAGUGGCUCCGGCUCUGACGCCUCUAGUGGAGUGGCUUCUCCGGCUCUGGCUCCUCCUUUUGAAAAAACGUUUAGCAAAACGGCUCUUCCUGUGGGCCCUCCACAAGGAAGAGAAGGAGGAGCCGGAGGAGCCACUAUUUUUAGUUCCUCCUCGGCAGUACAAAAAGGGCUCCGGCUCCGUGGGUGCUCCACUCGCGGAGCCGUUUGUGAUGCUGCCCUUUGGUAGGGCUCCAGCAGAAGCCGCGAUUGGAGCCGGAGCUGGAGCCCCACCAAACGAGCCCUCAGUAUUACCAUUCAGAGUAGGUACGAUGGCAUACUGAAAUACUCCUAACAAUAAGAUGUAAUGAUGUAUGAUUAGGUGCCUCUAACGAUAUACAAUCACUCCAUCAAUUCAAGGUGUCAGUGCAUUGGAGGUGUCAGUGCAUUGGCUGAAACUUAUAACUUCUUCAUCGAAAGAUCAAUCCAAGGAGUGUUUUAUUAGAGAAAGUAUUCAAAAGUACUCCCUCCAUUUCAAAUUAUAAGUCAUUCCAACUUUUUUGGAAAGUCAAAGCAUCUCAAGUUUCACCAAAUUUAUACAAUAAAGUGCUAACAUUCAUGAUAUCAAAUAGGUACCAUUAAUUUCUUCGUUAAAUAUAUUUUCAUAGUAUAUCUAUUCGGUGCCAUAAACUUUUGUGAUUUUCUCUAUAAUUUUGGUCAAACAUAAAAUAAUUAUUUGACUCUCCAAGAAAGUUGGAAUGACUUAUAAUUUGAAACGGAGGGAGUUGAUUUUAGCCUUAAUUUAUUUUGCAGUAUAUGUUGUCAGUUGCUAUCAAUUAAUAUCAUCCUAAAAUUUCUUUAGAUAGUGUAAUUAAAAUCAGCGUGAUUAUGAAAUUUCGCAAAACUUGUAAUGUUUUUCAGCAUUUCUUAAAUCAAAAUGCACGUCAGUAGUGAACUGUCCACUGAAAAUAUUGUCCGUUAUCUAUAGGUACAACAAUAGAUAACAACUAAAAAAAUUUUAAGGACUAGCUAUAGCACACUCCAAUUUAAUAUAUCCGCGUUAAUAGGGUAUUAAAUCUACAUAAACCUUGAAGUAUGUUAUUGACUACUUAGUUAGCGGCUAGCAAUCUUCUCUUUUUUUUAACAGAAAAAAAAGGCUAACUAGUAGUCAAUCAAUAAUGUAGGUAUAUGCAGUCUUCUAUUUGCUAGUUUUUUCUCAUCAGUGGGACAAAUUAAUGCUGACAUGGAUCAUCAUAUAUAGCUAGCCGAUCGUACCUUACUAACGUCCGCCCUAAUGCAUUAGGUAAGAGAGCCUACAGAAGCAAUUAGUUUUCUUAAUUGCUAUAGAGAAAAGAUUAGUUUUCUUAAUCGCACGCCAGACGGCUCCAAUCGGAUUUCGUCCCUGCGUGCUUCCCCCCUUGGCAAGUUCGUACGAACUGCCAGAAGGAGAAUGAAUUAACUAGAUCAUCUUCCUUGUUAAAAACUGUAUUAUAGCUUAUCCCCCCGAAUUGGUUAGGCUAGUGGUAGGCUUUGCCGAAUAAACUAGCGUGCUAACCUAAAGCCCUGCUUUGCUGUUAGGGCAGUUUAGGGCCCCCUCCCCACGUGAUUUGUCCUGGGGAUCGCCACGAAUUGCUCGAGGUGGCAUGCCGCACGCUGCUCGGUUUUGCCGUUUCCUUUUCGGAACUAACCGUGAGGUGUGAGCAUGCCCGUUGCCUUGUCGUGAUCAUCCCCUUGUUAUUUACAUGUGCUUCGGUUGGUCACACAGGCUGCUGGUUCAGUUGUUAUACAUGUGGAUGUAAGCAUAUUAGAGCAACUUCAAGAGUACCUCUAUCUCACCCCUAAUACCUUCUUUAGGGGAAAAUUGAAAAAAAAAGUACUCCAACAGUCCUCCCAAACCUUCCCUAAUUUUUUAGCGACGCGAAAAAAUACCCCGUCAUCCCGCAAAUAUUCGCGACGCAUAGCCUCCCCAAUCCGCCCGCCCGACCUCAUCCCGUGGCUGCUCGUUAUUUUUUCCCGUCGGGCCACCUCCGUUCGCCGCCGGCGCGUCCCCAGCCCGGCUGCUCCUCCACGUCAGGCGCGCACAGGGUUGUUUGCUCCGGCGCCAAGGUGUAGCGGCCCAACCGCGAAGCCCGGGAGUGAGAGCUCGCACCGGAUCUUGAUGAGCUCCGGCGCUCGAUCCCCUUGAACAUGUUGACGACAACGCCGGACGUCAAGGAACGGAUGGCGCCAGCGACGCAGGCAAUGAAGCCGCAUAGCGCAUCGGCGUUGCUGCCAUCGACGCGGAUCAGGUCCCGCAUGCGGAGCGGCUCAAGAUCCAGCACCAGCUCAUCGAGCAUCUCCUCUGCAGGAUCAUUAGCUACGAGCUAAUCAGCGACAUGUGCAUUCCAAGAGCAAGAUCUAGAGCGAGCUCAAUGGCCUUGGCUAUGAUGGGAACGUAGCCGGCGUCGCGCAGCCGCGGGAACGCGAGCAUGGUGCGGAACGUGGCGGCACUGUCGGUCCGGAGCACGAGGUGGGAUAGGGACUUGUGCUCUCCAAGUAACCAAUCCAUCCAUCCAGCGCAUCUGCCCGUUCGGAAAUCGAUCCCAACUCGCCGCCGGCUUGAUCCCUGCUCCCACGUCGCCUUUCGCCUGGUGGGCGCUGCCGUGCCCAGCGACCUGGGCGGCCGGCCGGUCCUGGCGAAGCCGCCGUGCCCCGUGGCCUACGCGCGCGGCCUGUGCUGAGGCGGGCGCUACCAAGCCCCGCGACCGCGGGAGGGAGGGGGGCUGUGGCCCCACUAAAGGCCAUCGGCUGCAGGAUGGGUUGCGGCGUGGGAGCUGUGGGCGAGCGGCAGGCCGGUUGGUCGAAGAGAUGCGGUGGUGAGCUGUGUCUCUGGGAAGAAGAUAAGGUCGAAAAGAGAAGGAAUGUAUAUUGGAUGACACGUGAGCCCAAUUAUGAUGACGUGGCUUAUUUUGAAUUAUUGGGGUAGUUUUUAGCGUCCUGCUGUGGGUUGAUAUAUUUUUGGAGGAAAUUUUUUUAGCAUAGCCCCCAAUACAUUAUUUUAGGGGAGAAUUUUUUAGGAGUUGCUCUUAACGAUGGCUAACAUUAAUUCUGCACAUUUCGGUGAGGAUGCACGUCGCCAGAGGCAGGCAUCCUAUCUCUUCUCUGAGGAAGCGAGUUGUAGGUUAGUGGCAGAACACGAAUAUGCUCAGUCUGAUUGCAUGCUUGAUCAUGUCCUAGUCAGGGCAACAACUCAGCCGUACUGUACCACACCACACUACCACCAGCAUCGAUCGGUGGACACCGAUGGAUCUGCAGGAGCCUUGGACCUUGGCAGUUGGCAGUGAUGGCCCGUGGCCAAUAAUCGUGCUUCUCGGCACCAGAUUCUUCCGGAAAAUAUGACAAAAAGGAAGAGAUGGAUCGAAGCGGCGGAGGCAGCCAUUGGACCUCUCUUUUUGGGCGCAUUAGGCUCCGGGGGCACGCGUGCUCGAGGACGUACCUCCCGGCUCCCCCGGCCGCGCGCGUACCUAACUCGCGUGGCAUCGCUUUCGGCACCAACGGGCACAGGCGACCCAACAAAAAGAACCCUCACUUCUCUCCUCGCUUCCCGCGGGGAAAAGCCCACGGCUCCACUCCACCAAGUCACGAACGCGUCCUCCUGCAAAAAUCCGGCCGCUGCUGGGCGGGGGCCCCGCCAUCGAGCGCCGGCCGGCGGCUCGCGGCCACCACGGUCGUACGUGACGGUGGCUCGCCGCCGCCCACCCACUCCGGGUUUGCAUGCAUAUGCGCCCGUGUUUGUGUGGUCGAAGCCGCCGCGACGGCAGCCUUCCAGCGGCCGGGGCCGUUGCGUGUCGCGAGGAAGUGGGGCCCCGGCCGUCAGCGGCGGCCCGGUGGCUUUGGAGCCUUUGACCCGAGCGAGACACGGUUUCGUUCGUGCGUGCCGCGGCGGCACCCAGUUGGCUGGCGGCGGCCGGCCCUGGCCAGGGCGCUGACCUUUGUUGCUACCGGCCUGUGUGCGAGCAAAUCGGGCGAGGAGACUUUUGCUUUGGCCGACGCACCGCACGUACGUCAAGCAAGCUGCACGACGCUGCCGCAAAGGCGGUGUCGAUCGGGUGGCGGCAGCCCGAGUGCGCAUCGAAACGUGGCGCCACUUGCGCCGGAGGAUCUAUCUAUAGCCACUGUCCUACCCGGCGUGUGUUAGCAUAAGUUGAUGAUUACCCAGCCCGGCCGACAAAGAGGUCGUCUUUGACUUAGCUUCUGUUUUGAUUUAGCUGAUGGACGGCUGGCUGCUGACUAUUACUCCCUUCGCCUCAAAUUGUAUAUCGUUUUCUUCUACUGUGUAUCUAGAUAUAAUGUAUAUCUAGAUGUAUGGUAAAAACUAUAAAUAUAAAAAUAUCAAAACGACCUACAAUUUGGGACGGGGAAUAUUAGCACUGAGGUUGGAUAAUUAUUUGUUUAAAUUCACCUACUAUUUUUUACAUGAAUCCACCAAUUAUUAUCAUCUAUUAGCAGUCCCCAAUCAAGUAAUAGACUGCCCUGUUUGGAUACCCAUGAAUUAGCCCGAUGUUAUAUAACUAAUUUUUAGUCCGGGGAUCGUCAGACUAAUUGAUAGUAGGGUAGAGAAGUAAUAGUUAGUGGAUUUAUUUGGAUCCAUUAUGCUAAUUUUAGUUGCUAACUAGACUAUUAGCACUAAUGUAUCAAACAUGAUCUUUCUAGUGCUUAGAACCAGAUAUUAGUUUAAGGAGUAGCAGGUCUGUUUACAGUUUAGUACAGCCACUUACAAAACCGUGGAUCAGAUCGCACUGUCGUGCGGAAUAUUUUCACUUACAAUACAAGGUACGAAAGCAUGAGCAGUGGCUUGUGGUUAUUAUACAAGAUACGGAAGCAUGAGCAGUAGCUUGUGGUUAUUGUGUUGUAUCUGUCGAAAUCUAGCUGCGUAUGAUGACAAAAGAACUGUCCAGAUAGACAUGCAUGCAUAUAUGGCUCUCGUAAGAUUUGUGAGGAGGUACGGCACGUCACCAACCGCAGGUUACAAUCUACGAAUAGUCGAAUAUCUGUAUUUCUUCAGUUUUGCACUUGUCGUACACAGUUGACGCAUUCAAAAGUUUUUUUUUCAUGAAUACGGAUUAAGAAGAUCAUCGAAAUCGAGAAAAUUUGUUAUAUCGCGGCGCAUGGAGUUUAUGCCAAGGCAUUAGGCACAAUUGUGCACUAAGAUUACAACCGACUACUACUAGUACCUACUACUCUCCUCUCAGUUCUUCCAACCUUUUAGCCCCCGCCGCAAUCCAUUGUGAUGCUUCCUGGCGAAUGCUCACCAAGAGCUCAUGCACCGUUGCGGAUCGGCCGUCGAAUAAACGCGCAUUGCGUUCCUUCCAAAAUGCUCCAUAAGAUGAGCAUGAUAGCGUGUUGAUGCCCCGUCUCUUGGGCUGCGGCUGCAGUCGCCUGACGUGCGUCCACCAUUCUUGGAUGGACCGGCCAUUUCGGAAGGUGCAGCACAUCCCAGCCAAGUCAGAGCGCCCCACCAGAUUUGCUUCGUGUAAGAACAGCUCACGACGACAUGGUCUCCAGUUUCAGGCUCUUGAUCACAGAGGAAGCAGGUGUCAUGGGCGUCCAUGUUAUGACGACACCGUCUGUCCGCUGUCCACAACCUACCUUUGCUUGCCAGUCAUGUGAAGAACUUCACCUUCGGCGGAGCCCAGCUCUUCCAAAUGCGUCCGGCGCCUUGCAGUUUGGUGCCUCCUUCGUGCAUUAUCCGGUAUGCUGCGCCGCCGUGUACUUGCCGUCGGCAGUCCAUCUCCACCAGAAAAUGUCCUCCUGGUCAUCCAGCAAGUGUACGUCUGAGAGCCGGUGCCAAAAUUCGAUGUAUUCAACGAUGGCCUGCACUGACAACCCGCCGCGAAUGUCCUGUAUCCAUCGUCGGUCGAUUAUCCCUUGCUGCAUUAUUCUAGUUUUCCUUGUCCUCUUUGAUAUAGCUUGGAACAGGUUUGGUGCAAGUCUGUCCACAGAGGUGCCGUCAAUCCAACAGUCAAGCCAGAACAGGGCCUUGCAUCCAUUGCCAAGUCGAACAAUUACCGACGCAUUGAAGAGGGCUUGCACCUCAGGCUCAAUGUUGAUAUGCAGUGCUGACCAGGCUCGCUCGCUGUCUGUCCUCUGCAACCACAGCCACCGCAUACGCAGAGCAUAGCCGGACAGUUUCAAAUCAAUGACACCGAGGCCUCCCCAAUUUGUCGGACGGCAAAUAGUAGGCCAGGCAACAGCGCUUUUUCCAUAUGUGGUAGUGUCCUUGCCGGUCCAAAGGAAGUUCCACCUGAUGCUGUCCAGUUCUUUGAUCACUCAUGGCGGUAGUUUGUCAGACAUCAUUAUGUAUAUCGGCAUAGCAGAGAGAGCUGAUUUAACCUGUGUCAACCUUCCGCUCUUCUUCAAUAGCGCACCUUGCCAAGUAGGCAACUUUGCCGCUGUCUUCUCAAUCAGAGGUCUGAACUGCGACUUUGGCAAUGCUUUGGUGGAUAGCGGUGCGCCCAAGUACUAGAUUUGAAACUGAUGAACUGGGCAUGCCAGUACAGACAGGAAUUCCUGCAAGACCUCAUCCUCGCCGAAGAUGGGUGCCACCGAGCAAUUAUCCAGAUUGAUAGGUAGGCCUGAAGAAUCUCCGAAGAGCUGCAAAAUUCCUUGGAUUGUCCGAUGUUGUGGAUAGAUCCCCAAUACCCGCAUGGAAGGAAGAAUGCGGACUCCUACUAGAAUUCUCCUAUAAUCUUACUAGUACUCAUACCAUGUAAUCCUACUGGUACUCAUACCUUGUAACCGACUAGUAAUCCCGCCCCCUGAAGUAUAUAAAGGAGCGCAGGGGUACCUAGAUCGGCAGACCAAUAGAGGCGAAGACCUCAUAGAACCACAACAGAGGAUCAAAUCCUCAACACCAAACAACAUCCAAGCGCGGUGUGCAAUAUACAACACCCCAAAUAGGACGUAGGGUAUUACGCUACUCUGACGGCCCGAACCUAUAUAAAUCCGUAUCCUGUAUCCUCGCUUUUACCUUCAAGUUCCACGUCCGGCGAUCCCCGACCAACUAAUCUACUACCUCAGGAUACCCCUCGGUAGGUUGCCGGCUAUAAAACACCGACAUCUGGCACGCAGUAAUGCUUCACUGCCAGUAGGCCCAUAAGCUGCAGCACUGCAUCCUCACUUGCUUUACGGAACAACCGAUUCAUAAUUCAUAACGUCCAUGACGAUGAUGAACAACAUUGGCGAGAGCAGAUCUCCCUGUCGUAGGCCUUGAUGGUGCUCAAUUGGUUCUCCAUGUUGGCCGUUGAUGAGGACCCUUGUUGUUGCCGUGGAUAGCAAGAGGGAAAUCCAGUCGUGCCAUCUAUCCCCAAAUCCCCAGGCUUGCAGUACUUCAAGGAGGAAUUGCCAGGAAACAGUGUCAAAGACCUUUGAGGUAUAAGGGUAUCGACGGAUCCCCACCGAUCAGGAUACUGGUCGUCCCUGACAGGUGGGCUCGCCCGACCACACCAUACGGACCAAGGCAUGAAGAUACGUGGAGCACAAGUCCGAAGACCAGGCGAAUGGAUUCUGCCUGGAUAUCACGGGAUACUUGUUGUAGACCGACUCAGAUUGCUUUCCAUGUAACAACCGACUAGGAUUAGAUCCUAUCUGAUUGUAACCCUAGGUCGUCAACCUAUAUAGGGCGGUUAGGGGCGCCCCUCGAGGGCGACAAAACUCAUCCCACCUCACGUUAACUCUUCGCACCUACAAUCAGCAAUAAAAUCCACUAGAAUACAGGACAUAGGGUAUUACUCUCCGGAGACCCGAACCUGUCUAAACCUUGCGUCCCUAUGUUAUCAUUUAAGUUCUUGGUCUUGCGAUCUCCCCCGCCUACAAACCUACCACCUGGGCAACCCCCUAGUAGACUGUCGGUCACUAAAUCCAAGAGCCUUGGAUAUGUCGAGCUUGAGCAGUAGCUUAGGCACCUUGCAUUUCUGAAGUAGCACUGCGGAUCGCUGCACAUUUUUGAAGUUGUCGAGGAUAGAUCUACCCUUGAUGAAUGCACUCUGAUUGCAUAGCUCAAGAUCACUGAUGGACUUGCUCAACCGGUUGGCAAGUAGCUUGGACAGUAGCUUAGGAAAGCUAUGUAUUAGGCUGAUGGACCUGUAAUCUUUCGGUUGGUGUGCAUCCAUUUUCUUAGGAAUGAGGGUGAGGAGGGCUCCAUUAACACAAGAAAACCUCGCCUGUCAAUUGCGGAGAAGGUGUUGAUCGCCCGGAUCACAUCUUGCUUGAUCACCGACCAAGCAGCUUGGUAGAACGCCGCAGUCAUGUUGUCGGGCCUCAGAGACUUAUCAGGCAACAGGUCCUUGAUCACCAUCCAGAUCUCUUCCUGAGAGAAUGGCGUCUCUAGAGCCAAGAAAUCUUGAGGCCUGAUUCCCAGGCACUCUAGAUCCAGUGCACAGUGUCUGGUCCAUUCAGUUCCAAGCACCUCAUCGAAGUAGUCAAAGAACACCUGCGCCAUCUCAUCUGCCGUAUAGACCAUCCCAUCCCCAGCGUUGAUGCUUGUUAUGUGAUUUUUUCAUCGGCGCUCAUUAGCAUGUAGGUGGAAGAAGCGCGUGUUCACAUCGCCAUCACUAAGAUAUAGUAUUCUUGAAUGUUGCCUCGUGAUGGUGCGUUCCAAUGAUGCAAGGCCAAGUGAGAGACGCUUGAGUUGCUUUCGUAGGUCACUCUCUCUGGUCGAUAGAGUUCUUGUCUCCUAGGCACGAUCCAACUUUAGCACCACCUCCUUGGCCACCAAUAGCUAGAGUUUUACAGAGCCAAUCUUCUUAGUAGCCCAGCUCUAUAACUCUCUGGACACCUUACGGAUGAGACAGUCAAGAUGACUAUAUGCGUUAGUUACCUCAUCCGGGCAAUGCCAUCCCCUUGUUACUGCCUCAAGGAAGUCGUCAAACUUUGGCCAAUAAAUUUCAAAGUGUUUCGGUUUGGUUCUGAUCGACGCAUUAGUUUGGAGCAUCAAGGGGCAAUGAUCAGAAUCCUUUGAAGACAGCGCUCGGAGAAAGAAGCGGGGGUAAAUCUCCUCCUAAUCUACCAAUGCAAGCACACGAUCGAGCUUGACUAAGGUAGGGUUUAGCCUUUCAUUGCUCCACGUGUAGGUGCACCCGUGUAAGUGUAUGUCCCGCAGCUGUAACGACCGACCCCUAAACCUUCCCAGUUAGUCUUGAUCAGAGCCCUUGAUCCUAGUCUUCUACCUUGCUUUUUCCCGCACCGUGUGCUCAGCUAUCCGCCCGGUCCCGACCCCUGAGAUCCGACCCCUCCCCGAUUCGUUUCUCUCCCGACCCCGGCAAGCUCAGCCCACCGUCGGAUCCUGAUAAUCUUCCUCAACCACCGUUCUCUCCACCAGUGGACCCGCAAGAUCUUUUUCCCAGAUCCUCCGCGACAGCCGCACUCGAGUUGCAUGGCCGCCUCAGAGCCUUCCUGCCGCGUGGCUCGUCUUCUCCGACGCCCGCCGCUCAGUUUUGUCUCUGGCAAGCGACCGAGUGGGUUCUCGCGCCCCCUUCCCCAAUGGCAGCGGAAGCCCUCUGCGCCCCUUUCUGCAGAGCCUCGCCUCCCACGCCCAUCAUCACGCCGCCAGAUCCCGGCCCCAGAGCCCGAUGUCGCCCGUCUUUUCCGUCCCUUCAGCCACAGUCGCGCCGCCCGGUCGUCGCUACACGACGAUUCCUCCACCGCCAACCCCGACCGCGGCCGCGACAGCUCCUUCCCCCCCCCCCCCGCUCUGUCAGAAACCGCCCGACAAUCUGUUGUUCCGCGCUCUCGCCCGCGCCCGCGUCCGCCUGUCUUCUCACCUGUGCGCCCUCGAUUCUAGCGCCGUUAAACCGGUCGCUUCUAUCAAAUCUCCCGCACGGCGACGCACGCUUUCCGCCAAAUCUCAACCACCAGUCUACCCGCUCCUACGCCGCCCUGACGGCAGAACGCAAUGAUCGCUGGCGUCACCCCCGGAGUUCUGCACCACCGCCCUCUUCGCUCAAUCGCCGCCACGGCAGAGCACUCCAUUGCCUCUCCCCGGCCUUCGCGCCGCUCCCCUUCUCUCUCUCCCGCGCCGCUUCCUUUCCUCUGCUCCAGCAGCUAUAAAAGGAAUGCCCCCGUCGCCGGAGUUCCUUCCGCCAUUGUUGCCUUCAGCCUUCUCUCGCUCUCUGCUCAAGCUCAUAGCGCCACCCACCAAGUUUUUGAGGAGGUCUCCUCUCAGCUUUCUCCCUUAGUUUUCCCCAAAGCUUGCUCCUCCGUGCUGCGUAAAACCUCUCUUGUGAUCCGCAAGAAGCAGCGCCGCCGCCGGAGCAUCGCCGGUCUUAGCUUCUGUUCAAACCUUAGUCCCUCCGCCCAAGUCUGUCUCUUCCCGACCCCAAGCUUUCCUUUCAGGAAGGAGGUGAGUUGCCGACCCUAGUCCGCCUCGCCCGACCCCUCCUAUCCGCCCGACCCCGGUUCCAUCUCACCCGACCCUAUCUGUUCCGCCGACCCUUAUCCGCCUCGCCCGAGGGUUCGGCUGUGGUCUUUUUCUUCAACUCGAGGGUGUAUGUGUAAAACUUGGGAACCCUUCAGCGCUUGCGUCUAAGGACCCCCAGUUUAUCACAUCCUCUAGUUCAAGAAUCAGAUCAUAAGUUCCUUUCCUACCCUUACCUCUUGAUCAUCAUCAGCUCUCUUGAACCACCGUAACCUCCUGCUCUCUGUCGAAAGUUUCUGGGCUCAGGCGAGCCAGUGUUGCUGUUGAUUAGCUACCUAUGCUAACCCUUGCAUUGCAUUCGUGUAGAGCUGCACCUCGCCGACGGCUUCUACGAGCUUCACCCGGCGCCAGAAGAAGAAGCUGUAGCCGAGCUCCUGUUCUCCGAAGCCGAAGUCGCCCCCGAAGUCGAGCAGUUCUCGUCCUCCUUGCUUGAAGGCAAGCCCCGGUUGCAUGAACAUCCUACGUGUUUUGCCAGACUUGCGCAUGCCUUCUGUAACAUGCUUGUGCAUUUACGUAUAGGAGUUGUGUGAAACCCUAGAUGCAUGACUUAGUUGUCCCAAUGAUCUGAGCACUAGCUGUUGGACCGAGUAGCUGCAUUGCUUAACUAGGAGACGGUAAAAGUCGAGUGAUUUCCUGUCACUCGCGAGUUGUAAGAGUUGCAUGUUUACUCUCCUGUUAUAACUAUAAGGACGAUGGACGGGGCAGGGUUUUGGUAACUCUUUGGUGGUUGGAUGGUCGCCCCGUCUGUCUAUGAAAACUUGCUAAGGCCCGACAUAGGUGGUGUUCGUGAUCAAAUGUUUGAAAGUACUAGCCUCAUACUUAGUAUGGGAUGAGGAAGCCUAGUACCGGAUUGAACCUAGACGUGAGCGGUCGCCCCAUUGUUCUUGGAACGGAGUUUCCUCUGCUGGUUGUCGCACGUGGUGGCAAGCGUGGUCACAGAACGGCAGAGGCCGGGUUUGUGGAACCUUGCACCAAAGGAAAUGGGCCCGACACGGGUUAGGAGAUUGAUGGGGAAGGCCGACACAGGAAGCGACCUCCGGGUGCGCGGAUGUCGUGAGGCUAGGUUCACCAUGCAUGGUUAAAGAACUCGAAUCGGUUCGUCUGCCUCUCACAGUUUGAGAUUGCUUGAUCGCUAUGUCACCCUGAGUAAAUGAGGAAUCUGAUGAUGGCAAUGUUUGGUUGACAUAUCUACACAUCUUGUUUGGCUCUAUGAUUGCUUAGAUUAGGUUGCAAAACCUAGACCGGCUAACGAACUUAGAACCGGAGCUAAAACUUGGAAAAUAGGGUUGUCACUUAGUGCUUUUGGCAAAUAAAACCCCCCAGCCAUAAAGCUUUGCAUGUCUAGAGGUGUGGAGUAGUUUUACUCCGAUCGGUUAAGUCUUGUUGAGCUUAGUAGCUCAGCCUUGUUGUGGCUCCUGUUUUUCAGGUGAAGUUGCUGCUCCCGACCCCUCUCUGGUUGGUGCUUGGCCGCCCCAGCUCCCGCCAGGCUGGACGGUCGAGUGGGAUCCUUCCUCGGACGGCGAGGAGAGGAACCAGUGAUAUCCCGGUUGGCCUCACCAGGGAUGUCCGACCCCGACGAAGUCUUCCGCUAGUGUUUUCUCUGUUGUUCUUUUGAAUCUUGUAAAACUCUGAUGUUGAAUUUUACGAUCGAACUAAAUGGGUAAAUUUGUCUAACUCAGUGGACUCAUUGUAUUCUCUGGAACCACUCACCUUCGCGUGAGUUGCUAAACUCGAUCCUGUUCAAAGUGGUUAAAUCGGAUGAAAUCCGACGGCACUUCGUGUUAACUUGGUUUAGGCAUGGGUGUCGUAUGUUAGGCGACUUGACCCGGUCUAAUCAAGCUAAUCCGAGGUGGAUCCACCACAGCAGCUCCACGGAGUCAACAACAUGAGGGAACCGAGUCAUGUUCCUACAGUUGAUCUAGGUGUUGUUCUUGUCAGUAGGGUCAAGGAUCAGGUUAAAAUCACCUGCAAUCACCGAUGGUCCUGCACAGAUGUCCCUAAUCGCCUCUAGUUCCUCCAGAAAGUGGAGCUCAUCACCCUGUGGCCCAUACACCGUUGUGAGCCACCAUGGUGGCUCACCGGAAUUGGUUGUCACACGUACAGUGACAGAGAAGACGCUGACAUGAGGAUCCGAGAGGGCGGCUACGUCACGGCGGCAAGCAAUUAAAGCGCCUCCACAAGUGUUCACCGCCAAUAAGUACUCAAAGUCACUAAAUUGCUAGCCAAACAUAGAGAGGAUCACAAACCAGCUAACCAAAUUCAGCUUUGUCUCCUGCAGACAAACGAUAGAGGCUCUAGUGUCAUCAACUAAUACUCUAACAACAUCACGCCGCGCUCCUGUAUUAAGCACACGGACAUUCCAUGAGAUCAAUGUGAUCUGAUCCAUUUGUUGGUACAACCAGUUAAACGGAUAGUUCGCUUAAGCCUGCAUCCCUAGGAUAGGGGAGGCAUUCUGCAGUGCAGUAGAUCCCUCACUGCUUCAAAAUGCUUGUUGCCCAUUCCAGCUGAGUAGAGCUUGUCAUAAGCCCUCUGACCCUCGGACGUGAUGGUAACUGUCUCGGGAACAACUGCAAAAUGGCGCAUGAGAACCACCUCCGCCCGCUUGGAUGAUGCAAUGUUUUCCAUGGGGUGAUUCCCCAGGCGCUCGCGUCGCUUUGGUAGCUCCCGCUUCUCGCCAGCUGACGCGGGUUGGGCCACCUGCUUGGUCUUUGCUCGCCGCGGCACCAAUGGUGAUUUGAUUUUGCGCUAGAGCUCCUUGGUGAAAUGCUUUAGCCUUUUAGCUUCCUCGGAUGCCACAGUUUGUGAGAAGCCUGGUGGGGAGUCAAGCUCGAGAGGCCCAUCGUCUUAAUGGUUUGUGUCCAUCGAAUUAGUUGGCCGCUGGUCAUGUUCUUCUUGCGUCCCAUCAGGUUGCAACCCCGUACCGAGGGCCCAUGCAACCGGGUCAAUUGGCGAGGCAGAGCGGUCAAUCGUUGCAGAGACCGCUAGGACCGCAUGCACCGUCUGUGUCACCACAUCAGCAGUGGCGUCCACUAGCGCCUUCGUGGGGGCAGCCGGCAAGCUGGCGCGUAGCCGCAUCAGAUCCGGCUCCAUGCUGGUCCCCCCAGGCCAGCGUUGAUCUGCACGACAAGCCUUCCACAACAAUGUUGGCCUCGGCAUCCCCCCAAGCUGAGAAGACUCAAUCAGCACCAGUCAGACACUGGUGUUGUCCAGAUCAGCAUGUAGUCAGGCACUGGUGUUGUCUAGCUAUCCCUGUGCAGCAACAGCUCGAAAGCAACUACCUACUACAGAGCCAAGGUUGCCCGCACUGGCAACUCGACUGCUAUCUCAGCUUGGUCAAAUGAGCCGGGGACCUCCACUAGGCUUCUUGUGAGCUUUGCCUGGGCCAACACAUCACAGGCCGUUGUCGUGGCCUUCCUAUUUGAAUCCGCUUUUCGAAAGUGCUUUUGCAGCACCUCCCCAAUAGGCUUCUUUUGCAAAGCUUCUUUUGUCAUUGUCAGGGCCGCAGCAUUGCUGGUUCCCACACUCAUCGGUGUUGCGCACGUGACUCCACUGCCACCACCACUGCCACUGCUGCCGCUAUUUCAAUCCCUCCUGCCACCACGCUUGCGGUGGGGGAAGCAGAGAGACGCGACCCUGUUCCUUGCCGGAACCCGUAGGAGUGAUCCGGGUUGCCGUCCAGGCCACUAUCACCAUCGUCGGAAGGGGAGGAGGCGGAGGUUGAAGGCGUUCUUGGCCGGAAGUCUGCAAUGCUGCAGAGGUGAAUGUCGAUGGGGUACUCCAACAUGCGCUUCUCACUGAGGUAGGGCUCCAAGCUACCAAAGAUCAUCUGCAUCUCAUCAUCGGAGUAGAUGACUAGCAUAAGCGGCUUCGUGAUGAGUUUCUCGGAUGUAGGGAUGGAGUGGGGGUCCUUGGUCCAGGCCGUGAGCUUGAAUGUGGACAUGUCCACCUUGCUCGCCGUCGCCUGAUCCAGGUGCUCAACCCAGGCAUGCUUGGCAAGCAACUUGCUCGCCGUGUCAAGGUCCCAGGCGUGCUCCAGUAUGCCGUCGAGCUCGAUUGUGACCUUCUGGAGGAGCACCACCGAGCUUGCUCGGGCUAGCAGCGUCCACGGAUGAAGGGAGAGGCUUUUGGCUGCCACAAGGAUCGGGCUGACUACCAGUACAUGGUCCCGCACCUCCUGGGAGUAGCAGAUCACUAGGAAGCUCUCCAAGAAGGAUAGCAUGAUGGAGAAUGAGGCUGCUUCUAGCCCAGUGGCUCCCGCAAUUCCCUAUAGCACGUCGUCGGUGUUGAGGUUUCUGGAGGCGUUGCCCACCUGGGCGAUCAACGCCCAGUUGAGCCUAUCCUCCUCCUCAGCCAUGGCGUCACUACGCUCCACAUAACAGCACUUCGACUUCGGCACCACAGGGUGGGUUGGAUCCGUUGAGGCAUCCGUGGAGCAAUCCAUCAGUGAAGGUGGCGGGGAUGGGGUGCGGCUAGGUGCUUGGGAGGCCGUGGGCGUCGGAGGGCUAUCCGUCGUGGUGCGGAUGAAGCGUUGCGGCACCACCUGUCGUCGGAAACCACGCUCCUCAGCACCCCGCGAAUCGCACUCCUGUCCUCCAUGUGCCGCCACCUAACUGGAGCGGGGGAAGCGCAGCUGCCAGCAGACACGAGCGGUGGCUAGCUCCUCACGUCGAAGACAACGCCGCAUGGUGCACGACAUGGCCUCCUGGAAACCCUCCACAUCCACCCGGGGUCGGUGGCGUGAAGGGUCGCCUCCCACGUCGAGGUGGUCUGGCGGCUGUCCUGUCGGGGAUCUCCGAGCGUGCGGCGUAGGCUGUCGCGGUGAAGGAGGAUGACGCUUCUGAGCAUGCCGGGAUGGACGACGUCGUGGUCGCCGCCCGGCCUGGGGAACCUCCUCCACCACAGCCACCGGUGUCGCAACGGCAUUCAUGCCAGGCGACCCCAUCGCAGCCGUGGUGGCGAUGGGGGUUGGGGGUGGUGGGCCGCCUUCGAGUAGGUGGACGGCCGUGGAGACGAUGAAAGCAAGGGUGAGAAGCCGUAGUUCACGCACUCGAGCUCGUCGUCGCUUCUGUCCAACCACCGCAUCUCCUUGGGCCGACCAGUAGACACCUAGGUAGAAAGGGCCGCGCUGUCGGGGAGAACGGCAGGGUGUGGCGAGACGUUGCAUAAGGGAGCGGUGAGGUGGUGGUUGUCUAGGGAGGAGUGCCCAUCAGCACGGCCUGGAUCUUUGGUGAGGUGGGCACAGGGGCAGAGUGCCCGACGGCGCAUCUGAGGGCUUGGAGGAGAUGGGCGCCGGAGAUGGAGCGUCACCCCAUGAGGAGGUGGAAGCCGCCAGUGUCUGGGUGAGCGCCGGCGGCGGGAGGGCAGGCUCCCCGGCCGCAAAGGCGGUGGCAGCGGGGGAGGAAGAGGGGGCGGGGGAACUCAUCCCGGACCGACCCCGAACAAUUCUGAUGUCCGGUACCACAAGUAGUUCACUGGAAGUACCACGGAGGAACAAUGCAUUCAAGAGUCUAGUAGCUUACUGGUUUUCCCCAUCCUUUGAAACACAGUGAUUCUCACAUUCACUUCCUAAUUUCCUAUACAUACAAGUACCUAUCAUAUUCGAAUAAAGACUUUUGAGAAACUAGGUUAAGAGAUCUUGAGAUCGAUUAAAAUCACCAUGAAUAUCUCUCUCUCUCUCUCGACGGACAUAUCACCUACUGGUGAAAGCUAAUAAGACCUUCAAGUAAAAUCUUUCACUAAAACUAAAGCAACAUAGAGCAUCAUGCACGGUACUUGGGUAGGUCUUCCUGAUGAUUACUUCAUAAUAACUGCAUCGUAUGUGUACGUACCAGCUAACCAAAGCAUAUAACUAAGUUAUCAGAACAAAUGGUCCAUGGUCUAGGCAUCGUAUAUAUAUGCACACAACUGACAAGAUCAGCUGGAGCUGGUAGAAUCUAGCUAGGGUUCUAGACCUCUAUAUACUAUUUGUAUUUGGAAUUGAAUCAUCAAGAAACCAUAUAUAUACACUCACAAUUUGAAUAGUCGCACUCAAUGGAUUAGCAUGGUAAAUUUGAAAUUCUACGUCUUUGUCAAAGUAAGCUUUCAUUAGCCUCAUUGCGCGUCUUCUUAUCCGAGUCGUCAUCGCUAAUGCUUGCCAUGGGGUGGCGAGAUGAUGUAACGCAGCAAAGCUUCAAGUAGAACUAGUCCCAGCAGACAGUAAAGCGACAAUCUCGAUAAAAACAAGAUUUUUAAUCGAAGGUCGACUGGUUGCGUAACGAAUUGGUCCUUGUUGCAUGUCUUUUGUGUUGGUUUUUUUUAUACGUAGCUAUCAACAUUUAUUUCAUAUCAUAUUGUUGACGUCAGAUUUCGUCAUCAGUAGAAUCGGCGUCAAAGAGGGAAGAAAUCGAAAGAAUACAGUUGGGAAUCGGUCAAAAGGUGCUACAGUGUGGAAUCGGUCAAGUGGCUUUUGCUUCGCUUCAGGUUCCCAAUCGGCAGCCCUUUGCUGAUAAGAAAUCGCCCGACCAGGAAGGAGGACUAAAGUAGGCCUGUAUGGGCCUGGUUAGGUGGAAAGAUAAGGUGGAGUUCAGCCCACGAAGCGUGGGGUAGUUAGUUUAACACGGAUUGUGCUUGUAGAUAUUUGUUUUCUGUUUGAAUUAGAGAUAGAGUCCUACUCGGUUAAGAAAGAUUAUUUGUACGGGGCUAUAAAUAGCUACCUUUGUAAAUCUGUAAGACAUCAAUCAAUCAAUACAACAAGUUACUUUAUUCUUCAUACUACUUUCAAGCAGGCGACUUCGCCAUCGUUUUUUCUUCUCACGAGUUCGUGCGGGUUGGCAGGGCUGCAUCAUCUUGAUCUCCGGCCGAUUCUGUAAGUUCCGCUUAUCGAGUAACGUCUAGGCUUUAACUUCCGGCGUAUCGCUGUCGUUUCGUUUAGAUUUAUUCACCAGUUAUCGAUAUCAACUAGAUUCAUAGGUUUUUUACCUGUUUUUCUAGCUUUUAUCACCAGUUAUCCCGCUAGGAAUCGGUAGUAUCGGCUUUUAUUACCUUCUGUUGUUAGAUCCGUUCGUUGCCGAUUAGAUCUUUUCCUAGUGUUAUUUUCAUAAGCUUUGUACCGAUUGUUUUAGUAGUUUUCUGUCUACAAGGCUAUAAGGAUCGCGCUCUCUCGUAGCCGGUUACUUUACUACAGUAAAUCGGCCGAUCUGCCGAUUUGUCCUCUCGAUCGGAAACUUAGCCGAUCGCAGUUACCGAAUUUGACACGUGUUCUUCCUUGCCAAUCAACAGGUCAGAUUGGCUGGCACGCCGCGCGAACCGCACCAGGGCAUUCACCCGAACAGGAGCUAAGCAGAUUCUCCCGGGUCGUGUGUCGGCCGCUGGACCGAUUUCUAGCGCCAACACAUAUAUUAUAGUCAUUAUAUAUAUUCACCUGUGGAAUUAUUUAUUGAUGCGAGUGAACAGGAAAUUAUUGUUGCGGAAUCUAACUCGAGAAAUUUGUACUCGAAGUGUCGAGGACGUUUGUGCUGGAAUACAAUAGAGGAACAAGUUGAGAUCGACUCUACUGAAAUGUUUAUUAUGUACGUACAUGUUUGACCCGGGUAUAGCAUGACGAAAGAGCUGUGUUUGUUUUGCAGGAUCGGCUCUGCAAGCUGUUAACCCACAUGAUCAAAUUGGAAUUGAUCUCAUAUAUAUAGAACUGAUCAUGGCACAUGACUCACACAUAUGUGCUAGGGACUAAUAUAUUUUAGACUCAUUAAAUUGACAUGUAUGAUCGUGGUUGGUGACAUGGUUCAGGAGUCACACGGAUUUCUCCGGAACACAGAUGGAAUACUUAUUACAUCUGAAAGUGGAGUCUAUUGUCCCUACCCUCUAACCUCAUGAUGCAUUGUGAGCGGCAACACAAAUAAGGCAAAGGAAUAGAAGGUAGACCGCAUAGCCCACAAUUUCCUACAUUUUGUUGUUCUUCAUUGACAACGACUUUGACGUAUAUAUAGUUAUUGAAGGAUCGAGGGCUGCUUAUUCGAAUGGAGCUCUUUUAAAGUACACAAUAUUAGACUAUACUACUAUUCGAAAAGGAUUAGUAUAAAAACAUCCGACAGUUAAGAUUAAUUGUAUACUACUGAAAUCUUUACAUGUGAUAUGGGUAGUAUACACGAGUAGUAUAGGUAGUAUAAGGAUAUCAUGGUAAAAGAACACAAAUGACAUCACUAUAAUUUUAUUUUUGAUACUAACAUAAAGUUUAAAAGACUAUUUCAUUCGAAAUAUCACCUUUUACAAUGUAAUAAUUACUAAAUUAUUCAUAAUAAUAACUAGUUAGAUUUUACAUAAAUAAUGUACCACUAGGUAUUAUUGUGUACUGUAAAAGAGCUCUUUGAAUGAUAGACCUGUUGAAGGCUCUACCAAAUCGCUGAGCAAUUUUUGGUGCAUAAAAGAAGCAUAGAGUAGAGAAUUCAGUGAAGUGAGGAAAAGCACAGACACAUGCCGUUGUGGUUUCUCUGAAUCUGUCCUCUCUGUCCUUCGAAUUUUGCUGCAAAAUGGUUCGUUCGUUCACCACCUGAACUUGCACAGGCGAUGCGUUCAGGUUCAGGAGGCAGAGCUCCCGGGUUACCGCUUACAAAGCCGAUUCAUUUUCUUCGCCAAUCGAUGUUCAAGAAUCAAGACCAAUCCGAGAGGGCAUAGAAAACUAACAUCAUAUCAUCGGAUAAACGGAGGUGAAGUGAUUAGAAUUGGCGUCACCUGUGUGACUUUGGUUGUACGCCAAGCAAGCAAAGUGCGCCAUAUAUAUACUUGAUUGAAGACACUGGUCACUGAGGAUAAUUACUCGCCACGGAGAAAUGGAGGCGUCUCUGCAGGUCCGAAUUGGCUCUAGCUAGCAGAAAAUAUCUCAUGCAGCACUGUCCAAAACAGCCGUCACGCGCUACAAAUUUCUAAGACUCGAGGUCUCGAACGCGCCGUCAUACCUAACCACACGCACUAGCAAAACGGAGGCAGGAAGAGACUGAUUAGCCACUUGAUAGCUAGUAGAGUGAUAUUUUAAAGUUUUUUAGAGUAAAAGUGAUACUUUAAUUUGCAAGCAAACCUUUUGGUUCUCAUCUCUUACAGAACACUAGGGAAAUAUCUUCUGCUAGCUAGCUCCAGGUCAAAGAAAUGGAAACAUGCUGCGAGGUCCGGCCGCCGCUGGUCGUCGUCACUACCUGCAGAAAACUCGGCAGCUAAUCAGCAGAUCCGAUGAAAGUUCAGGCAGAUGAAACAAGAACCGGUGGGUCUUAUAUAUUUGUCUUGGGCUUUCCCGCUGAUGAUUGAGAGUAGAUGAUCUAUGCUAGAUAUGUACCAGCUCGAUCGAUCCUUCCGUCCUCCGGAAGCAGAAGAUAUGAUCGGCAUCAUCAUAUCGCAUGGACCGUAAACAAUGACUUGGCUUGAACGGCACACGUACGAUUGCUGAAUACUAAUUGCGCAAUCACGCAAAAUGAUAAGGAAAUGCGACAUCUCAUCAUGAUUUCCCUUUACCUGCAGGGAUAUCCGCUGAGAGAAGGAUCCUGAUACCCUCAGUCCCUCAGUUCUCGGAGGCUCGGCUGAAAUUCUGUCUGACAAAUAUGCUUGAACGCAUGUUCAAGUACUCUAAUUUUUUGUAGACAUACAGGUAAAUAAAUCACCAAAAUAAAAGAAUGUUUCCUUCAUCCCGGCAGCUUGCGGGCCUUGAGAUCCGUUGGCUCUAAACAAAAAUAUGGGCCAGGUUGUGGCGUUUCUCAUGGAGCGGGCCUAUAUAUCAAGUCCGUCGAAUUGAGCCCGCUACACGAAAGCCACGUCUCCUCCAUUACACAGGGUCCAGGAAAGGGCCCGUGUUCCUUAUUACUAAAGGCCCAUGGAGAAGUAUUUCGGGGAAACGGUUUGUCUAGUCUUCUUCUUCCUCCAGGAUGUACUAAUAUGCACAUAAAAGGACUUCUUUUGAGCAAGCAACCCACAUAAAAUACUCCUUCCGGUCAUGUAAACUGUAAAGCUAGUAGGAAUCCUAAAUUAUGUUAAAAUUUAUUUCACGAGAACAUAUUUCUAGACAAAUAUAAUUCGCGUUUAUGAGUUGGAGUAUUUUGACAUGUGCAAGCAACAGCCCGUCUGCAGAGUGAGUACCCGCAAUUUUCUUGUCUACCUAGUAUAUCUUCUGUUAAAUGCACGUGAAGCUUGAGUGUCGAGGAGUCGAUAGGUUGCGGCCUUCACGACCAUGCAAAUCUCCCAAACAAACCGACAGGAAGUAUGCCAAACAACGGGCGCCACAGUAGCAUGCCAUUCAUUCCAGUUCCGGUUGUAAAUGAACCAUACUCCUUGUGUUUCAAAUUAUAAAUCAUUCCAACUUUCUUAAAAAGUCAAAACAUAUCAAGUUUAAUCAAAUCUAUAUAAAAUACUACUAUUUAUGAUAUCAUUAGUUUGUUCAUUAAAUAUAUUUUCAUAGUAUAUCUAUUCGGUGUCAUGAAUUUUUAUAAUAUUUCAUAUAAUUUUAAUUAAAUAUAAAAUAGUUUAAUUUUAGAAAAUAGAAUGAGCUGUAGUUUGGAACGGCUCUGCUCCUCCGCGUCCGCGCGGUGGUGUCACCUCACUCUGGCGGCUGGGGUCGGGUCCAAGUCCAAGCACCACGCGCCGAGCGGCGCUGCCCCUCACCAACCUGCCAAUACCCGCGAAUCACGACCGGAACCUGUGAACUUUGGACGACAUCCCUCCCUGAUCUCGCUGCGUCGACGACCUCUGUGGCUCUGCGACCUGAGCCACCCAACCUUAAAAAGGCUAAGCCUACAGCUAACCGACGAACGCGCCUAUAGGCUAGCCUAGGAUCCUGCCGCUGGGCGCCCUAUGAGAUCACUGUCCCCUCCCGCAGUUAUCUUCGUUUGUCGCCGCCCGUCUGCGAGGAGGAGCAGUCAAGAACAAAGCACGCACAAUCAUUGAGCUAGCAAACGCAACUGCUCAAUCAUCUCAACUAUGGAGUCACAUCCGAGUAACACGGUCCGCACUGCACGAUUGACGAUUCAAUGCACGCAUGCGUGGUAGAUACGGCUCACUCGGCAUGUUUCGCGUCGCCGAAACGCCCGAGGCUCCAGUGCCUACAGUACUCCGUGGUGAUCAGAGAUGAGCAGGGAUACUCUCUGCUUCAAUUCCCCUGGCGCAGAUGUAUCUACACGGCAAGAAAUUGCCUGGAACUGAUACAAGGGCUCCACGCACGCCUCCACCCUCUUUAGAAAUCGACAAACUAGUACUAGUCCAGUAAUGAUAAAUCAAGUCGUAUUCCCGGGGCAUGCUACUCGGCAUGUUUUCACAGUGGCAACCACCAUCGGCGCAGCCGGCAAGCCCCGCUCUCUGAUUGGGAUCAGAACCCUCGCCGGAGCUAGGAGCCUAAGCCUACCCACGUCACGCAUCACAAGUCUUGUCUCGCAGCCAGAACAGCCUCGGGCAAACCGAAAAACAGGGUUUUCCAACAUACGAGACGCCGUGCAUCCGGUGAAUAGGGGGGUCGAGUCCCUAGCGAGCACAGCACGGCGCACCAGAAACCUGAUUGUCGUUGCGUCCCUACGGACCAUCCUAACAAACAGUUAGCAGCGUAGUACUACUCUCAAACAGUUUGGUUUGCAAGCGCGCAAUAGUACGACGCAAUUGAUGCCAGGACAAUCUUUCACUUUCAGACUGGCACGGUAGUAGUGUUCCGGAGUCCGUCCGAUUUGGUGCGCGUCACUUUCAGGUAUCUUUUCUUCAUACGCACCUAAAGCUGCACCAUCAAAGUAUCUGCUUUGUAAGAACCUCGUAUACUAUACGAGAAGGUUCCUUAAAAAAGCAUGCACAGAAAAGAACCGGCCGCGACAGGCAACAGGAGGAGGCCAAAUCUGAGUGUACCUAGGAUUGCCAACAGUAACAUCAUGAAUUCAUGAUGCUCGAAACGCUAACACAAGUGGCCGCCAGCCCGCCACAGCGCGCGACGUCGGCAACCGCCAACCGGACAUGGGCAACCUGCCCGCCCGCCCGCGGGCGACGCCCACGCCGCCACUGUCGAUUCCCCCCAUCCGGGUUUGUGCCCAUCUCCGCCCCACGCGCCGCUAUCACUCGCGAUAGUGCAGGAGCGUAGCGGCCGGCAGCGGCGGUUGUGGAGUGGCUUUCGGGGCCCUAAACGCACUGACAUGGACGGGCACAGGACAGAACGGUUGGGGAUGGGGGAAGAUCCCCGGCACGAUGCCUCGGCGUCUCUCGAGCGCGCAUCGGUCGACACAUGAUGCCCGAGCGUCGAGCUCGAUCGAGGAGUGGGAAUGGCGGUGCUCCGUGCUCGUGAGCUCGCUGAACAUUAUUGCGUGCUUCUCUGUGUUGUUUCUGCUCCACUGUUUGCCCUUUCUGAAUUUAUGGACGUAUUAAGGAGCUGUUGGUCCAUGUCCAUACAUGCCACAUGCGCGCCAUCAUGCGUGUGCGCUUUCGGAACAGGUUGCCUGUUCUAGAAUGGACGCAGAUGGCCGGACCCCGCGAGUAGUAGCUGGUUGGUUCCGUGGCACGAACAGGUCGAAGAACGCAUGCAUGAGGCAUCCGUCGCUGAUCCCAAUUAUUCGCACGCCGCUUAUCAACAGAGGCCUAUCGAAUGUGGCAAAGCCCUUUUUAAAAGGAGUUUGUUUACGAAACCUUUGUUUCUUUAAAAAAAGGGCUAAUCAAACGAGGAAAACAUGCACCAAUUCGUUUAGUCGCGUAGUAGUAGUUGGCACCAACCAUCCAAAACUUGUUCACCAAGUGCCUGUUUGGUUGGACUAAAGUUUAGAUCCUAUCUUGAAUCUAGAGACUAAAGGCUAAUAAAGCAAAUAAACAAAGAUCAAAAUAUCCCUAAUGAAUGCAUAAAAUUCAAGGAAUAAGGCAAUAAUGAAGGGGUGGGGGUGUCCUCCUAUAUCUUUAACUUUUAGUCAUUCCCAAGGAAGUAGUUCUUCAUUUAGUCCUUCAUUUUGGGAGGUUAGGGAUUAAAAGAGAUCAGGAAUAAACUUUAGUUGCUCGAUUUUUCUCGAAGACCAUCCAUGCAGUGGACCGUACACAUAUGCGCUACUGUGCUCAUGCACCGUUCCUUUUUUUUUUCCUGACACAAAUAGGUGGGCUAAAGGCUAAAGCUGGUACAUACUAGUACCACGUAGCCCAUGGACCGGAACCUACAUAAGCUUAAAGACCUGCCAAAAAAAUUGGGGUCCGAUCUCGUGUAUAGAGUCUACUACGUCUAGCGGUCUAGGACCCCAGUUAAAGGCCCUGUUGAGUGCCGCCGCUGGACUCCAUCAACCGGACCGGUCCUUGGCGCUAGCUGCUAGGAGUAGUACUGGUCGGAUCGGUAGCUGCUCGUGGCUAGCUGAUCGACCACUUCUGACCGAGCGCGCGCGUUAAUGCGAUCGAUGCGCACAGCUGCCCGCCGGCGUCGUGGGCGCACCACCUACGCCUAUGCCCGGUCCACCGGGAACGGACGGCCUCGCUACAGCAGCGCUCCCAUUAUUCUCCUCGAUGGCUUUUACUCGCGCGCACGCGUGCUCUGGAUCGAUCCACGGAUCUGGCUGGCCUCCCUGCCGUGCCACGCCGCAGAGCCGCAGAGGCCCCAUCGCCGCGCGCGGCAGGCAGGGGCCGUGCACGCCCUUGAUCGAUGCCGUGCGAGUGCGGGCUGAGGAGCCCGCGCCAUGCCGCGGAGGCGCGGGCGCGCGACUGUUGGGGGCGCGGCAGUGCCGACUCCGUACCGCUGCUGGGGCGGGCGCUGGCCGAUCGAUGGGGGCGCGUACGGCGCCCCCGCCCAUGCCGUGCCGGAUGAUCUGAUCGCGCAGCGGCGUGGGAGGGGUUUUCGGGAUCGGGCGCAUGCAUGCGCGUGGAUCAGGCGAAUUAUUGGCAGAGUGGUGGCCGGCGGCCGGCCGAUGGAUGCGUCGUCCGUCCGUCCGUUGUUUCCUGGCCACCCUUUAUGAGCGCGGUACGUGAUCCUUCGACCGUACAAUAAUGCGGAGGCGCUCCGUCCGGCCGGCCGGCCCCGGCCCGGGCUAGCCUCUGCGUCCCAUGAAUCCAUGAUGUGCCGUGGCGUUGCUCCUUCCUCGAGGAUGUACCCGGUUCUGCUCUGACACCGAUGUGUAAUAGGGCGGCAUCACGGAGGAGCGGAGUACCAGUGCUAGUCACCGGUCAGAGGGGAUCGAUCGACCAGAUAGCCGCGGAAAGGUCAGACCCGGCGGUCGUUAUGGCCAGAACGAGCAUCGGCUGCAAAGAGACAGAUCUUCGGUGCGGAAGUCAGAGCCUUUUGAGUUUUGAGCUCCACUGUGGUAAGCACAGUACCGCCGGCCGGCGCGGCAGCGCCUAGCUAGCUGCCGGAGUAAAGUUUCGACGUCCUCCGAUCCCACUGCACGUAAUGGUGAUUCUCACAAAAGCUUGCUUUUAGUGUAUGCCAAUAGCGAGCCAACUACUCCGACCCUGAGACCCUGAGUACGUAAACACCUGAUUGCAAAAAAGCCACCUGUGGCACCUGCCAAGUUUCUGGCAGCUAGCUACAAUCGCCCCAACGUGACCAGUUUCUGAAACCACCGCAAACCAGAGUCCAACCACGCCAGGAGAAGUAUACGGCGUGCGCGAGCGACGGUCAUGUACCUAGUGCCGUGCGUGUCAUGCCAUGAUUCGCGACCCAUGAUAAUGACGUAUAUCCUCUCCGGCGAUUUCGUGUGGUAGCUAGUCGGUCAGCUAACCGCCCGGCAGCAGGUAAUAAUAAUCUACGAAGGAUAUAAGCGCGCGGUUCAAUUUCAUCGAGCUGUAAGCGGUCGCUGCCCAUAAAUAUUCCGUUCGUACGCACGCACGGCAUCCAUCAAUAAUAGAAGAGCACAAUUAAGCCAAGGAUCGAGCGAGGCAUCGAUCGAGCUAGCUCCAUCACGCCACCAACCGAGCGCGUCAUGCUCUUCCCAGAUCCCUUUCGUACGUGCCGUCCUUCCUGCCUCACGGUCCAGCUAAUCCCUAGCACACACAAACGCGUGUCCUAGUGUCCCUGUCUCAUAUCUAAACCCUUCUAGCUCUAGACCUUUUGGCUUUGCACGCCCUCUAUAGCUAAAACCCGGACCGCUGAUCUUUCCUUUUUGUUUACACACACAUGCACGGUUGGUGAAACCGGCAGGCAGGCAGGCAGCUGGCGCGCCGGUGGCCUAGCUAGCAACCGAGCGGCAGGACGUACGGCUGGUGAUUGGUAAAGCGCGGUGGUACGAGCGCGUUCAUGGCCCGCGACGUCGCCCUCCCGGGGGCUCCCUCCGCGCGCGUCUCCGAUCCCUGGCGUGGGCGCGCGCGUGGCCCGGCCGGCUCGAGAGGGCGCGACGAGAUCGACCGACGGCGGCCUGUUCCCAGCCGGCCGCGCAUGCACACCAGCACAUGAGCUAGCACCCUGUCGAUCGAGCGACCGCGCCGCCCGCGCGCAAGCGCACGGACCGGCAUGCGGCAAGCGGGAUGUCCAUGGUUCCUGUCGACAAGCCAACACGUCGCGGGGGCGGCUAACCAACGUUCUGCUGGGGGCGGAGGCGAGGCCCAUGAUUCGGUCGGGCAAACGACGACGAGGGCAUCGAUUACCAAAGUGACCGGCCGCUUUAUCCCUACAGUGAUGGAGGCAGGGUGCCUGUUCCGCAUGGUGCAAUAUGCUCGCCCACAGUGGAGCAUGGUGUGCAUGGUCCCGAGAUUCAUAUCGUUCUUACGUACUCUUGUCUCGCGUAAAAUAUUGGCGAUGCAUUGUCCAUGCGUAGGUCAUCACACGAGAUUUUGCUGUGGCGACUGGCGAUAGCUCAUAUAGCUGUUGCCUAAGAUGGAGGCUUCACGCUCUACCGCUAGGAUACCUCUGCGUCUUAAAGCUUAGGAUACCUCUGUUUCUUUUGGUUUUUUCUGUUCUUGUUUACUUAUAAACUAAUUAUUCGCUCGCUUUCUUUCCACACAAAGUGCUGGUAAGCGCACAGCAGAAGGAUUACGCGCAGACUGACACUUACAGGCCACGCCAGAAGGAUCGCCAUCGACAGCAGCGAGCCGGAGCGCCGCCAGCAAGCUUUUCUGUAUCCAUUGCACCUGGUGAUCGAGCGAACGCGCCACGAGCUGGUACAGCGCGCGCACUGACUUGCAAUAGCAGGAUCGAUGCCCCUGCCCGCUCGCGACCGGAGCGUUGGCGGCGACGAUGCCUCCCAGCCCCGGGACAAUCGAAUCGCCGCGGUUCUUCGGCAGGCAGGCACGCCCUGUGCCCGGAUCGCCACGUACCCACGUUUCUCUCUGACACUAAUGCCUGCUUAGCUCGAAAAAUGAUUGUCGGACGAAUAGCCUUUUCAGACAAUGCACUCUCGAAGAGCGCCACUCUGUGGGCGUGCAUCGUCGCUGGACACAGUGCUGCCCGCGCACUGUGGCCGUUCUGUUUAGGCUUUGCACUUUCGGAGUUUCUGUCGUCCGCGUUCGGCCGUCGGUGCGCCAGAGGCAUUGCUGAGGGAUCUGUCGGCUAACCGGAUCGGCCCGGUGAACAGCGCCGUACCCUGUGAAAAACGCAGCUUGGACUUUUUUGGCGUUAAAGCACGGGGCGGGCCGCGGGCGGCCCGGUACGGGCGGCUCGCCCAGCAGUCUCAGGAGGGUUUCUCUCUCUCUCACUCACUCACUGAGGUUCAUGUGGCGUCUGGGCCAGAAGACUUUUAAACCGCAACCGCCGGGCAGCGGCGCUCGGAGUCCGCAGGGACGACGACGACGGCGACGCGGGGCCACUGUUUGGGGAUGGCAACAGGUCACGCGGCAGCCACCUUGGCAUGACAUGCUUUGCGCGGGUGCGUGCUUCUGUUCCAUAUGCGCGCGCGUGGCGUGGCGCGGCGCGGCCGGGCCGUGGACCGCGGUAAAUCCAGCCAUCGGCAGCGUCUGCAGUGAUGGGGACACAUGUUUUCAGUGGGGCUUUUUUCAGGCUUUUCCAGCCGGUACCACCCUCCGCCUACGCGGGGCUACGGCACUAGGCUUUCCCCAGCCUGCCCCCCUAGCAGGGCUACUACUCCAGUACAAGCCUCUAUCUACUUUUGUCAACACGCAAAAGCUGUUAGCAGGAGCAGCAACAGAGUUAGCUGUAAGCUUGUUUCAGUUAAGCACGGCCCUAGCGUUAAUGCUGCUUGGACGUAAGCACCCAUCUUAUCCACUAGCGGCCUUCCCUUGCAAUCCUGGGCAAAACUCUUGUUCACGGGUCACCGGGCCAGUGGGAUUGGACUGGAUUAGAUUAAUUAGAUCUAGUGCGCGCUAAGAAUUACGGUCAUGUCAUCGUCCACCACCUUUAGUUAGUCAAAACCCCCGUGCUCUUAAUUUAUAGUACGAGAUCCCAGGCUAAGAGCUAAAGAGGACUAUAUUUGUAUAGCUAGCACGUUGGAGGGUUGCUUUGCGAGUAAUGUAUUCUCCAGCAUCGUCUUUGUCAUCGUCUUUGGCUUUGCUAGUGCUGACUUUGUCGAUGAGCACAACUCAGCAAGUAUUUUCGUCUGGAUGUUGGGAGAUCAUCAACUUCAGGGAUUUGCUUUUUUAAAAAAACAUUCAAAAAAAAAUUCAGGGAUUUGCUUAGAGCAGCAGAUUCUGGAGAGAAUGCAUAAUUCAAGGAAAGGAAUAUAGGGGACAAGGGGUUUUCAAUAUUCUGGAAUGUAGGGGACAAGGGGUUUUCAAUAUUCUCAGCAGUCUUAACUUGCAGGGAGCUAGCUGUUUAUUUGCUAACACGAUCUUUGACGUUGAAUUCUGUAUACAACUACAUUUCCCUAAUUCGCUAAAAUCCUCAUGCUCGUUUUUUUUUAACAAGAAAAAAAAAACACACUCGCAUUGCAAUACUCUGUACCCUGUUUGCUGCUCGGUCCUUUUCUGGACCUGUACAGAAAGGGAGCCGUAUCGAGGAAGAGAACAUACGAGACAGUAUGGGCUGGCUUUGUUGCGCCGCAAUAAUUCAGCUUUCUACAUCUAUCGUGCUCGCACCAAACCCAUGGACGGUGGAUGUGGAUUCACCGGAAGGAGACCGCCCCGGUCGGCCAUUCCGUGAACAGGAGGCCAUACAUAGGUGGGCAAAACCGCCACGAACACCGCCAUUUGCGUUCACUAACCCUGUUUUCACUUUCACCACGUCGUUUUCCGCCGAGCUGGCUGGACAGACGCUGCGCGCCACGAGUCCACGAGAAGCUAGCUGCUUAAUUAGCUCGGGGGCCCUUAACCUGUCAACCAAAUCAUGUUGGCCAUGCUGCCCAUGCACGAUGAGCAGUAACCAGCGCGUUGGAGACAUGGACACGCGCUGUUGUUUUUUCUUUGGCUGGGCGCCGGGGCGUUCCGGGGAUCGCCUGUAGAAGAGAGAGGCGUGUCGACCAGACGGCCUCUCUGUACGUACGCCAGUAGUACGGUGCAUGUGUAUGCAUAUGGUCCGGAACAGUAAUCCUGGGGGAUAAACGAGCAUCUUUAGCUAGAGCUAGACGGGCUGCAGCAGCUAGAAGCAUGGACAUCCAGCUGCCCCUAGCUGCUCCGACAGCGCGGGUAAUUGCCGCGGGGACCCGGCGCGCGGGGGCGGUGGUCCGCUCGCCUGGCCGCCCGCUGCGGUUCGUCGCCAUCUUUUGGGCGCGCAGGCAGGCAGCCGGGCGGUGGUCUUGCGCUUGCGCCCUCGCCCUGCUCUGCUCAAUUUGUCGCGCGCGCGCGGCUUGCGCAGUGUGCACCCCCGGCGGCCUGCUGCGCCCGCGCGCCGAUCCACCACCCGUCGAUCGCGACCCGCGAUCGGGAGCGCCAGGGACCGAAGGGACACCAGAUGCGUGCGUGCCGCCGCGACCCUGCUGCCCCCGGGACCGCGCGGCGGCAGCUGUACGCUUGCGGGUGCGCGGCACGCGCUUGGGGGUUGGAUUGGGGGUGUUCGCUGUUCGGGGUUCGGAGUCAAUCGUCGCGUCGUGCCGCGCGGAGCGGGACGGGGACGGGGACGGGGAGGGAGCUGCGGAGCUGGGCGUGUCGCCGCCUGGCGACUUUGGGGUUUUCGCUGGCGAGGGGCUUGAGAGGGACGGGAGGGUAGAGCGGAGGCGCGCGGCGUGCUGGUGCUGCUAGCAUCGGAUGCCUGCCGGCAGCCCGGCCGCCGCGGGGAGACUUUGGUGGAUCUCUUGAUGAACUGUUUUGCGCGAUGGUCCUGACUCCUGACACGCACACGCCGCAUGUGGUGCCAAUCUGCUAGCCGUGGCACAUGGUGCGGUGCCUGUACAUGUGUGUUCUUUAAUCUUUACGUGCUUGGGCUCACCGUCUUCUUCUUCUUCUUUUUGGAAAGAUUUGGGCUCACCAUCUUCAUUUUUACGAGUGCGAUUGUGCGAACAACCCUUGCACAGAAGAGGCUUCGUUGAAAAUCUUCACUCGGAUGCUGUCUGACUACGCGGUGUCGCUGUCGUUGUUUCAACUCGCGAAAAAUAAAAGAGAAGUCUUUUCCACCUUGCGGAAAAUAACAAAGACGACAAAUCAAAGCCCGUGGGUGGACAAAAGUACCCGGGUACGAAUGACGUCGCCAAACGUCCGAUGGCACGAGACCUUCACCAGAGAAGCAGAGACCAGAGAGAUGCGAUGCGAUAGGCAUCUUUUUAUUCCUUGCAACCGAAAAGUAAAAAGAACCAGGCGCACGGCAGCCAGACGCCUCCUCAUCGCCCUCCUUUCGCCUCCCGUACUCACCCCGCUGCGCCGACGCCUGGUGUACACGCCACCUCACCUUAAAAAUCCCAAAACACGCCCCCAAAUUGAUGGCCUUUCCUUUUCUCCCUCCCUCCCUCUCUCUCUAAGAAAAAAAGAAGAAGAAAAAAUCGAUGGCCUUCCCGGCAUGCCCCUGGCACUAAUCCACUUCCCCGAAACGGCAGGAGCGGUUACACUUUCCCACUUGUCGCGUCCGAGCACUCCGGCUGAUGGCUGGGCCCCGCGGCCGCCGGGAUUUUAACUUCCCUUCCCUCCCCUCCCCCACCCCCUUCCCGGCCGAGGACGAUUUGUACCGCCUGCCUACCCGACAGUAAACAGUAGCCGCUGGUAAACACCGCCACCACCAACGACGCACGCAGAGGGGGGCAAGGCGCAGCGGGGAGGGGGAUGGCAUCACCACCGCAAUAACAACGACGACGGCACCAGCGCCAACCACCACUUUACGAGGGCAGGCACAGCACAGGCGGGGAGAGGCAGGCGCGCGGCACGGGGCAGGAACCCGUCGCGAUUGGCCCGUCCGACGACGAACCGGUCGCGGGCCUCGUGCUCCUGGUGGAUCUGACGCCACCCGCCCGCGGGCGCGGUCGCUUUGCUUCCCCCUCAGUCCUCGUCGUCGACGCGUCGUCGACGCGUGCCGCCGGCCGGGCAAUUCCCCGCGAGGGGGCGCCGUGCCCAUUCGAUCUGCUGCCCCGGGCUCGGCUGUCAAUGCGGGCGCGGAGAUGAGCGCCGGCGGCGGGGAGGAGGAAGAGGAGGAGGAGGAGGUGUUCUACGAGUCGCGGGAACGCGUGCUCUCCUCCUCCGGCUCCUCCACCUCCGCCUCGGACGACGACGACCACGGCCUCCCGCGACGGCGCCGGGACGGGACCGCCUCCGCUGCCGCGGCGGCCGCAGCCGCUCUCGACGUGUGGAUGUCCGAACCGGCGCCCGUGCAGGAGCGCCGCCGGAGGCUGCUCCAGAUGAUGGGGCUCGCCGGGGACCCCGCCCUCGCGCGCCUGGAGAUGGGCCGAUCGGCCUCCUACGACGGGCCCGUACGACCGGCGGCGGUCUCGCCCAUCUCCCGAUCCAGAUCAGACGGCGCCGCGCCGGUCAAGCCCCCGCUGGGGGGGCGGUCGCGGCAGGCGUCGUCGGGCUCCUCCGAGGCCACGCCCGAGGGGGAGGAGGCCGACCCGAGGUGCCUAAUCCGGAACCUCGACGACGGCAGUGAGUUCGUGGUCAAGGAGGAGUUCGAGCUCCGCGAGGUCGGCACGGGCCGGCAGCUCACCAUGGAGGAGUUUGUUGACCUCUGCGUCGGCCGCUCGCCCAUCGUCCAGGAGCUCAUGCGACGCGAGAAUGUUGCCAACGCUGGCUCGAACAACGACUCGUCCACCCCCAUCCAGAGGUCCAACUCCGACUCCAGCAACGGAGCAACGCGACACCGGCGGCGUAGCAGCUGGCUUCGGAGCAUCCGGAACAUCGCUGGCUCCAUGGUGGUCACCUCCCGCGACCGCCGCAGCAGCGACGAGAAGGACACGUGCUCGGAGAAAGGCGGGCGCCGGUCCAGCUCAGCCACAGAUGACAGCCAGGACAGUGCCAGAGCCGUGCACCAUGGCCCGGUGCGCGUUAAGGUGCGGCAGUAUGGAAAGUCGUACAAGGAGCUCAGUGGUCUGUUCAUGAACCAGGAGAUACAGGCUCACAAUGGGUCCAUCUGGAGCAUCAGGUUUAGUCCAGAUGGCCGGUACCUCGCGAGUGCUGGGGAGGACUGCGUGAUCCAUGUCUGGGAAGUGUCUGAGUUUGAGAGGAAACGCGAGGAAAAUGGGGUGUGCAAUCCUUUUGUUGCAAUGGUGUGCAACGGUUCGCCAGAGCCAACAUUAGCGCUGGCCAGUCUGGAUGGGAGCAAUUCUGAGAAGAAGCGUCGGGCAAGGUUCUUGGAGAGUCGGAGGUCAGUGAGUUCAGACCAGCUCAUGGUGCCAGAACAUGUGUUUGCAUUGUCAGAAAAGCCGAUCCGAACCUUCGUGGGGCAUUCAGAAGAUGUGCUUGAUCUCUGUUGGUCCAAAUCUCAGGUAAUUCUAGCGUACCCAUUUGCUCUGAAGUUGUGUUGGUACUUGAUGAGUAACGAUGAAUGCUGAAAUUUAGAAGCAUGCCACAAAUAGUAUAAAGAUUAUAGACAGUGGUUGCUGAGUCCUUAUUGUUUACUCUGGAAGUGUUAAUGAAAAAAUUGUAUGAAGCUUAUUAUUUCAGCAAUCCAUCCUUGUGGUAAUUGACACCAACCAUGUUAGGGCAGAAUUAUACCUUUGCUCCAAGAACUAACAUAGUUUAAUGCAUUUCCGGUGUAGUGAGCUGCAAAGGCUGAAUUAAUAACUUGUAAUGCAUAAAUGCAAGUGUGUCUGCUACCUAACUUUAGAGUUCUUCCUCCAAAGUUAAUUCUUCCUUGUGUUAUGACAGUAAUAUAGUUUAGGCAUUAAUGUAUGUAUUAUGUGUUUCACAAUACAUUAUGGACUAGGUUUGUGAACUUCUAGAAAUUAGAGAUACCUUGCCUCAUCAUGUGAUUUCAUCUAUCAUCUUUGUUCAGUGCUCACAACUUUAGUAACAACAUGAAACAGCCAAACAGGCCAUAUAAACAAGGCACUAAUCAGGUUGCAUCAAGUGGAGUCUCAAUUUAUGGUCUCUUAGGGCACACGUUUAUCCUUCUUAGUCAGAGUUCAAACAGCUUGUCACUAAGUCACAUUGCAUCAAGCCAUAAGUAGAAUACUACUAUUUAUCAGGUUUUGCAAAAUGCAGUUACCCCUCACUGGUCACACUUAUUUAUGAAGGGGAUUACAAUUACCGACCGACCAACCAGUUGCCUACAAGAGCACAAAUGCAUGAUUGGGCUUAAGUUAGCAGUUCGAGACAUCUAUUCCUAGAUUUACAUUGGCACUCUAUGGGCUAUACUCCAUACCUCUCUACACUGGCUACAUAUCAGAACUUGUGCUCACCAAUAGUGCGUUCAUAAAUUCAUUGCGAACUAUGGUUGCUAAAGUUCUGUCAGCUCCUUACAAAACAAAUUUGAUUGCUAUGCUUAUCCAGUAGUCCUAUGAUUCUGCUGUCAUUACAAAAAUUUCCCAAGUAACACCUUUUUCAAAUGCUUUGCAGUACUUACUUUCAUCUUCAAUGGAUAAAACAGUGAAGUUGUGGCAUAUCUCAAGCACUUCAUGUCUGAAAACAUUCUCACAUAGUGACUACGGUAAGAGUUACCCACCCCUUGCACUAUGUAAUGUUUCUCAGUUCUCACUCAGCCAUCAAUAUCCUAAAUUUUCCUUUGUUGAACUUGUAUCCCAGUGACGUGCAUCCAGUUCAACCCUGUUGAUGAUAGAUACUUCAUUAGUGGUUCACUGGAUGAAAAAGUCCGCAUAUGGAGCACUCAAAACCGUGAGAUUGUUGAUUGGCGUGAUUUGCAUGAAAUGGUCACUGCUGCUUGCUAUACCCCAGAUGGGCAGGUUUUAAUCAUCUAUACUUCAUUCCUUGAUCUAAAUAUCUUCGUGUUAAGGUCUAACAUGUUUCCUUCUUACCUGAAGAGUGCAUUAAUUGGUUCCCAUAAAGGCAGUUGCCAUAUUUAUGAUACAUCUGGUACCUCUCUCCACCUGUCUCAUGAUCAUCAUGUGUCCAUGUUUUUUCUUUGGCUUUGAUCUUACCUUUUCAUUUACUUUUCUGACCAGAUAAUAGGCUUCUUCAGAAGAAACAAAUUGAUCUGCAGAAUAAGAAAAAGAAGUCCAGUCAGAAGAAAAUCACUGGGUUUCAGGUGCUUAGUAGAAACAAAUUUGUGUAUGCUUUACUAGCACACUAAAUUUUUUGUCGUUAGCUCCCUGUCUUACUGAGUAAUAGUUUCUUGAAUAGUUUCUCCCAGGAAAUACUUCAAGGGUCCUUAUUACAUCUGCAGAUUCAAGAAUCAGGGUUGCUGAUGGCCUAAAUCUAGUUCACAAGUACAAAGGUAUCAAAAUUGAGUCUCGGAACUUUUCUAAGAUUAGUAAGCUUAUCAUAUUAUAGACCUUUUUUUAAGUCAUAGUUUUGUACUGCUACAGUGUUUUCUCUGCUUCUAAGUAGUGAUUUAUGAGAUGAAAUUCAAGUUGUACUAAUAAGUACCCAGUUAUCUGGUUCUUUGCAUGUCAACAACCUAAUUUCUGGUUGCUCCUCUUAACCUUUUUCUCGAAUAGUGCAGGGGAGCUAUGUGUCAUUUUAUUAAGAAGAUUUUUGAGCUUUAUUAGAAUCCCGGUGUCUGUAGUUUGAUAUGCUUCCUAUAGAUCCACAGCAAUCAAAUCAUGUAGCGGUCAUCUGUUUAUCAAUAACAUAUUUCCCUGUUCCGUUGAUUGAAUCAUGUAGCGUUUUCGCAUUUCUCCUGUCAUCUGCUCGCAACAAAGUGACAAAACUUGUCAGUCUCCACUUUGUUGAGGUGAUAGGUCCUCGUGUUCACUUAACAUGAUAACACAGUUGUAUCUGCUCAUUGAUGGGGGUCCAAUAUGCAUAUAUUUUUUCCCUGAAGCAAUGAUGCUUAAUUUUCUAGUAGUUUCCAGUACAAUGUCUCUUGACUCUUUGUUCUGUUCUCUUUCAGGUUUUCGAAAUACUAGCAGCCAAAUCGCAGCCUGUUUAGCUGCUAAUGGGAGGUAUGUGAUCUCUGCAAGUGAGGAUUCCCAUGUGUACAUAUGGAGAAAUGACGAUAACCUUGAACAAGGCAGAAGUAAGGGGAAUGUUACUGUCACCAAUUCCUACGAAUAUUUCCACUGCCAGGAUGUGACAGCCGCUGUUGCUUUGCCAUCUGCUGGCUCGGCAAUGGUAUCCAGAACAAACUCCAGGAAACAUGAUGAACAGGACUGUGUAUCUGAGCAUCCUCUGUUGCAUGCUGUCCCUGAAUUGCAAGAUUCCUGUGAUUUCCAAGGCCAAAGUGGCAAUAUCCUAAGCACCAGUUCAAACCACAGUGGUGAUAGAGCAACUUGGCCUGAAGAGCUCAUGACGGCAACAAAGCAGAGCCCUCGGUCCAGUGCCAGUCUUCCCAGUGGUGCUGGUCAAGCUCCGAGUCGGUCUGCCUGGGGAAUGGUAAUUGUCACAGCAGGCCGUGGAGGUCAGAUCAGAACAUUUCAGAAUUUUGGGUUUCCUGCUCGAGUAUAGUAGCUAUGAGGCUGCUGCCUGGACUUGACAUCUGCUCUGCAGCAAGCCGGGUGAUUUUUGUGUAUAGAUAGGUGAAAAAUUGGGUGAUUUGCACAGCAGUCUGGGAUUGUAUUUUGUUGCUCCUAGGUGCAGCUGCUUGUGGACUUCGACUAACAUACGACCUGGCACUCGAGGCACGGCGAAUUCGUUUGCCCGGAAUUGUACAUGAGAAUGGGCCCGGGAAGGACGACGGGCGUCAGCCAGUUGGAGCGAGAUCUUUGGGAUCUUUUGCCACCAUCUUUUCAUCUGUUUUCUCCAUUGAGUCCAGUUUAGCUUUUCUCUUGAUGUUUACCCCUUUAUUAUAUAUUCUUGUAAGAAGAAAUCUCAGUUCUACAGAAAUAGAAAAGCAAAAAAGAGUUGCAUAGAGUGAUGAAAUUCGUUGUACUGGUAUAGCAGGCUAUGUUAAUGGUACAUGAAUAUAGGAGUAAUAGAGGUUCUAGGAAGAGAUGCAAAAUUUUUGAGUUCUGAAGCUUUUGGACCUUGCUUCUGGACAUGGUUGGCCCGGUGCAUUUCUGGUGGGAGUAUAUCUGGUGUCCAACUGUCGGUUAUCCAACAAAUUUGUUAUCCCCUUUCUGCUUUCGAUCAUUGCUACAUGCUCUUCUCCCGUUGUAUCGUGUGGUGUCUGUGCGUUGUAUGGAGUCCAUUCUUCUUGUGGUUGCUGGGGAAAACUACCCCAUUUCUUUGGACUCGAGCUGUUCAAAUGUUUCGGCGGCGAGCUCCGAUCUUUCUCGCGGUGGAGGCGCGGCCACAGCGGCAAAAGCAAUCUCCAGAUGAGUUGAAAUCCGGCCUCCCACGACUCCGGUCUGCCAGAUAUUUGGGGAUCUGAUCGAGAUGCCUAUCGAAGCUGACGCGAAGACUCAUGGUCGUCUCGUAGCAGCAUCAGGAACAGCGUUUCGGUGAUUCGCUAGAUCGUUUGAUGUGAUGUCAAACAAACAGGCAAAAUCAACUGGAAUUGGCUAGACGAAGGUAAUCAGUGUGAUUUCGUUCAUGCUUUGCUUUUAGUUGGAAGGUUGCGCGAGGCAUAUGUAUCGUGCAACUUCUUUAAAGAAAAGAUAGAAAAAAGGAGGACCGUGCCAUUCAGUGCCGAUGCUGACGCCUCUGAACUGUAUCUUUAGGACCACACAAAUAAAUUUGUCGGCCUCAUCACCGAUCCAACCAUCCAAGGGUCCACGAGUGCGAACAUUUGGUGAGGUGGGCUCUUCUCUUUCGGUAAGGUCAGACGGUUUGGUCAAACACCUUAUAAGAAAAAAGAAUAUAUGAAGGGGGAAAAGAGAGAAAGAGUACAUCAAAAGAAAUCACCAUUAGAAGUAUAACUAGACAUUGAAAGGGUUCUAGUGUGCAAGUACAGCCACUAUUUUUGUAUAAUAUCAAUAAAUCUAUAAUAUCGCUAAUUAUGAAAAAUGUUUUCAUGACAUAUAAGAUAAUAUGUUUUAAAAGAAAUGAUCAAAACUAGAAAUUUUAACUCAUAUUUUUUAGGACGUCAUAAAUUUGGGAACAAACUAAAGAAUUGCUCCCCGGAAGGCACUUCAUAAAAUGAAAGGUAUGCUAAGUCCGCUUCAAUCACCAAAGAAUCUAAUUUAGCAUAGAAAAUCACGCAUAAAACUUUUUGAGCAACACUAAACAUCACUGAAUUGGAGCAUAAUUGGCAAAAGGAGUGUAUGAUCCUCUUGAGAAACAUAAAUGCCAAUUACAUAAGCUUGAGUAUACGGUUUUGCAACUUUACCUUGCCUUUUUCCCCAUGCAUCAAUCCUACCGCGACCUUUGGCUUCAUCCUACACCGCGUAGGCACGUGCACUAUAGUUAAGGUUGCCCCUUUUUUUAUUCUACCACCAUUCCGCCUCAUAGUUACAAGAAUAUGACACUUCAUUCAUAAUUUUGACUAUUAUCGUUUUGUCCAUUACAGGCAACACUGUCUUAGGGGUUUUCAAAGGAAAACAAGAGAGACCCAUGUUGUGCCAACUGCAUCUUAUUCAUUGGGUUAUACCAUUAUUUAUACUUAGCUUGAUGAAGAACGUUUGCUACCAAAGCUUAAUACUCUUUCCGUCCCAAAUUACUAUUUGUUUUAUUUUUUCUAGAUACAUAGUUUUUCCAUGCACAUAGAUAUAUGCUAUGUCUAUGUACCAAUGAAACCAAAACGAAUAUUAAUUUAGGAUGGCUGGAAUACUUAUUUUUAUUCUCAUAUAACUAAUCACCCUUCUAGAAACAAAAAAACUAUUGAUGGUAGCAAUGAUCUUGCUCGUCACCAAUGGGCUAUCUUACGAGUUGAGUCGUUUCACGAGUUUUCUUAGCCAAAAGUUCGAGCUAGGUGACAAUAGUAGUCCUUUUUUUUUUGAGACCCAGGUGACAAUAAUAGUUGGUAUACUGAUAAUGGAGUUGGGCCUAAACUCAAGCAAUGGUUGAAAAGGCCUUUGCCACUCGUUAGCACAGUAUGAGUUUUACCAUCACUUGACUUUGCUAAUAUGAAUUAAAUGGCAUUUUAUGAUUGGAAACAUGAUUAUUAAUGGUUAAUUGGAGACAACAAUUCUUCUGUUAAAUGCACAAAUAGUGUUUAAGUUGUGAAUGCCAAUUUUUUUUUUUAUCAACAGCUCCAUCUACAAAAUCGAUUUGUAGUAGCUGGAGGCGGCGCCUAAUUGCCUACUGGAGUAUAAACCAAGUUUCCUCAAGAGCUAGAAAGAAGGGUGUAUCGGUAAGCAACGUUCCAAUUUGGAAACGUACUGGGCCUACUGGCGUCGGUUAUCCAAAAAUAACGGGCAAAAGGAGUCCACGAAUUAUACUCGUCAUCGCCUCCUCCCCACCUCCCUGUAAAUAAAGCGUCAGGUCUCCCUCCUAACCUCGCACCAGGCCACCACCAGUGAAUCAGUGGUGCUCUGAUCAGACGCCGCCUAGGGUUUCUCCGAGCCGCCACCCCGUGCCCCCGCCCCCUUCCCUUCUCCUCCCCGAGCGUGCCCGCCGUCGCCAUUGCCGCGGCUUCGCACGAGCUGCGCGAAACCCAUCCUCAACCCACCCCGUGGCACCAAAUCCGUCCGUAAUCUGCGAAGAACUCGAAUGCGAUCCGAGGAAGCGCCAUAAACGCAGCACCACGCACGCAUCUAUCCAUCGCUGAAUUCCUCCUGCUGGUUCUGGAGACUUGAUAAGAACAGAUCCGCCGGCGCGCGGAUCCGUCAACCUGUUCGCGGCUGCGGACAGUGCGCGUGCGGUGCGUGGACGUGCGCAACAGACUCUGUUGAACCGAGGAUUUGGAUCUCUGGAACCACUCCGAUUUGGUUUUGGCCAGUGCGAUCUGAUUCCGGUGCGUUGAACAUGAUCAAGUCCGUGGUUUAUUACGGGAACAUCCCCGUUGGGGAGGCGGAGCUGUGGCCCAAGGGCGAGACGGACCUGGCGUGGGCGCGGGAGAUCCGGGUGGACCGCCUGUCGCCGCCCAGCGAGCGGUGCCCGCCGCUCGCCGUGCUGCACGCCGUCGCGGCCGGCGCCCGUUGCCUCGUGAUGGAGUCCAGGCCCACAUCCACGGCUGACGAGCCCCCACCGCCGCUCGUCGCCAUGCACACCGCUUGCCUCAGCGGCAACAAGGUAUACAUGUGAAUCAUUCUGACACCGAAACAAGGAAACAGCAAAGAGAAAUGAACAAAUUGUACCUUUACGUGGACAACCUUAGCCACACAAUAAGUCUUAAAUAGCGGUAGAGAAACUAGUGAAUACAGUAUUCCUGGAAUAUUUACUGCAUUAAUGAUUAUUGUAAUUUAGCAUGAACAAUGUACUGUGGACUGGUAUUUUUUGACAAAGACGUGAAUUAAUUAACAAUACUAACGGUAUCUUAUAUGAGAAUUCACUUUCUUAUAUAAUGUUUUGUGGACCAUGGCCUUGGUUUUUAACUUGACCUCAAGUAAUAGAACCAAUGCAAGUAUAGAACCUGGCCUGACUUUGCUCAAUGAAUGAGGUUUCAGGAACAGAGUUCCAUAUUCAGAAAUGGAGCAAAUAUCAAAGUAUAUCUUGAGAUCUUGAAUGCGACAUAUUGGUCAUUUGGUUGCUGAGACAUGCUGGAGGUUAUGAAGAAUUUGCUGUUAUUCAGCAAUUCUCGGCUUUGUAAACAUUACUCGCUAUCAGAAGUUCACUGAAGCAGUUGGCUGUUGGUUCUGAUAUCUGAAGUCCACGUAUGCUCACAGAGCUAUUUGAGGAAUGAGCGAUUAUCUGCUGGCAAGUUUGUUGCUGGAUUUCACCGGACCCAAAUUCAUUAAAGAGGACAUGCGUAUUAAGAAAUAUUAUUUUGGUCCCUGUGAUUCCUCUAAAUAGUCAAAUUUAUUAGUAUUGACACCAUUGUGAAAUUUCUGUUCUUUUUUAACAUUUUUAAUGUAGAUGGUGUUCCGCUAAUCCAAACUACAAAAAAUUAGGACAAAAUAUACUCUUUGCAUUUUCUUUCUACCUAUUGUUUUUUCUGUACUAGGUUUACUAUGCACAUGUUACUUUGAUAUGCAUUGCUCCUUUAUGGAAACUUUAUAUAUGCUAUAAGUGCGUUGUGAAUUUCCAUGCUUUCGCUGUGUGCAUAGUAUUCUGUUUGCUUACAUUAUUCCCUAAGCGGAAAAUAUUUAUUCUGUGUCUGAUCUUGUUCCUUUUAAUGCAUAUUGUUUGCAGACAGCGGUUUUUCCACUUGGAGCGGAAGAGAUACACUUAGUGGCGAUGACUUCUAAGAGAAACUUGCCAAAUCACGCGUGUUUUUGGGGCUAUAAAGUACCAUUGGGCUUAUACAAUUCUUGCUUGACCAUGUUGAAUCUUCGAUGCCUUGGCAUUGUGUUUGACCUUGAUGAAACAUUAGUUGUUGCCAAUACCUCUCGGUCUUUUGAAGACAAGAUAGAUGCAGUUCAGAGAAAAUUGAGUAAUGAGACUGAUCCUCAGCGCAUUAGCGGUAUGUUGGCAGAGAUCAAGAGGUACCAAGAUGACAAGUCUAUACUAAAACAGUAUAUAGAAAGUGAUCAGGUUAUUGAUGGUGGCGAAGUGUAUAAAGCACAAUCUGAGGUCAUCCCACCCUUAGCUGACAAUCAUCAACAACCUAUGACACGCCCGAUUAUAAGGUUACAAGAGAAACACAUUAUCUUGACACGUAUAAAUCCAUCGGUACGUGACUCACAUCAACUUUCUUCUAAAACUGAUAAAAAAACUUCGUUCUAAACGUGAUGUUCAGAUGCUUCCACUUUUUUGUUAUUAUUAAUCACCAUUCUUUUGGUAAGCGUGGAAAUGUACUGCUUUAUUGACUUUAUUUUGCACAAUUUUCUAAACUGAAUUGUACCAUGAUAUUUUAAUUUACUAUAUUUUAAGACAUCUCAUCACCUGAUUUUACUUGGCAUAAUUCUUUUCACGGAGAAAAAAAAUACAGACCUACUCCCUCCGUUCCAAAAUGUAGGUCAUUUUGGCUUUUCCACAUACAUAGAUUUUGCUAUGCACCUACAUAUAGGGUUAUGUCUAGAUACAUAGUAAAAUCUAUGUAUCUAGAAAAACCAAAACAACCUACAUUUUGAAACGGAGGGAGUAUUUACUUGUCCAUUAGACAGUUGCUUUAUGUUCUUGAAUGCUUUAUCAGCAUAAUAUGAGGCUUUACCAUACUGUUAGGGCCAAGUUACAUGGGCUAGGGGUUGCAGCCAACCAAAAAGUUCAACCUUUCUUUCUUUUUUCUUGCUGAGCUGAGCUUUAUUUUGAUAGUAGGAACACCUGUGCCUAUCAGGCUUUGAUUCAAUCACAUUUGCAUGCCAGUAGGCUGCCUGGUUUAUUUUUCCUUCCCUUCUGUUUUCUAGAUAAGAGAUACUAGUGUUCUGGUACGGUUAAGACCAGCAUGGGACGAUCUUCGGAACUACUUAAUUGCAAGAGGUCGCAAACGUUUUGAGGUGUAUGUGUGCACAAUGGCUGAGAGGGACUAUGCUUUGGAAAUGUGGAGGUUGCUUGAUCCAGAUUCAAAAUUGAUAAACUCUGUUCAACUUCUUGACAGACUUGUCUGUGUGAAAUCUGGUAUGUUUAAUUUCUUCUGAAAACACAAGUAUCAGGAGCAUAAUGUCACUGCUAAAAUCUAAGUUAGUCGAUAGUAUCUCUUGUGAUCUUUCCAGCCUUUUGAUGUAUGCUACAUUUACUCAUCUAGGAUCAAGAAAAUCAUUGUUAAAUGUAUUCCAUGAUGGAUCUUGUCACCCUCGAAUGGCCCUUGUUAUUGAUGACCGUUUAAAAGUUUGGAAUGAGAAGGAUCAGCAUAGAGUUCAUGUUGUUCCUGCAUUUGCUCCAUAUUACGCUCCCCAGGCAGAGGUAAUGGUCAAUUCUUAGCAACCGACAUAAGACUAUCUUAUUUUAUGGUUACUGAUGGUUCCUUGUCACCUCUUCAAUUUUCAGGCAAACUUCCCUAUUCCAGUUCUUUGCGUUGCCCGAAAUGUUGCUUGCAAUGUUAGGGGUGGUUUCUUCAAGUAAGGACAUCUUUGUCUAUAUGAUAUUCUUUGUAAUUAGUUGUCAUGACAUUGUCCUAGCUAAAUUGAAUACACUCUGCGGCCAUUCAUACUUGUUUUCCUGUUACUUGCACCAAUUAACAAGCUUGAAUCACUUGCCGAAGCAUAAGUUUUGUGAUUUAUUGUAUUGACAGAGAGUUUGACGAGGGCAUCCUACCCCAGAUUAGUGAGGUUCGUUAUGAGGAUGAAAUGGAUGGCAUUCCCUCUGCUCCCGAUGUUAGCAAUUACUUAAUUUCAGAGGUAAACUUCAUAAAGGAAAAUGCUUCAGAUUGACUACCUAGUACCUAUUUUCUACCAAAAAACAUUAAUUUUCUCUUUGCUAGGACGAGAAUUCUGCAAUUAUAAAUAUAAACAAAGAUCCACAUGCCAUUGAUGGUAUGGCAGAUGCAGAGGUUGAGAAAAGGAUGAAGGUUUGCACUUUUACUGCCUUGUUCUGGAUGCUUGGCUAUAAUGCAUAAAUUUUGAAGUUAAUGGAGAUGCAGGAAGUAUGGUGCUAUUAUGUGAAAUUAAAUUGAAUACAGUACGAGAUGAAGUAUGGUGCAGAAUAUGUUGUGGAGUAUGCUUAGUGUUCAUUUUAGACAUUUGUUCAUAGAGUUGAAUCAUCCAUUUUCAAAUAUCAAAGAUGUAACUGUUUAAUACUUAUGUGCAUUUUCUUCUUCAUUUAUAUUAUGUGGUGCCUGAAAAGUGGAUUGCAAAUACAAACUUCUAAUCCAUUCAAAGACACAGUUUUUACGAGGGUAAAAUGCAUUAUUUGAAACUCAACAGUGGUACAUUUCUUUAGCAAGAUACAUUGAAAAGUCUACUAUAAAAUUUUGAGAGAUGCAAUUGCAGCAGAUUUUUUUUGGGAAGUUUAAUCUAUAGUAUCCAACCAAUUUCUCAAAAAUAAAAACCCAUUCUGUAUGGUAUUAUUCUAUUUGUAUCAGCUUAAUCCACCUAACAAUCAACUGGUAAUGCUAAAUAACUUCAUACAGUAUUUCUUAGCAACUGCUACUGGUUUUAGCAUUUUUAGAUCACAUCUCACCUUGUUUGUAUCUAAAAAUUUUUCAGGAAGCCUCUUCCUGCUUUCAAGCUACGAAUCCAAUAACAACUGACAUCGAUGUGAUGUCAGUAGCUGCUAAACAGCACUUUGUUACACCUACAUCCUCAUCUACCCCAAUAGCAGCACCACCGGGCAUUAUUAUGCCUUUGAAUAAUGAACACCUUCCUCAGCCUCCUUCAUUCAGCUGGCCAGUUACUCUAUCUGGUCUUGUGGAUCCUUCGCAAGGUUCUCCAGCUAGAGAAGAGGGUGAGGUUCCUGAGUCUGAGUUGGAUCCUGACACUCGGAGAAGGCUUCUCAUAUUACAACAUGGUCAAGACACAAGAGAAGCUGCACAGCCGUUUCCUGACAGACCUCCUGCACAAGUCUCAGUUCCGCCAGUGCAAUCUCAUGGAAAUUGGCUUUCCUUAGAGGAUGAGAUGAACCCAAGGAACCUGAACAAGGCUUCAACAGAAUUUCAUUUAGAAUCUGACUCUGUAAAUUAUGAUAAUAAGCAACCACAGCAUCCAUCAUACUUCCCUGACGGGGACAAUCCUAUAUCUGCAGAUAGACAUAGCUAUAAGAACCAGAGAUAUCCUCCUCGGGUUAGUGAACAUUUGUUUUUUAUCAGAAUUUUUAAAUGAUCUUUGUUAAUGAGGUGUCUGCGGGUGAUAUGGUGACGCGUGCUUUAUUUACGCAGCCACUUCACAAUGAAGAUCAUCGAAUGCUUCAUAACCAUGCACCUGCAACCUAUAGAUCCUUUUCUGGUAUGUUUUUCUCUACCCUUGAUGGUUCUGAUGUGUUGAGCAUAUUGUACUGUGCAUGACCUCCUUUUGUGCUUGCUUAUCAUAUCUUAAGAUCUAUAGGGUAUGCUAACCGACUCGGCUCUCAUCUCAUACUGUCACUUUAGAGUUAUCUAUGUUUCCACUUUUCUCAAUGUAAGCUUUGUACUUGUAUUUUCUAUUCACCGUUAUGUAAGCAGCAUGCAAUUUGUUAGUUCGCUCACAUUUUUUGUUUUAUUUUCUAAACAAGAUGAAAAGAGAUUAUGUCUUUUUACUGGAACUUUAAGGUUGACCUCUUUUGAAUUAGUUUAGCUGCUGCUUAUAUUUGCUUAUCCUAUUGUGAGCGUGGUCUACUUAUCAAUCAUGGUUUCACUGGAAUCCCUAUUGUAGCUAGCUAAGUUAUGUAACUCCUUUCUUGGAAUGUUGUGGGUGCGUGCUUAGUUUAGAGUAUUCUGAACUUGAUUUGCAAUGUGAAGGGGAGGACAUAGCGACUCGGCAUGCUCCUUCAAGACAAAGAAGUAGACAAAUGGAAUCAGGAAGAUACUUCAUACAACAUGGAGGAAUAUUGGGUGUGUUAGAGGAGAUCGCAGUGAAAUGUGGAUUUAAGGUAUUGUUAAUGAUGAAAAUCAUAUAGCUAUUUUGUUCUUAAUCUGAUAGCUUAACAUGCCUUGUAUAUUUAUUCACCUAGGUGGAGUACCGAUCAACUUUAUGUGAUACAACAGAUUUGCAAUUCUCCAUUGAGGUAUACAAGUUAUGCUAAUUUUACUUUAGAUCCCAAUAUUACUUAUAAUUUAUGGAAUCAUAUGUACUGGGGAUGUUAAAAUAUUGGGAGUUAUGAAACUUGAUAUGGGCUUCAGGAAGUAAUCUUGGAAGCGGACGGUGCCUUGUGCAUGAUCCUUGCUGAUCUAUAGCUCAAAGCAUGCAUCACUUUUUCUUUAUCAAUUAUUUAUUGAGGCUGAUUGGAACAGUGUUUCAAAGGUGUGGCCUAGGCAUCCGGGCGGAUCCAGCUCGCCUUGCCGCCUAGGCUAUAAGGCGUACACAGCUUGCCUUAGGUUGCCUUGUCAACUUUAAAACACUGGAUUGGAAAUCACUCUAUUAUGCUUGUCUCGUAUUUUCUAUUCUUACCUUCGAUUAUACCUUUCAGGUUUGGAUUUUUGGAGAAAAAAUAGGUGAAGGAUUUGGAAAAACAAGGAAGGAAGCACAGUGUCAAGCUGCUGAUACCUCCUUAAGAAAUCUGGCAGGUGAGUAGACAGACUACCUAUUUUGUUUAUUCCCAUUUGAAGUUGCUAGUGUGCAACAAAACUAUAGGGGUUUGAUUAUGGAUAGUAACAUUUAAUUUGGGGUAUAUUUGAUUUGUUGUGGGCAGUUAUAUUUUCGGUGGUUGACUUCUGAGGUCUGAUCAAAGUGUCAAAAUUGUGGAAUAGUUUAUUAUUCUGGUUUUUGAAUCAUGUUUAACUAAAUGUUGCUGAAAUAUUUAUCUUUGGAUUUUUCUGUCGACAAUUUUCCUAUUUGCAAUAUUUUUGAUGGCAUGAUCUUAGUAUGCGGAAAUCCUUCUUUUUUUCUUCUUAAAUUAUGUACGGAAUGCCUCCAAGAAAGGGUGGAAAACACAGAAUCCAACAAUCUUCUCAUAAAGCAUUACAUAAGAAUCCAACAAUCUUCUCAUUAUCUCUUCCUUUUGUGUAAAACAUGCAUAUAUUUGACCUCAACUUCAUUUGCAGACAAAUUUUUAUCAUGGGACCCAGAUAAGAUGACUGUUGCGAAGGAGAAUGGUUUUAAUAGCAAUCCAAACUCACACAGAUAUCCAGGAAGUAAUAGAGACGAUAUGUUACCAGCUGCAAGCACUUCAGACGAGUCUAGAUAUACGAAUGACAGAAUCGAUAACUUAAGAAAACCUGGUGGUUCUGUUGCUGCUCUCAAGGAGCUUGUAAGUUGCUUCCUUAAUUACCAGCUUUUGGACAAUUAUUAUGCUCUUUUGACUAAAGUAUGUUUUGGUACAUUCAGUGUAAGGUUGAAGGGUAUAAUUUAGCAUUCCAAGAUCAGCCAUCUAUAGAUGGUUCAGCAGGUAAAGAAGUUUGUGCUCAGGUCAGUACUUCAUCUGGAUGAAUGUUCAUGUAACAUGCCUGGUACACCGUAUGAUCUUGAUACUGUAAGAUCAGUUAAAGCAAGUAAACUUGCUUCUGUUACCCUUGUAUACAGUACAUGAUUUGUUGUAUGUUGUCAUUGGUCAAGAGUUUUUCUUCCUUUAGAUUCAAUUUGCUCCGAUGGCUUUCGUGCUCGUAGCUCAUUCUUCUUAUAUUCUGAAAUAAUGCUUGGCUUUUCAGGUAGAAAUAGGUGGGCAAAUCCUAGGGAAAGGAGUUGGAGUAACAUGGGAGGAAGCUAAGCUGCAGGUUGUAAGCAGAUGGAUGAACAGUUCAAUCUUUUCCUUCUUUCUUCUUGGGAUAUUGAAAUGAAAAAAUAAGCCCGAGUCUUACACUUGUAUUCAACGAAGGAGGGUUUUUCUGUCUAUUAGGCAACUAAUUUUCUUGUUUCAGCCAAAAGUUUAUUUGCACACUAAACAACCUUUGCUACUAGUCUGUUUGGAAUCAAAGAAACCACUGAAAUAUUGCUUUCUACUAGACAUUAAAGGAGAAACUAAAAGUACUGUCCUAUAUUUUGUAAUGUGAUAAACGACAGAAAUUGCAUAAGCAUUUUUUCUUGUACAAAAGGAAGCCUUUUAGAAAAAAAAAAUUGUGCAGUUCAUUUACACCCUUCAUUGCCGAACUGUUCAUUGACAUCUCUUUUUAUAGGCUGCUGAUGAGGCUUACGGAACAUUGAAAUCCAUGCUCGGUCAACUUGCUCAACGACAGUCUGCAUCUCCAAGGUAAUGGUUUGGUUUCUGUAUGAAUAUUUUCCAUGUUUUUCGUGGUUGUUGAAGUCCGCGGACGUUUAGCUUUCUAGCAAAGACCAAUUUCUUGGCAGUCAUUAGGGUGGAAAUUGGUUCUCGUACAAAUGUCCCAAGUCUUAGAAAGCUUGCUCUAUAAUAUUCUCUCUUUGGACAGGUCAUUGGUGCCCAAUUUUAAUAAGCGCUUCAAGCCAGAUUUCUCGCAGAGGAUACAAAGGAUUCCUUCAGGCAGAUAUUCUAGAGACGACAGUCGCUUUCCUUGACAGUAGUCUGAAGUAUGCACUUAAUCUCCUGGGAAGAAUCAGGAAAUCAUGCCAGCACGUUUCCCCUCAAGCAUUCCGUAAUUGCAAGUGCAAGCUAGAUGGUUACGAGGGCAAGAGUUUAUUGUACGCGAUGACGCCUAGGCAUCGCAUUUUCAGUUUCGUGUACAGGUUUCUUCUCACCAUCAUCUUCAAGCUGCCAUUAUCCGCGAUUGCAACUGUUGUUGUAACCUGAUCUGAAGUGAGCUCUUGGAGAUGUGUUCUGACCUGUAUCAAAUUCCCAUUUCCUUAUGCCGGAACUGAGAGUGGAUCUCAGAGUGUACAUUCCUGAUGCUGUAGCCGUAGAUUAUCAUUUGUGCACACCUAGAUCAGAUUAGGCUCCAGUGGUUAUUGAUGCUCGCUGCUCGGUAGUUGAGCUCAUCCGAGUUGGCUGCCAAUUUUCUUCUGGCGGCGGCAGCUUUUGUGUUCAUAAGUCUUGCGCCAUGUAUUUUUAGAAUCAUGGCGCGAGAUUUAUGAACACAGAAUUCGUGGCACCAUGUUAACCUCAUUCUUUUAUUUUUGUAAAAAACAUUUCAGAAUUCGUGAUGUAAUCUGAUUUAACAAUUUUGAAGUGUGUUUGAUCGAGUUUUGUACAACUCGUUUCCCAGUCUGCCUCUCGACAGUUACUUGCAAAUUGCAAUUGAGAUGCCUUUUCUUCUAAUUCUUCUGCAUUUACACAGUUGUAGUACUCCACAUGCUAAUAAUACGGUUCGUUUCUGGAUGUGCCUGACGGUAGUAUUUGUAUACAUGCUAAAGGCUAAAGCGAGGCCUCUUGCCAUCUAAUAAAAUUGCCCCUACGCGAAAUUUCAAAUUUCAGAACCCACGGAUAUUCUGGGCCCACGUAGCAGUGUCGAAUUUCAGGACCCACAGAUAUUCUGGGGCCACGUGGCAGUGAGGGGUCGGCUGCCCACGUGGCUCCAGGGAGCGAGAUUGUAGACGAGCGCCGCCAGCUCAGACGAUAUCAGAUGAUCUGCAGAGCUUGGGCUCUGCUCUGCUUCGGUGUUUCAUGGUGGUGGCCGUCGCGGAGGACAUCGGUGGAGUGGGAGGCGAGCAACCCCAGGACGCGGCCGUGCUCCGGCGAGCCAAGAAGCAAGCGCCGGGGAGCACGCCAGCCAGGCGGUGCGUGCAGCGCGUCGACGCCCGACGGCGGGUGCGAAACAGCCGCAUGGGCUCUGUGGCUUGCGGCGGCAAGGAGUUCGCGCCGCGCAGGCGCGUCGUCGAAGCUGGCGACCGCGUCCUGGCGGGCCCGGAGGCUCUCGUCGCCGUGCCCACCUGUCGCGGCGGAGCGGGACAGCAAGUCGCCCAUCGAUGCACGCCAGCCCGCGGGCGCGUCUCUCCCUGCGCUCGAAGACAACUUCGCCGCCGCGGCCGUGCUUGGUGCUCGAUCGGCGUGGCGACUCAGCGCCGCUGCUGAACGCCGGCCUUGCAGGCAAAGCGGCGAACACCUAGCGCGCGGCCUCCGGCGAGACGCCUGACGAGGCAGCAAACGAGCGGAGCGGAGACGAUGGUGGCGUUGUAGGUGAGACGUGCGUACUUCGCAAGAACGAUGAGCGGCGCGGGGUUGCGAGCGGCGGAGCCGGCCGUGCGCCGUGCGGUGGUCCAAACGCGGCGGGCGGUCGCUGUGGAAAACGAGAACAGAGAACGGCCCGCCGCGGGAGCAUCUCCAGAUGAACGAACUAGUGCCCAGGGCCGCGAGCGUGAUCCUGACGGAGGCAACCGCCGAGCGCCGGAGGAGCGGAGGCCGGUGGGCGCGCGUGACAUCGCUGCCGGCCGGCCGGGAAUAUUUGCAGAACGCCCCCGGUUCGGAUCGAUCGCGAUCAAUAAUCGCAUCCCAAAUACCCCUAAUUUGGAUUGCGAUGAAUAGUUGCGAUCCGAAUAUUUACAUAUUACCCCCUAAAUUUACAAAUAACCCCCUAAAUUGGAUUGCGAUCAAUAGUCGCGAUCCAAUCAUUUUCAUUUAGACCCCUAAGUAUUUUCAGAUAACCCCCUGGUCGUGCUCCGCCCGUCCGCCGCCGCCCUCGACGCCGUAAUCGCGAACCCCCAGCUCGGCCACUAGUCCCCGGCUCAAGCCCUAGCACCAUCCCCCACCAAUCUCUCCACCUGAAGAAAGAAUGGAGGGCGGCGCGCGGCCCGACGCCGCACCCGGGCCGCGCGUUGCGAGCCGCCGGGCGGGCAUCGGGGCAUGGCGGCAACACCGGAGCGGCGGGGGACCCGGUCUUCACGCUCUACACCGGGGCGCUCGGCACCGCGCUCCUGCUCUUCAGGGCCUACUUGAUUGGUCACCGGAGACCGCGCCGACCUCGCCACCUCGCCGAGAUCGUGGCCGCUUGCGACGCGGCGUCUGCACCUGCGGGCGAGGAGAGUGAGUCAGUGGCCGUGUGCUCGGUUGUUCACCGCCGCUUCAUCUGGUUGAUUUGAUUGGAGUUGAUUAGGGUCUCCUGCAGGUUCGUGACGUUCAUAUGCGGGCGGCGGGCUGGGGUCUGCGCGCUCGGUGCGGCGGUGGCGAAGCACGCCGGAGACGAGGUCAUCGUCGCGCGCUACCUGAGCUCGUUUAAGAAGGUAACUGGAUGACGUUGCCUGUCAGGCAGCUGCUGUGAGUUGCGAUAAUGGAUUUUCUAGAUCAAUUGCCGUUAGCUAGCUGUUCCUCUUGUUCGAUCUUAGCGAACUUGCUCGUUUUGACUCUGAGGAAGCUACAGUUGUAGGUUAACCUCUGAUGAAAAUUGGUACGGCAUAAUGAACGUUAGUGAUUUAUUGUGUAGUUAAACCGUGUUGAACUGUAGAUUGUGAUCUCAUUUGAUGUGCCAGAUUUUCCUUGCUAUCCUUUGCCCUUCGAAACUGUGACUUAUUCAUAUAGAACAAUGACCCACCUUCAAUUUUCUAGUUUUUAUGUAUGAGAUCAUAAUUGUCCUUCACUCACUUGAAAUACCUAUAGAAACACUGCUACAGUGCUUCUUAGUUUUGGCCCUGUGUAUAUGCUGAAAGUGUCAAAGAUUUACUGUAGGACAGGUAUUUUAUUGCCACAAAAAGGCAGCAUUUCCUACUUCUGUACGUUUUCUCUAAACCCAUGGUCUCAUCAUGCCAAUUCUUUGUUCUAAUUUCUAACUACUUCACUGCACCCCAGUUUGGUCCACUUGACCGCUGACAUAUUAUGUUGCCAAUUUAUCCAAUUUUCUUCCAUGGUUGCUACUCUGAAGAAAAAGCAGAGAUCUGGUAUUAUGAAAGAGAUAUCAAUGAUAACAUCUAGUCCCUCCGUUCCAAAUUGUAGGUCGUUUUGAUGUUUCUAAAUUUAUAGAUAUUAUUAUACAGCUAGAGUCGUCAUUUUGACUUUUCUAGAUUCACAGAUAUUAUUAAUUAUACACAGCUAGACAUAUCUAGAUUCGUAGAUAUUAUUAUAAAAACCUAUAAUUUGGAACGGAGGGACUAGCUAAAAUACAAUUCUAUACAAUUCGAUGCGCUGUUUUCCGAAAGUAUUUGAGAUGGAGCCAUCCCGGCCAAUUGCCGCAUUUUCUUUCCCCGUCUUUACACUGUCGGACCACUGCCUUGUUUGCUGUGUAUUUAACAUUUUAUCUGUGACGUGUUUUACACUUUUUACUGCACGGAAAAUAUCAUCCAUUUAUAACAUAUCCCCGGACCACAUGGAACUCGAGCAUACCGGAAUCGAGGCACAGGAGACAUCUCUUCGUGCACCCUGGGAUGCCAUGGCUACCACCUGCAUAUGGCGUAGGUGUCGCUCAAAUCGAUCAGCUAUGCUGUUCUCGUCCUGCUGCGUAACAGCGUAAGCUGACCGUAAUACCGGAUGCCAAGGAUCAUGAAUCGCGCGCCAUCGCCCAUUGCUGCCCAUUGCUCUCGUCUCCUAAUUGUUUAUUACUACGCCAAGAAAUGGUCGCGGUUCACGAGAUCCAAAUCCAAGUUGUGGUCUUGAACAUGUGCACACGUUAGCGGACGUAGCCUUACGCUUUGAACGUGCAUGGUACUCAAAAAUAAGCUUUUAAGGUCCAUUAAACUAUACUAACGAGGUAACUGAUAUUCCCACCGUUUUAAAUUAUAAGUUAUUUUGGUAAAGUAGACAUGAUGCAUAACCUAGAAAAAUUAAAAUGAUUUACAAUUUGGAACGGAGGAAGUAUAUUAUACGAUCUUCGCCUUCCAUCCUCAUUAAUGGAGGAUUUAAUGAUAAUGUAUGAUAUAUUUCGAAGUGAUGCACAGCUGGAGCAAUCCUUUCUUUUACAUGGAAAGGAAGGAUAUAGGCACACUGCACAUAUAUACUAACAUAUUGAUAAGUAAACGCUCUAUCCUAAUGCCAUCAGUGGCUCUAAACAAACUCUAAGACUAGCAAGUUGCGAGUCUGCAAGGUGCACUUAAUUUUAACCUGCCAGCAGGAGCAGGAGUUCAUGCGAAUGGCGCCGCUUGCCUUCCCCUGCUACAAUGCGGAGACCAGAUCGAGAUAGCUCCUCACGUAGACAAAGCCAAGGUCACGUACGUGCUAACGUGCACAUGGCUGUAGCGGCGCAGGUGCAGCAAGCCAAGAGCUCCAUGGCCACUCCUCCCGCGUCUCCGACGACGACGAUGCCGGCGGCGCGGAAGCCGCUGCACCUGCUCCUCCUCUCCCUCUCGCUCCCCGUCCUCCUCCUCCUGCUCUCCCUCGUCUUCCUCCUCUCGCACACCACCUUUAGCCUCCUCAUCUGCCCUCUCCUGCCGCAGCCGCCUUCACGGCGCAAUGCGACGAGCACCAGUAGUAGUAGUAGUGGUGACAGCCUCGGUGUCUCCAUGUACAAGACCUUGCAAGCGUUCCAUGACUCGACGCCCCCGUCAAGGAGCAAUGUGACGACCACCAGUAGUAGUAGCGCCAGCCUUGGUCUCUCCAUGGACAAGACCGUGCAAGCCUUCCACCAUGACUUGGGGGCGGCGCCACCGCCACCGCCGCCGUUGCCGGCUGCUCCUGCUUCUGCUGUUAAGACCACCAGCAGCAGCAAGAAGGCGUCCGCGAAGAGGAACAAGAGCCUCCUCAAACUCCUGCUCAGGAGCACGCCGCAGACGCGGCGGUUCGCGGCGCGCGCGGGCGAGCUCUUCGCGUCCCCUUGCACGGACCGCUUCUUCAUGACGUGGCUCUCCCCGCUGGUGCAGUUCGGCCGCCGCGAGCUCCUCGUCCUCGAGAGCCUCUUCCGCUGGCACCGCGGCGCCUGCCUCCUGGUCGCCUCCGACACCAUGGACUCCGCGGGCGGCAGGGACAGGCUGAGGCCGUUCCUCGAGCGCGGCCUCCGCGUCGCCGCCGCCUCGCCGGACUUCGCCUACCUCCUGCGCGGCACCCCCGCCGAGGCGUGGCUCGCCGCGGUGCAGCGCGGCGGCGUCAGCCCCGGGAGCGUCCCGCUCGGGCAGAACCUCUCCAACCUCCUCCGCCUCGCGCUGCUCUACCGGUACGGCGGCACCUACCUCGACGCCGACGUCGUCGUCCUCAGGCACUUCUCCGGCCUCCGCAACGCCAUCGGAGCGCAGGCCGUCGACGAGGCCACGGGCGGCUGGAGGCGACUGAACAACGCCGUGAUGGUGUUCGACAGGGCGCACCCACUGCUGCACGAGUUCAUCGCCGAGUUCGCCGCCGCGUUCGACGGGAGCAAGUGGGGGCACAACGGGCCAUACCUGGUGUCCCGGGUGGCGGCGAGGCUGCGCCACCGGAGCCCCGGGCUCAACCUGACGGUGCUGCCGCCGCGGGCAUUCUACCCCGUGCACUGGAGCAAGAUCGGCGGUCUGUUCGUUGCGCCCAAGGAUAGGAGAGGCGAGAGGUGGGUGAAGGCCAAGGUGGAGAACAUCAAAGGCGAGAGCUUCGGCAUCCACCUAUGGAACAGGGAGAGCAGGGGGCUCGAAGUGGAAGAGGGGAGUGUCAUUGGCAGGUUGAUUUCAGACAGCUGCCUGUUCUGCAAUUCUUCCAUGCUUGUAAAGCAAGAAUGGCAAUAGCUGCGGGAGAUCCUGCACAUUUUCAGCUGCAUGCAGAUAGAUGAGUUGAGAGGUUGGUAUUUUGUGAGAUGAUGUACAUCUUACUUGCAGACAGUGAAUACUAUAUAGUACAGAGGUUUUGAACUUGUAAGUAUGAGGAAACUAUCCUAAUUGACAAGAAGUUUCAGAGAAAUGCCGUCUAGUUUAAUUGUAGGUGUUCUGAUUGAACUAUCCCAAGGGGGACAGUGGAAAUUUUGGAUCAUCAAGUAGCUACUUUGACAGGGAAAGCAGAAUUGUCAGGAAAUGGUACGGUAAACCUGAAGAUCUGACAAGAGUACAAGUACAUUUAUCCAAUAUUGAUGUUUUUUUUCAAAAAAUAAAAUAAAACCCCGGAACCACACCGAUGUUUACUCGUACACUCACUCUGAAGAUGUAUAGUACAUGUCAUGGUUUUGAAUGGGUUGGAGUAUCGAAUACAACGCAUACACUUCUGACUUCUGCAAAUAUCAACUCACACUCUAUUGUAGUGUUAAAAGAAUGGGAUCUGUAGAAAGAUUUUUUAGCAAGUAUAUUUUUUUGUUGAAGAUACACCAGUUGUAACUUAUAAACAUCAUACAUGUCGAUCAUCUCCCAUUUAGGACAUAAAAAUAUGAUGGAACUUUCAGACUAACAGCAUAAUCAAUCUACUGCCACCUUUGCCUAUUAAAGUACCAAUGCCCUUCUGUAUCCUCAAAAUCGGUUGUAGUCCACUGCAGCCUGAUCAUUUUUUAAACUGAUAGUCGAAUCCAGCAGAGCCGGAUCAGGUUGGCUUGUCAUUGAGACAUGAAGCUUCAGACUUGCUAAUAAGGAUAUCAACCAAGAGGUACAGACUUCUUAUCACUCGGUAUUAAAUGCUGUGUAUCCUCAAGCUCAAUUUCACCUCCUCUCCAUUCGUCCCCACUUUCAAACAUCAUUUCAAUCUGCUCCAGUGUUUUCCCUUUUGUCUCUGGCACACAAAAGUACACAAACAGUACAGAGAUACUUGAUAUUGCAGCGAAGACGAAGAACAUUCCUGCCACAGAUAUAGCACGGGCCAUAGAAAGGAAUGACAUGGAAACCAAACCACUGCUCACUCUACCGCCUACUUGACCAAGUGCUGAUCCUUGAGCUCGUAAUCUUAAAGGAAAUACCUCUGAUGACAAGACCCAACAUAUUGGUCCCAUGCCAAUUGAAAAGAAUGCAACAUUCCCACAAACUGCAAAAAUUGCUAGAUCGAUCCCAACACGUGGAGACAUAAGCCCCAUGGCAUGCUUUUGCAAUGUAAGUGCCACCCCCAAGAGAAACAAGCAUGCAGUCAUGCCAAUGGUGCUGACAUAAAGAAGUGGCUUCCUUCCAACUUUAUCAAUGAGGAAAAUUGCAACCAAGAUGAACACUGUCUUGGUGAAACCCACAGCAACAGUCGCAGCAAGAAGCUCCUGAUCAGACUUGAUCCCAGCAUCCUUGAAAAUUGUUGGGCUGUAAUAGACAGUAGCAUCAAUCCCAGUAAUUUGUUGGAACAAUUGAAUACCACAGCCAGCAUACAGCAUCCGACGAACGGCGGGAGAAGGGUUCAGAAGCUCUCUCCACACUUCCUUCUCCUCAGAUUUCAUCGAUUUCAUAAGACCUGCAGCUUCCUCGAUCUCAGACAGCCGUUCUUCAACUUCAGCUUCAGACUCACUUAUCUGUAGCAGCACUGCUCUUGCUUCUGAAACUCUCUUCUCCAUCAUCAACCACCUAGGGGACUCUGGGAUCACGAAAAGUGCAAAACCAAUGAAGACAGAUGGAAGGAUACCGACGCCGAGCAUAACCCUCCAAUUGAUGUGCUCAGAAAGGCCUGAAAAGGCAUAAUUGGAAACAUAGCCUAGGAGGAUCCCAAAGUUGAUGCAUAUCUCAGGAAGGGAUGUGAGAGUCCCACGGGCACCAGCUGGGGAGAUUUCGGCAAUGUACACUCCAGAUACCAUGGCACCAAAGCCAAUGCCCACUCCAGCUAGUAGCCUCCCAAUCAUAAGCACAGUGAAUGAUGGAGCAAAUGUCAUGAUGACUGCGCCUAUCUGGAACACAAUUGCACCAAGGCCCAUUGUCCAUUUCCUGCCAAUUGCAUCAGAUGUUCGUCCACCUGAUAGGCUUCCCAAGAGUGAGACCACGCUCAGACAGCCUACUAGGAUUUCUUGCUGAAACUCGGUUAUGUGGAGAUCUUUCUGUAUGUAGAUGAUGCAGCCACUCAUGACACCAACAUCUGCAGAUAAAACAGGAAACUUGGAUUACAAAAAUGUUACUUGUUCCUGCGGCCAAUUUUACAGGAAGAAGAAUACAUUUCUGAAUUCUGAGAAGGCCAGUAGCCAUGAUAGGCCUCUGUUCCAACCGCUGAUUUGCAUAAUCAGCACAGGGAGGCACCAAAAUCCUACUUGUAGAACAUAGAGGAAAAGAUAAACUGAAGGACCUCAACUCAGGUCAUGUGAAAGUUGCCAAAAAUCUCCAAAAGUUAGCUUACACGAAUGUAAUCAGGAUAUUCUCGUGGAAGGCAUGAAAAGCGUUUCCAUUAGGACAAAUAACCAACUGCUAUCCCUGUCGGAAUCAUGCUACCUUUCUAUUAACGGGAGGCGGGAUUUUGUUUGCAAAUGGAAAAAGUGCAACAUUUUUGUCCCUAAGAUCAGAUCCCUAGAGCACGGCGUCACUCACCGUAGCCGAGGAGGAUGGCGUUGAGCGAGGCGAAGACCGCGCAGGUGUACACGAACCGCUCCCUUCUCCUCCUCUCGCUCUCGGGCACCGGCGGCCUCCUCCGGACGUCCAGCUCCCGCUCCUGCUCCUCGCUCCGAUCAAGAACCGCGUACUUGUUCCUGCCGCCAUUCGCCGCCGCGCUGGCAUCCGCCAUCGCCUCCCUCCGUGGCCACGGUUACCCGGUGGAGGGUCCUCGCCGCGGAUUGGUGCUCGAUUCGGAGAUCAUCAGCAGCCGGCGCCCCGAGCCCCCAAAUCCAAUGGAGCCCGAGGAAGGUGGGAGAUGUCGAUGCGGUGGUGUUCUUGCUCCGUUUCUCUACCCCGUUUUACCUGUUUGUUUAGUAGGUGACGAUGGUUUCCAUUUCUUAUCGAAGAAAUCCUCAAGACUACAAAUACUUACCCAAAAAUCCUUUCCUGUAAAAUGUCCAACACUAGCAGGGCUCAAACUACAAUUUCGAGGUGUUCUGAGGUUAUCCUUGGCAUUUCGGUGAUUUUGUGCGGGUCAAGUACUCGUUUUUUACAUGGAAAAAUGUCGGAAGCAGGACUUGGACGAGACGCCGUGUUCUGAAUUCUGACUUUCUCCCUCCUUUCCCGGCAGGGGUGAGACUAUUCCAUUACGACUAGGUUACAAGUCAGGUUAGCUUCAUGGUGGUGGAAAAUGAGAUGGUUUAACGGCCUAAAAUCUGCCGGGUAUGGCAUGGCAAGAAUGCAAGAUUGCCAGGUGAAAAGCUGGUGUGACACACCGAAUAAAGAUUGUAUAGUGCUAGCUUAGUGUUUGUGUAUUUUGUCCUCGAUAGAAGUUGCAGAACGUAAUCACUUUGGCUGGCUUGUUCUGAGGGUGUCGCUUUCAUGCGAGUUUAAGCAAAGCCAUGGUGGUUUGGAUUAAUCAAUCCUCGAGUGCGACCGGAAAAUAUCAGAAAGUUCCCCGGUCCACAUCAUGAUGGUAGAUGUCCCCAUUCCAUUGCCUUCAGAAUUCUCGUCAGAAACUUCGCCUCGCCUGAAUUUGCCUAACACUGACGGCACCACAGUUUGUUGACGAAUAGUUGUUGUUAGCAUAGCAAAAGGUUAGCAGCUGGAGGUUAAGACAGGAGAGUAGUGGCAAACUAGCGACGCUCUUGGCGUGGAACAAGUCAAACAACCAGCCAUCUGUCCGGAGUUUAUCGUUAAUGCGCGCCUAGUAUGCUUGAACUCCUGCGACCAGACGGCAGGAUGCCAAAGUUGUCAUCUGUCAGUUGUCACCAAGUCACCAAAUUGGACCCUCAUUUUGGCCAACUUUAGGUAUCAAAAUAAACUAAGGCCAAAUUUUGUCAACAAACUAAAAUGGUGGCAAAAAUGUUCUAACGUGCCAAAUUUUAGUUUGGCUACUACCUUGGGCACAUUUAGGCACAAAUCAAACAGUACUUACAGGCUUGAUGAAUUCACGGAUUACCGCUACAGACUAACAGACCACACCAACCGGACGGCAUCUUCUCAACGGAUGAUUUGCAGGUUGCAGCAAGUGUGCUAUGCACAUAAGGAUCCACAAAAAACUACAUGCCGUCCCUCCCAUUAGUCCCAGAAGAGGGAAAAGGAAACAAACGCUUGCUACUCGUAGCCCAUGCAAACUGCAAAGAGGAGGGAAAGCACGAAGAGGAAGUUGGACGACGAGGCAUGGACUGACCGUAGCCGAGGAGGAUGCCGUUGAGCGACGCGAAGAGCGCGCAGCUGAAGGCGUACCGCUGGCCCCGGCGGCGGCGCUGGCUCUGCGCCUCGGCACGGUGCAGCCACUCCGCCUCGUCCAGUUCCUCCCCCUCUUCCCCGCCGACGAGCUCCAUCCUCCGGUACUCCUGCUUCGUCGCCGCCGUCGCCGGCCUCAUCUUCACUGACUCCAUUCGCCGGCUGCGUGCGAGAGACACACAGAGAGGCAGAGGAGUCAAGAAGCUGCCGCCUGCAACUACUGUGUUCGUGAGACCUGCAUGUGUGUGAUCUCCCUCUUCCUCAGAUCUGAUACCAGGGCUCCAAAUGCACGCCUGGCUCUAGCGUUUGCUUGCCCCGCUUCAUCGCGAAAAAAGAAUGGUUACUCAAGGACCUCUUGAGCUUAUUUUAGAGUCGCCUCCACGUUCAUGGCAGGCCUUCGUCUUUUCCUUAUUCUAUGCUGCAAGUGGCACGGGUACAGCUUAGACUUUGCCAACAGAUGUGCCGGUCUCAAGGUUGUUUUGGACUAGAGAAAUUCAGCCUGUUUCAUUCAGCUUGUCUAGGACAGUUUAGAUUAAUUGCUAGUGGCACAAAAGUAUCGGAGACGGCCAUGACCUUCAACAAAAGUACAGGAUGGCAUUCUAGAGUUUACAAGCUCCGAGAGACCCAGUGCCUUAAACCUCAAUUGUUUCAGCAGCCUUGGAUGAAUCUCGAGACCUAGAGAUUUGUUUGCCAUAAUGCAUGUAUGAUAUGAUAUGAUAUGGGAGUGCUUAGAGAGAAACAAUAGGGACCAACAAACCGAUAUGACAGCGCAAAUAUAUUGAUCAAGUGGUUGCUAUCCACUAGAUGAAUUCAGCAAGUGUACAAUCCAGUUCGGGGGGUCAAUGAUCACCUUACUGUACACUGAAGGCAUUGAAGAAGAAAAUGGCAGCUACAAGUUUUUUUGGUUUCAGAUUUCCUUGUCCUUGUGCUGCUAUGCUCUGUGCUGAGGAUGCUCUGCAUUGAUUGGCCGAAAUUUGAGGAUCUUUUGAGUGCUGGCAAGAUGAUUUACUUCCUUCAACGAACCUUCCUUGCUGCUGCUAGCUGGUUUGUCCAUGUUUUCUUCGGAAGGUGUGGUCUCAUCACUCGGAGGUUUUGGUUCAGCUUCUGACAAUAGAAGAGGAAAAACAGUGAAUGGAUCUACUGAAGAACUGCAUUAGGUCAAACAGUGGAGUUUCUCAGACUCUGUGGAAAUGAGGUUCCCAAAGAACUGCAUGAGUUGACAUUAUUUACUGCAUGACCGACAAAGUCAGUACAUACACGUGAAAAGUAUAUUCACUUGUUUGAUGAUACCCACACGAGGGGGUGUAUUAAGUGCAAACCAUGACAUAAAAUAUCUGAAAUCUUCAUGAAACAACAGCAGCCUACCCACAUGGUAUCAGAUUCUUUCUGCAAAAUUUAACAACCCGCGACGAAAUAUUUGCCAAACACUAGAGGAGUUUCAAUGUAACUUACCACUUUCAGAGAAUAGAUAACAUGUGCCAACAGUUUCUUCAUAUUCUCCAAUCUGUAAAACAAUGCAUUGGCAUUAGCACUAGAACACGCAAUAGGCAGAUUAGACAUUGAAAGUCAAUGGUACAAGUUGGGGAUUUUCAAGUUUUUUUUUUGUAAAGAAGAAAACCAUUAGCACACAGAAAGGGACACCAAUGCAGCCUAACGAAGUAAGUUGCCAUCACCAGCGACAAAAUCAGCUAAUCAGUACAAGAUGCAUUUGGUACUAAAGGAACUAUAACUAAAUUAUGGGUGUCAAAUACAUUUUGCUUCCAUCUUGUCCUGCUAAAGCUUUCAAUGGCAUAAGGUACAGCUACGAGAUUAUUCUUGACAACAAUUGAACAAGUAAUUGAUUUUGAUCUGUAAGAGUGGCAAAGAAAAAACAAACAAACUGGAGGUAUGCAACGACUUGAUCUAAAGUUCAAAACUUAAUAAAUUAGAUUUUAUGUUUAUGAACAUGCAAAAAUACUGACAAUCACCCUAUGCAGCUAGUGCACAAUGGAUCUACAGCACCUGCUACGUCCACAACCCAAAGGCGUGAUACGGGCUACAUAGUACAGAAAACAAAAUCAGAACAGACUUACCAUCUUCAGAUCAUCACCUACUACUAAGGUAGGCGUCAUCGUAUCCAAACCCUGAAAAUCAUGAUUCCCACAACUUAGUAAUCUAACGUAAAGGAAACAACUAGAAACUCAAGAGGUAGUUAUGAGCCAAGAUAUCGAAAAAGUGGAAGAACAUGGUACAGAACAAGUUAAUUGGGCAGAGUUGUAGAUCCAGAGAAGGAGCAACUUACAGAGAGUACAAAUGGAGCAUCUGGUGAUAUGUCUGAAUAAAGACAAUCGCCCAACUCUAGCAAUACAUACUCCACUUCCUCCUCCUCCUCCUCUUCCCCAAUUUUCUUAUCUUUGUCAAGUUCUUCUGACAUCUCCAAGUGGACUUGGACGACCAAUAAGACUCUUCAGUCCUAUUCAGAAUGCAGGACUAAUAUCAGUACCAGCAAGCAUUGUAGCCAGUCUAUCGUUCUAAUAUCAGUAUCAGCAGCCCAGUAUUAAUCUUCAAUAUUCUCAUAUCAUAUGCAAUUUUCCGAAAUAUCAUUUGUGUUCCAAUGCCAGUUCCUGAAAUAGAGCGUACUUAUGUCCUAAUUUAUGACAAAUCAAAACUAUGGCUAAUUUGCAAUGAAACAAUUCCUAGACUGCAAUCAAGCAAUGAACUCGGCAGACAGCAGCGCACCAGAUCAUAGAAGCUUCACAAUCUUGAGCAUCACAUAAUUUUGAAUUUAAGAAAAAACCGAAGCAAAUCAAAUAUACCUAGCAAGGGCCUCAGAAGAUGGCAGCACACUGGUGUCACGAUUGGCGUAUGGCGAGCAGCAGCACAACAAGGUGAAGACCUGCUGUAGACCGACAGGAAGGAUGAUGAUCGUCCGUGGCCGGUGGGCCUUCCUCGUAGCGCCGGAGGCGACCUGCGGGAGGGAGCAGCCGACAGUGGACUGUGAUCGGCGGUCGGCAGCGGGGAGCAGGGAUCGAGGAUGCCUCUAGCUUUCAGAAAUAGAGGAGAGAACUGCCGUUGGCCCGUUGCAGCUGUGCUUGUGUGGGCUUCGGCCGGCAGCCGCUAUGCGCGCGUGCACCAGCGAAGGCGGUGUAGCUAGGGGCCCGAGGCCGCGUGCGGCCACCAGGAGGUUGCGACUAGCGAGGGCGGCGCAGCGGCUGCUGCCUGCUGGCUUGUCGAGCGCCGCCGCACACUGGGACUGCUGGCCUGUGGGGACCGCGGCUUGGGAAGGUGGGCUGCGGGUUGGGCCGUUUCUUUGACUAGGCCGCUGAGCUACCUGGGUGGGCUGCGAGAUGGACCUGUAUGCAUGCUCCACAAUACUCAUCAUAUAGCCCUGCUAACUGGGCUGGCAUCCAAACCAAAACCACACCUAUCUAUUCUAGCAUGCAAAGAAAAUGCAACCCACCCCACUCCAGUCUUCCACCCGCAGAAAUCAAACCCCACCAAUCCAAUCAUCCUCCCACAGCAAAUAAUAUAACAAACCACUGUCCAAACUGCAGCUACAACCCAUUAAGAACCCAUUAAGAAAUCGUUUCCACCACAGCUUCAUCCAAGAUUGCACAGGCAGCCAGGCGAACAGGAGCACACAACUGCCACAAAAUAUGAUGUUCUGGCCAAGGAACUGAAACAAUGCUAGAAUUAGAAGUACAGAAUUGUUUCAGACUCCUGUUUCAGACAGAGAUUCCUCUAAGAAGAUUAAAAUCCAACAAUGCUAGAAUUAGAAGUACAGAACUGUCACAAAAUAUGAUGUUCUGGCCAAGGAACUGAAACGAUGAAAUAUAGAUGGCUCCUGUCAAAAUUUAUCAACAACGACUCCUGUUUCAGACCAAAUCAAAGACAGAGGAGACCAAAUCCGUCAGGCAGAAGGAACUCUGCUCACAAUAAUUGGUCCAUCAAGAUUCCUCUAAGAAGAUUAAAAUCUAUGCAGCACGGAUACGGAUACGCGUAUCGGUAUCGGAAGGAUACGGAUACGCGGAUACGGCAAUUUCUUAAACAACCUGAUACGCGGAUACAUUUUAACUAUUUUUUUAAUAAAUAAAUAACAAUGCAUAUUAAAUUGCAAAAUAGAUGUUCAAAUUCAACAUAGAGACAUUUAAGGUCUAUUGCACUGAGAAUAACAUGAUAGCAGGUUCUAAUUUAGGAGAGGAUGGGAGCCUGGGACUGCAAUCAAUCAAUAUAAACUCAUAUCCAGAUUCUGGAGAUUGGCCAAUUAUCAUCACGUUACCUCCUACUUGCAAUCUAUAUGCUACUAUUCUCCAAGCAAUUGUAUUUGAACCAGUUAAGUAUUGAAAAGAAAGGAUAAUCAACAACUGUGCAAUAGCCAACAUUAUAAAGAUCACACUGCCCCUGAACUUAAUCCACCAUCCAUGCUUGCAUGGGCCCUUAUUCUGUAGACUAUGGAUUAUACUUCCAAAUUGCCUGGAUACACUACACAGAAAAUGUAAAUCUCUAUGCACUUUACGGAUGCUAUGCUACCAUUACUGGGAGGAACUCACGGUUCACGGGAGGCCUGCACUACCACUAUCAGAGGAAGUCACGCACCUGAACAGGGGCUGGGGCUCCUUACGCCGGAGGCCGACGGGAGUAAUCACGGGCGGACGGAGGCCGACGGGAGGCAGCCUGCGGCCGGCGGGAGGCGGACGGAGGCUGGCAGGAGGCGGCCUCACGGACGGCGGCCAGCGGACGGCGGCCGACGAGAGGCGGAGGCGCUGCGUCAGCCGUCAGGUCGAGCGGGAGGAUGCGGCGAUGCGCUGCGUGGGGCGGCUGCGCGUGGGAGAGCCGACGCCCGACGGGUCACGGGAGUAGGGCAGGAGGUGGGAUGUGCUGUGAUGUUGGGCCGGCUGGGCCGAAUCCAGGCGCGGAAACGUUUCCGAUCCGAAGUUUUCGGCCCAUUUAAUCGGGGAUACGUGGAUACGCCACGUCCGGGUGGAGUAUCCGUGUUUCGUAGAUUAAAAUCCUCUAAGACUGCUGUUUCAGACAGAGAUUCCUCUAAAAAGAUUAAAAUCCAACAAUGCUAGAAAACUGUCCAUAUUCUACGAGGAUCCUAUGGAAAGAAAUAAGGAAACAAGAUAUUCAGUUAUAACAAUGCAUACUAGGAUGAGAUACUCUAGCAAACCACAAUAGAAUAAAUUCUGCAGCUAUUUCCAGGUAGUUGGGUUAGUUCUGACUACACUGAUUAAAGAAAGUUCAAGGAAAACAUACAGUAAGAUCUUCUGCUUAAUACCAAUUAGUAGGAAAUAUGGCAAUAAAGCAUAUCCCUGGAGAAGUUUUGGCAUUCAUCAAACCUAAGUCCCAGAUAGCAGUCAGUAGCUGUUCUUUUAAGGUUCCAGGGUAGAAGGAUGUUCACAAUGACACUCAAACGUUUGGUUCCAAUGGCUAAACUUUAGCCCCGUCACAUCGAAUGUUUAAAUACUAAUUAGGAGUAUUAAACAUAGACUAUUUACAAAACCCAUUGCACGGAUGGAGGCUAAACGGCGAGACGAAUCUAUUAAGCCUAAUUAAUCCAUCAGGCUUAAUAGAUUUAGCCUCCACAUGUGCAAUUAGUUUUAUAAUUAACUCAUAUUUAGUCCUCCUAAUUAGUCUCCGAAUAUUGGAUGUGACACAGCCUAAACUUUAGCUCGAGGAACCAAACGCCCCCGUAGUUCACUCAGACUGAAAAUAAACCAGUAGCAUUGUACGGUAUAUCAAGCUUCCCACCAACUUUUCAAGCAUGUGUUUUCAUCAAAGUAGUUCACAAUCAACCAUGAUCUAGGACAAAAAUAUUGUCAUAAGCUGAUCAAUUAACCUAAAAUCAGCAAUAGUUUGCUUGUGGAGAGGCAUGUUAUGAAUCUCACCCUAAAGUCAAGAAACCUGCAAUUUUAAUCCAAUCACAUUACAAGAAAUAAGCAGGUUAUUGACGGCUUGAAAGUACAGAUAGAGAAGGAAACCACUGAGAGCACGAAUUCUGCAAAAGGUUAUACUGAUAUGGGGAAGGUACAUCCACUUCCUGCUAUCGAACAAAAAUCCAUGAGACAUACUGAGCCACCAAUCCAGAGCACAAAAUAAGCAAGUUAUCCAGCAAGCUUAAUAAAAUAAACAGUGAACCGAUUUGCAAAAAAUCGAACCAUUAAUGCCACAAGAAAUUGAGCAAGCAGGAUAUAACCAAGAAACACUUUUCAUGAUCUCUUGUCAACCACGAAACCAUUGCCACAAGAAAUAGGGAAGCGGGUGGGGGAUUUACCUUGGAGCCACGGAUCCCGACCGGCCGUCUAGUGGUGGUGGUCGCUGGAGGAACGAUGGACGCGGUUGUAGGCGGCCUCGCCUAUGAGGUAGAUCCCGAAGGCCGGAUUCUUGAACAUCUCGGCCGCCGCUUCAUGGAGAGCUCGUCCCUCCGCCGGCCAUGGAGGAGUCUGGAUCGGGAGGGAGGCCAGGUGUGGUGGCGUUGGCUGCAGCCUGCGGGUGAGAUGGUGGUGUUGCGGCGGUGCAGGCGAGGCGGAGGUGGGUCGGGCGCGUGGCGGUGGGGGCAGGGAAAGGGAGGCGAGGUGAGAGGAUGCGAUGGGAGGUGGGUCGGGCGCGUGGUGACUCAGGUGACUGCUCGGUGCUCGCUAGCUACUCGCAGACUCGCUACCGGCCUGUGUGACGACCACGACGCACGGUCCAUCCAUGGGUACAACCCAUUAAAACUCUAAGGGGUGUUUGGAUACGAGGUGUUAAACUUUAACAGUGUUACAUCGGAUGCUCGGUGCUAAUUAGGAGAACUAAACAUGAGCUAAUUAUAAAACUAAUUGCAGAACCAUGUGCUAAUUCGCGAGAUGAAUCUAUUAAACCUAAUUAAUCCAUCAUAGCAAAUGGUUACUGUAGCACCACAUUGUCAAAUCAUGGACUAAUUAGGCUUAAUAGAUUCAUCUCGCGAAUUAGACUCCAUCUGUGCAAUUAGUUUUAUAAUUAGUCUAUGUUUAAUACUCCUAAUUAGCAUCCAAACAUUCGAUGUGACGGGUGUUAAACUUUAACACCUUGUUGCCAAACAAACUCUAACUAUCCCUCACCACACCACAUCAAACUGCCAGGGAGGUGAAGUCCAAACUUAGUGAAUUUGUUAGUAGCGUUAGCCCAUUAGCACCUAGGCUAAGUAAGCCCAAAGUAAAAUCCAAACUGUUAAAGUUAUUUUAGGCUAAGUAAGUCCAAAGUAAAAUCCAAACUGUUAAAGUUAUUUUAGCCCAAACUAGUUAUUUCAGCCCAAACUAUUUGCAGGGCUAUCAUCGUACCGAUACUCAAUACAUGCGUGUAUAGAAUUAAGAUUCUAGUGGGGAAAAAGGAGCAGGGUACUGGCCUACUGGGUGCGCCUUGAAUUCUGUGUGAACCUUAGGUAAACUGUCCUGUAAAAGAAAUUCGUGACGAGUCAAAACGCCCUGAGUCCUCACUUUUCUGUCUCCGGAUAGAAAUGCUGAGGCUUUUGAGUGUUCCUAAAUAAGAGUUAGGGCUCGUUCGGUUACUCUGGAAUGAGUUCCCGAAACGAUUCCUGAUUGAAAUGAUUUACUAAUUUGUAUAAUCUUUAUAGAUAUUUCUAAGUCCAAUCCUAACUGACCGAACGAACCCUUAGGGGUAGAAAAAACAAGAGCAGUGGCCUUGCAGUUUUCACCAUAUAUAUGCACGAAAACCUAAUUUACCUUGGUCCUUGCUAUUGACCACCAAGAAACAGCUCGAUUGCCGGAUAUCGUUGCUAGGGGGAUGUGGAGCCAGCUCGGCUCGCUAAAUUAAUGAGCUGGCUCGGCUCGUUAGCAAAACGAGCAGAAAUACCAGCUCGGCUCGGCUCGCUAUGUGCUCGAGCCAGCUCGUUUGAGCUCGCGAGAUGACAGUCAAAUUCAGGAAACAAAUAACUCCGUUCACACAAGUUCGGACUUCAAGUAUGUGGGUGUAACUCAGGCAACCGAAGUUCGAGAAUUUAAGGAUUAUGUAGAAUAAAUAGGAAGAAAUUAUAUUUCCACAAGUUAAGACCUCGCAACCAAAUUUGAGGUAGAUGGAGGAUUGAAGCAAACUAGCAAUGACCCGUCAAAUUCACAGAGAUGUUAAGAACUCACAAAACACAACCACACAACUGAACGAACCGAGCAAGCAAUUGGGAAGAAAUAUAUAAAAAAACAAAGCAUACAUAUGGGAUUCAUAUCCAAAAUCCAGCGCCUAGCAAUUUCUUACACAAAUAUGACAGCGAUGGCCUCUUUGCCUCGCGAAUCCACCGAAGGAGAGGCCCCUGGAGAAGCCGUAGCCGUGGAGGGCGGAAGUGGCCAGGUGGAGCCGCCGACGAACGGAGGGAGUGGAGCGGCGCGGGUGUGGCGGCGGUGCGGAGAGACCGAGACGGCGAGACAGGGGAGGGGAGUCAAGUGAACUGGCGAUGGGGAUGGAGACGGCAGCCUUACGGUUGGUUUAUUGGGCCAUUGGGCUGCCGUGCGUAGCUUACUCCGCGCUGAUAAUUUUUUGGCUCGUUUAGCUCGUGAGCGGCUCAUGAGUCAGCUGGAACUCACUCGUUAUACUAAUAACGAGCUAAAUUGUCAGCUCAGCUUGGUAGGAAAAUAUAGAGCCAAUUUGCCCAGCCAAGUAGGGUAAGCCCAUUAAUUUUGGCACUUAUUUGGUUGGCACGCAAUGAAGUGAUAUCCUAAAGAUUCUGCUCAGGUUUUGGCAAAAAAAGAAUUUUAUCGUACUCACGUUUUGGCGUGCCCUAGAUUUGGCAUGGCAAAUUUUCAAACUAGACCAAUCAAGCUCAUAAUGAGCUGAGCUGGUGCCGAGCCGAGCGAGCUAACGAGUCGCGAGGUUUUUGUCUAGCCCUAAUCGUUGCUGUCUCUCGAGGCAAGAGGAAAAAACGAACGCCCAUAUGUCCCCGAGAGAAGUCAAGGUGCUCCGGUGCUCCCACAAAAAAAAAAUACCAAAAUAGUACGUAAAAAAAUAACAAAAAAAAUAUGUAUGCAUAGAUGAUGCAAGGAUCCAUGUGCAUGUAAUUUGUUGUUGAACAAAUUUUUGUGCAAUUAGAAAAAAAAAAAGAGAGAGACAGCCUAUGAAUAGUGCGGGUUGUACUGUUUCUUUGUUACCCGCAACCCGUUAUUGUUUCGAAGCUGAUUUCAUUUUUGUUCUCCUCGCACAAGCAUCAUUGUAACUUAAUUUCUGUAUGAUGAUAGAUGCGUGCUUGUUCCUUCCAUUCAUAUUUAGUACGUGAAUUCGUGGGAGUAUAGGAAGUGUUCUCGUAUGUCCCAAGCAUCACCGGAAAGCGCAUGAAGAAGCUCCUCCACUCCCGUCUAUUUGUCCCGGCCGCGCUGUGCUUUUUCUUUGGUACGGUCUCCAACUACGCUUUGACCAUCGACCGCCGUGCGGCCAUGAUCGCCGCUGGCAUGCCGCUUGCCGCCGCGCCCCCGGCACUCCGGCGUCCGGCCAUUUCUCGAGAUGCGCCAGAUCCUUAUGUUUUGUUUACGCGAUGCCCGAGAUGAAACGAGGAAACGCUGCAACAGCAACAGGGGGCACAGGAUCAGAGUUCAGGUCUCUCUAGGAUCGCAGCCUCGCCCCUGUAGCUGUAGCUGGAACCCGGAAGGCGGAAGCCUAGAAAAAGCACUCAUGACUCAUCGUUUACUGCCACUUUCCACAAUCCAGGGUCAGAAACUCAGAACACACGGUGCGCACAGGUACCACGGACGACGGGUGGUACACCGUAUAGACGUAGACGUGCCUGUGACAGGCCGCCGCGAUGCAGGAAGGCUUUCCACGUGGAGGUUCAUCUUGAGCUGGACGAGGAAAACACAGAAUCUGUUGGGGGGCAUGCCUGUACCCUUUGGCUCCGCAAAGUCGCUUCGAUCCUAAGGGCAGUCCCAAUGGAAGAAAUCAACCUAGUUUUCAUAAUCUAGGAUAUUGUAUCAAGAAAUCAUCCUUCACAAUGCAACUUUUUAUCUAGAGUCUAAAUAAAAAUCCAACCAAUCAUUCUCCCUUCUAGUACCAGAUCCUCUGUGCAUCAUAUAAAGGAGCUCGAGUGAUGGGUAGCAGCGGUGCAAGCGCAAAGGAUCCUGCAGUAAUUAAGAAGAAACUACUUGGGUCUCCCCAAUGCAGAAUCGCUGGUUUCUUGGCUCAUUGGUGCGCGUGAGGACUUGGUUUCCUCUCUAAGAAAUGGUUUCUCUCUCUCCAUAAUAAAUCUACUGCCACAUCAGCAAAUUGCUUAGUUGGCAUGACAAUUAAGAGGGAUAGAAACUAUCAUCAAUGUUCCAUUGGGACUGCCCUAAGGGCCCGUUUGUAGCGUGGCAGAUUGUCUGAAUGUAGAAUUUGGAGUGGCUGAUUCUAUGAAGUCCAGAAUCUGCUAAAGGUUUGAUUCCACCAACUUCUACACAUGGAAAUUACUAUUUCACCGCUCGUCUGAUAUUGAGCAACAUGUUAGCUAUGAAAUGGUGGCAAGACCAAAAAAGUCAUGUAUGCAAGAAAAGUCAUAAAAUCAAAUUCUGGAAUCUACGGAUCCAAACAACUCCAUCCAGAUUUUGAAAAUCCAUCCAAAAUUCAGAUGUUUAGAAUUCAUAAUCGGAUCCAAACGGUGCUUAACAAAGCUACAGCUCGUAUAUUGACAGCACAAGAUUACUCUAAAAAAAUUGUUGGCAGCACCAGUGAUUGAGUGCUCUGCUGCUAUAACAACAGGCGAGCGAGUGUGCAAUCGAACGAUACUACUGCCUUGUGCCUUGUGAGAACACGCAAUAAUGAUGCAUUGCACUUGCGCCCACGGCGUGGUUAACACCGACGAGUGAUUUCUUCGCCGGCGUUGGCGUUCAGAAUUCAGAUUCCAGACAGAUGGCUCGGGAGUUCCAUCGAGUUCAUGACUCGAUCCCCUCGCUCCAGGCUCUCCGGAACAGUGGGACUCGAAACAACAGCAAAGGCUGCCAAACCUAACGACCAGCCCACACCGAGCCACCGGGAUCCCACUCCCGGGUCGCCACUCGCCAGUCGCCACCACGUGACCGGGCAUCUGGGACUGGGCGCAGUCUUUCCGUUGGAGCUGGUAGGUGCGCAUUGCCUCCGGUGCCCGUGGGCUUCCUAGAGCUUUUGUCCCUGUGCAACGGCAACGGUCAAGCGAGCCGGGGCGGGGGGUGGGCGCAAACGUCAACGGUCUUCCCAGGCCCGAGGCCCGCCCCGCCGCGGCCGCACAUGGGGGAUGGGGCGAGAGGGCCAGGCGCGCGGCAGAAGUGGGAGAGAGGAGGAACGCCAUUUGGCCAUGCUUGCAAAUUGCAGCUUAGUUUAACUGCUUUACCAUGCACAAAAAGAAAACUAAACCAACAUCCUCCUACCUGCACAAUCUAGUCGCGGUCCUAAAUCGUCCUGCUGCGAUAACACAAGUGUUCGUUCCCUUUUGCUUCAACAGUUAACCACCUCGCUGUUACGGCCAACAGUCAGGGACUGAGGGACAGAGCAGCAAGAAGGGCUCCACUUCCACUACCCAGCAACAUUCAACACACUGCACAAUGCUUGUUACUGAUUUCUUUCACCUACGUGCUACAGCUUCUCCCUUAUAAAUCAGACACCAUUCACCAUUCCGGUCUUGCUGUCCGGUACACUACACCACUCCUGCACUCCUCAAUCCUCAAUUCCUCAUUGCCCUGCCGCCCAUGCCCGUGUUGCCAUUUGUACAGACUACAGAGCAGAUAGCUUAUCUCUAGCGAGGCCAGCCCUGCCCAGCCAGCCGAGCACCUCUGGGGUCUGAGCUCUGACUGAGCAUUGGGGCUGGGGAUUUCUCGAAGCCAUAAAAGAGCGAGCCCCCAGAAAAGAAGCCUACCAAGUACCUCCAGCCCUCCGAGGCUCCGAGCAGCCGCAGUACCACUACCACUACUCCACCAGUCCAGCAAGCAAGGGAAGGGCGCAGCCGCGCAGGUGGGAAGAAGGGGGGCGAGGAACCAAUCCGACCCCCUCCAUGGCUCCCUCGCGCUCCCUCGCCCUCUUCCUGCUCUGCAUUCUGGCGCCGGCGCCUCCCGUCUCCGCCGCAUUGCUGUUCGGCGGCGGGAAGUCGUCGGCCGCGGCGGGGAAGGCGGCGGACCUGGACAUGGAGUGGCGGCCGGCCACCGCGACGUGGUACGGCGACGCCGAGGGCGACGGCAGCGACGGUAAGCGCUCUCUUCUCGGCUCCACACCAGCACAUUGCACCGGUCUUCCCUAGCCAUUUAUUACUGGGAGCACACAGACACACAGUGGUAGCAUACCAUUACCAAUUUACCAUACGAGCAAAAUACUCAGAACCUGUGCUUCGGAGAGUGCUACCAGUAUACAGCAACACCGCUUGUCUUUCUUACUGCCCCGUUUGGAUACCCGGCUAAAGUUCAGCACCUGUCACGUCGGAUGUUUGAUGCUAAUUAGAAGUAUUAAACAUAAGUUAAUUAUAAAACUAAUUGCACAGAUGGAGUCUAAUUUGCGAGACGAUUCUAUUAAACCUAAUUAGUCCAUGAUUUGAUAAUGCGGUGCUACAGUAACCAUUUGCUAAUGAUGAAUUAAUUAGGUUUAAUAGAUUCAUCUUGCGAAUUAGUAUAGGGAUUUGCAAUUAAUUUUAUAAUUUGCUUAUAUUUAGUCCUCCUAAUUAUCAUCCGAUGUGGCACUGCUAAAGUUUAGCACAUGGUAUCCAAACAUUCGUUCGCCGAGUAGAUUGUUCAGCACUGGCCGUCAGGUUAGCAUCAGCCGGCAGAAUUUUCUUUACCGCAGGUAGAAGAAAAAUGUUUUCCUUUGGGGUAGUAAAAGAAGACGAACAAUUCCUCCUGUUGCCACUUUUUUUUUUGGCGGGGGACCUCUGCGGAUCCCAUGAAUCCCGGAGCGAAAUUCGGUGGGCCCCGUCCGGGUCCCGGCACACUUGUCAAGCGGCCAGGCGCUCCGUCGCUUUACGAUUCGCGCCAGCAUCCGGCGACCUUGCAGCAGGUCCAUUCCAUGCCGUUACCGGUGCCGUUGCUGAAAUCCUUGCGACAUGAACACUCCCUGCCACGGUCAGUCUCCACCGACACUGCUGGUAACCUUUGAUUCUACCAUAAGUAGAAGUUAAUCCGGCAACAGUUAAUACCCUGAGCUCGCUGUUACUGCUAGCAUUUACACCGUCCUGGGCAGUGGGCACUGUACUGGCGGUACGUGGUUCACGGUAGAUGACCUUCAGUUUUGUCGUCCUGUAUGUUGACCCGUCUCGCAACGGAACAGUUGGCACACCCGUGAGCCGCGACUUGUCCAUCACAGGGCUCUGUUCACGGGAACUUGCAGUCUUACACCCCGAUGCUCUGCCCCCCGGCUGUUCCCUCCGUAACACGGAGUAUUUUUCUGCCACUGACAUCGUGAUUAGCUUAACAAACAAUUGCCAGUAGUGGCUUUAACGGCAUCCGUUUGGUUUCCUUCCAGGCGGCGCGUGCGGGUACGGGACGCUGGUGGACGUGGUGCCGAUGAAGGCGCGGGUGGGGUCGGUGAGCCCCGUGCUGUUCAAGGACGGCGAGGGCUGCGGCGCCUGCUACAAGGUCAAGUGCCUGGACCGGGGCAUCUGCUCGCGCCGGGCGGUGACGGUGAUCGUCACCGACGAGUGCCCCGGCGGGCUCUGCGCCUUCGGCCACACGCACUUCGACCUCAGCGGCGCCGCCUUCAGCAGGAUGGCCGUCGCCGGCGCCGGCGGCCGCCUUCGCGACCGGGGCCAGCUGAACGUCGUCUACAGGAGGUGAGCAAUCCGUCCCCGGCCCUGUUGUUACAGCAGUCUGCUCCCUGAAUACUGGUGUCAGUUCAGAAUCAACUGCUCUGCAUUGCAUAGCACUGAUAGCAGCGGACAGGUAGAAACACAACUUGUCUCGUAAACCGUGAUGCCAUCCUGAAAAAUGGUUGCUUGGCGUCUGAAAGCAUCGCUGGACUGGACGCUGGCGCUGUGAAUUUCCUCUGUAGGAGUAGUACCAUGAGCCCGAUGAGGCGCAGUGAGUUUAAUUGUCCAGGGUUAAAAUGGGAGGGAAUGCAGCCCAGCUGUCUGUCAGUCUCCGCUCUGCGGCUGAGUAGUUAAACAUGCCUGAGCCUGACGUAACUCAGUCAGUGUGUCAUUAGUCUCACGAAUUAGUCUCCUAAUUAGUUUUAUAAUUAGACUAUAUUUAAUACUCCUAAUUAGUGUCUAAACAUCCAAUUUUGUAAUUAGAUUAUGUUUAAUACUCCUAAUUAGUAUCUAAACAUCCGAUGAUGUGACAGGACUAAAGUUUAGCCUCCGUGAGCCAAACACCCCCUUAAUCGCUUUGAACAUCUCCUGAUCACUCUCUUCGGAGAGAGAAAAGGACAAGUGAUCAAUCCAGUUACGAGAUUCCCUGUUUCGUUUUUCUGUCACAAACUGACCGGUGCAGCGUCGUUUGUUUGUCCGUGCAUAUACUGAUAAUCUGAUACACACCAGGACGGCCUGCAAGUACGGCGGGAAGAACAUAGCAUUCCGUGUGAACGAGGGCUCGACCAACUUCUGGCUCUCGCUGCUCGUCGAGUUCGAGGACGGCGAAGGCGACAUUGGAUCCAUGCAGAUAAAGCAGGUAUAUAACCCAGCAGAAUUCCUUCCAUUGCAUUUGCCUCCUACAGAUUCAGAGUUUCAGAGUUCUUCAGACCUCACCCUAGCACUAGCACGCUUCUUGGCCUCUUCUCUUUCUUGCACGGCCCUAUUUCCCUUACCUAGCGACUGCACGCAAACAAAGCGAUUGGGAAAGGAGGGGCUAUCUCUUUGUCCUUAACAACCUUUCGUGUUAGGUCCAUGCCUCAAGAUGCACCGGACCAAGACAGGGCCCCCACAGCCGCAUUGCCAUACCGAGCAUGUUGGAGACACGCGUGGUGUAGCGUUGCUUUGCUUUUAGUACUCUAGCUAGCAUUGCCACUGUUGUUUGGGUUCUUUCUACCCUGUCCAUGUAGAUCAACCUGAAGAAGUGAGGCCAAAAGUCCUGGCAGUUAAAAUCUCCACCCAUUGUUUACCCAAUCUAAGGUUACAUUUACACACCAAAAAGGCAGCUCCUUAUCUCGAACAGGGAAAACCACAGGCAAGAAGGCGUGCUAGUGCUUCUACUUUCUCGCGCUGUCUACCACACAAACCCUAGUCAAAGCUUUGCAUAAAGACACACACAUCUACACGAUCUUCUUUGCCGAAUGAUUCCCGUUCUGAAUGUGUUGGAAAAGCGGCACGUGAGCCCUGGCCGAUGUUGUUGCUGCAUCGACGACGAAUCACUCGCCUUUCCUCCUGUAAGUUGUAACCCACUGGUGUGCUUGGCCCCAUGAUGCUGUUUCUUCACCCCUGUCCCUCCUAAGUAAGACGGCCACGAAGACUAAGGGGGUGUUUGGAUACACCCCACCAAAACUUAGCACCUGUUACAUCGGAUGUUUGGAUGCUAAUUAGGAAUAUUAAACAUAGGCUAAUUACGAAACUAAUUGCACAGAUGGAGUCUAAUUCGCGAGACAAAUCUAUUAAGCCUAAUUAGUCCAUGAUUUGAUAAUAUAGUGCUACAGUAACCAUUUGCUAAUGAUGGAUUAAUUAGACUUAAUAGAUUUGUCUCGCGAAUUAGCACAAGGUUCUGCAAUUAGUUUUAUAAUUAGCUUAUAUUUAGUCCUCUAAUUAGCAUCAAACAUCCGAUAUGACACUGCUAAAGUUUAGACCAUCCAAACACCCCAUAAAGAACCCAUGGCACUUGCACUGAUUGGUCUCUUUCACGCUUGCCGUCCUUUUGUGUUGCGCUAGUGAGUGCUUUCACAGUGGUCGUUAAGUGAAGCCUGACAGCCAUCCUGCGCACGCUCGUGGCCUUGUGGGCUGGGGAAUCCAAAGAUGCCAAGGGAUCCCAUGCCAACCAUGCUGUUGCUUUUUUGUUGCCUUGUAAAGCUUAGAUGCUGCCUGCUUUGCCUAGUGGGUUUACAUUUACAGUAACAACUCGAGCUGAACAAUGCAGAGAUACUAUCAUACCUACUACAGCUGCUGACUGCUCUCUUACAUUCACCCUGCCAAUUUGCCAUGGUUUCUUGCAGGCCAACUCGGUGGAGUGGCUGGACAUGAAGCACGUGUGGGGGGCCACGUGGUGCCUGGUGCGGGGCCCGCUCGUGGGGCCCUUCUCCGUGAGGCUGGCCACGCUGUCCGCCAAGAAGACGCUCACGGCCCGGGACGUCAUCCCCAGGAACUGGACGCCCAAGGCCACCUACACCUCGCGCCUCAACUUCGAGCCGUCCCUCUAGAAGAAAGGGGAGGAGGCCGCCGCCGGAGUGGGCGCGGCGCCCGUGGGCCCACGUUUUAUCGGCCCCGGACGGACACUGCCAUGUGGGCCCGCAAAGGCAUGUGGCCCACUUGGCAGGCAGCCAGGCAGGAAUCCUGUCCUAUUGGAUGGAUCGCAGCUGUUUUUCUGUAUGCAGGCAGCUUAGCCUGAUCGUAGUAUAGCUAGUGUAUGCUGAUGCAUAUGCAUCGGAAGUGUGUGAUGCUAGUAGUUUUUUGUUGUGAUUUGUGAGCAGAGUUCAGGAGCUUGCCCAGGUACCAAGCAGCCGCCGUCUCCAAAGGAGAGAGAGCGUUCGCUGCUUGCCCUGCUUGCUCGGGUCCUGGAAGGCCAGGAAUCGGAUGUGGAAGCUGGCCGGACCGUGGAUCACUCGUGGUCAUAGUGGGUCGUGGCGUCUUGUUCGCUCGUGUGUGCUUGUUCCGGCGUCGAUGUGCUUCUGUUUUGUGUUCGCCCUGAUUGAAAUGCAGAGUUCGUGACAAUGUCAGAAUCUUAUCUGUCCGCUAUGAGGAAUUUUGUGUGGCGCUUCAGAAUGACCCUGCGCUUUCCAUGUGGAUGUCAGAAUGUAUGCGUGUCCUCUUGCUACCAUGUCAGUCAAAGACAGUUAAUAGCGGAUGUGAUUGUUCGUUCAGGGUUGUACAUACUUUUCAGGGAGAGAAUGCGUGAAAACUCCAAAGGGACGUGCACGCGGAAUGUUGGUUGUCACACGGUAUGCCUAGAUCAAUUACACAUGCGACGAAUUCAGUAAUAUCAAAGAUAGUGCCAUAAUCGUAAGGGAGAGUAUGUAAAUUAUUACAUGACCCCGAUAGUCUUUUUAAACCGAAUAGAAAAAGAGUAUUUAUUGUUGCAACGGAUCUUCAACGAAAACAGCGACUCCACGGGCAGCUGACUGGGAAACACGUAAGCUUAGAACUCAAGAACCUCUUUAAAGUUGACCGGUUCUGAGCAGCGGUUUUAGGAAGGGUGAGUACACUUAUGGUUGGUACUCAAUAAGCGUGAGGAAUGUCUAGUGUAAGGUCAUUUAAGGAUAGGCUAUAGUUUAAUAGCAACUCAGCAUUUUAAUUGGUUGGUCAAGUUUUAUUAGCAUUUACUAAGUAUAAGCGUUAAACAUGAACAUAAAUAAAGAUAACUGAAAUAAAUAACAACAAUUUAACUUGACUUCCGAUAAUUUAAUGAUGUGAGGGUCCAAACCGCUCUUACCGUGAGUACAGCUGAUCGAUCAAUUUUACACUCUGCAGAGGUUGCACAUCUUUAUCCACAAAUCGUGUAAAAGUUCAAAAGAAUUUUAGAUCCAACCAUGCUGUGUGGGCCAGGCACAAUACCACACUUCCGAGGUGUGAUUGCAUAGGGACACUACGAGGCUUUUACAAAGAUUCCCUAGUAAGGAUAGCUUGCUAAGGUUUCAUCAUCAGCGCAAUGCAUAAACCUCUCUCCAACUGCGAAGCUACGAUAGAGCAGAUCAAUUAGAGGGCUGGGUUAUACACCAACUGUUGUCUCCUACUCUUCCCCCUUUCAGGUAAAGCUACCACGAACUAGAGUUUCUAUUUAAUUAGUUAAAACCAGAGCCAUAUAGUUCUUGUGGUUCUACUGUUUUCCUGGGUGGUCGCUCCAUGUUCCAAUUAAGCAUGGUGAUCCUGUAUUAAUGAAAGGUAUAGCAUAAAUAAAAUAAGUUUAAUCAUUGAGUUCAUUAAUACCACCAUAACCAAGUUGAGCAACUAAGUAAGAACUACCCAACAUUAAAAUAACCUAGGUUGAUCAAGGUACAGGGAAUAAAACUAGGCACACCUUAGAUAGGACUCAUCAUGUUUAGGAACUUGACGUGCACAACAUAUGUGUAUUGAACAUGAAAGUAAAAGUUUCAUAGGAUCAAGUUGUGAUCAAGGGCACGACUUGCCUUCUUGGACUUGCUCCGAUUGCUCGUAGUCUUCAAAGUCUUGACCUUUGAAUCUCUUGAACCACGGUCCUUCUAUACGCAUCACACGAGCACAUACAAGCAAAUAAUAGAAUAAAAUAAGAAAACAGUAACCAAACAGUAGCAACAGAGAAAAACAAGAUCAUAAAAUUAAUCUAUGCAUUAAGAAGAACUCGUAGACGCAAGAAAUGCUAAAAAUGGAUCUAAAACGUUAAAGAUAUGAACUAAACAAGGUGUAAGGGUGUAUCUGCAAGAAAACUAGACAUCCAGAGGCUAAACUUGAAGAAAUCGAGGACUAAAACAUAAAUACGCAUAUAAACCGAAGGUUUAACAUGCAAAAGAGCAAGGCUAGGAUGGCGAGCACUAUUUUGCAAAAACUUAGGGGUUAAAAUAGAAGAAAAGGGAUCUAAAUCUAAUUACUUUUGAACUGCGCUGAGCCGCGGGUGCAAAAACCAUGAAAGUCAGGGACUCUUUAGCAAAACACACGGCGCGAUGUGGGGGUUGACUGGUAUGGAUUGGGUCAGAUCUGAUCCGGUCCGUCAGAUCUAGAUCUAGUAGCUGCAGUCGUCAGGACUAAACCCGGUGGCUCGCUGUAAUGACCGACCCCUAAUCUUUCCCAGUUAAGUUGAUCUCAGCCCUUAACCUCAGUCAGUUGCUCUGUUGACCGCACCUAAGUGCUCAGUCUUCCGCCAGUUCCGACCCCUGAGAUCCGACCCCUACCGUUCGUUCCUUUUUCCCGACCCUGGCGAGUUCAGCCCUCCGUCGGAUCCUGCUGAUCCUCCUCACCCGUCCGAUCUUUUUCCCCGGUGGACCCGUGAGAUCUUUUCCAGAUCCCCCGCACCAGCCGCACUCGAGUUGCAUGGCCGCCUCAGAGUUUUCCUGCCGCGUGGCUCGUCUUCUCCGACGCCAUCGCCCGGUUUUGUCUCUGGCGAGGAACAGAGUUGGGUCCCGCGCCCUUUUCCCCAAUGGCAGCGGAAGCCCUCUGCAGACCCUCGUCUCCCGCGCCCAUCAUCGCGAUACUGGAUCCCGGCCCCGGAGACCGAUGUCGCCCGUCUUUUCCGUCCUUUCCAGCAACAGUUGCGCCGCCCGGUCGUCGCUACACGACGAUUCCCCAACCGCCAACCCCGACCGCGGCCGCGACAGUCCCUUUCCCCGCUUGGUCAGAAGCCGCCCGACAAUCUGUUGUUCCGCGCUCUCCCCCGCACCGCGUCCGCUUGUUCUCCCACCUGUGCGCCCUUGAUUCUAGCGCCGUUUAACCGGUCGCUUCUGUCACUUCUUCCGCACGGCGACACCCGCUCUCCGCCAAAUCCCAACCACCGGUCUACCCGCGCCUACGCCGCCCUGACGAAGUAGCGCAAUGAUCGCUGGCGUCACCCCCGGAGUUCUGCAGCACCGCCGGGUUUGCUCAAUCGCCGCCACGGCAGAGCACUCCAUUGCUUUUCCCCGGCCUUCGCGCCGCUCCCCUUCUCUCUCUCCGCGACGUUCCCGUUCCUCUGCUCCAGCAGCUAUAAAAGGAAUGCCCCCAUCCCCGGAGUUCCCUCCGCCUUUGUUGCCCUUAGUUUCCUCUAGCUCCCUGCUCAAGCUUCUCGUGCCACCCACCCAGUUCUUGAGAAGUUCUUCUCCCAGUUCCUUCUCAGUUCAACCAAGUCACCAGCAGCGUGCUCCUUGUGCUGCGUAGAGCUCUCUUGUGAUCCGCAAGAAGCAGCGCCGCCGCCGGAGUAUCGCCAAUCUUAGUCCCUGAUCGAAGCUUUAGUUCCGCGCCCAAGUCUGCCUCUUCCCGACCCCAAGCUUUCCUUUCAGGAAGAAGGUGAGUGCCGACCCUAAGUCCGCCUCGACCGACCCCUCCUAUCCGCCCGACCCCAGUUCCGUCUCGUCCGACCCUGCCUGUUCGCCGACCCUUGUCCGCCUCACCCGAGGGUCUGGCUGUGAUCUUUUCUUCAACUUGAGGGUGUAAGUGUAAAACGUGGGAACCCUUCAGCGCCUUCGUCUGAGGAUCCCAGUUAUCACAUCCUCUAGUUCAAGGAUCAGACCACUAGCUUCCUUCCUGCCCUUACAUCAUGAUCACCAUCAGCUCUCUCAAACAGCCUUAACCUCCUGCUCCUUGUCGCGAGUUUCUGAGCUCAGGAGAGCCAGUGUUGCCGUCGACUUAAACGUUUAAGCUAACCCCUGCAUUGCAUUCGUGUAGAGUUGCAUCUCGCUGACGGCUUCUACGAGCUGCACCCGGUGCCCGAAGAAGAAGCUGUAGCCGAGUUCCUGCCCGCUGAAGUCGAAGCCGCCCCCGAAGUCGAGCAGUUUCCGCCCUCUUUGUUUGCAGGCAAGCCCCGGAUGCAUGAAAAUCCUACGUGUUUUUGCCAAACUUGCACAUGCCUUCCGAAUAGCAUGUUUGUGCAUUUACGUUAGGAGUUGUGUGAAACCCUAGAUACAUGACUGAGUAACCCUUGAUAUGAGCACUAGCUGUUGGACCGAGUAGCUGCAUUGCUUAAAUAGGAAACGGUAAAAGCCGAGUGAUCUCCUGUCACUCGCGAGUUGUAGAAGUUGCAUGUUUACUCUCCUGUUACAACUAUAAGGACGAUGGACGGGGCAGGGUUGGUAACACUUUGGUGGUCGGAUGGACGCCCCGUCUGUCUAUGAAAACUUGCUAAGGCCCGACAGUGGUGGUGUUCGUGAUCAAGUGUUUGAAAGUACUAGCCUCAUACUUAGUAUGGGAUGAGGAAGCCUAGUACCUGAUUGAACCUAGACGUGAGCGGUCGCCCCAUUGUUCUUGGAACGGAGUUUCCCCUGCUGGUUGUCGCACGUGGUGGCAAAGCGUGAUCACAGAACAACAGAGACCGGGUCUGUGGAACCUUGCACCAAAGGAAAUGGGCCCGACACGGGUUAGGGGAUCGAUGGGGAAGGCCGACACAGGAAGCGACCUCCGGGUGCGCGGAUGUCGUGGGGCUAGGUUCACCAUGCAUGGUUAAAGAACUCGAAUCGAUUCGUCUGCCUCUCACAGUUUGAGAUUACUUGAUCGCUAUGUCACCUUGAGUAAAUAAGGAAUCUGAUGAUGGCAAUGUUGUUGUUUUUAUCUACACACUUGUUUGGCUCGAUGUUUGGUUAGAAUAGGUUGCACAACCUAGACUGGUAAGUAAAUCUAGAACCGGAGCUAAAACUUGAAAAUAGGUUACUUAGUGCUUUUGGCAAAACAAACCCCUCAGCCAAGAAGCCUUGCAUGUCUAGUUGGAAGAGUAGUUGACUCCUCCCCGGUUAAGUCUUGUUGAGCUUAGUAGCUCAGCCUUGUUGUGGCUCCUGUUUUUCAGGUGAAGUUGCAGCUCCCGACCCCUCCCUUGUUGGCGCUUGGCGCCCCAGCUUCCGCCAGGCUGGACAGUUGAGUGGGACCUCUCCUCGGACGGCGAGGAGAGGACUCAGUGAUGUUCAGGCUGGCCUCGCCCGGACGUCCGACCCCGACGAAGUCUUCCGCUAGCUUUCUCUGUUGAUCUUUGUUUGUAAACCCUAAUGUUGGAUUUUGUAGUGAAACCAAAAUGAGUAAAACUUGUCUAAAAUCCGUGGACUCGUUGUAUUCUCUGUAACCGCUCACCUUCGUGUGGGUUUGCUGAACUCGAUCCUGUUUAAGUGGUUAAAUCGGAUGAAGUCCGACGGCGCUUCGUGUUAGCUCAAGUUAAUCAGGAGUGUCGCAUGUUAGGCGGCUAAACUCUGAUUAAUCAAGCUAAUCCGAGGUGGUUCCGCCACACUCGCAGGCGGCGGAGCGGCGGUGCGCGAUGGCGGUAAACCUCAUUGGAACUUGCUCGAAAUCGAGCGUCCAGCCUCGGUUUGCAAUGGGAACUGGUCUAGGAGGAAGCGGAGCGCACGUCGAACCGAUCUACAGUGUUGUCGUGGUGGAUUGUGCGGCAGCAGCGACGUGCGGUGCGGCAGUGAGGAUGGGGACUCCGGCGAGCUCGUUUGCACGAAGGGAGAUACGGGGAGGCACGAGGACUUCAUGGCAGCCUCCUCACCUCCUUGCGGUUCUUCGGGUGAAGACCAUGGCGAUGGAAGAGCGACGGCGGCGGCAAGCGUGUGCGGUGCUCGGGCUCGGGUAGAGGCGGCGCUGGAGAGCUCGAGGGCGCGGCUUAGGGUUUGGUGAGGCCAAAGGGUGACAGCGGCUACUUAUAUAGCCCGGGGAGGUGGACCUAGGCGUGCGGGCCCAAGGUGCGGGGCGGCUCGAACUCGGGUCGGAGUCCGGCAUGGAGACGGCGGGAGAUAGGGGAUCAUGAGCGGGCCCCGGGUGUCAGCGGUGGAAGCGGAGGAGCGCGGGCGCAGUGCGGGAGCGGGCCGACACGAGAGCUAGGUUGAGGCGCUGGGCUGCUGCGCUGCUGGGCCGAAAGAGAAAGAAGCGGGCUGAAAGAAAGAAACAGGGUGAAAGGAAGAGAAGGGAGGGAAGGAAAAGAAAGAGCUUUCCUAUUGUUUGAAAAGAUUCAAUCAAAUGAAUUCAAACACAAAUUUAAUUUCAAGCAACCAAAAAUAAUGUACUAGCAUGAAUGAACUCCUAUAAUUUAUUAAUUUAUUUUGAAAAAAAUUAAAUGUCUAAGAAAAUUUAAAUGCAAGACAUAUGCAACUAAAUUCUAACAAAUUUUAUUAAAUUGCAAAAGUUGAAAAUUAGGGUGUUACAUUGGUAGGGCUCCUUUGGCAGGCGAGCUGCUGAGCGAGCAACCGGUAAGGUCAGGAACUCAGGGCUUCUUUGGCAGGGCUCCUCGCGAGGGGCUCCUCGUGCGGAGUCGGAGCCGGAGCCGCGGAGCCACUUUUUUGGGCUCCUCCAUGCAGGCCUAAAACGGCUCCGGCUCCUCCCAAAUGUGCCAAAAAAUGACUCCGCGGUCAAUGCCGUUUGGUGCGGCUCCGGCUCCUCCGUACUUCGGUAAGCGCACGGAGUCGGAGCCGGAGCUCUGCCAAACUGUCCCUCAGUACGGCUGUAUACCGGUGCAUCUCUGCUUUCCAAGGGCGAUUCUCUGCUCAAUCUCAUCAUUUUGUUUAAACGUUGCUGCUGCUUCGGAGAUGCUUAUCAAUUCGGCCCACAAGGCCCAUAGAUGGUACGAUUUUGUUUUGUUCCUGGGCCUCAGAUAACCCAAUUGUUACCACCUCUGUUUUCAGGCCCAAACCACCACCCAUGACAUGUUAUUGCUUCAAUGACAUGUUGACCCCACCAUAAUGCCAGCUCAACAUCAACCGCGACCCGCGUCACGUUCUCUUGCAGCCAGGGGCACGUUCAUGCUCGUCGUCACCCCCGGGAUUCCCUGAAAUAGACAAAUCUCUCCCACCCCCUCCGCCGCUGCACGCCUCCCACCCAUAGACGGGACGGGAGAUACUUCCAUCAGCAAAGAUAGCACACAGGAUUCGCGCCGCCCGUGGGAAAAGGAGGCGACGAAUCCAAUCCACCCACCCGCAUUCGGCCGCCACCCCGUGCCAUUGCCGCUGCUGCGCCCGCGAACCGCCGCCAUUCGCGGGGCCAGAGGGAGAGAGGGAGGGGAGGGAGCAAUGGGCGCGGGGAUGGAGGCGGACGAAGGGGUGAUGGCAACGGACUUCUUCUGGUCGUACACGGACGAGCCGCACGCGUCGCGCCGCCGGGAGAUCCUGGCCAAGUACCCGCAGAUCAAGGAGCUCUUCGGCCCGGAUCCGUGGGCCUUCCUCAAGGUGCCGUGAUCUGCCUCUUUUCUUCGCUCUGCUCUACGCGUCUGCUCUCUCUUUCCUGUGUGCUUUUGUGCUUGCAAUGGGGAAUUGGGGAUUGAGCUUGCCGGAAAGUACAAUUCAUGCUGUUUUCUCUUCCUACGAUGCUGGGCGUUUGCGAUGAUGUGCAAGUUGGGUAGCUUUAAAGCCGAGAUCUCUAAUUGCCGUACCCGAAUUCCGGAUCAGUAUACGGUUUUAUACUGUUUUUGGUGGAUUACUUUGGCAUUGUUUAGCUUCUAGUGCUUACGUUGCUGGAGUUAUUCUCAGGAAUCUCCGCAUGACAAAGCGACUGCAGUUAUACUUGUUUGGAGUUUCCCAUUUUCUUUUAUUAAUUGCUUGUUUCGGAACAGUUAACUACUUAGCUUGUUGCCCUUGUCUUCAACCUGCAAAUGUGAUGCGCUUGGAAACUGUUAAGCUUGGGAUUUAUGGUGCAAAACGGAUAAACUAGUAAUUAAGCAAUACAUUUAAAGCAGAAGCUUCUUCCAUUGAGUUGUCUUAUACAGCCAUAACGAGCCUAAUAGAAUUUAUUUAGGCGCCAACCUUUCUUGUUGGCCCUGGAUCAGUUCCACACUUCGAACAGUAACUUUCAUGCCUGAAAUGGUAGUUGCUUCUUCCGAUUGGCUACCGGGCCCUUCCUUUCAAGUUUCAAGGCAUGGAAUAAACCUAUGCUGUUAUUUCAAGAUUAUGAUAUUAGAGAACCGACUAACAAAUGAUAAAGAUCCAUUCUGUCAAACUCCUCCUUUUUACUCUAACCUCUGAUUAUCUAUAGUUCUACACUUUCACUCCAAUUGCCUCUUCCUUUUUACUUAUUUGAAUGUGGGCGCUGAAAGGAAAUUGAGUAAGUAUCAUAUUUUUGGAAAGCCCUAACUACUUUUUCCUUGAGGGAUAAGCCCCCAACUACUUUGCCCAUCGAUAUAUCUAGCUGCUAAGCCUGCUUCACCUUCUGUUUUGCAUGACCAAUUUGGGAUGUUACUUCUAGUAAAUCAACCCUAAGAUGCAAACAUAUCUUUGGUGCUGUCUCAUGGUGACACUUUGGCAACAACCAUAGGAAACAUUUGAGAAAAGUAGAAUUCUUUUCUUUUUUCUGUACAUACGGUCAUUUGCAAGAAAUACAAAUCCACUCACACACAUCUUUGCUAAUACUUGAACAUGAGAAAAUUCUCAGAUGAUCUAUAUCUAUAGAUUUCAGUAAAAUCUGAAUUUGUAACCACACAGACACAAACUCACUAAGUUACUAUAUCCUUCACUGUUGCUCUGCAGCUGUUUGGUUUUCCACGUUCUGUCUCCUUGCUAGUAAGAAAUUUCGGAUUCACAUGCAAAAGUAGUGUCCAUAUAUCCCUUUCACCAACAGCUGUUGCGCUGGCCAUUGAACUUUGGCGAGGGCAGCUAGCAACUUCAAACAGCCACAAUCUCAUGACCCUUGUUUUGAAAAAUCAGGGGACUUGCCAUCCUGUCCAUAAGCUGUAUUUUGUUGUGCCGGAAGUUCGUGUGUACCUGUAUGACACAGUAUGGUCCUAACUGUCAAUGGCAUUCGAUUUACUAUAAGAUAUUACUGCAACAAGUAGCCCUUUUUUCAUUGAGUUUUACAUGUAAUGUUUUCUGAUGGCAAUAUCAACUUUAUCUGCAGAUUGCUGUGGUCGUUUCACUUCAGCUGUGGACUGCCACAUUCCUCCGAGAUGCCAGCUGGUUGAAGCUUCUGACAGUCGCCUACUUCUUCGGCUCCUUUCUAAACCACAACCUGUUCCUUGCAAUCCAUGAACUGAGCCACAACCUCGCCUUCACAACCCCAUCCCUGAAUCGCUGGCUAGGCAUCUUUGCAAACCUCCCCAUCGGAGUCCCCAUGUCCAUAACAUUCCAAAAGUACCACCUGGAGCACCACCGGUUCCAAGGCGUGGAUGGCAUCGACAUGGACGUCCCCAGCCAAGCCGAGGCGCACGCUGUGAGGAACGCCGUCAGCAAAUCCGUUUGGGUGGUGCUCCAGCUCUUCUUCUACGCGCUGAGGCCGCUCUUCCUGAAGCCGAAGCCCCCAGGGCUGUGGGAGUUCACCAACCUCGCCAUCCAGGUCGCGCUCGACGCCGGCCUGGUCUACCUCUACGGCUGGAAGUCGCUGGCGUACCUGAUCCUCUCGACGUUCGUCGGCGGCGGCAUGCACCCCAUGGCGGGCCACUUCAUCUCGGAGCACUACGUCUUCAGCCCCGACCAGGAGACCUACUCGUACUACGGGCCCCUGAACCUGAUGACAUGGCACGUGGGGUACCACAACGAGCACCACGACUUCCCGAGGAUCCCCGGCACCAGGCUGCACAAGGUGAAGGAGAUCGCGCCCGAGUACUACGACAGCCUCAGGUCGUACAGGUCGUGGAGCCAGGUGAUCUACAUGUACAUCAUGGACCAGACGGUGGGGCCGUUCAGCCGGAUGAAGAGGAAGGCGCCCAAGAAAGACUCGUAGUUGUUUGGCCUCCUGCACCCUGUGGGUGGAGUUUUUGCCAUGUAUGAACUCUAGCAGAGAUGUGUUUCUGUUUGUGUAAAACCUGUCGAUUCGUUGGAACUGUGCUACGACAAGUUUUGCAACUAAUUUUCACGCUCCCCACGUAGUAUCAAACAAAUCUCAAAUCUGAUUGCUUUUCGAUUGUGUGUCACUUGAUGCAUGUUGAAAUUAGAUGAUCCGUCGCGUGUUCCUUUCCCUCUCGCCCUCCCAAUGAUCGUGGCCGCUCUGGGAGGCUUCGGAGCGCGAGACGCCGAAGCCUGCCCGUGGCGUACAACGGCGGCGUCGCCUCGUGACCACGCCCGAUCCAUCAGCGAGGGAUCUCCGGGCGCCGAGCGCAGAAACCGGUCGAGCCACGAGGGCGACGACGAAUCAAUCAAGUCGUUGCGCCGGCCAACGAGGCCACGACGCCGAGCGCCCCCUGGCACAGAACAAUUGCCAGCGGAGUAGCGGACGACACGCGAGCGAACAAACCAACCCUCUCCGGGCGCGCUCGGUGAUCUGCUCCCCGCCACCUUCUUCUGGUGGUGGCGGCGGCUGCGGGCCGUGACCGGCGGCGCGGUUUCGUGCGGAACCAGCAAGCCCAGAAGCACGCAGUAACGACACACGAGUCCACCCCAGCGACAAGGAAACUCGAUGGUUCUCGAUAGCUCCCUCCUUUUGCCAGUGUGUUCUUUGCAGAAUGGAUUCGUUACCAAGACUGGAACCUAACCGCACGGACCACCAGAUCCGCCGAAAGUCUCACAGAACCGGCCGGUGUACGCGCUUCCUUCAGUCUCACCAAAAGAAGCAUCGGCAGCGAACGUCUGGCUUUUUCGUCGCACAACAAGAACCUUUUCUAUCUCCUACUACUAACAGAACAUGGAAACGACACAAUCGGCACAGAUUGACAAAUGGGCCCAUAAACUCCCUGCAUGAAUCGGACCCACAUGUCAGUCGGGUUCAGUUUAGCACCUCAUCAGAAGCGAUUGACGAGGAGAUACUUUGGUUCAAAACUUCAACCGCCGCUCACGACCGUCCCUUGAACGCCGACGCGGCGGAACAACUCAUUUUCAAAGCUUUACAGAUCAGCUCCGAGGUCGCGUCCACACCACACCACACCGCGCCGCGGCUACUUUUUUUUUUAUAUAUAUCCCUCCUCCCCUCCAGACGCACGACAAAGUCGGCAACCGCCGCCGCCUCACAUUUUUUCUUCCUUCCUCCAACCACGAGAGCACCGGCGGCAGCGGAUUCCUCCCGACCGAGAAGAGGAAGAAGAAGAUGGGCGGGUUCGAUCUGCAGGUGAAGGAGCGGACCAAGGAGCUGAAGCACCUCAAGGCCGCGGCGAUGAGGGGCAUCAAGGCGGCCGGCGAGUCGUGCAAGAAGGCGUGGAGCAAAGUCAGGAGCAGCAUCAGGCGCUAGGGCGUCGAGUUCGCGAGGCCAUCCCCAUGGAUGAACUCUAGUGUGGUUUUUCUGAGUUUUGAAUGUGGUUUUGGUCUUGUUGGAUCUAUUUAUUUGAGCGACUUGAUGUGAAAAUAGUCUGUGGCUCUGUGCGUAACUGCGUAUGGCUCGUAUUUAUCUUUUGUUCGCCCCUUGUGUGUGAUUUUCUUCAUGCUCUUCUUGCGGUGGCGAACUUUGCAGAUAGCGAUAGAUCUAUUGCCGCCGAUGGAUUCUCUGUUCAUCUCGCACUGAGAAGUAUGCGUAUGCGGAGAAUUUCAACGUCUUCAAACAAGCCAUAGCCACCGUAGGUGUCGAUGAUCCGCAACACCUGAUCAUCAUGGAACCUUCCUUCUCCCACCACCACUAUCGAGGCU